CCGCCGCAAGACCGUCACCGCCAUGGACGUCGUCUACGCCCUCAAGCGCCAGGGACGCACCCUCUACGGCUUCGGCGGCUAGGCUCGUCCUCGCCCCCCUCCAAAUUCCGAUGUGCUUAUCCGCCUGUGCGCAGGAGUCUUGCUGUCGAGAAAACUUAGCUGAAAUGAAUUCCCCAUGUUUAUCUCUGAUGUUUCUAAGUAGGAUUAGAUGUAUCGUGAAACGAAGCUGGUCGCACCUGAAGUUUGAAUCCAAUCUUGUGUCUACGCAAAUAUUGUGGCUGUGGUUUUGUUGUGAUUUUUACUGCUGCGCCGUUGCAAUUGUGGUGUGUCGGUUGUUCCUUUGCAAGAUUUGGUUGAUAGUACUGAAGUACAGAAUGAAAUUUCCCGAGUUCAGUCUGCAUCUCAGACAUUGUAGAUUUGCCAUUCUUGAACGGGUCUACGACGUGAACUAAUGACUGAAUCAUGUAGUCCGUGUCAGUAACCAGGAAAGACCAUUUGCUAUAUUUCUUCUUAUUUUCUGUGACUGUGGAAAUGUUCACAGUGGUAUGUUGAAACAUUAGCAGCAAUACCAUUUCUUACUAGCUUAUCAGCAUAUACCACUGUGAUGUUCUAGAAUAAGAGAGUUUACUUCAUCUUCAAACCUGGGAACAUCAGUUGCUUACUUGAUGCCCUUACAGCAGUGCGUUAGAGCCAGGGCCAGAGCCAGCAAAAGCCUGUAUUAGUAGGUUUAUUUUUCAAUCAUGAGGGGAGGUGUCAAGUAGCGAGCAAUAACCGCACUGUCGGUCGAUGGUGCUUUUUCGGAGGCGGAUGGAUCAGCAGCAGCGGGGAUGGUGCUGAGACGAAGUGACGGUAGCGUCAUCUUUGCAGCGUGUCGGUGUAUUUUCAACUGCAAUGACGCCCUAGAAGCUGAACUACAUGCUCGAAUGCAAGGGAUGGCACUUGCUAUUGAGCACGGUGAGACUGAUUCGUCAGAAGCUUUCAUGGCAUUGAGAGGGGACAAUCUUCGGUAUUCUGCUUAUGGACAUUUGGUGGCUGAGAUUCAGCGGCACAUGGGUGUAAGAGAGUUUAUUCCAUCGAAAAUUAAGCGUGAACAAAACAGGGUAGCAGAUCGAUUGGCUUUGUAUAGUCGUAGGGAGAGUACUACUGCUGUAUGGCUAGGUAGAGGUCCACCUUGCGUGGAGGAACUAUUGCCUCUUGAUUGUAACCUUGUGAUUCUGGAAUAAAAUCUCUUUUACCCUCGCAAAAAAAAAGUAGCGAGCAAUGACCUGUGAAUCCUAGAAUCCUAAAAAAGUUAACUCCGGUAAGCAAUGGAAAUGGGAGGACUAGUGAUGCGUUGGGUCAAGUGUCUCCUGAGUUAUCUUCAGAUAUCCAAAAUGGUUCAGAUGAAGAAUACUCCCUCCGAUCUAGUUUGUGCUUAGAAGACACGUUACAAAGUACAAAUCAAUCAUUCUGAAGAACAGCAAUGCAGCAAGCAUAGGAAGUUGGAUUGAUAUCCACAGCGAAUUAGUGACCGCUCUUGUCCAUUAGACAUAUUAUAGGAUUUCAAUACAUUCUUUCUAGAAGCAGCGAGGCAAAUGCCAUGUAGUGUGUGAGGGCGAAGAUAAGAGCAUCUCCAGCCAUGCUUCCAACGGCCCCCUCCCCCCUCCCCCCCACCCCCUUUUUUGUCGCCGCCGCCAAAAAUUCAGCCAAGAACCUGGUGCGCUGGGGGGCGCCUGGGGGCGUCGGGAAACAUAUUUUAGCGCGAACAGGAAUGGGCGCGCCGAGUCAGUGACUCGCCGCCUUCGUCAUCCUCAUCGCCUCAGUUCCCACGGGAAUCAAUGCCAAGGCUGCCGCACUGCCGUGCCGGUCAACCUUCCAUUGAUGCCUCACAGGCGGCGAACUGAAGGCGCCGCGUCGCGUGUCCCGUCUGCUCCCGCCACGCGGUACCCUAGCGGGCAGCCUCUCACCGCCCAUCCUCGGCUAUAAAACCCGACCUCAUUGGUGAACGCCACAACUCACCACCGACGCCCCUCUCACCACAACUCGCCCCCUCUGGCCACCGAAGCCCCUCUCCCCCGCUCUUCCCCGCCGACGAGCAAUGACCGAGCGUUACCCAGGCGACAUCGCGGCGGUGAACGACUUUGGCCGACGCCAUCUACGCGAGGACGAGGCACGCCUCCUCUACGAGGCCCACUACCCGGCGCCCUCGGACAUGCGGGUGCCGGGCUCGUGGAGGCUGAGCGCCGAUGGCGUCCCGGUGCCCCCGGUGCCAACCGGUGCAAAACGGUGCGCCAAGAUAGCGCGCCUCCGCUCGUCGCUGUCGGAGGAGAAGCGAAACGAGCCGAGGUACGCCUCCCACAGACACACGUUGUGGACGAUGUACUUCGACCACCGCCACGCCGAUCAGGUCGCCUCCACAAACGGCGUCCUGCCCCGCGGCCGCCUCAUAUCCGACGGGCGGCGCGAAUUGUGGGGCGUGCCCGACCGCACCCUCAAAGUUGUCCUCGACCACAUCGAGGCCGGAUACACGUCGUGCCUCGAGUACCCGACGCCCCUGUCCUUCGCUCACUGCCGCGGUAGUUCCUGGAAGCCGCGGCGAAUGGAGAUGGCAACCUCCUCGUCGUCGGGCUCCGUUGUCUUUCCUUCGGGUCGCCGGUGCUCCGCCCCGUCAAGUCAGAGCCGCAGGAGACGCCACUUGGGCGCCGCGGGUGCGGCGUCCUCGUCAUCAACGAGGGCGGCCGCCCCUCCCCUCAUUCCUACCGCCUUGUCCGGCCGAAGACCGAGCCAGGGUUGCUCCCCAUGAAGAAGGAGCACGAGGGCAUGGCCGCCGACGAUGAGACCGCCCUUAAGUGGGCGAAGGCGGACUACUUCCGCGAGCAGAUGGAGCGCCAACACUGGGCCUACGAGGAGAUCAAAGCUCGACGCCGCGGACGCGACGAGGGCGUCAUCGUCGUCCUCGACAGCGACGACGAGGACGCGCCCGGGCCGUCCAACCCUCCGCGCGUCGGUGACCUUGGCCAAGGGUGCAAUAGGGACGGCGGCGGCGCCGGCGGGAUGCAGGGCGACGGCGACGAUGACGACGACGAUGGCUACUACACCCGGUUCUACGGGCUCCUCGACAUGUAGAAGGCGGGCGGCGGUAGCGGCGUAGUAGGGCUAGGCAUAGUUGUUUUUAAAUCAUGUUUUUUGUUUUUUGUACAAAUUUGAAUGAAAUCACCGAGUUUGGAUGGAUUCUGUGUCGUGUUUGUGCCGAUUUGAGGGCGACCUGGGGGCGGCGGCUGGGAUCACGUUCGCCCCCACGCCGGUUUGGCCCCAGGAGGCAAUUUUUCGGCGUCUUGGGGAGGGGGGGGGGUCGAACGGCUGGAGAUGCUCUAACACGCAGUUCUUCCAUGCCAGUGCCUCGCAUCGCCGGCGCUGCAAUGCCGUUUGCGUCCUAGAUGUUGAUGAAGGAAAUAUGUCCUAGAGGCAAUAAUAAAGUUGUUAUUUUAUAUUUCCUUAUACAUGAUAAAGGUUUAUUAUUCAUGCUAGAAUUGUACUAAUCGGAAACUUAAAUACAUGUGUGAAUACAUAAACAAAUACCAUGUCUCUAGUAAGCCUCUACUAGACUAGCUCGUUGAUCAAAGAUGGUUAAGGUUUCCUAACCAUGGACAUGUGUUGUCAUUUAAUAACGAAAUCACAUCAUUAGGAGAGUGAUGUGAUGGACAAGACCCAUCCGUUAGCUUAAUAUAAUGAUCGUUCAAUUUAAUUGCUAUUGCUUUUUUCAUGUCAAAUACAUAUUCCUUCGACUAUGAGAUUAUGCAACUCCCGGAUACCGGAGGAAUGCCUUGUGAAAGAACAUGUGGUGCCCCCAUGUUUGGUUUUAGGUAAUUAAUGACAAUCUCUAUGGACUAAUGGUUGCCUUGAUUUAUAUUUGAAGGGUUUAUCCUUAGGUUUUUCUUGAAGUCCAUGUGUUGGUUUCAAGGAGUUUAUGAGUUGACCAAGGUGCUAUUAAGGAAUUAUCCAAAGGUUGGUCAUGUGAGUGUUGAGCUUAUUUCAAGCAUGUCUUGAAGAAGAAGAUUGUGUGAUUAUUCAUGUUUACCUUCAAGACAUCAUCCAAAUGAAGAGAGUUGGAAAGAUUCAAGGUUGAUCAAGACUAAGUCAAGAGUGAAUCAAGUUGAUCAACUCACAAAGCGUAGAAGAUGUAUCGAGAGGGACCAAGUGAUCCAUGGUAUGGUAAGAAUUGUCCAUUGCACUUUGUGUACUAACCCAUGGUCUAUUUGAGAGUUCUGUGUGGGGUUAGGUAUGUGUCCAUGGGCUUGCGUCAAGAGGAAGAUAUCAUACAACCCAUGGAAAGGAUGACAUCAAGUGGUGAUCGUCAUCAAGAUUGCCGUGUGCAAGUUCAAGUGGAGCAUCACGAAGAGAUCAAGUUCUUGAAUCUUACCAUCCAUUGUGGUGUCAAUGGACUUGUGAAGAUGUGCCGAAGAGUGGCUCACCCAUAGUGGACUAUGGGGAAGCAAUCAUCUAGUCUUCAUCGAGCCAACGCAAUCAAGAAAUGUGGUCCAACUUGAGGGAGUCAAGAUCAUCAUCAUCUAGCUUAGGUGGACCAUGUGCAAGGCUGUAAGUGCAUCUAGUGCCACCCCUAGUUGGUUUUGGAGUAUUGACAACAAACCUGGUUGAGAGACUAAUGUGUUUGUGAGAAUUGCAGGAUAACACAGGCAGUAGUCCCUCAUUGAUUCAGUUUACCUACCGGAAAUGACCCCUAAAAAUGUGUGAAGACAUUGAAGACAAUGGUGGUCUGUGAAGCUAUUCACGUUGAAUACUAUGACACGAGAAGACAUUGAGUGAAGACUAUGGAGCGCGAAGACUUAGUUGUUUCGUUGUUUCCUUUUCUUCUGUGUUGAGUCAUAGGAACCACCACACUGUUAAGUGAGGUCCAAGUGAACAAAGUCAGAGUAACUGAAGUGAUGCUCAACCAAAUCCUAUGUCUUCGAGCGAAGACAAUGAGUGCAAAUCUUAUCCAGAGUCGGAUAAGUCAGCUUUACUUGUAGCCCAAGUCAAGCUGCCGCGUGUGUUUGAAAUCUGACCAUUGUGACAUGUGUCAGUUCCUUAGCGACCCAGGGUCAUUUUGGACAAAUCAGGUUGGGUUGCCAAAUGGCUAUAAAUAGCCCACCCCCUACACCAUAAAUUGGUGGCUGCUACACGACUUUUGUCGUUUUGAGAACAACCCACCUCCUAAGCUUUUGAGAGAGAAUCCUUGCAAGGACAAAGCCCAAACCACCCAGAGCUCAAAGAGAGUUUGGCAUCACUGAAGUCCUUCUGUCCACGUGAUCUGAAGACUUGUUACACUUGAGGAUUGUGAAUCCUCCAGCCAGUUAGGCGUCGCGUCUGAGCAUCCAAGAGCCAUUGUGGAUUGCCGGUGAACGAAGUCUGUGAAGGUUUGGAAGUCUACCUUGAAGACUUACCAGAGUGAUUGGGAGGGGACUAGGUGUCCUUAGCUCAAGGGGAAUAAGGUGAAGACGCGGUCUUCUGAGUUGAAUCUCAACCUCCCUAACCAGACGUACAGUUGUCACAGCAACUGGAACUGGUCGAACAAAUCCCUGUCCUCCUGAAGCUACUGGUUCUAUCUGUCACUUCCCUCUACUUACAGUUUGUCUUCGUGAAGUCAUUGCCUGCUUGCAUUAUCUGUUUGACUUCACUAUGUGACUACCUAUUCUGAUUGGCUUCAUUCUAUCUUCCAUCCUGAUCUUUACUACCUAGCUGCUAUUAGUCUCCGUGCUUUCACUUCAUUGAAUACUUGACUAUGGCUUGUCUAGUGUAGUCUACCUUCCGCUGCAUACGAAUAGUGUUGUUUCUAUUGUUUGUCUUUGAAACUUCCAUGUUUUGAAGACUUUCAUAAAAAUCGCCUAUUCACCCCCCCUCUAGUCGAUAACUAGCCCUUUCAAUUGGUAUCAAAGCAAGGUACUCCCUUGUUCUGUGUGAUUCGGUUUAACCACCUGGAGUUUUAGCUAUGUCGACUGGAGGGAUAAUCAAAGUCUCCGCUACGUGCCCCAUCUUUGAUGGCACUGAGUAUUCCUACUGGAAGAAUAGGAUGCACAUGCAUCUUGAAGCCAUUGAUGUCGACCUGUGGUACGUCGUCAAGAAUAGCGUUCCCAAGACUGGUGAAGGUGUCACCCCUGCUGAUGUCAAGAAGUUCAUUCAACUAGACUCUACAGCCAAGAACAUCACCUGUGGUCAUCUGACCAAAGGACAAUAUGGUUGUGUGAGUGCUCUGGAAACGUCAAAGCUAGUCUGGGACUGGCUCUCCAAGGUCAAUGAAGGCGUCUCCACUCAGCGAGAUCAACGGAUCAGUACUCUCCGCAACCUCUUCAACCGCUUCAAGAGACAUGACAACGAGAAUGUCCAGCUUACAUUUGAUCGCCUCACUGAUAUCACAAAUGAGCUCCAAGCAUUCGGCACCACUGAGAUCACGAAGCAUGAAAUAGUGAAGACACUACUGAGAUCUGUGGACAACUCAUUUGACACCUUAGCCCUGAUGAUACAAGAAUUCCCUGACUUCAAGACACUCGAUCCGUCUGACAUACUCGAGAGGCUCAACACACAUGAGUACCAGCUAUCUAAGAAACGAGAUAUCUAUGGCCCCAACUAUGGCCGAACUCGCGCUUUGAAGGCAAAGGCUGCUGCUUCCUCAUCUGAAGAAGAAUCUGACUGCAGUUCUGGUGAUCCUAAAGACAUUGGAAAGGAGCUUGCCAUGCUUGUGAAGAAGCUCCAGAAAUUCACCAAGAAGAAAGGCUUCAGAAAGUCUUCACGAUCCAUCUCAAGGAAUGAUGAAGCUUCUGACCACAAGAAGAGAACCUACCACAAGUGCAAGAAACCUGGUCACUACAUCUCUGAGUGUCCACAGUGGGACAAUGAGAAGAAGAAGAAGAAGAGCAAAGAAUAUGAUUCUGAUGACAAGAAGAAGAAGAAAUCUUCCAAGUCUUCUUCCAAGUCUUCAUCACACAAGAAGAGCUCAUCUGGCAAGGCCCAUGCUUUUGUUGGCAAGGAAAUGGAUUCAGAGGAGGAGUCUGCUUCUGAGGAAACGGAGGUGCAGUCUGAGGAAGAGUCUGACUCUGGUGUUGCGAGUCUGGCUCUAGCUACAGCCUACGUCGCCAAGUCCAUCUUCAACACUGAAGACAAUGGCUCCAUCACCAACACUGAUGAUAAUGACAAGGAUGACUCACCUCCCACCUACUGCUUCAUGGCACGUGGUGCCAAGGUAAAAUCACGCGAUGCUUACUUUCAAACAUCUAGUGAAGAUGACUCUGAUGGUGAAUCCAAACCUAGUUACAAAACACUUGCUAAAAUUGCAACUGAACAACAGAAAGCUAUGGAACAUACUUAAAAACUGUUAGACAAAAGCGAUGACCUGUUGGAUGCAGAAAUGACCAAGUCUCAGUCCUUAAUUGAAGAUAUCAAAAAUCUUCAUGUUAAGUACCAGGAACUUGAAGGUCGACAUGAAUCGCUCUCAACUUCUCAUGAAAAGCUUUCCUAUGAUUAUCUUCAAAGGAAGCAGGAACUUGAGAAAUUGAGAUCGGCUCAUGAAGAUCUUCGAAAGGAUCGAGUCACUUCGCGCUCAAUAGAUCAGUCCCGCUCAGGAAGGAUUUGAACCACCAUGCCUAAAAUGCAUUGAGCGUGAUAACACUACCUCUGUUGCUGAAUGUUCUACUGCUACUCCUGUUGCAAUAUCUUCAACUGCUGAUGUGGUAACUGACCCCUCUGUUGAGGAUACCACUACUAUUGCUAAUGAGAAUGCCAGGUUGAAGACACUGCUUGAGACAGGGAUGUACAAAAGUCUCAAAGGUCAUCAAACAUUAUGUGAUGUCCUCAAAAAGCAGAUUCUGAACCGAAACCCUAGGAAAGAGGGUGUUGGGUUCGAGAGGAAAAUGAAUGUUGAUGGGUCCUACUGGAAGCCUGAGCAGUACCCCAAAACCACAUGUGUUGCUGCGAAGGAACCUUCAGUAGAUCCAUCCACCUUAUCUGGUUUCACUUGUGCUAACCCCAUUAUCAUUGAUGAAUCCUUUGAUGCAAACUAUAAACUAUUUAAGAAUCAGAAUGGUGAAGUGUUUGCCAGGUAUAUUGGUACUAACUGCAGGAAUGGACCACCUAUGAAGAAGAUAUGGGUACCUAAAAGUUGUCUUGAGAAUCUUCCAGUGAAUGUCAUCAUGACACCACCUGUGAAGAAGACAAACCCCAUACCAAAGGCUUCAUAUGGUCCUAAAGCUUCAUACAGACCGUGGACUCAUCCGAGUCACCCUAACGUCAAUGUUUUGCAGGGAAAUCAUACUCAGACCCAUGAAUAUGAGCGUGUUUCAUUAAACCGCUAUGUUCAUAGAACUAAGAACUUUUCUGCUUAUUCAUAUGAGUAUUAUUCACCUCCUGCAAGGCUAUUUACUAGGGCUCCAAAGCCGAAAUUCUCAGAUGCUGCACUUAGACUCACUGCUUCUAAGCCACCCCUAAAAAUGUGGGUGGUUAAGAAAACUUAACUCCCUUUUGCAGGGAAAGGUCUCCAUCCGGAAAACUAAGGCGUCCAAAACAGAUGCUGGGGACCUUAAACAUCUUGUGGGGCGCAAGAUAAAAUUCCCAAAUGGCUAUGACACCUCGUACUUUAGAAUGGAUUAUGGACAGUGGAUGCACUAAUCACAUGACUGGCGAUUGAAGUCUUCUGAUGGAUUCAACGCUACAUCCAUCAAACAAAAGUCACAUCACAUUUGUUGACACCGGUAAAAGCAUGGUAUUGGGUCUAUGUAGAGUUGCAAUAUCAAGGGAUCAACACAUGGAUAAAGUGAUGCUUGUUGAAUCCCUUGGUUUCAACUUAAUGUCUGUCUCAAUGCUUUGUGACCUAAACAUGAUUGUGCUAUUUGGAAAAUAUCGAUGCCUUGUGCUAAUGGAAUCUGACAAGUCUCUAGUAUUUGAAGGAUAUCAGAAAGAUGAUCUGUAUAUGGUAGAUUUCUCAGCAGGACCACAGAUGGCCGUAUGUCUUCUAGCAAAAGCUUUAGAGUGCUGGCUUUGGCAUCGAAGGCUAGGGCAUGCUGGCAUGAGGAACUUGCACACUCUCGCGAAGAAGAAGCAUGUCGUGGGUAUCGAAGGCGUCAAGUUAAAAAAGGAUCAUCUAUGUGGUGCCUGCGAAGCUGGAAAGAUGACCAGGGCCAAGCAUCCCUCGAAGACAAUCAUGACUACAUCUCAACCUUUCGAGAUGCUACACAUGGACUUAUUUGGCCCUACUCACUACUCUACUCUCAAUGCUACUGCUUGUCUCUAUGGCUUCGUCAUUGUUGAUGAUUACUAUUGAUAUACUUGGGUGCAUAUAAUCCUCUACAAGACUGAAGUGCAGGAUGUCUUCAAAUGCUUCGCAAAUCGUGCCAUGACGAACUAUGGCAUCAAGAUCAAGCACAUCAGAAGCGACAACAGCAAUGAGUUCAAGAACACCAGCCUCGACCUGUAUCUGCAUACCCUGGGUAUUACUCAUGAGUUCUCUGCUCCUUACACACCUCAGCAGAAUGGCAUCACAGAGCGCAAGAACAUGACUCUUAUUGAGAUGGCCCGAACGAUGCUUGAUGAGUACAAGACUCCACAGAAGUUCUGGCUUGAAGCCAUUGAUACUGCAUGCCACGUCAUCAAUCGUGUUUAUCUUCACAAGCUUCUGAAGAAAACAUCCUAUGAGCUCCUAACUGGUAAGAAGCCGAAUGUAAGGUACUUCAGAGUAUUUGGUGCUAAGUGCUGGAUCAAGGAUCCACAUCACACUUCAAAAUUUGCACCGAAAGCACAUGAAGGUUUUAUGCUUGGUUACGGAAAGGAUUCGCACUCCUACAGAGUCUUCAACCUCUUUCACUAUAAAGUGGUUGAAACUGUAGAUGUGCGGUUCGAUGAGACUAAUGGCUCGCAAAGAGAGCACCUGCCAAAUGUGCUAGAUGAAGUACCUCCAAGUGAAUCUAUCAAGCAGAUGGGAAUUGGAGAUAUCAUACCUUUUGAGAAUCAAAGUGAAGAGGAGCUUAUCAUUUCUGCACCUAAUCAACCUGAAGACAAUGCUCAGCCUGAAGACAAUCCCCCAAAUGAUGACAUUGAUCAGCAAGAGCAAAAUCCUCGUCCUGUUCAUCCUCGUGUUGCAAAUGAAGUUCAGAUUGAGAAGAUAAUUGAUAGCUUGAAUGCACCUGGUCCACUCACUCAUUCAAAAGCAACUCAAAGAGCAACAUAGCUAACCAAUUUCUGUGGGUAUUUUGCAUUCGUCUCAAUCUCUGAACCGAAGAAAGUUGAUGAAGCCUUCAUGGAACCUGAAUGGAUUCAAGCUAUGCAAGAAGAGCUUCAAUAGUUCGAGCUGAGUAAUGUGUGGGAAUUGGUCAAGCGUCCUGAUCCUCGGAAGCACAAUAUCAUUGGCACCAAGUGGAUAUAUCGCAACAAGCAAGAUGAGCAUGGUCAAGUGGUCAGAAACAAAGCUCGUCUCGUUGCACAAGGUUACACUCAAGUGGAAGGAAUUGACUUUGAUGAAACAUUUGCUCCGGUGGCAAGGCUUGAAGCCAUUCGCAUACUGCUUGCCUAUGCAAAUCAUCACAACAUCCUUCUGUAUCAAAUGGAUGUGAAGAGUGCUUUUCUCAAUGGAAUGAUAGAAGAAGAAGUAUAUGUCGCACAAUCUCCUGGCUUUGAAGAUCCAAAACAUCCUGAUAUGGUAUGCAAGCUCAACAAGGCACUGUAUGGCCUCAAACAAGCCCCUCGUGCUUGGUAUGAUACGCUCAAAGACUUCCUGAAGAGUAAAGGCUUCAAACCUGGUUCACUAGAUCCUACACUCUUCACGAAGACAUAUGAUGGUGAACUGUUUGUGUGCCAAAUCUAUGUGGAUGACAUUAUCUUCGGCUGCACCAACAAGAAAUACAGUGAUGAGUUUGGUCACAUGAUGCAAGAGCAAUAUCAGAUGUCCAUGAUGGGUGAGCUGAAGUUCUUUCUGGGUCUCCAAAUCCGUCAGCAACACAAUGACAUCUUCAUAUCUCAAGAAAAAUACCUCAAAGAUUGCCUGAAGAAGUUUGGAAUGCAAGACUGCAAAGGAUACACGACGCCAAUGCCAACCAAAAGUCAUUUGGGUCCCGACGACAAUGGUAAAGAGUUCAAUCAAAAGGUACACUGCUCCAUGAUUGAUUCUUUGCUUUAUUUAUGUGCAUCUAGGCCAGAUAUAAUGCUUAGUGUUUGCACAUGUGCCCGAUUCCAAGCGGCACUAAAGGAAUCGCAUCACUUAGUUGUGAAGCGAAUCUUUAAUAUUUGGCUUACACCCCAACACUAGGAUUAUGGUAUCCAAAGGGCUCAGAGUUUGAUCUAGUUGGAUUCUCAGAUGCUGAUUAUGCUGGUGACAAGGUUGAUCGCAAGUCCACAUCAGGCACAUGUCACUUUAUAGGAUGAUCACUUGUCUGUUGGUCUUCAAAGAAGCAGAACUGUGUAUCUCUCUCCACUGCUGAAUCUGAAUACAUUGCUGCGGGGUCUUGCUGUGGUCAGCUUCUUUGGAUGAAGCAAACUCUCAAGGACUAUGGUAUACACCUGAAGAAUGUGCCACUCUACUGCGACAAUGAGAGUGCCAUCAAGAUUGCAAACAACCCAGUUCAACACUCGAAGACAAAGCACAUUGAGAUUCGUCAUCACUUUCUCAGAGAUCAUGUUAUGAAGGAAGAUAUUGAUAUCAUUCACGUCAACACUGAAGAGCAAUUGGCUGAUAUCUUCACAAAGCCCUUGGAUGAGAAAAGGUUUUGCAAGUUGCGGUGUGAGCUAAAUAUCUUGGAAUCCUCAAAUGUCCUGUGAACUGGACACACAUCCUAACACUUAUGCAUUUUGAUGACUUAGAUGUGCAACACACAAAGUAACGUAUAUCUUCAAUCAAUGAAGACAUACACUCUAAGUGUGAAUACAUUAAUGCGGAAUUUGACUUCGGAGCGCCACAAUAAUUGUGCACCGUGUCUGGGUCUAAUACUUCCUAUACGGCGGGUAACACCACCACUAAACUUUUGUUUUGAAGUGUUUCCCUUGGCGUUAUAUUUGCGAAGCUUUCAUCUUGAUUUAUCUUCAUCGUGUUGAUUUGAUCUUAUGCUAGGUAUAUACAUAUUUGUGUUCUGUCCUCUACAGCAUUCACUUAUAGCUAUGACUUCGUACUGAAUCUUUUGAUCUAAGUGAAUGUGAUCAGACCCUAACCUAUCUAUGCUUCUACCUCAACUCUAUCUAUCCAAAUCAUAUGCAUUCUAUUGAAAACUGUCGAUUGUCUUCACUGAACCUUGUCAGCCGAAGUCAAUCUGACAAACAUUUAUAUCUGUUUUUAAUGCUAUAUCCUUACUGCCUGAAAACAGGAGAAUUCGGAACGACCACCCCAACAAUCCAGGCAUGCGUGGGAACAUGGAACAACUUCCAAGGUGUUGCAUGCUUGCCACGUGCCCUUCAGAUGUGAACCGCUAGGGGCACCUGCGUAAUUGCACUGUGCCAUCUCUUUCCUUAUAAAUACCCGUCACAUCUCCGUCAAAUAUUCUUCUUCCACCUCGCCACCUCUCGCAAACCCUAGCGUCUCCGCUAGCUCUCGACGACGCCGGCGACGAAGCGCUUAGCUGUCGCAACUUCUCCGACGCUGUCCUCACACCGACCGUGGACCUUGUCCUCUUCGCCGUCGCCAUAGGUGUCCUUUGUCACCAAGUUAGGGCACGGAAGAUUGAACUGCUCGGCCUCCAACUUCGCUCCAUCUAGCAGUUCUUUGUGUGGUAAUUAAAAUUCACCUUUUACGGUCUUUUCGAUCUGAUAGAUUCAUCCUUCUUUACCAAAAGUGGUUUCUAGAUCUCCAAAGCUGAAUCUAUCUCUUUGUGCAUCUCAUACUAUGCCUAGUCUAUUCACUUAUGCUUCUCUACAAGUUAGAUUCCUCACUUGUACUUAUUCUUGGAUUCGUACAAAUUUGGAACCAACUUUCAUCAAAUAAGUGAAUGUCUUCGCGCUAUGAGGUCAAUGUCUUCAAACUGAUUUAUCUUCAAAAUCUUCUGAGAAUGCAUAUGACCUCUUCCCCUUCCCUCGCACCACUAAUGCUAUCACAUGUACAUGUCCGUGGGAGAAUCCCUUGGUUCUUAUAGUCUGCAUUCGUUUGCAGAAUUCUUACAGAGUCACAUCAAUUCUCUCGAAGCCAGUUCUUGUCUGACCAGCCGUCGGAAGCCUUAGCAAGUACUGAAGCCUUUCAGGUUAAGCUUCAUGGCCACUGAGAAGUCAGCAAGAAAGGGUGCCAGACAGCGCCAUGGGAACACCUCCAAGGAUUUGCCUCCAGAUUUGCAUGAAUUGUACAAAACAGACCCAGAGGAAACCUAUGGAGGACGCAAGAAUCGAAUCCAAUGGAUUCGAAGAUAUUGGGCAGAGGAAUGGUUCAAGUACCGAUUCGUCACGGCUGAGUAUGCUGAGAAGAAUGCCAUCAAGCAGACCCGGGGAGAUAUUGUAUACAAAAAUCUUCAACCCUAGUCCCGUUCUGAAGCCAUUCAACGAGAAUUCUAUCCGUGCAUGGUUCGUGGACCGCAGCCAGAGAACGCUGACCCUUCUUCUUUGCUGUGGUGCCGUGAAGACCAUCUGUUCAAGCGCAAGUUUCAGUUCACCAAAGACUCUGCUACAAAGAACAAGAAGGCAUUAGGACUUGACUUCAACCAUGGUCCUUCUUCACCUCGGGAAGAUGGCACCUAUGAAGCCAAUGAAAAUAGGAUUGGCCCCUUCUACAACCUCGCCGGCCUCAUCACACACAUUGCCGUCCAAGGUGCAAACAUGUAUCAUUCUGGUGAUGAUGCUGAUUCUGAUGAUGCACCAGCUCCACCUCCUCAGCCACCGAAGCAAAAGAAAGCUAAGGCUUCAAAACCAACUGCUGCACCAAAAGCUUCUUGAGUGAAGCCAUUGACAACUGCCCCUCCCGCUCCAAGUAACACCUCUGAAGAUCUCUCUCGCAUCUCCAAGAAGCGCGAGAAGCCACAGAAGAAAACUGUUCAGAGAUCCAGUCAAGCACUAACACCAGCUGCCGUUCUGAGGAACGAAUCUGAAGCCAUUGAUCUAUCUUCAGAUGAGGAGUUUGGUAACGGUGCUCUUGAGAAACUGAUAAAGAGCAAGCAAGAUGCGGAGAUCUUCAAUGAUCUGCCCCUCUUCAAUGUGAACAUUUUGGACAAUUUCAUUGAUGAGUGGUUUGACAAUCAAGAUCUCAGUUUUGAUGAUCUUCAGCUCCCCAUUGGCAUCAGCGUCGCCUUCCAAUGCGCAAUUGCUCCUGAGCUGGCUCUGGCUCAGUGAAUUGUUGAAUUGAAGAACAAGAUUGACUUUGAGAAAGAGCAGUUCAAGAAACAUGUGGCCAAGCUUAGUGUGGCUGAUGUUCAGAAAUUCAAGCUGAUGCUGAAUGAUCUCAAGGAGGCGUUUCGUAAGAAACGCAAACAAGCCAAAGGUUCAAGAGGGCGCAUGAAGAAUCUUGGUGCCAAGUGUGUUCAAGCUUACAAUGAAGCUGAGAAGCACAAGGCACUUGGGCGUCCAGGCAUUGACCCCAAGAUGGCUGCCAAGAAGAAGAAGUCUACUGUGGCCCCAACUGAAGCUCCAAGGUCGGAAGAACCUCACAUUGUCUUCCCAGCCAGGAUGACAAGCUCGAAGCCCCACAAUGGUUUCAGAACAGAAGAAAAUCAAGGCUGCUGAAGCCGAAGCCACAAAGCGAAAAAUCAAGAACACCACUGAUGAUGCACCCCCCCAAGAAGAGAGAUCGGGCUGCUCCCAAAGAGCCCCUUGUUGUUGAGCCCAUUGCUUUUGCUCAUCCUGCAUCUGAAAAUCAAGAGCGUCAGUUGAUAGUUCAUGAGUCUGCUUCCACAGAGGCUCCUGAAGCUCAAGAAAUUCCAGUUGUUGACCCCAUCGCGACUGAAGACAUUGGUCCUCAAGACAAUGUCGAAGAUGAUGAAGUCCUUCCUCAGAUUGAGCACCCAACGAUAUCAUCGCCUGUUCUCACGAACAACGAGCUCAUUAGUAUUGGUCGUCCUUUGACACCAAUCUCUCAAGAUGCCUCAUGGGCUGAUCACCACCAACCAGCAACUCUGAGUCAAGAUUCACCGUGUACACCCCGUCCUCCACCAGCGCAAGUCACCAGCCCAUUGGUGAAUAAUGAUAAUUACAUGGAGACCACACCCUCGCCAAAGGCGUCGCCCGUGUUUCAACGGCUUCGCAAAGGCCUAAGGCCAUCUGUCUCCAUGACUACCAUCACAGAAGAAGACUCAAAUCAGUCCAGCUCAGUGGCACGUCAAGUGUUCCCUGAAGAUAAUCCUUCUAUUGCGGUUCCUGUGUUAGAAGCUAAUGCUUCUGAAGCGAUUCCGGCUGUAACAGCCGAUGAAAGACAAGAAUAAGAGCGUGUUGCUACUCCCCCUACCACCCAAGAAGUUGUUAUCGAGGAGAACGUGUCUGUGCCUGACCCUCCAGCUACUCAAGUGGAGGUUGAGAAUCCUGAGGCGGCCACCAAAAACACCACUGAAGCCAAUGACGUUGUCAUGGCUGAAGAUAAUGUGGCGCCUGCAGUCAACACUGUGGAUGAAGCCAAUGAUGUACCUGCCACUAAUGUGCAGCCUGACGCCAUUGCAAAUGCAUCUGCUCCUGUCCCGCCUCCAAGGCCUCAUACCAUUGAGCAAGCAUUCUAUCAAGGCGACCUGGUCACACUGAGAUGGCCAAUUCUGGUUCCUCCGCCUGCUCCCAAACCUCAGUUUGAUUAUCAUGUGGAGCACAGGCCUCAGGUUCAGAAGCCAAAGCCCAGAUUGCCACGGUUUCCAGGUACUGCAUCUGCACCAGGCUCAUUCAAUGUCAACAGCUUCAUUGCACACAACACCUUCUUCGAUAAAGACAAGAACCCAUAUUCCAAGCCAAGAAUAUCAUCUGAUCGGUUCUGGAGUUAUCAGCAGCACAGCUACUACUCCCGCGUUCUAUACAAUCAAGGGCACAUAUUUCCUCAUAUGCGCCUGGAUUCUGAAGCCAUUGCUGGCCUGCCCUGCUUAGAAGAAGCACUUGACUGUUUCCGAGAUGCAGGCCUGCUCCAGUUUGGCACUGAUAAGGAGCAUUGGAAUGAAGAGCUUCUGCUACAAUUUUAUGCAACUCUCCACAUUCGCGGCUACAACAGGGAUCCAAAGAUAUGGGUCCUUGAGUGGAUGACAGGCAAUGUCCAUCAUGAAGCCAAAGCUUUUGAUCUCAUUGAGCUUACCAACCUGUCCACUCCAGGUGAACUCUAUGAACCUGGUUGUCAGCUUCACCGUGAUGCAUUGGAAAGCAUCUUUCAGAAGCCAGAGCCCAACAUGAGUCAAAUGCUGAGCAUGAUGAAGCCACUGCCACAGGAUGCCGAAUAUCCCAAGGAAUUCUUUGUUGAAGACCUAGAGUAUCUGCCCCACACCAUCUAUCACAUCAUUAGGCGUACUCUAUGGCCCAUCAAAGGGCAUUCCUCCUCAGCAAAGCUUGAAGGUGCAAUGAAGACAUUGGUCUUCUACAUUCUCAAUGGAAAAAGCUUCAAUGCUUAGGAUUUCUUCAUUCGUCAGUUUGCUGCAUCUGGCUCUGAAAUCUUUGGUCUGAAAUUUUAUGCUCCAUGGGUUAUGCGUCUGAUUAAGCUUCACUCUGCCGUUGACUAUCAUCCCUCUACACGCAACCAUCUCAUAUUUCUACCAGAGGUUGAUAUGUCCAUUGAAGCCAUUUACCCAGAGCCUGCGAAGGAAGCACUAUAUCUUCACAAUGCAGAUCGUCAGAGCUUUUCCUAGCAUGUUGAAGCUGUUCAGGUUGCUUCUCGUGUUUAUCCUCUGGCUGGCAACACUCGCCGUGCACGCACUGAAGCCACAGAAAGCACUAUUGAUCCAAGACCUCGGAAGUGAUCUCGUGUGCUAAAUGACCGAGAGCUUCUCGUGGCCUUGCAUCAGAAACACGACAAGCAUCACUACUGGCUCAAACGUCAAAUGCAAAGCCUCUUGGUGGAUGUCAAUCGCAUUCACAACCUUGCCAAAUGCCUUUGUCACUCAUGAAACCUGUCGGAGGUCAUGGAAGAGUCUGACCUUGCUUAGUGCUGAAGCUGAUCUUCAAGACGAUGACUUCACCGAGAGAUUCAAGUUCGACUCCACUCCUCCAAGGAAUGAUGUCUUGCGUCGAACCCCGUCUCUUGAAGAUUCAGAGUACUCCUCCUCCGCAGCUGCCGUAAAUGCCAGAGUCCUUGAUGAUGCCGAUGAUGCUACUUCACCACCGCCACCUUCGGCAUGUAUCGACACUGCACCAAGUUCUUCUGCACCACCAAACCUCAAUGACGACCCUGGUGCUUCACGUACUCCUCAUGGGAACGAUUAGCGACUAUGUCUUCAAACCUUUUUGGUCCUUACUGACAAAAGGGGGAGAAGCAUAUGUUGAUAGUCUUCAAGCGGGUCCAUAUGGGUGGUUUCUAUACUUUUGCCUAGUGUUUACAACUCUCGUUUUUUUAUACAUUUGAUUCUUUGAGUUGUAACACUUAAACUUGAUGGUCGUCUGCUACUUUUUCUGCUAUUUUGUGAUGCGACGAUAAAUUCCGCAUGUGCGAUGAUAAAUCCCGCAUGAAGUCAUUUCAUAGACGUCCAUUUUUCAUUAUGCAUGUCAUUAUUCUUGUAUAUCUGUUCAUGCAUGAUGUAUUGUCUUCAUAUGGUGAAGAUGAUCUCCACAAGUAGAACCUGCCAUGUGCAUUUGCAUUCCAACGCAACAUUAAUAUGCACAUCUUCAGGGGGAGCCUGUUUGCCACCUAUGAAGACAAUAUCUUAAUCCUUUACAAUUUCACAUACUUUUAUCCCCGUUGAAAACUUCAACCAGUUUGUCAUCAAUCACCAAAAAGGGGGAGAUUGUAAGUGCAUCUAGUGCCACCCCUAGUUGGUUUUGGAGUAUUGACGACAAACCUGGUUGAGGGACUAAUGUGUUUGUGAGAAUUGCAGGAUAACACAAGUAGUAGUCCCUCAUUGAUUCGGUUUACCUACCGAAAAUGACCCCUAAAAAUGUGUGAAGACAUUGAAGACAAUGGUGGUCUGUGAAGCUAUUCACGUUGAAGACUAUGACACGAGAAGACAUUGAGUGAAGACUAUGGAGCGCGAAGACUUAGUUUUUGUUGUUGUUUCCUUUUCUUCUGUGUUGAGUCAUAGGAACCACCGCACUGUUAAGUGGGGUCCAAGUGAACAAAGUCAGAGUGACUGAAGUGAUGCUCAACCAAAUCCUAUGUCUUCGAGCGAAGACAAUGAGUGCAAAUCUUAUCCAAAGUCGGAUAAGUUAGCUUUACUUGUAGCCCAAGUCAAGCUGCCGCGUGUGUUUGAAAUUUGACCGUUGCGACACGUAUCAGUUCCUUACUGACCCAGGGUCAUUUCGGACAAAUCAGGUCGGGUUGCCCAGUGGCUAUAAAUAGCCCACCCCCUACACCAUAAAUUGGUGGCUGCUCAGAGUUAGUACACGACUUUCGUCGUUUUGAGAGCAACCGACCUCCGAAGCUUUUGAGAGAGAAUCCUUGCGAGGACAAAGCCCAAACCACCGAGAGCCAAAAGAGAGUUUGGCAUCACUGAAGUCCUUCUGUCCGCGUGAUCUGAAGACUUGUUACACUUGAGGACUGUGAAUCCUCUAGCCGGUUAGGCGUCGCGUUCUGAGCAUCCAAGAGCCAUUGUGGAUUGCCGGUGAACGAAGUCUAUGAAGGUUUGGAAGUCUACCUUGAAGACUUACCAGAGUGAUUGGGCGGGGACUAGGUGUCCUUAGCUCAAGGGGAAUAAGGUGAAGACGCGGUCUUCUGAGUUGAAUCUCAGCCUCCCUAACUAGACGUACAGUUGUCACAACAACUGGAACUGGUUGAACAAAUCCCUGUCCUCCUGAAGCUAUUGGUUCUAUCUCUCACUUCCCUCUACUUACAGUUUGUCUUCGUGAAGUCAUUGCCUGCUUGCAUUAUCUCUUGGACUUCACUGUGUGACUACCUGUUCUGAUUGGCUUCAUACUAUCUUCCAUCCUGAUCUUUACUAUGUAGCUGCUAUUAGUCUUCGUGCUUUCACUUCAUUGAAUACUUGACUAUGGCUUGUCUAGUGUAGUCUACCUUCCGCUGCAUACGAAUAGUGUUGUUUCUAUUGUUUGUCUUUGAAACUUCCAUGUUUUGAAGACUUUCAUAAAAAUCGCCUAUUCACCCCCACUCUAGUCGAUAACUAGCCAUUUCAAAGUCAAAGGUUUUCCCUUGAUAGGUUUUCUAUUUUACCGGUCUCGUGGUGGUAGUUGCGAGACCGGGUUAUAGGAUCGUUUGCUGUACUAUCAAGGGGGGCUCUCAACUUGGUAGCUUGAUUGUAUCGUUACUAGAGAUCUCAAACCAUUGCAUCCUUGCAUCAUGUUUAUUGGUUCUUGUUUAUUUCUCUUUCUGAGUCUUAGAGCUCAUGGUCAUCUUGAUGACAAGCUUGAGUUCAUCGAAAACGGAGUUCGCAUGCGUCUUCUAUGAUGUUUUCGGUGUUGGAGGUUUUACCGGUCUUAUCCGAGUAAGGGUUCUCACCAUUUUCUUAUGGGACUUUUCUCAUUUGCUUCUUGUUGAUAUUUCUACCAAUAUUGUGUUAGCCCAUGUCAUUAGCUUUCCAACAAACUUGGUUUCGUAGAAUUCGGAGUCCGUUUGCAAAAGUUGUGGCUGUUUUGGUAAAGGCUGCAGCGGUACUACCGUGACUAGAGCGGAUGUAAUUUUUUACUACCGCUCCAGAGCGGUACUACCACGGCUCCUGAGUGAUAGUACCGCUCCAGAGCAGUACUACCGCAGCUCCUAAGCGGUAGUACUGCUCUGGACCAAAAUCUCGUAUUUUGCUCAGCGGAGGUAGGCACGUAAGUAUUUUUUUAGUACCGCUCGCAAGCUGUAGUACCGCUACCAUUUGUGGUAGUACCGUGAGGUCGAGCGGUAGUACCGUGAGGACGAGCGGUAGUACCGUGAGGACGAGCGGUAGUACCGCUCCGGCGGUUCUACUGGCCUUUUGCCUCCUCGCUAUUGUUUUUCAAAGGGGUACUACCGCCCUAGCGGUAGUACCGCUCUGUGCGGGCUGUGAGCAUAACGGUUGGAUUUUUCCCCACCUAUAAAAGGGGGUCUUCUUCCCCAUUGAACCUUAUCCUUUGAGCUCGUGUUCUUCCCCCAUUGUUGACCUUCUUCGAGCUUGCUAACUCUCAAUCCCUCCAUGGAUUUCUUGCUAGUUUUUGAGGGAAAAGAGAGAGAGGAGAUCUAGAUCCACAUUUCCACCAAUCACUUUCUCCUCUAUGUGAGGGGAACCCCUUGUAUCUAGAUCUUGGAGUUCUUGGUGUUCUCCUUCUUGUUCAUCCUCUCAUCUUCCUCCCUAGCAUUAGUUGCUCCGGUGGGAUUUGAGAGAGAAGGAUUUGGGCACUCCGUGUGCCCUUGCCAUUGCAUUUGGUGCAUCGGUUUGAGUUCUCCACGUGAUACAUGGAAGUUACAAGUUGAGAAGCUUAUUACUCUUGGGUGCUUGGUACCCUUGAGCUUGUUACUCUUGGGUGUUUGGACACCCUAGAACUUGUUCCUCUUGGGUGCCUUGGCGCCCUAGACGGUUGGUGUUGUUCGGAGCUCAAUCAUUGUGGUGUAAAGCUCCGGGCAAGCGUCGGGGUCUCCAAUUAGGUUGUGGAGAUCGCCCCGAGCAAUUUGACUGGUACCGGUGACCGCCCCCAAGGGUUGCCAAUGUGUACGGGUUCGGUGACCGCCCCCAAGGGUCACCAUUUGUACGGGUUCGGUGACCGCCCUCAAGGGUCCCUUAGUGGAAUCACGACAUCUUGCAUUGUGCGAGGGCGUGAGGAGAUUACGGUGUCCCUAGUGGCUUCUUGGGGAGUAUUGUGCCUUCACACCGCUCCAAACGGAGAUUAGCAUCCACAAGGGUGUGAACUUAGGGAUACAUCGUCGUCUCCGCGUGCCUCGGUUAUCUCUUUCCCGAGCCAUUUACUUAUGCACUUUACUUUGUGAUAGCCAUAUUGUUCUUUGUCAUAUAUCUUGCUAUCACAUAGUUGCUUAUCUUGCUUAGCAUAAUUUGUUGGUGCACAUAGGUGAGCCUAGUUGUUUUAGGUUUUGUGCUUGACAAAUUAACCGCUAGGUUUAUUGCGCAUUUGUUCAAGCCUAAACCAUAAUUAUUUUAAAGCUUCUAUUCACCCCCCUCUAGGCGAUAUCCUCGAUCUUUCAAUUGGUAUCAGAGCCUCGUCCCUCUUUAUUAGGCUUUACCGCCUAGAGAGUAAAGAUGUCUACUAGGGGAUUAGGAUUCUGUGACACUCUUAGUUUCGAUCGCACAAAUUUUGAUGUUUGGGUAAUUCGCAUGCUUAAUCUCUUUAGGGUCAUGGACCCAAAUUUAGAGCGAAUUGUAGAUAUGGGUUUUUUCACCUCCAAAGGAUACCCAAAGAUUAUCUUUAGAGGAUGAGAAAAACUCUUAUCUCAAUGCUCAAGCUUCUAAUGUGCUUUUCGAUGCUUUGAGCAAUGUAGUUAUAUUUCAACUCAUGCCGUUCCGAGAUGCUCAUGAGUUGUGGACGAAGCUUCAAGAUAAAUAUGGUGUGUCCAAGAUUUGCGGGGAUGAUUGUUCUCCCUCCACCUCCAGUCGUAUAGUCUUCUCAACUUCUUCUACUUCACCUACAUGUGGUUUGUCACAAGGUAAUUGUAUGGUGAGUAGUGUUGGUCAUUGCAAUGAUGAUAAUAUGCUUAUUGUGGAUGAUCAUUCAUCACUAUAUUAUUGCGAUGCUCCUUCUUUGGGCUUUAACACUUCAAGCACUCCAAAUGUUUCACAUGCUUGUGUUGAUAGUCCCUGCAUAUCAUGUAGAAAUUACUUGACUAAAUCUCAUGAUAAUAUGCUUGCUAUGCCUUGUUUCCAUGAUAAAAAUGCAUCUAUUUCCUCGAAUUGUUGUGCUAACAAUGUAUAGGAAACCCAACACUCCAUGGAACAAGAUGUGGUGUUUAAUGGUACCUCAAGGGAUCCUACAUCAUCAUCUAUUGCUUUUUGCCUUAUGGCUAAGGCGUCAAAGGCAUCUCCUACUUUGUACCCCAAUAUGUCUCUUUAUGAUGAUGUUGAUGCUAAUGAUGAUGCGGAUAAUGAUGAAGAGAAUGAUAAUGUUGCCUCCUUGAAAACUAAGGGGGAAAUGAUUUUUAAAGCCCUUCAUAAAAAUAAAAUUGCUUGUUCCAACUUCAUGGAAAUAAUGUCCAUUGCCAUUGAUGUCAAGAAAUACAUUGAGGAGUUGUAAUCUCAUCUAGAGGAGCAUGAGGUCACCAUUGAGAAUAUGGAAGCUCAUGAGCGUGAUUACGCAAAUGAGAUCGCGGAGCUAUCUCAAGCUCUUGAACAUGAACAAACCACCUCCGAAUCUCUUGAGGAGACUUUUGCUCUAAAGUUAUCUAGAGUGAGGGAAUCUCAUGAUAGAGCUCUUGAGGUGGCCAAUGAUUUCAAAACUAGAAAUGCUAAGUUUGAAGUUGCUCAUGCUAGACUCCUUGAGGACUUUGAGCACCUCGAAAAUGGCUCUAGGGUCAUUAAGAGUGAGCUCAUCGAACUCACCGAGUCUCAUGCUCAACUUAAAGCUUCUUAUUUAAAAGACUUGCCAAGUUGUCUUCUCCUCUUGUUGUUAAUGAUGAUGCUUGUGCUACUAACUCUAUCUCUUGUGAAGCAUCCAUAUUUAAGGAGAAUGUUGAGCUAAGGGCACAACUUGAGUUGCUAUCUAGCAAUUAUGGGAUGUCAUGUGAAGCUCACAAGCUCUCAUGAUGAUCUUCUAGUAUCCCAUAAUGUGCUAACGAUAGCUCAUGAGGCCAUGCUUGCUAAGGUAACAUCUAGUGAGCCUCAUGUGGAUACUAGCACUACUUUUAGUCAAAAUGCUAUAUUGUCUUGUGCUAGUCCUCGUGAUUCAUCCAUGCAUAACAUUGGUACAUCUUGUGAUGAAUUGCUUUCCUUGCCUUGUUUCUCUAACGAUGAAGCUUAUACCUCCUCUAGUGCUUGUGUUGAGACUAACCAUGUAGAUGAAAUCAAAGAACUCAAGGCCCAAGUCACUUCUUUGAAGAAAGACUUGGAAAAGUGUCAUGAAGGGAAGGCCACACUCAACAAUAUCUUGAGUGUGCAAAAAUCCCCCAAUGACAAAGGUGGAAUUGGAUUCAACUCCAAUAAGAAGAAGAAGUCCAAGAGCAACAAGAAGAAGGGCCAAAAACAAGUCAAGAAUUUGGCCAAGAUCAUUUGCUUCAAGUGCAAAAUUGAAGGGCAUCAUGUUAGAUCUUGCUCAUUGAAGAAGAAGGCCAUUAGUGACAAGAAACAAGGGAAGCGUCCACAAGUUCAAUCUCAUGCUUAACCACAAGUUGAAGAAAGGCCUCUUCCCAAGAAAACUCAAGCUAAUUAUUCUCAAGUUGAGAAAUUAAGUGAGAAGAAAGUGAAGAGUAGAUGUUGCUACCUAUGUCGUGAGAAAGGUUACCUUGCUUCAUCAUGCACUAGUGGUAACUUAUCCAACCCAACUAUUAUUGAUGAUAUCUAUUCUCUUGGGAAGGAUAAGGUUGGCAAUGUAUUUGCCAAAGUUGUUAGUACUCAAAGUGGUGUCAAGAUAAGGACCAUUUGGGUAGCCAAGCCUAUUGUGACUAACCUCUUAGGACCCAACUUGGUUGGGGACCAACUAGCUCAAACUUGAUCAAUAGGUGUUGUUGGAGGGCAUUGGAGACCUGGCUACAUUAUGAAGAAUUAAGGGGACUUCAUCACUCUUAUUGUCUCAAGCCGAGUCAAUUGAAUCAUCAAGUCUAUAUCUUAUAUCCAAUGUGCCUCCUUGCGGUAACUUGUACUUAAAUUUCUUACAUCGAAAGUUACUUGCCCCCUUGCAUGUUUUGGUUUUGUUCCUUGCAUGUGUUUGUAUAUGAUGUGUCUCCAAAUUGCCUUUGUGUAUGUUGGUUUGCACAUCAUGUACUUGUGUGUCGCUCAUUGAGCCUUAGUGCAUCUUGGUUGUAUCUUAGUUGGCUCUUGUGAGAGAUUAAUGGAAUAUCCCAUUAUGGGGGAGUGAUGUGCUUUGUGCACUUUGCAAUCCUAUAAAUGUGUGUACAUGAGGAAUACCAUCUAGUAUUGAUAUUACAAGAUUAUCUAGUCGCUAUGUGGUAUGUCUUCUCAUGAUAAAUUCAAAUUCUAAAUUGUCCAUUAAUUAUCUCUUGUUGGAUCAUUAUUUUGCCUCUUGUUUAUCUUUAAUUGGUAUCACAUUAUGGGGGAGUAAUAUGCUACGUGUAUAUUAUUAGCCUAGAAAAUGUGUACAUUUGAGAUAUUGUCAUCUAGAAUUGAUAUUGUAAAUUAUCUUGUUCCUAGGUGGCAUGUUAGCUCUACAAGUUGCAAUUUGCUUGUGUUUGGUGUGAAAAUGCUAUCGGAUAUCCUUGAUAUCUACCACCGGGAAUUAUUUCCAAAUACUUCUUGUGUUCUGACAAUUGGUACUCACUUAUGUGUGGUCGAAAUUAUUGAUCAUCUUCACGUUGGCGUUUGCUUUUUAUUUGCCUUAUCUCUUGCCAAGUUUGUGUCAACUCCCAUUGUCUUCCAUGCCACUUGAGGAUCUUGUUGUUUUCUUGAUCUUGUCUAGUGUUUUCCUUGAUAUAGUGAACGUGGUGAUCCUACCUUGUGCAUUUUGUAUUCAAAUGCAAAUUCUCUAUAAUGCACAACUCGUGGGGGAGCUAUCAUAUUUUCUAUAAAACACUAAACUUGUGAUCCAUUUUAAGUGUGUGUUGGUGGAUGGCAAGCCGUUUCUUUUUGGUACUUGUGCCAUCAUGAAACUUUGUAGAGAGCUUGGUUUGUUUGGAACCAUCCCCUCUUUUAGGAGUUUGAUAUCAUUUUGUGGGUUCCAAUGGAUAUCUCAUUCCUUGAUGUAUCUUUUAACGAUAUCUUCCAAGUGAUGAUUUCUCCAUUUGGUAUUCUUUUCACUUGGUAUUUCCUUGUAUUUUGGUAUCGGUUCUUGAAAUUCUUGAGCAUGGAUAUUAAAUUCAUGUAGUUUCCUUGGCAUGCUUUCUCUCUUUGACCCAAUAUAUAGGGGAAACUCCACCAAAUCUCAAAUUUGAUGGGAUGUGCAUGAAUUUCAUUUCCAUAUAUAUAUAUAUAUAUAUAUAUAUAUAUAUAUAUAUAUAUAUAUGCACAUAUUUAUGUGGAGUUUGUCCUAUGUAUUGUUGGUGUUUCUAACUAUUUGGUCCCAAUGAGUACCAUUUUGUUUGUGUUGUUGUUCUAGGAAAAAUUGGAGAUGCAUUGGAUGCUCGGCUCACUCACAAGGAAGGUAUUGUCACCAUGUGCUUAUUGGAGUCAAGCUAGGAUGAUCAAUGAACUACUUUCUACUUUCAUUUGGUAUCUUCUACAUCAUUCCAAUGCUAUCUUGGUAACAAGUAUCAUCAUCUACUUAAUGCACACAUUUCUUGCAUCAACCUUGUAUAGGUUGUAUCAUGGCAUGUUAGUCAUUCUUUCUUGUGUUACUUGUUUCCUUUCUCAAAGCAUCCCAACAAUGAUCUCUUGUUGCUAGUUGUGAUGUCUUUGAUGUUCGUGUGGUAGGAAUUCAUUUGUAUACAAUAAGACCAUAUCUAGCCUUGUGCUAUGCUUUCAAGCAAAUAUCUUAUUGGUAUAUUUAUGACUUCCUUGUGGAUAUCUUAUUCUUUCCUUUUGUAACUAUUUCGUGUGUACCUCCUUAUUUGUGGAUUGAUAUCAUGCAUCAUGAUUUUCAUCUACCUAGAAUCUUAUACACUUGAGAGAAGUUGCAUAUCUAGAUGAUAUCCUUUCUUUCACGUCCACCUUGUCUUUCUUUUGUUUUUUUUCUUUGGUGGCUCCGUGAAAGCUUUUGCCUUGAGUGUGUGUCUUAUCUCGUUACAUCUUGAUGCGCUCUUGUGUGGUGAAGAUUUUUUUCCUCAUGCUUAUCUCUACGAGACUUUUGCCAUCUUAAUUGGUAUCCCUCGACUUGAUGAGGCUUUCAUCUUCUAUCUUCACCAUGGGUUGUAACAAGUGUUGGUUAUUCAUUUUGCAUUUUUAGUGUGCUUGUGAACCCUUUUGAUUGGUGUGUGUGGGGAGGACAUGUCAUGCACCUUGUAUCUCCACUAUCCAAGACUAUAUUGAUGCUUAAUGCUCAUCCGUACAUUAGUCUUCUCAAGUGCUUUGCCAUGACUCAUACACAUCAUUUUGGUUGAGCCUUCUCUUAAGUUGUCUCUUUUAUAUAUUGCUCAACCAUUUGUUUGUUGCUUGUGCUAGGCUUUGUUUCCUACCUGCCCGCUUGUGCUUGUUGUGAGCUUCUAUUGAUCUUGGGGGACUGAUGAUCCUAUUUUGUGCUCGUUGUAUCCAAUUACAAAACUAAAUUGUGCACAAAUCAUGGGGAGCUUCUCUAGUUUCUCUAGAACACUCCUUUGCUCAUAUCAUAAUAUCUUUUAUUCAUGUGGCAUGUAGGAUCAUUGGCCUAGUUGGUUCAUUUGGUAUCUUUUGAUAGUUUGCUUCCAUUGGUAUCCUUUGAUUGCUUGAUUUCUCAUUCUCUCUAUGUUAUGUCUUUGUGGCAUAUCAUUAUUUUGCAAUCUUUGAGCCUCAAUAUAGUUUGUCUUCCUCCAAGUAUAUGCGUAUUGCAUUCCACUCUCUUGUUGAGAAAUACACAAUUUAUGGAGGAACACAAUUUAUAUUGGCCUUCUAAGCGUUUCGCCCAUUUUGGAAAUCGAUGCCAAUGGGGGAGAAGUUUCAGAGAGUUGUGUGAGGAAGUUUAGAGAGUUGUUUCCUCUCUUAUUGCUUUGGUUUUUGUUCCUAAGCUUGUGCAUCUCAUGCGCAUACAUUAUUUUUGCAUGGUAUGGUGAUGUAUUAUUCCUUAUAUAAACUCUCUUGAAAGUGAUUGUCAUCAAUUACCAAAAUGGGGGAGAUUGAAAGAACAUGCGGUGCCCCCAUGUUUGGUUUUGGUAAUUAAUGACAAUCUCCAUGGACUAAUGGUUGCCUUGAGUUAUAUUUGAAGGGUUUGUCCUCAGGCUUUUCUUGAAGUCCAUGUGUUGGUUUCAAGGAGUUUAUGAGUUGACCAAGGUGCUAUUAAGGAAUUAUCCAAAGAUUGGUCAUGUGAGUGUUGAGCUUAUUGCAAGCAUGUCUUGAAGAAGAAGAUUGUGUGAUCAUUCAUGUUUACCUUCAAGACAUCAUCCAAAUGAAGAGAGUUGGAAAGAUUCAAGGUUGAUCAAGACUAAGUCAAGAGUGAAUCAAGUUGAUCAACUCACAAAGCAUAGAAGAUGUACCGAGAGGGACCAAGUGAUCCCAUGGUAUGGUAAGAAUUGUCCAUUGCACUUUGUGUACUAACCCAUGGUCUAUGUGAGAGUUCUGUGUGGGGUUAGGUACGUGUCCAUAGGUGUCGGUGUCCUGGACCAGGGGGUACUCACCACGUCGUCUCCCGAUCAGUUGAAUUGGGCCGAGGACCCCCAUGGCCGUAUACUCAUGGGCCAGUUCAGACAGUUGCCGCAUACAAGGAAGAUUCUACAAGACUUGGCGAUCAAGACAAGGACUCCUCCCCCACCUACGUAUUCGGCUAGAACUCUUGUUAUCCUAGGCCUCUGGUACAUUAUAUAAACCGAGGCCAGGCUAGUUGAUAGAUUAUGACAUUACUCAUCAGACCUCCAGGGUUUAGACCACAACAUAUGAUCUCAAGGUAGAUCAAUCUUGUAACCCCUAUACUCAUUAUAGUCAAUCAAGCAACAUGUAGGGUAUUAUCUCAUGAAGAGAGCCCGAAGCUGGGUAAAAUCCCGUGUUCAUGUUACCAUUGAUCCUAAGACGCAUAGCUUGGGACCCCCUACCCGAUAUCCGCCGGUUUCGACACCGACAUUAGUGCUUUCAUUGAGAGUUCCGUUGUGUGAUCGGUGAAAGGAUCAAUGGCUCGACUGCAGGUCAACUGCGAUGUCGAUUUCUUCGUCACCAGCUCGACUGGUCACCUUGGCUUGACCGAGGACUGCGCCCUACCUCCGACCGUCAUGUUCGGAUGAGGGUCUUCAUCAACAUCAACUCCGAUCUCUAUCAAGAUCAUGGAGGAGUCAUCCAUGGAGCUCGGGGGCUAAACAUCAAUAUUGUCCUCGGGCGGCCGUGCUGUUUUUCUGGACAACAAACUCGUAUCCACCGCCACCGCCUCCUCGAGUGUCGCCUAAACGAUUUCUUCGGUGGAAUUAUGCGUAAUUAAGUCUACAACAACCCUGCAAAAAUUUCGUCGAGUUCCAAUAGAGGAAUCUCCGGCAAUCUCCGAUAUACCGGAGCCCUGUUGAAUCUGGAUGAGAAUCCGGACGAGUUUUGAGCGGGGUGUCCAGCAUCUAGCUCGGACGUCCUUUAGAAGAUCCAACCGUUGAUCGGCUGCAGAAUUCCCAUAUCUACCACCUGCCAAAAAAUCAGCUCGAUCCGACCGUCCAAACUCCGGGAACCUUCCGAUUAGUGAAUCACUUUUUUGAUCUGUUUUCUGCGCGAGAAUGAAUCCGACCCGAGUUCAUCUCCUUCAUGAACAGGAUUUCGGACAUCCUUUUUGAAGGACGUUUUCCUAUGGGGUAUUGUGUUUUAUUCUCAAACACAUCCCAUUAAUAUUAAAAGUAUAUUUACAAUAAGAUCUUCACUGUCACGCCGGUGUCAAACCGGCCCGACAACAUCACUCCACGGCGGCCAACCUACGCUAGACACGUCGUUGCUUUGUUGAGUCGAACUUAACUUCUUAGGAUCAUCAUCUCGGCCAGCCGAACAAUAGUUCGGCAUCACGAAAGAUAAAUUGUCACCAACAUCGCCGCCCCACGGAUUACACGGAGCGGGCACACCGGCAUCGCCGCACGGUCACUUCAUCAAGCCAGCAUUGACUACGUCACACGCUACGACCUGCAUCGGCAUGCCCGAACCAUUGCUUCAUCGAGCCGAUGUCCACCACGCCGAACUACUUUAACACCUCGGCUAACACUUCUCCUCACCGACCUGCUCUGUCUUCUCGCCUGGACUGGGGGCUUCUCAUCCCUUCAUCAACUUAUUUCGAAGACUUCGACGUCACCGGCCGACCAGCUUCAUCAUAGUAGCUGGGCCACGGGCUUUUGCCUUGGUGAGCCAACCUUUGCCAACUUCGCCAUGUCGUCGCUUUAUCGCCCAUCAGGCAAUGGGUGUGUGGAUCGAUUCCCAAUUUUGGGAGUCGCUUUUCUUCAAAAUGCUACAACAAACAAACCAGGUGCUAUUAAUCCUAACAAUUUUUGUUUGUUGGGUUUAUUUUUCUUAAGGAAUUAUUACUCUGGUUUGUUCCAUCAUCUGUACACAGGUCUAUCAAAUGGCGGCCACAUUAAAAAUGGUUGCAUGGUGGUUCGGUCAAUUUCCGUACAUAGUUCGGCAAACGCCGUAUCCGGAGCCCGGACCGCCCUGCAAGUUUAGGCUUUUGUCACUCCUUCACUACGUCGCGCUGACGCCCUGCAUCAACAUUGGCUCCAGCGCCAGGCCACAUCUCUUUAAAUAAAUUAUUUUUUGCGUAAAGCAAUUAAGCAAGGAUUAUAUAUAUAUUAUUAUUUCCUGGACCGCACUGUUUUAUGUGUGCAGGUAAUUGAUUUUGACUGCGUUAUGCGGUCACUACUCCGAAGUGCCGAACUCCUUGCUUGGACACCUCGGGCCUGGGGCUAGGACCUCCGUCGCAGAUCAAUGGGCGUCUUUGUCCCGCUACAAGCCUGAACCGCGUCAUCAACACCGAACACAUUAACCAGCUAAGUUGCUUUCAUGCUCAAAAACUUUCAGUUUUAAAAUUUUGUUCGGUUUGACCAAGCAUUAACUUUUUGGCACGAAGUUGUUUGUGACAAAGUUCCUUGUCAAAACUUUGUUUGUGACACACAAAUUCAAAUACCCCGUUUACUUGGGGGCUCCCUUGCUGGAGCUUUUCCUCUUGCAUAUGAUUAUACUUGUACGGCUUCCUUCCUUGUUCAUGUAUUACGCCACAAUAUGCACCAUAUUGACGUAAGUGAUUUGCAAGCUGGGUUGCCUUGCUCCUGUGUUUGCCCCUACGUUCCCGAUUGUUCGGCUAGGGAGUAAAGGGAGCACCUCUGCGAUUGUCAUGAUCGGGUCACCCGAGCCGGACCUCAGACUGGGUGAAGCCGAAAGCUAGCACUCUUACUGUUUUCAAUAAUGGUCGGCACACAACGGAACUCAUGAGUAUAAAAAAUCUAUUGCACAAGUCUCAUAGUGAGCAACCGAAGAAAGGUAUCGGUGGGGGUACUAUUUUCUUUGAAGAUGCUUCUUACACUUCGUCGGUAAUAUAGCAUAAGUUCCCUGAGCGCGCUUUGUCUGUUACAGCCUUAUGGCCUGAUUGCCUGGUUAUCGGAAACAUCGUCGAUAUUCUCGACAGGUGGAGUACAUAACACUUUUCGGUCCUUGACCGAAGAGGGAGAAGCCGACGGUCGGUUAAGACGCAUAUAAAGUUCGGGUGAACACAAAUAUGAUAUAAGUACUUUGGUACAUAGAUUCAUUAUACAUAAAAUUCUUUUACCCAAGUCACUCGGGGGCUCUUAAAUUUAUGUGAGCUGUUUUAUAAUAAGCGUUCCUCUUUCUAGUCGCUGCAAAGUCUUUUUUCUAUCACUCCUUUUUUCGACGGAGUGUGUGGUCAAUAGACGGGGAGCCUAAGUACUCCGCCUUCGGGAUAGGAGGUUGAAGCCGUAGGCUGGCCCGCUUGAAGUCUUGAGAUAGGAUGUGUCAUGUUAAAGCACGAUAGAAGCACAUUUUUUUUCUAAGACCAAUUUUCGGAUUGGCACUGAACACUUGAUCUUGUUCGGACGUCAAGUUUUUACUGACGUUUCUUGGUUUUCCAAGUUUAUGGCACUUUUAAACUAUUUGUGUGUUUUCUGCAUAAGUCUCGCUGUGCAAUGCCGGACACCUUUAGAGAUUCGACAAAAUUUCUCGGAUAUUGCUAUAUAUGCAUCAGUUUCGAAUUUUGUCUUCGGUCAAUAGUUGGGUUGACCGGCUCCUGUUCUUGCCUCCUAUGUUCCGCUUUUGUUCGGCUAGGUGUGCAAAGGGAGAACCACUGCGAUUGUGCUUCCAGCUCGCAUGGUUAAGCACCUCAGUGGAGAAAGCCGAAAACUGACUGUCACAAUAAGCGUAAACUGGUCAGUGGUCCGAUGACUGUAUUAAAUGACGGGCCGUUCGUAACAUUGGCCGAAGUGUUUACGGCUUGACCUCGGCUGUCGCCGAACACUAACCGGGGGGCUACUUGCUGGCCUCCCAACUUUAAGCUCCUAUGACUAAGUGAAAGUUAUAAAGCCCGCAUAUCUGAUUGCCUCGUUUCCGCUAAACACAACCGCCUUCGGGCACCAAGACGUCGGCUAAGGGUUGUUUUUUUAUUUUGGAAACACCCUACGUAGCAUCUACAAGGGGGUCGAAGCCGAUGAUGGGCCACUUUCAGAUUAUAAAUGGUCGCAACUAAAGUAAAAAUUUGGGUUCAUUUAGACCACAGAGUUUGGAAGCUUUCCCCGAACUAAAUCCUCAGUAUUUUCCUCCCACAUUGAUCGGAGCUGAGGUUUCAUGAUCAUGCUUAGCAUGACAACCCAAAGAAAGGAACUGAUAGCGGGAUUAUUUUCUUUAGAUGCUGUUUCUUAUGUUAAACAAUAAUAUAACAUGUCUCUCUGUGUACCUUUGUUUGUAAAACCGUAUGGCCGGAUUGCCUUGUUUGCCGUAUAUCUUUGCCCUCAUAAAGGCUUUAUAAAGUGGGAUAAACACUCCUCGGCUACUGGCCGAGGAGGUUGAAGCCGAUGGUCGGUCAACAAAAUUUUGUACAAUGCGGAUCUGAGCAUUGAUGAUGUAAAGUACUUGGAUACAUAGAAUCAUUACACAUAAUUUGUGAUUGUACUUUGGACAUCGAUCCUUCAUUCGGCCACCCGUGCCCACAUUAAGGCUCGGGGGCUACUGGGCUUCAUGCUUAUUAUUUACAAAUGUUAAAGGGAUACAUCGAUCCCCUGAUCUGGUGUCGCCACCCGACCAGUGUCUCGGGGGCUACUGCAUUGACAAUCCAAUGCAGAAAACUUAAAGUGCAAUAUAGUUUUCGAGGAGAUUAUUAUCAUCAGGUUGGUCGGCCGCACCCAACCUGAGUCUUGAGGACUUUGCACACCGCGUUUCUAUUCCUAAGUAUGCUGCCGAGCUGGGAAUUGAUCCUCAGGGUGAUUUUUAUGAAUCGACCCGAGUCUCGGGGGCUACUAGGGUCAGCGGUCUGAGUUUUUCCUUUAGGUGCAUUCCGGAUAUUAGGCCAACACGCACGUUGAGGGCUACUGGCUAUACAUCUCGACAGAGAUUACAUUGCAUAAUUCAGAAUUAAAUUCAUAAAAAUCAGCCCAUGGCCGAGGUGGUGCACCACCUCGGAUACAAUCCGGCGUUGGUGCUCGACUACAAUAGACACCCCAGAAGCAGUCCGGCAUAAAGCUCGGACGCUAGUGGCUGGCUCCGUUGAGGGCAUUUCCGGCAUUAAGCUCGGCUGGGCUCCUUCAACUUUUUUGACCCAAGAUGAUCUAUGACAUCUUGAAUACAGUCCGGCGUUGGAGCUUGGACACAAUCUGGCAUUGGAGCUCGGAUACAUUCCUGUGUUAGAGCUCGGAAGCAGUCCGACGUUGGUACUUGGGUGCAAAAGAUACCUCAAAUGCAAUCCAGUGUUGGAUCUCGGAUGCAAGAGGACACUGCCGCUCGGGAACAACUUCAAACUCGAGGUGUGGCAUUAAAAAUAACAAGGCAUUGAUAAAGGCCGUAAACUUAAAGCGGCUCCUCAGAUACCCGACGUGCAAACUCUUUGGAUGCACUUUGGCGAUCCUCAAGAUCGAAGAUAAGAAGAUUUGUUGAACCAGUUUUCAAGACCGACGACCGAAGAUGAAGAACAGUUCGGAAGAAUCGAGGAGCGUCCCCAACUUGAAGACCGGUUCAGGGGGCUACUGUUGGUGUCCUGGACCAGGGGGUACUCACCACGUCGUCUCCCGAUCAGUUGGAUUGGGCCGAGGACCCCCAUGGCCGUAUACUCAUGGGCCAGUUCGGACAGUUGCCGCAUAUAAGGAAGAUUCUACAAGACUUGGUGAUCAAGACAAGGACUCCUCCCCCCACCGGCGUAUUCGGCUAGGACUCUUGUUAUCCUAGGCCUCUGGUACAUUAUAUAAACCGAGUCCAGGAUAGUCGAUAGAUUAUGACAUUACUCAUCAUACCUCCAGGGUUUAGACCACAACAUAUGAUCUCGAGGUAGAUCAACUCUUGUAACCCCUAUACUCAUUAUAGUCAAUCAAGCAGCAUGUAGGGUAUUAUCUCAUCAAGAGAGCCCGAAGCUGGGUAAAAUCCCGUGUUCAUGUUACCAUUGAUCCUAAGACGCACAGCUUGGGACCCCCUACCCGAGAUCCACCGGUUUUGACACCGACAAUGGGCUUGCGUCAAGAGGAAGAUAUCAUACAACCCAUGGAAAGGAUGACAUCAAGUGGUGAUCAUCAUCAAGAUUGCUGUGUGCAAUUUGAAGUGGAGCAUCAUGAAGAGAUCAAGUGCUUGAAUCUUGCCAUCCAUUGUCCUGUCAAUGGACUUGUGAAGAUGUGUCGAAGAGUGGCUCACCCAUAGUGGACUAUGGGGGAGCAAUCAUCUAGUCUUCAUCGAGCCAACACAAUCAAGAAAGGUGGUCCAACUUGAGGGAGUCAAGAUCGUCAUCAUCUAGCUCAAGUAGACCAUGUGCAAGGCAAAGGAUUUCCCUUGAUAGGUUUUCUAUUUUACCGGUCUCGUGGUGGUAGUUGCAAGACCGGGUUAUAGGAUCGUUUGCCGUACUAUCAAGGGGGGAUCUCAAGUCUGUAGCUUGAUCGUAUCGUUAGUAGAGAUCUCAAACCAUUGCAUCCUUGCAUCAUGUUUCUUGGUUCUUGUUUAGUUCUCUUUGUGAGUCUUAGAGCUUAUGGUCAUCUUGAUGACAAGCUUGAGUUCAUUGAAAACGGAGUUCGCAUGCGUCUUCUAUGAUGUUUUCGGUGUUGGAGGUUUUACAGGUCUUAUCCGAGGAAGGGUUCUCACCAUUUUCUUAUGGGACUUUUCUCAUUUGCUUCUUAUUGAUAUUUAUAUCAAUAUUGUGUUAGCCCAUGUCAUUGGCUUUCCAACAAACAUGGUUUCGUUGAAUUUGGAGUCCGUUUGCAAAAGUUGUGGCUGUUUUGGUAAAAGCUGCAGCGGUACUACCGCGACUAGAGCGGAUGUAAUUUUUUACUACCGCUCCAGAGCGGUACUACCGUGGCUCCUGAGUGGUAGUACCGCUCCAGAGUAGUACUACCGCGGCUCCUAAGCGGUAGUACUGCUCCGGACCAAAAUCUCGUGUUUUGCUUAGUGGAGGUAGGCACGAAAGUAUUUUUUUAGUACCGCUCGCAAGCAGUAGUACCGCUACCAUUUGCGGUAGUAUCGUGAGGACCAGCGGUAGUACCGCCCCGGCGGUUCUAAUGGCCUUUUGUCUCCUCGCUGUUGUUUUUCAAAGGGGUAUUACCGCCCUAGCGGUAGUACCGCUCUGUGCGGGCUAUGAGCACAACGGUUGGAUUUCCCCCCACCUAUAAAAGGGGUUUUUCUUCCCCAUUGAACCUUAUCCUUUGAGCUCGUGUUCUUCCCCCAUUGUUGACCUUCUUAAAGCUAGCUAACUCUCAAUACCUCCAUGGAUUCUUGCUAGUUUUUGAGGGAAAAUAGAGAGGAGAUCUAGAUCCACAUUUCCAUCAAUCACUUUCUCCUCUAUGUGAGGGGAACCCCUUGGAUCUAGAUCUUGGAGUUCUUGGUGUUCUCCUUCUUGUUCUUCCUCUCAUCUUCCUCCCUAGCAUUAGUUGCUUCGGUGGGAUUUGAGAAAGAAGGAUUUGGGCACUCCGUGUGCCCUUACCAUUGCAUUUGGUGCAUCGGUUUGAGUUCUCCACGUGAUACGUGGAAGUUACAAGUUGAGAAGCUUAUUACUCUUGGGUGCUUGGUACCCGGCGUAUUUGGCUAGGACUCUUGUUAUGCUAGGCCUCUGGUACAUUAUAUAAACCGAGGCCAGACUAGUCGAUAGAUUAUGACAUUACUCAUCAUACCUCCAGGGUUUAGACCAUAACAUAUGAUCUCGAGGUAGAUCAACUCUUGUAACCCCUAUACUCAUUAUAGUCAAUCAAGCAACAUGUAGGGUAUUAUCUCAUCAAGAGAGCCCGAAGCUGGGUAAAAUCCCGUGUUCAUGUUACCAUUGAUCCUAAGACGCACAGCUUGGGACCCCCUACCCGAGAUCCACCGGUUUUGACACCGACAAUGGGCUUGCGUCAAGAGGAAGAUAUCAUACAACCCAUGGAAAGGAUGACAUCAAGUGGUGAUCGUCAUCAAGAUUGCCGUGUGCAAUUUGAAGUGGAGCAUCAUGAAGAGAUCAAGUGCUUGAAUCUUGCCAUCCAUUGUCGUGUCAAUGGACUUGUGAAGAUGUGUCGAAGAGUGGCUCACCCAUAGUGGACUAUGGGGGAGCAAUCAUCUAGUCUUCAUCGAGCCAACGCAAUCAAGAAAGGUGGUCCAACUUGAGGGAGUCAAGAUCGUCAUCAUCUAGCUCAAGUAGACCAUGUGCAAGGCAAAGGAUUUCCCUUGAUAGGUUUUCUAUUUUACCGGUCUCGUGGUGGUAGUUGCAAGACCGGGUUAUAGGAUCGUUUGCCGUACUAUCAAGGGGGGAUCUCAAGUCUGUAGCUUGAUCGUAUCGUUAGUAGAGAUCUCAAACCAUUGCAACCUUGCAUCAUGUUUCUUGGUUCUUGUUUAGUUCUCUUUGUGAGUCUUAGAGCUUAUGGUCAUCUUGAUGACAAGCUUGAGUUCAUUGAAAACGGAGUUCGCAUGCGUCUUCUAUGAUGUUUUCGGUGUUGGAGGUUUUACAGGUCUUAUCCGAGGAAGGGUUCUCACCAUUUUCUUAUGGGACUUUUCUCAUUUGCUUCUUAUUGAUAUUUAUAUCAAUAUUGUGUUAGCCCAUGUCAUUAGCUUUCCAACAAACAUGGUUUCGUUGAAUUUGGAGUCCGUUUGCAAAAGUUGUGGCUGUUUUGGUAAAGGCUGCAGCGGUACUACCGCGACUAGAGCGGAUGUAAUUUUUUACUACCGCUCCAGAGCGGUACUACCGUGGCUCCUGAGUGGUAGUACCGCUCCAGAGUAGUACUACCGCGUCUCCUAAGCGGUAGUACUGCUCCGGACCAAAAUCUCAUGUUUUGCUUAGUGGAGGUAGGCACGAAAGUAUUUUUUUUAGUACCGCUCGCAAGCAGUAGUACCGCUACCAUUUGCGGUAGUAUCGUGAGGACCAGCGGUAGUACCGCCCCGGCGGUUCUAAUGGCCUUUUGUCUCCUCGCUGUUGUUUUUCAAAGGGGUACUACCGCCCUAGCGGUAGUACCGCUCUGUGCGGGCUAUGAGCACAACGGUUGGAUUUCCCCCCACCUAUAAAAGGGGGUUUUCUUCCCCAUUGAACCUUAUCCUUUGAGCUCGUGUUCUUCCCCCAUUGUUGACCUUCUUAAAGCUAGCUAACUCUCAAUACCUCCAUGGAUUCUUGCUAGUUUUUGAGGGAAAAUAGAGAGGAGAUCUAGAUCCACAUUUCCAUCAAUCACUUUCUCCUCUAUGUGAGGGGAACCCCUUGGAUCUAGAUCUUGGAGUUCUUGGUGUUCUCCUUCUUGUUCUUCCUCUCAUCUUCCUCCCUAGCAUUAGUUGCUUCGGUGGGAUUUGAGAAAGAAGGAUUUGGGCACUCCGUGUGCCCUUGCCAUUGCAUUUGGUGCAUCGGUUUGAGUUCUCCACGUGAUACGUGGAAGUUACAAGUUGAGAAGCUUAUUACUCUUGGGUGCUUGGUACCCGGCGUAUUUGGCUAGGACUCUUGUUAUGCUAGGCCUCUGGUACAUUAUAUAAACCGAGGCCAGACUAGUCGAUAGAUUAUGACAUUACUCAUCGUACCUCCAGGGUUUAGACCAUAACAUAUGAUCUCGAGGUAGAUCAACUCUUGUAACCCCUAUACUCAUUAUAGUCAAUCAAGCAACAUGUAGGGUAUUAUCUCAUCAAGAGAGCCCGAAGCUGGGUAAAAUCCCGUGUUCAUGUUACCAUUGAUCCUAAGAUGCACAGCUUGGGACCCCCUACCCGAGAUCUACCGGUUUUGACACCGACAAUGGGCUUGCGUCAAGAGGAAGAUAUCAUACAACCCAUGGAAAGGAUGACAUCAAGUGGUGAUCGUCAUCAAGAUUGCCGUGUGCAAUUUGAAGUGGAGCAUCAUGAAGAGAUCAAGUGCUUGAAUCUUGCCAUCCAUUGUCGUGUCAAUGGACUUGUGAAGAUGUGUCGAAGAGUGGCUCACCCAUAGUGGAAUAUGGGGGAGCAAUCAUCUAGUCUUCAUCGAGCCAACGCAAUCAAGAAAGGUGGUCCAACUUGAGGGAGUCAAGAUCGUCAUCAUCUAGCUCAAGUAUACCAUGUGCGAGGCAAAGGAUUUCCCUUGAUAGGUUUUCUAUUUUACCGGUCUCGUGGUGGUAGUUGCAAGACCGGGUUAUAGGAUCGUUUGCCGUACUAUCAAGGGGGGAUCUCAAGUCUGUAGCUUGAUCGUAUCGUUAGUAGAGAUCUCAAACCAUUGCAUCCUUGCAUCAUGUUUCUUGGUUCUUGUUUAGUUCUCUUUGUGAGUCUUAGAGCUUAUGGUCAUCUUGAUGACAAGCUUGAGUUCAUUGAAAACGGAGUUCGCAUGCGUCUUCAUGAUGUUUUCGGUGUUGGAGGUUUUACAGGUCUUAUCCGAGGAAGGGUUCUCACCAUUUUCUUAUGGGACUUUUCUCAUUUGCUUCUUAUUGAUAUUUAUAUCAAUAUUGUGUUAUCCCAUGUCAUUAGCUUUCCAACAAACAUGGUUUCGUUGAAUUUGGAGUCCGUUUGCAAAAGUUGUGGCUGUUUUGGUAAAGGCUGCAGCGGUACUACCGUGACUAGAGCGGAUGUAAUUUUUUCUACCGCUCCAGAGCGGUACUACCGUGGCUCCUGAGUGGUAUUACCGCUCCAUAGUAGUACUACCGCGGCUCCUAAGCGGUAGUACUGCUCCGGACCAAAAUCUCGUGUUUUGCUUAGUGGAGGUAGGCACGAAAGUAUUUUUUUAGUACCGCUCGCAAGCAGUAGUACCGCUACCAUUUGCGGUAGUAUCGUGAGGACCAGCGGUAGUACCGCCCCGGCGGUUCUAAUGGCCUUUUGUCUCCUCGCUGUUGUUUUUCAAAGGGGUACUACCGCCCUAGCGGUAGUACCGCUCUGUGUGGGCUAUGAGCACAACGGUUGGAUUUCCCCCCACCUAUAAAAGGGGGUUUUCUUCCCCAUUGAACCUUAUCCUUUGAGCUCGUGUUCUUCCCCCAUUGUUGACCUUCUUAAAGCUAGCUAACUCUCAAUACCUCCAUGGAUUCUUGCUAGUUUUUGAGGGAAAAUAGAGAGGAGAUCUAGAUCCACAUUUCCAUCAAUCACUUUCUCCUCUAUGUGAGGGGAACCCCUUGGAUCUAGAUCUUGGAGUUCUUGGUGUUCUCCUUCUUGUUCUUCCUCUCAUCUUCCUCCCUAGCAUUAGUUGCUUCGGUGGGAUUUGAGAAAGAAGGAUUUGGGCACUCCGUGUGCCCUUGCCAUUGCAUUUGGUGCAUCGGUUUGAGUUCUCCACGUGAUACGUGGAAGUUACAAGUUGAGAAGCUUAUUACUCUUGGGUGCUUGGUACCCUUGAGCUUGUUACUCUUGGGUGUUUGGACACCCUAGAGCUUGUUCCUCUUGGGUGCCUUGGCGCCCUAGACGGUUGGUGUUGUUCGGAGCUCAAUCAUUGUGGUGUAAAGCUCUGGGCAAGCGUCGGGGUCUCCAAUUAGGUUGUGGAGAUCACCCCGAGCAAUUUGACGGGUACCGGUGACUGCCCCCAAGGGUUGCCAAAGUGUACGAGUUCGGUGACCGCCCCCAAGGGUCACCAUUUGUACGGGUUCGGUGACUGCCCUCAAGGGUCCCUUAGUGGAAUCACGACAUCUUGCAUUGUGUGAGGGCGUGAGGAGAUUACGGUGGCCCUAGUGGCUUCUUGGGGAGCAUUGUGCCUCCACACCGCUCCAAACGGAGAUUAGCAUCCGCAAGGGUGUGAACUUCGGGAUACAUCGUCGUCUCCGCGUGCUUCGGUUAUCUCUUACCCGAGCCCUUUACUUAUGCACUUUACUUUGUGAUAGCCAUAUUGUUCUUUGUCAUAUAUGUUGCUAUCACAUAGUGGCUUAUAUUGCUGAGCAUAAGUUGUUGGUGCACAUAGGUGAGCCUAGUUGUUUUAGGUUUUGUGCUUGACAAAUUAACCACUAGGUUUAUUCCACAUUUGUUCAAGCCUAAACCGUAAUUAUUUUAAAGCGCCUAUUCACCCCCCCUUCUAGGCGACAUCCUCGAUCUUUCACCUUGUGUUCUAUCAAACCUCACAACGCAACUGGGUUAUUAUAAAGAUGCUCUACAGGCAUCUCCGAAGGUGUUUGUUGAGUUGGCAUAGAUCAAGAUUAGGAUUUGUCACUCCGAGUAUCAAAGAGGUAUCUCUAGGCCCUUUCGUUAAUACACAUUAUAAGCUUGCAAGCAAACCACUAAGGAAUUAGUCAUGAGAUGAUGUAUUACGGAACGAUUAAAGAGACUUGCCAGUAACGGCAUUGAACUAGGUAUGAAGAUACCGAUGAUAUAAUCUCGGGCAAGUAACAUACCGAUGGACAAAGGGAAUUACGUAUGUUGUCAUAACGGUUCGACCGAUAAAGAUCUUCGUAGAAUAUGUAGGAGCCAAUAUGGGCAUCCUGGUUCCGCUAUUGGUUAUUGACUGGAGAGGUGUCUCGGUCAUCCCUACAUAGUUCUCGAACCCGUAGGGUCCGCACGCUUAACGUUUAAUGACGAUAUAGUAUUAUAUGAGUUAUGUGAUUAAGUGACCGCAUAUUGUUCUAAGUCCCGGAUGAGAUAACGGACAUGAUGAGUAGUCUCGAAAUGGUCGAGAGGUAAAUAUUGAUAUACAGGACGAUGGUAUUCGGACACCGAAAGUGUUUCGGGGGGUACCAGGUACUUAUCGGGCCACCAGAAGGGGUUCCGGGCACCCCCGGCAAAAGAUAUGGGCCUUAUGGGCCAAGAGGGGAAACACACCAGCCACAAGGGGAUGGUGCGCUCCCCAUAUGGGCUGGCCUAGGAGGAGAAGGAAAGAGGGGAAGGGAAAGGAAAGAGUGGAAUAGGAUUCCCCCUUCUUCCCUCUCCCCCCUUUUUCCUUCCCCAUCGGUUAUAUAUGGCAGGGGGCGCGCGGCUUGUGAGGGACUCGAAGUAGGAUUCCUCCUACUUGGGCGCCUCCUAUGGCUGCUCCUCCCUCCCUCCCACCUAUAUUUGUGAAAGGGGGCGCCUAGCACACACCAGACAUUUGCCUAGCCAUGUGUGGCGCCCCCUCCACCGUUUACUACCUCGGUCAUAUUUACGUAGUGCUUAGGCGAAGCUCUGCGGAGAUCACUUCACCAUCAGAGUCACCACGCCGUCGUGCUGCCGGAACUCAUCUACUACCUCGAUGUUUUGCUGGAUCAAGAAGGCGAGGGACGUCAUCGAGCUGAACGUGUGCAGAACUCGGAGGUGCCGUACGUUCGGUACUCGAUCGGUGGAUCUCGAAGACAGUUUGAGUACAUCAAUCGCGUUGUGAAACGCUUUCUCUUACGGUCUACGUGGGUACGUAGACACACUUUCCCCUCUCGUUGCUAUGCAUCUCCAUGGAUAGAUCAUUGCGUGUGCGCAUUUUUUUUAUUUUCCUAUGCAACGAUUCCCAACAGUGGUAUCAGAGCCAGGUCUAUGCAUAGAUGAUAUGCACGAGUAGAACACAAAGAAGUUGUAGGCGGUGAUGUUCACACUGCUUACCACCAAUAUCUUAUUUUUAUUUGGCGGGCUUGCGGGAUGAAGCAGCCUGAACCAACCUUACAUGUCCACGCACAUGAGACCGGUUCCACCGACUGACAUGCAACUAGUUUUGCAUAAAGGUGGCUGGCGGGUGUCUGUUUCUCCUACUUUAGUUGAAUAAAAUUUGACUGCGGCUGGUCCUUGAAGAAGGUUAAAACAGCAAACUUAAUAAAUCUCCAUUGUAGUUUUUGCCGUAGGUAAGAACGGUUCUUGCUAGAAACCCGUAGCAGCCACGUAAAACUUGCAACAACAGAGUAGAUGACGUCUAACUUGUCUUUGCAGGGUAUGUUGUGAUGUGAUAUGGUCAAGACAUGAUGUGAUAUACGUUAUUGUAUGAGAUGAUCAUGUUUUGUAAUUUAUCAACAACUGGUAGGAGCCUUAUGGUUGUCUCUUUAUUGUAUGAAAUGAAAACGACAUGUAAUUGCUUUACUUUAUCGCUAUGCAUUAGCAAUAGUUGUAGAAGCAAUAGUUGGUGAGACGACCACGACGCAAUGAUGGAGAUCAAGGUGUCGAGCCGGUGACGAUGGAGAUCAUGACGAUGCUUUGGAGAUGGAGAUCAAAAGCACGAGAUGAUGAUGGCCAUAUCAUGUCACAUAUUUUGAUUGCAUGUGAUGUUUAUCUUUUAUGCAUCUUAUUUUGCUUAGAACGAUGGUAGCAUUAUAAGAUGAUCCCUUCACUAAAUUUCAAGAUAUAAGUGUCCCCCCGAGUAUGCACCGUUGUGAAAGUUCGUCGUUACGAGACACCACGUGAUGAUCGGGUGUGAUAGACUCUACGUUCACAUACAACGGGUGUAAGAUAGUUUUUCACGUGCAGAAUACUUGGGUUAAACUUGACGAGUACAGACAUGGCCUCAGAACACAGGAGACCGAAAGGUCGAACAUGAGUCAUAUAGUAGAUAUGAUCAACAUAGAGAUGUUCACCAUUGAUGACUACCCCAUCUCACGUGAUGAUCGGACAUGGGUUAGUUGAUUUGCAAAUUAUGUUGUAGAUCAAUAGCUCGCAUUGUAGCUCCCCUAUUUUUUGAUAUGUUCCUAGAGAAAAAUAAGUCGAAAGAUGAUAGUAGCAAUAACGCAAACUGGUUCCGUGAUCUGAGGAUUAUCCUUAUUGCUGCACAGACGAAUUAUGUCCUUAAUGCACCGCUAGGUGACAGACAUAUUGCAGGAGCAGAUGCAGAUGUUAUGAACGUUUGGCAAGCUUGAUAUGAUGACUACUUAAUAGUUUAGUGCACCAUGUUUUACGGCUUAGAACUAGGACUUAAAAAAUGUUUGGAAUGCCAUGGAGCAUAUGAGAUGUUCCAAGAGCUAAAAUUGGUAUUUCAAACUCAUGCUUGUGUCGGGAGGUAUGAGACCUCGUACAAGUACUUGCCUACAAGAUGGAGGAGAAUAGCUCAGCCAGUGAGCAUGUGCUCAGAAUGUCUGGGUACUGCAAUCGCUUGAAUCAAGUGGGAGUUAAUCUUCCAGAUAAGAUAGUGAUUGAUAGAUUUCUCUAGUCACUAUCACCAAGCUACUAGAACUUCGUGAUGACUUAUAAUAUGAAAGGGAUGACAAAAACGAUUCUCGAGCUCUUCGCGAUGCUGAAAUCGGCGAAGGUAGAAAUCAAGAAAGAACAUCAAGUGUUGAUGGUUAAACAAGACCACUAGUUUCAAGAAAAAGGGCAAGGGAAAGAAAGGGAACUUCAAGAAGAAUGUCAAGCAAGUUGCCACUCCCGUGAAGAAGCCCAAAACUGAACCCAAGCCUGAAACUGGGUGCUUCUACUGCAAAGGAAAUGGUCAUUGAAGUGGAACUGCCCCAAAUACUAGGCGGAUAAGAAGGAUGGUAAAGUGCACAAAGAUAUAUUUGAUAUACAUGUUAUUGAUGUGUACUUUACUAGUGUUCAUAGUAACCCCUGCGUAUUUGAUACCGGUUCAGUUGCUAAGAUUAGUAACUUGAAACAGGAGUUGUAGAAUAAACGAAGACUAGUUAAGGACGAGGUGACGAUGUGUGCUGGAAGUGAUUCCAAGGUUGAUACGAUCACCAUCGCACACCCCCUCUACCUUCGGGAUUAGUGUUGAACCUAAAUAAAUGUCAUUUGGUGUUUGCAUUUAGCAUGUAUAUGAAUAGAUCAUGUUUAUUGCAAUACGGUUAUUCAUUUAAGUUAGAGAAUAAUUAUUGUUCUGUUUAAAUGAAUAAAACCUUCGAUGGUCAUACACCGAAUGUGAAUGGUUUAUUGAAUCUAGAUCGUAGUGAUACACAUAUUCAUAAUAUUGAUGCCAAAAUAUGCAAAGUUAAUAAUGAUAGUGAAACAUACUUGUGGCACUGCCGUUUAGGUCAUAUUGGUGUAAAACGCAUGAAGAAACUCCAUAAGGACGGACUUUUGGAAUCACUUGAUUAUGAAUCAUUUGAUACUUGCAAACCAUGCUUCAUGAGCAAGAUGACUAAACUUCGUUCUUUAGAACAAUGGAGCGAGCUAAUGACUUAUUGGAAAUAAUACAUACCGAUGUAUGAGAUCCGAUGAGUGUUCAAGCACGCGACGGGUAUCAUUAUUUUCCAACCUUCAGAGAUGAUUUGAGUAGGUAUGGGUAUAUCUACUUAAUGAAACACAAGUCUGAAACAUUUGAAAAUUUAAAAGAAUUUUAGAGUGAAGUAUCAUAGUAACAAGAAAAUAAAGUUUCUAAGAUCUGAUCGCGGAAGCGAAUAAUUGAGUUACGAGUUUGGACUUCAUUCAAAACAAUGUGGAAUUGUUUCACAACUCAUGCCACCUGGAACACCACAGCGUAAUGGUGUGUCCAAAUGUCGUAACCGUACUUUAUUGGAUAUGGUGCGUUCUAUGAUGUCUCUUACCGAUUUACCACUAUCGUUUUGGGGUUGUGCAUUAGAGACAGCCACAUUCACGUUAAAUAGGGCACCAUCUAAAUCUGUUGAGACGUUAGUGUAUGAAUUAUGGUUUGGCAAGAAACCUAAGAUGUCAUUUCUUAAAGUUUGGGUUGCGACACUUAUGUCAAAAGGCUUCAGCCUGAUAAUCUCGAACCCAAAUCAGAGAAGUGCGUCUUCAUAGGAUACCCUAAGGAAAUAAUUGGGUACACCUUCUACCACAGAUCCAAAGGCAAGAUCCUUGUUGCUAAGAAUGGAUCCUUUCUAGAGAAGGAGUUUCUCUCGAAAGAAGUGAGUGGGAGGAAAGUAGAACUUGAUGAGGUAAUUGUACCUUCUCUCGAAUUGGAUAGUAGCACAUCAGAGAAAACUGUUCUCGUGAUCUACACCAAUGAGAGAGGAAGCUAAUGAUGAUGAUCAUAAAACUUCAGACCAAGUUACUACUAAACUUCAUAGGUUGACCAGAGCAUGAUCUGCACCAGAGUGGUACGGUAGUCCUGUCUUGGAAGUCAUGUUACUAGACCAAGACGAACUUACGAACUAUGAAGAAGCUAUGAUGAGCCUAGAUUCCGACAGAUGGCUUGAGGCCAUGAAAUCUGAGAUAGGAUCCAUGUAUGAGAACAAAGUAUGGACUUUGGUGGACUUACCCAAUGAUCGGCAAGCCAUAGAGAAUAAAUGGAUCUUCAAGAAGAGGACAUAUGCUAAUGGUAAUGUCACCAUCUACAAAGCUCGACUUGUUGCGAAAGGUUUUCGACAAGUUGAAGGAGUUGACUAUGAUGAUACCUUCUCACCUGUAGUGAUGCUUAAGUCAGUCCGAAUCAUGUUAGAAAUUGUCGUAUUUCAUAAUUAUGAAAUCUGCCAAAUGGAUAUCAAAACUGAAUUCCUUAAUGGAUUUCUUAAAUAAGAGUUAUAUAUGAUGCAACCAGAAGGUUUUUUGGAUCCUAAAGGUGCUAAUAAAGUGUGCAAACUCCAACGAUCCAUCUAUGGACUGGUGCAAGCAUCUCGGAGUUGGAAUAUAUGCUUUGAUGAGGUGAUCAAAGCAUAUGGUUUUAUACAGACUUAUGGUGAAGCCUGUAUUUACAAGAAAGUGAGUGGGAGCUCUGUAGCAUUUAUGAUAUUAUAUGUGGAUGAUAUAUUGUUGAUCGGAAUUGAUAUAGAAUUUCUAGAUAGCAUAAAAGGAUACUUGAAUAAGAAUUUUUCAAUGAAAGACCUCGGUGAAGCUGCUUAUAUAUUGGGCAUCAAGAUCUAUAGAGAUAGAUCAAGACGCUUGAGAGGACUUUCACAAAGCACAUACCUUGAUAAAGUUCUGAAGAAGUUCAAAGUGGAUCAGUCAAAGAAAGGGUUCUUGCUUGUGUUACAAGGUGUGAAGUUGAGUAAGACUGAAAACCCGACCACAACAGAAUAUAUAUACAGAGAAUGAAAGUCAUUCCCUAUGCCUUAGUCGUAGGUUCUAUAAAGUAUGCCAUGCUGUGUACUAGACCUGUUGUGUGCCUAGCCAUGAGUUUGGCAAGGGGGUACAAUGGUGAUCCAGGAGUAGAUUUCUGGACAGCGGUCAAAAUUAUCCUUAGGUACCUAAAGAGGACUAAGGAAAUGUUUCUCUGUUAUGGAGGUGAUAAAAAGUAGAUCUCUCGACAGCGGUCAAUUCUCUUAUACUAUAUACUAUGCUUCUUAAUUUUUAAGGCCUCACAAUUAAUUGAGGUAUUCAAUUUAGAACUAGGUCAACUGAUUUUGACCGGGUCUACAAUUUCCUAAACUCUCCCAUUCAAUUCUUUUAAUACACUUUUUCCUUAGUCUUGGGAGGUCAACUACAAGUUCUCUGUGCGGUCUGCAUAUGCCGCCAGGUUUUGGGGUAGAGAAGUAAUACCCAGGGCGGACCUGACUUGGAAGUCGCGGGCCCCCUCGCAAUGCCGAUUCUUUACUUGGUUGGCUCUAUGAAAUAUAUGUUGGACUUCGGAUUGUCUCGUUGGAGAGGGCUACCACACCAAGAAGCAUGCCCCCUCCGUGAUCAAUAAGAGGAAACUAUAAACAACGUACUACUUACAUGUGUGUUUGCCAGGACGAUGUGGACGGUGAUUUGUGAGGCUUUGGGCAGAUUGGAGUGGACACUAACCCCAAAGGAUCCACUCAAAUCAUGGUUAUGCAACAAGCGGGGGCCCAACAAUAUGAGCAAGAAAGAUCUUCACACCCUUUUUGUGUUGGAAAUAUGUCCUAGAAGCAAUAAUAAAUUUGUUAUUAUAAUAUUUCCUUGUUCAUUAUAAUUGUUUAUUAUCCAUGCUAGAAUUGUAUUGAUCAGAAACUCAGAUACAUGUGUGGAUACAUAGACAACAACGUGUCCCUAGUAAGCCUCUACCGGACUAGCUCGUUGAUCAAAGAUGGCUAUGGUUUCCUAGCCAUGGACAUGAGUUGUCAUUUGAUAACGGGAUCACAUCAUUAGCCGAAUGAUGUGAUGUACAAGACCAAACUAUAAAUGUAGCAUAUGAUCGUAUCAAGUUUAUUUCUAUUGUUUUCUACAUGUCAAGUAUAUAUGUUCCUAUGACCAUGAGAUCAUGCAACUACUGACACUGGAGGAAUACCUUGUGUGUACCAAAUGUCGCAACGUAACUGGGUGACUAUAAAGGUGCUCUACAGGUACCUCCGAGGGUGUCUGUUGAGUUGGCAUGGAUCAAGGCUGGGAUUUGUCACUCCGUAUGACGGAGCUCUGGGCCCUCUCAGUAAUACAACAUCACAAGAAGCUUGCAAGGAAUGUAAUAAUGAGUUAGCCACGAGAUCUUGUAUUACGGAAUGAGUAAAGAGACUUGCCGGUAACGAGAUUGAACUAGGUAUGGAGAUACCCAUGAUCGAGUCUCGGGCAAGUAACAUACCGAUAGACAAAGGGAACUGCAUACGAGAUUAGAUGAAUCCUUGGCAUCGAGGUUCGACCAAUAAUAUCUUCAUAGAAUAUGUAGGAACCAUUAUGGGCAUCUAGGUCCCGCUAUUGGCUAUUGACCGUAUAGGUGUGUCGGUCAUGUCUUCAUAGUUCUCGAACCCGCAGGGUCUACACACUUAACGUUUGUUGACGAUAUAAGUAUAGUUGAGUCAUUAUGGUGGUUAUCGAAGGUUGUUUGGAGUCCCGGAUGAGAUCUUGGACGUGAGGGGAACUUCAGAAUGGUCCGGAGGUGAAUAUUGAUAUAUUGGACGAAGGGUAUUGGAGUCCGCAAUUAUUCCGGGGGUACCUGGUGAUGACCAGCAUGACCGAAAGGGGUUUUGGGGGGCCCCGACAAGUGUUGAGGGGCCUCAUGGGCCAAGGGGAGGGGUCAAACCAGCCCACUAAGGGGCUAUGCGCCCCCUUCACCCCUUCCCACGUUGCCAGAGGAGGUGGGGGCGCCACCCUAGGGUUCCCACCCCUUUGGCUUGGGGGCCAAGUCUCCUAAGGGGGAAACCCAUCUAGGGUUUCCCUCUAGUGGCCGCCGACCCUAGAUGGGAUCCCCUAGGGGAUCCCCCUCUCCCCCUCUCCCCAUAUAUACAUAGAGGUAGAGAGAGGGCAGCCGUACGCAUAUAUGCCAUGGCACUGCCCUCCCUCUCCCUUGUAGCCAUCUUCCUUUCUGUAGUGCUUAGCGAAGCUCUACUGAGAUUCCACCACCACCAUCGCCACCACGCCGCUGUGCUGCCGGAGGACUCGAGCUACUACUUCACCAUCACUCACUGGAUCGAGGAGAUGAGGGCGUCAUCAAGCCGUACAUGUGUUGAACGCGGAGGUGUCGUCCAUUCGGCACUUGGAUCGGAGUUUGCGGGACGGAUCGUGAAGAACAUCAACCGCGUUUCUUAACGCUUCCGCUUAGCGAUCUACAAGGGUAUGUAGAUGCAAUCUCUCCUCUCGAAGAUGGUCAUCUCCUAGAUUCAUCUUGGUGAGCGGAGGAAAUUUUUUGUUUCCCAUGCAACGUUCCCUCACAGUGGCAUCAUGAGCUAGGUCCAUGCGUAGAUAACAUCACAAGUAGAACACAAAGGAGUUUGUGGGUGUUGAUAUUCAAAUUGGUUCCUUCCUUGGUAUUUUCUUGAUUCGACAGUAUUGUGGGAUGAAGCGGCCCGGACCAACCUUACAUGUCCACGUACAUGAGAUAGGUUCCAUCGACAGACAUGUGACUUUGUUGCAUAAAGAUGGCCGACGGGUGUCUGUCUCUCCCACCUUAGUUGAAUCGGAUUCGACAAAGGCAGUCCUUGUAGAAGGUUAAAUGGCAACUUUCAUAUCACCAUUGUGGCUUUGCGUAGGUAAGAAUCGUUCUUGCUAGAUACCCAUAGCAGCCACGUAAAACAUGCAACAACAAUUAGAGGAUGUCUAACUUGUUUUUGCAGGGUAUGUUGUGAUAUGAUAUGGCCAAAGACAUGAUGAGAUAUAUUUGAUGUAUGAGAUGAUCAUGUUUGUAAUAGUUUAUAUCGACUUGCAUGUCGAUGCAUACGACAACCGGCGGGAGCCAUAGGGUUGUCUUUAAUUAUUGUAUGACCUAUGUGUCAAUCAUUAAGCGCUAUGUAAUGCUUUACUUUAUCGCUGAGCAGUAGCAAUAGUAGUAUAAGCAUGGUUGGCGUGACAACCUCGACGGUGACAUGAUGAUGGAGAUCAUGGUGUCAUGCUGGUGACAAUGGAGAUCAUGCCGGUGCUUUGGAGAUGGAGAUCAAAAGCACAAGUUGAUGGCCAUAUCAUGUCACUUAUGAUUUGCUUGUGAUGUUAAUCCUUUUAUGCAUCUUAUUUUGCUUAGGACGACGGUAGCAUUAUAAGGUGAUCCCUCACUAAAAUUUCAAGAUAAAAUUGUGUUCUCCCCAAGUGUGCACCGUUGCGGAAGUACGUUGUUUUGAAGCACCACAUGAUGAUCCGGUGUGAUAGACUCUACAUUCACAUACAAUGGGUGCAAGCCAUUUUUGCACAUGUGGAACACUUGGGUUAAACUUGACGAGCCUAGCAUGUACAGACAUGGCCUCAGAACAUAAGAGACCGAAAUGCCGAACAUGAGUCAUAUAGUAGAUAUGAUCAACAUGGAGAUGUUGACCGUUGAAACCACCUCAUCUCACAUGAUGAUUGGACUUUGGUUGGUGAAUUUAGAUGAUGUUACACUCGGACGACCGGAGGGAUGUCGAUUUGAGUGGGAGUUCUUAAGUAAUAUGAUUAGUUGAACUCAUUAUCAUGAACAUAGUCUAAAUUGUCUUUGCAAAUUAUGUUGUAGAUCAAUAGCUCGUGCUAUAGCUCCCUGUUUUAAUACGUUCCUAGAGAAAGACUAAGUUGAAAGAUAUUGUAAGAAAUUAUGCGGACUAGGGCCGUAGUCUAAGGAUUGUCCUCACUGCUGCACAGAAGUCUUAUGUCCUUGACGCACUACUCGGUGUGCCAACCUCUCUAGCGUCAUCUAUGGAUGUUGUGAACAUUUUGCAGACACGUUUAGAAUCGGGGCUCGAAAGACGUUUUUGAACGCCAUGGAACAUAUGUGAUGUUCCAAGAGUUGAAAUUGGUAUUUCAGGCUCAUGCCUGUGUUGGGAGGUAUGAGACCUCCGACAAGUUCUUUGCCUACAAGAUGGAGGAGAAUAACUCAGCUAGUGAGCAUGUGCUCAGAAUGUCUGGGUACUACAAUUGCUUGAAUCAAGUGGGAGUUAAUCUUCUAGAUAAGAUAGUGAUUGACAGAGUUCUCCAGACACUAUCACCAAGCUACUGGAACUUCGUGAUGAACUAUAACAUGCAAGGGAUGGAGAUGAUCCCAGAGCUGUUCGCGGUAGGCCACGAAGGUAGAAAUCAAGAAGGAUCAUCAAGUGUUGAUGGUUUACAAGACCACUAGUUUCAAUAAGGGCAAGGGCAUGAAGAGAAACUUCAUGAAUGGCAAGCCAGUUGCUGCUCCAGUGAAGUAACCCAAGGUUGAACCCAAACCUGAGACUAAGUGCUUCUAUUGUAAGGGGAACGGUCACUGGUAGCGGAGCUACCCCAAAUACUUGGUAGAUAAGAAAGCUGGCAACCUCAACAAAAGUAUAUUUAAUAUACAUGUUAUUGAUGUGUACCUUACUAGUACUCCUAGUAGCACCUGUGUAUUAGAUACCGGUUCAGUUGCUAAUAUUGGUAACUGAAAACAAAAGCUGUGGAAUAAACGGAGACUAGCUAAGGGCGAGGUGACGAUGUGUGUUGGAAGUGUUUGAAAGGUUGAUGUGAUCACCAUCACACGCUCCCUCUACCUUCGAGAUUAGUGUUGAACCUAGAUAAAUGUUAUUUGGUGUCUGCGUUGAGGCAUGAACACAAUUAUAUUGUGUUUAUUACAAUAAAGUUAUUCAUUUAAGUCAGAUAAUAAUGGUUAUUCUAUUUACAUGAAUAAUACCUUCUAUGAUCAUACACCCAAGGUGAAUGGUUUGUUUAAUCUCGAUCGUAGUGAUACACAUGUUCAUAAUAUUAAUGCCAAAAGAUGCAAAGUUAAUAAUGAUAGUACCACAUACUUGUGGCACUGCCGCUUAGGUCAUAUUGGUGUAAAGCGCAUGAAGAAACUCCACGCUGAUGGACUUUGGGAGUCACUUGAUUUUGAAUCACUUGACACAUGCGAACCAUGCCUUAUGGGCAAGAUGACUAAAACCCCGUUUUCUGGUACAUUGGAACGGGCAAGUGACUUGUUAGAAAUCAUACAUGCUGAUGUGUGUGGUCCGAUGAGUGUUGAUGCGUGCGGUGGAUAUCAUUAUUUCCUCACCUUCACCGAUGAUUUGAGUAGAUAUGGGUAUGUUUACUUAAUGAAGUAUAAGUCUGAAACAUUUGAAAAGUUCAAGCAAUUUCAGAGUGAAGUUGAGAAUCAUCGUAAAAAGAAGACUAAAUUCCUAUGAUCCAAUAUAACGGGAGAAUAUCUGAGUUAUGAGUUUGGCAAUCACUUAAGACAAUGUGGAAUUAUUUCACAGUUGACGCCACCUUGAACACCACAGUGUAAUGGUGUGUCCGAACGACGUGGUCAUACCUUAUCAGAUAUGGUGCAUUCUAUGAUGUCUCUUGCCGAUCUACCACUAUUGUUUUGGGGUUAUGCAUUAGCGACAACCACAUUCACUUUAAAUAGGGAACCAUCUAAGUCCGUGGAGAUGACACCGUAUGAACUGUGGUUUGGCAAGAAACCUAAGUUGUCGUUUCUUAAGGUUUGGGGCUGCAACACUUAUGUGAAAAGGCUUGAGCCUGAUAAGCUUCAACCCAAAGCGGACAAAUGCAUUUUCAUAGGAUACCCAAAGGAGAAGAUUGGGUAUACCUUCUAUCUCAGAUAUGAGGGCAAAGUGUUUGUCGCUAAGAACGGGUCCUUUCUUGAGAAAGUGUUUUUCUUGAAAGAAUUGAGUGGGAGGAAGAUAGAACUUGAUGAGGUUGUUGAACCAUUACUUCAACCAGAGAGUAGCGCAUCAAAGAAAGAUGUCUCUGUGGCACCUACGUCAGUUGAAGAGGAAGCUAGUGAUGAUGAUCAUGAAGCUUUGGAUCAAGUUAAUAUCGAACCUUGUAGGUCGACAAGGGUACGUACAACUUCUAAGUGGCAUGGUAACCCUGUCUUAGAGGUCAUGUUGUUGGACAACAGCGAACCUACGAGCUAUGGAGAGGCGAUGGUGGGCCGAAUCCCAACAAAUGGCUAGGAGCCUUGAAAUCCGAGAUAGGAUCCAUGUAUGAGAACAAAGUAUGGACUUUGAUGGACUCGUGUGAUGAUUGGCAAGCCAUUGAGAAUAAAUGGAUCUUUGAGAAGAAGACAUACGUUAAUGAUAAUGUCACCAUUUAUGAAGCUCGACUUGUCACAAAGAAGUUUCCGACAAGUUCAAGGAGUUGACUAUGAUGAGACUUUCUCACUCAUAGCGAUGCUAAAGUUUGUUGGAGUUAUGUUAGCGGUUGCUGCAUUUUCAUUUACGAAAUCUAGCAGAUGGAUGUCAAAACAAAGUUUCCUUGACGGUUUUCGUGAGGAAAGGUUGUAUGUAUACAACCAGAAGGUUUUGUUGAUCCUAAGGAUGCUAAAAGGUAUGCAAGCUCCAUCGAUCCUUCUAUGGACUGGAGCAAGCAUCUCGGAGUUGGAACAUACGCUUUGAUGAGGUGAUCAAAGCUUUUGGUUAUAUUCAAAGUUUGCAAGAAACUUGUAUUCACAAGGAAGUGAGUGGGAGCACUACAACAUUUCUGAUAAGUAUAUGUGGCUGACAUAUUGUUGAUCAGAAAUGAUGUAGAAUUUCUAGAAAGCAUAAAGGGUUGUUUGAAAUGAGUUUUUCAAAGGAAGACCUGGGUAAGUCUGCUUACAUAUUGGGCAACAAGAUCUAUACAGAUAGAUCAAGAUGCCCGAUAAGACUUUCAUAGAGCACAUACCUUGACAUGAUUUUGAAGGAGUUCAAAAUGGAUCAGUGAAAGAAGGAGUUCUUGCUUGAGUUGUAAGGUGUGAGGUUGAGUAAGACUCAAAGAUCGACCACGACAGAAGAAAGAGAAAGGACGAAGGGUCGUCCCCUAUGCCUUAGCCAUAGUCUCUAUACGGUAUGCCAUGCUAUGUACCCCACCGGAGGUGUGCCUUGCCACGUGUCUAGCAAGGUGGUACAAGAGUGAUCGAGGAGUGGAUCACCGGGCAAUGGUCAAAAUUAUCCUAGGAGGAAUAAGGAAAUGUUUCUUGGUUAUGGAGGUGAUAAAGAGUUUAGCGUAAAGGGUUACAUCGAUGCAAGCUUUAACACCUGUCUGGAUGACUCUGAGUAGCAAACCGGAUACACAUAGUGGAGCAGCCAUUUGGAAUAGAUCCAAGUGGAGCUUGGUAGCAGCAUCUACAUUAUGACAUAGAGAUUUGCUAAGCACACACAGAUCUGAAUGUUGCAGACCUGUUGACUAAAACCUCUCUCACAAGCAUAACAUGAUCAAACCCUAUAACUCAUUGAGUGUUAAUCACAUGGUGAUGUAAACUAGAUUAUUGACUCUAGUAAACUCUUUGGGUGUUCGUCACAUGGCGAUGUGAACUAUGAGUGUUAAUCACAUGGAGAUGUGAACUAGAUUAUUGACUCUAGUGCAAGUGGGAGACUGUUGGAAAUAUGCCCUAGAGGUAAUAAUAAAUUGGUUAUUAUCAUAUUUCCUUGUUCAUGAUAAUCGUUUAUUAUCCAUGCUAGAAUUGUAUUGAUCGGAAACUCAGAUACAUGUGUGGAUACAUAGACAACAACGUGUCCCUAGUAAGCCUCUACCGGACUAGCUCGUUGUUCAAAGAUGGCUAUGGUUUCCUAGCCAUGUGCUACCUCUUGAGCACUACGUUGGUUUUCCCUUGAAGAGGAAAGGGUGAUGCAGCAAAGUAGCGUAAGUAUUUCCCUUAGUUUUUGAGAACCAAGGUAUCAAUCCAGUAGGAGGCUACACGCAAGUCCCUCGUACCUACACAAACAAACAAGAACCUCGCAACCAACGCGAUAAAGGGGUUGUCAAUCCCUUCACGGCCACUUGCGAAAGUGAGAUCUGAUAGAGAUAACAAGAUAAGAUAAAUAUUUUUGGUAUUUUUAUGAUAUAGAUUGAAAACUAAAGAUUGCAAAAUAAAUUAGAUCGGAAACUUAUAUGAUAGAAAAUAGACCCAGGGGCCAUAGGUUUCACUAGUGGGUUCUCUCAAGAUAGCAUAAGUGUUACGGUGGGUAAACAUAUUACUGUCGAGCAAUUGAUAGAAAAGUGCAUAGUUAUGAGAAUAUCUAGGCAUGAUCAUGUAUAUAGGCAUCACUUCUGCGACAAGUAGAUCGAAACGAUUCUGCAUCUAGUACUAUUACUCCACACAUCGACCGCUAUCCAGCAUGCAUCCAGAGUAUUAAGUUCAUAAGAACAGAGUAACACAUUAGGCAAGAUGACAUGAUGUAGAGGGAUAAACUCAAGCAAUAUGAUAUAAACCCCAUCUUUUUAUCCUCGAUGUCAACAAAUAUGUGCCUUGCUGCCCCUGCUGUCACUGGGAAAGGACACCGCAAGAUUGAAUCCAAAGCUAAGCACUUCUCCCAUUGCAAGAAAGAUCAAUGUAGUAGGCCAAACCAAAAUGAUAAUUCAAAGAGACUUGCAAAGAUAACCAAUUAUACAUAAAAGAAUUAAGAGGAGAUUCAAAUAUUUAUCAUAGAUAAACUUGAUCAUAAACCCACAAUUCAUCGGAGCUUGACAAACACACCGCAAAAAGAGUUACAUUGAAUAGAUCUCCAAGAAGAUCGAGGAGAACAUUGUAUUGAGAUUCAAAGAGAGAGAAGAAGCCAUCUAGCUAAUAACUAUGGACCCGAAGGUCUGUGGUAAACUACUCACAACUCACCGGAGAGUCUUUGACGUUGAUGUAGAAGCCCUACAUUAUCAAUUCCCCCUACGUCGGAGCGCCGAAAAAGGCUCCAAGAUGGGAUCUCACGGGUACAGAAUGUUGCGGCGGUGGAAAUAGGGUUUUAUGGUGCUCCCUGAUGUUUUCAAGGUAUGCAAGUAUAUAUAGGCGAAGGAAGUCGGUCAGGGGAGCCACGAGGGGCCCACGAGGGUGGGGGCCGCACCCACCCCCCUAGGGCGCGCCCUGGACCCUUGUGGUCGCCUCGUUUACUUCUUGACGUCCACUCCAAGAACCUGGAUUGUGUUUGUUCCAAAAAGAUCUCUCCCGAAGGUUUCAUUCCGUUUGGACUCCAUUUGAUAUUCCUUUUCUUCGAAACACUGAAAUAGGCAAAAAAACAGCAAUUUGAGCUGGGCCUCCAGUUAAUAGGUUAGUCCAAAAAAUGAUAUAAAAGUGUAUAGUAAAUUCCAUAAACAUCCAAAACGGGUAAUAUAAUAGCAUGGAACAAUCAAAAAUUAUAGAUACGUUGAAGAUGUAUCAAGCAUCCCCAAGCUUAAUUCAUGCUCGUCCUCGAGUAGGUAAAUGAUAAAAACAGAAAUUUUGAUGUGGAAUGCUACCUAGCAUAUUUCUCAAUGUAAUUUUCUUUAUUGUGGCAUGAAUGUUCAGGUCCAAAUGAUUCAAGAUAAAAGUUCAUAUUAACAUAAAAAUAGUAAUAGUUCAAGCAUACUAACAAGUAAUCAUGUCUUAUCAAAAUAACAUAGCCAAAGAAAGCUUAUCCCUACAGAAUCAUAUAGUUAGGCUAUGCUUCAUUUUCUUCACACAAAAUACUCCUAUCAUGCACAACCCCGGUUUCAGCCAAGCAAUUGGUUCAUAAUUUUUAACGCGCUUCAGCUUUUUUAACUCUCACGCAAUACAUGAGCGUAAGCCAUGGAUAUAGCACUAUGGGUGGAAUAGAAUAUGAUGAUGGAGGUUGUGUGGAGAAGAAAAAAAAGGAGAAAAUCUCACAUUGAAGAGGCUAAUCAACGGGCUAUGGAGAUGCCCAUCAAUUGAUGUCAACAUGCGGAGUAGGGAUUGCCAUGCAACAGAUGAACUAGAGCUAUAAAUGUAUGAAAGCUCAAAAAAAGAAACUAAGUGGGUGUGCAUCCAACUCGCUUGCUCACGAAGACCUAGGGCAUUUUGAGGAAGCCCAUCAUUGGAAUAUACAACCAAGUUCUGUAAUGAAAAAUUCCCACUAGUAUAUGAAAGUGACAACAUAGGAGACUCUCUAUCAUGAAGUUCAUGGUGCUACUUUGAAGCACAAGUGUGGAAAAAGGAUAGUAAAAUUGUCCCUUCUCUCUUUUUCUCUCAUUUUUUUGGUGGCCUUCUUUGGCCUCCUUUCUUUUUAUUUGGGCUUCUUUGGCCUCUUUUAUUUUUCAUAAAGUCCAAAGUCUCAUCCCAGCCUGUGGGGGAAUCAUAGUCUCCAUCAUCCUUUCCUCACUUGGGACAAUGCUCUAAUAAUGAAGAUAAUCACACUUUUAUUUAUUUACAACUCAAGAAUUACAACUCAAUACUUAGAACAAAAUAUGACUCUAUGUGAAUGCCUCCGGCGGUGUACUGGGAUAUGCAAUGAAUCAAGUGACAUGUAUGAGAGAAUUAUGAAGGUGGCCUUGCCACAAAUACGAUGUCAACUACAUGGUGGAACAUGUCAUAAUAACGGAACGGUGGAAGGUUGCAUGGCAGUAUAUCUCGGAAUGGCUAUGGAAAUGCCAUAAUAGGUAGGUAUGGUGGCUGUUUUGAGGAAGAUAUAAGGAGAUUUAUGUGUGAUAGAGCGUAUCGUAUCACGGGGUUUGGAUGCACCGGCGAAGUUUGCACCAACUCUCAAGGUGAGAAAGGGUAAUGCACGGUACCGUAGAGGCUAGCAAUGAUGGAAGGGUAAGAGUGCGUAUAAUCCAUGGACUCACAUUAGUCAUAAAGAAAUCAUAUACUUAUUGCAAAAGUUAUUUAGCCCUCGAAGGAAAGUACUACUACGCAUGCUCCAAGGGGAAGGGUUGGUAGGAGUUAACCAUCGCGCGAUCCCGACCUCCACUCACAAGGAAGGCAAUCAAAGAGCACCCCAUGCUACAAAUUUGUUACACAACUUUUACCAUACGUGCAUGCUACGGGACUUGCCAACUUUUAAAACAAGUAUUUCUCAAUUUCAUAAUUACCCAACUAGCAUGACUCUAACAUUACCACCUUUAUAUCUCUAAACAAUUAUCAAGCAUCAAAUUGAUCAUAGCAUCCAAUGCACUUUAUAUGAUAGUUUUAUUAUACCCAACUUGGAUGCCCAUCAUAUUAGGACCAAUUUUAUAACCAUAGCAAAUACCAAUGCUGUUCGAAAAUACUCUAAAAAUAAUAUAAGUGAAGCAUGAGAGAUCAACAAUUUCUACAAAAUAAAACCACCGCCGUGCUCUAAAAAGAUAUAAGUGAAGCACUAGUGCAAAAUUUUCUAGCUCAAAAGAUAUAAGUGAAGCACAUAGAGUAUUCUAAUAAAUUCCGAUUCAUGUGUGUCUCUACCAAAAGGUGUGUACAGCAAGGAUGACUAAAAUCAAAGACUCAUAUCAUACAAGACGCUCCAAGGAAAACACAUAUCAUGUGGUGAAUAAAAAUAUAGCUCCAAGUAAAGUUACCGAUAGACGAAGACGAAAGAGGGGAUGCCUUCCGAGGCAUCCCCAAGCUUAGGCUUUUAGUUGUACUUGAAUUACCUUGGGGUGCCUUGGGCACCCCCAAGCUUAGGAUCUUGCCACUCCUUAUUCCAUAGUCCAUCAAAUCUUUACCCAAAACUUGAAAACUACAGAACACAAAACUCAACGGAAAAUCUCAUUAGCUCCGUUAGUGCAAGAAACCAAAACACCACUUUAAGGUACUGUAAUGAACUCAUUAUUUAUUUAUAUUGGUGUUAAAACUACUGUAUUACAACUUCACUAUGGUUCAUACCCCCUGAUACUAGCCAUAGAUUCAUCAAAAUAAGCAAACAACACACGAAAAACAGAAUCUGUCAAAAAUAGAACAGUCUGUUGUAAUCUGUAACUUUAGAAUACUUAUGGAACUCUAAAAUCCUACAAAAAUAGGAAGUCCUACGAAAUUUGUCUAUUGAUCUACUUCAAAAAGAAUCAACUAAAAAUAACGUUUAUGUGAUUUAAUAAAAUUAUUCUCGUGCAUGCAAAAGUUUCUGUUUUUCAGCAAGAUCAAAUUAGCUAACACCGUAGGUUAUCCUAUAGGUUCUACUUGGCACAAACACUAACUAAAACAUAAAACCACAUAUAAAAAGAAGCUAGAUGAAUUAUUUAUUACUAAACAGGAGCAAAAAGCAAGGAACAAAAAUAAAAUUGGGCUGCCUGCCAACAUGCGCUAUCGUUUAACGCCCCUAGCUAGGCAUAAAAGCGAGAAUAGAUCUAAGUAUUGCCAUCUUUGGUAUUCAAUUCAUAAGUGGCUCGCAUAAUAGAUUCAUAAGGUAAUUUGAUUUUAUUUCUAGGAAAGUUUUCCAUGCCUUUUCUUAAUGGAAAUUGGAAUCUAAUAUUUCCUUCCUUCAUAUCAAUAAUUGCACCAAUCGUUCUAAGGAAAGGUCUACCAACAAUAAUAGGACAUGAAAGAUUGCAAUCUAUAUCAAGAACAAUAAAAUCUACGAGCACAUAAUUCCUAUUUGCAACAAUAAUAAGAUCAUUAAUCCUUCCCAUAGGUUUCUUAAUAGUGGAAUCCGCAAGGUGCAAGUUUAAAGAGCAAUCAUCAAAAUCACGGAAACCUAACACAUCACACAAAGUUUUUGGAAUCGUGGAAACACUAGCACCCAAAUCACACAAAGCAUAGCAUUCAUGAUCUUUUAUUUUAAUUUUAGUAGUAGGUUCCCACUGAUCAUAAAGUUUUCUAGGCAUAGAAACUUCCAAUUCAAGUUUUUUCUUCACAAGAUUGCAUCAAAGCAUCAACGAUAUGUUUGGUAAAAGCUUUAUUUUGACUAUAAGCAUGAGGAGAAUUUAACAUGGAUUGCAACAAGGAAAUACAAGCUAUUAAAGAGAACUUAUCAUAAUUAAAUUCCUUGAAAUCCAAAAUAGUGGGUUCAUUGCUAUGUAAAGUUUUGACCUCUCCAAUCCCACUUUUACCAAAUGUAGCAUCAAGAUCUAAAAACUCUGAAUCAUUGGGAUGCCUUUUAACUAAAGUUGACUCAUCUCCAGUCCCAUUAUUAUCAAGAUUCAUAUUGCAAAACAAAGAUUUAAUAGGGGACACCUCAAUCACUUUUAUAUCUUCAUCAUUAUUAUCAUGAAAACUAGAAGAACAUGCUUUUACAAAGCAACCUUUCUUAGCACGCAUUCUAGUGGUUCUUUCUUUGCACUCAUCAAUGGAAAUUCUCAUGCCUUUGAGAGACUCAUUGAUAUCAUGCUUAGGUGGAAUAGAUCUAAGUUUCAAAGAAUCAACAUCAAGAGAAAUUCUAUCCACGUUCCUAGCCAACUCAUCAAUCUUAGGCAAUCUUUCUUCAAGCAAAGCAUUGAAAUUCUUUUGAGAGAUCAUAAAUUCUUUAACACUAAUCUCAAAAUCAGAGGGCAUCUUAUUAAAAUUUCCAUAAGAGUUGUUGUAGGAAUUACCAUAAUUAUUAGAGGAAUUACUAGGAAACGACCUAGGAUUAAAGUUUCCUCUAUACGCGUUGUUACCAAAAUUAUUCCUACCAACAAAAUUCACAUCCAUAGAUUCAUUAUUAUUAUCAAUCAAAGUAGACAAAGGCAUAUCAUUAGGAUCAAUAGGAGCACUCCUAUUAGCAAACAAUUUCAUAAGUUCAUCCAUCUCUCCACUCAAAACAUUAAUCUCUUCUAUCGCAUGAACUUCUUUAAUAGUAGAUCUUUCGGUGUGCCAUUGAGAAUAAUUAACCAUAAUAUUAUCUAGGAGUUUAGUAGCUUCUCCUAAAGUGAUUUCCAUAAAAGUGCCUCCCAUGGCCGAAUCUAAAAGAUUUAUAGAAGCACAAUUCAAUCCGGCAUAAAAGUUUUGUAUGAUCAUCCAUAAAUUUAAUCCAUGUGUAGGGCAACUGCGAAUCAUUAAUUUCAUCCUCUCCCAAGAUUGUGCAACAUGCUCAUGAUCAAGCUGCUUAAAAUUCAUAAUAUCGUUUCUAAGAGAGAUGGUCUUAGCGGGAGGAAAAUACUAAGAGAUAAAAGCAUCUUUGCACUUAUUCCAUGAAUCAAUACUAUUUUUAGGCAAAGAUGAAAACCAAGUUUUAGCACGAUCUCUAAGCGAAAACGGAAAUAACUUCUAUUUAACAAUAUCAUUAUCCAUGUCUUUCUUCUUUUGCAUAUCACACAAAUCAACAAAGUUGUCCAAAUCAGUAGCGGCAUAUUCACUAGGAAGGCCGGAGAAUUGAUCUUUCAUGACAAGAUUCAACAAAGCAUCAUUGAUUUCGCAAGGUUCAGCAUCAUUAAGAGGAGCAAUGAGAGUUCUAAGGAAAUCAUUAUUGUUGGUAUUGGAAAAGUCACACAAUUUAGUAUUACCUUGAGCCAUCGUGACAAGCAAUCCAACACACAAGCACACAAGAGGCACGCAAAAAAGAGGCGAACAGGAAAGCAAGGGCGAAUAAAACGGCAAGGGUGAAGUGGGGGAGAGGAAAACGAGAGGCAAAUGGAAAAUAAUGUAAUGCGAGGGAGAAGAGUUUAUGAUGGGUACUUGGUAUGUCUUAACUUGAGCGAAGACCUCCCCGGCAACGGUGCUAGAAAUCCUUCUUGCUACCUCUUGAGCACUGCGUUGGUUUUCCCUUGAAGAGGAAAGGGUGAUGCAGCAAAGUAGCGUAAGUAUUUCCCUCAGUUUUUGAGAAUCAAGGUAUCAAUCCAGUAGGAGGCUACACGCAAGUCCCUUGUACCUACACAAACAAACAAGAACCUCGCAACCAAUGUGAUAAAGGGGUUGUCAAUCCCUUCAUGGCCACUUGCGAAAGUGAGAUCUGAUAGAGAUAACAUAAAUAUUUUUGGUAUUUUGAUGAUAUAGAUUGAAAAGUAAAGAUUGCGAAAUAAAGUAGAUCGGAAACUUAUAUGAUAGAAAAUAGACCCGGGGGCCAUAGGUUUCACUAGUGGCUUCUCUCAAGAUAGCAUAAGUAUUACAGUGGGUAAACAAAUUACUGCCGAGCAAUUGAUAGAAAAGUGCAUAGUUAUGAGAAUAUCUAGGCAUGAUCAUGUAUAUAGGCAUCACGUCUGCGACAAGUAGAUCGAAACGAUUCUGCAUCUAUAGCAUGCAUCUAGAGUAUUAAGUUCAUAAGAACAGAGUAACGCAUUAGGCAAGAUGACAUGAUGUAGAGGGAUAAACUCAAGCAAUAUGAUAUAAACCCCAUCUUUUUAUCCUCGAUGGCAACAAUACAAUACGUGCCUUGCUGCCCCUGCUGUCACUAGGAAAGGACACCCCAAGAUUGAACCCAAAGCUAAGCACUUCUCCCAUUGCAAGAAAGAUCAAUCUAGUAGGCCAAACCAAACUGAUAAUUCGAAGAGACUUGCAAAGAUAACCAAUCAUACAUAAAAGAAUUCAGAGGAGAUUCAAAUAUUUCUCAUAGAUAAACUUGAUCAUAAACCCACAAUUCAUCGGAUCUCGACAAACACACCGCAAAAAGAGUUACAUCGAAUAGAUAUCCAAGAAGAUCGAGGCGAACAUUGUAUUGAGAUUCAAAGAGAGAGAAGAAGCCAUCUAGCUAAUAACAAUGGACCCAAAGGUCUGUGGUAUACUACUCACAACUCAUCGGAGAGGCUUUGGCGUUGAUGUAGAAGCCCUCCGUGAUCGAUUCCCCCUCCGGCGGAGCGCCGGAAAAGGCUCCAAGAUGGGAUCUCACGGGUACAGAAGAUUGCGGCAGUGGAAAUAGGGUUUGGUGGUGCUCCCUGAUGUUUUCAGGGUAUGCAAGUAUAUAUAUGCGAAGGAAGUCGGUCAGGGGAGCCAAGAGGGGCACAUGAGGGUGGGGGCGUGCCCUAGACCCUCGUGGCCGCUUUGUUUACUUCUUGACGUCCACUCCAAGUCUCUUGGAUUGCGUUUGUUCCAAAAAGAUCUCUCCCAAAGGUUUCAUUCCGUUUGGACUCCAUUUGAUAUUCCUUUUCUUCGAAACACUGAAAUAGGCAAAAAACAUCAAUUUGGGCUGGGCCUCCGGUUAAUAGGUUAGUCCAAAAAUGAUAUAAAAGUGUAUAGUAAAGCCCAUAAACAUCCCAAACGGGUAAUAUAAUAGCAUGGAAUAACCAAAAAUUAUAGAUACAUUGGAGACGUAUCACCAUGGACAUGAGUUGUCAUUUGAUAACGGGAUCACAUCAUUAGGAGAAUGAUGUGAUGAACAAGACCCAAACUAUAAACGUAGCAUAUGAUCGUAUCAAGUUUAUUGCUAUCAUUUUCUGCAUGUCAAGUAUAUAUGUUCCUAUGACCAUGAGAUCAUGCAACUCACUGACACCGGAGGAAUACCUUGUGUGUACCAAACGUUGCAACGUAACUGGGUGACUAUAAAGGUGCUCUACAGGUAUCUCCGAGGGUGUCUGGGGAGUUGGCAUGGAUCAAGACUGGGAUUUGUCACUCUGUAUGACGGAGAGGUAUCUCUAGGCCCUCUUGGUAAUACAACAUCACAAGAAGCUUGCAAGCAAUGUGACUAAUGAUUUAGCCACGGGAUUUUGUAUUACAGAACAAGUAAAGAGACUUGCCGGUAACGAGAUUGAACUAGGUAAGGAUAUACUGACGAUCGAAUCUCGGGCAAGUAACAUACUGAUAGACAAAGGGAACUGCAUACGGGGUUAGCUGAAUCCUUGGUAUCGAGGUUUGACCGAUAAGAUCUUCGUAGAAUGUGUCGGAACCAUUAUGGGCAUCCAGGUCCCGCUAUUGGUUAUUGAUCGUAGAGGUGUCUCUGUCAUGUCUGCAUAGUUCUCUAACCUGGAGGGUCUACACACUUAACGUUUGGUGACGAUAUAAGUAUAGUUGAGUCAUUAUGGUGGUUACCGAAGGUUGUUCGGAGUCCCGGAUGAGAUCUCAGACAUGACGAGGAACUUUGGAAUGGUUCGCAAGCAAAGAUCGAUAUAUUGGAUGAAGGGUAUUGGAGUCCGGAAUUGUUCUGGGGGUACGUGGUGAUGACCAGCAUGACCGAAAGGGGUUUCGCGGGGCCUCGACAAGUGUUGGGUGAUACAUCUCCAACGUAUCUAUAAUUUUUGAUUGUUCCAUGCUGUUAUAUUAUCAUUCUUGUAUGUUUUAAAAUCAUUUUGUAGUCAUUUUAUAUCAUUUUUGGGUACUAACCUACUGACAUAGUGCCCAGUGCUAGUUAUUGUUUUCUGCAUGUUUUUUACAUCGCAGGAAAUCAAUACCAAACGGAGUCCAAACGCAGCGAAACUUUUUGAGGAUUUUUUUGGGCCAGAAGACAUCCAAUGGGCCAGGAAAGCACCUAGGGGGGGGGUGCUUCGAGGGGAGCACAACCCACCAGGGCAUGCCUGGAGGCCCAAGCGCGCCCAGGUGGGUUGUGCCCACCUCGGGUGCCCCGUGAACCGCCUCUUUGCUCUAUAAAUACCCCAAUAUUUCAGAAACCCUAGGGGAGUCGACGAAAAUCAAUUCCAGCCAUCGUAGAUUCCAGAAACACCAGAUCCAAUCUAGACACCAUCUCGGAGGGGUGCAUCAUGUCCAUUGGUGCCUCUUCGAUGAUGCGCGAGUAGUUCUUUCUAGACCUACGAGUCCGUAGUUAGUAGCUAGAUGGCUUCCUCUCUCUCUUGAUUAUCAAUACAAUGGUCUCUUGGAGAUCCAUAUGAUGUAAGUCUUUUGCGGUGUGUUUGUUGGGAUCCGAUGACUUUGAGUUUAUGAUCAAAUCUAUGUAUUUAUCCAUGAAAGUUAUUUGAGUCUUCUUUGAUCUCUUAUAUGCGUGAUUGAUUAUAGCCUCGUAUUUCUUCUCCGAUAUUUGGGUUUUGUUUGGCCAACUUGAUCUAUUUAUCUUGCAAUGGGAAGAGAUGCUUUGUGAUGGGUUUGAUCUUACGGUGCUUGAUCCCAGUGACAGAAAGGGAAAUGUCACAUAUGUAUCGUUGCUAUUAAGGAUAACAAGAUGGGAUCUAUUUCUACAUAAAUAGAUCAUGUCUACAUCAUGUCAUCGUUCUUAUUGCAUUACUCCAUUUCUCCAUGAACUUAAUACACUAGAUGCAUGCUGGAUAGCGGUCGAUGUGGUAGAUGCAGGUAGUAGUAGAUGCAGGUAGGAGUCGGUCUACUAAUCUUGGACGUGAUGCCUAUAUAAUGAUCAUUGCCUGGAUAUUGUCAUGAUUAUUUGAAGUUCUAUCAAUUGCCCAACAGUAAUUGUUUUCCCACCGUUUGCUAUUUUUCUCGAGAGAAGCCACUAGUGAAACCUACGGCCCCCGGGUCUCUUUUGAUCAUGUUUGCCUUUGCGAUAUAUUUUCCUUUGCAUUUAUUUUCAUAUCUAUUAAACCAAAAAUACAAAAAUACCUUGCCGCAAUUUAUUUUUUCUGUGAUUUAUUUAUCCUAUUUACCACUUUUAUCUCACGUUAUUUGCCUAUCUUGAGGCGCCGUACCCGAAAGGGAUUGACAACCCCUUUAACACGUCGGGUUGCGAGUAUUUGUUAUUUGUGUGCAGGUGCCUUUUAUGUGGUGGUCUCAUCACUGAGGGAAAUACCUAUUGUCUCUAUACUACAUCAUCCUUUCCUCUUUGGGGAAAUACCAACGUAGUUCUAGCAGACAUCAAAAGGAAUUUCUGGCGCUGUUGCCGGGGAGGAUCUUCAACAUCAACCAGGUUCCUUAUGACAAAUAUCAUCUCCUCGUGAUUUACAUUAUUUUCCGUUUGCCUCUCGUUUUCCUCUCCCCCACUUCACAAAUUUGCCGUUUUAUUCGCCCUCUUUUUCGUUCGCCUUUUUCUUGUCAGAUCUCUUGUUUGCUUGUGUGACCAUGUGUCUUCUAUUGGCUUGCAUCUUUGCUUGUUAAAAAUCUAUUGAUAUGGAUCCUCAUCCACUAGCUAAUAUUUUUAAGAGAUCUAAUUAUGUUGAACCAGUUGCUAGUGAUUUGAGUGCACUUGAUUAUCGCUAUGAAGUUUUGCUUGAAAUUCGUGAAUCUGGAAAUUGUGAUGAAGUGCUUAAAGAAGAAAUUUAUGAAAUGAUUCAUGAUAGCUCCUUGAAUGAAAAGCAUGAUUGCAAUGGCGUGACUAUAAAUUCUAUUAAUAUCAAUUGUGCCAAUGUUAUGCAAAACCCCAUGCUUAGGGAUGCUAAUGUUUCUAUGUCCACUAAUUAUUGUAAUGAUCAUGAUUGGGGUGAUUCUUCUUAUGAUCUUGAAAAUUUAUUUAAGCCUCAUGAUGAAUAUGCUAUUGAUAAUAAUUGUCGGUGUACAGAAGUAGGGGUUCUACUUUGUACCCCUUUACCUGUGCACGGGCAGCCAGAGCCACGGCCACGGCCACACUUAGCAGGGCAGGUAUGGGAAGCCAAAGCCACCAGACGAUCAAAGUUUAGGACCUUGAAGUAUGUCUAGAGCGCGCGGGGGNNNNNNNNNNNNNNNNNNNNNNNNNNNNNNNNNNNNNNNNNNNNNNNNNNNNNNNNNNNNNNNNNNNNNNNNNNNNNNNNNNNNNNNNNNNNNNNNNNNNNNNNNNNNNNNNNNNNNNNNNNNNNNNNNNNNNNNNNNNNNNNNNNNNNNNNNNNNNNNNNNNNNNNNNNNNNNNNNNNNNNNNNNNNNNNNNNNNNNNNNNAUUAGACUACUUGACCAAUUAAAAACUUAACCUUUUCCCAAUUUUAGAGUUUGACAGAUUUUAGCAUCUUUGGACAAGUCAAGCAAUCAUCACACAAAUUAAGCAAGCAUGCAAAGAGUAUAUAGGCAGCGGAAAUUAAAGCAUGCAACUUGCAAGAAAGUAAAGGGAAGGGUUUGGAGGAUUCAAACGAAGUUGGAGACACGGAUGUUUUUGGUGUGGUUCCGAUAGGUGGUGCUAUCGUACAUCCACGUCGAUGGAGACUUCAACCCACGAAGGGUAAUGGUUGCGUGAGUCCACGGAGGGCUCCACCCACGAAGGGUCCACGAAGAAGCAACCUUGUCUAUCCCACCAUGGCCGUCGCCCACGAAGGACUUGCCUCACUAGCGGUAGAUCUUCACGAAGUAGGCGAUCUCCUUGCGCUUACAAACUCCUUGGUUCAACUCCACAAUCUUUGUCGGAGGCUCCCAAGUGACACCUAGCCAAUCUAGGAGACACCACUCUCCAAGAAGUAACAAAUGGUGCGUUGAUGAUGAACUCCUUGCUCUUGUGCUUCAAAUGAUAGUCUCCCCAACAGUCAACUCUCUCUCAUAGGAUUUGGAUCUGGUGGAAAGAAGAUUUGAGUGGAAAGCAACUUGGGGAAGGCUAGAGAUCAAGAUUCAUAUGGUAGGAAUGGAAUAUCUUGGCCUCAACACAUGAGUAGGUGGUUCUCUCUCAGGACUGGUAAGUUGGAAGUGUAGGUUUGUUCUGAUGGCUCUCUCCAUGAGUGAAGAGGAGGUGGAGGGGUAUAUAUAGCCUCCACACAAAAUCUAACCGUUACACACAAUUUAUCAAUCUUGGUGGGACCGAAUCAAUAAACUCGGUCAGACCGAUUUAGUAAACUUAGUGACCGUUAGGAUUUUUGGUGGGACCGAAACGCAACUCGGUGAGACCGAUAUGGUUAGGGUUAGGGCAUAACGUAAUCUCGGUGAGACUGAUUACACAAACUUGGUAUGACCGAUUUUGGUAAUUAGCUAACCAGAGAGUUGGUCAGGUAAGCUCGGUGGGACCGAUUUGCUCUUUUCGGUGAGAUCGAAAUGUUACAGAAGGGAAACAGAGAGUUUACAUUGCAAUCUCGGUGGGACCGAUCGCUCACUUCGGUUAGACCGAAACGUUACAAAGGGAAACAGAGAGAUUACAAUCCCAUCUCGGUGAGACCGAGAUCCUCAUCGGUGAGACCGAUUUGCCUAGGGUUUGUGGCAGUGGCUAUGACAUCUGAACUCGGUGGCGCCGGAUAGAAAGAAUCGGUGAGACCGAUUUUGGCUUUGGGUUUAGGUCAUAUGUGGAUGUGAGAAAAUAGUUGAGGGUUUUGGAGCAUAUCACUAAGCACAUGAAGCAAGAGGCUCAUUAAGCAACACCUCAUCCCUCCUUGAUAGUAUUGGCUUUUCCUAUAGACUCAAUGUGAUCUUGGAUCACUGAAAUAUAAAAUGAAGAGUCUUGAGCUUUUGAGCUUGAGCCAAUCCUUUGUCCUUGAUAUUUUGAGGGAUCCACUUUCAUCAUCCAUGCCAUGCCAUUCAUUGAGCUUUCCUGAAAUAUAUGUCUUGGAAUAGCAUUAGCUCAAUGAGCUAUAUGUUGUUAUGAAUUACCAAAACCACCUAGGGAUAGUUGCACUUUCAAUCUCCCCCUUUUUGGUAAUUGAUGACAACAUAUAGAUCAAAGCUUCGACAUAUGAUAAUAAGAUUGAAAAACAUCGUCGCUUUGAGAAGUAUGUGAUAAGCAAGAGCUCCCCCUAAAUUUGUGCAUUGUUUAAGAUUUGCUUUGGACUGCAAAUGCACAAGGAAUUAGGCUCAUGGGUUACUCUUCCAUGUCACAUACAUCUUGGUGGAGCGCUCAAAAUAAUAAAGAUUGAAUACAUGCACUCAUCACCAAGCAAAGUGAAUGAUCAUAUAAGGAUAAGUAAGAUAAUAACAUAUAAUCAAGCAUAAGUGUAGCUUAUGAUCAAACACAUGAUCAUCAAUGUCUCAUAGGUAAUGCAUAGUAUCUCAAGCAAUCAAAAGCAAACAAGUUUAACCAAGAAGACAAGAGAGAACAAAAAAUAGCAAGUCUCUCUCUCGAAGCCUAUGAUCUAUACAUUUUUCUCCCCCUUUGGAAACAAGUUACCAAAAAGUUCAUAGAAAAUGCAUAGUGCUAGAUCGUCUCUCAGGCUUGGUCUUCAGUUGGUGGUGUAGAGAUGGCUCCUUGGACGAAGACUUCAGUUGAUGUAGAGGGAGCUGGAGGAGUUGGUGCUGGAGCUGGUUGCCCUGGAGCUGUAGGAGCUGUAGCUGGUGCAGAUGAUGUAGCUCUUGUGUUUGACACAGGCACUGUAGCUGACCUUUGAGCUCUAGGCACUCUGGCAAAUGCAUCUGUGGUUGUCUUGCCCUUCCUCUCCUGCAUGUCAUCCUGCAGCUUCUCCACAACUGACUGAAUCUCAGUUACUUUGACAUCAAGAUCAUAGAAUUUUUGUUCCAUGAUCCUUUCCAGGCUCUCCUGGUUUUGAGUUAGGGUGGCCAACCCCUUCUCAAUCCUCAGUGUUGAUGCUAUCAAGUAACCAAGCUGCUCCUGUUUGUUCUUCAAGAAAUACUCAGAUGCCUCCUCUUGAGUUGGCAUCUUGUCAGCCUUCUCUUUCCUUGCUUUCUCUUUCUUCUCUUGAGCUUGCACUGAUGAUGGAUCAUUCUCAUUCAUGAAAAUUUGAUUGUCCUCAAAGUCUGGAUAGAGAGGAAAAUGUUCCUUAUCCAACUGAUACUUUCCUGUGCCCAUCUUUGAGUUAAUCAACUCCUGAAUCUGUGGGGCAUAUCCACAACUUCUCUUCUGAUCUGCUGCAGUCCUCUUAAUGGUUUCUACCAUAAGGCUCAUGACCUUGAAUUUUUGGGGCACAUAAAAAAUGUGAAGCAUGUUAAUUGCAUGCCCUCUUAUCAUGUUGUGGUCACCUGAUUUGGGAAAAAGAGUGUGCCUUAAGAUCCAAUUGAUCGUAGGCAGCCCUGAUAGAAGAAAAUGGACUGACCCAAAUGAGAAAGUCUCAAGGGCUUUGUCUGGGAUCUCUUUGUACAUAUGUGACAUAUAAUUGUGUCCCAUCUUCUUCUUGGCAUAUAUAUCCAAAUCAUCUUCACUCUCUUUUGGGGCAUUGAUCAGAUUUGCCCAUUCCUCUAUGGUUGACUGAUAUCUUGUUCCUUCAUACAUCCAAACUAUCCUGCCAUCUGGAUAGAAGUGUGCUAUGGAGUAGAAUUGCAUAAUGAGUUCAUCAUUCCAGUUGGUGAGCUUCUGCCCAACAAAGUCUUCAACUCCACAAGCAAUGAAACUAUCUUGCACUCCAGGAUAGUGUUCUUCAUUUUCCUUUAUGUAGGUCUAGUCGACCCAUCUCAUAUCACACACUAUAGGCUUCUUGUCCAACAAGAUUGUCUCAUAGAAGUCCUACUGCUCCUUGUGUGGAACCUGUAAUCUACAACAGUCCUUCUCCUGGUGGCAUAUGGAUCAGACAAUCUCCAUAGCCUCAACCCUGAGUCUUUCCUGAUCUUCAUGUUCUCAGCCACAGGAUGAGCAUCAUUGCGGUCUGGAAUCUUGGGUUUGAGCUUUCUUAGGACCUGCCCUUCUUCAUCUUCCUCAGCAGCAAUCUCAGGCAUUGGGGCCUUGUUCUUCUCAGCUGCUGAUAUACUCCUGGUAUUUCUCUUUGGUGCAAUUUUGGGCUUGGGGGUAGCUUUGGGUGCUUCUUUGGGCUUUGAUGUUGCAGCCCCUGGCUUUAUUGUAUCACCCAUAAGCUUCUGUGCCUUUGGUGCUGGUGCAGCAACCUCUUCUUCCUCUUCCAUCAUGGAAGGUUGACCAAGAACUCUGGCCAUGGUCUUCUUGACCCUUUCCUUCCUUUUCUUUCCUUCUACAGCUGGCUCUUCAGGCAUCUCAGGUACUUGAGUUGAUCCUCUGGCUUUAUACAUUGGCUGUCUCCCUGCUGGCCUUUUGAUCUUCAUGCCUGGCUUUACUGCAGUUGAACUGAGCACCUUCUUGAGCACUACCUUCUUGGAAGUAGCCUCAUCUUCUACUGCCACAUAGUCCUCAUCCUCUGAGUCUGAGGUUCUCUUCCUUCUAGAUCUUGUGGCUGCUUUGGGCAAGUUGCUUGGAGUGCUUUUGCUCCCUUCAUCUGAAGUACUUGAGGGACUAGUGCCCUCACUCAUGUGAAUCUGCUCUUCUUCCCUGUUCUGACUGUCACUAAGGUCUGACAUGCUGCAAAUCACUGACUGCUGACCCUGUGAAUAGUUAUAGUUGAGACAGAGUGGAUGAGCAUCACAAAAUGCAGAGAUUUUUGCAAAAGAAUGAUUUAAAAACUUAGUUUUAGUUUCCACAUAAAGCAUUUCGGAUCUACCGAUUUUCAAACUCGGUGAUACCGAAGCAGUUUUGGAACCUAAACUAGUGAUCCCAGUCAGACCGAGUUACAGUUCGGUGGCACCAAGACUGCUAGGGUUUCACAAAGUUCUAAAAUCGGUCACACUAAUUUGUAAUUCUCGGUCAGACCGAGACUUACUAGUGCAAUGGUGUUAGCCAAAUCGGUGGGACCGAGUUUUUCAACUCGGUGGGUCCGAGAUGGUUUCGGCGGAAACCUAGCCCUAAAUUUUCGAAUCACAUCUAUUCUAAGGAUCACAUUGGCUGGAUAGGAGUGUUUCAAUCGUGGCAAGAUGCAUUACAACACAAUGUGCUGAUAAUCAGAUGAGGAAAGCACUAUGAUUGAGUUCAUACCCUAGUUCGGCGGUGAACUCGCUACGACGGCAACGGCGGAGAAGAAAUCCGUUGACGGCGGUAGAGACCAGCGAUAGGAGGCGGCUGGCGACGAAGUCGACGAUCCGUAGACCUAGUAGGCAGAGCGAGCUACGCGUGGGCGAAGGGGUUUGGAGGAAUUUCCAAAUUUUUGCCCGUGUCUAUAUAUAGCCCGACACUGUCGGUGUGACCGAGUUGAACAACUCGGUGGCACCGAGAUGCAUAACUGUUAACAGUUACAGCAACUCGGUGUGACCAAAAAGUUCAUAUUGGUUGCACCGAGAUGGAAAGCUUAGAUCGACUUAGUGAUCCCGGUGGGACCGAAAUGGAGGAAUCGGUCAGACCGAGAAUCACAAAGAAGUUUUGGAAGUUUAAGUCUAUGACGAAUCGGGGAUCCAAGUGCUCCUCACACAGAGUGGUUCGAAUCUGACUUGAUCAAAUUUUGUGAUGUAGCAUGAAUAGAGUUUGAGACGAGAAAAGCAUAGAUAGCUAGAGAAGGUUCUUAGGCAUUCUUGUCCAUCCACUUGGUCAAAGAAAAGGAAACCAAUCAAUCAAACAACAGGUGGAUGUCCUCGAAUGAGUAAAAUAUGCAACCAACAUGCUCACACAAUAAAGUGACAAAUUAGAUAUGUGGCAAAGCAUGCACAACCAAUUCUAGCAUCUAUCAAACAAUUGGCGAUGACUAGGUCAUCUAUAUAUGAGUAUAUUGCCUUAGGAGUCAAAUGAAAACAUUUGAUCAUAGGUCAUACUCAUCGUUUAAGCUCAAGUGGGGUUACCACUUUUACAUAAUGCAUUGAUGUGUUCACAUCAUUAGAGUUGCUUUGACUCAAUUCUUAGAGUUAAGCUCCCCCUAGAUGUGAGUUCCCCCCUUAGAGGGAUGAACUAACCUUGGGUUUUGUCGAUGAUGACUUCAUGUAGGUGUUGAAGAUGUGGAUGCUCAAUGUUGAUGUAGAUCUUUUGGAGCAAUCCUUUGGAGUGAGUUGCACUUUCAAUACCUACACGGGUUAGUCCCACAAGGAACAAAACAAGAAUAUCCAUAGACAUAGAGUGAUGCACACACAAGAUGAUGUCCAUGAAAUCAUUUGGUUACCUUGUCCCUUGCCUUACCAAUAUGAGGGUUUGUGACUCCUUGAACUAGUGCAAGAUGUGGAGGUUGAUUGCACUUGUUCUUGCCAUAAAGAUAUGAGUGAAGAAUGUUGGCGGAGUCACCCUCAAGAACUCUCUAGUUCUUCUUCUUUGGGAUCCACAUCAUCUUGAUGGGAAUCCUUGGAGUUGUAGUUGUACUUGAUGAAGUAGAAUUUGACGUAGUCUUGGGAACCCACUUGACCAAGGCCUUAGGUGCUUCUUGAAAUGCAUCAAUCUCCUCUUGAAGCUUGUCCUUGCCUUUAUGGUCUUGUGGUGGAAGAUCAUCUUGAGCUUGUGUUCCCUUGAAAGAAGUAGGAUCAUACUUCUCUUGUUGAGGAACAAACUCCGUCUUGGGGUAUUGAUCUUCUUCCCACUCAACUCCAUUGGCAUUGAACUUUCGUUCAAAACCAACACCUUGAUUCUUCCGGUGCCUUCCUUGCUUGCGUACAAUUUCAACGAAUUGCUUACUCCCGACAAGGCUCUUGUAUACACCUUUCUCUAUAAUUCCCUUCAAUAAGCUAUUUUCUUGCUCAAGUGUAACUUGGCUAAGAGAAUCAUUAGUGGAAUCAAGAGAACUACUAGAAGCAACAAUAUUGGAUUUAGCAUAGUUAUUGUUACUACUAGAGGAAGAAUCUUUCUUGCUCUUGUUACUAGACUUGACUUGAGGCAUGUAAGUAGAUAAGAGUAAACGCUUGGCAAUAUAAGAAGAACUUUUCUUGCGAAGAUCAUCAUUGAUUGCCUUUAAGAACUCAUGCUCUUUCUCAAGAUUGAGCUUUUCAAAGCGUAACUUCUCAUGAGCCCUUAAAAGUUCUCGAUGAUUUUCGAAGAUAGUUUCAUGAGCUAACUUAAGAGUGUUUAGUUCUUUAGUUAGAAGCUCAAUCUUCUCCUUAUCAUUGUCAUUCGUUUUAUCUUGUUUAGCAUGAUUAAUUGAUGUUUCAUCAUAGUAUUCAUCACUAGAGUUGUCAAUAAGUAAAUCAUCAUCACCUAGCAAGUCAUCUUCAUCACUAUUGAAAUCAACAUACUCGGGAUGUGUUACCUUUGGACCUUUGGCCAUGAAGCAUCUUCCAAUUCCUUCAUUUGGUGAGUCAAAUAUGUCGUAGGAGUUAGUUGACACAAGUUCUAGACCGGCAACACCUUCAUCUUGAGUAUGUUCAGAGUCGAAGUGAUAGCUUCUUUUGGAGUGAUGUUCUGAUUCGGAACUGGAUUCCCAUUCAUCAACAUGAGCUUGAUGUCUUUGUUUUGUGUAGCUCUUUGAUGACUUGUCCUUCCUUUCCGAAUAUUUGCUUCUCUGUGAGGGUCUUCGUUCAUAACGAUCAUCUCUACUCCUUCUCUCUCUUGGUGGUGAUUCUUCUCUUCUACUUCUUCUUUUUGGAGAAUCUUCUCUUCUUUUGUAGGGUGCCGUACACUCAUUGGAAUAGUGUCCGGGUCUCCCACAAUUGUAGCAGUUGCGCUCUCGACUGGAAGAUCUUUUGUCAUUGUAGGACCUUGACUUAGAGCUUCUUUCUUUGCUUCUACUCUUGUAGAAUUUGUUGAAAUUUUUCACCAUUGAGCUCAAUUCUUCAUUGAAGGUUUGUUUCUCACUUGAUGAUGUGGGGGCUUCACAUGAGGCUUUGUAACCACCACUUGACUUGUUGUGAAGUUCCUCCUUAUCCUUGAGUGACAUCUCAUGAGCAACAAUUCUACCAAUGACCUCCGUUGGCUUGAGAUUCUUGUAAUUGGGCAUCAUUUGAAUCAAUGUGCACACGGUAUCAUAUUUUCCAUCCAAUGCUCUUAGGAUCUUCUUGAUGAUGAAUCUGUUGGUCAUUUCUUCACUCCCUAAGCCGGCAAUCUCAUUUGUGAUAAGAGCAAGCCUAGAGUACAUUUCAGCGACACCUUCACCAUCCUUCAUUUUGAACUUGUCAAGCUGACUUUGGAGCACAUCCAACUUGGAUUCCUUGACGGAGUCGGUACCUUCAUGCAUAUCAAUCAAAGUGUCCCAAAUUUCCUUUGCAUUCUCAAGACGGGUGAUUUGUUGAAUUCUUCAGGGCACAAUCCGUUGAAGAUGAUAUCACAAGCUUGAGCGUUGUAUUGCAACAUCUUCAAUUCUUCUGCAUUAGCUUCACGGUUCGGCUCUCUCCCAUCAAAGAAAUCACCUUGCAAGCCAAUACAAAUAAUAUCCCAAACGGUGGGCUUAUGUCCGAGAAUAUGCAUUUUCAUCUUAUGCUUCCAACUAGCAAAAUUAGUUUCAUCAAAGUAAGGACCUCUACGGUGAUAAUUUCCCUCGCUAGACGCCAUACUCUCCUAGGUUGUGAAACCAAGGCUAUGAUCACCAAAAGCUAUGGAAAUACAAGCAAAUGGAGACCAAGGCUCUGAUACCACUUGUAGGACCUUGAAGUAUGUCUAGAGGGGGGGGGGUGAUUAGACUACUUGACCAAUUAAAAACUUAACCUUUUCCCAAUUUUAGAGUUUGACAGAUUUUAGCAUCUUUGGACAAGUCAAGCAAUCAUCACACAAAUCAAGCAAGCAUGCAAAGAGUAUAUAGGUAGCGCAAAUUAAAGCAUGAAACUUGCAAGAAAGUAAAGGGAAGGGUUUGGAGGAUUCAAACGCAGUUGGAGACACAGAUGUUUUUGGCGUGGUUCCGAUAGGUGGUGCUAUCGUACAUCCACGUUGAUGGAGACUUCAACCCACGAAGGGUAACGGUUGCGCGAGUCCACGGAGGGCUCCACCCACGAAGGGUCCACAAAGAAGCAACCUUGUCUAUCCCACCAUGGCCGUCGCCCAUGAAGGACUUGCCUCACUAGCGGUAGAUCUUCACGAAGUAGGCGAUCUCCUUGCGCUUACAAACUCCUUGGUUCAACUCCACAAUCUUUGUCGGAGGCUCCCAAGUGACACCUAGCCAAUCUAGGAGACACCACUCUCCAAGAAGUAAUAAAUGGUGCGUUGAUGAUGAACUCCUUGCUCUUGUGCUUCAAAUGAUAGUCUCCCCAACACUCAACUCUCUCUCAUAGGAUUUGGAUCUGGUGGAAAGAAGAUUUGAGUGAAAAGCAACUUGGGGAAGGCUAGAGAUCAAGAUUCAUAUGGUAGGAAUGGAAUAUCUUGGCCUCAACACAUGAGUAGGUGGUUCUCUCUCAGAACUGGUAAGUUGGAAGUGUAGGUUUGUUCUGAUGGCUCUCUCCACGAAUGAAGAGGAGGUGGAGGGUUAUAUAUAGCCUCCACACAAAAUCUAACCGUUACACACAGUUUACCAAUCUUGGUGGGACCGAAUCAAUAAACUCGGUCAGACCGAUUUAGUAAACCUAGUGACCGUUAGGAUUUUUGGUGGGACCGAAACGCAACUCGGUGAGACCGAUAUGGUUGGGGUUAGGGCAUAACGUAAUCUCGGUGAGACCGAUUACACAAACUUGGUAGGACUGAUUUUGGUAAUUAGCUAACCAGAGAGUUGGUCAGGUAAACUCGGUGGGACCGAUUUGCUCUUUUCGGUGAGACCGAAAUGUUACAAAAGGGAAACAGAGAGUUUACAUUGCAAUCUCGGUGGGACCGAUCGCUCACUUCUGUUAGACCGAAACGUUAUGAAGGGAAACAGAGAAAUUACAAUCCCAUCUCGGUGAGACCGAGAUCCUUAUCGGUGAGACCGAUUUGCCUAGGGUUUGUGGCAGUGGCUAUGACAUCUGAACUCGGCGGCGCCGGAUAGAAAGAAUCGGUGAGACCGAUUUUGGCUUUAGGUUUAGGUCAUAUGUGGAUGUGAGAAAAUAGUUGAGGGUUUUGGAGCAUAUCACUAAGCACAUGAAGCAAGAGGCUCAUUAAGCAACACCUCAUCCCUCCUUGGUAGUAUUGGCUUUUCCUAUAGACUCAAUGUGAUCUUGGAUCACUGAAAUAUAAUAUGAAGAGUCUUGAGCUUUUGAGCUUGAGCCAAUCCUUUGUCCUUGAUAUUUUGAGGGAUCCACUUUCAUCAUCCAUGCCAUGCCAUUCAUUGAGCUUUCCUGAAAUAUAUGUCUUGGAAUAGCAUUAGCUCAAUGAGCUAUAUGUUGUUAUGAAUUACCAAAACCACCUAGGGAUAGUUGCACUUUCACAAAGGAACGCCAAGACAGAGACACGAAGAGAAAGAGGGUGAGGUGGACUCCCCCGGCAAGACCCUUGCCGGGGCGGCCUCCACGGCCCCGGCAAGGACCUUGCCGGGGCAGCUUGCCCAAACCCAGCGGAGCGCGCCACCCUUGAGCCCGAGGUUUGCAAUACCAACAAACACAUUGGAACCAAGGCUCGGGAGGCGCCUCCAUGGUGGCAUGCAGAUCUUUGUGAAGAUCAUUAACACACAAUAUCAGGUAAGGACCAGAAGACGAGACCUCCGGCAUCAUCCUUGCCGGGGACGACCACAGUGCCACGGCAAGACCCUGGCCGCCCCCCGCCCCGGCAAGACCCUUGCCGAGGAAAUAAGUGAGGCCACGGCCAGGCCCACAUGCGUCAAGACCCCACCGCCGUUCCCAUGCAGCUGCCAGCCCAGCCAGGCAGGCGGGCACCUGCGUGGCGACGUGCGGUUUCGAGGCCAACUCAGCAAGCACCUGCGUUGUGGCAUGCAGAUCUUCAUGAAGACGCUGCUACCGUGCCACCUCAGCAGCAUGCCAGCCUACAUGGCGCUGCCCGCCCCGCUGGCCUGGGCGCGUGUCGAAGCAGGGCAAGGCGGCACCUCAGAGGCGCAUUUAAUGCGUAUUGUCCCAUAAUGGCAAGCGAUAAAGAUAACUACUGAACCAUUUCCACCUCCUGUCACUAUAAAAAAAGACACAUCCAUGACAUUUUGGGCCAAACGAAUUUUUUUCUGUCAUACUUAUGAGACUUCUAUGAUGAUAAUUGUGAAAAAACCCGGUAUCAUCAUAGAUGUGGUGGGCUCCUACUUCUAUGACAAAAAAUCAUGACAGAAAAUGGGCUUUUCGUCCUGGGCGGGCCGGAGACGCAGCUGCAUGACAUUCUUUGGUCCAUCCAUGACGGAAAAAACCGUGGUAGAAGAGAGGGCGAGGAAAAUAUCGGGGUGUUCCCGGUUAUAGUGGGUGGUCGGGGCCGAGCGAUGCACCUCCUCUCUCGUACACGUACGCACGUGGGUGCGAGGCAUUGUGCUGUAACUUAACCCGAGCAAGGCGUUCACCUAUACUGAACCCGAGCGAUUGCACUGCAGGCUACGCGUUACUGAACCCGAGCAAUCGAUCGAUGCAUGGCUGUUAACUGAACCCGAUCGAGCGAUUCCUUCGCUACUGCUGCUACCUGGAGCCGAUCGAUGCUGCCUCUNNNNNNNNNNNNNNNNNNNNNNNNNNNNNNNNNNNNNNNNNNNNNNNNNNNNNNNNNNNNNNNNNNNNNNNNNNNNNNNNNNNNNNNNNNNNNNNNNNNNNNNNNNNNNNNNNNNNNNNNNNNNNNNNNNNNNNNNNNNNNNNNNNNNNNNNNNNNNNNNNNNNNNNNNNNNNNNNNNNNNNNNNNNNNNNNNNNNNNNNNNNNNNNNNNNNNNNNNNNNNNNNNNNNNNNNNNNNNNNNNNGAACAGGAUCCCAUGGUGUUGCCUCUGGAUGAACAUGACCCCGAUCAAUCGAGCCGGUUGGGGCUGGAUGAACAGGACCCCGUGGAGGGUUGGAUGAACAGGACGACCCCGUGGAGGGCUGGAUGAAUAGUAGAUAGUGGAGGGGUGGAUGAACAGUAGCCCGUGGAGGGGUGGUUGAACAGGAGCCCGUGGAGAGGGGUGGUUGAAUAGUAGCCGGUGGAGUAGCGCGCGGUGGAGACUGGAUGAACAUGAGCCCGUGGAUGAACAGUCAUAGGUGGAGGCUAGAAUAGGUCGACGGUGGAUGAACAGUAGCCCGCGGAGGCUGGAGGAGGUCGACGGUUGAGAUGAACAGUAUCCCGUGGAGUCCCGUUUUGCGGUACGCCACACCCCUCCCGAUGAACAGGACCCCCGUUUCGAACGUAGCGCUCCAACACAAGUCCGUUUCCUCCAUUUUGCGGUACGCCACACCCCUCCCGAUCAGCAGGACCCCAUUUCGACCGUAGGAGGUCCAACACAAGUCCGUUUCCUCUGUUUUGCAGUAUGCCAGACCCCUCCCGAUGAACAGGAUCCCGUUUCAAAUGUGGCCGGUCGAACACAAGGCCGUUUCCUCCGUUGUGCGGUACGCUAGGCCUCGUUUCCAUCGCCUAUUCCGUCCAAGCCCUCCCGAUGAACACUGUUGGCGUCUUGGGAACGGGGGUCCCCAGACUUGCCUGCAUGCAGCCUGCAGCAUGGCUCAACCAGUGGCCCAGUACGGCCCGUCAUCAUGAACAGACGCUCAAGACCCUCGCGAUGGGCCAAGACUCGUGGGGCGGACGGUGCAAGGCCUCGUCAGGGGCGGCCUCACCAGGCAGGCUCGCGAGGAGGCGGAGAGAUCAAGGCAAGGGGUACCUCGCGAGGUGCUCAUGACGCAAGCCAUGACGAUCAAGACCAGGCGGGCGCCAGCCUGCGCAGUGUCGUCGUUUCCUCUUUGGUGCAAAGGGGGCAAGCGCAGGCGCGGAGUACCGAGGCAUCAGGCAAAGGUUUCCAUAUUGGUGCAACGAGACCAAGACCAGCAGAGCGGCAGGAUGGAGGUCACCGUGGAGCCCAAGACGGCGUCAUCACCAGUGUCUUUGGCAGUCGAAGACCACCUUUAGUCAGGAUAGCUUGUACUAGCUGUCCCCUUUCAAAAUGGCCGUUGCUGGCUCCCUUCCCGCUCAAUAUUUGGGAAGAGGACCUGGGCCUCUAUAAAUAGAGAUAGCCACCACAGUAGAAGACGAGUUAAGUUCAUCCACAUACGACCACCACAAGAACACCUCUCGCGAGGCUGUUCUUCCUCUGUAUUGUUCAUCAUCAGCCCAAGAGGCAAUCCACCACACCACACACGGGAGUAGGGUAUUACACCACAACGGUGGCCCGAAUCUGUAUAAAUCUUGUGUCUCUUGUGUUGUUCAUCGUGUUAGCUUAGAUUCGCGGCGAGGUUUUGGGACGUGAAUCAGUAGGGAGAAGAUCUUUGUGCGCACCCCAGAGUUUGAACCUUAAGGGUUUUGUCGGAACCCGAUAUCCAACAUUUGGCGCGCCAGGUAGGGUUGCGCCGGAGCUCUCCCUUCCGUCGACCCGCUCUCCACCAACACCGCGCCUCGCCCUCAUGGCGGACAACGCGCCACCGGCUCCGGCCGCCGACACUAGCGCUGGGGCCAGGGGGCUCCGAGGCUUGGCCCCCACCUUACGGCAGGUGUUGUGGCCGCACAAGUUCAAGCCAGGGAUGCCGCCGCGCUACGACGGUGCGGCGGACCAGCUGGCUUUCCUGCUGGCAUAUGAAGAGGCUGUCGUCAAGGCCGGAGGCGACGACAAGGUCAUGGCCAACUAGUUUCCGAUGGCCCUCACCGGCGUGCCACGCGUUUGGCUGCUCCACCUGCCAACAUCUUAUGUGGCCUCCUGGGAGGAGCUGCACAAGCUCUUCCUCACCCACUACGCUGUGCCGGUGCCCCCGGUCCUUGCAGCUUUCCUGGGCGGCUCACAGGCGCCACCUUUGAGCUGCCACGUCAAGCCGUUCGUCCGCCAGAUCAGCGCCGCCCUCACGCGGCAGGGAGCUCCUCCGGGUUGGGCGGCACCCAAGGCUGACCUGACCUUCAACUCUGAUGAUCACCCCGUCAACAUCGCCUGCUCGGGUGCGCUCCCAAUGCUUUGCAUGCCCACCAUCUGCCAGGUGGUGUUGGAUAUCGGGUUUCGGCAAAACCCUUAAGGUUCAAACUCUGGGUUGCGCACGAAGAUCUUCCCCCUACCGAUCCACGUCCCAACGCCUCACUGAGAAUCUAAGCUAAACGGUGAACAACAUGAGGGACACAAGAUUUAUACUGGUUCGGGCCACCGUUGUGGUGUAAUACCCUACUCCAGUGUGUGCUGUGGUGGAUUGCCUCAGGGGCUGAUGAUGAAUAGUACAAGGGAAGAACAGCCUCGCGAGAGGUGUUCUUGUGGUGGUGAUUUGAGAAGGAUUCGAUCCGCUCUCGAUGGCUCUAGAUCAGAUCCUGAUGAUAUGUCCCUCUACUAUGGUGGUUAGCCCUAUUUAUAGAGGCCCUGGUCCUCUUCCCAAAUAUUGAGCGGAAAGGGCGCCAACAAUGACCAUUUUGAAGGGGAACAUCUAGUACAAGUUAUCCUGAUUAAAGUUGGUCUUCGGCUACCAAAGGCACUAGUGAUGACACCGUCUUGGGCUCCACGGUGACCUCCGUCCUGCCGCUCUGCUGGUCUUGGUCUCAUUGCACCGAAAUGGUAACCUUUGCUUGAUGCCUCAGUACUCCGCGCCUUUGCUUGCCCCCUUUGCACCAAAGACGAAAGAAGGAGACUGCGCAGGCCGGCGCCCGCCUGGUCUUGGUCGUCAUGGCUUGCGUCACGAGCACCUCGCGAGGUAUCCCUGCCUUGAUCUCUCCGCCUCCUCGCAAGCCUUCCUGGUGAGGCCGCUCCUGAGGAAGUCUUUCGUCGUCCGCCCCGCGAGGCUUGGCCCCUCGUGAGGGUCUUGAGCUCGAGUUGAUGAAGAUGGGCAGUACUGGGCCACCACUUGAGCCACGCCGCAGGCCGCAGGCAGGCUAGUUUGGGGACCCCCGUUCCCAGAACACCGACAGUAGCCCCCGGGCCGAAGGCGCGCUCAGACUUGGCUUAGCAGAGAAGAGAAAGGGCAAGUGCGGAGUGCCGUGGGCCCCACAGCCUGCAGCCUUGGUCGUCGUGUGGUGGUUGAUUGGACGUGGGCGUCCCCGCUUCCCCACGCUGCCUCGGCAACUGCCCGACUUGACAAGUCCCUGCACGCAAAAAUGAGUCAUGAUUACCUGCGAUCAUGGAGGCCAACGGUUGGCCUCCUCUGGGCUAUAAAUGCGAGGGGGGGGGCAAGCCACCACAGUCCAUCUCUUCCUACUCCGCUCCUUCUUCCUUGCUCCUCCCCAUCUGCUUGCUGUGUCCCAUGGCGCCUACGAAGAGGUUCUCAGCUGUAGAGAAGGGGAAGGCUCGCCAGGAAGGGCCUAGCUCUCCUCCACCCAAGCGCGGCCGAGGCCGUCCCCGCAAGCACCCCACAACUACUGCAGUGGCCGCCUGUGGUCGUGGCGGAGGUCUUUCGUGCGGUGAAGGUCGCUCGAUUUGCGGGGGAAGACGCGUCGUGGCUACACGGCCUCCCCGCCUGCGCUUUCACUCGGCAGAGGUGCUAUCGGAGUUUGUCGUUUGGUCGGCGGAUCUGACCGCAACUGGCUUCAGCUCCCACGCUUCUUCACCGGCAAACUACCGGCAGGUGCCACUGGUGGGCUCUGGCUUCAGGCGGACGGCUGCAGCAGCAGAGCCUCCUGGGUCGCGGUGGAGGUCUCCGUCGCCGGGAACGUGGCCUUGGCUCGCGGCUGGCAGACGUUUUCCCGCGCGCGUGGCCUGGGCCGGCGGUGCACCCUGCAUUUCAAGUUUGAUGGUGAUGCCACCCUCUACGUGAGGGUGUUCGUAGAGGACAACCGCCGUGUCGGGUGCUGCCCUGAAGAUGAUGACGACUGUCGGUGUCAAAACCAGCGGAUCUCGGGUAGUGGGUCCCGAUCUAUGCGUCUUAGGCUGAUGGUAACAGGAAGCAAGGGACACAAUGUUUACCCAGGUUGGGGCCCUCUCGAUGGAGGUAAAACCCUACUUCCUGCUUGAUUAAUAUUGAAGAUAUGAGUAGUACAAGAGUAGAUCUACCACGAGAUCGUAGAGGCUAAACUCCUAAGAGCUAGCCUAUGAUGGUAUGAUUGUAAUUGUGAUCGGCCUUCUAAGGACCAUCCUCUCCGGUUUAUAUGGACACCAGAGAGGGCUAGGGUUUACAUGGAGUCGGUUACAAGGAAGGAAAUACAAUAUCCGGAUCGCCAAGCUUGUCUUCCACACAAAGGAUAGUCCUAUCUGGACACGGGCCGAAGUCUUGAGUCUUGUAUCUUCACACUUCAAAAGUCCGGACGGUGUAUACAGUCCGGCUGUCCGGAUACCCCCCUAUCCAGGACUUGGAAGUGCUAGUUAUCGACUAGAGGGGGGAAUAGGCGAUCUUUAUCAUCGUCUUCAAAACAUGGAAGUUUCGAAGACAAACAAUAGAAAUGACCUAAUUGAUAUGCAAUGGAGGAUAAACUACAACAAGCAAGCCAUAGUCAAGUAUGCAAUAAUGUGAACGUACAAAGACUAAUAGCAGCUAGGUAGUAAGGAUCAGGAUGGAAGAUAGUACGAAGCCAAUCAAUGAAAGUAGUCAAGCAACAAAGUCAAACCGAUAAGACAAAUAAGCAAUGACUUCACGAAGACAAACUCAAAGUAAAGGAGGGAAGGGAUAGAACCAGUCACUUGUUGAAGACACAAGAUUUUUUGGACCAGUUCCAGUUGUUGUGACAACUGUACGUCUGGUUAGGGAGGCUGAGAUUCAACUCAGAAGACCGUGUCUUCACCUUAUUCCCCUUGAGCUAAGGACACACAGUCCUCGCCCAAUCACUCUGGUAAGUCUUCAAGGUAGACUUCCAAACCUUCACAGACUUUGUUCACCGGCAAUCCACAAUGACUCUUGGAUGCUCAGAACACGACGCCUAACCGGCUGGAGGAUACACAGUCCUCAAGUGUAAUAAGUCUUCAGGUCACACAGACAGAAAGACUUCAGUGAUGCCUAACACUCUUUGGUCUGGGUGUUUGGGCUUUGUCCUCGCAAGGAUUUCUCUCUCAAAGGCUUCGAGGUGGGUUGCUCUCAAAACGACAAAAGCCGCAAACUAACUCUGAGCAGCCACCAAUUUAUGGUGUAGGGGGUGGGCUAUUUAUAGCCACAAGGCAACCCGACCUGAUAUGUCUGAAAUGACCCUGGGUCACUAAGGAACUGACACGUGUUCCAACGGUCAGAUUUCAAACACACACGGCAACUUUACUUGGGCUACAAGCAAAGCUGACUCAUCCAGCUCUGGAUAAGAUUUGCUCUCAUUGUCUUUGCUCGAAGAUAUAGGAUUUGGGUUGAGCAUCACUUCAGUCACUCUGACUUUGUUCACUUGGACCCCACUUAACAGUACGGUGGUUCCUAUGACUCAACAAAGAAGAAAAGGAAACAACGAAACAACUCAAUCUUCGCGCUCCAUAGUCUUCACUCAAUGUCUUCUCAUGUCAUAGUCUUCAGUGUGAUUAUCUUCACACACCACCAUUGUCUUCAAUGUCUUCAUACGUUUUUAGGGUUCAUCUCCGGUAGGUAAACCGAAUCAAUGAGGGACACUUCCUGCGUUAUCCUGCAAUUCUCACAAACGCAUUAGUCCCUCAACCAACUUUGUCGUCAAUACUCCAAAACCAACUAGGGGUGGCACUAGAUGCACUUACAAUCUCCCCCUUUUUGGUGAUUGAUGACAAACUGGUUGAAGUUUUCAACGGGAAAGAAGUAUGUGAAAUUGUAAAGGGUAGGGUAUUGUCUUCAUAAGUGGCAAGGGCUCCCCCUGAAGAUGUGCAUAUAAAUAAUUUGCUUUUGGAAUGCAAAUGCACAUGGCAGGUUGUACUUUUGGAGAUCCUCUUCAACUUAUGAAGAUAAUUCAUCAUGCACGAAAUGAUAUAACUAAGAGAAUGACAUGCAUAAUGAAAAAUGGAUGUCUGCAGAAUGAUCUAAGUGCGGAAGUUAUCAUCGCACGUGGAAACGCAAAUAAGUAGCAGACGACCAUCAAGUUUAAGUGUUACAACUCAAAAAAAACAAAGUGUAUCAAAUGCAAGAGUUGUAAGCACUAGGCAAAAAUAUAAAGCAACUGCCCUUAUGAACCCGCUUGAAGACUAUCAACUCAUAUGCUUCUCCCCCUUUUGUCAGUAAUGACCAAAAAGGUUUGAAGACAUAGAGCAUCUACUCGUCCUCAUGAGGAGUAGGUGAAGCAGUAGGGUUGUCGUUGUUGUUUGGCGGUGCAGACGAACUUGGUGCAGUGUCGAUGCGUGCAGAAGUAGGGGGUGGUGAUGUAGCAUCAUCUUCAUCAUCGAUCAUAUUUGCAUGCAUAGUUGCCGCGGAGGAAGAAUAGUCAUAGUCUUCAAGAGAUGGAGUUCUUCGUAGGACAUCAUUCUGUGGAGGAGUGGAGUCAAACUUGAAUCUUUCAGUGAAGCCAUCGUCUUGAAGAUCUGCUUCAGCACUGAGCAGGGUCAAACUCUUCCAUGAUCGCCGACAAGUUUCGUGAGUGACAAAUGCAUUCUUGGUGGCAAGGUUUCGAAUGCGAUUUACAUCCACCAAGAGGCUUUACAUUUGACGCUUGAGCCAAAAAUGAUGCUUAUCUUGUUUCUGAUGCAGGGCCACUAGAAGUUCUCGGUCAUUUAGGACCCGAGAGCGCUUCCGAGGCCUUUGAGCAAUUGUGCUCUCAGUAGCUUCAGUUGGCGCAUGAUGAGGUAGACGAGUGUUUCCAGCCAUUGGAUAGACACGAGUUACGACUUGGACUCCUUCCAUAGGCUGAGUCAAGCUUUGGUGUUCAGCAUUUUGAAGACUAAGAGGCUUCUUGGCAGGUUCAGGGUAUAUGGCUUCAACUGACAUAUCAACCUCUGGUAGAAAGAUCACAUGAUUGCGAGCAGAGGGUUGAUAGUUGAUAGCAGAAUGUUGCUUGAUAAGGCGCAUGACCCAUGGAGCAUAGAAUUUCAGUCCGAAAAGGUCAGAUCCAGAUGCAGCCAGUUGCCGAAGGAAGAAAUCUUGUGCAUUGAAGCUGAUGCCAUUGAGGAUGUAAAAGACCAAUGUCUUCAUGGCUCCUUCAAGUUUUUCAGCUGAUGAAUGUCCUUUGAUCGGCCAUAGAGUCCGCCUGAUGAUGUGAUAUAUGGUGCGCGGCAGAUACUCAAGGUCAUCAACAAAGAACUCCUUUGGAUAUUCAACAUCAUGUGGCAAAGGCUUCAUCAUGCUCAACAUCUGGCUCAAGUUUGGUUCUGGUUUAUGGAAGAUGCUCUCCAGUGCAUUGUGGUGGUUUUGACAACCAGGUUCAUAUAGCUCUCUGGGAGUGGAUAGACCUGUAAGCUCAAUGAUGUCAAGAGCUUUGGCUUCAUGAUGAACAUUUCCUGUCAUCCACUCGAGAACCCAUGUCUUUGUAUCUCUGUUGUAACCGCGAAUGUGGAGCGUAGCAUAGAAUUGAAGCGGUAGUUCUUCAUUCCAAUGUUCUUUGUCUAUCACAAAGCUGAGCAGACCAGCAUCACAAAAGCAGUCAAGUGCUUCUUCUAAGCAUGGUAGUCCAGCAAUGGCUUCAGUGUCGAGGCGCAUAUGAGGGAAAAUGCGCCCUUGAUCAUACAGAACACAGGAGUAAUAGCUUCGUUGCUGAUGACUCCAGAAACGAUCUGAUGAUAUUCUUGGCCUUGUGUAUGGGUUCUUUGAGCUGUCAAAGAACGUGUUGUGGCUUUUGAAGCCAUUUGCAUUGAAGGACCCGACAGAUGUGGCAGUACCAGGAAACCUUGGCAGUCUUGGCUUUGGCUUCUGGACCUGAGGCCUAUGCUCAAUGUGAUAGUCAAACUGAGGACCAGAGAUAUUAGGCGGAGGGACCAAAACAGGCCAUCUUACUGUGAUUAGCUCGCCAUGGUUGUAUGCUUGCUCAAUUGUAUAGGGCCUUGGUGGCGGAACAGGAGCAGUGGCAGCAACAGUGGCUUCGGGCUGCACAUCAGAAGCUUCAGGAGCAUUUUCAGCAUUGACUUCUGGCACGGUGCUUGGGACAGGCUCCACAUUAGCUUCAGCCAUGACUAUGUCAUUGGCUUCAUUGGUGUUGGUGGUGGCAGCCUCAAGGUUUUCGACCUCCACUUGAUGAGCUGGAGGGUCAGGCACAGACACGUUCACUUCAUGAACAGCUUCUUUAGGAAUGGGGGGAGUAGGGACACGUUCUUCUUGAAGUUCGUCAUCGGUUGAUGCAGUCGGAUUGUCUUCAGCCGCUGGGGCUUCAGACAUAGAGUCAUUCACAGUUGGAGUGGCUUCUGAAAAUACUUGACGUGCAACAGGUUGAUGGUGCACUUCUCCUUCAGGAACGCUCGGAAGAGGGACUUGAGGCCUUGGUCCUUUGCGAAGCCUUUGUAAUACAGGCGACGCCUUUGGAGAUGGAGUAGGCAGGUCCUCAUCCUCUUCAACUUGCAUGGAUGGUGUGACUUGUUGUUGUUGGGGAGUACUGGGGGAGUCUUGUUGUUGCGAGCGAUCAUCCCAUGAUGCAUCCUGAGCAAUUGGCGCCAGAGGACGACCAAUGCUGAUGAUUUCGCUGUUCAUAUGAACAGGCGAUGAUACCACAUUGUAUUCAAUUUGAGGAAGAACUUCAUCAUCUUCAACAUUGUCAUGGUGACCAAUGUCUUCAGCAGUGAUGGGAUCAACUGCUGGAAUCUCUUCAGCUUCAGGAGCCUCUGUGGAAGCAGGCUCAUGAACAGUCAUUCGUAGUUCUUGGGUUGCAGAUGCAGGACGAACCACUGAGAUGGGUUCAACAACAAGGGGCUCUGUGCGAGCAGCCCGAUUUUUCUUGGUCUUGCGCUUCUUCUUGGAGGGAGCUGCAUCAGAGGCUUCUGAGGUUUUCCGUUUUCUGGCUUCAGCCUCUGUAGCCCUCGUCUUCUUCUGUUCUGAAGCGGUUGACGUGACUUUUGGCUUCGAGCCAGUCAUGCUGCUUGGGAAGACAAUGCGAGGUUCAUCUUGCCUUGAAGGUGCAGAUUGGAUAGUCGAUUUCUUCUUCUUUGCAGCCAUCCUGGGGUCGAUGCCAGGACAACCAAGAGCCUUGCGCUUCUUUGCCUCAUUGUAGGCAAGCACACACUUGUCAGCCAGACCCUUCAUGCGCUCUCUAGAGCCUCGAGCUUCUUCAUGCUUCUUGAGAAAGGCUUCUUUGAGCUCGUGCAGCAUGAUCUUGAAGUUUUUGACAUCUUGCACGUUGAGCGUGGCCACAUGCUUUUUGAACUGAGCCUUUUCAUAUUCAAUCUUGUGCUUCAGUUCGACGAUGCGCUGAGCAAUAGCUAGCUCAGAAGCAAUGGCGCCAUUGAAGGCGACGCUGAGGCCAAUGGGAAGUUGCAAGUCAUCAAAGCUGAGAUUUGGUGUGUCAAACCACUCAUCAAUGAAGUUAUGGAUGAUUUCCACGUCAAAGGGAGGCAAGUUGUUGAAGAUCUCAGCUUCUUCCUUGCUCUUGAUCAGUUGCUCAAGAGCAUCAUCUGCAAGAUCGUCAUCGCUGGACAGAUCAAUGUGCUCUUCACGCAGAAUGGCAGCAGGAGUCAGAGUCUGAUCAGUACUCUUGAUGAUUUUCUUUUUCUUCUCCUUCUUCUUGGAGAUGCGUGAAAAAUCUUCAGACUGCACACUGUCUUCAGGAGGUGCAGUGGCCAGUGGCUUCACACGAGAAGCUUUUGGAGGUGCAGCUGAUGUUGAAGCCUUAAUUUUCUUUGGCUUCUGCGGCCUUGGAGGAGGAGAUGGGGCUUCAUCAGAAUUAGCAUCAUUAUCAGAAUGAUCCACUUUAGCACCUUGUACCAAGACGUAUGAGAUUAGGCCAUCAAGGUUUGAAAAUGGGCCGAUUCUAUUUUCUUCCGCUUCACGUGUGCCAUCAUCACGGGGAGCAGAGGGACCAGGAUUGAAGUCUAAUCCCCUUGACUUCUUGUUCUCCUUUGUCGAGGCCUUUGCAUACUGGAAGUUGCGCUUGAAGAGAUUGUCGUCACGACACUAGAGCAAUGAUGAUGGGUCGGCAUCUUCAGGCUGUGGUCCACGGACCAUACAGGGAUAGAAUUCUUGUGCAAUGGCUUCAGCUUUGUUCUUGGGGGGAAGGCCUCGAUAGAGAAUAUCACCCCAAGGACUCUUGAUAGCAUUCUUCUCAGCGUACUCUAGGGUCACGAACUUGUACUUGAACCAUUGUUCAGCCCAAUAGCGCCGAAUCCAUUGGAUUCGUGUCUUGCGCUGAUUAUAAUCCUCUUCGGGAUCUGUCUUGUAAAGUUCUGCAAGAUCAUCAGGCAGAUCCUUUGAUGUUCCCCCUCGACACUGUCUGCCACCCUUCCUUACAGAUUUCUCCGUAGCCAUGAACUUCAAACUGAAUGGUUUCAAUAUGUUCAAAGGCUUCAGAGGCUUUCGCUUGCGGGUCAGACAGGAACUGGCUUCGGGAGAUUCAAUGUGUUGUUGUAAGAAUUCUGCAAACGAAUGCAGACUAUGAGAACCUAGGGAUUCUCCCACGGACAUGUACCUGUGACAGCAUUAGAGAUGCGAGGGAAGGGGAAGAGGUCAUAUGUAUGCUCAGAAGAUUUUGAAGAUAAAUCAGUUUGAAGACAUUGACCUCAUGUUGCGAAGACAUUCACUUAUAUGUUGAGAGUCGGUUCCAGAUUUGUACGAAUCCGUGAAUAAGUACAAGUGAGGAAUCUAACUAGAUAUGAAGCUUAAGUGAAUAUACUAGGCAGUAUGAAAUGCAGACAUAAUACAUCUAACUUUGUAUAGACAGAAGCCAAUUUUGGUAAAUUGGAUGAAUCAUUGAGGAUCAAAAAGCUGGUAAAAAUAGAGUUAUAUUUACCACACGAUGAACUGCUAGAUGGGAUGAAUAGGAGACCGAGCAGUUCAAUCCACCGUGCCCUAACUUGGCGACGGAGGACACCUACGGCAGCGGCGGAGAGGACGAUGCCCGCGGCCGGUGUGAGGGCGGCGUCGAAGAAGUCGCGGCAGCUAAGCGCUUCGUCGCCCGCGUCGUCGAGAGCUAGUGGUGGCGCUAGGGUUUUGAUGAGGUGGAGAGGUGGAAGAAGGUUUUCUCGACCGCAGGGGGCACAUAUAUGUAAGAAGGUGUGCGGCACAGCGCCAUUACGCAGGUGCCCCUACCUGUUCACAUCUGAGGAACACGUGGCAAACAUGCAACAUACUCAGAGUUGUCCCACGUUCCCACGCCCGCCAAGUUUGUCGGAUGGACGUUCCGGCUUCUCCGAAUUUCAGUCAAUAAGGAUGAAUCAUUUAAUAGACUUAAUGUUUGUCUCUGUGUCUUCUGCUAACAAGGAUGCAGAGAAGACAUUCGACAGUUUCAAUAGAAUGCAUAUGAUUUGGACAGAUAGAGUUUGAGAUAGUAAGCAUAGAGAGAUUAGGGCCCGAUCACAUUCACUUAGUUCAAAAGAUUCAACAAUGAAGACAUAGCUAUAAGUGAAUGCUGUAGAGGACAGAAUACUAGUAUAUAUAUAUAUAUAUAUAUAUAUAUAUAUAUAUAUAUAUAUAUAUAUAUAUAUAUAUAUAUAUGAAAAAGCAAUCAAAUUAACAUAGUGAAGUGAAUCAUGAAGAUUAGUUGAAAUUUUGAAGUCAAAUCAAAUGCGAAGAUAUUCAACAAUAACGCCAUGAGUGAAACACUUCAAACCAAGAAAUUUGGUGGUGGCGUUACCCACCGUAUAGGAAGUAUUAGACCCAGACACGGCGCACAAUUAUCGUGGCGCUCCGAAGUCAAAUUCCAUGUUAAUGUAUUCACACUCAGAAUGUAAGUCUUCAUUGAUUGAAGAUAUACUUUACUUCGUGUGUUGCACAUCUAAGUCAUCAACAUGCAUAAGUGUUAGGAUGUGUGCCUGAUCACAGGACAUUUGAGGAUUCCAAGAUAUUUAGCUCACACCGUAACUUGCAAAACCUUUUCUCAUCCAAGGGCUUUGUGAAGAUAUCUGCCAGUUGCUCUUCAGUGUUGACGUGAAUGAUGUCAAUAUCUUUCUUCAUGAAAUGAUCUCUGAGAAAGUGAUGACGAAUUUCAAUGUGCUUUGUCUUCGAGUGUUGAACUGGAUUGUUGGCAAUCUUGAUGGCGCUUUCGUUGUCGCAGAAGAGAGGUACUUGUUUCAGAUUGACGCCAUAGUCCUUGAGAGUUUGCUUCAUCCACAGAAGCUGAGCACAACAAGAUCCAGCAGCAAUGUAUUCAGAUUCUGCAGUUGAGAGUGAUACACAGUUUUGCUUCUUUGAAGACCAACAGACAAGUGAUCGUCCCAGAAAGUGACAUGUUCCUGAUGUAGACUUGUGAUCCACCUUGUCACCAGCAUAAUCAGCAUCCGAGAAUCCAACCAGAUCAAAUCUUGAGCCCUUUGGAUACCAUAAUCCGAGUGUCGGGGUGUAAGCCAAAUAUCUAAGAAUUCGCUUCACAGCUAAGUGAUGCGAUUCCUUAUGUGCCGCUUGGAAUCGAGCACACAUGCAAACACUAAGCACAAUAUCUGGCCUAGAUGCACAUAGGUAAAGUAACGAACCAAUCAUGGAGCGGUAUACCUUUUGAUCGAACUCUUUACCAUUGUCGUCGGGACCAAGAUGAUGUUUGGCUUGCAUUGGCGUCGUGUAGCCUUUGCAAUCUUGCAUGGCGAACUUCUUCAGACAGUCUUUGAGAUAUUUUUCUUGAGAUAUGAAAAUGCCAUUCCUUUGUUGACUAAUUUGAAGACCAAGGAAGAACUUCAGCUCACCCAUCAUGGACAUCUGAUAUUGCUCUUGCAUCAUGUAUCCAAACUCAUCACUAUACUUCUGGUUGGUGCAGACGAAGAUUAUGUCAUCCACAUAUAUUUGGCAUACAAACAGUUCACCAUCAUAUGUCUUCGUGAAGAGUGUCGGAUCGAGGGAUCCUGGUUUGAAGCCUUUGCUCUUCAGGAAGUCUUUGACUGUAUCAUACCAAGCGCGAGGAGCUUGUUUGAGGCCAUACAGUGCUUUGUUUAGUUUGCACACCAUAUCAGGAUGUUUUGGAUCUUCAAAGCCAGGUGGUUGAGCAACGUACACUUCUUCUUCAAUCUUGCCAUUGAGGAAAGCACUCUUCACAUCCAUUUGAUAUAGCAAGAUGUUGUGGUGAUUAGCAUAGGCUAGCAGGAUGUGAAUAGCUUCAAGCCUAGCCACCGGAGCAAAUGUUUCAUCAAAGUCAAUUCCUUCAACUUGAGUAUAUCCUUGAGCCACAAGACGUGCUUUGUUUCUGACGACUUGACCAUGCUCAUCUUGUUUGUUCCGAUAUAUCCAUUUAGUGCCAAUAAUGUUAUGUUUGCGAGGGUCAGGGCGCUUGACAAGUUCCCAAACAUUAUUCAGUUUGAACUGUUGAAGUUCUUCUUGCAUGGCUUGAAUCCAUUCAGGUUCCAUAAAGGCUUCAGCAACUUUCUUGGGUUCAGAUAUUGAUACAAAUGAAAAAUGCCCACAGAAAUUUGCUAACUGUGUUGCUCUUGAGAGACUAAGUGGACCAGGUGCAUUGAUGCUGUCAAUUAUCUUCUCAAUUUGUACUUCAUUUGCAACACGAGGAUGAACUAGACGAAGCCCUUGCUCAUGCUGAUCAUUGUCAUCAUUGGGAGGAUUGUCUUCGGUCUGAGCAUUGUCUUCAGGUUGGUUUGGUGCAUAAAUGAUAAUUUCCUCUUCAGGCAGUGCUUCAGAGGGCAUGAUUUCACCAGUUCCCAUCAGCUUGAUGGAUUCGCUGGAAGGAGCUUCAUCUAAUGUGCUUGGCAGGAGCUCUCGUUGUGAACCAUUGGUUUCAUCAAAUCGCACGUCCACAGUUUCAACGAUUUUGUAGUGGAAGAGGUUGAAGACUCUGUAAGAGUGCGAAUCCUUUCCAUAACCGAGCAUGAAGCCUUCGUGAGCUUUGGGUUUGAAUUUUGACUUGUGAUGGGGAUCCUUGAUCUAGCACCUAGCACCAAAGACUCUGAAGUAGCUGACAUUUGGCUUCUUUCCAGUAAGGAGCUCAUAGGAUGUUUUGCCCAGAAGCUUGUGGAUGUAAACACGGUUGAUGAUGUGACAAGCUGUAUCAAUAGCUUUGGGCCAGAACUUUCUUGGUGUCUUGUAUUCAUCAAGCAUUGUUCGAGCCAUCUCAAUGAGGGUUCUGUUCUUGCGCUCUACAAUGCCAUUUUGCUGAGGUGUGUAUGGGGCAGAGAACUCAUGAGUGAUUCCCAUUGUAUCCAGAUAAAGAUCAAGCCUGGUGUUCUUGAAUUCAGUGCCGUUAUCACUUCUGAUAUGCUUGAUCUUGACGCCAUAGUUGUUCAUUGCUCGAUUGGCGAAUCGUCUGAAGACAUCUUGUACUUCAGUCUUGUAGAGAAUUAUGUGCACCCAUGUAUAUCUUGAGUAGUCAUCAACAAUGAUGAAGCCAUAGAGACACGCUGUUGUUGUGAGGGUAGAUUAGUGAGUAGGGCCACAUAAGUCCAUGUGCAAUAGCUCGAAGGGUUGAGAUGUCGUCAUGAUUGUCCGAGGGGUGCUUGGCCCUCGUCAUCUUUCCAGCUUCGCAGGCACCACACAAAUGGUCUUUCUUGAACUUGACACCUUCGAUGCCUAUGACAUGCUUCUUCUUGACGAGUGUGUGUAAGUUCCUCAUGCCAGCAUGCCCUAGCCUUCGAUGCCAGAGCCAGCAUUCUGAAGCUUUUGCAAGAAGACAUACGGCAAGCUGUGGACCUGCUGAGAAAUCUACCAUGUAUAGAUCACCUUUCCUGUACCCUUCGAAGACUAGAGACUUGUCAGAUUCCAUUAGUACAAGGCAACGAUAUUUUCCGAAUAUCACAAUCAUGUUUAAGUCACAAAGCAUUGAGACAGACAUUAAGUUGAGUCCAAGGGAUUCAACAAGCAUCACUUUAUCCAUGUGUUGAUCCUUUGAGAUUGCAACUCUACCUAGACCCAAUACCUUGCCUUUACCAGUGUCAGCAAAUGUGAUUUGGCUCUUGUCGGAUGGACGUAAGGUUGAGUCCAUGAGAAGACUUCGAUCACCAGUCAUAUGAUUAGUGCAUCUGCUGUCCAUAAUCCAUUCUGAAGCAUGAGGUGUCAUACCCUACAGUGCAGUUAGGAGGAUAGGCUUCACAAGGUAUGUUGUGAAGCAUAAGCAUUUGACGCACACUAGGAUUAUCACAGCAUAGAUGAAUGUUAGAACACACAGUAUGACAGGUAAACGAUUCAUAUGUGGAAUACAUAGUGAGUCAUUUUAUCAUGCGUCCCUUUGUGUUUUAGGUCCCCAGCAAUAAUAUCGGACGCCUUUGAUUGCUGGCUGGAGACCAUAUUCUGCAAAAGAGAGUUAAUUCUUCUUCACCACCCACAUAUUCAGGGGUGGUUUAGAAGCAAUGAGUCUAAGUGCAGCAUCUGAGAAUUUCGGCUUUGAAGCCCUAGCAAAUAGCCUUGCAGGAGAUGAAUGAUACUCAUAUGAAUAAGCAGAAAAGUUUUUAGUCCUAUGAACAUGGCGGUUUGAGGACACAUGUUCGUAUUCAUAAGUUUGAUUACGAUUUCCCUCUAAAACAUUGGCGUUAGGGUGACUCAGGUGAGUCCUGUAUUCGUAUGAAGCCGUUGGACCAUAUGAUGCCUUUGGUCUAGGGUUUGUCUUCUUCCCAGGUGGUGUCAUGAUGACAUUCACUGGAAGAUUCUCAAGACAACUUUUGGGAACCCAGAUCUUCUUCAUAGGUGGUCAAUUCCUGCAGUUAGUACCAAUAUACCUGGCAAACACUUCACCAUUCUGAUUUUUGAACAGUUUAUAGUUUGCAUCAAAGGAUUCAUCAAUGAUAAUAGGAUUUGCACAGGUAAAGCCAGAUAAAGUGGAUGGAUCCACUGAAGGUUCCUUUGCAGCAACCCAUGUGGUUUUGGGAUACUGCUUAGGCUUCCAGUAGGAACCAUCAGCAUUCAUUUCCCUCUCGAACCCAACACCCUCUUUCCUAGUGUUUCGGUUCAGAAUCUGCUUUUCGAGGACAUCACAAAGUGUCUGAUGUCCUUUCAGACUUUUAUACAUCCCUGUUUCAAGCAGUGUCUUCAACCUAGCAUUUUCAUCAUCAAUAGUAGUGGUAUCCUCAGCAGAGGGGUUAGUUUCCACAUCAGUAGUUGAAGACAAAGCAACAGUAGCAGCCUUUGAACAUUCAGCAACAGAGGUAGUGUUAUUACGCUCAAUGCAUUUUAAACAUGGUGGUUCAAAUCCAUUCUGUGUAAUGCUGAUUUGUUGAGCAAGUAAUGAAUCACGCUCCUUCCGAAGAUCUCCAUAAUCCACCCUUAUCUUUUCGAGAUCAAGCUUUCUUUGAAGACAUUUAGAAGAAAGUUUCUCAUGAUCAGACAAGAGAGCAUUAUGUUGAUCUUGAAGGGCGUCAAACUUGGAAUGAAGUCUUUGAAGACUCUCCGCCAAUGCUUUUGACUGAUCCAUUUCUUCGCCCAACAUAUCAUCGCUCUUACUAAGCAUGUUUUGAACCUUUACCAAAGCUCUUUGUUGUUUAGUGGCAAGGGAAGCAAGUUUGACAUAGCUGGGGCCAAAUUCAUCACCUGAUUCAUCAUCACUAGUUUUAGAGAGGUAGCAUUCAGUUACCUUAGCACCCCCUGCCAUGAGGCAUGGUGAAGAUGAGGACGAUUCAGGUGGAAAGGUCAUCUCCUUAAGAGACUCCUUGUAAUCAUCAAGCCAAGGAUCAUGACAAUUAAGAUGACCUUCAUAGACCUCAGAAAGCCGGUCCCAGAUUAGCUUCGCGUGAUUGAGGUGCAUGACGUUCCUGAACUGAUUUCGGGACAGAUAGGAGCUGAUGACAUCCUUCGCUGUGAGGUUCAGUAGAGUGUACUUGCGAAUGUCAUCAGCCUCUGCCAUCUUGCAUAGAUCGGUUAGACCAAUCUCAGUGACGGUCCACAGUUUGCUAUUCAUAGCCAUGAGUCAUUUCUUCAUCAUGGCCUUCCAUCGUGGAUACUCAUGACCGUCAAAAGUGGGGAAAGAUACAUUCCUCAAUCCUGCAGUCGACAUAGCUAAACUCCAGGUGGUUAAACCGAAUCACACAGAACAAGGGAGUACCUUGCUCUGAUACCAAUUGAAGGUGCUAGUUAUCGACUAGAGGGGGGGGGUGAAUAGGCGAUUUUUAUCAACGUCUUCAAAACGUGGAAGUUUCGAAGACAAACAAUAGAAAUGACCUAAUUGAUAUGCAGCGGAAGAUAAACUACAACAAGCAAGCCAUAGUCAAGUAUGCAAUAAUGUGAACGUACAAAGACUAAUAGCAGCUAGGUAGUAAGGAUCAGGAUGGAAGAUCGUAUGAAGCCAAUCAAUGAAAGUAGUCAAGCAAUGAAGUCAAACAGAUAAGACAAAUAAGCAAUGACUUCACGAAGACAAACUCAAAGUAAAGGAGGGAAGGGAUAGAACCAGUCACUUGUUGAAGACACAUGAUUUGUUGGACCAGUUCCAGUUGCUGUGACAACUGUACGUCUGGUUAGGGAGGCUGAGAUUCAACUCAGAAGACCGCGUCUUCACCUUAUUCCCCUAGAGCUAAGGACACACAGUCCUCGCCCAAUCACUCUGGUAAGUCUUCAAGGUAGACUUCCGAACCUUGACAGACUUCGUUCACCGGCAAUCCACAAUGACUCUUGGAUGCUCAGAACGCGACGCCUAACCGGCUGGAGGAUACACAGUCCUCAAGUGUAAUAAGUCUUCAGGUCACACAGACAGAAAGACUCCAGUGAUGCCUAACACUCUUUGGCUCUGGGUGUUUGGGCUUUGUCCUCGCAAGGAUUUCUCUCUCAAAGGCUUCAAGGUGGGUUGCUCUCAAAACGACAAAAGCCGUAAACUAACUCUGAGCAGCCACCAAUUUAUGGUGUAGGGGGUGGGCUAUUUAUAGCCACAAGGCAACCUGGCCUGUUAUGUCCGAAAUGACCCUGGGUCACUAAGGAACUGACACGUGUUCCAACGGUCAGAUUUCAAACACACACGACAACUUUACUUGGGCUACAAGCAAAGCUGACUCAUCCAGCUCUGGAUAAGAUUUGCUCUCAUUGUCUUUGCUCGAAGAUAUAGGAUUUGGGUUGAGCAUCACUUCAGUCACUCUGACUUUGUUCACUUGGACCCCACUUAACAGUACGAUGGUUCCUAUGACUCAACAAAGAAGAAAAGGAAACAACGAAACAACUCAAUCUUCGCGCUCCAUAGUCUUCACUCAAUGUCUUCUCAUGUCAUAGUCUUCAGUGUGAUUAUCUUCACACACCACCAUUGUCUUCAAUGUCUUCAUACGUUUUUAGGGGUCAUCUUCGGUAGGUAAAUCGAAUCAAUGAGGGACACUUCCUGCGUUAUCCUGCAAUUCUCACAAACGCAUUAGUCCCUCAACCAACUUUGUCGUCAAUACUCCAAAACCAACUAGGGGUGGCACUAGAUGCACUUACAGGACUCCCUCAGUAGCCCCUGAACCAGGCUUCAAUGACGAUGAAUCCGGCGCGCAGUCUUGUCUUCGGCAUUGCAAGGCGCGUUCCUUCUCCGAAUACUCCAAUGUACCCAUCACGACGAACAGUGUCCGGCAUCCCAUCAAUGUUGUACUCCUUGGCUUUAGUGCUUCAAUAAUGACCAUUUCCACGUGUCGAGCGAAUGUGAGGAGUCGAGGCAUUUUUGCAUUUGCCACCCUCGGUCCUUCGGGCUAACCGUCUAUUUGAAGAGACUGGGAUUCCAAGAUCCAAACCUCACUCUCCCUCCUUGAGCAAGCAUCCAACAGAGCGCCUGGAAGAAAACAUUCCAACAUGGCUGGUCGUCGCAGCUCUUCUGCUCGCUCCCCUUGCCCCAAGCCGGGGGACUAGGGAGAGUGUUCAGUUUCUCAUAGCCGUUUGAUAAAGUUACAAACCCAAGGGCUCCUCCCGCGGGCGUUCAUGGUCCCUGUCCGAGCCGGGGUGGCCACCUAUAACGGCGAACAAGCGAAGAGAUCUCCCAAUCCAUCUCCAGAGGAGAGAAUAUGCCUCAUUCCGCAUCUAUUAAGGGGCGUCGGGUUCCCUAUUCAUCCAUUCCUUUGCAGGCUCCUGGAGUUCUACGGCCUCCAGUUGCACAACUUUACCCCAGCCUCCGUACUACAUAUAGCAGGGUAUGUCGCCCUUUGUGAGCUAUUUCUAGGUUGCGAUGCUCAUUUCGGAUUGUGGAAGAAGCUGUUCUGCCUUGUCCCACACAACCAGGGAGAUCCCUAUGUCAAGUGGGCGGGGCUGAAGUAUGGCGUAUCGCUGAGACCGAAUACCUAUCCGGCACUCCCAAGAAGGCACCAGAUAACUGAGCUUCAGAGUGGUUUUAUAUUGAUGACGCUCCCCUUCCGGAUCCAGUCUGGACAGGACUCCCCAAGUUCAGUAACACUUCGCCGAGGGCACGUCUAAGCUGGCACCCCCGAGGUCCCCAAGAAGAGGAUUCCAGGGAAAUACAUUUCCUAAUGAGUAGGAUAAAGUUACUGGCCAAAUCUGGACUGACGAUAGUCGAGGUCAUGGAAAUAUGCAUAAUGCGGGGAGUGCAACCGCUUCAAUAUCGGGGAAAUCCCAUGUGGCAUUACAACAGGACAGACGAUGCCACCCGCUGCGGCCGUAAGGGUUCGGACUCCGCCACUGCGCUGGCAAGGAUAUUGUUCGAUCUAUACAAAGGAGAAGAGGAAGACUUCCUUCAUAUCAAACCGCGAGACGGAUUCUCCAUGUACAAUCCCCCAAACUAGGUAAGUCGUCAUUUAUGUUCUCGCUUAACUUAUCGUGGUGUUCUUUGCUAAGGUUACCUACCUUGAUGUUUCCAAGCAGGAAUUGAGGAGGGCCGUAGAAGGAAUCUCCGGCCCUUCCCUGCAGCCAGAGGACCCUGAAAGGGCCCUGGACCCAGGACUCGAAGAAGACCCGGAUGCGGCCGUGGAGCUUGUCGAUGGGAUAUUUUAUCGGGUGUGCCGUGACGGUGCGUCAGUGGCUAUUACUGCUGAUUAUCCUGGACUGCUACCUUCGUCGCAUGUAAGCCAAGCCGAAAACUCGAUCCUCCUAAGAGGAUUCUUUCUUGAUGUCAUGCUUUAUCCCUGAUGCGUUGUGUUUUUGCAGAAACGACGCUCGGAGCACAGGGCUGAGCCCCUAGGGACCCGUCAGCCACAGGCGUCCGGAUUGGGUAGGCUCAAGAGGAAGGCGGUUAGGGCCGACACUCCUCUACAGAGGUAAGGAAACAACCUGUCAUGUAAUUAUUGCUACUUGAAGUGUAACAACACCCUUUACAUCCUAGCAGGAAGAGGGGUAUCCAGACUAUAUCCGGGGAUCCUGCCAACCACGCCUCCACUAGUCGGGCUCCAAAACCAACUACGAGAGAGGAGGAGGACGUAGGGCCCAUGCCGCAUAGUCCUCCGACAGAGGAUGCGAAUAUGCUUUUGGCCACAAACUCCGAAGUCAAAAUGGCAAUGGGGAUGGGUAUCUCCGGGGGGAACUCCACCAUCACCGCCCCGAUCCCCGCCAGUCCCCGGCCCCGCUAGCCCUGAGAAGCUUCGCGGGAGGGGGGAAACGCCCCCCAUCCCCGACAAUGGCGGGUACCCGUCCCCCGGCGGGGACUCCACGGGGAGCGUAACGCGCCGGCGUCUUCUCCUUGCCCAGUUGAUCUCAAUGCAAAGACGCCACCUCCUCGCAACCGUCGCUCUCGACGCCCAUCGCCGUCGUCGACGAAUCGCACCGUUCACUGUUGCGGCCUUGAGGUGGAGGACAGGAGGAGAACUAGAGGAGGAGGCAAGGAGGAGAAGUAGGUGAGAGCCAUGGGGCCAGACGGGAAGGAUGCGCCGCCCACUGCCGGCCGCCGCCGGUGGUGGUCUGACAGUCAAGGCCGAGCUCGAUCUGGGAAGUGAGAACUGGGAGAGGAACAAGAGGGAGGCGGCUGCGCUGUGAGUAAGAGGAGCGAGCGAGAGGAGGUCCGCGUGUGUUGGGCUCCUAGGUGCGUCCGUGCAUGUUAGUUAGGUUAGGCCAAGUGUGUUGGGCUCGUCUUGGGCCAUGGCUGAAUGGCUGGCUGCUGCUAGGUUGGCCUGCUAUUUGGAAGGAGGUCCCACAUGUCAGUCGUUGGCGGGUAUCCAUGGAGGCUCCACGGGGCGAAUUUGUCCCCCAUCCCCGCCCCGUUAUGCUAUCGGGUACCCGCCAAGCAAUCCCCAUGGAGGCAAUUUGUCCCCCGUCCCCGGUUCUUAGCGGGUAUAUCCCCGCGGGUACCCGCCUCCACGGGCAAAACUGCCAUCUUGAAUCCAAAGUGGAGAGCGCCAUGAAUCACCGGCGCCGGAGCACCGUGCUUCGGAACAACAUCUUUUCCGAAGAGGCCUUUAAUGCCUUCAAUUCGGCAGACGCAUACAUCCGAGCUGCUCAAGGCGGGCUUGCCCAAGCGACGAACCAGUAUACCAAAGAUAUACGGGUAAGAAAUUGUGAUAAGUAUGUAUAACAGUAGCCCCUGAGACUUGAAAUGGUAGGAACAACAGUUUUAAGUAUCAAUUUAUGCGCAUGUUCUUGUAGAUAAGAAUGAGCAAUUGUCUCGGGAGCUAGAAGAGUGCAAGACCCAAAUAAGGGCCACAGUUGCCAAGCUAGAGGAAUCCCAGAAGGCCUCAUACGGUAAUCAUUUAUCUCGAUUGUACAAAAAUGUACCAGUUAGCAACUGGCUGGCAUGAAAAACAGAAAAUUCUGUAGAUAACCCCGGAGUGAAUCCGAAGGGCGAGAGAGAUGACAAGUCGCAUCUCCAGAGGCAACUAAAGGCUGGCGAGUGCAUACUCACGCAAGUGCGGCAGGAGAAGAACAAUCUUGAAGAUGCCAAUGUCCGGCUGGACAUAGAGUUAAAAGACGUUCACGCCGAGCUGGCGGACUCCGUAAAGGAGAAUAAAAGGCUUCGACGCGGCAUUUAUGGUGACUGCCUAGACGAACUGUAUAAUAGUUCGGUGAGGAAGUGUAUUGAAAGAAUUUUUUUUGUAGGAAUGUUAACGGGUCGCCCUGAGGAGGAUACGCCCUCAUCUAUAGGUGAUGUACUGCAACAACUUUCAUAGUUGCACGAGCGAGCUCGGCGGGUGAUGCACGUCGUUGCUCAGGCCUUGUGGCCAUCAAGCCCCCUGCCAAGUGGCAUAGGGGAGCUUGUGGACCUGCUUCAAGGAGCCCGACGGCGCUUCCGGCUGUGGAAGAUAUCAGCAUGCCGGCAAGGUGCAAGAGAAGCUUGGGCAAUGGUGAAGACGCGGUACACCAAGCUGGACCCAAACCAUAUGGCCGAGGUAGGACCGGCGGGGCCCGAUGGGCAAGAAAUCCCCGUAAGUCUGGUAUAUGACCAGGUAGUGUUGGCCGCUAAGUAUUCUCAACAGGAUUGUAAACUAGAUAGCCUGCUGGAUGGCAUAGAGGAGGAAUAUAGUCAGUCCAAGUGACUGUGUAAUUUAAGGGCAUAAGUAGCCCCUAGCCGGAUUAAAAUCAUUUGUCAUGGCAGACCUUUUCGCUUCAGCCCCCGGGUCCUAUAGUCCGGGGUGUGUCCAAAUACCCGCUCAGUUAUACAAAACUGGGGUAUGCGUGGAGACCAGGCGUAGAGGUCAUAAGUGCUUGAAUAGACAAGUGCCCAACUAGUUAUGUUAUAUUACAUGGAUAGUAAGAAACAUCUUCCAGGGAGAAUAGUUUCGUUAGGGUUUCCUUUCCCUGGGGGUGCAUGCGGCAAAGCAUAUGCCCGGACUGCGGACAAAGGCGCAGGAUACAAAACUUCUGGGAUUUAUGUUGUGAAAAACCAAAACAUCUUUUGUUCAUCGACCGAAUAUUCUCUUAAGGAAACUAGCUUUCGGCUUCACCCAGUCUGAGGUACACAUCCGGCUCAACCGGCAGUAACAAUCGCAUAGGUGCUCCCCUUAUGCCCUAGACGAAUUAACGGGAACGUAGGGCAUAAACACAGGAGCCAGGCAACCCAGCUUGGCCACGUCUUAAGUCAUACCGAUGCAUAUAAUGGUGAAGAAAAGGCACACAUAAAAAGAAACUCAUGUGUGAUGGGCAAAAAGCCUUCAGAGUAAUUUAUAUUUAGCUUCCGUAUAGGAAGCCCCCCGGUAUUGUUUACACACAUAGUGCAGCCGGAAUAAGCCGGGAGUCUGUACUGUAUGAAAUACUUUGUGUGAAGAGAAAAGGAUCGAGAGAGGAAGAGGGAGGGAGCAUAAAUAAAAAGGAGGAGGUGAAGAGACAAACACCGAGUUCGGUGCUAGGCGUAGAAUCUCCGGAGUCUGGCCGCGUUCCAUGGGUUCGGCUCGAGUCUGUUAUCGGAUACAUUACGUAAGCGAUACACUCCUCCGGUGAGAACUUGGUCGAUGGCGAAGGGGCCUUCCCACUUGGGUUUGAGCUUGUCCUUCUUCUUCUCCGGUAAGCGUAGAACGAGUUCGCUAAUAUUAUAAGUUUUGGCUCGUACUUCUCUACUUUGGUAUCGUCGAUCCUGUUGCUGAUAGAAUGCGGAACGGGCCUUAGCGACAUCGCGCUCCUCUAGGGCGUCCAAGUAAUCCUGCCGAUCUAACUCGGCUUCCUUUUCUUCGUACAUGCGUAUGCAUGGCGAAUCAUGUAUUAUGUCGCAAGGUAAUAUUGCUUCCGCACCGUACACCAUAAAAAUGGUGUAUAUCCAGUGGUGCGAUUCGGCGUGGUCCGCAGCCCCCAGAGUAUGGAGUUGAGCUCCUUGACCCAAUGAGUAUCCGACUCUGUCAAGGAUCGCACUAGUCUAGGUUUAAUGCCACUCAUGAUGAGACCGUUUACCCGUUUUACCUGGCCAUUUGUUUGAGGAUGGUAUACAGAAGCAUAGUCGAGCGUGAUGCCCACUUUGCCGCACCAAGAUUUCACCUCAUAGGCUGUGAAGUUUGAGCCAUUAUCGGUGAUGAUGCUGUGGGGGACACCGUGUCGGUGUACGACCCCGGAUAUAAAGUCGAUUACUGGUCCGGAUUCGGCCGUUUUCACUGGUUUGGCUUCUAGCCAUUUGGUGAACUUAUCUACCAUGACCAAUAGGUAUUUUUUCUUGUGGUUUCCCCCUUUAAGGGGUCCGACCAUAUCCAGCCCCCAGACCGCGAAGGGCCAAGUUAUGGGGAUUGUUUGGAGAGCGGUAGGGGGCAUAUGACUCUGAUUGGCAAAGAGGUGGCAACCGACGCAAUGUUGGACAAGGUCCUGUGCGUCUGCUCGGGCCGUCGGCCAAUAGAAGCAUGUACAGAAGGCCUUGCUGAUUAGUGCUCGAGCUGCAGCGUGGUGCCCACCCAGUCCGGCAUGGAUUUCAGCCAAGAGCUGCCGCCCUUCCUCUUCGGAGAUGCACCUUUGAAGCACUCCGGUCGCACUUUUCUUAUAGAGUUCCCCUUCGUGGACUUUGUAAGCUUUGGAACGCCGGACAAUGCAGCAUGCUUCAUUUUGGUCUUCGGGGAGCUCCUGCCUAUUUAGGUAGGCCAAGAAGGUUCAAUCCACGGGGCGACAACGACCAUUAUUUCGUGGGCUGACGUUGUUAUUUCGGUGGUAGAGCCUCCGAUUAUGUCUAUUAGUUUGGAAUCUGGGGAUGUAUUCGGAUCUGUGCUGGUAUUGCCGGACUCCCCUUCCCAUACCACGGAUGGCUUGAACAGCCUUUCCAGGAAUAUGUUAGGUGGGACAGGGUCUCGUUUAGCACCGAUGUGAGCAAGUACAUUUGCUGCUUGAUUGUUUUCUCGAGCCACAUGGUGAAAUUCGAGCCCCUCGAACUGAGCUAACAUUUUAAGGACGACACUACGGUAGGCCACCAUUUUCGGAUCCUUGGCGUCAAAGUCUCCAUUUAUUUGGGAUAUUGCAAGGUUUGAAUCCCCGCGCACCUCUAGGCGUUGAAUGCCCAUAGAGACUGCCAUCCGAAGACCGUGCAACAGAGCCUCAUAUUCGGUUGCAUUGUUGGAGUCUAUGUAUAAUAUCUGUAGGACGUAUUGGACCGUGUCUCCGGUGGGAGAUGUCAGGACUACACCUGCUCACAAUUUGUCCAACAUUUUAGAGUCGUCGAAGUGCAUGAUCCAAUUAGAGUAUGCGCCAUACUCUUUAGGGAGUUCGUUUUCCGUCCAUUCGGCAACAAAGUCAGCUAAUACUUGCGACUUGAUAGCCUGCCGAGGCUUGUAUAUUAUGUCGAACGAAAGGAGCUCAAUGGACCAUUUAGCGAUCCGGCCCGUGGCAUCACGGUUAUUUUAUAUAUCAUUUAGUGGUACCUCGGAGGCCACCGUAAUUGAACACUCUUGGAAAUAGUGUCGUAGCUUUUGGGAUGCCAUGAAGACCACGUAUGCUAUUUUUUGAUAGUGUAGGUAUCGGGAUUUUGAUGGGGUGAGGAACAUGGAUACGUAGUAAACCGGCUUCUGUAGCGGGAAUUUGUAUCCGUCAACCUCUCAUUCGACGACGAGUACUGCGCUUACAACUUGAUGUGUUGCAGCUAUGUAUAGCAGCAUAGGUUCGCCGAUAUUUGGCGCUGUUAGGACUGGACUAUUGGCCAAUAAAGUCUUUAUUUCAUCGAGUCCGGCCGAGGCUGCAUCCGUCCACACGAAGUGUUCGGUGCGCCAAAGAAGGCGAUAAAGAGGCAAUGCCUUUUCUCCUAACCUGGAGAUAAAGCGGCUCAAAGCAGCCGCGCAUCCAGCUAGUUUCUGGAUGUGUUUGAGGUCUGUUGGUAUAGCCAACUGCGACAAAGCUCGGAUUUUUGCCGGAUUAGCUUCAAUUCCUCUAUUGGAAACGAUGAAGCCCAUCAGUUUUCCAGAGGGGACGCUGAAAACGCAUUUCUCCGGAUUCAGUUUGAUGUCGUAUGUUCAUAGGUUGUCGAACAUAAGCCUCAAGUCAUCUAUUAGGGUUUCGACGUGUCUUGUUUUUAUGACGACAUUGUCCACGUAUGCCUCCACUGUUUUGCCGUUUUGCUUUUCCAGGCAUGUUUGAAUCAUGCGUUGAUAGGUUGCACCGGCAUUCUUGAGCCCGAAAGGCAUAGUGUUGAAGCAGAAAGGGCCAUAUGGCGUUAUGAAAGCUGUAGUAGCUUGGUCGGACUCUGCCAUCUUUAUUUGAUGGUAUCCAGAGUAUGCAUCAAGGAAACAUAGCGAGUCAUGUCCUGCAGUGGCAUCGAUGAUUUGAUCGAUGCGAGGGAGGGGAAAGGGAUCCUUGGGGCAAGCCUUGUUAAGGUCUUUGAAGUCGACGCGCAGGUGCUAGGAUUUGUCCUUCUUUGGUACCAUUACCAAGUUCGCCAGCCAAUUCGGAUGUUUGAUAUGUCUGAUGAAUCCGGCCUCAUAUAGCUUGGCUAGAUCCUCCCCCAUGGCUUGUCGUUUAGGCCUGAAAAAUCGCCUUAGGGUAUGUUUGACGGGUUUGUAUCCCUUUAGCAUGUUAAGGCUGUGUUCGGCCAAUUCGUGCAGGAUGCCUAGCAUGUCCAAUGGGUGCCAGGAAAAAAAUGUCCCAAUUCCCACGUAAGAAUUCUCGCAGUGUGGCGUCCAUAGUGGGGCCUAACUGUGUCCCGAUGGAGGCUGUCUUCAUGGGGUCCGUAGGGUGGACUUGGAAUUUGACUAUCUCAUCUGCUGGCUUAGACGAGGUGGACUUGGGUCGUUUGUCGAGUAUCAUGUCAUUCUUGUCCAUGGUGGCGCGCAGCGUUGUUAAUUCUUCCGCUGCUAGGGCUUCGGACAGUGCCUCCAAGGCUAGUGCUGCGGUUUUGUUUUCAGCGCGGAGUGCGACGUCCGGAUCACUAGCUAGAGUGAUGAUUCCAUUGGGUCCGGGCAUUUUAAGCUUCAUGUACCCAUAAUGGGGUAUAGCUUGAAAGCUUGCAAACGCGUCCCGCCCUAGAAGGGUGUGGUAUCCGCUGCUAAAAGGGGCCACUUGGAACACGAUUUCUUCGGACCUAUAAUUCUCUGGGGUGCCGAAUACCACAUCAAGUGUGAUUUUCCCCGUGCACCGCGCCUCCCGACUAGGCAUAAUUCCCCUGAAGGUUGUGCCGCUUUGCUCAAUGCGGCCUUUAUUAAUUUCCAUUUUCUUGAGUGUUUCUUCAUAGAUCAAGUUUAAUCCGCUCCCGCCGUCCAUGAGGACUUUAGUGAGCCGACAGUCGUCCACUAUUGGACUAAGGACCAAAGCGGCUGGUGCCCGGGCGGUCCGAAAUUGGGGCUUGUCACUGGCAUUGAAAGUUAUAGCAGUGUCGUUCCAUGGAUUUACUUUUGCCACAUGGCAGAUUUUAGCAGAGCUUCGAUGGGCUCACUUGCGCCUAUUGUUUGAGGCGAAAGUCUCGAAGACCGUUAGUACCGUAUUGUGUUCCUUGGCGGGAUGCUGUUCAUCUUUGUGGCUCUCGAGGAGAUCCUCGCCACUCUUAGCUACUUGCCGAAGUAUCCAACAUGCCCUAAGGCUAUGGGUUGGUAUUGCGUCUGGCGUACUGUGAAGCUUACAUGGCCCAUUGAGCCAUCCUUCCAAUAUGGUUCCACGCCCUGGGGCGGGUUUUGGUUUCUUGGGAAUUGAAUUGGUCGAUUUAUGGGAGUUCGGUCGUUUAGUUCGGACCAAGGUUCUGGUGAGGGCCGUACUAUCCCAAAUUCUGUUUGGGUUUUCUAGGCUCUUUCCAUCAAACAUUACUUCUGUACGAUAGAAGCUAAGUCCGCAAAGUGUGCUAUGUCAUGGCGGCUUAUAGCAUUAAGGAGUCCUUUGUUUGUGCAGUUUUUGCAGAAAAGUGAGACUACGUCCUCCUCAUGGCAGUCCUCGACCUUGUGAAGCGCAAGGAGGAAUCUGGCCCAGUAAUGGUGUACCAUCGCCAGGGGCUCUUGCCUGAUGCGGGAGAGACGGUUUAAGUCCCAGCGAGCAUCGUUGGCCGAAUCCGGAUCUUGAUCUGAUCUGACACCCGAGGCACGGAAGGUUCCGAGCCCGGCAGUUCGAGGUCCGGAGUAUCACCCAAUCUCUUUGGCCCGAUGCCCGACUCUAAGUCCGGGACUCGGGUCAUGUCUUGCUUUGAGUAGGUGUCCGGCUUACUGAGUUCGGUGAUCCGGACAUAAUCCGUCCUCAAAGUUGAGGGGCGAUCCGUGUGUGGUUCCUCCACUACCGCUAUCUCAUGGGUGGCCGGCGGGGAUUUGAUGUCCCUCUGGUCGGGUUUAAGCCCAAUCCGGUCAUAGUCCAUAGCGACUCCCAAAGCGGCGAUGUGAUCCAGGAGCUCAUUAAGAGAGGAGAUCUCUACCGGAUCCAUUUGUUCGGCAAGCUCCGAAUUGAUGCGAAGGCUAUGCGUGAUGACCCGAGAGGCCAUCGUUGGCGCGACAGCCAAUGGGGCGGCCAUAAUGAAGCCGCCAAGUCGGAGGGUCUGGCCCACAGCCAGCGUUCCUCCAGAGAUGAUGUCGUCCUUGACAACAAAACGAGCCAUCGAGCCUUGCAGUGACGACACAGAGGAACUCUCAAUGAAAGCACCAAUGUCGGUGUCAAAACCGGCGGAUCUCGGGUAGGGGGUCCCGAUCUGUGCGUCUUAGGCUGAUGGUAAUAGGAAGCAAGGGACACAAUGUUUUUCCAGGUUCGGGCCCUCUCAAUGGAGGUAAAACCCUACUUCCUGCUUGAUUAAUAUUGAAGAUAUGAGUAGUACAAGAGUAGAUCUACCACGAGAUCGUAGAGGCUAAACCCUAAGAGCUAGCCUAUGAUGGUAUGAUUGUAAUUGUGAUCGGCCUUCUAAGGACCAUCCUCUCCGGUUUAUAUAGACACUGGAGAGGGCUAGGGUUUACAUGGAGUCGGUUACAAGGAAGGAAAUACAAUAUCCGGAUCGCCAAGCUUGUCUUCCACGCAAAGGAGAGUCCCAUCCGGACACGGGCCGAAGUCUUGAGUCUUGUAUCUUCACGCUUCAAUAGUCCGGAUGGUGUAUACAGUCCGGCUGUCCGGAUACCCCCUUAUCCAGGACUCCCUCAACAGCGACCGGGUGCUUAGCCUCGGCGACGGCCAUGACGAAGACGAAGGUGGGCCCGUGCCUGGAGGCAUUUGUAGCUUGCCAAGCUUCAGCGGCUCCCCCUCUGAUGACAGCUCCUCCAGUGGCGGUCAUGAUCAACCACCGCGCCGCCGCGCUCGCUUCGAGGGGGGUAGCGGGUCAUCCCGCCAUCGUGCCUCGGUGAAGAGUGAGGAUUGAUUGAGCUCCGGAGGGCGGUGCGAAUCCCCCUCCACGAGCCGUCGCCAGGCAGGCCACGUUUAUUUUGUUUUUCUCCUUUUCCUGCAUAGAGAGAGAGAGAAGUGUGGAGCCCCGCGGGGGCAUGCUGGACUGUUGCCUUUAAUUAUUAUGCUAUUCCAUUAUUUCCAUGCCGUGCUACGGUAUUGUGUGCUCAUGNNNNNNNNNNNNNNNNNNNNNNNNNNNNNNNNNNNNNNNNNNNNNNNNNNNNNNNNNNNNNNNNNNNNNNNNNNNNNNNNNNNNNNNNNNNNNNNNNNNNNNNNNNNNNNNNNNNNNNNNNNNNNNNNNNNNNNNNNNNNNNNNNNNNNNNNNNNNNNNNNNNNNNNNNNNNNNNNNNNNNNNNNNNNNNNNNNNNNNNNNNNNNNNNNNNNNNNNNNNNNNNNNNNNNNNNNNNNNNNNNNNNNNNNNNNNNNNNNNNNNNNNNNNNNNNNNNNNNNNNNNNNNNNNNNNGUAGGAACAACUCAGCUCGGGGGGGGGGGGGGCUCGCUGCAGUCUUCGCCUCCUCACGAGGCUCCUGCUUGAGGCCUCGUCGAGCGUCUUGAGGCCUGCAAAAAUUAACUGGAUGGAUAGCUUUUGAACCCAUGUCGUGAGGGUGACUGGCCCAGGUCCUACAUUCAUGUCGCGAUGCCCGUGGGGCAUGGACCGGGAGGAGCGCUCCCGCUUUGAACUUGAGUAGGGAAGACUCACGAAAUUAGGUCAGAAGAUACUCGCGAGGGCGCCCGCGGAGUCCCCUCGUGAGGCUUGCGGAAGAGAAGUCGAGUCAGGCGAGCAACAAAAACAGAGAAUCACGGGCCGGGGACAGCAAACAACACCAAAAGCAACUCCAAUAAAGUUUCGAACAAGGGUGAACAAGCCAACUACAGAAAGCAAAUGAAAAGCCGCGUCUAGCGCCUAAUCUAGUCUUUGACGUCUUCUACCAGUGCGGAGCUAAGUGCUGCCACUGGGCAUGGGUGGGAGCCCUCGAGGCCCGAGGGCAGCACUCCGGAGACUCCGGGGCGUGUACAGCCCCAACUCAUUAUUACGUGAGAGUGUCACGGGUGGCGAGCUUCACAUUCAUUGGCCUUCUUCACAAGCACCGGGCCUUUUCUCGGGGCGAUGAGCUUCACAGGCACUGGGCCUUCUUCACAGGCACCAGGCCUUACUUCAAGGGUAAAAUCCCCGGAGGUGCUGAAUGUUCCACGCAUUCGGGAUGGGCACCCCCUCCUGGGUCUCCAAGCGCGCGGCGCUAGGUCUAGAAACAUGAACAACCUUGAAUGGGCCCUCGACAUGUGCGAGAGCUUGUGCAUCCCUUCCCUGGAGAGCACCCGCUUGAGCACGAGGUCACCUACCUCGAGAGUCCUGGGGCGGAUGUUGCGGCAAUGGUACCGUUGCAGUGCCUGCUGGUAUCUUGCCACCCGAAGCACGGCCUCCCGAUGGUGUUCCUCCCCCAGCACGAGAUCCAUCCCCCACAUGGCGUCCUGCCGCGCUUCGUCAAACGCCAGGACCCGCACGGAGCGACGCCUGACCUCAUGAGGGAGGACCACCUCUGCUCCGCAUACGAGGAAGUACGGGGUUUCGCCGGUUGACUUGGUAGCGGUCGUGCGGAUGGACCACAACACGGACUGGAGCUCGUCAUACCAGCCCCUGCCACAGGCCUCCAGCUUCUUCUUGAAGGUCCUGGUUUUGAGGCCUUUCAGGACCUCCGCGUUGGCACAUUCGGCCUGGCCGUUUCUCCGAGGGUGUGCCACCGAAGCGUAUCAUAUCUGCGUUCCAAGGUUAGCCCAAUAUGUUUUGAAGAGAUUGCUGGUGAACUGCAAACCGUUGUCAGUGAUGAUGCGAUUAGGCACCCCGAACCGGCUCACGAGGCCCUUGAUGAACUUGACUGCUGAACCAGCUGGGAUGGUGCGGACAACUUCCACCUCUGCCCACUUGGUGAACUUGUCAAUGGCGACGUAGAGGUAGCGAUAGCCCCCUGGCGCCCGGGGAAACGGGCCCAAAAUGUCCAGCCCCCAAACCGCGAACGACCAUGAGAGUGGAAUUGUCUGCAAGCCCUGAGCCGACUGAUGAAUCUGCUUGGCGUGGAAUUGACAGGCUUCAUUGAGUGCUGUUGGCCAAUAAAAUCCGCCGUGAAACGCCGUGCCGACGAGGGUCCCUGAAGACGAGUGGUGCCCAUAGUCUCCAUCGUGAAUGUCUGCCAGCAACUCUUUCCCCUUGCUCCGUGGAGAUGCAACGUAGGGAAACAUCAUUUGGCCGCUUCCGGUAGAGCUCUCCGUCUUGGACGCAGUAGGCCGUGGCCUGACAUGCCACGCGUUCUGCGUCCUCCUCCUUCUCUGGCAGAGUCCCUUGCAUCAGGUAAUCCUUGAGUUCUGCAGUCCAACAUCCCUCUUGAGGCUCCAGCGCCAGGAGCAAGUGUGCUCCUGAGGUCGGGCCUCAGGCCGGAGCUCCCGAGGAAGGUGGUUGAGGGAGUUCCUCCCGAGGCUGUGCUGCACUUGAUAGUGGCAGUGCUACUGAGGGCCUGAAGAGUCAUUCCUCAAAGACGCCGGGCUCUUGAGGCAGUUGCCUGGACGCCCUCAUGGUGAUGUCAUCAGCCUCUUGAUUGGUGCCGAGUGGCACAUGCUACAACUCCAACCCCCAGAACUGCUUUUCCAUUCUGCGGACGUCCGCGAGAUACACUUCCAUGUGCUCGUCCUUCGGCUCGUACACCUUGUUGGAGAAGUUGACGAGGAGCUGUGAAUCACCCUUGAUGAUGAGGCGCUUUACCCCCGAGGCCGAUGCGGCCUUCAAGCCUGCUAUCAGGCCCUCGUAUUCUGCUAUGUUGUUGGAGACCUUCUCUCCAUGCUGGAAACAGAGCUGUACGGCAUAAUAGAGCUUGUCCUGAGAGGGAGAUAUAAGCACUGCGCCAGCCCCCGGGCCAUGUCGCGAGAACGCUCCAUUGAAGUACAUGACCCAGCCGUCCGACGCCUCACUUCCUGGGGAAAGUGACCGAUCUUCGCCUGCCUCGAGCCCUAGCGCCUCUAUCCAAUCUGCCACAAAAUCUGCAAGUGCGACUCCUUUGACGACCCUUGUCAUGUUGAAUUCCAACUGAAACGCUUGCAACUCGAUGUUCCAUUCGGCGACCCUUCCCGCUGAGUUGGGACUCUUGAGUACCCUUCCCAAUGGAUAUGCCGAGACGACCUUGAUGGGGUGACCUUGAAAGUAGUGUCAUAGCUUGCGCGAGGCCACUAAUAGAGCGAGCAAGAGCUUCUGAGGCAUGGGGUAUCGUGCCCUCGCAUCCCGCAGCACCAUGCUAACGAAAUACACUGGGUGGUCGACGAGCGUUGGCGUGCUGGUGAGGUCGGUGCCCUCUAAGGGGUCAGGCGCCUCCUAAGACGACGGAGCCCCCAGCCCCUGGCUGCCUGGUGCGGCCUCUUCGGCCCUGGGGGCGUCCCCCUGUUGAGGCUGGCAUCCAUCUGCUGCGGCCGUGGUCUUCGCGAGGCCUUCUUGGUUUUGCGCUGCCGUGGCCGGGGCCGUGGCCGAUCGUGGUGCAGCUUUGACCUGGUGCUCCUCCCGUACUGCCACUAGAGCUGCACUGGCGGAGUAGGGUGUGGCGGCAAGGUAGAGCACCAAGGUCUCCCGAGGGCAUGGAGCCACCAUCACUGGAGGGUUGGUCAGGUACUUCUUGAGGUCUUGGAACGCUUUGUCGACCUCUUGAGUUCAUUCGAAUGGACCCUUCUUCUUCAUCAGCUUGAAAAAGGGCAGGGCACGUUCCCCCAGCUUGGAGAUGAAGCGCCCUAACGCGGUUACUCGCCCAGUGAGCUUCUGCAUUUCCUUGAGGGUUUGCGGCGGACUCAUGUCUUUGGCUGCCUUGACCUUCUCCGGGUUAGCCUCUAUACCUCUGUGGGACACAAGGAAGCCCAGAAGCUUGCCAGAAGGAACACCGAACAUGCACUUCUCCGGGUUGAGCCGCAGGUCCACCUCGCGAAGGCUCGCGAAGGUUUCUUCCAGGUCCUGAAUUAGGGUUUUGGCCUCUCGAGACUUCACCACGAUGUCGUCGACGUAUGCCUCGGUGUUUCCCCCGGGUUGCCGGCCCAAGGCGAUAUGCAUCGGCCGCUGAAAGGUUGCGCCUACAUUGCACAACCCGAACGACAUGCAGGUGUAGUAGUACACCAUGCACGGGGUCAGGAAGGCCGUUUUCUCCACGUCUUCUACCACCAUCUUGAUUUGGUGAUAGGCAGAGAAGGCAUCCAGGAAGCACAGCAUGUCGCACUCGGCGGUGGAAUCACGAACUGGUAAAUGCGAGGGAGCGGGAACGGGUCUUGAGGGCAGGCUUUGUUGAGGUUGGUGAAGUCAACGCACAUGCGCUCCUUUCCCCCCUACUUUGGCACAACAACAGGGUUGGCCAGCCAUUCAGGAUAGCGAACUUCGCGAAUGACACCCGCAGCUUCAAGCUUACGGGUUUCUUGGAUGAUGAAGGCCUGCUUCUCGGUGGACUGUCGCCUAGCCUUCUGCUUCACGGGGCGCACGUUGGGGCACACGUUCAGAUGAUGCUCAAUCACCUCCCUUGGAACCCCCGCUAGCUCCUUGGGUACCCACGCGAACACCUCCUUGUGCAAAUUCAAGUGGAGCAUCACAAAGAGCAAGUGCUUGAAUCUUGCCAUCCAUUGUGGUGUCAAUGGACUUGUGAAGAUGUGCCGAAGAGUGGCUCGCCCAUAGUGGACUAUGGGGGAGCAAUCAUCUAGUCUUCAUCGAGCCAACGCAAUCAAGAAAGGUGGUCCAACUUGAGGGAGUCAAGAUCGUCAUCAUCUAGCUCAAGUGGACCAUGUGCAAGGCAAAGGAUUUCCCUUGAUAGGUUUUCUAUUUUACCGGUCUCAUGGUGGUAGUUGCGAGACCAGGUUAUAGGAUCGUUUGCGUACUAUCAAGGGGAGCUCUCAAGUUGGUAGCUUGAUCGUAUCGUUAGUAGAGAUCUCAAACCAUUGCAUCGUUGCAUCAUGUUUCUUGGUUCUUGUUUAGUUCUCUUUGUGAGUCUUAGAGCUUAUGGUCAUCUUUAUGACAAGCUUGAGUUCAUUGAAAACGGAGUUCGCAUGCGUCUUCUAUGAUGUCUUCGGUGUUAGAGGUUUUACCGGUCUUAUCCGAGGAAGGGUUCUCACCAUUUUAUUAUGGGCCUUUUCUCAUUUGCUUCUUAUUGAUAUUUCUAUCAAUAUUGUGUUAGCCCAUGUUGUUAGCUUUCCAACAAACUUGGUUUCAUUGAAUUCGGAGUCUGUUUGCAAAAGUUGUGGCUGUUUUGGUAAAGGUCGCAGCGGUACUACCGCAACUAGAGCGGAUGUAAUUUUUUACUACCACUCCAGAGCGGUACUACCGCGGCUCGUGAGCGGUAGUACCACUCCAGAGUAGUACUACCGCGGCUCCUAAGUGGUAGUACCACUCCGGACCAAAAUCUCGUGUUUUGCUCAGCGGAGGUAGGCACGGAAGUAUUUUUUUAGUACCACUCGCAAGCAGUAGUACCGCUACCAUUUGCGGUAGUACCGUGAGGUCGAGUGGUAGUACCGUGAGGAUGAGCGAUAGUACCACCCCGGCGGUUCUAAUGGCCUUUUGCCUCCUCGCUGUUGUUUUUCAAAGGGGUACUACCGCCCUAGCGGUAGUACCGCUCCUUGGAGCGGUAGUACCGCUCUGUGCGGGCUAUGAGCAUAACGGUUGGAUUUUUCCCAACUUAUAAAAGGGGGUCUUCUUCCCCAUUGAACCUUAUCCUUUGAGCUCGUGUUCUUCCCCCAUUUUUGACCUUCUUCGAUCUAGCUAACUCUCAAUCCCUCCAUGGAUUCUUGCUAGUUUUUGAGGGAAAAGAGAGAGGAGAUCUGGAUCCACAUUUCCACCAAUCACUUUCUCCUCUAUGUGAGGGGAACCCCGUUGAUCUAGAUCUUGGAGUUCUUGGUGUUCUCCUUCUUGUUCUUCCUCUCAUCUUCCUCCCUAGCAUUAGUUGCUUCAGUGGGAUUUGAGAGAGAAGGAUUUGGGCACUCCGUGUGCCCUUGCCAUUGCAUUUGGUGCAUCGGUUUGAGUUCUCCACGUGAUACGUGGAAGGUACAAGUUGAGAAGCUUAUUACUCUUGGUUGCUUGGAACCCUUGAGCUUCUUACUCUUGGGUGUUUGGACACCCUAGAGCUUGUUCCUGUUGGUUGCCUUGGUACCCUAGACGGUUGGUGUUGUUAGGAGCUCAAUCAUUGUGGUGUAAAGCUCCGGGCAAGCGUCGGGGUCUCCAAUUAGGUUGUGGAGAUUGCCCCGAGCAAUUUGACGGGUACCGGUGACCGCCCCCAAGGGUUGCCAGAGUGUACGGGUUCGGUGACCGCCCCCAAGGGUCACCAUUUGUACGGGUUCGGUGACUGCCCUCAAGGGUCCCUUAGUGGAAUCACGACAUCUUGCAUUGUGCGAGGGCGUGAGGAGAUUACAGUGGCCCUAGUGGCUUCUUGGGGAGCAUUGUGCCUCCACACCGCUCCAAAUGGAGAUUAGCAUCCGCAAGGGUGUGAACUUUGGGAUACAUCGUCGUCUCUGCGUGCCUCGGUUAUCUCUUACCCGAGCCCUUUACUUAUGCACUUUACUUUGUGAUAGCCAUAUUGUUCUUUGUCAUAUAUCUUGCUAUCACAUAGUGGCUUAUAUUGCUUAGCAUACGUUGUUGGUGCACACAUGUGAGCCUAGUUGUUUUAGGUUUUGUGCUUGACAAAUUAAUCACUAGGUUUAUUCCACAUUUGUUCAAGCCUAAACCGUAAUUAUUUUAAAGCGCCUAUUGACCCCCCCUCUAGGCGACAUCCUUGAUCUUUCACCUUGUGUGCUAUCAAACCUCAAAACAUAACUGGGUUAUUAUAAAGAUGCUCUACAGGCAUCUCCGAAGGUGUUUGUUGAGUUGUCAUAGAUCAAGAUUAGGAUUUGUCACUCCGAGUAUCGGAGAGGUAUCUCUAGGCCCUUUCGGUAAUACACAUCAUAAGAUUGCAAGCAAACUACUAAGGAGUUAGUCAUGAGAUGAUGUAUUACGAAACGAUUAAAGAGACCUGCCGGUAACGACAUUGAACUAGGUUUGAAGAUAUCGAUGAUAGAAUCUCGGGCAAGUAACAUACUGAUGGACAAAGGGAAUUACGUAUGUUGUCAUAACGGUUCGACCGAUAAAGAUCUUCGUAGAAUAUGUAGGAGCCAAUAUGGGCAUCCUGGUUCCACUAUUGGUUAUUGACCAGAGAGGUGUCUCGGUCAUGUCUACAUAGUUCUCGAACCCGUAGGGUCCGCAUGCUUAACAUUCGAUGACGAUGUAGUAUUAUAUGAGUUAUGUGAUUAAGUGACCGCAUAUUGUUCGAAGUCCCGGAUGAGAUCACGGACAUGGCGAGUAGUCUCGAAAUGGUCGAGAGGUAAAGAUUGAUAUACAGGAUGAUGGUAUUCGAACACCAGAAGUGUUUCGGGGGGUACCAGGUACUUAUCGGGUCACCGGAAGGGGUUCCGGGCACCCCCGGCAAAAGAUAUGGGCCUUAUGGGCCAAGAGGGGAAACACACCAGCCACAAGGGGAUGGUGCGCUCCCCAUAUGGGCCGGCCUAGGAGGAGAAGGAAAGAGGGGAAGGGAAAGGAAAGAGUGGAAUAGGAUUCCCCCUUCCUUCCCUCUCCUCCCUUUUCCCUUCCCCAUCGGUUAUAUAUGGCAGGGGGGCGCGCGGCUUGUGAGGGACUCGAAGUAGGGUUCCUCCUACUUGGGCGCCUCCUAUGGCUGCUCCUCCCUCCCUCCCACCUAUAUAUAUUUGUGAAAGGGGGCGCCUAGCACACAUCAGACAAUUUCCUAGCUGUGUGCGGUGCCCCCUCCACCGUUUACUACAUCGGUCAUAUUUACAUAGUGCUUAGGCGAAGCCCUGCGGAGAUCACUUCACCAUCACAGUCACCACGCCGUCGUGCUACCGGAACUCAUCUACUACCUCGAUGUUUUGCUGGAUCAAGAAGGCGAGGGAUGUCAUCGAGCUGAACGUGUGCCGAACUCGGAGGUGCCGUACGUUUGGUACUCGACCGGUGGAUCACAAAGAAAGUUUGACUACAUCAAUCGCGUUGUGAAACGCUUUUGCUUACGGUCUACGAGGGUACGUAGACACACUUUCCCCUCUCGUUGCUAUGCAUCUCCAUGGAUAGAUAAUUGCGUAUGCGUAGAUUUUUUUGUUUUCCUAUGCAAUGAUUCCCAACAGUGGUAUCAGAGCCAUGUCUAUGCAUAGAUGAUAUGCACGAGUAGAACACAAAGAAGUUGUAGGCGGUGAUGUUCACACUGCUUACCACCAAUAUCUUAUUUUGAUCCGGCAGCAUUGCAAGAUGAAGCGGCCUGGACCAACCUUACAUGUCCACACACAUGAGACCGGUUCCACCGACUAACAUGCAACUAGUUUUGCAUAAAGGUGGCCGGCGGGUGUCUAUUUCUCCUACUUUAGUUGAAUCGAAUUUGACUACGGCCGGUCCUUGAAGAAGGUUAAAACAGCAAACUUGAUAAAUCUCCAUUGUAGUAUUUGCCAUAGGUAAGAACGGUUCUUGCUAGAAACCCGUAGCAGCCACGUAAAACUUGCAACAACAAAGUUGAUGACGUCUAACUUGUUUUUGCAGGGUAUGUUGUGAUGUGAUAUGGUCAAGACAUGAUGUGAUAUACGUUAUUGUAUGAGAUGAUCAUGUUUUGUAAUUUAUCAACAACCGGUAGGAGCCUUAUGGUUGUCUCUUUAUUGUAUGAAAUGAAAACGACAUGUAAUUGCUUUACUUUAUCGCUAUGCGUUAGCAAUAGUUGUAGAAGCAAUAGUUGGUGAGACGACCACGAUGCAAUGAUGGAGAUCAAGGUGUCGAGCUGGUGACGAUGGAGAUCAUAACGAUGCUUUGGAGAUGGAGAUCAAAAGGACGAGAUGAUGAUGGCCAUAUCAUGUCACAUAUUUUGAUUGCAUGUGAUGUUUAUCUUUUAUGCAUCUUAUUUUGCUUAGAACGACGGUAGCAUUAUAAGAUGAUCCCUUCACUAAAUUUCAAGAUAUAAGUGUUCUCCCUGAGUAUGCACCGUUGCGAAAGUUCAUCAUUUCGAGACACCACGUGAUGAUCGGGUGUGAUAGACUCUACGUUCACAUACAACGGGUGUAAGAUAGUUUUGCACGUGCAGAAUACUUGGGUUAAACUUCACGAGUAUAGACAUGGCCUCGGAACACAGGAGACCGAAAGGUCGAACUGUUGGGGAACGUUGCAGAAAAUUAAAAUUUUUCCUACGGUUUCACCAAGAUCCAUCUAUGAGUUCAUCUAAGAAACGAAUCAAGGGAGAUAGUUUGCAUCUACAUACCACUUGUAGAUCGCGUGCGGAAGCUAGCAAGGUGAUGAUGGAGUCGUACUCGAACGUGAUUCGAAUCACCGAUGACCAAGUGCUGAACGGACAGCACCUCCGUGUUCAACACACGUACGGGACGGGAGACGUCUCCUCCUUCUUGAUCCAGCAAGGGGGAAGGAGAGGUUGAGGAAGACAGCUCCACCGGCAGCACGACGGCGUGGUGAUGGUGGAGAGGCAGUACUCCGACAGGGCUUCGCCAAGCACACAACGGAGGAGGAGAGGUGUUGGGGAGGGGAGGGCUGCGCCUUGGAGGGUGGUACGGCUGCCCUCCCCUCACCCCUCUAUUUAUAGGGGGAAGGGAGAAGGGGGCCGGCCCCNNNNNNNNNNNNNNNNNNNNNNNNNNNNNNNNNNNNNNNNNNNNNNNNNNNNNNNNNNNNNNNNNNNNNNNNNNNNNNNNNNNNNNNNNNNNNNNNNNNNNNNNNNNNNNNNNNNNNGCGGCGGCCUAGGGGAGAGGGGAGAGGGUGGCUUGCCCCCCAAGCCAAGGGGGCGCCCCCUCUAGGGUUCCCCCCUCAACCCUAGGCGCAUGGGCCCAAGGGAGGGGGUGCGGCCAGCCCACCAGGGGCUGGCUCCCUGCCCCACGCAGCCCAUGUGCCCCCCCGGGAGGGGUGGCCCCUCCCGGUGGACCCCCGGAACCCUUCCGGUGGCCCCGGUACAAUACCGGUAUGACCCCGAAACUUCCCGGUGUCUGUUUGACAACUUCCUAUAUAUAAAUCUUUACCUCCGGACCCUUCCGGAUCUCCUCGUGACGUCCAGGAUCCCAUCCGGGACUCCGAACAACAUUCGGUAGUCACAUACUAGUCUUCCUAAUAACCCUAGCGUCACCGAACCUUAAGUGUGUAGACCCUACGGGUUCGGGAGACAUGCAGACAUGACCAAGACGCUCUCAGUCAAUAACCAACAGUGGGAUCUGGAUACCCAUGAUGGCUCCCACAUGCUCCUCGAUGUUGUCAUCGGAUGAACCACGAUGUCGAGGAUUCGAUCAAACCCUGUAUGCAAUUCCCUUUGUCAAUCGGUACGUUACUUGCCCGAGACUCGAUCGCCAGUAUCCCAAUACCUUGUUCAGUCUCGUUACCGGCAAGUCACUUUACUCGUACCGUAAUGCAUGAAUAAAAGACAUUUAUCAUGAACAUUGAAAUAUAAUAAUACUUUUAUUAUUGCCUCUAGGGCAUAUUUCCAACAGUCUCCCACUUGCACUAGAGUCACCAAUCUAGUUACAUUGUGAUGAAUCGAACACCCAUAGAGUUCUGGUGUUGAUCAUGUUUUGCACGCGAGAGAGGUUUAGUCAGCGGAUCUGCGACAUUCAGAUCCGUGUGUACUUUGCAAAUCUCUAUGUCUCCAUCUUGAACAUUUUCACGGAUGGAGUUGAAACGACGCUUGAUGUGCCUGGUCUUCUUGUGAAACCUGGGCUCCUUGGCGAGGGCAAUAGCUCCAGUGUUGUCACAGAAGAGUUUGAUCGGCCCCGACGCAUUGGGUAUGACUCCUAGGUCGGUGAUGAACUCCUUCACCCAAAUCGCUUCAUGCGCUGCCUCCGAGGCUGCCAUGUACUCCGCUUCACACGUAGAUCCCGCCACGACGCUCUGCUUGCAGCUACACCAGCUUACUGCUCCACCAUUCAACAUAUACACGUAUCCGGUUUGUGACUUAGAGUCAUCCAGAUCUGAGUUGAAGCUAGCGUCGACGUAACCCUUUACGACGAGCUCUUCGUCUCCUCCAUAAACGAGCAACAUGUCCUUCGUCCUUUUCAGGUACUUCAGGAUAUUCUUGACCGCUGUCCAGUGUUCCUUGCCGGGAUUACUUUGGUAUCUUGCUACCAAACUUACGGCAAGGUUUACAUCGGGUCUGGUACACAGCAUGGCAUACAUAAUAGAUCCUAUGGCUGAAGCAUAGGGGAUGACACUCAUCUCUUCUUUAUCUUUUGCCGUGGUCGGUGACUGAGCCGAGCUCAGUCUCACACCUUGUAACAUAGGCAAGAACCCCUUCUUGGACUGAUCCAUUUUGAACCUCUUCAAAAUCUUAUCAAGGUAUGUGCUUUGUGAAAGACCUAUGAGGCGUCUCGAUCUAUCUCUAUAGAUCUUAAUGCCUAAUAUAUAAGCAGCUUCUCCAAGGUCCUUCAUUGAAAAACACUUAUUCAAGUAGGCCUUAAUGCUGUCCAGAAAUUCUAUAUUAUUUCCCAUCAAGAGUAUGUCAUCUACAUAUAAUAUGAGAAAUGCUACAGAGCUCCCACUCACUUUCUUGUAAACGCAGGCUUCUCCAUAAGUCUGCAUAAACCCAAACGCUUUGAUCAUCUCAUCAAAGCGAAUGUUCCAACUCCGAGAUGCUUGCACUAGUCCAUAAAUGGAUCGCUGGAGCUUGCACACUUUGUUAGCGUUCCGAGGAUCGACAAAACCUUCCGGCUGCAUCAUAUACAGUUCUUCCUUAAGAUGCCCGUUAAGGAAUGCCGUUUUGACGUCCAUUUGCCAUAUCUCAUAAUCAUAGUAUGCGGCAAUUUCUAACAUGAUUCGGACGGACUUCAGCUUCGCUACGGGAGAGAAAGUCUCGUCGUAGUCAAUCCCUUGAACUUGUCGAUAACCCUUAGCGACAAGUCGAGCCUUAUAGAUUGUAACAUUACCAUCCGCGUCCGUCUUCUUCUUAAAGAUCCAUUUGUUUUCUAUCGCUCGCCGAUCAUCGGGCAAGUCUGUCAAAGUCCAUACUUUGUUUUCAUACAUGGAUUCUAUCUCGGAUUUCAUGGCUUCAAGCCAUUUGUUGGAAUCCGGGCCCGCCAUCGCUUCUUCAUAGUUCGAAGGUUCAUUGUUGUCUAACAACAUGAUUUCCAGGACAGGGUUGCCGUACCACUCUGGUGCGGAACGUGUCCUUGUGGACCUACGAAGUUCAGCAGUAACUUGAUCCGAAGUACCUUGAUCAUCAUCAUUGUUUUCCUCUUCAGUUGGCGUGGGCAUCACAGGAACGGUUUCCUGCGCUGCGCCACUUUCCCGCUCAAGAGGUAGUACUUCAUCGAGUUCUACUUUCCUCCCACUUACUUCUUUCGAGAGAAACUCUUUUUCCAGAAAGCAUCCGUUCUUGGCAACAAAGAUCUUGCCUUCGGAUCUUAAGUAGAAGGUAUACCCGACAGUUUCCUUAGGGUAUCCUAUGAAUACGCAUUUUUCCGACUUGGGUUCGAGCUUUUCAGGUUGAAGUUUUUUGACAUAAGCAUCGCAUCCCCAAACUUUUAGAAACGACAGCUUAGGUUUCUUUCCAAACCAUAAUUCAUACGGUGUCGUCUCAACAGAUUUAGACGGUGCCCUAUUUAAAGUGAAUGUAGCUGUCUCUAGAGCGUAUCCCCAAAAUGAUAGCGGUAAAUCGGUAAGAGACAUCAUAGACCGCACCAUAUCCAAUAGAGUGCGAUUACGACGUUCGGACACACCGUUUCGCUGAGGUGUUCCAGGCGGCGUGAGUUGUGAAACGAUUCCACAUUUCCUUAAGUGUGUACCAAAUUCGUGACUUAAGUAUUCUCCUCCACGAUCUGAUCGUAAGAAUUUUAUCUUUCGGUCACGUUGAUUCUCUACCUCAUUCUGAAAUUCCUUGAACUUUUCAAAGGUCUCAGACUUGUGUUUCAUUAAGUAGACAUACCCAUAUCUACUCAAGUCAUCAGUGAGAGUGAGAACAUAACAAUAUCCUCCGCGAGCCUCAACGCUCAUUGGACCGCACACAUCGGUAUGUAUGAUUUCCAACAAGUUGGUUGCUCGCUCCAUUGUUCCGUAGAACGGAGUCUUGGUCAUUUUGCCCAAAAGGCAUGGUUCGCACGUGUCAAACGAUUCAUAAUCAAGAGACUCUAAAAGUCCAUCGGCAUGGAGCUUCUUCAUGCGCUUGACACCAAUGUGACCAAGGCGGCAGUGCCACAAGUAUGUGGGACUAUCGUUAUCAACUUUAAAUCUUUUGGCAUCUACACUAUGAACAUGUGUAAUAUUACGCUCGAGAUUCAUUAAGAAUAAACCAUUGACCAUCGGAGCAUGACCAUAAAACAUAUCUCUCAUAUAAAUCGAACAACCAUUAUUCUCAGACUUAAAUGAGUAGCCAUCUCGUAUUAAACGAGAUCCAGAUACAAUGUUCAUGCUCAAACUUGGCACUAAAUAACAAUUAUUAAGGUUCAAAACUAAUCCCGUAGGUAAAUGUAGAGGCAGCGUGCCGACGGCGAUCACAUCGACUCUGGAACCAUUCCCGACGUGCAUCGUCACCUCGUCCUUCGCCAGUCUCCGUUUAUUCCGCAGCUCCUGCUGUGAGUUACAAAUAUGAGCAACGGCACCGGUAUCAAAUACCCAGGAGUUACUACGAGUACUGGUAAGGUACACAUCAAUCACAUGUAUAUCAAAUAUACCUUUGGUGUUGCCGGCCUUCUUAUCCGCUAAGUAUUUGGGGCAGUUCCGCUUCCAGUGACCCUUCCCCUUACAAUAAAAGCACUCAGUCUCAGGCUUGGGUCCAUUCUUUGACUUCUUCCCGGUAACUGGCUUACCAGGCGCGGCAACAUCUUUGCCGUCCUUCUUGAAGUUCUUCUUACCCUUGCCCUUCUUGAACUUAGUGGUCUUAUUGACCAUCAACACUUGAUGUUCUUUCUUGAUUUCAGCCUCUGCUGACUUCAGCAUCGAGAACACUUCAGGAAUGGUCUUUUCCAUCCCCUGCAUGUUGUAGUUCAUCACAAAGCUCUUGUAGCUUGGUGGGAGCGACUGGAGGAUUCUGUCAAUGACCGCCUCAUCUGGGAGGUUAAUGUUCAGCUGGGUCAUACGGUUGUGCAACCCAGACAUCUUCAGGAUGUGCUCACUGACAGAACUGUUUUCCUCCAUCUUACAGCUGUAGAACUUGUCGGAGACAUCAUAUCUCUCAACCCAGGCAUGAGCUUGAAAAACUAGUUUCAGCUCUUCGAACAUCUCAUAUGCUCCGUGGUGCUCAAAAUGCUUUUGGAGCCCCGGUUCUAAGCUAUAAAGCAUGCCGCACUGAACGAGGGAGUAAUCAUCAGCACGAGACUGCCAAGCAUUCAUAAUGUCUUGGUUCUCUGGGACGGGAGCGUCACCUAGCGGUCCUUCUAGGACAUAUUGUUUCCUGGCAGCUAUGAGGAUGAUCCUCAGAUUCCGGACCCAGUCCGUAUAGUUGCUGCCAUCAUCUUUCAGCUUGGUUUUCUCUAGGAACGCGUUGAAGUUCAUGUUGACAUUAGCGUUGGCCAUUGAUCUACAAGACAUAUUUGCAAAGGUUUUAGACUAAGUUCAUGAUAAUAAAGUUCUAAUCAAAUUAUGAACUCCCACUUAGAUUAGACAUCCCUCUAGUCAUCUAAGUGUUACACGAUCCGAGUCGACUAGCCCGUGUCCGAUCAUCACAUGAGACGGACUAGUCAUCGUCGGUGAACAUUCUCAUGUUGAUCGUAUCUUCCAUACGAUUCGUGUUCGACCUUUCGGUCUCCGUGUUCCGAGGCCAUGUCUGCACAUGCUAGGCUCGUCAAGUUAACCCUAAGUGUUUUCGCUGUGUAAAACUGUCUUACACCCGUUGUAUGUGAACGUAAGAAUCCAUCACACCCGAUCAUCACGUGGUGCUUAGAAGCGACGAACUGUAGCAACGGUGCACAGUUAGGGGAGAACACUUCUUGAAAUUUUGUAAGGGAUCAUCUUAUUUACUACCGUCGUCCUAAGUAAACAAGAUGCAUAAACAUAAUAAACAUCACAUGCAAUUAUAUAGUUGUGACAUGAUAUGGCCAAUAUCAUAUAGCUCCAUUGAUCUUCAUCUUCGGGGCUCCAUGAUCAUCUUGUCACCGGCUUGACACCAUGAUCUCCAUCAUCAUGAUCUCCAUCAUCGUGUCUUCAUGAAGUUGUCACGCCAACGACUACUUCUACUUCUAUGACUAACGUUUAGCAAUAAAGUAAAGUAGUUUACAUGGCGUUAUUCAAUGACACGCAGGUCAUACAAAAAAUAAAGACAACUCCUGUGGCUCCUGCCGGUUGUCAUACUCAUCGACAUGCAAGUCGUGAAUCCUAUUACAAAGAACAUGAUCUCAUACAUCACAAUUCAUCAUUCAUCACAACUUCGGGCCAUAUCACAUCACAUGAUCAAUCGCUGCAAAAACAAGUUAGACGUCCUCUAAUUGUUGUUGCAUCUUUUACGUGGCUGCAAUUGGGUUCUAGCAAGAACGUUUUCUUACCUACGAAUCACCACAACGUGAUUUUGUCAACUUCUAUUUACCCUUCAUAAGGGCCCUGUUCAUCGAUUCCGCUCCAACUAAAGUGGGAGAGACAGACACCCGCCAGCCACCUUAUGCAACUAGUGCAUGUCAGUCGGUGGAACCGGUCUCACGUAAGCGUACGUGUAAGGUUGGUCCGGGCCGCUUCAUCCCACAAUACCGUUGAGCAAGAAAAGACUAGUAGAGGCAAGUAAGAUGACAAAAUCCACGCCCACAACAAAAUUGUGUUCUACUCGUGCAAAGAGAACUACGCAUAGACCUAGCUCAUGAUGCCACUGUUGGGGAACGUUGCAGAAAAUUAAAAUUUUUCCUACGGUUUCACCAAGAUCCAUCUAUGAGUUCAUCUAAGCAACGAGUCAAGGGAGAGAGUUUGCAUCUACAUACCACUUGUAGAUCGCGUGCGGAAGCUAGCAAGGUGAUGAUGGAGUCGUACUCGAACGUGAUUCGAAUCACCGAUGACCAAGUGCUGAACGGACAACACCUCCGCGUUCAACACACGUACGGGACGGGAGACGUCUCCUCCUUCUUGAUACAGCAAGGGGGAAGGAGAGGUUGAGGAAGACAGCUCCACCAGCAGCACGACGACGUGGUGAUGGUGGAGAGGCAGUACUCCGACAGGGCUUCGCCAAGCACACAACGGAGGAGGAGAGGUGUUGGGGAGGGGAGGGCUGCGCCUUGGAGGGUGGUACAGCUGCCCUCCCCUCACCCCUCUAUUUAUAGGGGGAAGGGAGAAGGGGGCCGGCCCCCUAGAACCCAUCUAGGGGGGGGGCGCGGCGGCCUAGGGGAGAGGGGAGAGGGUGGCUUGCCCCCCAAGCCAAGGGGCGCCCCCUCUAGGGUUCCCCCCUCAACCCUAGGCGCAUGGGCCCAAGGGAGGGGGUGCGGCCAGCCCACCAGGGGCUGGCUCCCUGCCCCACGCAGCCCAUGUGGCCCCCCGGGAGGGGUGGCCCCUCCCGGUGGACCCCCGGAACCCUUCCGGUGGCCCCGGUACAAUACCGGUAUGACCCCGAAACUUCCCGGUGUCUGUUUGACAACUUCCCAUAUAUAAAUCUUUACCUCCGGACCCUUCCGGAUCUCCUCGUGACGUCCAGGAUCCCAUCCGGGACUCCGAACAACAUUCGGUAGUCACAUACUAGUCUUCCUAAUAACCCUAGCGUCACCGAACCUUAAGUGUGUAGACCCUACGGGUUCGGGAGACAUGCAGACAUGACCGAGACGCUCUCAGUCAAUAACCAACAGCGGGAUCUGGAUACCCAUGAUGGAUCCCACAUGCUCCUCGAUGUUGUCAUCGGAUGAACCACGAUGUCGAGGAUUCGAUCAAACCCUGUAUGCAAUUCCCUUUGUCAAUCGGUACGUUACUUGCCCGAGACUCGAUCGCCGGUAUCCCAAUACCUUGUUCAGUCUCGUUACCGGCAAGUCACUUUACUCGUACCGUAAUGCCUGAUCCCGUGUCCAACACCUUGGUCACAUUGAGCUCAUUAUGAUGAUGCAUUACCGAGUGGGCCCAGAGAUACCUCUCCGUCAUACGGAGUGACAAAUCCCAGUCUCAACCCAACAGCUACUUUCGGAGAUACCUGUAAUGCACCUUUAUAGUCACCCAGUUACGUUGUGACGUUUGAUACACCCAAGGCACUCUUACGGUAUCCGGGAGUUACACGAUCUCAUGGUCGGAGGAAGAGAUACUUGACACUGGCAAAGCUCUAGCAAAACGAACUACACGAUCUUUUAUGCUAUGCUUAGGAUUGGGUCUUGUCCAUCACAUCAUUCUCCUAAUGAUGUGAUCCCGUUAUCAACGACAUCCAAUGUCCAUAGUCAGGAAACCAUGACUAUCUGUUGAUCACAACGAGCUGGUCCACUAGAGGCUCACCAGGGACAUAUUGUGGUCUAAGUAUUCACACGUGUAUUACGAUUUCCGGAUAAUACAGUUAUAGCAUGAAUAAAAGACAUUUAUCAUGAACAUUGAAAUAUAAUAAUACUUUUAUUAUUGCCUCUAGGGCAUAUUUCCAACACGAACAUGAGUCAUAUAGUAGAUAUGAACAUAGAGAUGUUCACCAUUGAUGACUACCCCAUCUCACGUGAUGAUCGGACAUGGGUUAGUUGAUUUGGAUCAUGUAUCACUUAGAUAACCCGAGGGAUGUUAAUUUAAGUGGGAGUUCAUUAGUAAUUUGAUUAAUUGAACUUAAAUUUAUCAUGAACUUAGUCCUGCUAGUAUUUGCAAAUUAUCUUGUAGAUCAAUAGCUCGCGUUGUAGCUCCCCUAUUUUUUGAUAUGUUCCUAGAGAAAAAUAAGUCAAAAGAUGAUAGUAGCAAUAACGCAAACUGGUUCUAUGAUGUGAGGAUUAUCCUCAUUACUGCAUAGACGAAUUAUGUCCUUAAUGCACCGCUAGGUGACAGACCUAUUGCAGGAGCAGAUGCAGACGUUAUGAACAUUUGGCAAGCUUGAUAUGAUGACUACUUAAUAGUUUAGUGCACCAUGCUUUACGGCUUAGAACUAGGACUUAAAAAAUGUUUGGAACGCCAUGGAGCAUAUGACAUGUUCCAAGAGCUGAAAUUGGUAUUUCAGACUCAUGCUCGUGUCGGGAGGUAUGAGACCUCGGACAAGUACUUGCCUACAAGAUGGAGGAGAAUAGCUCAGUCAGUGAGCAUGUGCUCAGAAUGCCUGGGUACUACAAUCGCUUGAAUCAAGUGGGAGUUAAUCUUCCAGAUAAGAUAGUGUUUGAUAGAGUUCUCUAGUCACUAUCACCAAGCUACUAGAACUUCGUGAUGAAUUAUAAUAUGCAAGGGAUGACAAAAACGAUUCCCGAGCUUUUCGCGAUGCUGAAAUCGGCGAAGGUAGAAAUCAAGAAAGAACAUCAAGUGUUGAUGGUUAAACAAGACCACUAGUUUCAAGAAAAAGGGCAAGGGAAAGAAAGGGAACUUCAAGAAGAAUGUCAAGCAAGUUGCCACUCCCGUGAAGAAGCCCGAAACUGAACCCAAGCCUGAAACUGGGUGCUUCUACUGCAAAGGAAAUGGUCAUUGAAGUGGAACUGCCCCAAAUACUAGGCGGAUAAGAAGGAUGGUAAAGUGAACAAAGAUAUAUUUGAUAUACAUGUUAUUGAUGUGUACUUUACUAGUGUUCGUAGUAACCCCUGGGUAUUGGAUACCAGUUCAGUUGCUAAGAUUAGUAACUCGAAACAGGAGUUGCAGAAUAAACAAAGACCAGUUAAGGGUGAGGUGACGAUCUGUGGUGGAAGUGAUUCCAAGGUUGAUACGAUCACCAUCGCACACCCCCUCUACCUUCGGGAUUAGUGUUGAACCUAAAUAAAUGUUAUUUGGUGUUUGCAUUGUGCAUGAAUAUGAUUAGAUCAUGUUUAUUGCAAUACAAUUAUUCAUUUAAGUCAAAGAAUAAUUGUUGUUCUGUUUGAAUGAAUAAAACCUUCUAUGGUCAUACACCGAAUGUGAAUGGUUUAUUGAAUCUCGAUCAUAGUGAUACACAUAUUCAUAAUAUUGACGCCAAAAUAUGCAAUGUUAAUAAUGAUAGUGCAACAUACUCUUGGCACUGCCGUUUAGUUCAUAUUGGUGUAAAACGCAUGAAGAAACUCCAUACGGAUGGACUUUUGGAAUCACUUGAUUAUGAAUCAUUUGAUACUUGCAAACCAUGCUUCAUGAGCAAGAUGACUAAACUUCGUUCUUCAGAACAAUGGAGCGAGCUAAUGACUUAUUGGAAGUAAUACAUACCGAUGUAUGAGAUCCGAUGAGUGUUCAAGCACGCGACGGGUAUCAUUAUUUUCGACCUUCAUAGAUGAUUUGGGUAGGUAUGGGUAUAUCUACUUAAUGAAACACAAGUCUGAAACAUUUGAAAAGUUCAAAGAAUUUUAGAGUGAAGUAUCAUAGUAACAAGAAAAUAAAGUUUCUACAAUCUGAUCGCGGAAGCGAAUAAUUGAGUUACGAGUUUGGACUUCAUUCAAAACAAUGUGGAAUUGUUUCACAACUCAUGCCACCUGGAACACCACAGCGUAAUGGUGUGUCCAAACGUCGUAACCGUACUUUAUUGGAUAUGGUGCGUUAUAUGAUGUCUCUUACCGAUUUACCACCAUCGUUUUGGGGUUGUGCGUUAGAGACAGCCACAUUCACAUUAAAUAGGGCACCAUUUAAAUCCGUUGAGACGUCACUGUAUGAACUAUGGUUUGGCAAGAAACCUAAGAUGUCGUUUCUUAAAGUUUGGGUUGCGACGCUUAUGUCAAAAGGCUUCAGCCUGAUAAUCUCGAACCCAAAUUAGAGAAGUGCGUCUUCAUAGGAUACCCUAAGGAAAUAAUUGGGUAGACCUUCUACCACAGAUCUGAACGUAAGAUCCUUGUUGCUAAGAAUGGAUCCUUUCUAGAGAAGGAGUUUCUCUUGAAAGAAGUGAGUGGGAGGAAAGUAGAACUUGAUGAGGUAAUUGUACCUUCUCUCGAAUUGGAUAGUAGCACAUCAGAGAAAACUGUUCGCAUGAUCUACACCAACUAGAGAGGAAGCUAAUGAUGAUGAUCAUAAAACUUUAGACCAAGUUACUACUAAACUUCAUAGGUUGACCAGAGCAUGAUCUGCACUAGAGUGGUAUGGUAGUCCUGUCUUGGAAGUCAUGUUACUAGACCAAGACGAACCUACGAACUAUGAAGAAGCUAUGAUGAGCCUAGAUUCCAACAGAUGGCUUGAGGCCAUGAAAUCUAAGAUAGGAUCCAUGUAUGAGAACAAAGUAUGGACUUUGGUGGACUUGCCCGAUGAUCGGCAAGCCAUAGAGAAUAAAUGGAUCUUCAAGAAGAGGACGUAUGCUAAUGGUAAUGUCACCAUCUACAAAGCUCAACUUGUUGCGAAAGGUUUUCGACAAGUUGAAGGAGUUGACUACAAUGAUACCUUCUCACCUGUAGUGAUGCUUAAGUCAGUCCGAAUCAUGUUAGAAAUUAUCAUAUUUCAUAAUUAUGAAAUCUGGCAAAUGGACAUCAAAACUGAAUUCCUUAAUGGAUUUCUUAAAGAAGAGUUGUAUAUGAUGCAACCAGAAGGUUUUGUGGAUCCUAAAGGUGCUAACAAAGUGUGACAACUCCAACGAUCCAUCUAGGGACUGGUGCAAGCAUCUCGGAGUUGGAAUAUACGCUUUGAUGAGGUGAUCAAAGCAUAUGGUUUUAUACAGACUUAUGGUGAAGCCUGUAUUUACAAGAAAGUGAGUGGGAGCUCUGUAGCAUUUAUGAUAUUAUAUGUGGAUGACAUAUUGUUGAUCGGAAUUGAUAUAGAACUUCUAGAUAGCAUAAAAGGAUACUUGAAUAAGAAUUUUUCAAUGAAAGACAUCGGUGAAGCUACUUAUAUAUUGGGCAUCAAGAUCUAUAGAGAUAGAUCAAGACGCUUGAGAGGACUUUCACAAAGCACAUACCUUGAUAAAUUUCUGAAGAAGUUCAAAGUGGAUCAGUCAAAGAAAGGGUUCUUGCUUGUGUUACAAGGUGUGAAGUUGAGUAAGACUCAAAACCCGACCACGGCAGAAUAUACAUAUAGAGAAUGAAAGUCAUUCCCAAUGCCUUAGUCGUAGGUUCUAUAAAGUAUGCCAUGCUGUGUACCAGACCUGUUGUGUGCCUUGCCAUGAGUUUGGCAAGGGGGUACAAUAGUGAUCCAGGAGUAGAUCUCUGGACAGCGGACAAAAUUAUCCUUAGGUACCUAAAGAGGAGUAAGGAAAUGUUUCUCGGUUAUGGAGGUGAUAAAAAGUAGAUCUCUCGACAGCGGUCAAUUCUCUUAUACUAUACACUAUGCUUCUUAAUUUUUAAGGCCUCACAAUUAAUUGAGGUAUUCAAUUUAGAACUAGGUCAACCAAUUUUGACCGGGUCUACAAUUUCUCAAACUCUCCCAUUCAAUUCUUUUAAUACGCUUUUUCCUUAGUCUUGGGAGGUCAACGACAAGUUCUCUGUGUGGUCUGCAUAUGCCGCCAGGUUUUGGGGUAGAAAAGUAAUACCCAGGGCAGACCUGACUUGGAAGUCGCGGGCCCCCUCGCAAUGCCGAUUCUUUACUUGGUUGGCUCUAUGAAAUAUAUGUUGGACUUCGGAUCGUCUCGCUGGAGAGGGCUACCACACCAAGAAGCAUGCCCCCUCCGUGAUCAAAAAGAGGAAACUAUAAACCAUGUACUACUUACAUGUGUGUUUGCCAGGAUGAUGUGGACGGUGAUUUGUGAGGCUUUGGGCAGAUUGGAGUGGACACUAACCCCAAAGGAUUCACUCAAAGCAUGGUUAUGCAGCAAGCGGGGGCCCAACAAUAUGAGCGAGAAAGAUCUUCACACCCUUUUUGUGUUGGAAAUAUGCCCUAGAGGCAAUAAUAAAUUUGUUAUUAUAAUAUUUCCUUGUUCAUGAUAAUUGUUUAUCAUCCAUGCUAGAAUUGUAUUGAUCAGAAACUCAGAUACAUGUGUGGAUACAUAAACAACAAUGUGUCCCUUGUAAGCCUCUACCGGACUAGCUCGUUGAUCAUAGAUGGCUAUGGUUUCCUAGCCAUGGACAUGAGUUGUCAUUUGAUAACGGGAUCACAUCAUUAGGCGAAUGAUGUGAUGGACAAGACCCAAACUAUAAACGUAGCAUAUGAUUGUAUCAAGUUUAUUUCUAUUGUUUUCUGCAUGUCAAGUAUAUAUGUUCCUAUGACCACGAGAUCAUGCAACUCACUGACACCGGAGGAAUACCUUGUGUGUACCAAAUGUCGCAACGUAACUGGGUGACUAUAAAGGUGCUCUACAGGUACCUCCGAGGGUGUUUGUUUAGUUGGCAUGGAUCAAGGCUGGGAUUUGUCACUCCGUAUGAUGGAGAGGUAUCUCUGGGCCCACUCAGUAAUACAACAUCACAAGAAGCUUGCAAGGAAUGUAAUAAUGAGUUAGCCACGGGAUCUUGUAUUACAGAAUGAGUAAAGAUACUUGCCGGUAACGAGAUUGAACUGGGUAUGGAGAUACCCAUGAUCGAGUCUCGGGCAAGUAACAUACCGAUAGACAAAGGGAACUGCAUACGGGAUUAGAUGAAUCCUUGGCAUUGAGGUUCGACCAAUAAUAUCUUCAUAGAAUAUGUAGGAACCAUUAUGGGCAUCCAGGUCCCGCUAUUGGCUAUUGACCGUAUAGGUGUCUCGGUCAUGUCUUCAUAGUUCUCGAACCCGCAGGGUCUACACACUUAACGUUUGUUGACGAUAUAAGUAUAGUUGAGUCAUUAUGGUGGUUAUCGAAGGUUGUUCGGAGUCUCGGAUGAGAUCUUGGACGUGACGGGGAACUCCGGAAUGGUCCGAAGGUGAAGAUUAAUAUAUUGGACGAAGGGUAUUGGAGUCCACAAUUGUUCCGGGGGUAUCUGGUGAUGACCAGCAUGACCGAAAGGGGUUUUGGGGGGCCCCGACAAGUGUUGAGGGGCCUCAUGGGCCAAGGGGAGGGGUCAAACCAGCCCACUAAUGGGUUGUGCGCCCCCUUCACCCCUUCCCACAUUGCUAGAGGAGGUGGGGGCGCCACCCUAGGGUUCCCACCCAUUUGGCUUGGGGGCCAAGUCUCCUAAGGGGGAAACCCAUCUAGGGUUUCCCUCUAGUGGCCGCCGACCCUAGAUGGGAUCUCCUAGGGGAUCCCACCUCUCCCCCCUUCCCCCUAUAUAUAUAGAGAGAGAGAGGUAGAGAGAGGGUUGCCAUACGCAUAUAUGCCACGACACUACCCUCGCUCUCCCUUGUAGCCAUCUUCCUCUGUGUAGUGCUUAGCGAAGCCCUGCUGAGAUUCCACCACCACCACCGCCACCACGCCAUCGUGCUGCCGGAGGACUCGAGCUACUACUUCACCAUCACUCAUUGGAUCAAGGAGAUGAAGGCAUCAUCAAGCCAUACAUGUGUUGAACGCGGAGGUGUCCUCCAUUCGGCACUUGGAUCGGAGUUCGCGGGAAGGAUCGUGAUUGGAUCGUGAAGAACAUCAACCGCGUUUCUUAACGUUUCCGCAUAGCGAUCUACAAGGGUAUGUAGAUGCAAUCUCUCCUCUCGAAGAUGGUCAUAUCCUAGAUUCAUCUUGGUGAGCGUAGGAAAUUUUUUGUUUCCCAUGCAACAUUCCCCAACAGUGGCAUCAUGAGCUAGGUCCAUGCAUAGAUGACAUCACAAGUAGAACACAAAGGAGUUUGUGGGCAUUGAUAUUCAAAUUGGUUCCUUCCUUGGUAUUUUCUUGACUCGACAGUAUUGUGGGAUGAAGCGGUCUGGACCAACCUUACAUGUCCACGUACAUGAGACAGGUUCCAUCGACAGACAUGUGACUUUGUUGCAUAAAGAUGGCUGGCGGGUGUCUGUCUCUCCCACCUUAGUUGAAUCGGAUUCGACAAAGGCAGUCCUUGUAGAAGGUUAAAUGGCAACUUUCAUAUCACCAUUGUGGCUUUGCGUAGGUAAGAAUCUUUCUUGCUAGAUACCCAUAGCAGCCUCGUAAAACAUGCAACAACAAUUAGAGGAUGUCUAACUUGUUUUUGCAGUGUAUGUUGUGAUAUGAUAUGUCCAAAGACAUGAUGAGAUAUAUUUGAUGUAUGAGAUGAUCAUGUUUGUAAUAGUUUAUAUCAACUUGCAUGUCCAUGCAUUCGACAACCGACGGGAGCCAUAGGGUUGUCUUUAAUUAUUGUAUGACCUAUGUGUCAAUUAUUAAGCGCUAUGUAAUGCUUUACUUUAUCGCUAAGCAGUAGCAAUAGUAGUAUAAGCAUGGUUGGCGUGACAACCUCGACGGUGACAUGAUGAUGGAGAUCAUGGUGUCAUGCCGGUGACAAUGGAGAUCAUGCCGGUGCUUUGGAGAUGGAGAUCAAAAGCACAAGUUGAUGGCCAUAUCAUGUCACUUAUGAUUUGCUUGUGAUGUUAAUCCUUUUAUGCAUCUUAUUUUGCUUAGGAUGACGGUAGCAUUAUAAGGUGAUCCCUCACUAAAAUUUCAAGAUAAAAUUGUGUUCUCCCCAAGUGUGCACUGUUGCGGAAGUACGUCGUUUCGAAGCACCACGUGAUGAUCGGGUGUGAUAGACUCUACAUUCAUAUACAAUGGGUGCAACCGUGCAAGCCAGUUUUGCACAUGUGGAACACUUGGGUUAAACUUGAUGAGCCUAGCAUGUAUAUAUAUGGCCUCAUAACACAAGAGACCGAAAGGCCGAACAUGAGUCAUAUAUUAGAUAUGAUCAACAUGGAGAUGUUGACCAUUGAAACCACCUCAUCUCACGUGAUGAUCGGACUUUGGUUGGUGAAUUUGGAUCAUGUUACACUCGAAUGACCGGAGGGAUGUCGAUUUGAGUGGGAGUUCUUAAGUAAUAUGAUUAGUUGAACUCAUUAUCAUGAACAUAGUCUAAAUUGUCUUUGCAAAUUAUGUUGUAGAUCAAUAGCUCGCGCUAUAGCUCCCUGUUUUAAUACGUUCCUAGAGAAAGACUAAGUUGAAAGAUAUUGUAAGAAAUUAUGCGUACUAGGGCCAUAGUCUGAGGAUUGUCCUCACUGCUGGACAGAAGCCUUAUGUCCUUGACGCACUGCUCGGUGUGCCAACCCCUCUAGCGUCAUCUAUGGAUGUUGUGAACAUCUGGCAGACAUGUUUAGAUGACUACUUGAUAGUUCAGUGCGCCAUGCUUUAUAGCUUAUAAUCGGGGCUUGAAAGACGUUUUUGAACGCCAUGGAUCAUAUGUGAUGUUCCAAGAGUUGAAAUUGGUAUUUCAGGCUCAUGCCUGUGUUGGAAGGGUAUCAGAAUCGCGAUUCUGUUAUACGAUUCUACGACUUUACGAUCCAAACUAACCCCUCUGAUUCUACGAUUUUACUUCAUAGAAUCUACGUUUCUACGAUCCUGAUAGUGAAGAUUCUACGAUUUGCGAUCCUACCAUCGGAGCUCCGAUCCGAUUCAAAAUCACGAUUUUGACAACCUUAUGAGACCUCUGACAAGUUCUUUGCCUACAAGAUGGAGGAUAAUAACUCAGCUAGUGAGCAUGUGCUCGAAAUGUCUGGGUACUACAAUCGCUUGAAUCAAGUGGGAGUUAAUCUUCUAGAUAAGAUAGUGAUUGACAGAGUUCUCCAGACACUAUCACCAAGCUACUGGAACUACGUGAUGAACUAUAACAUGCAAGGGAUGGAGAUGAUCCCAGAGCUGUUCGCGGUAGGCCACGAAGGUAGAAAUCAAGAAGGAUCAUCAAGUGUUGAUGGUUUACAAGACCACUAGUUUCAAUAAGGGCAAGGGCAUGAAGAGAAACUUCAUGAAUGGCAAGCCAGUUGCUGAUCUAGUGAAGUAACCCAAGGUUGAACCCAAACCUGAGACUAAGCGCUUCUAUUGUAAGGGGAACGGUCACUGGUAGCGGAGCUAGCCCAAAUACUUGGUAGAUAAGAAAGCUGGCAACCUUAACAAAAGUAUAUUUAAUAUACAUGUUAUUGAUGUGUACCUUACUAGUACUCCUAGUAGCACCUGGGUAUUAGAUACCGGUUCAGUUGCUAAUUUUGGUAACUCAAAAUAAAAGCUGCGGAAUAAAUAGAGACUAGCUAAGGGCGAGGUGAUGAUGUGUGUUGGAAGUGUUUCCAAGGUUGAUGUGAUCACCAUCGCACGCUCCCUCUACCUUCGAGAUUAGUGUUGAGCCUAGAUAAAUGUUAUUUGGUGUCUGCGUUGAGGCAUGAACACAAUUAUAUUGUGUUUAUUACAAUAUGGUUAUUCAUUUAAGUCAGAGAAUAAUGGUUAUUCUAUUUACAUGAAUAAUACCUUCUAUGGUCAUACACCCAAGGUGAAUGGUUUGUUUAAUCUCGAUCGUAGCGAUACACAUGUUCAUAAUAUUAAUGCCAAAAGAUGCAAAGUUAAUAAUGAUAGUACCACAUACUUGUGGCACUGCCGCUUAGGUCAUAUUGGUGUAAAGCGCAUGAAGAAACUCCACGCUGAUGGACUUUUGGAGUCACUUGAUUUUGAAUCACUUGACACAUGCGAACCAUGCCUUAUGGGCAAGAUGACUAAAACCCCUUGUCUGGUACAUUGGAACGGGCAAGUGACUUGUUAGAAAUCAUACAUGCUGAUGUGUGUGGUUCGAUGAGUGUUGACGCAUGUGGUGGAUAUCGUUAUUUCCUCACCUUCACUGAUGAUUUGAGUAGAUAUGGGUAUGUUUACUUAAUGAAGCAUAAGUCUGAAACAUUUGAAAAGUUCAAGAAAUUUCAGAGUGAAGUUGAGAAUCAUUGUAAAAAGAAGAUUAAAUUCCUAUGAUCCAAUAUAAGGGGAGAAUAUCUGAGUUAUGAGUUUGGCAAUCACUUAAGACAAUGUGGAAUUGUUUCACAGUUGACGCCACCUGGAACACCAUAGUGUAAUGGUGUGUCCGAACGACGUGAUCAUACCUUAUCGGAUAUGGUGCGUUCUAUGAUGUCUCUUGCCGAUCUACCACUAUUGUUUUGGGGUUAUGCAUUAGCGACAACCACAUUUACUUUAAAUAGGGAAGCAUCUAAGUCUGUGGAGAUGACAUCGUAUGAAUUGUGCUUUAGCAAGAAACCUAAGUUGUCAUUUCUUAAGGUUUGGGGCUGCGACACUUAUGUGAAAAGGCUUGAGCCUGAUAAGCUUGAACCCAAAGCGGACAAAUGCAUUUUCAUAGGAUACCCAAAGGAGAAUAUUGAGUAUACCUUCUAUCUCGGAUAUGAGGGCAAAUUGUUUGUCGCUAAGAACGGGUCAUUUCUUGAGAAAGUGUUUUUCUUGAAAGAAUUGAGUGGGAGGAAGAUAGAACUUGAUGAGGUUGUUGAACCAUUACUUCAACCAGAGAGUAUCGCAGCAAAGAAAGAUGUCUCUGUGGCACCUACAUCAGUUAAAGAGGAAGCUAGUGAUGAUGAUCAUGAAGCUUCAGAUCAAGUUACUAUCGAACCGUGUAGGUCGACAAGGGUACGUACAACUUUUGAGUGGCACGGUAACCCUGUCUUAGAGGUCAUGUUGUUGGACAACGGUGAACCUACGACCUAUGGAGAAGCGAUGGUGGGCCCGGCUCCCAACAAAUGGCUAGGAGCCUUGAAAUCCGAGAUUGGAUCCAUGUAUGAGAACAAUGUAUGGACUUUGAUGGACUCGUGCGAUGAUUAGCAAGCCAUUGAGAAUAAAUGGAUCUUUGAGAAGAAGACAUAUGUUGAUGGUAAUGUCACCAUUUAUGAAGCUCGACUUGUCACAAAGAAGUUUCUAACAAGUUCAAGGAGUUCACUAUGAUGAGACUUUCUCACUCAUAGCGAUGCUAAAGUCUGUUGGAGUUAUGUUAGUAGUUGCUGCAUUUUCAUUUACGAAAUCUAGCAGAUGGAUGUCAAAACAAAGUUUCCUUGACGGUUUUCGUGAGGAAAGGUUGUAUGUAUACAACCAGAAGGUUUUGUUAAUCCUAAGGAUGCUAAAAGGUAUGCAAGCUCCAUCGAUCCUUCUAUGGACUGGAGAAAGCAUCUCGGAGUUGGAACAUACGCUUUGAUGAGGUGAUCAAAGCUUUUGGUUAUAUUCAAAGUUUGCAAGAAACUUGUAUUCACAAGAAAGUGAGUGGGAGCACUACAACAUUUCAGAUAAGUAUAUGUGGCUGACAUAUUGUUGAUCAGAAAUGAUGUAGAAUUUCUGGAAAGCAUAAAGGGUUAUUUGAAAUGAGUUUUUCAAAGGAAGACCUGGGUAAGUCUGCUUACAUAUUGGGCAACAAGAUCUAUAGAGAUAGAUCAAGACGCGUGAUAAGACUUUCAUAGAGCACAUACCUUGACAUGAUUUUGAAGGAGUUCAAAAUGGAUUAGUGAAAGAAGGAGUUCUUGCCUGAGUUGUAAGGUGUGAAGUUGAGUAAGACUCAAAGCUCGACUACGGCAGAAGAAAGAGAAAGGACGAAGGGUCGUCCCCUAUGCCUUAGCCAUAGUCUCUAUACGGUAUGCCAUGCUAUGUACCCCACCUGAGGUGUGCCUUGCCAUGUGUCUGGCAAGGUGGUAGAAGAGUGAUCAAGGAGUGGAUCACCGGAUAAUGGUCAAAAUUAUCCUAGGAGGAAUAAGGAAAUGUUUCUUGGUUAUGGAGGUGAUAAAGAGUUUGGCGUAAAGGGUUACGUCGAUGCAAGCUUUAACACCUAUCUGGAUGACUCUGAGUAGCAAACCAGAUACAUAUAGUGGAGCAGCCAUUCGGAAUAGCUCCAAGUGGAGCUUGGUAGCAGCAUCUACAAUAUGACAUAGAGAUUUGCGAAGUACACACAGAUCUGAAUGUUGCAGACCCGUUGACUAAAACCUCUCUCACAAGCAUAACAUGAUCAAACCCUAUAACUCAUUGAGUGUUAAUCACAUGGUGACGUGAACUAGAUUAUUGACUCUAGUAAACUCUUUGUGUGUUCGUCACAUGGCGAUGUGAACUAUGAGUGUUAAUCACAAGGCGAUGUGAACUAGAUUAUUGACUCUAGUGCAAGUGGGAGACUAUUGGAAAUAUGCCCUAGAGGUAAUAAUAAAUUGGUUAUUAUCAUAUUUCCUUGUUCAUGAUAAUCGUUUAUUAUCCAUGCUAGAAUUGUAUUGAUCGGAAACUCAGAUACAUGUGUGGAUACAUAGACAACAACGUGUCCCUAGUAAGCCUCUACCGGACUAGCUCGUUGUUCAAAGAUGGCUAUGGUUUCCUAGCCAUGUGCUACCUCUUGAGCACUGCAUUCGUUUUCCCUUGAAGAGGAAAGGGUGAUGCAGCAAAGUAGUGUAAGUAUUUCCCUCAGUUUUUGAGAGCCAAGGUAUCAAUCCAGUAGGAGGCUACACGCAAGUCCCUCGUACCUACAAAAAUAAACAAGAACCUCGCAACCAACGCGAUAAAGGGGUUGUCAAUCCCUUCACGACCACUUGCGAAAGUGAGAUCUGAUAGAGAUAAUAAGAUAAGAUAAAUAUUUUUGGUAUUUUUAUGAUAUAGAUUGAAAAGUAAAGAUUGCAAAAUAAAUUAGAUCGGAAACUUAUAUGAUAGAAAAUAGACCCAGUGGCCAUAGGUUUCACUAGUGGCUUCUCUCAAGAUAGCAUAAGUAUUACGGUGGGUAAACAAAUUACUGUUGAGCAAUUGAUAGAAAAGUGCAUAUUUAUGAGAAUAUCUAGGCAUGAUCAUGUAUAUAGGCAUCACGUCCGCGACAAGUAGAUCGAAAUGAUUCUGCAUCUACUACUAUUACUCCACACAUCGACCGCUAUCCAUCAUGCAUCUAGAGUAUUAAGUUCAUAAGAACAAAGUAACGCAUUAGGCAAGAUGACAUGAUGUAGAGGGAUAAACUUAAGCAAUAUGAUAUAAAACCCAUCUUUUUAUCCUCGAUGGCAACAAUACAAUACGUUCCUUGCUGCCCCUGCUAUCACUGGGAAAGGACACCACAAGAUUGAAUCCAAAGCUCAGCACUUCUCCCAUUGCAAGAAAGAUCAAUCUAGUAGGCCAAACCAAACUGAUAAUUCGAAGAGACUUGCAAAGAUAACCAAUCAUAUAUAAAAGAAUUGAGAGGAGAUUCAAAUAUUUCUCAUAGAUAAACUUGAUCAUAAACCCACAAUUCAUCGGAUCUCGACAAACACACCGCGAAAAGAGUUACAUCGAAUAGAUAUCCAAGAAGAUCGAGGAGAACAUUGUAUUGAGAUUCAAAGAGAGAGAAAAAGCUAUCUAGCUAAUAACUAUGGACCUGAAGGUCUGUGGUAAGCUACUCACAACUCAUCGGAGAGUCUUUGGCGUUGAUGUAGAAGCCCUACAUGAUUGAUUUCCCCUAUGGUGGAGUGCCGGAAGAGGCUCCAAGAUGGGAUCUCACGGGGACAGAAUGUUGCGGUGGUGGAAAUAGGGUUUUAUGGUGCUCCCUGAUGUUUUUUGGGUAUGCAAGUAUAUAUAGGUGAAGGAAGUCGGUCAAGGGAGCCACGAGGGGCCCACGAGGGUGGGGGCACGCCCACCCCCCUAGGGCGCGCCCUGGACCCUCGUGGCUGCCUCAUUUACUUCUUGACGUCCACUCCAAGUCUCCUGGAUUGCGUUUGUUCCAAAAAGAUCUCUCCCGAAGGUUUCAUUCCAUUUGGACUCCGUUUGAUAUUCCUUUUCUUCGAAACACUGAAAUAGGCAAAAAAACAACAACAAUUUGAGUUGGUCCUCCGGUUAAUAAGUUAGUCCCAAAAAUGAUAUAGAAGUGUAUAGUAAAGCCCAUAAACAUCCAAAACGGGUAAUAUAAUAGCAUGGAACAAUCAAAAAUUAUAGAUACGUUGGAGAUGUAUCAAGCAUCCCCAAGCUUAAUUCCUGCUCGUCCUCGAGUAGGUAAAUGAUAAAAACAGAAAUUUUGAUGUGGAAUGCUACCUAGCAUAUUUCUUAAUGUAAUUUUCUUUAUUGUGGCAUGAAUGUUCAGGUCCAAAUGAUUCAAGAUAAAAGUUCAUAUUAACAUAAAAAUAGUAAUAGUUCAAGCAUACUAACAAGUAAUCAUGUCUUAUCAAAAUAACAUAGCCGAAGAAAGCUUCUCCCUAAAAAAUCAUAUAGUUAGGCUAUGCUUCAUUUUCGUCACACAAAAUACUCCUAUCAUGCACAACCCCGGUUUCAGCCAAGCAAUUGGUUCAUAAUUUUUAAUGCGCUUCAGCUUUUUUAACUCUCACGCAAUACAUGAGCGUAAGCCAUGGAUAUAGGACUAUGGGUGGAAUAGAACAAGAUGAUGGAGGUUGUGUGGAGAAGACAAAAAAGGAGAAAAUCUCACAUUGACGAGGCUAAUCAACGGGCUAUGGAGAUGCCCAUCAAUUGAUGUCAACAUGAGGAGUAGGGAUUGCCAUGCAACGGAUGCACUAGAGCUAUAAAUGUAUGAAAGCUCAACAAAAGAAACUAAGUGGGUGUGCAUCCAACUCACUUUCUCAUGAAGACCUAGGGCAUUUUGAGGAAGCCUAUCAUUGGAAUAUGACUCUAAUAAUGAAGAUCAUCACACUUUUAUUUAUUUACAACUCAAGAAUUACAACUCAAUACUUAGAACAAAAUAUGACUCUAUGUGAAUGCCUCCGAUGGUGUACUGGGAUAUGCAAUGAAUCAAGUGACAUGUAUGAGAGAAUUAUGAAGGUGGCCUUGCCACAAAUACGAUGUCAACUACAUGAUGAAACAUGUCAUAAUUACGGAACGGUGGAAGGUUGCAUGGCAAUAUAUCACGGAAUGGCUAUGGAAAUGCCAUAAUAGGUAGAUAUGGUGGCUGUUUUUAGGAAGAUAUAAGGAGGUUUAUGUGUUAUAGAGCGUAUCGUAUCACGGGGUUUGGAUGCACCGGCAAAGUUUUCACCAACUCUCAAGGUGAGAAAGGGUAAUGCACGGUACUGUAGAGGCUAGCAAUGAUGGAAGGGUAAGAGUGCGUAUAAUCCAUGGACUCACAUUAGUCAUAAAGAACUCAUAUAAUUAUUGCAAAAGUUAUUUAGCCCUUGAAGCAAAGUACUACUACGCAUGCUCCUAGGGGAAGGGUUGGUAGGAGUUAACCAUCGCGCGAUCCCGACCUCCACUCACAAGGAAGGCAAUCAAAGAGCACCCCGUGCUACAAAUUUGUUACACAACUUUAACCAUACGUGCAUGCUACGGGACUUGCCAACUUUAAAACAAGUAUUUAUCAAUUUCAUAAUUACCCAACUAGCAUGAUUCUAACAUUACCAACUUUAUAUCUCAAAACAAUUAUCAAGCAUCAAAUUGAUCAUAGCAUCCAAUGCACUUUAUAUGAUAGUUUUUAUUAUACCCAACUUGGAUGCCCAUCAUACUAGGACCAAUUUUAUAACCAUAGUAAAUACCAUGCGGUUCUAAAAGACUCUCAAAAUAAUAUAAGUGAAGCAUGAGAGAUCAACAAUUUCUACAAAAUAAAACCAUCGCCGUGCUCUAAAAAGAUAUAAGUGAAGCACUAGAGCAAAAUUGUCUAGCUCAAAAGAUAUAAUUGAAGCACAUAGAGUAUUAUAAUAAAUUUAGAUUCAUGUGUGUCUCUCCCAAAAGGUGUGUACAGAAAGGAUGACUAAAAUCAAAUACUCAUAUCAUACAAGACGCUCCAAGGAAAACACAUAUCACGUGGUGAAUAAAAAUAUAGCUCCAAGUAAAGUUACUGAUAGACGAAGAUGAAAGAGGGGAUGCCUUCCGGGGCAUCCCCAAGCUUAGGCUUUUGAUUGUCCUUGAAUUACCUUGGGGUGCCUUGGGCAUCCCCAAGCUUAGGCUCUUGCCACUCCUUAUUCCAUAGUCCAACAAAUCUUUACCAAAAACUUGAAAACUUCAGAACACAAAACUCAACAGAAAAUCUCAUAAGCUCCGUUAGUGCAAGAAAGCAAACCACCACUUUAAGGUACUGUAAUGAACUCAUUAUUUAUUUAUAUUGGUGUUAAACCUACUGUAUUCCAACUUCACUAUGGUUCAUACCCCCCGAUACUAGCCAUAGAUUCAUCAAAAUAAGCAAACAUCACACGAAAAACAGAAUAUGUCAAAAACAGAACAGUCUGUUGUAAUCUGUAACUUUAGAAUACUUCUGGAACUCUAAAAAUCCUACCAAAAUAGGAAGUCCUAGGAAAUUUUUCUAUUGAUUUACUACAAAAAGAAUCAACUAAAAAUAACGUUUAUGUGAUUUAUUAACAUUAUUCUCGUGCAUGCAAAAGUUUCUGUUUUUCAGCAAGAUCAAAUUAACUAACACCGUAGGUUGUCCUAUAGGUUCUACUUGGCACAAACACUAACUAAAACAUAAAACCACAUCUAAAAUAAGCUAGAUGAAUUAUUUAUUACUAAACAGGAGCAAAAAUCAAGGAACAAAAAUAAAAUUGGGCUGCCUCCCAACAUGCGCUAUCGUUUAACGCCCCUACCUAGGCAUAAAAGCGAGAAUAGAUCUAAGUAUUGCCAUCUUUGGUAUUCAAUUCAUAAGUGGCUCGCAUAAUAGAUUCAUAAGGUAAUUUGACUUUCUUUCUAGGAAAGUUUUCCAUGACUUUUCUUAAUGGAAAUUGGAAUCUAAUAUUUCCUUCCUUCAUAUCAAUAAUUGCACCAAUCGUUCUAAGGAAAGGUCUACCAACAAUAAUAGGACAUGAAAGAUUGCAAUCUAUAUCAAGAACGAUAAAAUCUACGAGCACAUAAUUCCUAUUUGCAACAAUAAGAAGAUCAUUAGUCCUUCCCAUAGGUUUCUUAAUAGUGAAUCCGCAAGGUGCAAGUUUAAAGAGCAAUCAUCAAAAUCACAGAAACCUAACACAUCACAGAAAGUUUUUGGAAUUGUGGAAACACUAGCACCCAAAUCACACAAAGCAUAGCAUUCAUGAUCUUUAAUUUUAAUUUUAUUAGUAGGUUCACACUCAUCAUAAAGUUUUCUAGGCAUAGAAACUUCCAGUUCAAGUUUUUUCUUCAUAAGAUUGCAUCAAAGCAUCAACAAUAUGUUUGGUAAAAGCUUUAUUUUGACUAUAAGCAUGAUGAGAAUUUAACACGGAUUGCAACAAGAAAAUACAAUCUAUUAAAGAGAACUUAUCAUAAUUAAAUUCCUUGAAAUCCAAAAUAGUGGGUUCAUUGCUAUGUAAAGUUUUGACCUCUCCAAUCCCACUUUUACCAAAUUGAGCAUCAAGAUCUAAAAACUCUGAAUCAUUGGGACGCCUUUUAACUAAAGUUGACACAUCUCCAGUCCCAUUAUUAUCAAGAUUCAUAUUGCAAAACAAAUAUUUAAUAGGGUACACCUCAAUCACUUUUAGAUCUUCAUCAUUAUUAUCAUAAAAACUAGAAGAACAUGCUUUUACAAAGCAAUCUUUCUUAGCACACAUUCUAGUGGUUCUUUAUUUGCACUCAUCAAUGGAAAUUCUCAUGGCUUUGAGGGACUCAUUGAUAUCAUGCUUAGGUGGAAUAGAUCUAAGUUUCAAAGAAUCAACAUCAAGAGAAAUUCUAUCCACGUUCCUAGCCAGCUCAUCAAUCUUAGGCAAUCUUUCUUCAAGCAAAGCAUUGAAAUUAUUUUGAGAGAUCAUAAAUUCUUUAACACUAAUCUCAAAAUCAGAGGGCAUCUUAUUAAAAUUUCCAUAAGAGUUGUUGUAGGAAUUACCAUAAUUAUUAGAGGAAUUACUAGGAAACGGCCUAGGAUUAAAGUUUCCUCUAUACGCAUUGUUACCAAAAUUAUUCCUACCAACAAAAUUCACAUCCAUAGAUUCAUUAUUAUUAUCAAUCAAAGUAGACAAAGGCAUAUCAUUAGAUCAAAAGGAGCACUCCUAUUAGCAAACAAUUUCAUAAGUUCAUCCAUCUUUCCACUCAAAACAUUAAUCUCUUCUAUCACAUGAACUUCUUUAAUAGUAGAUCUUUUGGUGUGCCAUUGAGAAUAAUUAACCAUGAUAUUAUCUAGGAGUUUAGUAGCUUCUCCUAAAGUGAUUUCCAUAAAAGUGCCUCCCGCGGCCGAAUCUAAAAGAUUUAUAUAAGCAAAAUUCAAUACGGCAUAAAAGUUUUGUAUGAUCAUCCAUAAAUUUAAUCCAUGUGUAGGGCAACUGCGAAUCAUUAAUUUCAUCCUCUCCCAAGAUUGUGCAACAUGCUCAUGAUCAAGUUGCUUAAAUUUCAUAAUAUCGCUUCUAAGAGAGAUGAUCUUAGCGGGAGGAAAAUACUUAGAGAUAAUCUUUGCACUUAUUCCAUGAAUUAAUACUAUUUUUAGGCAAAGACGAAAACCAAGUUUUAGCACGAUCUCUAAGCGAAAACAGAAAUAACUUCAAUUUAACAAUAUCAUUAUCCAUGUCUUUCUUCUUUUGCAUAUCACACAAAUCAACAAAGUUGUUUAAAUGAGUAGCAGCAUAUUCACUAGGAAGGUUGGAGAAUUGAUCUUUCAUGACAAGAUUCAACAAAGCAUAAUUGAUUUCGCAAGAUUCAACAUCGUUAAGAGGAGCAAUCAGAGUGCUAAGGAAAUCAUUAUUGUUGGUAUUGGAAAAGUCGCACAAUUUAGUAUUAUCUUGAGCCAUCGUGACAAGCAAUCCAACACACAAGCACACAACAGGCAAGUGAAAAAGAGGCGAACGGGAAAGAGAGGGCGAAUAAAAUGGCAAGGGUGAAGUAGGGGAGAGGAAAACGAGAGGCAAAUGGAAAAUAAUGUAAUGCGAGGGAGAAGAGUUUGUGAUGGGUACUUGGUAUGUCUUGACUUGAGCGAAGACCUCCCCGGCAAUGGCGCCAGAAAUCCUUCUUGCUACCUCUUGAGCAUUGCGUUGGUUUUCCCUUGAAGAGGAAAGGGUGAUGCAACUAAGUAGCAUAAGUAUUUCCCUCAGUUUUUGAGAACCAAGGUAUCAGUCCAGUAGAAGGCUACACGCAAGUCCCUUGUACCUACACAAAAAAAAACAAGAACCUCGCAACCAACGCGAUAAAGGGGUUGUCAAUCCCUUCACGGCCACUUGCGAAAGUGAGAUCUGAUAGAGAUAAUAAGAUAAGAUAAUUUUUUUUGGUAUUUUUAUGAUAUAGAUUGAAAAGUAAAGAUUGCGAAAUAAAGUAGAUCGGAAACUUAUAUGAUAGAAAAUAGACCCGGGGGCCAUAGGUUUCACUAGUGGCCUCUCUCAAAAUAGCAUAAUUAUUAUGGUGGGUAAACAAAUUACAGUCGAGCAAUUGAUAGAAAAGUGCAUAGUUAUGAGAAUAUCUAGGCAUGAUCAUGUAUAUAGGCAUCACGUCCGCGACAAGUAGAUUGAAAUGAUUCUGCAUCUACUACUAUUACUCCACACAUCGACCGCUAUCCAGCAUGCAUCUAGAGUAUUAAGUUCAUAAGAACAGAGUAACACAUUAGGCAAGAUGACAUGAUGUAGAGGAAUAAACUCAAGCAAUAUGAUAUAGACCCCAUCUUUUAUCCUCGAUGGCAACAAAACAAUACGUGCCUUGCUGCCCCUGCUGUCACUAGGAAAGGACACCCCAAGAUUGAACCCAAAUCUAAGCACUUCUCCCAUUGCAAGAAAGAUCAAUCUAGUAGGCCAAACCAAACUGAUAAUUCGAAGCUACUUGCAAAGAUAACCAAUCAUACAUAAAAGAAUUCAGAGGAGAUUCAAAUAUUUCUCAUAGAUAAACUUGAUCAUAAACCCACAAUUCAUCGGAUCUCUACAAACACACCGCAAAAUGAGUUACAUCGAAUAGAUAUCCAAGAAGAUCGAGGAGAACAUUGUAUUGAGAUUCAAAGAGAGAGAAGAAGCCAUCUAGAUAAUAACUAUGGACCCGAAGGUCUGUGGUAAACUACUCACAAUUCAUCGGAGAGGCUUUGGCAUUGAUAUAGUAGCCCUCCAUCGGUCAGGGGAGCCACGAGGGGCCCAUGAGGGUGGGGGGCGCGCCCACCCACCUAGGGAGCGCCCUGGACCCUCGUGGCCGAUUCGUUUACUUCUUGACGUCCACUCUAAGGCUCUUACAUUGCGUUUGUUCCAAAAAGAUCUCUCCCAAAGGUUUCAUUCCGUUUGGACUCCGUUUGAUAUUCCUUUUCUUCGAAACACUGAAAUAGUCAAAAAACAACAAUUUCGGUUGGGCCUCCGGUUAAUAGGUUAGUCCCAAAAAUGAUAUAAAAGUGUAUAGUAAAGCCCAUAAACAUCCCAAACGGGUAAUAUAAUAGCAUGGAAUAAUCAAAAACUAUAGAUACGUUGGAGACGUAUCACCAUGGACGUGAGUUGUCAUUUGAUAACGGGAUCACAUCAUUAGGAGUAUGAUGUGAUGAACAAGACCCAAACUAUAAACAUAGCAUAUGAUUGUAUGAAGUUUAUUGCUAUCGUUUUCUGCAUCUCAAGUAUAUAUGUUCCUAUGACCAUGAGAUCAUGCAACUCACUGACACCAGAGGAAUACCUUGUGUGUACCAAACGUCGCAACAUAACUGGGUGACUAUAAAGGUGCUCUACAGGUAUCUCCGAGGGUGUCUAGUGAGUUGGCAUGGAUCAAGACUGGGAUUUGUCACUCCAUAUGACGGAGAGGUAUCUCUAGGCCCUCUUGGUAAUACAACAUCACAAGAAGCUUGCAAGCAACGUGACUAAUGAUUCCUCCUACUUGGGCGCCUCCUAUGGCUGCUCCUCUCUCCCUCCCACCUAUAUAUAUUUGUGAAAGGGGGCGCCUAGCACACACCAGACAAUUUCCUAGCCGUGUGCGGCGCCCCCUCCACUGUUUACUACCUCGGUCAUAUUUACGUAGUGCUUAGUCGAAGCCCUGCGGAGAUCACUUCACCAUCACAGUCACCACGCCGUCGUGCUACCGGAACUCAUCUACUACCUCGAUGUUUUGCUGGAUCAAGAAGGCGAGGGACGUCAUCGAGCUGAACGUGUGCCAAACUCGGAGGUGCCGUACGUCUGGUACUCGACCGGUGGAUCGCAAAGAAAGUUUGACUACAUCAAUCGCGUUGUGAAACGCUUUCGCUUACGGUCUACGAGGGUACAUAGACACACUUUCCCCUCUCGUUGCUAUGCAUCUCCAUGGAUAGAUCAUUGCGUGCGCGUAGAUUUUUUUGUUUUCCUAUGCAAUGAUUCCCAACAGUGGUAUCAGAGCCAUGUCUAUGCAUAGAUGAUAUGCAUGAGUAGAACACAAAGAAGUUGUAGGCGGUGAUGUUCACACUGCUUACCACCAAUAUCUUAUUUUGAUUUGGCAGCAUUGCGGGAUGAAGCGGCCUAGACCAACCUUACAUGUCCACACACAUGAGACCGGUUCCACCGACUGACAUGCAACUAGUUUUGCAUAAAGGUGGCCGGCGGGUGUCUGUUUCUCCUACUUUAGUUGAUCGAAUUUGACUGCGGCCGGUCCUUGAAGAAGGUUAAAACAGCAAACUUGAUAAAUCUCCAUUGUAGUUUUUGCCAUAGGUAAGAACGGUUCUUGCUAGAAACCCGUAGCAGCCACGUAAAACUUGCAACAACAAAGUUGAUGACGUCUAACUUGUUUUUGCAGGGUAUGUUGUGAUGUGAUAUGGUCAAGACAUGAUGUGAUAUACAUUAUUGUAUGAGAUGAUCAUGUUUUGUAAUUUAUCAACAACCGGUAGGAUCCUUAUGGUUGUCUCUUUAUUGUAUGAAAUUAAAACGACAUGUAAUUGCUUUACUUUAUCGCUAUGCGUUAGCAAUAGUUGUAGAAGCAAUAGUUGGUGAGACGACCACGACGCAAUGAUGGAGAUCAAGGUGUCGAGCUGGUAACGAUGGAGAUCAUGAUGAUGCUUUGGAGAUGGAGAUCAAAAGCACGAGAUGAUGAUGGCCUUAUCAUGUCACAUAUUUUGAUUGCAUGUGAUGUUUAUCUUUUAUGCAUCUUAUUUUGCUUAGAACGACGGUAGCAUUAUAAGAUGAUCCCUUCACUAAAUUUCAAGAUAUAAGUGUUCUCCCCGAGUAUGCAUCGUUGCGAAAGUUCAUCAUUUCGAGACACCACGUGAUGAUCGGGUGUGAUAGACUCUACGUUCACAUACAACGGGUGUAAGAUAGUUUUGCACGUGCAGAAUACUUGGGUUAAACUUCACGAGUACAAACAUGGCCUCGGAACACAGGAGACCGAAAGGUAGAACAUGAGUCAUAUAGUAGAUAUGAACAUAGAGAUGUUCACCAUUGAUGACUACCCCAUCUCACGUGAUGAUCAGACAUGGGUUAGUUGAUUUGGAUCAUGUAUCACUUAGAUAACCCGAGGGAUGUUAAUUUAAGUGGGAGUUCAUUAGUAAUUUGAUUAAUUGAACUUAAAUUUAUCAUGAACUUAGUCCUGAUAGUAUUUGCAAAUUAUCUUGUAGAUCAAUAGCUCGCGUUGUAGCUCCCCUAUUUUUCGAUAUGUUCCUAGAGAAAAAUAAGUCAAAAGAUGAUAGUAGCAAUAACGCGAACUGGUUCCGUGAUCUGAGGAUUAUCCUCAUUGCUGCAUAGACGAAUUAUGUCCUUAAUGCACCGCUAGGUGACAGACCUAUUGCAGGAGCAGAUGCAGAUGUUAUGAACGUUUGGCAAGCUUGAUAUGAUGACUACUUAAUAGUUUAGUGUGCCAUGCUUUACGGCUUAGAACUAGGACUUAAAAAAUGUUUGGAACGCCAUGGAGCAUAUGAGAUGUUCCAAGAGCUGAAAUUGGUAUUUCAGACUCAUGCUCGUGUCGGGAGGUAUGAGACCUCGGGCAAGUACUUGCCUACAAGAUGGAGGAGAAUAGCUCAGUCAGUGAGCAUGUGCUUAGAGUGCCUGGGUACUACAAUCGCUUGAAUCAAGUGGGAGUUAAUCUUCCAGAUAAGAUAGUGUUUGAUAGAGUUCUCUAGUCACUAUCACCAAGCUACUAGAACUUCGUGAUGAAUUAUAAUAUGCAAGGGAUGACAAAAACAAUUCCCGAGCUCUUCGUGAUGCUGAAAUCGGCGAAGGUAGAAAUCAAGAAAGAACAUCAAGUGUUGAUGGUUAAACAAGACCACUAGUUUCAAGAAAAAGGGCAAGGGAAAGAAAGGGAACUUCAAGAAGAAUGUCAAGCAAGUUGCCACUCCCGUGAAGAAGCCCAAAACUGAACCCAAGCCUGAAACUGGGUGCUUCUACUACAAAGGAAAUGGUCAUUGAAGUGGAACUGCCCCAAAUACUAGGCGGAUAAGAAGGAUGGUAAAGUGAACAAAGAUAUAUUUGAUAUACAUGUUAUUGAUGUGUACUUUACUAGUGUUCGUAGUAACCCCUUGGUAUUGGAUACCAGUUCAGUUGCUAAGAUUAGUAACUCGAAACAGGAGUUGCAGAAUAAACAAAGACCAGUUAAGGGUGAGGUGACGAUGUGUGGUGGAAGUGAUUCCAAGGUUGAUACGAUCACCAUCGCACACCCCCUCUACCUUCAGGAUUAGUGUUGAACCUAAAUAAAUGUUAUUUGGUGUUUGCAUGGUGCAUGAAUAUGAUUAGAUCAUGUUUAUUGCAAUACGACUAUUCAUUUAAGUCAGAGAAUAAUUGUUGUUCUGUUUAAAUGAAUAAAACCUUCUAUGGUCAUACACCGAAUGCGAAUGGUUUAUUGAAUCUCGAUCAUAGUGAUACACAUAUUCAUAAUAUUGAUGCCAAAAUAUGCAAUGUUAAUAAUGAUAGUGCAACAUACUCUUGGCACUGCCGUUUAGUUCAUAUUGGUGUAAAACGCAUGAAGAAACUCCAUACGGAUGGACUUUUGGAAUCACUUGAUUAUGAAUCAUUUGAUACUUGCAAACCAUGCUUCAUGAGCAAGAUGACUAAACUUCGUUCUUCAGAACAAUGGAGCGAGCUAAUGACUUAUUGGAAGUAAUACAUACCGAUGUAUGAGAUCCGAUGAGUGUUCAAGCACGCGACGGGUAUCAUUAUUUUCCGACCUUCAUAGAUGAUUUGAGUAGGUAUGGGUAUAUCUACUUAAUGAAACACAAGUCUGAAACAUUUGAAAAGUUCAAAGAAUUUUAGAGUGAAGUAUCAUAGUAACAAGAAAAUAAAGUUUCUACGAUCUGAUCGCGGAAGCGAAUAAUUGAGUUACGAGUUUGGACUUCAUUCAAAACAAUGUGGAAUUGUUUCACAACUCAUGCCACCUGGAACACCACAGCGUAAUGGUGUGUCCAAACGUCGUAACCGUACUUUAUUGGAUAUGGUGCAUUAUAUGAUGUCUCUUACCGAUUUACCACUAUCGUUUUGGGGUUGUGCAUUAGAGACAACCGCAUUCACAUUAAAUAGGGCACCAUUUAAAUCCGUUGAGACGUCACUGUAUGAACUAUGGUUUGGCAAGAAACCUAAGAUGUCGUUUCUUAAAGUUUGGGUUGCGACGCUUAUGUCAAAAGGCUUCAGCCUGAUAAUCUCGAACCCAAAUCAGAGAAGUGCGUCUUCAUAGGAUACCCUAAGGAAAUAAUUGGGUACACCUACUACCACAGAUCUGAAGGUAAUAUCCUUGUUGCUAAGAAUGGAUCCUUUCUAGAGAAGGAGUUUCUCUUGAAAGAAGUGAGUGGGAGGAAAGUAGAACUUGAUGAGGUAAUUGUACCUUCUCUCGAAUUGGAUAGUAGCACAUCAGAGAAAACUGUUCCCAUGAUCUACACCAACUAGAGAGGAAGCUAAUGAUGAUGAUCAUAAAACUUUAUACCAAGUUACUACUAAACUUCAUAGGUUGACCAGAGCAUGAUCUGCACUAGAGUGGUACGGUAGUCCUGUCUUGGAAGUCAUGUUACUAGACCAAGACGAACCUAGAUUCCAAUAGAUGGCUUGAGGCCAUGAAAUCUGAGAUAGGAUCCAUGUAUGAGAACAAAGUAUGGACUUUGGUGGACUUGCCCGAUGAUCGGCAAGCCAUAAAGAAUAAAUGGAUCUUCAAGAAGAGGACAUAUGCUAAUGGUAAUGUCACCAUCUACAAAGCUCGACUUGUUGCGAAAGGUUUUCAACAAGUUGAAGGAGUUGACUACAAUGAUACCUUCUCACCCGUAGUGAUGCUUAAGUCAGUCCGAAUCAUGUUAGAAAUUGUCGUAUUUCAUAAUUAUGAAAUCUGGCAAAUGGACAUCAAAACUGAAUUCCUUAAUGGAUUUCUUAAAGAAGAGUUGUAUAUGAUGCAACCAGAAGGUUUUGUGGAUCCUAAAGGUGCUAACAAAGUGUGCAAACUCCAACGAUCCAUCUAUGGACUGGUGCAAGCAUCUCGGAGUUGGAAUAUACGCUUUGAUGAGGUGAUCAAAGCAUAUGGUUUUAUACAGACUUAUGGUGAAGCCUGUAUUUACAAGAAAGUGAGUGGGAGCUCUGUAGCAUUUAUGAUAUUAUAUGUGGAUGACAUAUUGUUGAUCGGAAUUGAUAUAGAACUUCUAGAUAGCAUAAAAGGAUACUUGAAUAAGAAUUUUUCAAUGAAAGACGUUGGUGAAGCUACUUAUAUUGGGCAUCAAGAUCUAUAGAGAUAGAUCAAGACGCUUGAGAGGACUUUCACAAAGCACAUACCUUGAUAAAUUUCUGAAGAAGUUCAAAGUGGAUCAGUCAAAGAAAGGGUUCUUGCUUGUGUUACAAGGUGUGAAGUUGAGUAAGACUCAAAACCCGACCACGGCAGAAUAUACAUAUAGAGAAUGAAAGUCAUUCCCAAUGCCUUAGUCGUAGGUUCUAUAAAGUAUGCCAUGCUGUGUACCAGACCUGUUGUGUGCCUUGCCAUGAGUUUGGCAAGGGGGUACAAUAGUGAUCCAGGAGUAGAUCUCUGGACAGCGGACAAAAUUAUCCUUAGGUACCUAAAGAGGAGUAAGGAAAUGUUUCUCGGUUAUGGAGGUGAUAAAAAGUAGAUCUCUCGACAGCGGUCAAUUCUCUUAUACUAUACACUAUGCUUCUUAAUUUUUAAGGCCUCACAAUUAAUUGAGGUAUUCAAUUUAGAACUAGGUCAACCGAUUUUGACCAGGUCUACAAUUUCUCAAACUCUCCCAUUCAAUUCUUUUAAUACGCUUUUUCCUUAGUCUUGGGAGGUCAACGACAAGUUCUCUGUGUGGUCUGCAUAUGCCGCCAGGUUUUGGGGUAGAAAAGUAAUACCCAGGGCAGACCUGACUUGGAAGUCGCGGGCCCCCUUGCAAUGCCGAUUCUUUACUUGGUUGGCUCUAUGAAAUAUAUGUUGGACUUCGGAUCGUCUCGCUGGAGAGGGCUACCACACUAAGAAGCAUGCCCCCUCCGUGAUCAAAAAGAGGAAACUAUAAACCACGUACUACUUACAUGUGUGUUUGCCAGGAUGAUGUGGACGGUGAUUUGUGAGGCUUUGGGCAGAUUGGAGUGGACACUAACCCCAAAGGAUUCACUCAAAGCAUGGUUAUGCAGCAAGCGGGGGCCCAACAAUAUGAGCAAGAAAGAUCUUCACACCCUUUUUGUGUUGGAAAUAUGCCCUAGAGGCAAUAAUAAAUUUGUUAUUAUAAUAUUUCCUUGUUCAUGAUAAUUGUUUAUUAUCCAUGCUAGAAUUGUAUUGAUCAGAAACUCAGAUACAUGUGUGGAUACAUAACAACAACGUGUCCCUUGUAAGCCUCUACCGGACUAGCUCGUUGAUCAUAGAUGACUAUGGUUUCCUAGCCAUGGACAUGAGUUGUCAUUUGAUAAUGGGAUCACAUCAUUAGGCGAAUGAUGUGAUGGACAAGACCCAAACUAUAAACGUAGCAUAUGAUUGUAUCAAGUUUAUUUCUAUUGUUUUCUGCAUGUCAAGUAUAUAUGUUCCUAUGACCACGAGAUCAUGCAACUCACUGACACCGGAGGAAUACCUUGUGUGUACCAAAUGUCGCAACGUAACUGGGUGACUAUAAAGGUGCUCUACAGGUACCUUCGAGGGUGUCUGUUUAGUUGGCAUGGAUCAAGGCUAGGAUUUGUCACUCCGUAUGACGGAGAGGUAUCUCUAGGCCCACUCAGUAAUACAACAUCACAAGAAGCUUGCAAGGAAUGUAAUAAUGAGUUAGCCAUGGGAUCUUGUAUUACGGAAUGAGUAAAGAUACUUGCCAGUAACGAGAUUGAACUAGGUAUGGAGAUACCCAUGAUCGAGUCUCGGGCAAGUAACAUACAGAUAGACAAAGGGAACUGCAUACGGGAUUAGAUGAAUCCUUGGCAUCAAGGUUCGACCAAUAAUAUCUUCAUAGAAUAUGUAGGAACCAUUAUGGGCAUCCAGGUCCCGCUAUUGGCUAUUGACCGUAUAGGUGUCUCGGUCAUGUCUUCAUAGUUCUCGAACCCGCAGGGUCUACACACUUAACGUUUGUUGAUGAUAUAAGUAUAGUUGAGUCAUUAUGGUGGUUAUGAAGGUUUUUCGGAGUCCCGGAUGAGAUCUUGGACGUGACGGGGAACACCGGAAUGGUUCGAAGGUGAAGAUUAAUAUAUUGGACGAAGGGUAUUGGAGUCCACAAUUGUUCCGGGGGUACCUGGUGAUGACCAGCAUGACCGAAAGGGGUUUUGGGGGGGCCCGACAAGUGUUGAGGGGCCUCAUGGGCCAAGGGGAGGGGUCAAACCAGCCCACUAAGGGGUUGUGCGCCCCCUUCACCCCUUCCCACGUUGCUAGAGGAGGUGGGGGCGCCACCCUAGGGUUCCCACCCCUUUGGCUUGGGGGCCAAGUCUCCUAUGGGGGAAACCCAUCUAGGGUUUCCCUCUAGUGGCCGCUGACCCUAGAUGGGAUCCCCUAGGGGAUCCCACCUCUCCCCCUUCCCCCUGUAUAUAUAGAGAGAGAGGUAGAGAGAGGGCUGCCAUAUGCAUAUAUGCCACGACACUGCCCUCCCUCUCCCUUGUAGCCAUCUUCCUCUGUGUAGUGCUUAGCGAAGCUCUGUUGAGAUUCCACCACCACCACCGCCACCAUGCCGUCGUGCUGCCGGAGGACUCGAGCUACUACUUCACCAUCACUCAUUGGAUCGAGGAUAUGAAGGCGUCAUAAAGCCAUACAUGUGUUGAACGCGGAGGUGUCGUCUAUUCGGCACUUGGAUCGGAGUUCGCGAGAAGGAUCGUGAUUGGAUCAUGAAGAACAUCAACCGCGUUUCUUAAUGCUUCCGCAUAGCGAUCUACAAGGGUAUGUAGAUGCAAUCUCUCCUCUCGAAGAUGGUCAUAUCCUAGAUUCAUCUUGGUGAGCGUAGGAAAUUUUUUGUUUCCCAUGCAACAUUCCCCAACAGUGGCAUCAUAAGCUAGGUCCAUGCAUAGAUGACAUCACAAGUAGAACACAAAGGAGUUUGUGGGCGUUGAUAUUCAAAUUGGUUCCUUCCUUGGUAUUUUCUUGAUUCGACUGUAUUGUGGGAUGAAGCGGCCCGGACCAACCUUACAUGUCCACGUACAUGAGACAGGUUCCAUCGACAGACAUGUGACUUUGUUGCAUAAAGAUGGCUGACGGGUGUCUGUCUCUCCCACCUUAGUUGAAUCGGAUUCGACAAAGGCAGUCCUUGUAGAAGGUUAAAUGGCAACUUUCAUAUCACCAUUGUGGCUUUGCGUAGGUAAGAAUCGUUCUUGCUAGAUACCCAUAGCAGCCACGUAAAACAUGCAACAACAAUUAGAGGAUGUCUAACUUGUUUUUGCAGUGUAUGUUGUGAUAUGAUAUGGCCAAAGACAUGAUGAGAUAUAUUUGAUGUAUGAGAUGAUCAUGUUUGUAAUAGUUUAUAUCGACUUGCAUGUUCAUGCAUACGACAACCGACGGGAGCCAUAGGGUUGUCUUUAAUUAUUGUAUGACCUAUGUGUCAAUUAUUAAGCACUAUGUAAUGCUUUACUUUAUCGCUGAGCAGUAGCAAUAGUAGUAUAAGCCUGGUUGGCGUGACAACCGCGACGGUGACAUGAUGAUGGAGAUCAUGGUGUCAUGCCGGUGACAAUGGAGAUCAUGCCGGUGCUUUGGAGAUGGAGAUCAAAAGCACAAGUUGAUGGCCAUAUCAUGUCACUUAUGAUUUGCUUGUGAUGUUAAUCCUUUUAUGCAUCUUAUUUUGCUUAGGACGACGGUAGCAUUAUAAGGUGAUCCCUCACUAAAAUUUCAAGAUAAAAUUGUGUUCUCCCCAAGUGUGCACUGUUGCGGAAGUACGUCGUUUCAAAGCACCACGUGAUGAUCGGGUGUGAUAGACUCUACAUUCACAUACAAUGGGUGCAACCGUGCAAGCCAGUUUUGCACAUGUGGAACACUUGGGUUAAACUUGACGAGCCUAGCAUGUACAGAUAUGGCCUCAUAACAUAAGAGACCAAAAGGCCGAACAUGAGUCAUAUAUUAGAUAUGAUCAACAUGGAGAUGUUGACCAUUGAAACCACCUCAUCUCAUGUGAUGAUCGGACUUUGGUUGGUGAAUUUGGAUCAUGUUACACUCGGAUGACCGGAGGGAUGUCGAUUUGAGUGGGAGUUCUUAAGUAAUAUGAUUAGUUGAACUCAUUAUCAUGAACAUAGUCUAAAUUGUCUUUGCAAAUUAUGUUGUAGAUCAAUAGCUUGCGCUAUAGCUCCCUGUUUUAAUACGUUCCUAGAGAAAGACUAAGUUGAAAGAUAUUGUAAGAAAUUAUGCGGACUAGGGCCAUAGUCUGAGGAUUGUCCUCACUGCUGCAUAGAAGCCUUAUGUCCUUGACGCACUGCUCGGUGUGCCAACCCCUCUAGCGUCAUCUAUGGAUGUUGUGAACAUCCGGCAGACACGUUUAGAUGACUACUUGAUAGUUCAGUGCGCCAUGCUUUACAACAUAGAAUCGGGGCACGGAAGACGUUUUUGAAUGCCAUGGAACAUAUGUGAUGUUCCAAGAGUUGAAAUUGGUAUUUCAGGAUCAUGCCUGUGUUGGGAGGAAUGAGACCUCUGACAAGUUCUUUGCCUACAAGAUGGAGGAUAAUAACUCAGCUAGUGAGCAUGUGCUCAGAAUGUCUGGGUACUACAAUUGCUUGAAUCAAGUGGGAGUUAAUCUUCUAGAUAAGAUAGUGAUUGACAGAGUUCUCCAGACACUAUCACCAAGCUACUGGAACUUCGUGAUGAACUAUAACAUGCAAGGGAUGGAGAUUAUCCCAGAGCUGUUCGCGGUAGGCCACGAAGGUACAAAUCAAGAAGGAUCAUCAAGUGUUGAUGGUUUACAAGACCACUAGUUUCAAUAAGGGCAAGGGCAUGAAGAGAAACUUCAUGAAUGGCAAGCCAGUUGCUGAUCCAGUGAAGUAACCCAAGGUUGAACCCAAACCUAAGGCUAAGUGCUUCUAUUGUAAGGGGAACAGUCACUGGUAGCGGAGCUACCCCAAAUACUUGGUAGAUAAGAAAGCUGGCAACCUCAACAAAAGUAUAUUUAAUAUACAUGUUAUUGAUGUGUACCUUACUAGUACUCCUAGUAGCACCUGGGUAUUAGAUACCGGUUCAGUUGCUAAUUUUGGUAACUCAAAACAAAAUCUGCGGAAUAAACGGAGACUAGCUAAGGGCGAGGUGACCAUGUGUGUUGGAAGUGUUUCCAAGGUUGAUGUGAUCACCAUCGCACGCUCCCUCUACCUUCGAGAUUAGUGUUGAACCUAGAUAAAUGUUAUUUGGUGUCUGCGUUGAGGCAUGAACACAAUUAUAUUUUGUUUAUUACAAUAUGGUUAUUCAUUUAAGUCAGAGAAUAAUGGUUAUUCUAUUUACAUGAAUAAUACCUUCUAUGGUCAUACACCCAAGGUGAAUGGUUUGUUUAAUCUCGAUCGUAGCGAUACACAUGUUCAUAAUAUUAAUGCCAAAAGAUGCAAAGUUAAUAAUGAUAGUACCACAUACUUGUGGCACUGCCGCUUAGGUCAUAUUGGUGUAAAGCGCAUGAAGAAACUCCACGCUGAUGGACUUUUGGAGUCACUUGAUUUUGAAUCACUUGACACAUGCGAACCCUGCCUUAUGGGCAAGAUGACUAAAACCCCAUUGUCUGGUACAUUGGAACGGGCAAGUGACUUGUUAGAAAUCAUACAUGCUGAUGUGUGUGGUCCAAUGAGUGUUGACGCAUGCGGUGGAUAUCGUUAUUUCCUCACCUUCACUGAUGAUUUGAGUAGAUAUGGGUAUGUUUACUUAAUGAAGCAUAAGUCUGAAACAUUUGAAAAGUUCAAGAAAUUUCAGAGUGAAGUUGAGAAUCAUCGUAAAAAGAAGAUUAAAUUCCUAUGAUCCAAUAUAAGGGGAGAAUAUCUGAGUUAUGAGUUUGGCAAUCACUUAAGACAAUGUGGAAUUGUUUCACAGUUGACGCCACCUGGAACACCAUAGUGUAAUGGUGUGUCCGAACGACGUGACCAUACCUUAUCGGAUAUGGUGCGUUCUAUGAUGUCUGUUGCCGAUCUACCACUAUUGUUUUGGGGUUAUGCAUUAGCGACAACCACAUUUACUUUAAAUAGGGAACCAUCUAAGUCCGUGGAGAUGACACUGUAUGAAUUGUGGUUUGGCAAGAAACCUAAGUUGUCAUUUCUUAAGGUUUGGGGCUGCGACACUUAUGUGAAAAGGCUUGAGCCUGAUAAGCUUGAACCCAAAGCGGACAAAUGCAUUUUCAUAGGAUACCCAAAGGAGAAGAUUGGGUAUACCUUCUAUCUCAGAUAUGAGGGCAAAUUGUUUGUCGCUAAGAACGGGUCAUUUCUUGAGAAAGUGUUUUUCUUGAAAGAAUUGAGUGGGAGGAAGAUAGAACUUGAUGAGGUUGUUGAACCAUUACUUCAACCAGAGAGUAGCGCAGCAAAGAAAGAUGUCUCUGUGGCACCUACGCCGGUUAAAGAGGAAGCUAGUGAUGAUGAUCAUGAAGCUUCAGAUCAAGUUACUGGCGAACCGUGUAGGUCGACAAGGGUACGUACAGCUUCUGAGUGGCACGGUAACCCUGUCUUAGAGGUCAUGUUGUUGGACAACGGUGAACCUAUGACCUAUGGAGAAGCGAUGGUGGGCCCGACUCCCAACAAAUGGCUAGGAGCCUUGAAAUCCGAGAUAGGAUCCAUGUAUGAGAACAAAGUAUGGACUUUGAUGGACUCGUGCGAUGAUUAGCAAGCCAUUGAGAAUAAAUGGAUCUUUGAGAAGAAGACAUAUGUUGAUGGUAAUGUCACCAUUUAUGAAGCUCGACUUGUCACAAAGAAGUUUCCGACAAGUUCAAGGAGUUGACUAUGAUGAGACUUUCUCACUCAUAGCGAUGCUAAAGUCUGUUGGAGUUAUGUUAGUAGUUGUUGCAUUUUCAUUUACGAAAUCUAGCAGAUGGAUGUCAAAACAAAGUUUCCUUGACGGUUUUCGUGAGGAAAGGUUGCAAGCUCCAUUGAUCCUUCUAUGGACUGGAGCAAGCAUCUCAGAGUUGGAACAUACGCUUUGAUGAGGUGAUCAAAGCUUUUGGUUAUAUUCAAAGUUUGCAAGAAACUUGUAUUCACAAGAAAGUGAGUGGGAGCACUACAACAUUUCAGAUAAGUAUUUGUGGCUGUCAUAUUGUUGAUCAGAAAUGAUGUAGAAUUUCUGGAAAGCAUAAAGGGUUGUUUGAAAUGAGUUUUUCAAAGGAAGACCUGGGUAAGUCUGCUUACAUAUUGGGCAACAAGAUCUAUAGAGAUAGAUCAAGACGCCUGAUAAGACUUUCAUAGAGCACAUACCUUGACAUGAUUUUGAAGGAGUUCAAAAUGGAUUAGUGAAAGAAGGAGUUCUUGCCUGAGUUUUAAGGUGUGAAGUUGAGUAAGACUCAAAGAUCGACCACGGCAGAAGAAAGAGAAAGGACGAAGGGUCGUCCCCUAUGCCUUAGCCGUAGUCUCUAUAUGGUAUGCCAUGCUAUGUACCCCACCUGAGGUGUGCCUUGCCACGUGUCUGGCAAGGUGGUAGAAGAGUGAUCGAGGAGUGGAUCGCCGGACAAUGGUCAAAAUUAUCCUAGGAGGAAUAAGGAAAUGUUUCUUGGUUAUGGAGGUGAUAAAGAGUUUGGCGUAAAGGGUUACGUCGAUGCAAGCUUUAACACCUAUCUGGAUGACUCUGAGUAGCAAACCAGAUACAUAUAGUGGAGCAGCCAUUUGGAAUAGCUACAAGUGGAGCUUGGUAGCAGCAUCUACAAUAUGACAUAGAGAUUUGCGAAGUACACACAUAUCUGAAUGUUGCAGACCCGUUGACAAAAACCUCUCUCACAAGCAUAACAUGAUCAAACCCUAUAACUCAUUGAGUGUUAAUCACAUGGUGAUGUGAACUAGAUUAUUGACUCUAGUAAACUCUUUGUGUGUUCGUCACAUGGCGAUGUGAACUAUGAGUGUUAAUCACAAGGCGAUGUGAACUAGAUUAUUGACUCUAGUGCAAGUGGGAGACUAUUGGAAAUAUGCCCUAGAGGUAAUAAUAAAUUGGUUAUUAUCAUAUUUCCUUGUUCAUGAUAAUCGUUUAUUAUCCAUGCUAGAAUUGUAUUGAUCGGAAACUCAGAUACAUGUGUGGAUACAUAGACAACAACGUGUCCCUAGUACGCCUCUACCGGACUAGCUCGUUGUUCAAAGAUGGGUAUGGUUUCCUAGCCAUGUGCUACCUCUUGAGCACUGCGUUGGUUUUCCCUUGAAGAGGAAAGGGUGAUGCAGCAAAGUAGUGUAAGUAUUUCCCCUCAGUUUUUGAGAGCCAAGGUAUCAAUCCAGUAGGAGGCUACACGCAAGUCCCUCGUACCUACACAAAUAAACAAGAACCUCGCAACCAACACGAUAAAGGGGUUGUCAAUCCCUUCACGGCCACUUGCGAAAGUGAGAUCUGAUAGAGAUAAUAAGAUAAGAUAAAUAUUUUUGGUAUUUUUAUGAUAUAGAUUGAAAAGUAAAGAUGGCAAAAUAAAUUAGAUUGGAAACUUAUAUGAUAGAAAAUAGACCAAGUGGCCAUAGGUUUCACUAGUGGCUUCUCUCAAGAUAGCAUAAGUAUUACGGUGGGUAAACAAAUUACUGUUGAGCAAUUGAUAGAAAAAUGCAUAGUUAUGAGAAUAUCUAGGCACAAUCAUGUAUAUAGGCAUCACGUCCGCGACAAGUAGAUCGAAAUGAUUCUGUAUCUACUACUAUUACUCCACACAUCGAUCGCUAUCCAUCAUGCAUCUAGAGUAUUAAGUUCAUAAGAACAAAGUUAACGCAUUAGGCAAGAUGACAUGAUGUAGAGGGAUAAACUCAAGCAAUAUGAUAUAAACCCCAUCUUUUUAUCCUCGAUGGCAACAAUACAAUACAUGCCUUGCUGCCCCUGCUGUCACUGGGAAAGGACACCACAAGAUUGAAUCCAAAGCUAAGCACUUCUCCCAUUGCAAGAAAGAUCAAUCUAGUAGGCCAAACCAAACUGAUAAUUCGAAGAGACUUGCAAAGAUAACCAAUCAUACAUAAAAGAAUUCAGAGGAGAUUCAAAUAUUUCUCAUAGAUAAACUUGAUCAUAAACCCACAAUUCAUCGGAUCUCGACAAACACACCGCGAAAAGAGUUACAUCGAAUAGAUAUCCAAGAAGAUCGAGGAGAACAUAGUAUUGAGAUUCAAAGAGAGAGAAAAAGCCAUCUAGCUAAUAACUAUGGACCUGAAGGUCUAUGGUAAACUACUCACAACUCAUCGCAGAGUCUUUGGCGUUGAUGUAGAAGCCCUACAUGAUUGAUUCCCCCUAUGGCGGAGUGCCAGAAAAGGCUCCAAGAUGGGAUCUCAUGGGGACAGAAUGUUGCGGCGGUGGAAAUAGGGUUUUAUGGUGCUCCCUGAUGUUUUCUGGGUAUGCAAGUAUAUAUAGGCGAACGAAGUCGGUCAAGGGAGCCACGAGGGGCCCACGAGGGUGGGGACACGCCCACCCCCCUAGGGCAAGCCCUGGACCCUCGUGGCCGCCUUGUUUACUUCUUGACGUCCACUCCAAGUCUCCUGGAUUGCGUUUGUUCCAAAAAGAUCUCUCCCGAAGGUUUCAUUCCAUUUGGACUCCGUUUGAUAUUCCUUUUCUUUGAAACACUGAAAUAGGCAAAAAAACAACAACAAUUUGAGUUGGUCCUCCGGUUAAUAAGUUAGUCCCAAAAAUGAUAUAAAAGUGUAUAGUAAAGCCCAUAAACAUCCAAAACGGGUAAUAUAAUAUCAUGGAACAAUCAAAAAUUAUAGAUACGUUGGAGACGUAUCAAGCAUCCCCAAGCUUAAUUCAUGCUCGUCCUCGAGUAGGUAAAUGAUAAAAACAGAAAUUUUGAUGUGGAAUGCUACCUAGCAUAUUUCUUAAUGUAAUUUUCUUUAUUGUGGCAUGAAUGUUCAGGUCCAAAUGAUUCAAGAUAAAAGUUCAUAUUAACAUAAAAAUAGUAAUAGUUCAAGCAUACUAACAAGUUAUCAUGUCUUAUCAAAAUAUCAUAGCCGAAGAAAGCUUAUCCCUAAAAAAUCAUAUAGUUAGGCUAUGCUUCAUUUUCGUCACACAAAAUACUCCUAUCAUGCACAACCCCGGUUUCAGCCAAGCAAUUGGUUCAUAAUUUUUAACGCGCUUCAGCUUUUUUAACUCUCACGCAAUACAUGAGCGUAAGCCAUGGAUAUAGGACUGUGGGUGGAAUAGAACAAGAUGAUGGAGGUUGUGUGGAGAAGACAAAAAAGGAGAAAAUCUCACAUUGACGAGGCUAAUCAACGGGCUAUGGAGAUGCCCAUCAAUUGAUGUCAACAUGAGGAGUAGGGAUUGCCAUGCAACGAAUGCACUAGAGCUAUAAAUGUAUGAAAGCUCAACAAAAGAAACUAAGUGGGUGUGCAUCCAACUAGCUUUCUCAUGAAGACCUAGGGCAUUUUGAGGAAGCCUAUCAUUGGAAUAUGACUCUAAUAAUGAAGAUCAUCACACUUUUAUUUAUUUACAACUCAAGAAUUACAACUCAAUACUUAGAACAAAAUAUGACUCUAUGUGAAUGCCUCCAGCGGUGUACCGGGAUAUGCAAUGAAUCAAGUGACAUGUAUGAGAGAAUUAUGAAGGUGGCCUUGCCACAAAUACGAUGUCAACUACAUGGUGGAACAUGUCAUAAUAACGGAACGGUGGAAGGUUGCAUGGCAGUAUAUCACGGAAUGGCUAUGGAAAUGCCAUAAUAGGUAGAUAUGGUGGCUGUUUUUAGGAAGAUAUAAGGAGGUUUAUGUGUGAUAGAGCGUAUCGUAUCACGGGGUUUGGAUGCACCGGCAAAGUUUGCACCAACUCUCAAGGUGAGAAAGGGUAAUUCACGGUACCGUAGAGGCUAGCAAUGAUGGAAGGGUAAGAGUGCGUAUAAUCCAUGGACUCACAUUAGUCAUAAAGAACUCAUAUAAUUAUUGAAAAAGUUAUUUAGCCCUUGAAGCAAAGUACUACUACGCAUGCUCCUAGGGGAAGGGUUGGUAGGAGUUAACCAUCGCGCGAUCCCGACCUCCACUCACAAGGAAGGCAAUCAAAGAGCACCCCGUGCUACAAAUUUGUUACACAACUUUAACCAUACGUGCAUGCUACGAGACUUGCCAACUUUAAAACAAGUAUUUCUCAAUUUCAUAAUUACCCAACUAGCAUGACUCUAACAUUACCACCUUUAUAUCUCAAAACAAUUAUCAAGCAUCAAAUUGAUCAUAGCAUCCAAUGCACUUUAUAUGAUAGUUUUUAUUAUACCCAACUUGGAUGCCCAUCAUACUAGGACCAAUUUUAUAACCAUAGUAAAUACCAUGCUGUUCUAAAAGACUCUCAAAAUAAUAUAAGUGAAGCAUGAGAGAUCAACAAUUUCUACAAAAUAAAACCAUCGCCGUGCUCUAAAAAGAUAUAAGUGAAGCACUAGAGCAAAAUUGUCUAGCUCAAAAGAUAUAAUUGAAGCAUAUAGAGUAUUAUAAUAAAUUCAGAUUCAUGUGUGUCUCUCCCAAAAGGUGUGUACAGCAAGGAUGACUAAAAUCAAAUACUCAUAUCAUACAAGACGCUCCAAGGAAAACACAUAUCAUGUGGUGAAUAAAAAUAUAGCUCCAAGUAAAGUUACCGAUAGACGAAGACGAAAGAGGGGAUGCCUUCCAGGGCAUCCCCAAGCUUAGGCUUUUGGUUGUCCUUGAAUUACCUUGGGGUGCCUUGGGCAUCCCCAAGCUUAGGCUCUUGCCACGCCUUAUUCCAUAGUCCAACAAAUCUGUACCCAAAACUUGAAAACUUCAGAACACAAAACUCAAUAGAAAAUCUCAUAAGCUCCGUUAGUGCAAGAAAGCAAACAACCACUUUAAGGUACUGUAAUGAACUCAUUAUUUAUUUAUAUCGGUGUUAAACCUACUGUAUUCCAACUUCACUAUGGUUCAUACCCCCCGAUACUAGCCAUAGAUUCAUCAAAAUAAGCAAACAUCGCACGAAAAACAGAAUAUGUCAAAACCAGAACAGUCUGUUGUAAUCUGUAACUUUAGAAUACUUCUGGAACUCUAAAAAUCCUACAAAAAUAGGAAGUCCUAGGAAAUUUUUCUAUUGAUCUACUACAAAAAGAAUCAACUAAAAUAACGUUUAUGUGAUUUAUUAACAUUAUUCUCGUGCAUGCAAAAGUUUCUGUUUUUCAGCAAGAUCAAAUUAACUAACACCGUAGGUUGUCCUAUAGGUUCUACUUGGCACAAACACUAAUUAAAACAUAAAACCACAUCUAAAAAUAAGCUAGAUGAAUUAUUUAUUACUAAACAGGAGCAAAAAGCAAGGAACAAAAAUAAAAUUGGGCUGCCUCCCAACAUGCGCUAUCGUUUAACGCCCCUACCUAGCCAUAAAAGCGAGAAUAGAUCUAAGUAUUGUCAUCUUUGGUAUUCAAUUCAUAAGUGGCUCGCAUAAUAGAUUCAUAAGGUAAUUUGAUUUUCUUUCUAGGAAAUUUUCCAUGCCUUUUCUUAAUGGAAAUUGGAAUCUAAUAUUUCCUUCCUUCAUAUCAAUAAUUGCACCAAUCGUUCUAAGGAAAGGUCUACCAACAAUAAUAGGACAUGAAAGAUUGCAAUCUAUAUCAAGAACGAUAAAAUCUACGAGCACAUAGUUCCUAUUUGCAACAAUAAGAAGAUCAUUAGUCCUUCCCAUAGGUUUCUUAAUAGUGGAAUCCGCAAGGUGCAAGUUUAAAGAGCAAUCAUCAAAAUCACAGAAACCUAACACAUCACAGAAAGUUUUUGGAAUCAUAGAAACACUAGCACCCAAAUCACACAAAGCAUAGCAUUCAUGAUCUUUAAUUUUAAUUUCAGUAUUAGGUUCCCACUCAUCAUAAAGUUUUCUAGGCAUAGAAACUUCCAGUUCAAGUUUUUUCUUCAUAAGAUUGCAUCAAAGCAUCAAUGAUAUGUUUGGUAAAAGCUUUAUUUUGACUAUAAGCUUGAUGAGAAUUUAACACGGAUUGCAACAAGAAAAUACAAUCUAUUAAAGAGAACUUAUCAUAAUUAAAUUCCUUGAAAUCCAAAAUAGUGGGUUCAUUGCUAUGUAAAGUUUUGACCUCUCCAAUCCCACUUUUAUCGAAUUUAGCAUCAAGAUCUAAAAACUUCGAAUCAUUGGGACGCCUUUUAACUAAAGUUGACUCAUCUCCAGUCCCAUUACUAUCAAGAUUCAUAUUGCAAAACAAAGAUUUAAUAGGGGACACCUCAAUCACUUUUAGAUCUUCAUCAUUAUUAUCAUAAGAACUAGAAGAACAUGCUUUUACAAAGCAAUCUUUCUUAGCACACAUUCUAGUGGUUCUUUCUUUGCACUCAUCAUUGGAAAUUCUCAUGGCUUUGAGAGACUCAUUGAUAUCAUGCUUAGGUGGAAUAGAUCUAAGUUUCAAAGAAUCAACAUCAAGAGAAAUUCUAUCCACGUUCCUAGCCAGCUCAUCAAUCUUUCUUCAAGCAAAGCAUUGAAAUUAUUUUGAGAGAUCAUAAAUUCUUUAACACUAAUCUCAAAAUCAUAGGACAUCUUAUUAAAAUUUCCAUAAGAGUUGUUGUAGGAAUUACCAUAAUUAUUAGAGGAAUUACUAGGAAACGGCCUAGGAUUAAAGUUUCCUCUAUACGCGUUGUUACCAAAAUUAUUCCUACCAACAAAAUUCACAUCCAUAGAUUCAUUAUUAUUAUCAAUCAAAGUAGACAAAGGCAUAUCAUUAGAUCAAUAGGAGCACUCCUAUUAGCAAACAAUUUCAUAAGUUCAUCCAUCUUUCUACUCAAAACAUUAAUCUCUUCUAUCACAUGAACUUCUUUUAAUAGUAGAUCUUUCGGUGUGCCAUUGAGAAUAAUUAACCAUAAUAUUAUCUAGGAGUUUAGUAGCUUCUCCUAAAGAGAUUUCCAUAAAAGUGCCUCCCGCGACCGAAUCUAAAAGAUUUAUAGAAGCAAAAUUCAAUCCGGCAUAAAAGUUUGUAUGAUCAUCCAUAAAUUUAAUCCAUGUGUAGGGCAACUGCGAAUCAUUAAUUUCAUCCUCUCCCAAGAUUAUGCAACAUGCUCAUGAUCAAGUUGCUUAAAAUUCAUAAUAUCGUUUCUAAGAGAGAUGAUCUUAGCGGGAGGAAAAUACUUAGAGAUAAUCUUUGCACUUAUUCCAUGAAUUAAUACUAUUUUUAGGCAAAGAUGAAAACCAAGUUUUAGCACGAUCUCUAAGCGAAAACAGAAAUAACUUCAAUUUAACAAUAUCAUUAUCCAUGUCUUUCUUCUUUUGCAUAUCACACAAAUCAACAAAGUUGUUUAAAUGAGUAGCAGCAUAUUCACUAGGAAGGUCGGAGAAUUGAUCUUUCAUGACAAGAUUCAACAAAGCAUAAUUGAUUUCGCAAGAUUCGACAUCAUUAAGAGGAGCAAUCAGAAUGCUAAGGAAAUCAUUAUUGUUGGUAUUGGAAAAGUCGCACAAUUUAGUAUUAUCUUGAGCCAUCGUGACAAGCAAUCCAACACACAAGCACACAAGAGGCAAGCGAAAAAGAGGCGAACGGGAAAGAGAGGGCGAAUAAAAUGGCAAGGGUGAAGUGGGGGAGAGGAAAACGAGAGGUAAAUGGCAAAUAAUGUAAUGCGAGGGAGAAGAGUUUGUGAUGGGUACUUGGUAUGUCUUGACUUGAGCGAAGACCUCCCCGGCAACGGCGCCAGAAAUCCUUCUUGCUACCUCUUGAGCACCACGUUGGUUUUCCCUUGAAGAGGAAAGGGUGAUGCAACAAAGUAGCGUAAGUAUUUCCCUCAGUUUUUGAGAACCAAGGUAUCAAUCCAGUAGGAGGCUACACGCAAGUCCCUUGUACCUACACAAAAAAAAACAAGAACCUCGCAACCAACGCGAUAAAGGGGUUGUCAAUCCCUUCACGGCCACUUGCGAAAGUGAGAUCUGAUAGAGAUAAUAAGAUAAGAUAAAUAUUUUUGGUAUUUUUAUGAUAUAGAUUGAAAAGUAAAGAUUGCGAAAUAAAGUAGAUCGGAAACUUAUAUGAUAGAAAAUAGACCCGGGGGCCAUAGGUUUCACUAGUGGCUUCUCUCAAGAUAGCAUAAUUAUUAUGGUGGGUAAACAAAUUACUGUCGAGCAAUUGAUAGAAAAGUGCAUAGUUAUGAGAAUAUCUAGGCAUGAUCAUGUAUAUAGGCAUCACGUCCGCGACAAGUAGAUUGAAACGAUUCUGCAUCUACUACUAUUACUCCACACAUCGACCGCUAUCCAGCAUGCAUCUAGAGUAUUAAGUUCAUAAGAACAGAGUAACGCAUUAGGCAAGAUGACAUGAUGUAGAGGAAUAAACUCAAGCAAUAUGAUAUAAACCCCAUAUUUUUAUCCUCGAUGGCAACAAAAUGAUACGUGCCUUGCUGCCCCUGCUGUCACUAGGAAAGGACACCCCAAGAUUGAACCCAAAUCUAAGCACUUGUCCCAUUGCAAGAAAGAUCAAUCUAGUAGGCCAAACGAAACUGAUAAUUCGAAGCGACUUGCAAAGAUAACCAAUCAUACAUAAAAGAAUUCAAAGGAGAUUCAAAUAUUUCUCAUAGAUAAACUUGAUCAUAAACCCACAAUUCAUCGAAUCUCUACAAACACACCGCAAAAAGAGUUACAUCGAAUAGAUAUCCAAGAAGAUCGAGGAGAACAUUGUAUUGAGAUUCAAAGAGAGAGAAGAAGCCAUUUAGAUAAUAACUAUGGACCCGAAGGUCUGUGGUAAACUACUCACAACUCAUUGGAGAGGCUUUGGCAUUGAUAUAGUAGCCCUCCAUCAGUCAGGGGAGCCACGAGGGGCCCAUGAGGGUGGGGGCGCGCCCACCCACCUAGGGCGCGCCCUGGACCCUCGUGGCCGCUUCGUUUACUUCUUGACGUCCACUCCAAGGCUCUUACAUUGCGUUUGUUCCAAAAAGAUCUCUCCCGAAGGUUUCAUUCCAUUUGGACUCCGUUUGAUAUUCCUUUUCUUUGAAACACUGAAAUAAUCAAAAUACAACAAUUUGGGCUGGGCCUCCGGUUAAUAGGUUAGUCCCAAAAAUGAUAUAAAAGUGUAUAGUAAAGCCCAUAAACACCCCAAACGGGUAAUAUAAUAGCAUGGAAUAAUCAAAAAUUAUAGAUACGUUGGAGACGUAUCACCAUGGACGUGAGUUGUCAUUUGAUAACGGGAUCACAUCAUUAGGAGAAUGAUGUGAUGAACAAGACCCAAACUAUAAACAUAGCAUAUGAUUGUAUGAAGUUUAUUGCUAUCGUUUUCUGCAUCUCAAGUAUAUAUGUUCCUAUGACCAUGAGAUCAUGCAACUCACUGACACCAGAGGAAUACCUUGUGUGUACCAAACGUUGUAACGUAACUGGGUGACUAUAAAGGUGCUCUACAGGUAUCUCCGAGGGUGUCUAGUGAGUUAGCAUGGAUCAAGACUGGGAUUUGUCACUCCGUAUGACGGAGAGGUAUCUCUAGGCCCUCUUGGUAAUACAACAUCACAAGAAGCUUGCAAGCAAUGUGAAUAAUGAUUUAGCCACGGGACCUUGUAUUACAGAACGAGUAAAGAGACUUGCCGGUAACGAGAUUGAACUAGGUAAGGAGAUACCGACGAUCGAAUCUCGGGCAAGUAACAUACUGAUAGACAAAGGGAACUGCAUAUGGGAUUAGCUAAAUCCUUGGUAUCGAGCUUUGACCAAUAAGAUUUUCGUAGAAUGUGUAGGAACCAUUAUGGGCAUCCAGGUCCCACUAUUGGUUAUUGAUUGUAGAGGUGUCUCGGUCAUGUCUGCAUAGUUCUCUAACCCGGAGGGUCUACACACUUAACGUUUGGUGACGAUAUAAGUAUAGUUGAGUCAUUAUGGUGGUUACCGAAGGUUGUUUGGAGUCCCAGAUGAGAUCUUGGUCUUGACGAGGAACUCCGGAAUGGUUCGCAGGCAAAGAUCGAUAUAUUGGAUGAAGGGUAUUGGAGUCCAGAAUUGUUCCGGGGGUACCUGGUGAUGACCAGCAUGACCGAAAGGGGUUUAGCGGGGCCCCAACAAGUGUUGGGUGAUACAUCUCCAACGUAUCUAUAAUUUUUGAUUGUUCCAUGCUGUUAUAUUAUCAUUCUUGUAUGUUUUAAAAUCAUUUUGUAGUCAUUUUAUAUCAUUUUUGGGUACUAACCUAUUGACAUAGUGCCUAGUGCUAGUUGUUGUUUUCUGCAUGUUUUCUACAUCGCAGGAAAUCAAUACCAAACCGAGUCCAAACACAGUGAAACUUUUUGAGGAUUUUUUUGGGCCAGAAGACAUCCAAUGGGCUAGGAAAGCACCUGGGGGGUGCUCCGAGGGGAGCACAACCCACCAGGGCGUGCCUGGAGGCCCAAGCGCGCCCAGGUGGGUUGUGCCCACCUCGGGUGCCCCGUGAACCGCCUCUUUGCUCUAUAAAUACCCCAAUAUUUCAGAAACCCUAGGGGAGUCGACGAAAAUCAAUUCCAGCCACCACAGAUUCCAGAAACACCAGAUCCAAUCUAGACACCAUCUCGGAGGGGUGCAUCAUGUCCAUUGUUGCCUCUCCGAUGAUGCGUGAGUAGUUCUUUCUAGACCUAUGGGUCCGUAGUUAGUAGCUAGAUGGCUUCCUCUCUCUCUCUCUUGAUUUUCAAUACAAUGGUCUCUUGGAGAUCCAUAUGAUGUAAGUCUUUUGCGGUGUGUUUGUUGGGAUCCGAGAACUUUGAGUUUAUGAUCAAAUCUAUGUUUUUAUCCAUGAAAGUUAUUUGAGUCUUCUUUGAUCUCUUAUAUGCGUGAUUUAUUAUAGCCUCGUAUUUCUUCUCCGAUAUUUGGGUUUUGUUUGGCCAACUUGAUCUAUUUAUCUUGCAAUGGGAAGAGGUGAUUUGUGAUGGGUUCGAUCUUUGUGUGACCAUGUGUCUUCUAUUGGCUAGCAUCUUUGCUUGUUAAAAAUCUAUUGAUAUGGAUCCUCAUCCACUAGCUAAUAUUUUUGAGAGAUCUAGUUAUGUUGAACCAGUUGCUAGUGAUUUGAGUGCACUUGAUUAUCGCUAUGAAGUUUUGCUUGAAAUUCAUGAAUCUGAAAAUUGUGAUGAAGUGCUUAAAGAAGAAAUUUAUGAAGUGAUUCAUGAUAGCUCCUUGAAUAAAAAGCAUUAUUGCAAUGGUGUUACUAUAAAUUCUAUUAAUGUCAAUUGUGCCAAUGUUAUGCAAAACCCCAAGCUUGGGGAUGCUAAUGUUUCUAUGUCCACUAAUUAUUGUAAUGAUCAUGAUUGAGGUGAUUCUUCUUAUGAUCUUGAAAAUUUAUUUAAGCCUCAUGAUGAAUAUGCUAUUGAUAAUAAUUGUCGGUGUACAGAAGUAGGGGUUCUACUUUGUACCCCUUUACCUGUGCAUGGGCAGCCAGAGCCACGGCCACGGCCACACUUAGCAGGGCAUGUAUGGGAAGCCGAAGCCACCAGAAGAUCAAAGGAAUGCCAAGACAGAGACACGAAGAGAAAGAGGGUGAGGUGGACUCCCCCGGCAAGACCCUUGCCGGGGCGGCCUCCACAGCCCCGGCAAGGACCUUGCCGGGGCAGCUUGCCCAACCCCAGCGGAGCACCACCCUUGAGCCCGAGGUUUCCAAUACAAACAAACACAUUGGAACCAAGGCUCACGAGGCGCCUCCAUGGUGGCAUGCAGAUCUUUGUGAAGAUCAUUAACACAUAAUAUCAGGUAAGGACCAGAAGACGAGACCUCCGGCAACAUCCUUGCCUGGGAUGACCGCAGUGCCACGGCAAGACCCUUGCCGCCCCCCGGCAAUACCCUUGCCGAGGACAUUAGCAAGGCCACAGCCAGCCCGCACGCUUCAAGACCCCAUCGCCGUUCCCAUGCAGCUGCCAGCCCAGCCAGGCAGGCAGGCACCUACGUGGCGACGUGCGGUCCCGAGGCCAACUAGGCAAGCACGUGCGUUGUGGCAUGCAGAUCUUCGUGAAGACGCUGCCACCGCGCCACCUCAGCAGCCUGCCAGCCUACAUGGCUCUGCCCGCCCCAUUGGCAUGGGAGUGUGUCGAAGCAGGGCAAGGCGGCGAUAAAGCAGGGGGACACCUCAGAGGUGCAUUUAACGCGUCUUGUCCCGUAAUAGAAAGUGAUAAACAUAGCUACUAUACCCUUUCCACCUCCUAUCACUACAAAAAAAAGACACAUCGAUGACAUUUUGGGCCGAACGAAUUUUUUUCUAUCAUACUUAUGACACUUCUAUGACGAUAAUUGUGACAAAACCCGGUAUCAUCAUAGAUGUGGUGGGCUCCUACAUCUAUGACAAAAAAUCAUGACAGAAAAUGGGCUUUUCGUCCUGGGCGGGCCGGAGACACAGCUACAUGACAUUCUUUGGGCCGUCCAUGACGAAAAAACCGUGGUAGAAGAGAGGGCGAGGAAAAUAUCAGGGUGUUCCCGGUUACGUUGGGUGGUCGGGGCCGAGCGAUGCGCGAUUCUCUCGUACACGUACGCAUGUGGGUGCGAGGCGUUGGGCUAUAACUGAACCCGAGCAAGGCGUUCACCUAUACGGAACCCAAGCGAUUGCACUGCAGGCUACGCGUUACUGAACCCGAGCGAUCGAUCGAUGCAUCGCUGUUAACUGAACCCAAUCGAGCGAUUCCUUCGCUACUACUGCUAAGUGGAGCCNNNNNNNNNNNNNNNNNNNNNNNNNNNNNNNNNNNNNNNNNNNNNNNNNNNNNNNNNNNNNNNNNNNNNNNNNNNNNNNNNNNNNNNNNNNNNNNNNNNNNNNNNNNNNNNNNNNNNNNNNNNNNNNNNNNNNNNNNNNNNNNNNNNNNNNNNNNNNNNNNNNNNNNNNNNNNNNNNNNNNNNNNNNNNNNNNNNNNNNNNNNNNNNNNNNNNNNNNNNNNNNNNNNNNNNNNNNNNNNNNNNNNNNNNNNNNNNNNNNNNNNNNNNNNNNNNNNNNNNNNNNNNNNNNNNNNNNNNNNNNNNNNNNNNNNNNNNNNNNNNNNNNNNNNNNNNNNNNNNNNNNNNNNNNNNNNNNNNNNNNNNNNNNNNNNNNNNNGAUGAACAGGACCCCGUGGUGUUGCCUCUGGAUGAACAGGACCCCGAUCAAUCGAGUAGGUUGGGGCUGGAUGAACAGGACCCCGUGGAGGGUUGGAUGAACAGACGACCCCGUGGAGGGCUAGAUGAACAGUAGAUGGUGGAGGGGUGGAUGAACAGUAGCCCGUGGUGGGGUGGUUGAACAGGAGCCCGUGGAGAGGGGUGGUUGAAUAGUAGUCGAUGGAGUAGCGCGCGGUGGAGGCUGGAUGAACAUGAGCCCGUGGAUGAACAGUCGUAGGUGGAGGCUGGAGGAGGUCGACGGUGGAUGAACAGUAGCCCGUGGAGGCUGGAGGAGGUCGACGGUGGAGAUGAACAGUAUCCCGAGGAGUCCCGUUUUGCGGUACGCCACACCCCUCCCAGUGAACAGGACCCCUGUUUCGACCGUAGUGCUCCAACACAAGUCCGUUUCCUCCAUUUUGCGGUACGCCACACCCCUCCUGAUCAGCAGGACCCCGUUUCGACCGUAGGAGGUCCAACACAAGUCCGUUUCCUCUGUUUUGCAGUACGCCAGACCCCUCCCGAUGAACAGAAUCCCGUUUCAAACGUGGCCGGUCAAACACAAGGCUGUUUCCUCCGUUGUGCGGUACGCCAGGCCUCGUUUCCAUCGCCUAUUCCGUCCAAGCCCUCCCGAUGAACACUGUCGGCGUCCUGGGAACGAGGGUCCCCAGACUUGCCUGCAUGCGGCCUGCAACGUGGCUCAACUAGUGGCCCAGUACGGCCCGUCUUCAUCAACAAAUGCUCAAGACCCUCGCGAUGGGCCAAGACUUGCAGGGCGGACGGUGCAAGGCCUCCUUAGGGGCGGCCUCAGCAGGCAGGCUCGCGAGGAGGCGGAAAGAUCAAGGCAAGGGGUACCUCGCGAGGUGCUCAUGACGCAAGCCAUGAUGAUCAAGACCAGGCGGGCGCCAGCCUGCGCAGUGUCCUUGUUUCCUCUUUGGUGCAAAGGGGGCAAGCGCAGGCGCGGAGUACCGAGGCAUCAGGCAAAGGUUUCCAUAUUGGUGCAACGAGACCAAGACCAGCAGAGCGGUAGGAUGUAGGUCACCGUGGAGCCCAAGACGGCGUCAUCACCAGUGUCUUUGGCAGUCGAAGACCACCUUUAGUCCGGAUAGCUUGUACUAGCUGUCCCCUUUCAAAAUGGCCGUUGCUGGCUCCCUUCCCGCUCAAUAUUUGGGAAGAGGACCUGGGCCUCUAUAAAUAGAGAUAGCCACCACAGUAGAAGACGAGUUAAGUUCAUCCACAUACGACCACCACAAGAACACCUCUCGCGAGGCUGUUCUUCCUCUGUAUUGUUCAUUAUCAGCCCAAGAGGCAAUCCACCACACCACACACAGGAGUAGGGUAUUACACCACAACGGUGGCCCGAACCUGUAUAAAUCUUGUGUCUCUUGUGUUGUUCAUCAUGUUAACUUAGAUUUGCGGCGAGGUUUUGGGACGUGAAUCAGUAGGGAGAAGAUCUUUGUGCGCACCCCAGAGUUCGAACCUUAAGGGUUUUGUCGGAACCCGAUCUCCAACAUUUGGCGCGCCAGGUAGGGGUGCGCCGGAGCUUUCCCUUUCGUCGACCCGCUCUCCACCAACACCGCGCCUCGCCCUCAUGGCGGACAAUGCGCCACCGGCUCCGGCGGCUGACGCAAGCGCUGGGGCCAAGGGGCUCCGAGGCUUGGCCCCCGCCUUGCGGCAGGUGUAGUGGCUACACAAGUUCAAGCCAGAGAUGCCGCUGCGCUACAACGGCGCGGCAGACCCGCUGGCUUUCCUGCUGGCAUAUGAAGAGGCCGUCCUCAAGGCCGGAGGCGACGACAAGGUCAUGGCCAACUAGUUUCCGAUGGCCCUCACCGGCAUGCCGCGCGUUUGGCUGCUCCACCUGCCAACAUCUUCUGUGGCCUCCUGGGAGGAGCUGGGCAACCUCUUCCUCACCCACUAAGCUGCGCCGCCGCCCCCGGUCGCUGCAGCUUUCCUGGGCGGCUUGCAGGCGCCACCUUUGAGCCACCACGUCAAGCCAUUCGUCCGCCAGAUCGGCGCUGCCCUCACGCGGCAGGGAGCUCCUCCGGUUUGGGUGGCACCCAAGGCCAACCUGACCUUCAACUCGGAUGAUCACCCCGUCAACAUUGCCUACUCGGGUGUGCUCCCAAUGCUUUGCACACCCACCAUCUGCCAGGUGGUGUCGGAUAUCGGGUUUCGGCAAAACCCUUAAGGUUCGAACUCUGGGGUGCGCGCGAAGAUCUUCCCCCUACCGAUCCAUGUCCCAACGCCUCGCUGAGAAUCUAAGCUAAAUGAUGAACAACACGAGGGACACAAGAUUUAUAAUGGUUCGGGCCACCGUUGUGGUUUAAUACCCUACUCCAGUGUGUGGUGUGGUGGAUUGCCUCAGGGGCUGAUGAUGAAUAGUACAAGGGAAGAACAUCCUCGCGAGAGGUGUUCUUGUGGUGGUGAUUUGAGAAGGAUUCGAUCCGCUCUCGAUGGCUCUGGAUCAGAUCCUGAUGAUAUGUCCCUCUACUAUGGUGGCUAGCCCUAUUUAUAGAGGCCCUAGUCCUCUUCCCAAAUAUUGAGCGGAAUGGGUGCCAACAACGGCCAUUUUGAAGCGGAACAUCUAGUACAAGUUAUCCUGACUAAAGUUGGUCUUCGGCUGCCAAAGGCACUGGCGAUGACGCCGUCUUGGGCUCCACGGUGACCUCCGUCCUGCCGCUCUACUGGUCUUGGUCUCGUUGCACCGAAAUGGUAACCUUUGCUUGAUGCCUCGGUACUCCACGCCUGUGCUUUCCCCCUUUGCACCAAAGAGGAAAUAAGGACACUGCGCAGGCCGGCGCCCGCCUGGUCUUGGUCGUCAUGGCUUGCGCCACAAGCACCUCGUGAGGUAUCCCUUCCUUGAUCUCUCCGCCUCCUCGUGAGCCUGCCUAGUGAGGCCGCUCCUGAGGAAAUCUUUCAUCGUCCACCCCGCGAGGGUCUUGAGCUCGAGUUGAUGAAGAUGGGCCGUACUGGGCCACCACUUGAGCCACGCCGCAGGCUGCAGGCAGGCAAGUUUGGGGACCCCCGUUCCCAGAACGCCAACAGUAGCCCCCGGGCCCAAGGCGCGCUUGGACUUGGCUUAGCAGAGAAGCGAAAGGGCAAGUGCGGAGUGCCGUGGGCCCCACAACCUGCGGCCUUGGUCACCAUGUGGCGGUUGAUUGGACGUGGACGUCCCCGCUUCCCCAUGCUGCCUCAGCAACUGCCCGACUUGACAAGUCCCUGCAUGCAAAAAUGAGUCAUGAUUACCUGCGACCGUGGAGCCCGACGGUUGGCCUCCUUUGGGCUAUAAAUGCGAGGGGGGGCGCGAGCCCUCGCAGUCCAUCUCUUCCUACUCCGCUCCUUCUUCCUUGCUCCUCCCCCAUCUGCUUGUUGUGUCCCAUGGCGCCUACGAAGAGGUUCUCGGCCUUAGAGAAGGGGAAGGCUCACCAGGAAGGGCCUGGCUCUCCUCCGCCCAAGUGCGGUCGAGGCCGUUCCCGCAAGCACCCCGCGACUCCCGCAGUGGCCGCCCGUGGUCGCGGCGGAGGUCUUUCGCGCGGUGAAGGUCACUCGAUUGGCGGGGGAAGACGCGUCGUGGCUGCGUGGCCUCCCCGCCCGCGCUUUCACUCGGCAGAGGUGCUGCCGAAGUUUGUCGUUUGGUCGGCGGAUCCGACCAGCAACUGGCUUCAGCUCCCGCGCUUCUUCGCCGGCGAACUACCGGCAGGUGCCACUGGUGGGCUCUGGCUUCAGGCGGACGGCUACUGCAGCAGAGCCUCCUGGGUCGCGGUGGAGGUCUCCGUCGCCGGGAACGUGGCCUUGGCUCGCGGCUGGCAGACGUUUGCCCGCGCGCGUGGCCUGGGCCGAUGGUGCACCCUGCAUUUCAAGUUUGACGGUGACGCCACCCUCUACGUGAGGGUGUUCGGAGAGGACGGCCGCCGUGUCGGGUUCUGCCCUAAAGAUGAUGACGGCUGUCGGUGUCAAAACCGGCAGAUCUCGGGUAGGGGGUCCCGAUCUGUGCGUCUUAGGCUGAUGGUAACAGGAAGCAAGGGACACAAUGUUUACCCAGGUUCGGGCCCUCUCGAUGGAGGUAAAACCCUACUUCCUGCUUGAUUAAUAUUGAAGAUAUGAGUAGUACAAGAGUAGAUCUACCACAAGAUCGUAGAGGCUAAACCCUAAGAGCUAGCCUAUGAUGGUAUGAUUGUAAUUGUGAUCGGCCUUCUAAGGACCAUCCUCUCCGGUUUAUAUAGACAGCGGAGAGGGUUAGGGUAUACAUGGAGUCGGUUACAAGGAAGGAAAUACAAUAUCCGGAUCGCCAAGCUUGUCUUCCACGCAAAGGAGAGUACCAUCCGGACACGGGCCAAAGUCUUGAGUCUUGUAUCUUCACGCUUCAAUAGUCCGGACUGUGUAUACAGUCCGGCUGUCCGGAUACCCCCUUAUCCAGGACUCCCUCAGUAGCCCCUGAACCAGGCUUCAAUGACGAUGAGUCCGACGCAUAGUCUUGUCUUCGGCAUUGCUAGGCGAGUUCCUUCUCCGAAUACUCCAAUGUACCCAUCACGACUAACAGUGUCUGGCAUCCCAUCAAUGUUGUACUCCUCGGCUUCAGUGCUUUAAUAAUGACCAUUUCCACGUGUCGAGCGAAUGCGAGGAGUCGAAGCAUUUUUGGAUUUGCCACCCUCGGUCCUUCGGGCUAACCGUCUAUUUGAAGAGACGGAGAUUCCCAGAUCCAAACCUCACUCUCUCUCCUUGAGAAAGCAUCCAACAGAGCGCCCGGAAGAAACCAUUCCAACAUGGCCGGUCGUUGCAGCUCUUCUGCUCUCUCCCCUUGCCCCAAGCAGGGGGACUGGGGAGAGUGUUCAGUUUCUCAUAGCCAUUUGAUAAAGUUACAAACCCAAGGGCUCCUCCCGCCGGUGUUCAUGGUCCCUGUUCGAGCCGGGGUGCCACCUAUAACGGCGGAGAACAAGCGGAGAGAUCUCCCAAUCCAUCUCCAGAGGAGCGAAUAUGCCUCAUUCCGCAUCUGUUAAGGGGUGUCGGGUUCCCUAUUCAUCCAUUCCUUCACGGGCUCCUGGAGUUCUACGGCCUCCAGUUGCACAACUUUACCCCAGCCUCCGUACUACAUAUAGCAGGGUAUGUCGCCCUUUGUGAGCUAUUUCUAGGUUGCGAGGCUCAUUUCAGAUUGUGGAAGAAGUUGUUCUGCCUUGUCCCCCGCAACCAGGGAGAAUCCCUAUGUCAAGUGGGCGGGGCCGAAGUAUGGCGUAUCGCUGAGACCAGAUACCUAUCCGACACUCCCAAGAAGGCACCAGAUAAGUGGGCUUCAGAGUGGUUUUAUAUUGAUGAUGCUCCCCUUCCUGAUCCAGUCCGGACAUGACUCCCCAAGUUCAGUAACACCCCGCCGAGGGCACGUCUAAGCUGGCGCCCCCGAGGCCCCCAAGAAGAGGAUUCCUAGGAAAUACAUUUCCUGAUGAAGUUACUGGCCAAAUCCGGACUGACGAUAGUCGAGGUCAUGGCAAUAUGCAUAAUGAGGGGAGUGCAACCACUUCAAUAUCGGGGCAAUCCCAUGUGGCAUUACAACGGGACAGAUGAUGCCACCCGUUGCGGCCGUAAGGGUCCGGACUCCGCCACUGCGCUGGCAAGGAUAUUGUCCGAUCUAUACAAAGGAGAAGAGGAAGACUUCCUUCAUAUCAAACCGCGAGACGGAUUCUCCAUGUACAAUCCCCCAAACUGGGUAAGUUGUCAUUUAUGUUCUCGCUUCACUUAUCGUGGCGUUCUUUGCUAAGGUUACCUGCCUCGAUGUUUCCAAGCAGGAACUGAGGAGGGCUGUAGAAGGAAUCUCCAGCCCUUCCCCGCAGCCAGAGGACCCUGAAAGGGCCCUAGACCCAGGACUCGAAGAAGACCCGGAUGCGGCCGUGGAGCUUGUCAACGGGAUAUUUUAUCGGGCGAGCCGUGACGGCACCUCAGUGGCUAUUACUGCUGAUUAACCUAGACUGCUACCUUCGUCGCGUGUAAGCCAAGCCGAAAACUCGAUCCUCCUAAGAGGAUUCUUUCCUAAUGUCACGCUUUAUCCCUGAUGCAUCAUGUUUUGCAGAAACGACGCUCAGAGCGCAGGGCUAAGCCCCUAGGGACCCGUCAGCCACAGGCGUCCGGAUUGGGUAGGCUCAAGAGGAAGGCGGUUAGGGCCGACAUGCCUAUACAGAGGUAAGGAAACAACUUGUCAUGUAAUUAUUGCUACUUCAAGUGUAACAACGCCCUUUACAUCCUGGCAGGAAGAGGGGUAUCCGGACUAUAUCCGGGGAUCCUGCCAACCACGCCUCCACUAGUCGGGCUCCAGAACCAACUUUGAGAGAGGAGGCGGACGUAGGGCCCAUGCCGCAUAGUCCUCCGACAGAGGAUGCGUAUAUGCUUUCGGCCACAAACUCCGAAGUGGAGAGUGCCAUGAAUCACCGGCGCCGGAGGGCCGUGCUUCGAAACAACAUCUUUUUCGAAGAGGCCUUUAAUGCCUUCAAUUCGGCAGACGCAUACAUCCGAGCUGCUCAAGGCGGGCUUGCCCAAGCGACGAACCAGUAUACCAAAGAUGUACGGGUAAGAAAUUGUGAUAAGUAUGUAUAGCAGUAGCCCGUGAGACUUGAAACGGUUGGAACAACAGUUUUAAGUAUCAAUUUGUGCGCAGGUUCUUGUAGAUAAGAAUGAGCAAUUGUCUCGGGAGCUAGAAGAGUGCAAGACCCAACUAAGGGCCACAGUUGCCAAGCUAGAGGAAUCCCAGAAGGCCUCAUACGGCAAUCAUUUAUCUCGAUUGUACGAAAAUGUACCAGAUAGCAACUAGCUGGCAUGACAAACAAGAAAUUCUAUAGAUAACCCCGGUGUGAAUCCGGAGGGCGAGAGAGAUGACGAGUCGCAUCUCCAGAGGCAACUAAAGGCUGGCAAGCGCAUACUCACGCAAGUGCGGCAGGAGAAGAACAAUCUUCAAGAUGCCAAUGUCCGGCUGGACAUAGAGUUAAAAGACGUCCGCGCCCAGCUGGCGGACUCCGUAAAGGAGAAUAAAAGGCUUUGACGCGGCAUUUAUGGUGAGUUCCUAGACGAACUGUAUGACAGUUCGGCGAGGAAGUGUAUUGAAAGAAUUUUUCUUGUAGGAAUGUUAACGGGUCACCCUCAUCUACAGGUGAUGUACUGCAAGAACUUUCACAGUUGCACGAGCGAGCUCGGCGGGUGAUGCACGUCGUUGCUCAGGCCUUGUGGCCAUCAAGCCCCCUGCCAAGUGGCAUAGGGGAGCUUGUGGACCUGCUUCAAGGAGCCCGACGGCGCUUCCGGCUGUGGAAGAUAUCAGCAUGCCGGCAAGGUGCAAGAGAAGCUUGGGCAAUGGUGAAGACGCGCUACACCAAGCUGGUCCCAAACCAUAUGGCUGAAGUAGGACCGGCGGGGCCCGAUGGGCAAGAAACCCCCGUAAGUCUGGUAUAUGACCAGGUAGUGUUGGCCGCUAAGUAUUCUCAACAGGAUUGUAAACUAGAUAGCCUGUUGGAUGGCAUAGAGGAGGAAUAUAGUCAGUCCAAGUGACCGUGUAAUUUAAGGGCAUAAGUAGCCCCUAGCCGGAUUAAAAUCAUUUGUCAUGGCAGACCUUUUCGCUUCAACCCCCGGGUCCUAUAGUCCGGGAUGUGUCCGAAUACCUGCUCAGUUAUACAAAAACGGGGUAUGCGUGGAGACCAGGCGUAGAGGUCAUAAGUGCUUGAACAGACAAGUACCCAACUAGUUAUGUUAUAUUACAUGGAUAGUAAGAAACAUCUUCCAGGGAGAAUAGUUCCGUUAGGGGUUCCUUUCCCUGGGGGUGCAUGCGGCAAAGCACAUGCCCGGACUGCGGACAAAGGCGCAGGAUACAAAUCUUCUGGGGAUUUAUGUUAUGAAAAACAAAAACAUCUUUUGUUCCCGGCCGAAUAUUCUCUUAAGGAAACUAGCUUUCGGCUUCACCCAGUCUGAGGUACACAUCCGGCUCAACCGACAGUAACAAUCGCAGAGGUGCUCCCCUUAUGCCCUAGCCGAAUUAACGGGAACGUAGGGCAUAAACACAGGAGCCAGGCAACCCAGCUUGGCCAUGUCUUAAGUCAUAUCGAUGCAUAUAAUGGUGAAGAAAAGGCACACAUAAAAAGAAACUCAUAUGUGAUGGGCAAAAAUCCUUUAGAGUAAUUUAUAUUUAGCUUCCGUAUAGGAAGCCCCCAGGUAUUGUUUACACACAUAGUGUGGCCGGAAUAAUCCGGGAGUCCGUACUGUAUGAAAUACUUUGUGUGAAGAGAAAAGGAUCGAGAGAGGACGAGGGAGGGAGCAUAAAUGAAAGGAGGAGGUGAAGAGACAAACACUGAGUUCGGCGCUAGGCGUAGAAUCUCCGGAGUCUGGCCGCGUUCCAUGGGUUCGGCUCGAGUCUGUUAUCAGAUGCAUUACAUAAGCGGUACGCUCCUCCGGUGAAAACUUGGUCAAUGACGAAGAGGCCUUCCCACUUGGGUUUGAGCUUGUCCUUCUUCUUCUCCAGUAAGCGUAGAACGAGUUCGCCAAUAUUAUAAGUUUUGGCCCGUACUUCUCUGCUUUGGUAUCGUCGAGCCUGUUGCUGAUAGAAUGCGGAACAGGCCUUAGCGACAUCGCGCUCCUCCUCCAGGGCAUCCAAGUUAUCCUGCCAAUCUAACUCGGCUUCCGUUUCUUCGUACAUGCGUAUGCGUGGCGAAUCAUGUAUUAUGUCGCAAGGUAAUACUGCUUCUGCACCAUACACCAUAAAAAAUGGUGUAUAUAUGGUGGUGCAAUUCGGCGUGGUCCGCAGCCCCCAGAGUACGGAGUCGAGCUCCUCGACCCAAUGAGUAUCCGACUCUGUCAAGGUUUGCACUAGUCUGGGUUUAAUGCCACUAAUGAUGAGACCGUUUGCCCGUUCGACCUGGCCAUUUGUUUGAGGAUGGUAUAGGGAAGCAUAGUCGAGCUUGAUGGCCAUUUUGCCGCGCCAAGAUUUCACCUCAUCGGCCGUGAAGUUUGCGCCAUUAUCGGUGAUGAUGCUGUGGGGGACACCUUAUCGGUGUACGACCCCGGAUAUAAAGUCGAUUACUGGUCCGGAUUCGACCAUUUUCACUGGUUUGGCUUCUAUCCAUUUGGUGAACUUAUCUACCAUGACUAAUAGGUAUUUUUUCUUGUGGCUUCCCCCUUUAAGGGGUUCGACCAUAUCCAGCCCCCAGACCGCGAAGGGACAAGUUAUGGGGAUAGUUUGGAGAGCGGUAGGGGGCAUAUGACUCUGAUUGGCAAAGAGCUGGCAACCGACGCAAUGUUGGACGAGGUCCUAUGCGUCUUCUCGGGCCGUCGGCCAACAGAAGCCUGUACAGAAGGCCUUGCUGACUAGUGAUCGAGCCGCGGCGUGGUGCCCGCCUAGUCCGGCAUGGAUUUUAGCCAAGAGCUGUCGCCCUUCCUCUCCGGAGAUGCACCUUUGAAGCACUCCGGUUCCACUUUUCUUAUAGAGUUCCCCUUCAUGGACUUUAUAAGCUUUGGAACGCCGGACAAUGCAGCGUGCUUCAUUUUGGUCUUCGAGGAGCUCCUGCCUAUUUAGGUAGGCCAAGAAGGGUUCAGUCCACGGGGCGAUGACGACCAUUAUUUCAUGGGCCGACGUUGUUAUUUCGGUGGUAGAGCCUCCGAUUAUGUCUGUUAGUUCAGAAUCUGGGGAUGUAUUCGGAUCCGUGCUGGUAUUGCCGGACUCUCCUUCCCAUACCACGGAUGGCUUGAACAACCUUUCCAGGAAUAUGUUAGGUGGGAAAGGGUCGCGUUUAGCGCCGAUGCGAGCAAGUACAUCUGCCACUUGAUUGUUUUCUCGAGCCACAUGGUGAAAUUUGAGCCCCUCGAACCGAGGUGACAUUUUAAGGAUGGCAUUACGGCAGGCCACCAUUUUCGAAUCCUUGGCAUCAAAGUCUCUGUUUAUUUGGGAUAUUGCAAGGUUUGAAUCCCCGCGCACCUCUAGGCAUUGAAUGCCCAUAGAGACUGCCAUCCGAAGAUCGUGCAACAAAGCCUCAUAUUCGGCUGUAUUGUUGGAGUCUGUGUAUAAUAUUUGGAGGACAUAUUGGACCGUGUCUCUGGUGGGAGACGUCAGGACUACGCCUGCUCCCAAUACGGCCAGCAUUUUAGAGCCGUCAAAGUGCAUGAUCCAGUUAGAGUAUGCGUCGUACUCUUUAGGGAGUUCGGCUUCCGUCCAUUCGGCGACAAAUUCAGCUAAUACUUGCGACUUGAUAGCCCGCCGAGGCUUGUCUAUUAUGUCAAACGGAAGGAGCUCAAUGGCCCAUUUAGCGAUCCGGCCCGUGGCAUCACGGUUAUUUAUUAUAUCGUUUAGUAGUACCUCAGAGGACACCAUAAUCGAACACUCUUGGAAAUAGUGUCGUAGCUUUCGGGAUGCCAUGAAGACCGCGUAUGCUAUUUUUUGAUAGUGUGGGUAUCGGGAUUUGCAUGGGGUGAGGACCAUGGAUACAUAGUAAAUCGGCUUCUGUAGAGGUAAUUUGUAUCUGUCAUCCUCUCGUUCAACGACGAGUACUGCGCUUACAACUUGAUGUGUUGCAGCUAUGUACAACAGCAUAGGUUCGCCGAUAUUUGCCGCUGUUAGGACUGGAUUUUUGGCCAAUAAGGUCUUUAUUUCAUCGAGUCCGGCCGCGGCUGCAUCCGUCCACAUGAAGUGUUCGGUGCGGCGAAGAAGGCGGUAAAGAGACAAUGCCUUUUCUCCUAACUUGGAGAUAAAGCGGCUCAAAGCAGCCAUGCAUCCAGCUAGUUUCUGGAUGUGUUUGAGGUCUGUUGGUAUAGCCAACUGCGACAAAGCUCAGAUUUUUGCCGGAUUAACUUCAAUUCCUCUAUUGGAAACAAUGAAGCCAAACAGUUUUCCAGAGGGGACGCCGAAAACGCAUUUCUCGGAUUCAGCUUGAUGUCGUAUGUUCGUAGGUUGUCGAACGUAAGCCUCAAGUCAUCUAUUAGGGUUUCGACGUGUCUUGUUUUUAUGACAACGCCGUCCAUGUAUGCCUCCACUGUUCUGCCGAUUUGCUUUUCCAGGCAUGUUUGAAUCAUGCGUUGAUAGGUUGCGCCGGCAUUCUUGAGCCCGAAAGGCAUAGUGUUGAAGCAGAAAGGGCCAUAUGGUGUUAUGAAAGCUGUAGCAGCUUGGUCGGACUCUGCCAUCUUUAUUUGAUGGUAUCCAGAGUAUGCGUCGAGGAAACACAGCGAGUCGUGUCCUGCUGUGACAUCGAUGAUUUGAUCGAUGCGAGGGAGGGGAAAGGGAUCCUUGGGGCAAGCAUUGUUAAGGUCUUUGAAGUCGACGCACAGGCGCCACGAUUUGUCCUUCUUUGGUACCAUUACCAAGUUCGCCAGCCAAUCCGGAUGUUUGAUAUCUCUGAUGAAUCCGGCCUCAAGUAGCUUGGCUAGAUCCUCCCCCAUGGCUUGUCGUUUAGGCUCUGAAAAUUGCCUUAGGGUCUGUUUGACGGGUUUGUAUCCCUUUAGUAUGUUGAGGUUGUGUUCGGCCAAUUCGCGCGGGAUGCCUGGCAUGUCCAGUGGGUGCCAGGCAAAAAUGUCCCAAUUCGCGCGUAAGAAGUCUCGCAGUGCAGCGUCCAUAGUGGGGCCUAACUGUGUCCCGAUGGAGGCUGUCUUCGUGGGGUCCGUAGGGUGGACUUGGAAUUUGACAAUCUCAUCUGCGGGCUUAAACAAGGUGGACUUGGGUUGUUUGUCGAGUAUCACGUCGUUCCUGUCCACGGUGGCACGCAACAUUGAUAAUUCUUCCACUGCUAGGGCUUCGGAUAGUGCCUCCAAGGCUAGUGCUGCGGAUUUGUUUUCGGCACGGAGUGCGACGUCCGGAUCACUAGCUAGAGUGAUGAUUCCAUUGGGUCCGGGCAUUUUAAGCUUCAUGUACCCGUAAUGGGGUAUAGCUUGGAAGCUUGCAAACGCGUCCUGCCCUAGAAGGGCGUGGUAUCCGCUGCUGAAAGGGGCCACAUGGAACACGAUUUCUUCGGACCUGUAAUUCUCUGGGGUGCCGAAUACCACAUCAAGUGUGAUUUUCCCCACGCAUCGCGCCUCCCGACUAGGGAUAAUUCCCCUGAAGGUUGUGCCGCUUUGCUCAAUGCGGCCUUUAUCAAUUUCCAUUUUCUUGAGUGUUUCUUCGUAGAUCAAGUUUAAUCCGCUCCAGCCGCCCAUGAGCACUUUAGUGAGCCGACAGCUGUCCACUAUUGGACUAAGGACCAAAGCGGCUGGUGCCCGGGCAGUCCGGAAUUGGGGCUCGUCACUGGCACUGAAAGUUAUAGCAGUGUCGUUCCACGGAUUUACUUUUUCCACAUGGCAGAUUUCAGCAGAGCUUUGAUGGGCUCGCUUGCGCCUAUUGUUUGAGGUGAAAGUCUCGAACACCGUUAGUACCGUAUUGUGUUCCUUGGCGGGAUGCUGUUCGGCUUUAUGGCUCUCGAGGAGAUCCUCGCCACUCUUAGCUACUUGCCGGAGUAUCCAACAUGCCCUAAGGCUAUGGGUUGGUAUUGCGUCCGGCGUACUGUGAAGCUUACAUGGCCCAUUGAGCCAUCCUUCCAAUAUGGUUCCACGCCCUGGGGCGGGUUUUGGUUUCUUGGGAAUUGAAUUGGUCGAUUUGCGAGAGUUCGGUCGUUUAGUUCGGACCAAGGUUCUGGUGAGGGCCGUACUAUCCCAAAAUUCGGUUUGGGUUUUCCAGGUGCUUUCCAUCGAACUGUACUUCUGUACGAUAGUCACUAAGUCCGCAAAGUGUGCUAUGUCACGACGGCUUAUAGCAUUAAGGAAUCCUUUGUUUGUGCGGUUUUUUUAGAAAAGUGAGACUACAUCCUCCUCAUGGCAGUCCUCGACCUUGUUAAGCGCAAGGAGGAAUCUGGCCCAGUAAUGGUGUACCAUCUCCAGGGGCUCUUGCCUGAUGCGGGAGAGACGGUUUAAGUCCCAGCGAGCAUCGUUGGCCGAAUCCGGAUCUUGAUCCGAUCUGACACCCGGGGGCACGAAAGGUUUCGAGCCCGGCAGUUCGAGGUCCGGAGUAUCACCCAAUCUCUUUGGCCCGAUGCUUGACUCUAAGUCCGGGACUCGGGUCAUGUCUUCAUUUGAGUAGGUGUCCGGCUUACUGAGUUCGGUGAUCCGGACAUAAUCCGUCCUCAAAGUUGAGGGGUGAUCCGUGUGUGGUUCCUCCACUACCGCUAUCUCAUGGGUGGCCGGCAGGGAUAUGAUGUCCCUAUGGUCGGGUUUAAGCCCAAUCCGUAGCGACUCCCAAAGCGGCGAUGCGAUCCAGGAGAUCAUUAAGAGAGGAGAGCUCUACCGGAUCCAUCUGUUCGGCAAGCUCCGAAUUGAUGCGAAGGCUAUGCGUGAUGACCCGAGAGGCCAUUCUUGGUGCGACAGCCAAUGGGACGGCCAUAAUGAAGCCGCCAAGUCAGAGGGUCUGGCCCACAGCCAGCGUUCCUCCAGAGAUGAUGUCGUCCUUGACAACGAAUUGAGCCAUCGAGCCUUGCAGCGACGACACAGAGGAACUCUCAAUGAAAGCACCAAUGUCGGUGUCAAAACCGGCGGAUCUCGGGUAGGCGGUCCCGAUCUGUGCAUCUUAGGCUGAUGGUAACAGGAAGAAAGGGACACAAUGUUUACCCAGGUUCGGGCCCUCUCGAUGGAGGUAAAACCCUACUUCCUGCUUGAUUAAUAUUGAAGAUAUGAGUAGUACAAGAGUAGACCUACCACGAGAUCGUAGAGGCUAAACCCUAAGAGCUAGCCUAUGAUGGCAUGAUUGUAAUUGUGAUCGGCCUUCUAAGGACCAUCCUCUCAGGUUUAUAUAGACACUGGAGAGGGCUAGGGUUUACAUGGAGUCGGUUACAAGGAAGGAAAUACAAUAUCCGGAUCGCCAAGCUUGUCUUCCACGCAAAGGAGAGUCCCAUCCGGACACGGGCCGAAGUCUUGAGUCUUGUAUCUUCACGCUUCAAUAGUCCGGACGGUGUAUACAGUCCGGCUGUCCGGAUACCCCCUUAUCCAGGACUCCCUCAACAGCGAGCGGGUGCUUAGCCUCGGCGACGUCCGUGACGAAGACAAAGGCGGGCCCGUGCCUGGAGGCGUUCGCAGAUCACCAAGCUUCAGCGGCUCCCCCUCUGAUGACAGCUCCUCCAGCGGCGGUCGUGAUCAACCACCGCAGCGCCGCACUCGCUUCGAGGGGUGUAGCGGGUCAUCCCGCCAUCACACAUCGAUGAAGAGUGAGGAGGGGUCUGAUUGAGCUCUGGAGGGCGGUGUGAACCCCCCUCCACGUGCCGUCGCCAGGCAGGCCGCAUUUAUUUUGUUUUUCCCCUUGCUAGAUUGUUGCCUUUAAUUAAUAUGCUAUUCCAUUAUUUCCAUGCUGUGCUACGGUACUGUGUGCUCAUGCGUAGGAACANNNNNNNNNNNNNNNNNNNNNNNNNNNNNNNNNNNNNNNNNNNNNNNNNNNNNNNNNNNNNNNNNNNNNNNNNNNNNNNNNNNNNNNNNNNNNNNNNNNNNNNNNNNNNNNNNNNNNNNNNNNNNNNNNNNNNNNNNNNNNNNNNNNNNNNNNNNNNNNNNNNNNNNNNNNNNNNNNNNNNNNNNNNNNNNNNNNNNNNNNNNNNNNNNNNNNNNNNNNNNNNNNNNNNNNNNNNNNNNNNNNNNNNNNNNAGUCUUCGCCUCCUCGUGAGGCUCCUGCCUGAAGCCUCGUCGAGCGUCUUGAGGCUUGCAAAAAUUAACUGGACAGAUAGCUUUUGAACCCUUGUCGUGAGGGUGACUGGCCCAGGUCCUACAUUCGUGUCGCGAUUCCCGUGGGGCAUGGACUAGGAGGAGCGCUCCCGCUGUGAACUUGAGUAGGGAAGCCUCACGAAAUUAGGUCAGAAGAUACUCGCGAGGGUGCCCACGCAGCCCCCUCGCGAGGCUUGCGGAAGAGAAGUCGAGUCAGGUGAGCAACAAAAACAGAGAAUCACGGGCCGGGGACAGCAAACAACACCAAAAGCAACUCCAAUAAAGUUUCGAACAAGGGUGAACAAGCCAACUGCAGAAAGCAAAUGAAAAGCCGCGUCCAGCGCCUAAUCUAGUCUUUGACGUCUUCUCACCAGCGCGGAGCUAAGUGCUGCCACUGGGCGUGGGCGGGAACCCCCGAGCCCAAGGGCGGCACUCCGGAGACUCCAGGGCGUGUACAUCCCCAACUCGUUAUUACGUGAGAGUGUCAUGGGCGGCGAGCUUCACAGGCAUUGGCCUUCUUCACAGGCACCGGGCCUUUUCUCGGGGCGAUGAGCUUCACAGGAACUGGGCCUUCUUCAUAGGCACCGGCCUUACUUCAAGGGUAAAAUCUCCGGAGGUGCUGAAUGUUCCACGCGUUCGGGAUGGGCACCCCCUCCUGUGUCUCCAAGCGCGCGGCGCCAGGUCUGGAAACAUGAACAACCUUGAACGGGCCCUCCCACAUGGGUGAGAGCUUGUGCAUCCCUUCCCUGGAGAGCACCCGCCUGAGCACGAGGUCACCUACCUCGACAGUCCUGGCGUGGAUGUUGCGGCAAUGGUACCGUUGCAGUGCCUGCUGGUAUCUUGCCGCCCGAAGUGCGGCCUCCCGGCGGUGUUCCCCCCUAGCACGAGAUCCAUCCCCCACAUGGCGUCCUGCCGCGCUUCGUCAAACACCAGGACCCGCGAAGAGCGACGCCUGACCUCAUGAGGGAGGACCGCCUCUGCUCCGUAGAUGAGGAAGAACGGGGUUUCGCCGGUUGACUUGGUAGCGGUCGUGCGGAUGGACUACAACACGGGCUGGAGCUCGUCGUACCAGCCCCUGCCGCAGGCCUCCAGCUUCUUCUUUAAGGUCCUGGUUUUGAGGCCUUUUAGGACCUCCACGUUGGCACGUUUGGCCUUGCCGUUGCUCCGAGGGUGUGCCACCGAAGCGUAGCAUAUCUGCGUUCCAAGGUUAGCACAAUAUGUUUUGAAGAGAUUGCUGGUGAACUGCGAACCGUUGUCGGUGAUGAUGCGAUUAGGCACCUCGAACCGGCUCACAAGGCCCUUGAUGAACUUGACUGCUAACCAGCUGGGAUGGUGCUGACAACUUCCACCUCUGCCCACUUGGUGAACUUGUCAAUGGCGACGUAGAGGUAGCGAUAGCCCCCUGGCGCCUGGGGAAACGGGCCCAAAAUGUCUAGCCCCCAAAUCACGAACGACCAUGAGAGUGGAAUGUUCUGCAGGCCCUGAGCCGACUGAUGAGUCUGCUUGGCGUGGAAUUGACAGGCUUCAUUGAGUGCUGUAGGCCAAUAAAAUCCGCUACAAAAUGCCUUGUCGACGAGGGUCCGUGAAGACGAGUGGUGACCACAGUCUCCAUCGUGAAUGUCUGCCAGCAACUCUUUCCCCUUGCUCUGUGGAGAUGCAACAUAGGGAAACAUCAUUUGGCCGCUUCUAGUAGAGCUCUCCGUCUUGGACACAGUAGGCCAUGGCCUGCCGCGCCACACGUUCUGCGUCCUCCUCCUUCUCUGGUAGAGUCCCUUGCAUUAGGUAAUCCUUGAGUUCUGCAGUCCAACAUCCCUCUUGAGGCUCCAGCGCCAGGAGCAAGCGUGCUCCUGAGAUCGGGCCACAGGACGGAGCUCCUGAGGCAGGUGGUUGAGGGAGUUCCUCCCGAGGCUGUGCUGCAAUUGAUAGUGGCAGUGCUACUGAGGGCUUGAAGAGUUGUUCCUUAAAGACGCCGGGAUCUUGAGGCAGUUGCCUGGACGCCCUCCUGGUGAUGUCAUCAGCCUCUUGAUUGGUGCCGCGUGGCACAUGCUGCAACUCCAACCCCCAGAACUGCUUUUCCAUUCUGCGGACGUCCGCAAGAUACGCUUCCAUGUGCUCGUCCUUCGGCUCAUACACCUUGUUGGAGAAGUUGACGAGGAGCUGUGAAUCACCCUUGAUGAUGAGGCGCUUUACCCCCAAGGCCGAUGCGGCCUUCAAGCCUGCUAUCAGGCCCUCAUAUUCUGCUAUGUUGUUGGAGACCUUCUCUCCAUGCUGGAAACAGAGCUGUACGGCAUAAUAGAGCUUGUCCUGAGUGGAGAUAUAAGUACUGCGCCAGCCCCCAGGCCAUGUCGCGAGAACGCUCCGUUGAAGUACAUGACCUAGCCGUCCGGCGCCUCACUUCCUGGGGAAAGUGACCGAUCUUCGCCUGCCUCGAGCCCUAGCGCCUCUAUCCAUUCUGCCACAAAAUCUGCAAGUGUGGCUCCUUUGACGACCCUCGUCGUGUUGAAUUCCAAUUGAAAUGCUUGCAACUCGAUGUUCCAUUCGGCGACCCUACCCGCUGAGUUGGGACUCCUGAGUACCCUUUCCAAUGGAUAUACCGAGACGACCUUGAUGGGGUGACCUUGAAAGUAGUGUCAUAUCUUGCGCGAGGCCACUAAUAGAGCGAGCAAGAGCUUCUGAGGCAUGGGGUAUCGUGCCCUCACAUCCCACAGCACCGUGCUAACAAAAUACACUGGGUGCUCGACGAGGGUAGGCGUGCUGGUGAGGUCGGUGCCCUCUGAGGGGUCAGGCGCCUCCUGAGAUGAUGGAGCCCCCAGCCCCUGGCUGCCUAGUGUGGCCUCUUCGGCCCUGGGGGCGUCCCCCUGUUGAGGCUGGCAUCCAUCUGCUGCGGCUGUGGGCUUCACAAGGCCUUCUUGGUUUUGCGCUGCCGUGGCCGGGGCCGUGGCCGAUCGUGGCGUAGCUUUGACCUAGUGCUCCUCUUGUACUGCCACUAGAGCUGCACUGGCAAAGUAGGGUGUGCCAGCGAGGUAGAGCACCAAGGGCUCCCGAGGGCAUGGAGACACCAUCACCGGAGGGUUGGUCAGGUACUUCCUGAGGUCUUCGAACACUUUGUCAGCCUCUUGAGUACAUUCGAAUGGACCCUUCUUCUUCAUCAGCUUGAAAAAGGGCAUGGCAUGUUCCCCUAGCUUGGAGAUGAAGCGCCCUAACGCGGUUACUCGCCCAGUGAGCUUAUGCAUUUCCCUGAGGGUUUGCGGCGGACUCAUGUCUUCGACUGCCUUGACCUUCUCUGGGUUAGCCUCUAUACAUCUGUGGGACAGAAGGAAGCCCAGAAGCUUGUCAGAAGGAACACCGAACAUGCACUUCUCCGGGUUGAGCCGCAGGUCCACCUCGCGAAGGCUCGCGAAGGUUUCUUCCAGGUCCUGAAUCAGGGUUUUGGCCUCCCGAGACUUCACCAUGAUGUCGUCGACGUAUGCCUCAGCGUUUCUCCCGAGUUGCCGGCCCAAGGCGAUAUGCAUCAGCCGCUGAAAGGUUGCGCCUGCGUUGCACAACCCAAACGGCAUGCAGGUGUAGUAUUACACCCCGCACGGGGUCAGGAAGGCCGUUUUCUCCACGUCUUCUACCACCAUCUUGAUUUGGUGAUAGCCAGAGAAGGCAUCCAGGAAGCACAACAUGUCGCACUCGGCGGUGGAAUCGACGAUCUGGUNNNNNNNNNNNNNNNNNNNNNNNNNNNNNNNNNNNNNNNNNNNNNNNNNNNNNNNNNNNNNNNNNNNNNNNNNNNNNNNNNNNNNNNNNNNNNNNNNNNNNNNNNNNNNNNNNNNNNNNNNNNNNNNNNNNNNNNNNNNNNNNNNNNNNNNNNNNNNNNNNNNNNNNNNNNNNNNNNNNNNNNNNNNNNNNNNNNNNNNNNNNNNNNNNNNNNNNNNNNNNNNNNNNNNNNNNNNNNNNNNNNNNNNNNNNNNNNNNNNNNNNNNNNNNNNNNNNNNNNNNNNNNNNNNNNNNNNNNNNNNNNNNCAGGGUUGGCCAGCCAUUCUGGAUAGCGAACUUUGCAAAUGACACCCGCAGCUUCAAGCUUACGGGUUUCUUGGACGAUGAAGGCCUGCUUCUCGGUGGACUGCCGCCUUGCCUUCUGCUUCACGGGGCGCACAUUGGGGCACACGUUCAGAUGAUGCUCAAGCACCUCCCUUGGAACCCCCGCUAGCUUCUUGGGUUCCCACGCGAACACCUCCUUGUGCAAGUUCAAGUGGAGCAUCACAAAGAGAUCAAGUGCUUGAAUCUUGCCAUCCAUUGUGGUGUCAAUGGACUUGUGAAGAUGUACCGAAGAGUGGCUCACCCAUAGUGGACUAUGGGGGAGCAAUCAUCUAGUCUUCAUCGAGCCAACACAAUCAAGAAAGGUGGUCCAACUUGAGGGAGUCAAGAUCGUCAUCAUCUAGCUCAAGUGGACCAUGUGCAAGGCAAAGGUUUUCCCUUGAUAGGUUUUCUAUUUUACCGGUCUCGUGGUGGUAGUUGCGAGACCGGGUUAUAGGAUCGUUUGUCGUACUAUCAAGGGGGGCUCUCAAGUUGGUAGCUUGCUCGUAUCGUUAGUAUAGAUCUCAAACCAUUCCAUCCUAGCAUCAUGUUUCUUGGUUCUUGUUUAGUUCUCUUUGUGAGUCUUAUAGCUUAUGGUCAUCUUGAUGACAAGCUUGAGUUCAUUGAAAACGGAGUUCGCAUGCGUCUUCUAUGAUGUUUUCGGUGUUAGAGGUUUUACCGGUCUUAUCCGUGGAAGGGUUCUCACCAUUUUCUUAUCGGCCUUUUCUCAUUUGCUUCUUAUUGAUAUUUCUAUCAAUAUUGUGUUAUCCCAUUUCGUUAGCUUUCCAACAAACUUGGUUUCAUUGAAUUCGGAGUCUGUUUGCAAAUGUUGUGGCUGCUUUGGUAAAGGCCGCAGCGGUACUACCGCGACUAGAGCGGAUGUAAUUUUUUACUACCGCUCUAGAGCAGUAGUACCGCUCCAGAGUAGUACUACCUCGGCUCCUAAGCGGUAGUACCGCUCCGGACCAAAAUCUCGUGUUUUUCUCAGCGGAGGUAGGCACAGAAGUAUUUUUUUAGUACCGCUCGCAAGCAGUAGUACCGCUACCAUUUGCGGUAGUACCGUGAGGUCGAGCGGUAGUACCGUGAGGGGUACUACCGCCCUAGUGAUAGUACCGCUCCUUGGAACGAUAGUACCGCUCUGUGCGGGCUAUGAGCAUAACGGUUGAAUUUUUCCCCACCUAUAAAAGGGGGUCUUCUUCCCCAUUGAACCUUAUCCUUUGAGCCCGUGUUCUUCCCCCAUUGUUGACCUUCUUCGAUCUAGAUAACUCUCAAUCCCUCCAUGGAUUCUUGCUAGUUUUUGAGGGAAAAGAGAGAGGAGAUCUAGAUCCACAUUUCCACCAAUCACUUUCUCCUCUAUGUGAGGGGAACCCCUUUGAUUUAGAUCUUGGAGUUCUUGGUGUUCUCCUUCUUGUUCUUCCUCUCAUCUUCCUCCCUAGCAUUAGUUGCUUCGGUGGGAUUUGAGAGAGAAGGAUUUGGGCACUCCGUGUGCCCUUGUCAUUGCAUUUGGUGCAUCGGUUUGAGUUCUCCACGUGAUACGUGGAAGUUACAAGUUGAGAAGCUUAUUACUCUUGGGUGCUUGGUACCCUUGAGCUUGUUACUCUUGGGUGUUUGGACACCCUAGAGCUUGUUCCUCUUGGGUGCCUUGGCGCCCUAGACGAUUGGUGUUGUUCGGAGCUCAAUCAUUGUGGUGUAAAGCUCUAGGCAAGCGUCGGGGUCUCCAAUUAGGUUGUGGAGAUUGCCCCGAGCAAUUUGACGGGUACCGGUGACCGCCCCCAAGGGUUGCCAAAGUGUACGGGUUCGGUGACCGCCCCCAAGGGUCACCAUUUGUACGAGUUCGGGGACCGCCCUCAAGGGUCCCUUAGUGGAAUCACGACAUCUUGCAUUGUGCGAGGGCGUGAGGAGAUAAUGGUGGCCCUAGUGGCUUCUUGGGGAGCAUUGUGCCUCCACACCGCUCCAAAGGGAGAUUAGCAUCCGCAAGGGUGUGAACUUCGGGAUACAUCGUCGUCUCCGCGUGCCUCGGUUAUGUGUUACCCGAGCCCUUUACUUAUGCACUUUACUUUGUGAUAGCCAUAUUGUUCUUUGUCAUAUAUCUUGCUAUCACAUAGUGGCUUAUAUUGCUUAGCAUAAGUUGUUGGUGCACAUAGGUGAGCCUAGUUGUUUUAGGUUUUGUGCUUGACAAAUUAACCGCUAGGUUAAUUCCGCAUUUGUUCAAGCCUAAACCAUAAUUAUUUUAGACUGCUUAUUCACCCCCCCUCUAGGCGACAUCCUUGAUCUUUCACCUUGUGUGCUAUCAAACCUCACAACGUAACUGGGUUAUUAUAAAGAUGCUCUACAGGCAUCUCCGAAGGUGUUUGUCGAGUUGGCCUAGAUCAAGAUUAGGAUUUGUCACUCCGAGUAUCAGAGAGGUAUCUCUAGGCCCUUUCGAUAAUACACAUCAUAAGCUUGCAAGCAAACUACUAAGGUGUUAGUCAUGAGAUGAUGUAUUAUGGAACGAUUAAAGAGACUUGCCGGUAACGAAUUGAACUAGGUAUGAAGAUACCGAUGAUAGAAUCUCGGGCAAGUAACAUAUUGAUGGACAAAGGGAAUUACGUAUGUUGUCAUAACGGUUCGACCGAUAAAGAUCUUCGUAGAAUAUGUAGGAGCCAAUAUGGGCAUCCUGGUUCCGCUAUUGGUUAUUGACUGGAGAGGUGUCUUUGUCAUGUCUACAUAGUUCUCGAACCCGUAGGGUCCGCACGCUUAACGUUCGAUGACGAUAUAGUAUUAUAUGAGUUAUGUGAUUAAGUGACCGCAUAUUGUUCGAAGUCCCGGAUGAGAUUACGGACAUGGCGAGUAGUCUCGAAAUGGUCGAGAGGUAAAGAUUGAUAUACAGGACGAUGGUAUUCAAACACCGGAAGUGUUUCGGGGGGUACCAGGUACUUAUCGGGUCACCGAAAGGGGUUCCGGGCACCCCCGGCAAAAGAUAUGGGCCUUAUGGGCCAAGAGGGGAAACACACCAGCCACAAGGGGAUGUUGCGCUCCCCAUAUGGGCCGGCCUAGGAGGAGAAGGAAAGAGGGGAAGGGAAAGGAAAGAGUGGAAUAGGAUUCCCCCUUCCUUCCCUCUCCCCCUUUUUCCUUCCCCAUCGGUUAGAUAUGGCAGGGGGCGCGCGGCUUGUGAGGGACUCGAAGUAGGAUUCCUCCUACUUGGGCCCCUCCUAUGGAUGCUCCUACCUCCCUCCCACCUAUAUAUAUAUAUUUGUGAAAGGGGGCGCCUAGCACACACCAGACAAUUUCCUAGCCGUGUGCGGUGCCCCCUCCACCGUUUACUACCUCGGUCAUAUUUACGUAGUGCUUAGGCGAAGACCUGUGGAGAUCACUUCACCAUCACAGUCACCACGCCGUCGUGCUGCCGGAACUCAUCUACUACCUCGAUGUUUUGAUGGAUCAAGAAGGCGAGGGACGUCAUCGAGCUGAACGUGUGCAGAACUCAGAGGUGUCGUAUGUUCGGUACUCGAUCGGUGGAUCACAAAGAAAGUUUGACUACAUCAAUCGCGUUGUGAAACGCUUUUGCUUACGGUCUACGAGGGUACAUAGACACACUUUCCCCUCUCGUUGCUAUGCAUCUCCAUGGAUAGAUCAUUGCGUGUGCGUAGAUUUUUUUUUGUUUUCCUAUGCAACGUUUCCCAAUAGUGGUAUUAGAGCCAGGUCUAUGCAUAGAUGAUAUGCAUGAGUAGAACACAAAGAAGUUGUAGGCGGUGAUGUUCACACUACUUACCACCAAUAUCUUACUUUGAGUCGGCGGCAUUGCGGGAUGAAGCGGCCUGGACCAACCUUACAUGUCCACGCAUGUAUGACCGGUUCCACCGACUGACAUGCAACUAGUUUUUCAUAAAGGUGGUCGGUGGGUGUCUGUUUCUCCUACUUUAGUUGAAUCUAAUUUAAAUGUGGCCGGUCCUUGAAGAAGGUUAAAACAGCAAACUUGAUAAAUCUCCAUUGUAGUUUUUGCCGUAGGUAAGAACGGCUCUUGCUAGAAACCCGUAGCAGCCACGUAAAACUUGCAACAACAAAGUAGAUGACGUCUAACUUGUUUUUGCAGGGUAUGUUGUGAUGUGAUAUGGUCAAGACAUGAUGUGAUAUACGUUAUUGUAUGAGAUGAUCAUGUUUUGUAAUUUAUCAACAACCGGUAGGAGCCUUAUGGUAGUCUCUUUAUUAAAUGAAAUGAAAACGACAUGUAAUUGCUUUACUUUAUCGCUAUGCGCUAGCAAUAGUUGUAGAACCAAUAGUUGGUGAGACGACCACGACGCAAUGAUGGAGAUCAAGGUGUCGAGCUGGUGACGAUGGAGAUCAUGAUGAUGCUUUGGAGAUGGAGAUCAAAAGCAUGAGAUGAUGAUGGACAUAUCAUGUCACAUAUUUUGAUUGCAUGUGAUGUUUAUCUUUUAUGCAUCUUAUUUUUCUUAGAACGACGGUAGCAUUAUAAGAUGAUCCCUCCACUAAAUCUCAAAAUAUAAGUGUUCUCCCCGAGUAUGCACCAUUGCGAAAGUUCAUCGUUUCGAGACACCAUGUGAUGACCAGGUGUGAUAGACACUACAUUCACAUACAACAGGUGUAAGAUAGUUUUGCACGUGCAGAAUACUUGGGUUAAACUUGACGAGUACAGACAUGGCCUCGGAACACAGGAGACCGAAAGUUCGAACAUGAGUCAUAUAGUAGAUAUGAUCAACAUAGAGAUGUUCACCAUUGAUGACUACCACAUCUCACGUGAUGAUCGGACACGGGUUAGUUGAUUUGGAUCAUGUAUCACUUAGAUAACCCAAUGUAUGUUAAUUUAAGUGGGAGUUCAUUAGUAAUUUGAUUAAUUGAACUUAAAUUUAUCAUGAACUUAGUCCUGAUAGUAUUUGCAAAUUAUCUUGUAGAUCAAUAUCUCGCGUUGUAGCUCCCCUAUUUUUCGAUAUGUUCCUAGAGAAAAAUAAGUCGAAAGAUGAUAGUAGCAAUAACGCGAACUGGUUCCAUGAUCUAAGGAUUAUCCUCAUUGCUGCAUAGACAAAUUAUGUCCUUAAUGCACCGCUAGGUGACAGACCUAUUGCAGGAGCAGAUGCAGACGUUAUGAACGUUUUGCAAGCUUGAUAUGAUGACUACUUAAUAGUUUAGUGAUCCAUGCAUUACGGCUUAGAACUAGGACUUAAAAAAUGUUUGGAACGCCAUGGAGCAUAUGAGAUGUUUCAAGAGCUGAAAUUGGCAUUUCAGACUCAUGCUCGUGUCGGGAGGUAUGAGACCUCGGACAAGUACUUGCCUACAAGAUGGAGGAGAAUAGCUCAGCCGGUGAGCAUGUGCUCAGAAUGUCUGGGUACUACAAUCGCUUGAAUCAAGUGGGAGUUAAUCUUCCAGAUAAGAUAGUGAUUGAUAGAGUUCUCUAGUCACUAUCACCAAGCUACUAGAACUUCGUGAUGAAUUAUAAUAUGAAAGGGAUGAUAAAAACGAUUCCCAAGCUCUUCACGAUGCUGAAAUCAGCGAAGGUAGAAAUCGAGAAAGAACAUCAAGUGUUGAUGGUUAAACAAGACCACUAGUUUCAAGAAAAAGGGCAAGGGAAAGAAAGGGAACUUCAAGAAGAAUGUCAAGCAAGUUGCCACUCCAGUGAAGAAGCCCAAAACUGAACCUAAGCCUGAAACUGGGUGCUUCUACUGCAAAGGAAAUGGUCAUUGAAGUGGAACUGCCCCAAAUACUAGGAGGAUAAGAAGGAUGGUAAAGUGAACAAAGAUAUAUUUGAUAUACAUGUUAUUGAUGUGUACUUUACUAGUGUUCGUAGUAACCCCUGGGUAUUGGAUACCGGUUCAGUUGCUAAGAUUAGUAACUCGAAACAGGAGUUGCAGAAUAAACAAAGACCAGUUAAGGGUGAGGUGACGAUGUGUGGUGGAAGUGAUUCCAAGGUUGAUACGAUCACCAUCGCACACCCCCUCUACCUUCGGGAUUAGUGUUGAACCUAAAUAAAUGUUAUUUGGUGUUUGCAUUGAGCAUGAAUAUGAUUAGAUCAUGUUUAUUGCAAUAUGGUUAUUCAUUUAAGUUAGAGAAUAAUUGUUGAUCUGUUUAAAUGAAUAAAACCUUCUAUGGUCAUACACCGAAUGUGAAUGGUUUAUUGAAUCUCGAUCGUAGUGAUACACAUAUUCAUAAUAUUGAUGCCAAAAUAUGUAAAGUUAAUAAUGAUAGUGCAACAUACCUGUGGCACUGCCGUUUAGGUCAUAUUGGUGUAAAACGCAUGAAGAAACUCCAUACGGAUGAACUUUUGGAAUCACUUGAUUAUGAAUCAUUUGAUACUUGCAAACCAUGCUUCAUGAGCAAGAUGACUAAACUUCGUUCUUCAGAACAAUGGAGCGAGCUAAUGACUUAUUGGAAACAAUACAUACAGAUGUAUGAGAUUCGAUGAGUGUUCAAGCACGGGACGGGUAUCAUUAUUUUUCGACCUUCAGAGAUGAUUUGAGUAGGUAUGGGUAUAUCUACUUAAUGAAACACAACUCUGAAACAUUUGAAAAGUUCAAAGAAUUUUAGAGUGAAGUAUCAUGGUAACAAGAAAAUAAAGUUUCUACGAUCUGAUCGCGGAAGCGAAUAAUUGAGUGACGAGUUUGGACUUCAUUCAAAACAAUGUGGAAUUGUUUCACAACUCAUGCCACCUGGAACACCACAGCGUAAUGGUGUGUCCAAACGUCAUAACCAUACUUUAUUGGAUAUGGUGCAUUCUAUGAUGUCUCUUACCGAUUUACCACUAUCGUUUUUGGGUUGUGCAUUAGAGACAGCCGCAUUCACAUUAAAUAGGGCACCAUCUAAAUCCAUUGAGACGUCACUAUAUGAACUAUGGUUUGGCAAGAAACCUAAGAUGUCAUUUCUUAAAGUUUGGGUUGCGACGCUUAUGUCAAAAGGCUUCAGCCUGAUAAUCUCGAACCCAAAUUAGAGAAGUGCGCCUUCAUAGGAUACCCUAAGGAAAUAAUUGGGUACACCUUCUACCACAGAUCCGGAGGUAAGAUCCUUGUUGCUAAGAAUGGAUCCUUUCUAGAGAAGGAGUUUAUCUCGAAAGAAGUGAGCGGGAGGAAAGUAGAACUUGAUGAGGUAAUUGUACCUUCUCUAGAAUUGGAUAGUAGCACAUCAGAGAAAAUUGUUCCCGUGAUCUACACCAACUAGAGAGGAAGAUAAUGAUGAUGAUUGAGGGAGUCUUGGAUUAGGGGAUGUCCGGAUGGCCGGACUAUGACCUUUGGCCGGACUCCCGGACUAUGAAGAUACAAGAUUGAACACUCCAUCCUGUGUCCGGAUGGGACUUUCCUUGGCGUGGAAGGCAAGCUUGGCGAUAUGAUAUGAAGAUCUCCUCCCAUUGUAACCGACUCUGUGUAACCCUAGCCCUCUCCGGUGUCUAUAUAAACCAGAGAGUUUUAGUCCGUAGGACGAACAACAAUCAUACCAUAGGCUAGCUUCUAGGGUUUAGCCUAUCUGAUCUCGUGGUAGAUCCACUCUUGUACUACCCAUAUCAUCAAUAUUAAUCAAGCAGGAGUAGGGUUUUACCUCCAUCGAGAGGGCCCAAACCUGGGUAAAAACAACGUGUCUCUUGUCUCCUGUUACCAUCCGCCUAGACGCACAAUUCGGGACCCCCUACCCGAGAUCCGCCGGUCUUGACACCGACAUUGGUGCUUUCAUUGAGAGUUCCUCUAUGUCGUCACCUUUAGGCCCGAUGGCUUCUUCAAUCAUCAAUCACGACGCGGUCCAGGGUGAGACCUUUCUCCCCGGACAGAUCUUCGUAUUCGGCGGCUUCGCCCUGCGGGCCAACUCGCUUGGCCAUCUGGAGCAGAUCGAAAGCUACGCCCCUGGCCAUCAGGUCAGGUUCAGAAGUUUAAACUACAUGGCCGACAUCCGCGGGGACUUGAUCUUCGAUGGACUCGAGCCACGGCCGAGCACGCCGCACUGUCACGAUGGGCAUGAUUUAGCUCUGCCGCCGGACAACGCCCAGAGCGUCGCUCAGGUGCCCGCUCUGACCAUUAGCUCGGAGCCGGCUAUGCUAGUCAGGGAUGGACGGUUGGACGCCACCCAGGGAGCCGCAAUCUCUACGGCGAUAGAGCCGUAUACCAGCCUAGUCCUUUGCAGGGCCCGUGACUCCAAGGUGCUGGACUCCGCUCCGGGCUCCGUAUAUUCUGCACCUCUUCCGAUCAAACCCAAUUGGGCUUCGAUCAUGGAGUUCACCGCCACGGACGUCUUUCAGCACUCGCCCUUUGGUGAUAUCCUGAAUUCACUAAAGUCAGCAUGGUUGGGAUGCGGACGACGAAGAAAUUUGAAACCCACCCACCACCCACUUGGUAGCCACUGUCGACGAUCUAACCGACAUGCUCGACUUCGACUCCGAAGGCAUCGGCGGUAUGGACGCCGAUAAAGGAGACGAACAAGAACCAGCACCUAUAGGGCACUGGAAAGCCACCUCAACAUACGAUGUAUACAUGGUGGGCACACCUAACAGAAAUGACAACGAGGAUCAAAAGGGCGCAACCAGGGAUCGCUCCCUCGAAAAACAAUCAAAGCGGCGGCGUAAGCGCAAGGCCAAGCCCCACCUCGACAAAGACCCAGCCAUAGAGCAGGGUGAAUCAACGGAAGACGAACAUGCCAUCGAGCAAUCUUCCAAACAGGGCGGACAAUCCGAACAACCCAUCCCCGGGAAAGAUAAUAGUCCGGACGACCUCACCCCGGACAAAUUGCUGGAACAUCAGAACCUCCACCAAAGGCUCGUUGCCACUGCACGUAGCCUGAAAAAGCAGAAGCGGAGGCUCAAAACAGCAGAAGAUGCACUCAGGAUUAGAUGGGGAAAAGUACUCAAUACUGCACACAAGUACGGCAACAGUCGUCACACAAAGAGCUAUCCGAAGCGGAAACUACUACCGGAAUUUGAUGAAGAGGCCAUAAAGCCCCCACAGUCAAAAAAUUAGGAAGCCACAAGGUCGGAUAGACGACCCCACGAUCGAUCUCAAGCAACAAAGGGCGCCACACUCAAUACGGUGCGAUCCAUUCAAGAAUUCGCAUCAAAAAACUGGCCCAACCAUAUCCAUCUAUGGGCCAAGAAAGCAAGGUCCAGUGAGCAAUGCAAUGCAAAAAAUAUCCGGACAUCGCGGCACACCUAAAUACAGGGGCGCCGCACAUCCCCUAUGUUUUACCGAUGAGGUGCUGGAUCAAGAAUUUCCAGCGGGAUUCAAGCCCGUAAACAUAGAAGCAUACGACGGAACAACAGACCCUGGAGUCUGGAUCGAGGAUUACAUCCUCCACAUACACAUGGCCAGAGGAGAUGACCUCCAUGCCAUAAAAUACUUACCCCUUAAGCUCAAAGGGCCAGCCCGGCAUUGGCUUAAAAGCCUUCCCGAAAACACCAUGGGAAGUUGGGAAGCGCUCAAGGAUGCUUUCUGGGCAAAUUUUCAAGGGACCUAUGGCCGACCUCCGGAUGUAGAUGAUCUGAGUCAUCUAACUCAGCAGCCCGAAGAGUCCGGCCGGAAACUCUGGAACAGGUUCCUUACUAAAAAGAAUCAGAUAGUCGACCGUCCGGACGCCGAGGCCCUAGCAGCUUUCAAACAUAGCGUCUGAGACGAAUGGCUCGCCAGACACCUCGGCCAAGAAAAGCCAAGAACAAUGGCCGCAUUAACAAGCCUCAUGACCCGCUUUUGUGCAGGAGAGGAUAGCUGGUUGGCAAGAAGCAGCACCAGCGACCCGAAUACAUCCGAACCCAGAGAUGGGAACGGGAAACCGCGCUGUAACAAAGAACCACGCCGGAUCAAGGACAACAGCCCGAUGAGCACGGCAGUAAAUGCCGAAUUCAAAAGCUCUCGGCAAAAUCAGAAAAAGCCGCCCCCAAAGAUGAUAGGGAUGAGCUAUCCAACCUCAACAAAAUCUUGGACAAAAUAUGUCAAAUCCACAGUACUCCUGGGAGACCUGCAAACCAUACCCACAGAGAUUGUUGGGUCUUCAAGCAGUCCGGCAAACUCAACGCCGAACACAAGGGGCUCGACACACCAAGCGAGGAUGACGACGCACCCCACAAGCAGAACACCGGAGAACAAAAGAAGUUCCCACAAGAAGUCAAGACAGUAAAUUCACUUCAGAUGACAAAAGGGAAAAACAGAACGGCGCUUACGAAGACACGCGCCGUACGGCCAGCCCCAGAGGAGCACCGCCACUAGUUGUUACAACCAAUCACCUUUGAUCAUCAGGAUUACUCCAGAGGAGCCUGGAACGCAGGCUGGACUGCCUUGGUCAUGAAUCUGAUUAUUAACGGACUCCAAUUUACAAAAGUCCUUAUGGACGGCGACAGUGACUUGAACAUGUUAUAUCAGGACACAAUCCGCAAACUAGGGGUAAACCCAGCUAUAAUCCGCCAUGGCAACGCUUCCUUUCAAGGAGUCACGCCGGGUCCAGAUACCCAAAGUAUGGGUUCCCUUUCGUUAGAAGUCACGUUCGGCUCACCCGACAACUUCCAAAGCGAAAAGCUAAAAUUCCACAUCGCCCCAUUCGUAAGUCGCUAUCAAGCACUACUGGGACGUGACGCUUUCGCCCGCUUUAACGCAAUACCACAUUAUGCAUCCCUUACACUUAAAAUGCCCGGUCCACGAGGCAUCAUUUCAUUACAGGGGAAUAUAAAUUGACCCCCAAAGUACGGGCAAAGGUGCGGCCGCCUGGACAGCCGCCCACUAAUCCAGCCCUACUAUCCCGGACACGACUCGACGAGUCCGGUGUAAACAUGCUUAAUAGCCGCAUAACCCCGUACAAGGGGCUCCGCGUGUUCACGCCCGGAGACAAUACGGCUCAAUUCUUGCUCCAACUAUAUUUUGUUUAUUUUAAUAUAGAUUUCUCGCACGCUUAUUUUUUACUAAGUUCCUCUCUUUCGCAGACAAACAUCGUGCUACGCCCGUCCAGGAUACGGCACAAUGGAGACACAGGCGCAGACGUGCAGCAGGGACCCGUUUCAAGGAUUCUUUUCAGAUUAAGACCCUGCGUAAACCUUUUUUACUGUCUCUUGUUGACAACAUCCCCCGGUUUUCGCUAUAACCAAGGAGGAGGCUGGAGUCUUGGCAUGUGGCCGCGCCAGAAUUUUUGCGCGUACCUGGACACCAGGGGCUUUUUUACCAAGGGCUCUAUUUCGGCCCGUCUUCAUAAAGACCGAAUACCUUAGGGAGUGUUCGGCGUCGCGAGUUUGGCCCUAUAUGCAUCAGCUUCGAAUCAUGUCUUUGGUCAAAUGUUGGGUUUGCCCGGCUCUUGUGUUUUGCUGCCUUACGUUCUGUUAUAUCGGCUAACGCGGCACCAGGAGAACUACUGCGAUUGUGCCCCGGUUCGGCCAGGCGAGCACCUCAGUAGAGAAAGCCGAAAACUAACUGUCAUGAUAUAGCGAGAGACUGGUCAACCACUCGAUGACUUUUAGAAUCUUUAGGAUUCCUCCGCAUUAACGAAGGGCCGCUUCCCGGUCAGGCACACUCGCGCCCCAAAUUCGGGUGAGCGCGGUGCCCCUAGGGGCUAUUCAGUAGCCCCACUGUCAAACUCCUAUGGUUAAGUGAAAGUGAUAAAGCAUUAUAGUACGGUUGCCUAGUUCGCCGCGCCACCACCUCCUUUAUAGGACCAAGAUGUUGGAUUAAGUGUGAAAAGGCGCCUUUUUGCAAACACCCCCGCAUUCUAUGCAUGGGGGCUGAAGCCAAUGACUGCCAUCUUUCAGGUUAUAUACAUAUAUAUACAUUAAACGGCCGCACAUGAGGCAUCAUAAUUCUUGCAAGCACAAGUAUAAAAAGCCUUUAUAUAAUAUCAAAAUAUUCGUUUUACAAUAGUACACGCUAUUCGAACACAACAUCCUUCGAGCAAUGCGACUCUAUUAAACGAGCGCCAUGAAGAACUUCCUCAAAGUAGUGGUUGGCAAGUACUCGGCUUUCGUCCGAAUCCCGGGAUGCAACAACACUGGCCUUCAUAUCCGCACAGUAUGCUUUGACACGGGCAAGAGCCAUCUGUGCGCACUCUAUGCAUGCCGACCUCUUCAUUGCAUCAGCAUGCGGCACCGAACCAAGGAACUGCUGCACAAAGCCAAAAUAACUCUUCGGCUCCGGCUUCUCCGGCCACAGACGACUUGCGACAUACCUCAUGGCGAGUCCGGAUAACCUCUUCAGCUCCGCCCAGGCGGCCAAACGGUCGGAUACCGAAAGUGGGCGUUCUGGAUAGUGGAACUGCGACCAAAAAAGAUCUUCCAAUCCAUGGUCACCUCGGCCGCGGAAGUGUUCGGUCGCGUCCGCCGCACUAGCUGCCAAAUCCAGAUAAGUGUUUUCCGCACUCCACUGCCGGUCUAACAGAGCAUACUUGGGAUCUCUGAACUUCAUCCGCAGCAUAUAGGGCUUUCCAGACGUGAUAUCUCCGGCCUGACGCAGCUCCUCCUUCAUAGCUCUCAUUGCAGAGCGAGUAUCCUUGGCUUCGGCAGUGAUCUUUUCAAGGUCCUUCUGAGCCGCCCUAUCUUCUUGUUCAAGAAAUUUACAGCGGUCGGUAGCAUCCUUCAAUUUUAUGGCCAUCUCGGCUAUUACCUUCUUGCUCUGGCAGUGAGCAGCCUGUUCGGCUUUUAGCUCUUCAGCCGCUUUAACGGCAGCCGCAUCACUUCUCCUUGCUUGUUCCUUGGCUCGGGCAAGUUCCACCCGAAGGUUCUCCACGGCAGCAACACCAUCUAUAUUAAGCACAUAUAUAUAAGGCCCGAGCAUCGAACUCCUAUUACCAGGUGUCUUUGGAACAUACCUUGUGCCUCGUCUAGCCGCUUAUUUACAAGCGCGAUGUCGGCAUCUGCUACGUCAAGUUGCCGCUUUAGCUCGGCCGAUUCAUCAGUCUGGCUAGCCACCGAAAGCUUCGCCACCUUCAUGGAAAAGGCGACAUAUUAUACCUGGGGUUAUGAUCCUAUGUGCGCCGUCACUCUUGACGACACACAGAGUCUCAGGGGCUACUAUUUAUACAUGUCGCAUUUAAUAUGCGGCUCUACCAAAAGGUACAACUUUUUGCGUACCUCAAAGCCUGUUAGUAAACUCCUGGCAGCCUCGUACAAUCCGCUUUCCAUGGAUGAAAUCCUUCCAAUCACCGUAUUCAUCAACAUACGGUGUUCUUCUGAGAUGGACGCCCUCCCAAGCAGAUCCUUCAGCCCCUCCGACUGCGCACCAGAGGGUGCCGGACUAGCCUGACGACCUUUUCCAGGGUCCGGACUUGGGAAAACCCUCCGAGAUGACACCUCGGGGUCGCCUGCCUCGUGAGACGGUGCAACAAGGGGAGGCGUUUCGCUCUCUAUCAUCUCCGAACGAAGAUCCCCUGAAGAUGAGCUCUGCUGAGAAGGGUUGAGAUCCGAACUGCAAGGUAAUGUUUCGGUUAUCUUCCUCAGAAAUAGAAAAGUGGUGUCAUUCAUUAUGGAACCCCUCCCUUCACUUACGUCUCGGGGGAGAGCGGGUCCCCUUUAGGGGGUGAUUCGGCCGGGGCGUUCUCCGGUGCCGAACCCUCUGGCGAAGAUUUCUUCCCCCGUUUUGAGGCCAUCACCUCUGGGUCUUCAGAGGCAGUCCUUUUCUUUUCCUGGUCGGGCGAAUUUUCGAUUCUUCCCUUCCUAACAGCCUCCUUCAUGGAGGCGGUAGCUCCUUGGUUCCCCCCUUCGCCUUCCGCCAAAAGCGUGACCUCCAGCAUCCUGGUUAGCAUGGGAUUCGGCGCGGUCUCGGGCGGGGGCUGGACAGCUGAUAAGCUUUGCCUUCACUAUCCACUCCUGUUCAAAGGACAACUCUAUUAAGGGUAAUUUUGUGAUGAAAAUACGGAUGGUGUGUCGAAAUACGGGGCUACUAACCUUAGCAUCCGGGCAAUUGCAGCUCAGACCUGCGUCCUCGGACAAAUCCGGACACCUUGCUUGUGAUUCAAAGAACAAUUUGUACAUCUCCACGGGUGUCACACCCAUGAAAUGUUGGAGGACUCACGGUCCCUCCGGAUUAAAUUCCCACAGGCGGAGAGGUCGACGUUUGCAGGGCAGUGUGUGGCGAAUCAGCACAACUUGCGCCACUACGGUCAAAUUGAUAUCUCUUUCUAGAAGAUCUUGAAUGCGGUCCUGCAGCAAGGGCACGUCUUUGGGCGGCCCCCAGAUAAGUCCUUCAUUAACCCAUGACGCUAGCCGUGGUGGGGGACCCAAGCGAAAAGUAGGUGGCGCCACCCAUGUGGGGCCCCUGGGGGCUGUGAUGUAAAACCAGUCCCAUUGCCAUAAGCCGAACUCCUCUUGAAAAGAGCCCUCGGGCCAUGGAGCGCCGGUCAUCUUGCUUAUUAUAGCUCCUCCGCACUAAGCUUGCUGCCCCUCGAUCAUCUUCGGUUCCACCUUGAAGGUUCUUAGCCACAAUCCGAAGUGAGGACUAAUAUGGAGGAAGGCCUCACACACGACAAUGAAUGAUGAGAUUUGGAGGAUGGACUCCGGAGCUAAGUCGUGGAACUCCAGCCCGUAAUAAAACAUAAGCCCCCUCACGAAGGGAUCAAUCGGGAAGCCUAGCCCCCGAAGGAAGUGAGAUGCGAACACCACGCUCUCACCGGGCUGGGGAGUGGGAAUGGCCUGCCCUUGAGCAGACAGCCUAUGCGAGAUUUUGCCGGUUAGAUACCUGACAUCUCUCAGCUUUCGCACAUCUUCUUCCGUAAUGGAGGAAGGCAUCCACCGGCCUUGAAGGUCGGAGCCGGACAUCAUCGAAGGUCCGAAGCGCCUAAAAACUAGAGCUUUGGGUGUUGGAACUCGAAGCAAGGGGCGGAUUCGAUUGGGUUGAGAAAAAGGGAGUCGAGCCUUGGUCUCUUUAUAAAGGAGUUGAAUACCAAGAGCCCUCCCCGUAACCGUUUGAGACUCGCUUUCAAUUAGGGAGUCAUACCAAAGACACGGUUGGGUUACCCACGCUCGUAUUGAUGAGAAUCCCGGAAUAAGGGGACACGAUCUCUGCUUUGACAAGACGUGCCAAGGAAACCGCCUCGCUAAACGUGCUGAGGUAGAACAGUAAAACGAUUCGAAUAAAGGCCUGGCCGUGAUGUGAUGUCACGCUGCGGAAUAUGUCAGCAGAUUAGAUUUGUGCAAAUAUUAUUCUCUCUACGGUGGCAUGUGGAACUUAUUUUGCAGAGCCGGACACUAUCCUUGUGUUCAACAUCUUCUAUGAAAUAUUCGAAGGAGGAACCCGUCUUGCAAUGCCUUAGACAAUUUGCGCGCCGGACUCGUCGUCAUUGAAGCCUUGUUCAGGGGCUAUUGAGGGAGUCCUGGAUUAGGGGGUGUCCGGAUGGCCGGACUAUGACCUUUGGCCGGACUCCCGGACUAUGAAGAUACAAGACCGUGUCCGGAUGGGACUUUCCUUGGCGUGGAAGGCAAGCUUGGCAAUACAAUAUGAAGAUAUCCUCCCAUUGUAACCGACUAUGUGUAACCCUAGCCCUCUCCGGUGUGUAUAUAAACCGAAGAGUUUUAGUCCAUAGGACGAACAACAAUCAUACCAUAGGCUAGCUUCUAGGGUUUAGCCUCUCUGAUCUCGUCGUAGAUCCACUCUUGUACUACCCAUAUCAUCAAUAUUAAUCAAGAAGGAGUAGGGUUUUACCUCCAUCAAGAGGGCCCGAACCUGGGUAAAAACAUCGUGUCCCUUGUCUCCUGUUACCAUCCGCCUAGACGCACAGUUUGGGACCCCCUACCUGAGAUCCGCCGGUUUUGACACCGACAAUGAUCAUAAAACUUCAGACCAAGUUACUACUAAACUUCAUAGGUUGACCAGAGCAUGAUCUUCACUAGAGUGGUACGGUAGUCCUGUCUUGGAAGUCAUGUUACUAGACCAAGACAAACCUACAAACUAUGAAGAAGCUAUGAUGAGCCUAGAUUCCGAUAGAUGGCUUGAGGCCAUGAAAUCUGAGAUAGGAUCCAUGUAUGAGAACAAAGUAUGGACUUUGGUGGACUUGCCCGAUGAUCGGAAAGCCAUAGAGAAUAAAUGGAUCUUCAAGAAGAGGACAUAUGCUAAUGGUAAUGUCACCAUCUACAAAGCUCGACUUUUGCGAAAGGUUUUCGACAAGUUGAAGGAGUUGACUAUGAUGAUACCUUCUCACCCGUAGUGAUGCUUAAGUCAGUCCGAAUAAUGUUAGAAAUUGUCGUAUUUCACAAUUAUGAAAUCUGGCAAAUCGAUAUCAAAACUGAUUUCCUUAAUGGAUUUCUUAAAGAAGAGUUGUAUAUGAUGCAACCAGAAGGUUUUGUGGAUCAUAAAGGUGCUAACAAAGUGCGCAAACUCCAACGAUCCAUCUAUGGACUGGUGCAAGCAUCUCGGAGUUGGAAUAUACGCUUUGAUGAGGUGAUCAAAGCAUAUGGUUUUAUACAGACUUAUGGUGAAGCCUGUAUUUAUAAGAAAGUGAGUGGGAGCUCUGUAGCAUUUAUGAUAUUAUAUGUGGAUGACAUAUUGUUGAUUGGAAUUGAUAUAGAACUUCUAGAUAGCAUAAAACGAUACUUGAAUAAGAAUUUUUCAAUGAAAGACAUCGGUGAAGCUACUUAUAUAUUGGGCAUCAAGAUCUAUAGAGAUAGAUCAAGACGCUUGAGAGGACUUUCACAAAGCACAUACCUUGAUAAAGUUCUGAAGAAGUUCAAAGUGGACCAGUCAAAGAAAGGGUUGUUGCUUGUGUUACAAGGUGUGAAGUUGAGUAAGACUCAAAACCCAACCACGGCAGAAUAUAUAUACAGAGAAUGAAAGUCAUUCCCUAUGCCUUAGUCGUAGGUUCUAUAAAGUAUGCCAUGCUGUGUACCAGACCUGUUGUGUGCCUUGCCAUGAGUUUGGCAAGGGGGUACAAUAGUGAUCCAGGAGUAGAUCUCUGGACAGCGGUCAAAAUUAUCCUUAGGUACCUAAAGAGGACUAAGGAAAUGUUUCUCGGUUAUGGAGGUGAUAAAAAGUAUAUCUCUCGACAGCGGUCAAUUCUCUUAUACUAUACACUAUGCUUCUUAAUUUUUAAGGCCUCACAAUUAAUUGAGGUAUUCAAUUUAGAACUAUGUCAACUGAUUUUGACCGGGUCUACAAUUUCUCAAACUCUCCCAUUCAAUUCUUUUAAUACACUUUUAACUUAGUCUUGGGAGGUCAACGACAAGUUCUCUGUGUGGUCUGCAUAUGCCGCCAUGUUUUGGGGUAGAGAAGUAAUACCCAGGGCGGACCUGACUUGGAAGUCGCGGGACCCCUCGCAAUGCCAAUUCUUUACUUGGUUGGCUCUAUGAAAUAUAUGUUGGACUUUGGAUCGUCUUGCUGGAGAGGGCUACCUCAUCAAGAAGCAUGCCCCCUCCGUGAUCAAUAAGAGGAAACUAUAAACCACGUACUACUUACAUGUGUGUUUGCCAGGAUGAUGUGGACGGUGAUUUGUGAGGCUUUGGGCAGAUUGGAGUGGACACUAACCCCAAAGGAUUCACUCAAAUCAUGGUUAUGCAGAAAGCGGGGGCCGAACAAUAUGAGCAAGAAAGAUCUUCACACCCUUUUUGUGUUGGAAAUAUGCCCUAGAGGCAAUAAUAAAUUUGUUAUUAUAAUAUUUCCUUGUUCAUGAUAAUUGUUUAUUAUCCAUGCUAGAAUUGUAUUUAUCAGAAACUCAGAUACAUGUGUGGAUACAUAGACAACAACGUGUCCCUUGUAAGCCUCUACCGGACUAGCUCGUUGAUCAAAGAUGGCUAUGGUUUCCUAGCCAUGGACAUGAGUUGUCAUUUGAUAACAGGAUCACAUCAUUAGGCAAAUGAUGUGAUGGACAAGACCCAAACUAUAAACGUAGCAUAUGAUCGUAUCAAGUUUAUUUCUAUUGUUUUCUGCAUGUCAAGUAUAUAUGUUCCUAUGACCAUGAGAUCAUGCAACUCACUGACACCGGAGGAAUACCUUGUGUGUACCAAAUGUCGCAAUGUAACUGGGUGACUAUAAAGGUGCUCUACAGGUACCUCCGAGGGUUUCUGUUGAGUUGGCAUGCAUCAAGGCUGGGAUUUGUCACUCCGUAUGACGGAGAGGUAUCUCUGGGCCCUCUCAGUAAUACAACAUCACAAGAAGCUUACAAGGAAUGUAAUAAUGAGUUAGCCACGGGAUCUUGUAUUACGGAAUGAGUAAAGAGACUUGCCGAUAACGAGAUUGAACUAGGUAUGGAGAUACCCAUGAUCGAGUCUCGGGCAAGUAACGUACCGAUAGACAAAGGGAACUGCAUACGGGAUUAGAUUAAUCCUUGGCAUCGAGGUUCAACCAAUAAUAUCUUCAUAGAAUAUGUAGGAACCAUUAUGGGCAUCCAAGUCCCGCUAUUGGCUAUUGACCAUAUAGGUGUCUCGGUCAUGUCUUCAUAGUUCUCGAACCCGCAGGGUCUACACACUUAAUGUUUGUUGACGAUAUAAGUAUAGUUGAGUCAUUAUGGUGGUUAUCGAAGGUUGUUCGGAGUCCCGGAUGAGAUCUUGGACGUGAUGGGGAACUCCAGAAUGGUCCAGAGGUGAAGAUAGAUAUAUUGGACGAAGGGUAUUGGAGUCCGCAAUUGUUCCGGGGGUACCUGGUGAUGACCAGCAUGACCGAAAGGGGUUUUGGGGGGCCCCGACAAGUGUUGAGGGGCCUCUUGGGCCAAGGGGAGGGGUCAAACCAGCCCACUAAGGGGUUGUGCGGCCCCUUCACCCCUUCCCACAUUUCCAGAGGAGGUGGGGCGCCACCCUAGGGUUCCCACCCCUUUGGCUUGGGGGCCAAGUCUCCUAAGGGGGAAACCCAUCUAGGGUUUCCCUCUAGUGGCCGCCGACCCUAGAUGGGAUCCCUUAGGGGAUCCCCCUCUCCCCCUUCCCCCUAUAUAUAUAGAGAGAGAUGUAGAGAGAGGGCAGCCAUACGCAUAUAUGCCACGGCACUGCCCUCCCUCUCCCUUGUAGCCAUCUUCCUCUCUAUAGUGCUUAGCGAAGCUCUGCUGAGAUUCCACCACCACCACUACCACCACGCCGCUGUGCUACCGGAGGACUCAAGCUACUACUUCACCAUCGUGCACUGAUCGAGGAGAUGAAGGCGUCAUCAAGCCAUACAUGUGUUGAACACGGAGGUGUCGUCUAUUCAGCACUUGGAUCGGAGUUCGCGGGACGGAUCGUGAUUGGAUCGUGAAGAACAUCAACCUCGUUUCUUAACGCUUCCGCAUAGCGAUCUACAAGGGUAUGUAGAUGCAAUCUCUCCUCUUGAAGAUGGUCAUCUCCUAGAUUCAUCUUGGUGAGCGUAGGAAAUUUUUUGUUUCCCAUGCAACGUUCCCCAAUAGUGGCAUCAUGAGCUAGGUCCAUGCGUAGAUGACAUCACAAGUAGAACACAAAGGAGUUUGUGGGCGUUGAUAUUCAAAUUGGUUCCUUCCUUGGUAUUUUCUUGAUUCGACAGCAUUGUGGGAUGAAGCGGCCCGGACAAACCUUACAUGUCCACGUACAUGAGACAGGUUCCAUCGACAGACAUGUGACUUUGUUGCAUAAAGAUGGUUGACGGAUGUCUUUCUCUCCCACCUUAGUUGAAUCGGAUUCGACAAAGGCAGUCCUUGUAGAAGGUUAAAUGGCAACUUUCAUAUCACCAUUGUGGCUUUGCGUAGGUAAGAAUCGUUCUUGCUAGAUACCCAUAGCAGCCACGUAAAACAUACAACAACAAUUAGAGGAUGUCUAACUUGUUUUUGUAGGGUAUGUUGUGAUAUUAUAUGGCCAAAGACAUGAUGAGAUAUAUUUGAUGUAUGAGAUGAUCAUGUUUGUAAUAGUUUAUAUCGACUUGCAUGUUGAUGCAUACGAUAACCGACGGGAGCCAUAGGGUUGUCUUUAAUUAUUGUAUGACCUAUGUGUCAAUUAUUAAGCGCUAUGUAAUGCUUUACUUUAUCGCUGAGCAGUAGCAAUAGUAGUAUAAGCAUGGUUGGCGUGACAACCUCGACGGUGACAUGAUGAUGGAGAUCAUGGUGUCAUGCCGGUGACAAUGGAGAUCAUACCGGUGCUUUGGAGAUGGAGAUCAAAAGCACAAGUUGAUGGCCAUAUCAUGUCACUUAUGAUUUGCUUGUGAUGUUAAUCCUUUUAUGCAUCUUAUUUUGCUUAGGACGACGGUAGCAUUAUAAGGUGAUUCCUCACUAAAAUUUCAAGAUAAUAUUGUGUUCUCCCCAAGUGUGCACCGUUGCUGAAGUACGUCGUUUCGAAGCACCACGUGAUGAUCGGGUGUGAUAGACUCUACAUUCACAUACAAUGGGUGCAACCGUGCAAGCCAGUUUUGCACAUGUGGAACACUUGGGUUAAACUUGAUGAGCCUAGCAUGUAGAGACAUGGCCUCAGAACACAAGAGACCGAAAGGCCGAACAUGAGUCAUAUAUUAUAUAUGAUCAACAUGGAGAUGUUGACCAUUGAAACCACCUCAUCUCACGUGAUGAUCAGACUUUGGUUGGUGAAUUUGGAUCAUGUUACAGUCGGAUGAUCGGAGGGAUGUCAAUUUGAGUGGGAGUUCUUAAGUAAUAUGAUUAGUUGAACUCAUUAUCAUGAACAUAGUGUAAAUUGUCUUUGCAAAUUAUGUUGUAGAUCAAUAGCUCGUGCUAUAGCUCCCUGUUUUAAUACGUUCCUCGAGAAAGACUAAGUUGAAAGAUAUUGUAAGAAAUUAUGCGGACUAGGGCCGUAGUCUAAGGAUUGUCCUCACUGCUGCACAGAAGCCUUAUGUCCUUGAUGCACUGCUCGGUGUGCCAACCCCUCUAGCGUCAUCUAUGGAUGUUGUGAACAUCUGGUAGACACAUUUAGAUGACUACUUGAUAGUUCAGUGCGCCAUGCUUUACACCUUAGAAUCGGGGCUCGAAAGAUGUUUUUGAACGCCAUGGAACAUAUGUGAUGUUCCAGGAGUUGAAAUUGGUAUUUCAGGCUCAUGCCUGUGUUGGGAGGUAUGAGACCUCUGACAAGUUCUUUGCCUACAAGAUGGAGGAUAAUAACUCAGCUAGUGAGCAUGUGCUCAGAAUGUCUAGGUACUACAAUCCCUUGAAUCAAGUGGGAGUUAUUCUUCUAGAUAAGAUAGUGAUUGACAGAGUUCUCCAGACACUAUCAUCAAGCUACUGGAACUUCCUGAUGAACUAUAACAUGCAAGGGAUGGAGAUGAUCCCAGAGCUGUUCGCGGUAGACCAUGAAGGUAGAAAUCAAGAAGGAUCAUCAAGUGUUGAUGGUUUACAAGACCACUAGUUUCAAUAAGGGCAAGGGCAUGAAGAGAAAGUUCAUGAAUGGCAAGCCGGUUGCUGCUCCAGCGAAGUAACCCAAGGUUGAACCCAAACCUGAGACUAAGUGCUUCUAUUGUAAGGGGAACGGUCACUGGUAGCGGAGCUACCCCAAAUACUUGGUAGAUAAGAAAGCUGGCAACCUCAACAAAAGUAUAUUUAAUAUACUUGUUAUUGAUGUGUACCGUACUAGUACUCCUAGUAGCACCUGGGUAUUAGAUACCGGUUCAGUUGCUAAUAUUGGUAACUCAAAACAAAAGCUGCUGAAUAAAUAGAGACUAGCUAAGGGUGAGGUGACGAUGUGUGUUGGAAGUGUUUCCAAGGUUGAUGUGAUCACCAUCGCACGCUCCCUCUACCUUCGAGAUUAGUGUUGAACCUAGAUAAAUGUUAUUUGGUGUCUGCGUUGAGGCAUGAACACAAUUAUAUUGUGUUUAUUACAAUACGGUUAUUCAUUUAAGUCAGAGAAUAAUGGUUAUUCUAUUUACAUGAAUAAUACCUUCUAUGGUCAUACACCCAAGGUGAAUGGUUUGUUUAAUCUCGAUCGUAGCGAUACACAUGUUCAUAAUAUUAAUGCCAAAAGAUGAAAGUUAAUAAUGAUAGUACCACAUACUUGUGGCACUGCCGCUUAGGUCAUAUUGGUGUAAAGCGCAUGAAGAAACUCCACGCUGAUAGACUUUUGGAGUCACUUGAUUCUGAAUCACUUGACACAUGCGAACCAUGCCUUAUGGGCAAGAUGACUAAAACCCUGUUUUCUGGUACAUUGGAACGGGCAAGUGACUUGUUAGAAAUCAUACAUGCUGAUGUGUGUGGUCCGAUGAGUGUUGACACGUGCGGUGGAUAUCGUUAUUUCCUCACCUUCACUGAUGAUUUGAGUAGAUAUGGGUAUGUUUACUUAAUGAAGCAUAAGUCUGAAACAUUUGAAAAGUUCAAGAAAUUUCAGAGUGAAGUUGAGAAUCAUCGUAAAAAGAAGGUUAAAUCCCUAUGAUCCUAUAUAAGGGGAGAAUAUCUGAGUUAUGAGUUUGGCAAUCACUUAAGACAAUGUGGAAUUGUUUCACAGUUGACGCCACCUGGAACACCACAGUGUAAUGGUGUGUCCGAACGACGUGAUCAUACCUUAUAGAUAUGGUGCGUUCUAUGAUGUCUCUUGCCGAUCUACCACUAUUGUUUUGGGGUUAUGCAUUAGCGACAGCCACAUUCACUUUAAAUAGGGAACCAUCUAAGUCCAUGGAGAUGACACCGUAUGAACUGUGGUUUGGCAAGAAACCUAAGUUGUCAUUUCUUAAGGUUUGGGUCUGCGACACUUAUGUGAAAAGGCUUGAUCCUGAUAAGCUUGAACCCAAAGCGACCAAAUGCAUUUUCAUAGGAUACCCAAAGGAUAAGAUUGGUUAUACCUUCUAUCUCAGAUAUGAGGGCAAAGUGUUUGUCGCUAAGAACGGGUCAUUUCUUGAGAAAGUGUUUUUCUUGAAAGAAUUGAGUGGGAGGAAGAUAGAACUUGAUGAGGUUGUUGAACCAUUACUUCAACCAGAGAGUAGCGCAGCAAAGAAAGAUGUCUCUGUGGCACCUACGUCAGUUAAAGAGGAAGCUAGUGAUGAUGAUCAUGAAGCUUCGGAUCAAGUUACUGUUGAACCUUGUAGGUCGACAAGGGUACGUACAGCUUCUGAGUGGCACGGUAACCCUGUCUUAGAGGUCAUGUUGUUGGACAACGGUGAACCUACGAGCUAUGGAGAAGCGAUGGUGGGCCCGGCUCCCAACAAAUGGCUAGGAGCCUUGAAAUCUGAGAUAGGAUCCAUGUAUGAGAACAAAGUAUGGAUUUUGAUGGACUCGUGCGAUGAUUGGCAAGCCAUUGAGAAUAAAUGGAUCUUUGAGAAGAAGACAUACGUUGAUGGUAAUGUCACCAUUUAUGAAGCUCGACUUGUCGCAAAGAAGUUUCUGACAAGUUCAAGGAGUUGACUAUGAUGAGACUUUCUCACUCAUAGCGAUGCUAAAGUCUGUUGGAGUUAUGUUAGUAGUUGCUGCACUUUCAUUUACGAAAUCUAGCAGAUGGAUGUCAAAACAAAGUUUCCUUGACGGUUUUCGUGAGGAAAGGUUGUAUGUAUACAUCCAGAAGGUUUUGUUGAUCCUAAGGAUGCUAAAAGGUAUGCAAGCUCCAUCGAUCCUUCUAUGGACUGGAGCAAGCAUCUCGGAGUUGGAACAUACGCUUUGAUGAGGUGAUCAAAGCUUUUGGUUAUAUUAAAAGUUUGCAAGAAACUUGUAUUCACAAGAAAGUGAGUGGGAGCACUACAACAUUUCUGAUAAGUAUAUGUGGCUGACAUAUUGUUGAUCAGAAAUGAUGUAGAAUUUCUGGAAAGCAUAAAGGGUUGUUUGAAAUGAGUUUUUCAAAGGAAGACCUGGGUAAGUCUGCUUACAUAUUGGGCAACAAGAUCUAUAGAGAUAGAUCAAGACGCCUGAUAAGACUUUCAUAGAGCACAUACCUUGACAUGAUUUUGAAGGAGUUCAAAAUGGAUCAGUGAAAGAAGGAGUUCUUGCCUGAGUUGUAAGGUGUGAAGUUGAGUAAGACUCAAAGAUCGACCACGGCAGAAGAAAGAGAAAGGACGAAGGGUCGUCCCCUAUGCCUUAGCCAUAGUCUCUAUACGGUAUGCCAUGCUAUGUACCCCACCUGAGGUGUGCCUUGCCACGUGUCUGGCAAGGUGGUACAAGAGUGAUCGAGGAGUGGAUCACCAGACAAUGGUCAAAAUUAUCCUAGGAGGAAUAAGGAAAUGUUUCUUGGUUAUGGAGGUGAUAAAGAGUUUGGCGUAAAGGGUUACGUCGAUGCAAGCUUUAAAAACUAUCUGGAUGACUCUGAGUAGCAAACCGGAUACAUAUAGUGGAGCAGCCAUUUGGAAUAGCUCCAAGUGGAGCUUGGUAGCAGCAUCUACAAUAUGACAUAGAGAUUUGCGAAGUACACACAGAACUGAAUGUUGCAGACCCGUUGACUAAAACCUCUCUCACAAGCAUAACAUGAUCAAACCCUAUAACUCAUUGAGUGUUAAUCACAUGGUCAUGUGAACUAGAUUAUUGACUCUAGUAAACUCUUUGUGUGUUCGGCACAUGGCGAUGUGAACUGUGAGUCUUAAUCACAUGGCGAUGUGAACUAGAUUAUUGACUCUAGUGCAAGUGGGAGACUGUUGGAAAUAUGCCCUAGAGGUAAUAAUAAAUUGGUUAUUAUCAUAUUUCCUUGUUCAUGAUAAUCGUUUAUUAUCCAUGCUAGAAUUGUAUUGAUCGGAAACUCAGAUACAUGUGUGGAUACAUAGACAACAACGUGUCCCUAGUAAGCCUCUACCGGACUAGCUCAUUGUUCAAAGAUGGCUAUGGUUUCCUAGCCAUGUGCUACCUCUUGAGCACUGCAUUGGUUUUCACUUGAAGAGGAAAGGGUGAUGCAGCAAAGUAGCGUAAGUAUUUCCCUUGGUUUUUGAGAACCAAGGUAUCAAUCCAGUAGGAGGCUACACACAAGUCCCUCGUACCUACACAAACAAACAAGAACCUCGCAACCAACGCGAUAAAGGGGUUGUCAAUCCCUUCACGGCCACUUGCGAAAGUGAGAUCUGAUAGAGAUAAUAAGAUAAGAUAAAUAUUUUUGGUAUUUUUAUGAUAUAGAUUGAAAAGUAAAGAUUGCAAAAUAAAUUAGAUCGGAAACUUAUAUGAUAGAAAAUAGACCCAGGGGCCAUAGGUUUCACUAGUGGAUUCUCUCAAGAUAGCAUAAGUAUUACGGUGGGUGAACAAAUUACUGUCAAGCAAUUGAUAGAAAAGUGCAUAGUUAUGAGAAUAUCUAGGCAUGAUCAUGUAUAUAGGCAUCACGUCCGCGACAAGCAGAUCAAAACGAUUAUGCAUCUACUACUAUUACUCCACACAUCGACCGCUAUCCAUCAUGCAUCUAGAGUAUUAAGUUCAUAUGAACAGAGUAACGCAUUAGGCAAGAUGACAUGAUGUAGAGGGAUAAACUCAAGCAAUAUGAUAUAAACCCCAUCUUUUUAUCCUCGAUGGCAACAAUACAAUACGUGCCUUGCUGCCUCUGCUAUCACUGGGAAAGGACACCGCAAGAUUGAAUCCAAAGCUAAGCACUUCUCCCAUUGCAAGAAAGAUCAAUCUAGUAGGCCAAACCAAACUAAUAAUUUGAAGAGACUUGCAAAGAUAACCAAUCAGAGGAGAUUCAAAUAUUUCUCAUAGAUAAACUUGAUCAUAAACCCACAAUUCAUCGGAUCUCGACAAACACACCGCAAAAAGAGUUACAUCGAAUAUAUAUCCAAGAAGAUCGAGGAGAACAUUGUAUUGAGAUUCAAAGUGAGAGAAGAAGCCAUCUAGCUAAUAACUAUGGACCCGAAGGUCUGUGGUAAACUACUCACAACUCAUCGGAGAGUCUUUGCGUUGAUGUAGAAGCCCUCCAUGAUCGAUUCCCCCUACGGUGGAGCGCCGGAAAAGGCUCCAAGAUGGGAUCUCACGGGGACAGAAUGUUGCGGUAGUGGAAAUAGGGUUUUAUGGUGCUCCCGGAUGUAUUCAGGGUAUGCAAGUAUAUAUAGGCGAAGGAAGUCGGUCAAGGGAUCCACGAGGGGCCCACAAGGGUGGGGGCGCGCCCACCCCCCUAGGACGCGCCCUGGACCCUCGUGCCCACCUCGUUUACUUCUUGACGUCCACUCCAAGUCUCCUGGAUUGCGUUUGUUCAAAAAAUAUCUCUCCCGAAGGUUUCAUUCCAUUUGGACUCCGUUUGAUAUUCCUUUUCUUCGAAACACUGAAAUAGGCAAAAAAACAGCAAUUUGGGCUGGUCCUCCGGUUAAUAGGUUAGUCCCAAAAAUGAUAUAAAAGUGUAUAGUAAAGCCCAUAAACAUCCGAAACGGGUAAUAUAAUAGCAUGGAACAAUAAAAAAUUAUAGAUACGUUGGAUACAUAUCAAGCAUACCCAAGCUUAAUUCCUGCUCGUCCUCGAGUAGGUAAAUGAUAAAAACAGAAAUUUUGAUGUGGAAUGCUACCUAGCAUAUUUCUCAAUGUAAUUUUCUUUAUUGUGGCAUGAAUGUACAGGUCCAAAUGAUUCAAGAUAAAAGUUCAUAUUAACAUAAAAAUAGUAAUAGUUCAAGCAUACUAACAAGUAAUCAUGUCUUACCAAAAUAAUAUAGCCAAAGAAAGCUUAUCCCUACAAAAUCAUAUAGUUAGGCUAUGCUUCAUUUUCAUCACACAAAAUACUCCUAUCAUGCACAACCCCGGUUUCAGCCAAGCAAUUGGUUCAUAAUUUUUAACGCGCUUCAGCUUUUUUAACUCUCACGCAAUACAUGAGCGUAAGCCAUGGAUAUAGGACUAUGGGUGGAAUAGAAUAUGAUGAUGGAGGUUGUGUGGAGAAGACAAAAAAGGAUAAAAUCUCACAUUGACGAGGCUAAUCAACGGGCUAUGGAGAUGCCCAUCAAUUGAUGUCAACAUGAGGAGUAGGGAUUGCCAUACAAUGGAUGCACUAGAGCUAUAAAUGUAUGAAAGCUCAACAAAAGAAACUAAGUGGGUGUGCAUCCAACUCGCUUUCUCACGAAGACCUAGGGCAUUUUGAGGAAGCCUAUCAUUGGAAUAUGACUCUAAUAAUGAAGAUCAUCACACUUUUAUUUAUUUACAACUCAAGAAUUACAACUCAAUACUUAGAACAAAAUAUGACUCUAUGUGAAUGCCUCCAGCGGUGUACCGGGAUAUGCAAUGAAUCAAGUGACAUGUAUGAGAGAAUUAUGAAGGUGGCCUUGCCACAAAUACGAUGUCAACUACAUGAUGGAACAUGUCAUAAUAACGGAAUGGUGGAAGGUUGCAUGACAAUAUAUCUCGGAAUGGCUAUGGAAAUGCCAUAAUAGGUAGGUAUGGUGGCUGUUUUGAGGAAGAUAUAAGGAGGUUUAUGUGUGAUAGAGCUUAUCGUAUCACGGGGUUUGGAUGCACCGGCGAAGUUUGCACCAACUCUCAAGGUGAGAAAGGGUAAUGCACGGUACCGUAGAGGCUAGCAAUGAUGGAAGGGUAAGAGUGUGUAUAAUCCAUGGACUCACAUUAGUCAUAAAGAACUCAUAUAAUUAUUGCAAAAGUUAUUUAUCCCUCGAAGCAACGUACUACUAUGCAUGCUCCUAGGGGAAUGGUUGGUAGGAGUUAACCAUCGCGCGAUCCCGACCUCCACUCACAAGGAAGGCAAUCAAAGAGCACCCCAUGCUACAAAUUUGUUACAUAAAUUUUACCAUACGUGCAUGCUACGGGACUUGCCAACUUUAAAACAAGUAUUUCUCAAUUUCAUAAUUACCCAACUAGCAUGACUCUAAAUUACCACCUUUAUAUCUCAAAAAAAUUAUCAAGCAUCAAAUUGAUCAUAGCAUCCAAUGCACUUUAUGUGAUAGUUUUUAUUAUACCCAACUUGGAUGCCCAUCAUACUAGGACCAAUUUUAUAACCAUAGCAAAUACCAUGCUGUUCUAAAAGACUCUCAAAAUAAUAUAAGUGAAGCAUGAGAGAUCAACAAUUUCUACAAAAUAAAACCAUCGCCGUGCUCUAAAAAUAUAUAAGUGAAGCACUAGAGCAAAAUUGUCUAGCUCAAAAGAUAUAAGUGAAGCACAUAGAGUAUUCUAAUAAAUUCUGAUUCAUGUGUGUAUCUCCCAAAAGGUGUGUACAUCAAGGAUGACUAAAAUCAAAUACUCAUAUCAUACAAGACGCUCCAAGGAAAACACAUAUUAUGUGAUGAAUAAAAAUAUAGCUCCAAGUAAAGUUACCGAUAGACGAAGACGAAAGAGGGGAUGCCUUCCGGGGCAUCCCCAAGCUUAGGCUUUUGGUUGUCCUUGAAUUACCUUGGGGUGCCUUGGGCAUCCCCAAGCUUAGGCUCUUGCCACUCCUUAUUCCAUAGUCCAUCAAAUCUUUACCCAAAACUUGAAAACUUCAGAACACAAAACUCAACAGAAAAUCUCAUAAGCUCCGUUAGUGCAAGAAACCAAACCACCACUUUAAGGUAAUGUAAUGAACUCAUUAUUUAUUUAUAUUGGUGUUAAACCUACUUUAUUCCAACUUCACUAUGGUUCAUACCCCCCGAUACUAGCCAUAGAUUCAUCAAAAUAAGCAAACAACACACGAAAAACAGAAUCUGUCAAAAACAGAAUAGUCUGUUCUAAUCUGUAACUUUAGAAUACUUAUGGAACUCUAAAAAUCCUACCAAAAUAGGAAGUCCUAGGAAAUUUGUCUAUUGAUCUACUGCAAAAAGAAUCAACUAAAAAUAACGUUUAUGUGAUUUAUUAACAUUAUUCUCGUGCAUGCAAAAGUUUCUGUUUUUCAGCAAGAUCAAAUUAACUAACACCGUAGGUUGUCCUAUAGGUUCUACUUGGCACAAACACUAAUUAAAACAUAAAACCACAUCUAAAAAGAAGCUAGAUGAAUUAUUUAUUACUAAACAGGAGCAAAAAGCAAGGAACAAAAAUAAAAUUGGGCUGCCUCCCAACAUGCGCUAUCGUUUAACGCCCCUAGCUAGGCAUAAAAGCGAGAAUAGAUCUAAGUAUUGCCAUCUUUGGUAUUCAAUUCAUAAGUGGCUCGCAUAAUAGAUUCAUAAGGUAAUUUGAUUUUCUUUCUAGGAAAUUUUUCCAUGCCCUUUCUUAAUGGAAAUUGGAAUCUAAUAUUUCCUUCCUUCAUAUCAAUAAUUGCACCAAUCGUUCUAAGGAAAGGUCUACCAACAAUAAUAGGACAUGAAAGAUUGCAAUCUAUAUCAAGAACGAUAAAAUCUACGGGCACAUAAUUCCUAUUUGCAACAAUAAGAAUAUCAUUAAUCCUUCACAUAGGUUUCUUAAUAGUGGAAUCCGCAAGGUGCAAGUUUAAAGAGCAAUCAUCAAAAUCGCAGAAACCUAACACAUCACACAAAGUUUUUGGAAUCGUGGAAACACUAGUACCCAAAUCACACAAAGCAUAGCAUUCAUGAUCUUUAAUUUUAAUUUUAGUAGUAGGUUCCCACUCAUCAUAAAGUUUUCUAGGCAUAGAAACUUCCGGUUCAAGUUUCUUCUUCAUAAGAUUGCAUCAAAGCAUCAACGAUAUGUUUGGUAAAAGCUUUAUUUUGACUAUAAGCAUGAGGAGAAUUUAACACGGAUUGCAACAAGGAAAUACAAUCUAUUAAAGAGAACUUGUCAUAAUUAAAUUCCUUGAAAUCCAAAAUAGUGGGUUCAUUGCUAUGUAAAGUUUUGACCUCUCCAAUCCCACUUUUACCAAAUUUAGCAUCAAGAUCUAAAAACUAAAUGCAAUUCACUGACACCGGAGGAAUACCUUGUGUGUACCAAACGUCGCAACAUAACUGGGUGACUAUAAAGGUGCUCUACAUGUAUCUCCGAGGGUGUCUGGUGAGUUGGCAUGGAUCAAGACUGGGAUUUGUCACUCCGUAUGACGGAGAGGUAUCUCUAGGCCCUCUUGGUAAUACAACAUCACAAGAAGCUUGCAAGCAAUGUGACUAAUGAUUUAGCCACGGGAUCUUGUAUUACAGAACGAGUAAAGAGACUUGCCGGUAACGAGAUUGAACUAGGUAAGGAGAUAUCGACGAUCGAAUCUCGGGCAAGUAACAUACUGAUAGACAAAGGGAACUUCAUACGGGAUUAGCUGAAUCCUUGGUCCCACUAUUGGUUAUUGAUCGUAGAGGUGUCUCGGUCAUGUCUGCAUAGUUCUCUAACCCGGAGGGUCUACACACUUAACGUUUGGUGACGAUAUAAGUAUAGUUGAGUCAUUAUGGUGGUUACCGAAGGUUGUUCGGAGUCCUGGAUGAGAUCUUGGACAUGACGAGGAACUCCGGAAUGGUUCGCAGGCAAAGAUCGAUAUAUUGGAUGAAGGAUAUUGGAGUCCGGAAUUGUUCCGGGGGUACCUGGUGAUGACCAGCAUGACCGAAAGAGGUUUCGCGGGGCCCCGACAAGUGUUGGGUGAUACAUCUCCAACAUAUCUAUAAUUUUUGAUUGUUCCAUGCUGUUAUAUUAUCAUUCUUGUAUGUUUUAAAAUCAUUUUGUAGUCAUUUUAUAUCAUUUUUGGGUACUAACCUAUUGACAUAGUGCCCAGUGCUAGUUGCUGUUUUCUGCAUGUUUUUUUACAUCGCAGGAAAUCAAUACCAAACGAAGUCCAAACACAGCGAAACUUUUUGAGGAUUUUUUUGGGCCAGAAGACAUCCAAUGGGCCAGGAAAGCACCUGGGGGUGCUCUGAGGGGAGCACAACCCACCAGGGCGUGCCUGGAGGCCCAAGCGCGCCCAGGUGGGUUGUGCCCACCUCGGGUGCCCCGUGAACCGCCUCUUUGCUCUAUAAAUACCCCAAUAUUUUAGAAAUCCUAGGGGAGUCAAUGAAAAUCAAUUCCAGCCACCGCAGAUUCCAGAAACACCAGAUCCAAUCUAGACACCAUCUCGGAGGGGUGCAUCAUGUCCAUUGUUGCCUCUCCGAUGAUGCGUGAGUAGUUCUUUCUAGACCUAUGGGUCCGUAGUUAGUAGCUAGAUGGCUUCCUCUCUCUCUCUUGAUUAUCAAUAAAAUGGUCUCUUGGAGAUCCAUAUGAUGUAAGUUUUUUGCGGUGUGUUUGUUGGGAUCCGAUGAACUUUUAGUUUAUGAUCAAAUCUAUGUUUUUAUCCAUGAAAGUUAUUUGAGUCUUCUUUGAUCUCUUAUAUGCAUGAUUGAUUAUAGCCUCGUAUUUCUUCUCCGAUAUUUGGGUUUUUUUGGCCAACUUGAUCUAUUUAUCUUGCAAUGGGAAGAGGUGCUUUGUGAUGGGUUCGAUCUUACUGUGCUUGAUCCCAGUGACAGAAAGGGAAAUGACACAUAUGUAUCAUUGCUAUUAAGGAUAACAAGAUGGGAUCUAUUUCUACAUAAAUAGAUCUUGUCUACAUCAUGUCAUCGUUCUUAUUGCAUUACUCCAUUUCUCCAUGAACUUAAUACACUAGAUGCAUGCUGGAUAGCGGUCGAUGUGUGGAGUAAUAGUAGUAGAUGCAGGCAGGAGUCGGUCUACUAAUCUUGGACGUGAUGCCUAUAUAAUGAUCAUUACUUGGAUAUCGUCAUGAUUAUUUGAAGUUCUAUCAAUUGGCCAACAGUAAUUGUUUUCCCACCGUUUGCUAUUUUUCCCGAGAGAAGCCACUAGUGAAACCUAUGGCCCCCAGGUCUCUUUUGAUCAUGUUUGCCUUUGCGAUAUAUUUUCCUUUGCAUUUAUUUUCAUAUCUAUUAAACCAAAAUACAAAAAAUAGCUUGCUGCAAUUUAUUUGUUCCGUGAUCUAUUUAUCCUAUUUACCACUUUUAUCUCACGUUAUUUGCCUAUCUUGAGGCGUCGUACCCGAAAGGGAUUGACAACCCCUUUAACACGUCGGGUUGCGAGUAUUUGUUAUUUGUGUGCAGGUGCCUUUUACGUGGUGGUCUCAUCACUGAGGGAAAUACCUAUUGUCUCUAUACUGCAUCAUCCCUUCCUCUUUGGGGAAAUACCAACGUAGUUCUAGCACACAUCAAAAGGAAUUUAUGGCGCUGUUGCCGGGGAGGAUCUUCAACAUCAACCAGGUUCCUUAUCACAAAUCUCAUCUCCUCGCGAUUUACAUUAUUUGCCAUUUGCCUCUCGUUUCCUCUCUCCACUUCACAAAUUUGCCGUUUUAUUCGCCCUCUUUUUCGCUCGCCUUUUUCUUGUCAGAUCUCUUGUUUGCUUGUGUGACCAUGUGUCUUCUAUUGGCUUGCAUCUUUGCUUGUUAAAAAUCUAUUGAUAUGGAUCCUCAUCCACUAGCUAAUAUUUUUGAGAGAUCUAAUUAUGUUGAACCAGUUGCUAGUGAUUUGAGUGCACUUGAUUAUCUCUAUGAAGUUUUGCUUGAAAUUCGUGAAUCUGAAAAUUGUGAUGAAGUGCUUAAAGAAGAAAUUUAUGAAGUGAUUCACGAUAGCUCCUUGAAUAAAAAGCAUGAUUGCAAUGGCGUUAGUAUAAAUUCUAUUAAUGUCAAUUGUGCCAAUGUUAUGCAAAACCCCAAGCUUGGGGAUGCUAAUGUUUCUAUGUCCACUAAUUAUUGUAAUGAUCAUGAUUGGGGUGAUUCUUCUUAUGAUCUUGAAAAUUUAUUUAAGCCUCAUGAUGAAUAUGCUAUUGAUAAUAAUUGUCAGUGUACAGAAGUAGGGGUUCUACUUUGUACCCCUUUACCUAUGCACGGGCAGCCAGAGCCACGGCCACGGCCACACUUAGCAGGGCAAGUAUGGGAAGCCGAAGCCACCAGAUGAUCAAAGGAACGCCAAGACAGAGACACGAAGAGAAGGAGGGUGAGGUGGACUCCCCCGGCAAGACCCUUGCUGGGGUGGCCUCCACGGCCCUGGCAAGGACCUUGCCGGGGACAGCUUGCCAAACCCUAGUGGAGCGCCACCCUUGAGCCCGAGGUUUCCAAUACCAACAAACACAUUGGAACCAAGGCGCGGGAGGUGCCUCCAUGGUGGCAUGCAGAUCUUUGUGAAGAUCAUUAACACACAAUAUCAGGUAAGGACCAGAAGACGAGACCUCCGGCAACAUCCUUGCUGGGACGACCGCAGUGCCAUGGCAAGACCCUUGCCCCCCCGGCAAGACCCUUGCCGAGGACAUCAGCAAGGCCACGGCCAGGCCCACACGCGUCAAGACCCCACCGCCGUUCACAUGCAGCUGCCAGCCCAGCCAGGCAGGCGGGCACCUGUGUGGCGACGUGCCGUCCCGAGGCCAACUCAGCAAGCACCUGCGUUGUGGCAUGCAGAUCUUCGUGAAGACGCUGCCACCGCGCCACCUCAGCUGCCUGCCAGCCUACAUGGCGCUACCCACCCCGCUGGCCUGCGCGCGUGUCGAAGCAGGGCAAGGCGGUGAUAAAACAGGGGGACACCUCAGAGGUGCAUUUAAUGCAUCUUGUCCCGUAAUGGCAAGUGAUAAACAUAGCUACUGCACCCUUUCCACCUCCUGUCACUACAAAAGAAAGACACAUCCAUGACAUUUUGGGCCGAACGAAUUUUUUCUGUCAUACUUAUGACACUUCUAUGAAGAUAAUUGUGACAAAACCUGGUAUCAUCACAGAUGUGGUGGGCUCCUACUUCUAUGACAAAAAAUCAUGACAAAAAUGGGCUUUUUGUCCUGGGCGGGCCGGAGACGCGGCUGCAUGACAUUCUUUGGGCCGUCCAUGACGGAAAAAAUCGUGGUAGAAGAGAGGGCGAGGAAAAUAUCGGGGUGUUCCCGGUUACGAUGGGUGGUCGGGGCCGAGCGAUGCGCGUUUCUCUCGUACAUGUAUGCACGUGGGUGCGAGGCGUUGGGCUGUAACUGAACCCGAGCAAGGCGUUCACCUAUACUGAACCCGAGCAAGGCGUUCACCUAUACUGAACCCGAGCGAUUGCACUGCAGACUACGCGUUACUGAACCCGAGCGAUCGAUCGAUGCAUGGCUCUUAACUGAACCCGAUCGAGCGGUUCCUUCACUACUGCUGCUAACUAGAGCCGAUCGAUGCUGCCUCUGGAUGAACAGUGAGUAUUGCGAGGGGGGUGGAUGAACAGUGAGCGAUGGGGGUGGAGGAACAAGACCCCGUGGUGUUGCCUCUAGAUGAACAGGACCCUGAUCGAUCGAGCCGGUUGGGGCUGGAUGAACCGGACCCCGUGGAGGGUUGGAUGAACAGGAGGACCCCGUGGAGGGUUGGAUGAACAGUAGAUGGUGGAGGGGUGGAUGAACAGUAGCCCGUGGAGGGGUGGUUGAACAGGAGCCCGUGGAGAGGGGUGGUUGAAUAGUAGCUGGUGGAGUAGCGCGCAGUGGAGGCUGGAUGAACAGGAGCCUGUGGAUGAACAGUCGUAGGUGGAGGCUGGAGGAGGUCGACGGUGGACGAACAGUAGCCCGUGGAGGCUGGAGGAGGUCGACGGUGGAGAUGAACAGUAUCCCAUGGAGUCCCUUUUGCGGUACCCCACACCCCUCCCAAUGAACAGGACCCCCGUUUCGACCAUAGUGCUCCAACACAAGUCCGUUUCCUCCGUUUUGUGGGACGCCACACCCCUCCCGAUCAGCAAGACCCCGUUUCGACUUUAGGAGGUCCAACACAAGUCCGUUUCCUCUGUUUUGCAGUACGCCAGACCCCUCCUGAUGAACAGGACCCCGUUUCAAACGUGGACGGUCGAACACAAGGCCGUUUCCUCCAUUGUGCGGUACGCCAGGCCUCGUUUCCAUCACCUGUUCCAUCCAAGCCCUCCCGAUGAACACUGUUGGCGUCCUGGAAACGGGGGUCCCCAUACUUGCCUGCAUGUGGCCUGCAGUGUAGCUCAACUAGUGGCCCAGUACGGCCCGUCUUCAUCAACAAACGCUCAAGACCCUCGCGAUGGGCCAAGCCUCAUGGGGUGGACGGUGCAAGGCCUCCUUAGGGGCGGCCUCACCAGGCAGGCUCGCGAGGAGGCAGAGAGAUCAAGGCAAGGGGUACCUCGCGAGGUGCUCAUGAUGCAAGCCAUGAAGAUCAAGACCAGGCGGGCGCCAGCCUGCGCAGUGUCCUCAUUUCCCCUUUGGUGCAAAGGGGGCAAGCGCAGGCACGGAGUACCGAGGCAUCAGGCAAAGGUUUCCAUAUUGGUGCAACGAGACCAAGACCAACAGAGCGGCGGGACGGAGGUCACCGUGGAGCCCAAGACAGCAUCAUCACCAGUGUCUUUGGCAGUCGAAGACCACCUUUAGUCCGGAUAGCUUGUACUAGUUGUCCCCUUUCAAAAUGGCCGUUGUUGGCUCUCUUCCCGUUCAAUAUUUGGGAAGAGGACCUGGGCCUCUAUAAAUAGAGAUAGCUACAACAAUAGAAGACGGGUUAAGUUCAUCCACAUACGACCACCACAAGAACACCUCUCGCGAGGCUGUUCUUCCUCUGUAUUGUUCAUCAUCAGCCCAAGAGGCAAUCCACCACACCACACACAGGAGUAGGGUAUUACACCACAACGGUGGCCCAAACCUGUAUAAAUCUUGUGUCUGUUGUGUUGUUCAUCGUGUUAGCUUAGAUUCGCGGCGAGGUUUUGGGACGUGAAUCGGUAGGGAGAAGAUCUUCGUGCGCACCCCAGAGUUCGAACCUUAAGGGUUUUGCCGGAACCCGAUAUCCAACAUUUGGCGCGCCAGGUAGGGGUGCGCCAGAGCUCUCCCUUCCAUUGACCCGCUCUCCACCAACACUGCGCCUCGCCCUGAUAGUGAACAACACGCCACCGGCUCCGGUGGCCAACACUAGCGCGGGGGGCAGGGGGCUCCGAGCCUUGGCCCCCGCCUUGCGACAGGUGUAGUGGCCGCACAAGUUCAAGCCAGAGAUGCCGCCGCGCUACGACAAUGCGGUGGACCCGCUGGCUUUCCUGCUGGCAUAUGAAGAGGCCGUCCUCAAGGCCGGAGGCGACGACAAGGUCAUGGCCAACUGGUUUCCGAUGGCCCUCACCAGCGUCCCACGUGUUUGGCUGCUCCACUUGCCAACAUCUUCUAUGGCCUCGUGGGAGGAGCUGCGCAACAUCUUCCUCACCCACUACGUUGCGCCGGCGCCCCCGGUCGUCGUAGCUCUCCUGGGCGGCUUGCAGGCGCCACCUUCCAGCCGCCACGUCAAGCCAUUCGUCCGCCAGAUCGGCACCGCCCUCACACGGGAGGGAGCUCCUCCGGGUUGGGCGGCACCCAAGGCUGACCUGACCUUCAACUCGGACGAUCACCCCGUCAACAUCGCUUGCUCGGGUGCGCUCCCAAUGCUUUGCACACCCACCAUCUGCCAGGUUAUGUCGGAUAUCGGGUUCCGGCAAAACCCUUAAGGUUCGAACUCUGGGGUGCGUGUGAAGAUAUUCCCCCUACCGAUCCACGUCCCAACGCCUCGCUGAGAAUCUAAGAUAAACGAUGAACAACACGAGGGACACAAGAUUUAUACUGGUUCGGGCCACCGUUGUGGUGUAAUACCCUACUCCAGUGUGUGGUGUGGUGGAUUACCUCAGGGGCUGAUGAUGAAUAGUACAAGGGAAGAACAGCCUCGCGAGAGGUGUUCUUGUGGUGGUGAUUUGAGAAGGAUUCGAUCCGCUCUCAAUGGCUCUGGAUCAGAUCCUGAUGAUAUGUCCCUCUACUGUGGUGGCUAGCCCUAUUUAUAGAGGCCCUGGUCCUCUUCCCAAAUAUUGAGCAGGAAGGGCGCCAACAAUGGCCAUUUUGAAGGGGAACAUCUAGUACAAGUUAUCCUGACUAAAGUUGGUCUUCGGCUGCCAAAGGCACUGGCGAUGACGCCGUCUUGGGCUCCACGGUGACCUCCGUCCUGCCGCUCUGUGGUCUUGGUCUAGUUGUACCAAAAUGGUAACCUUUGCUUGAUGCCUCAGUACUCCGUGCCUGCGCUUGCCCCCUUUGCACCAAAGAGGAAACAAGGACACUGCGUAGGCCGGCGCCCGCCUGGCACCCGCCUGGUCUUGGUCAUCAUAUCUUGCGUCACGAGCACCUCGUGAGGUACCCCUGCCUUGAUCUCUUCACCUCCUCGCAAGCCUGCCUGGUGAGGCUGCUCCUGAGGAAGCCUUUCGUCGUCCGCCCCGUGAUGCUUGGCCCCUCGCGAGGGUCUUGAGCUUGAGUUGAUAAAGAUGGGCCGUACUGGGCCACCACUUGAGCCACACCGCAGGCCGCAGGCAGGCAAGUCUGGGGACCCCCAUUCCCAAAACGCCGACAGUAGCCCCCGGGCCCAAGGCACGCUCGGACUUGGCUUAGCAGAGAAGCGAAAGGGCAAGUGCGAAGCAUCGGGGGCCCCACAGCCUGCGGCCUUGGUCACCGCGGGGCGGUUGAUUGGACGUGGGCGUCCCUGCUUCCCCACGCUGCCUCGGCAACUGCCCGACUUGAGAAGUCCCUGCAUGCAAAAAUGAGUCAUGAUUACCUGCGAUCGUGGCUGCCGACGAUUGGCCUCCUCUAGGCUAUAAAUGCGAGGGGGGCACGAGCCCCCGCAGUCCAUCUCUUCCUACUCCGCUCCUUCUUCCUUGCUCCUCCCCCAUCUGCUUGCUAUGUCCCAUGGCGCCUACGAAGAGGUUCUCGGCCGUAGAGAAGGGGAAGGCUCGCCAGGAAGGACCUGGCUCUCCUCCGCCCAAGCGCGGCCGAGGCCAUCCCCGCAAGCACCCCGCGACUCCCGCAUUGGCCGCCCAUGGUCGCGGAGGUCUUUUGCAUGGUGAAGGUCGCUCGAUUGGCGGGGGAAGAUGCGCCCUGGCUGCGCGGCCUCCCCACCCACGCUUUCACUCGGCUAAGGUGCUGCCAGAGUUUGUCGUUUGGUUGGCGGAUCCGACCGGCAAUUGGAUUCAGCUCCCGCUCUUCUUCGCUGGCGAACUGCCGGCAGGUGCCACUGGUGGGCUCUGGCUUCAGGCGGACGGCUACUGCAGCAGAGCCUCCUGGGUCACGGUGGAGGUCUCCGUCGCUGGGAACGUGGCCUUGGCUCGCGGCUCGCAGAGGUUUGCCCGCGCGCGUGACCUGGGCCGGCAACGCACCCUGCAUUUCAAGUUUGACGGUGAUGCCACCCUCUACGUGAGGGUGUUCGGAGAGGACGUCCGUCGUGUCGGGUGCUACCCUGAAGAUGAUUAUGGAGACUGGGUGCUUAGCCUCGGCGACGGCCGUGAUGAAGACGAAGGCGGGCCCAUUCCUGGAGGCAUUCGUAGCUCGCCAAGCUUCAGCGGCUCCACCUCUGAUGACAGCUCCUCCAGCAGCGGUCGUGAUCAACCACCGCGCCGCAGCGCUCGCUUUGAGGGGGGUAGCGGGUCAUCCCGUCGUCGCGCCUCGGUGAAGCGUGAGGAGGGGUCUGAUUGAGCUCGGGAGGGCGGUGUGAAUCCCCCUCCACGAGCCAUCGCCAGGCAGGCCCCGUUUAUUUUGUUUUUCUCCUUUUCCUGCAUAGAGAGAGAGAGAGAAGUGUGGAGCCCCGCGGGGGUGUGCUGGACUGUUGCCUUUAAUUAUAAUGCUAUUUCCAUUAUUUCCAUGCCAUGCUACGGUAUUGCGUGCUCAUGCGUAGGAACAACUUAGCUUGGGGGGCUCGCUGCAGUUUUCGCCUCCUCGCAAGGCUCCUGCCUGAGGCCUCGUCGAGUGUCUUGAGGCUUGCAAAAAUUAACUGGACGGAUAGCUUUUGAACCCUUGUCGCGAGGGUGACCGGCCCAGGUCCUACGUUCGUGUCGCAAUGCCCGUGGGGCAUGGACCGGGAGGAGCGCUCCCGCUGUGAACUUGAGUAGGGAAGCCUCAUGAAAUUAGGUCAGAAGAUACUCGCGAGGGCGCCCGCGCAGCCCCCUCGUGAGGCUUGCAGAAGAGAAGUCGAGUCAGGCGAGCAACAAAAAUAGAGAAUCACGGGCAGGGGACAGCAAACAACACCAAAAGUAACUCCAAUAAAGUUUUGAACAAGGGUGAACAAGCCAACUACAGAAAGCAAAUGAAAACCGCGUCCAGCACCUAAUCUAGUCUCCGACGUCUUCUCACCAGCAUGGAGCUAAGUGCUACCACUGGGCGUGGGCGGGAGCCCCCGAGGCCCGAGGGCGGCACUCCGGAGACUCCGGGGCGUGUACAUCCCCAACUCAUUAUUACGUGAGAGUGUCACGGGCGGCGAGCUUCACAGGCAUUGGCCUUCUUCACAGGCACCGGGCCUUUUCUCGGGGCGAUGAGCUUCACAGGCACUAGGCCUUCUUCACAGGCACCGGGCCUUACUUCAAGGGUAAAAUCUCCGCAGGUGCUGAAUGUUCCACGCAUUCGGGACGAGCACCCCCUCCUGGGUCUCCAAGCGCGCGGCGCCAGGUCUGGAAACAUGAACAACCUUGAACGGGCCCUCCCACAUGGGCGAGAGCUUGUGCAGCCAUUCCCUAGAGAGCACCCGCCUGAGCACGAGGUCACCUACCUCGAGAGUCCUGGGGCAGAUGUUGCGGCAAUGGUACCGUCGUAGUGCAUGUUGGUAUCUUGCCGCCCGAAGCGCGGCCUCCCGACGGUGUUCCUCCCCCAGCACAAGAUCCAUCCCCCGCAUGGCGUCCUGCCACGCUUCGUCAAACGCCAGGACCCGCGCGGAGCGACACUUGACCUCGUGAGGGAGGACAGCCUUUGCUCCGUAGACGAGGAAGAACGGGGUUUCGCCGGUUGACUUGGUAGCGGUCGUGCGGAUGGACCACAGCACGGACUGGAGCUCGUCGUACCAACCCCUGCCAUAGGCCUCCAGCUUCUUCUUGAAGGUCCUAGUUUUGAGGCCUUUCAGGACCUCCGCGUUGGCACGUUCGGCCUGGCCAUUGCUCCGAGGGUGUCCCACCAAAGCGUAGCAUAUCUGCGUUCCAAGGUUAGCACCCCGAAACGUUGUUUUGAAGAGAUUGCUGGUGAACUGCGAAACGUUGUCGGUGAUGAUGCGAUUAGGCACCCCGAACAGGCUCACGAGGCCCUUGAUGAACUUGAUUGCUGAACCAGCUGGGAUGGUGCGGACAGCUUCCACUCUGCCCACUUGGUGAACUUGUCAAUGGCGACGUAGAGGUAGCGAUAGCCCCUGGCGCCCGGGGAAAUGGGCCCAAAAUGUCCAGCCCCCAAAAUGCGAAUGGCCAUGAGAGUGGAAUGAUCUGCUUGGCAUGGAAUUGACAGGCUUCACAAGCCCUCACCAGCUCGAUUGCGUCAUUGAGUGCUGCAGGCCGAUAGAAUCCGCUAUGAAACGCCUUGCUGAUGAGGGUCUAUGAAGACGAGUGGUACCCGCAGUCUCCACCGUGAAUGUCUGCCAGCAACUCUUUCCCCUACUCCGUGGAGAUGCAACAUAGGAAAACAUCAUUUGGCCGCUUCAGGUAGAACUCUCCGUCUUGGAUGCAGUAGGCCGUGGCCUGCCGCGCCACACCUUCUACGUCCUCCUCCUUCUCUGGCAGAGUCCCUUGCAUUAGGUAAUCCUUGAGUUACGCAGUCCAACAUCCCUCUUGAGGCUCCAGCACCAGGAGCAAGCAUGCUCCUGAGGUCGGGCCACAGGCCGGAGCUCCUGAGGCAGGUGGUUGAGGGAGUUCCUCCCGAGGCUAUGCUGCACUUGAUAGUGGCGGUGCUGCUGAGAGCUUGAAGAGUCAUUCCUCGAAGACACCGGGCUCUUGAGGCAGUCACCUGGACGCCCUCCUGGUGAUGUCAUUAGCCUCUUAAUUGGUGCUGUGUGGCAUAUGCUGCAACUCCAACCCCCAGAACUUCUUUUCCAUUAUGCGGACCUCCACGAGAUACGCUUCCAUGUGUUCAUCCUUCGGCUCAUACACCUUGUUGGAGAAGUUGACGAGGAGCUGUGAAUCACCCUUGAUGAUGAGGCGCUUUACCCUCAAGGCCACUGCGGCCUUCAAGCCUGCUAUCAGGCCCUCGUAUUAUGCUAUGUUGUUGGAGACCUUCUCUCCAUGCUAGAAAUAGAGUUGUACGGUGUAAUAGAGCUUGUCCUGAGUGGGAGAUAUAAGCACUGCGCCAGCCCCCGGGCCAUGUCGCGAGAACGCUCCGUUGAAGUACAUGACCCAGCCGUCCGGCGCCUCACUUCCUGGGGAAAGUGACCGAUCUUCGCCUGCCUCGAGCCCUGGCGCCUCUGUCCAUUCUGCCACAAAAUCUGCAAGUGCGGCUCCUUUGAUGACCCUCGUCGUGCUGAAUUCCAACUGAAACGCUUGCAACUCGAUGUUCCAUUCGGCGACCCUUCCCGCUGAAUUGGGACUCCUGAGUACCCUUUCCAAUGGAUAUGCCGAGACGACCUUGAUGGGGUGACCUUGAAAGUACUGUUGUAGCUUGCGCGACGCCACUAAUAGAGCGAGCAAGAGCUUCUGAGGCAUGGGGUAUCGUGCCAUCGCAUCCCGCGGCAUCGUGCUAAUGAAAUACACUGGGUGCUCGACGAGGGUAGGCAUGCUGGUGAGGUCGGUGCCUUCUGAGGGGUCAGGCGCCUCCUAAGACGAUGGAGUCCCCAGCCCCUGGCUGCCUGGUGCGGCCUCUUCGGCCCUGGGGGCGUCCCCCUGUUGAGGCUGGCAUCCAUCUGCUGCGGUCGUGGUCUUCGCGAGGCCUUCUUAGUUUUGCACUGUCGUGGCCGGGGCUGUGGCCGAUCGUGGCGCAGCUUUGACCUGGUGCUCCUCCCGUACUGCCACUAGAGCUGUACUGGCGGAGUAGGGUGUGGCGGCGAGGUAGAGCACCAAGGGAUCUCGAGGGCAUGGAGCCACCAUCACCGGAGGGCUGGUCAGGUACUUCCUGAGGUCUUGGAACACUUUGUCGGCCUCUUGAGUCCAUUCGAAUGGACCCUUCUUCUUCAUCAGCUUGAAAAAGGGCAGGGCACGUUCCCCCAGCUUGGAGAUGAAGCGCCCCAACGCGGUUACUCGCCCAGUGAGCUUCUGCAUUUCCCUGAGGGUUUGCGGUGGACUCAUGUCUUCGACUGCCUUGACCUUCUCCGAGUUAGCCUCUAUACCUCUGUGGGACACAAGGAAGCCCAGAAGCUUGCCAGAAGGAACACCGAACACGCACUUCUCCGGGUUGAGCCGUAGGUCCACCUCGCGAAGGCUCGUGAAGGUUUCUUCCAGGUCCUGAAUCAGGGUUUUAGCCUCCCGAGACUUCACCAUGAUGUCGUUGAUGUAUGCGUCGGCGUUUCUCCAGAGUUGCCGGCCCAAGGUGAUAUGCAUCAGCCGCUGAAAGGUUGCGCCUGCAUUGCGCAACCCGAACGGCAUGCAGGUGUAGUAGUACACCCCGCACGGGGUCAGGAAGGUCAUUUUCUCCACGUCUUCUACCGCCAUCUUGAUUUGGUGAUAGCCAGAGAAGUCAUACAGGAAGCACAACAUGUCGCACUCGGCGGUGGAAUCGACGAUCUGGUAAAUGUGGGGGAGCGGGAACGGGUCUUGAGGGCAGGCUUUGUUGAGGUUGGUGAAGUCAACGCACAUGCGCUCCUCCCCCCCCUACUUUGGCACAACAACAGGGUUGGCCAGCCAUUCAGGAUAGCGAACUUCGCGAAUGACACCCGUAGCUUCAAGCUUACGGGUUUCUUGGAUGAUGAAGGCCUGCUUCUCGGUGGACUGUCGCCUUGCCUUCUGCUUCACGGGGCGCAUGUUGGGGCACACAUUCAGAUGAUGCUCAAUCACCUCCCUUGGAACCCCCGCUAGCUACUUGGGUUCCCACGCGAACUCCUCCUUGUUCGCGCGCAGGAACUUAACCAAGUCCUCUUCUUGUUCGGGCUUGAGAUUGGCACCUAUGGUGAAGGUGGCACCGGAGGAUCCAUCCUAAUCGACUGGCACUUGCUUGGUUUCUGCCUUGUCUUUGGUGAACAGCUGCUUCUUCUUGGUUAGCGCAGCCCCCUUGGCCUCGAGAGUGCCAGCGCUGGCGGGCUACGCCAUGGCGGCUGCCUUGAGGGCGAGCCUGAGUGCCCACAGGGCAUCUUUUGUAUCUCCAGACACGGUGAGGACGCCACUGCUCCCGGGCAUCUUCAUGAGGUUGUAGGUCAGGUGAGUCUCUGCCAUGAACUAGGCUAAGACAAGGUAGCCAAGGAUGGCCUUGUACGGGAGGCCGAUGGGGGCGAUGUCGAAGUCGAUCAGCUCUGUGCGGAAGUUGUCGUGGGUGCCAAAGGUCACCGGGAGGCGGAUCUGCCCCAGGGAGCCGGUGGAACUGCCUCCAGCGCUCGAGAAGGGCUUCCUAGGUUGGAGUCGCUCCAGCGGCACGUGUGCAAGUUCAAGUGGAGCAUCACGAAGAGAUCAAGUGCUUGAAUCUUGCCAUCCAUUGUGGUGUCAAUGGACUUGUGAAGAUGUGCCUAAGAGUGGCUCAACCAUACUAGACUAUGGGAGAGCAAUCAUCUAGUCUUCAUCGAGCCAACGCAAUCAAGAAAGGUGCUCCAACUUGAGGGAGUCAAGAUUGUCAUCAUAUAGCUCAAGUGGACCAUGUGCAAGGCAAAGGUUUUCCCUUGAUAGUUUUUCUAUUUUACCGGUCUCGUGGUGGUAGUUGCGAGACCGGGUUAUAGGAUCGUUUGCCAUACUAUCAAGGGGGGCUCUCAAGUUGGUAACUUGAUCGUAUCGUUAGUAGAGAUCUCAAACCAUUGCAUCCUUGCAUCAUCUUUCUUAGUUCUUGUUUAGUUCUCUUUGUGAGUCUUAUAGCUUAUGGUCAUCUAGAUGACAAGCUUGAGUUCAUUGAAAAUGGAGUUUGCAUGUGUCUUCUAUGAUGUUUUCGGUGUUAGAGGUUUUACCGGUCUUAUCCGAGGAAGGGUUCUCACCAUUUUCUUAUGGGCCUUUUCUCAUUUGCUUCUUAUUGAUAUUUCUAUCAAUAUUGUGUUAGCGCAUGUCGUUAGCUUUCCAACAAACUUGGUUUCAUUGAAUUCGGAGUCCGUUUGCAAAAGUUGUGGCUGUUUUGGUAAAGGCUGCAGCGGUACUACCGUGACUAGAGCGGAUGUAAUUUUUUACUACCGCUCCAGAGCGGUACUACCGUGGCUCCUGAGCGGUAGUACCGCUCCAGAGAAGUACUACCGCGGCUCCUAAGCAGUAGUACCGCUCCGGACCAAAAUCUCGUGUUUUGCUCAGCGGAGGUAGGCACGAAAGUAUUUUUUUAGUACCGCUACCAUUUACGGUAGUACCGUGAGGUCGAGCGGUAGUAUCGUGAGGACAAGCGGUAGUACCGCUCCGGCGGUUCUAAUGGCCUUUUGCCUCCUCGUUGUUGUUUUUCAAAGGGGUACUACCGCCCUAGCGGUAGUACCGCUCUGUGCGGGCUAUGAGCAUAAUGGUUGGAUUUUUCCCCACCUAUAAAAGGGGGUCUUCUUCCCCAUUGAACCUUAUCCUUUGAGCUCGUGUUCUUCCCCAUUGUUAACCUUCUUCGAGCUAGCAAACUCUCAAUCCCUCCAUGGAUUCUUGCUAGUUUUUGAGGGAAAAGAGACAGGAGAUCUAGAUCCACAUUUCCACCAAUCACUUUUUCCUCUAUGUGAGGGGAACCCCUUGGAUCUAGAUCUUGGAGUUCUUGGUGUUCUCCUUCUUGUUCUUCCUCUCAUCUUCCUCCCUAGCAUUAGUUGCUUCGGUGGGAUUUGAGAGAGAAGGAUUUGGGCACUCCGUGUGCCCUUGCCAUUGCAUUUGGUGCAUCGGUUUGAGUUCUCCACGUGAUACGUGGAAGUUACAAGUUAAGAAGCUUAUUACUCUUGGGUGCUUGGUACCCUUGAGCUUGUUACUCUUGUGUGUUUGGACAACCUAGAGCUUGUUCCUCUUGGGUGCCUUGGCGCCCUAGAUAUUUGGUGUUGUUCGGAGCUCAAUCAUUGUGGUGUAAAGCUCCGGGCAAGCGUCGGGGUCUCCAAUUAGGUUGUGGAGAUCGCCCCGAGCAAUUUGACGGGUACCGGUGACCACCCCCAAGGGUUGCCAAAGUAUACAGGUUCGGUGACCGCCCCCAAGGGUUAUCAUUUGUACGGGUUCGGUGACCGCCCUCAAGGGUCCCUUAGUGGAAUCACGACAUCUUGCAUUGUGCGAGGGCGUGAGGAGAUUACGGUGGCCCUAGUGGCUUCUUGGGGAGCAUUGUGCCUCCACACCACUCCAAACGGAGAUUAGCAUCCGCAAGGGUGUGAACAUCGGGAUACAUCGUCGUCUCCGUGUGCCUCGGUUAUCUCUUACCCGAGCCCUUUACUUAUGCACUUUACUUUGUGAUAGCCAUAUUGUUCUUUGUCAUAUAUCUUGCAAUCACAUGGUGGCUUAUAUUGCCUAGCAUAAGUUGUUGGUGCACAUAGGUGAACCUAGUUGUUUUAGAAUUUGUGCUUGACAAAUUAACCGCUAGGUUUAUUCCGCAUUUGUUCAAGCCUAAACCGUAAUUAUUUUAAAGCGCAUAUUCACCCCCCCCUCUAGGCAACAUCCUCGAUCUUUCACCUUCUGUGCUAUCAAACCUCAUAACGUAACUGGGUUAUUAUAAAGAUGCUCUACAGGCAUCUCCGAAGGUGUUUGUUGAGUUGGCAUAGAUCAAGAUUAGGAUUUGUCACUCCGAAUAUCAGAGAGGUAUCUCUAGGCCCUUUCGGUAAUACACGUCAUAAUCUUGCAAGCAAACUACUAAGGAGUUAGUCAUGAGAUGAUGUAUUACGGAAGGAUUAGUGACGGUAACGACAUUGAACUAGGUAUGAAGAUACCGACGAUAGAAUCUCGGGCAAGUAACAUACCGAUAGACAAAGGGAAUUACGCAUGUUGUCAUAACGGUUCGACCGAUAAAGAUCUUCGUAGAAUAUGUAGGAGCCAAUAUGGGCAUCCUGGUUCCGCUAUUGGUUAUUGACCGGAGAGGUGUCUCGGUCAUGUCUACAUAGUUCUCGAACCCGUAGGGUCCGCACGCUUAACGUUCGAUGACGAUAUAGUAUUAUAUGAGUUAUGUGAUUAAGUGACCGCAUAUUGUUCGAAGUCCCGGAUGAGAUCAGGGACAUGACGAGUAGUCUCAAAAUGGUCAAGAGGUAAAGAUUGAUAUACAAGACGAUGGUAUUCGGACACCAGAAGUGGUUCGUGGGGUACCGGGUACUUAUCGGGUCACCGGAAGGGGUUCCAGGCACCCCCGGCAAAAGAUAUGGGCCUUAUGGGACAAGAGGGAAAACACACCAGCCACAAGGGUAUGGUGCGCUCCCCAUAUGGGCCAGCCUAGGAGGAGAAGGAAAGAGGGGAAGGGAAAGGAAAGAGUGGAAUAGGAUUCCCCCUUCCUUCCCUCUCCCCCCUUUUUCCUUCCCCAUCGGUUAUAUAUGGCAGGGGGGCGCGCGGCUUGUGAGGGACUCGAAGUAGGAUUCCUCCUACUUGGGCGCCUCCUAUGGCUGCUCCUCCCUCCCUCCCACCUAUAUAUAUUUGUGAAAGCGGGCACCUAGCACACACCAGACAUUUGCCUAGCCGUGUGCGACGCCCCCUCCACCGUUUACUACCUCGGUCAUUUUACGUAGUGCUUAGGCGAAGCCCUGCGGAGAUCACUUCACCAUCAGAGUCACCACGCCGUCGUGCUGCCGGAACUCAUCUACUACCUUGAUGUUUUGCUGGAUCAAGAAGGCGAGGGACGUCAUCGAGCUGAACGUGUGCAGAACUCGGAGGUGUCGUACAUUCGGUACUCGAUCGGUGGAUCGCGAAGAAAGUUUGACUACAUCAAUCGCGUUGUGAAACGCUUUCUCUUACGGUCUACGCGGGUACGUAGACACACUUUCCCCUCUCGUUGCUAUGCAUCUCCAUGGAUAGAUCAUUGCGUGUGCGUAGAUUUUUUUUUUUGUUUUCCUAUGCAGCGAUUCCCAAUAGUGGUAUCAGAGCUAGGUCUAUGCAUAGAUGAUAUGCACGAGUAGAACACAAAGAAGUUGUAGGUGGUGAUGUUCACACUGCUUACCACCAAAAUCUUAUUUUGAUUUGGCGGCAUUGCGGGAUGAAGCGGCCUGAACCAACCUUACAUGUCCACGCACAUGAGACCGGUUCCACCGACUGACAUGCAACUACUUUUGCAUAAAGGUGGCCGGUGGGUGUCUGUUUCUCCUACUUUAAUUGAAUCAAAUUUGACUGCGGCCGGUCCUUGAAGAAGGUUAAAAAAGCAAACUUGAUAAAUCUCCAUUGUAGUUUUUGCCGUGGGUAAGAACGGUUCUUGCUAGAAACCCAUAGCAGCCACGUAAAACUUGCAACAACAAAGUAGAUGACGUCUAACUUGUUUUUGCAGGGUAUGUUGUGAUGUGAUAUGGUCAAGACAUGAUGUGAUAUACGUUAUUGUAUGAGAUGAUCAUGUUUUCUAAUUUAUCAACAACUGGUAGGAGCCUUAUGGUUGUCUCUUUAUUGUAUGAAAUGAAAACGACAUGUAAUUGCUUUACUUUAUCGCUAUGCGUUAGCAAUAGUUGUAGAAGCAAUAGUUGGUGAGACGACCACGACGCAAUGAUGGAGAUCAAGGUGUCGAGCCGGUGACGAUGGAGAUCAUGACGAUGCUUUGGAGAUGGAGAUCAAAAGCAUGAGAUGAUGAUGGCCAUAUCAUGUCACAUAUUUUGAUUGCAUGUGAUGUUUAUCUUUUAUGCAUCUUAUUUUGCUUAGAACGACGGUAGCAUUAUAAGAUGAUCCCUUCACUAAAUUUCAAGAUAUAAGUGUUCUCCCCGAGUAUGCACCAUUGCGAAAGUUCAUUGUUUUGGGAAACCACGUGAUGAUCGGGUGUGAUAGACUCUACGUUCACAUACAACAGGUGUAAGAUAGUUUUGCACGUGCAGAAUACUUGGCUUAAACUUGAUGAGUACAGACAUGGCCUCGGAACACAGGAGACCGAAAGGUCGAACAUGAGUCAUAUAGUAUAUAUGAUGAACAUAGAGAUGUUCACCAUUGAUGACUACCCCAUCUCACAUGAUGAUCGGACAUGGGUUAGUUGAUUUGGAUCAUGUAUCACUUAGAUAACCCGAGGGAUGUUAAUUUAAGUGGGAGUUCAUUAGUAAUUUUACUAAUUGAACUUAUAUUUAUCAUGAACUUAGUCCUGAUAGUAUUUGCAAAUUAUGUUGUAGAUCAAUAGAUCGCGUUGUAGCUCCCCUAUUUUUGGUAUGUUCCUAGAGAAAAAUAAGUCGAAAGAUGAUAGUAGCAAUAACACGGACUGGUUCCGUGAUCUGAGGAUUAUCCUCAUUGCUGCACAGACGAAUUAUGUCCUUAAUGCACCGCUAGGUGACAGACCUAUUGUAGGAGCAGAUGCAGACGUUAUGAACGUUUGGCUAGCUUGAUAUGUUGACUACUUAAUAGUUUAGUGCGCCAUGCUUUACGGCUUAGAACUAGGACUUAAAAAUGUUUGGAACGCCAUGGAGCAUAUGAGAUGUUUCAAGAGCUGAAAUUGGUAUUUCAGACUCAUGCUCAUGUCAGGAGGUAUGAGACCUCGGACAAGUACUUGCCUGCAAGAUGGAGGAGAAUAGCUUAGCCAGUGAGCAUGUGCUCAGAAUGUCUGGGUACUACAAUCGCUUGAAUCAAGUGGGAGUUAAUCUUCCAGAUAAGAUAGUGAUUGAUAGAGUUCUCUAGUCACUAUCACCAAGCUACUAGAACUUCGUGAUGAAUUAUAAUAUGCAAGGGAUGACAAAAACGAUUCCCGAGCUCUUCGCGAUGCUGAAAUUGGCGAAGGUAGAAAUCAAGAAAGAACAUCAAGUGUUGAUGGUUAAACAAGACCACUAGUUUCAAGAAAAAGGGCAAGGGAAAGAAAGGGAACUUCAAGGAGAAUUACAAGCAAGUUUCCACUCCCGUGAAGAAGCCCAAAACUGAACCCAAGCCUGAAAUUGGGUGCUUCUACUGCAAAGGAAAUGGUCAUUGAAGUGGAGCUGCCCCAAAUACUAGGCGGAUAAGAAGGAUUGUAAAGUGAAGAAAGAUAUAUUUGAUAUACAUGUUAUUAAUGUGUACUUUACUAGUGUUCGUAGUAACCCCUGGGUAUUUGAUACCGGUUCAGUUGCUAAGAUUAGUAACUCAAAACAGGAGUUACAGAAUAAACAAAGACUAGUUAAGGGUGAGGUGACGAUGUGUGUUGGAAGUGAUUCCAAGGUUGAUACGAUCACCAUUGCACACCCCCUCUACCUUCGGGAUUAGUGUUGAACCUAAAUAAAUCUUAUUUGGUGUUUGCAUUGAGCAUGAAUAUGAUUAGAUCAUGUUUAUUGCAAUACGGUUAUUCAUUUAAGUCAGAGAAUAAUUGUUGUUCUGUUUAAAUGAAUAAAACCUUCUAUGGUCAUACACCGAAUGUGAAUGGUUUAUUGAAUCUCAAUCGUAGUGAUACACAUAUUCAUAAUGUUGAUGCCAAAAUAUGCAAUGUUAAUAAUGAUAGUGCAGCAUACUUGUGGCACUGCCAUUUAGGUAAUAUUGGUGUUAAAAGCAUGAAGAAACUCCAUACGGAUGGACUUUUGGAAUACUUGAUUAUGAAUCAUAUGAUACUUGCAAACCAUGAUUCAUGAGCAAGAUGACUAAACUUCGUUCUUCAGAACAAUGGAGCGAGCUAUUGACUUACUGGAAAUAAUACAUACCGAUGUAUGAGAUUCGAUGAGUGUUCAAGCACGCGACGAGUAUCAUUAUUUUCCGACCUUUAGAGAUGAUUUGAGUAGGUAUGGGUAUAUCUACUUAAUGAAACACAAGUCUGAAACAUUUGAAAAGUUCAAAGAAUUUUAGAGUGAAGUAUCAUAGUAACAAGAAAAUAAAGUUUCUACGAUCUGAUUGCGGAAGCGAAUAAUUGAGUUACGAGUUUGGACUUCAUUCAAAACACUAUGGAAUUGUUUCACAACUCAUGCCACCUGGAACACCACAACGUAAUGGUGUGUCCAAACGUCGUAAUUGUACUUUAUUGGAUAUGGUGUGUUCUAUGAUGUCUCUUACCGAUUUACCACUAUCGUUUUGGGGUUGUGCAUUAGAGACAGCCGCAUUCACGUUAAAUAGGGCACCAUCUAAAUCCGUUGAGACGUCAUUGUAUGAACUAUGGUUUGGCAAGAAACCUAAGAUGUCGUUUCUUAAAGUUUGGGUUGCGACACUUAUGUCAAAAGGCUUCAGCCUGGUAAUCUCGAACCCAAAUCAGAGAAGUGCGUCUUCAUAGGAUGCCCUAAGGAAAUAAUUGGGUACACAUUCUACCACAGAUCCGAAGGCAAGAUCCUUGUUUCUAAGAAUGGAUCCUUUCUAGAGAAGGAGUUUCUCUCGAAAGAAGUGAGUGCGAGGAAAGUAGAACUUGAUGAGGUAAUUGUAACUUCUCUCGAAUUGGAUAGUAGCACAUCAGAGAAAACUGUUCCCUUGAUCUACACCAACUAGAGAGGAAGCUAAUGAUGAUGAUCAUAAAACUUCAGACCAAGUUACUACUAAACUUCAUAGGUUGACCAGAGCAUGAUCUGCACCAGAGUGGUAUGGUAGUCAUGUCUUGGAAGUCAUGUUACUAGACCAAGACGAACCUACGAACUAUGAAAACGCUAUGAUGAGCCUAGAUUCCGACAGAUGGCUUGAGGCCAUGAAAUCUGAGAUAGGAUCCAUGUAUGAGAACAAAGUAUGGACUUUGGUGGACUUGUCCGCUGAUCGGCAAGCCAUAGAGAAUAAAUGGAUCUUCAAGAAGAGGACAUAUGCUAAUGGUAAUGUCACCAUCUACAAAGCUCGACUUGUUGCGAAAGGUUUUCGACAAGUUGAAGGAGUUGACUACGAUGAUUGUUACUGAUGGUCUAAAAGAGUUGGAUGAAUCAGUUAAACAUGUGCGAGCUGCGGUUAGAUAUAUAAGAAAUGGGCCAUCUAGAAUUACAAGAUUUAAAGAACUUGCUCAGUUAGAAAAGGUGGAUUGUGAGGCAUUCUUGAGGUUGGAUGUAUGCACUAGAUGGAAUUCCACAUACCUAAUGUUAGCAACCGCAAUCAACUUUGAGAAAGUGUUUGCGAGGUAUGAGGAAGAAGAUCCACUCUAUACAUUAGAUUUAACUAGUGAGAAAGCUCCUGGUAUUCCUGUUGAUACUGAUUGGGAGAAUGCUUCGAAAAUGGCUGAAUUUCUUGGACAGUUUUAUCACCUCACUCUUAGUGUUUCUGCCACACUCCAUGUGACAGUGAAUCAAUUUGUUAUGGAUAUUGCUGAAAUUAAUGUUGUGUUGGAACAGUGGGCUGAUAGUGAUGAUAUUUUGCGCAAAACAAUGGCCAAGAAAAUGCAAGAUAAGUAUGAUAAGUAUUGGGGAUGUUGGGAUGAGGAGGUGGAGAAUGAAAGGGGGAAGGGGAAAGGAAAGAAAAAGGAAGAGGAGAAUGUGAACAUGUUUGUAUUUGCUGCAACUGUUCUUGAUCCAAGAUUCAAGCUUUCAAACUUCACAAAACUAGCAAUUGAAGAAAUGUAUGGUGAGUUAAAUGGAGGCAAAGCAUGGGAGGCGGUGAAAACAUUUAUGCAUGCUUUGUUUGAAGAGUACAAAGCUAAGUAUGCACCAAGUGAUGCAAGCAAGCAUGUGCGAGCUCCACAAUCUAAACUAACUCAAAAAAGGGAAGGAAGGAAAUUGGUGUCUCGGUUAAAUAAAAAGUUGAGAGUUGGUGAUGGUGAAGCUAGCAUGAGAAAAUCUGAAUAUGAGAAAUACCUACAUGAAGAGAAUGAAGUAAAUAGGGAUGAUUUUGACAAUCUAAAAUGGUGGAAGAACAAUGCUGCUAGAUUCCCAAUAUUGGCAAGAAUGGCCCGUGAUGUGUUGGCUGUUCCGGUAUCAACGGUUGCGUCUGAGUCGGCAUUUAGCACAAGUGGUCGCAUCUUAAAUGAAUUUAGAACCUCCCUUACACCAUUCAUGGUCCAAGCUCUUGUUUGUGCCCAAGACUGGCUAAGGGGUUCUAUUACUAUCAACAUUGAAGAAGAUGAGGAGGAAUUGUUAAGAUUGGAAAAGGGUAACAUAUUGUGAUUGUUUUCUAUGUAAUUUUCUAUAUUUCUAACUUCUUAUGCUUAUUACAUGUUUAUUUCAGUCUUUUCCAGAACUAAUUUAAGAGUUUGGUAGUACAAAUUCAUCCAAAUCGAAAGCAAGUAGUAGCAAGUCUGUUUGUAAGCCAUUUGGGGCUCAGCCAUCUUGCCACCUCCAUCCUCUACUUAAACAUUAGUGAGUUGCAAGAAAUUUUCUUCCUCUUGUUCAUGCUUUUAGGUUUCAUUUAUUUUUUCUGUAGUAGACCAACUUUGAUAUUUUCAAAUGCUGAUGUAAUGCAAUUGUCGUAUCAUUCAAAACAUGCACAACACAACCAUGUCGUUUCCUUGCAGAUUGUUAUGUCGUGUAAAUGCAAAUGUUGCUGUAAUAAACCUCAUGUGAAUGUUGUUAUGCAAAUGUUGCUUUAUGCACUUCAUGUACUUUGUUUUCCAAAUUCUAGGCAUAUGUACAUCACUAGAUUUUCUUAAUAGUAUUGUGUGGUAUCUAGUAUUCUAUUUUAACCAAAUUCUGUACUAUCUACAAAAAAUGGCAGAUUGGCUCACUUGGCUGGAACUUGGAAUGGUCAAGAUGCUCAUGUUCAUGAUGGAAAAUUGGGAGUCUUACUGUUGGCUGCUCUUCAACUUCAAGUGCAAAUCUAUUGUCAUUUAUCACUAUCAGUUUGUGUUGUUGAACACUUGAACUUGGACUUUAGUUAUGUCUAGUGCUGGACCUUGGACUACCAGUUUCUCACUCUGUGUUAUUGAACUUGGACUUGGUUAUGUAUUAUGCUAGAACUUUGGUUAUGUCUCUGAUGAACCUUGUUUAACUUUGGUUAUUGUGAUGGAACUUGGACUUGAUUGUGCAUGUUUCAAUAUUACCUUGUUUAAUUUUGGUUAUUGUGCUGGAACUUGGACUUGAUUAUGCAUGUUUCAAUAUUCUGGUAUCCUUAUAUUUGAUAUCACAUAUAUGUUCUACACAUUUUACAAAUUUGUGUUGUUAUGCUAUCAAAAAUUUUCUUUAAAAUACGCAUGUAGUCAAUAUGUUCUGAAAGCAAAAGGGCAUAUUUUGUUUAUGGUACAAAAUUCAGUUAAACCGAAAACCGAACCGAAAAAACUGGUUAACCGAAAUUUUGGUUAGUUGAUUUUUAGUGCUUAAUUCGGUUUCCACUUAUGCAAACCGAAUUCAUAAAAAAACAGAACAGCAGAAACCAAAUUUUAGGUUUCUACCGAACGCCCAGGCCUACGUGGAGGAGGAUAAAGGCCUCCACCGAGAGCACGUUGAGGCCGGCACCACCGUCGAUGAGGGUCCUAGUGACGGCCACCUGGCAGAUGGUGGGGGUGCAUAGCAUCGGGAGCGCGCCUGAGCAGGCGGUGUUGGAGGGGUGAUCGUCCAAGCUGAAGGUUAAGUUGGCAUUGGGUGCCACCCAGCUCGAGGGGGCUUCGUGGCGCUUGAAGGCGACACCGAUCUGGCAGACGAACCGCUUGACAUGGCGGCUCGAGGGUGGGGCUUGCGAGCCGCCCAGGAGAGCUGCGACGACCAGGGGCACCGGCGCAGCAUAAUGGGCGAGGAAGAGGCUGCGCAGCUCCUCCCAGGACACCACCGAAGCUGCUGGUAGGUGGAGCUGCCACAUGCGCAGGAUGCCGAUGAGGGCCAUGGGCAGCCAGUUAGCCAUGACCAUGUCGUCGCCCCCGGCCUUGAGGAUGGCCUCCUCAUACGACAGCAGGAAGGCUAGCGGAUCCGUCGCGCCGUCAUAGCACGACAGCAUGUCUGGCUUGAACUUGUUCGGCCACUGCACCUGUCGCAAGGCGGGGGCCAAGGCUCGGAGCCCCCUGGCCCAAAUGCCGGCGUCGGUAGCUGAUACAUCUCCAAUGUAUCUAUAAUUUUUUAUUGCUCCAUGCUACUUUAUCUAUUGUUUUGGACUAUACUGGGCUUUAUUUUCCACUUUUAUAUUAUUUUUGGGACUAACCUAUUAACCGGAGGCCCAGCCCAAAAUUGUUGUUUUUUGCCUAUUUCAGUGUUUCGAAGAAACGGAAUAUCAAACGGAGUCCAAACAGAAUAAAACCUUCGGGAACGUGAUUUUCUCACCGAGCGUGAUCCAGGAGACUUGGACCCUACUCCAAGAAGUGCCAGAGGCGGUCACGAGGGUGGAGGGAGCCCCCCUGGGCGCACCCCCUACCUCGUGGGCCCUCUGUUGCUCCACCAACGUACUCCUUCCUCCUAUAUAUACCUACGUACCCCCGACAGAUCAGAUGAGGAGCCAAAAACCUAAUUCCACCGCCACAACUUUCUGUAUCCAUGAGAUCCCAUCUUGGGGCCUGUUCCGGAGCUCCGCUGGAGGGGGCAUCUACCACGGAGGGCUUCUACAUCAACAUCAUAGCCCCUCCGAUGAAGUGUGAGUAGUUUACUUCAGACCUUCGGGUCCAUAGCUAGUAGCUAGAUGGCUUCUUCUCUCUUUUUGGAUCUCAAUACAAUGUUCUCCCCCUCUCUCGUGGAGAUCUAUUCGAUGUAAUCUUUUUUUUGCGGUGUGUUUGUUGAGACCGAUGAAUUGUGGAUUUAUGAUCCAGUAUUAUCUAUGGAAAAUAUUUGAACCUUCUCUGAAUUCUUUUAUGUAUGAUUGAGUUAUCUUUGCAAGUCUCUUCGAAUUAUCCUUUUUGGUUUGGCCAACUAGAUUGGUAGUUCUUGCAAUGGGAGAAGUGCUUAGCUUUGGGUUCAAUCUUGCAGUGUCCUUACCCAGUGACAGAAUGGGUUGCAAGGCACGUAUUGUAUUAUUGCCAUCAAGGAUAACAAGAUGGGGUUUUUAUCAUAUUGCACGAAUUUAUCCCUCUGCAUCAUGUCAUCUUUCUUAAGGCAUUACUCUGUUUUUAACUUAUUACUCUAGAUGCAUGCUGGAUAGCAGUCGAUGAGUGGAGUAAUAGUAGUAGAUGCAGAAUCAUUUCGAUCUACUUGUCUCGGACGUGAUGCCUAUAUACAUGAUCAUUGCCUAAAUAUACUCAUAACUAUGCUCAAUUCUGUCAAUUGGUCAACAGUAAUUUGUUCACCCACCGUAGAAUAUCUAUGCUCUUGAGAGAAGCCACUAGUGAAACCUAUGGCCCCUGGGUCUAUUCUCAUCAUAUCAAUCUCUAUCGCUUUAUUUACUUGCUUUGUUUUUACUUUGCCUUUUACUUUUCACUUUGCAUCUAUCUACCAAAAAUACCAAAAAUAUUAUUUAUCAUCUCUAUCAAAUCUCACCCUCGUAAGUGACCGUGAAGGGAUUGACAACCCCUAAUCGCGUUUGUUGCGAGUAGCUAUGGUUUUGUGUAGGUACGAGGGACUUGUGUGUGGUCUCCUACUGGAUUGAUACCUUGGUUCUCAAAAACUGAGGGAAAUACUUACGCUACUUUACUACAUCAUCCUCUCCUCUUCGGGGAAAUCCAACGCAGUGCUCAAGAGGUAGCAAGAAGAAUUUCUGGCGCCGUUGCCGGGGAGGCUCACGCAAGCAAGUCAACAAUACCAAGUACCCAUCACAAUCCCUAUCUCUUGCAUUACAUUAUUUGCCUCUCGUUUUCCUCUCCCCCACUUCACCCUUGCCGUUUUAUUCGCCCUCUCUUUCCCAAUCUCCUCCUCUCUUUCCCGUUCGCUUUUUUUCCCCGUUGCCUUCCUGUUGCUCGUGUGUUAGUUUGCUUGCUCAUCGUUAUGUCUAGUCUCAUAUCUUCUCCGUUAUCUCCCGAGAAUGAAGUUCUAAAUUUUAAGCAAAGGGAGGGAGAAAAUUUAAAAGAUGCUUGGUAUAGAAUUUGCAAUGCUCAAAAUAGAUCUACCAGGAAGCAAUCUACUUCAGUUCUUCUUCGUAAUUUUUACGUAGGUGCUAAUCCUUGGUAUAGAUAUAUCCUUGAUACCAUUACCGGAGGGAAUUUCUUGGGUAGCCAUACUUUUGAUUCUUAUAAUGCUUUAAUAGAUAUAUUUGGCUCACCACCCCUUUUGAUUAAUGGAACUACGUUAACUUUGGAGCAUGUUAUGCAAAGGCUUGAAACUAUUGAGAAUAAAGUUGCUACCAUUGAAUCAAUUAAAAAUCUUGAUAAAAAGAUCCACAAUCAAAUUACCCAAUAUGGAUCUAAGGUAGGAAUGACUUUGAAAAAAUUAAAGAAAAAGAACCCAUAGUUAAUGAGAAAAUAAAUCUAGAUUCUACAAGAAUCGAUAAACUUGAGGGUAUCAUUACCAACUUGGGACCCGCUUUUUCUUCCGUGCAAAAUACUCCAAGUUCGUCUACUAAAAAACUUAAUCUUACUUAUGUUCCUAAGAGUAAGGGUGAAUCAUCUAGUAAGGAAACCGCGGAUCUAAAAUCUGUAAGUGUUCAUCCCAAUCUUUUUGCCAUCAUUAAGGAACCAUUUGCUAUGAAUGAAUUUUUCGAUCUUGUGCCUAAAAGUUUGAUAAUCACUAGGAAGAAAGAAAAUUCUAAGAAAGAUAGAUGCCUCAUUGAAGAAUUGCCUACCAAAGAUGGAAAAACCUAGAUUUAUCCUUGCUUUUAUGCCUAGCUAGGAGCGUUAAAUGAUAGCGCUUGUUGGGAGGCAACCCAAUUUUAUUUUUGUUUUUCGUUUUUUGUUUCUGUUUAGGAAUAAAUAAUACAUCUAGCCUAUGUUUGGAUGUGAUUUUAUCUUUUAAUUAGUGUUUGUGCCAAGUAGAACCUAUAGGAUAACCCACGAUGAUAGUUGAUUUGAUUCUGCUGAAAAACAGAAACUUUGCACGCACGAAUAUAAUUUUGUUAAAUCGCAGAAACGUGCUUUUGCAUUGAUUAUUUUUGAUGAUGUUCAAUAAACAAAUUUUCCAGGACUUCCUAUUUUGGUAGAAUUUUUAGAUUUCCAGAAGUUUGCGUUAGUUACAGAUUGCUACAGACUAUUCUGUUUUUGAUAGAUUCUGUUUUACGUGUGUUGUUUGCUUACUUUGAUGAAUCUAUGGUUAGUAAAAUAGUUUAUAAUCCAUAGAGAAGUUGGAAUAUAGUAGAUUAAACACCAAUAUAAAUAAAGAAUGAGUUCAUUACAGUACCUUGAAGUAGUCUUUUCUUUUCUUUCUCUAACGGAGCUCACGAGAUUUCUGUUGAGUUUUGUGUUGUGAAGUUUUCAAGUUUUUGGUGAAUUCUUUUGAUGGAUUAUGGAACAAGGAGUGGCAAGAGCCUAAGCUUGGGGAUGCCCAUGGCACCCCCAAGAUAAUCAAAGGACACCAAAAAGUCAAAGCUUGGGGAUGCCCUGGAAGGCAUCCCCUCUUUCGUCCACUUCCAUCGGUAAUUUACUUGGAGCUAUAUAUAUUUUUAUUCACCACAUGAUAUGUGUUUUGCUUGGAGCGUCUUGUAUCAUUUGUGUCUUUGCUUGUUACUUUACCACAAUCAUCCUUGUUGUACACACCUUUUGAGAGAUCCAUACAUGAAUUGUAAUUUGUUAGAAUACUCUAUGUGCUUCACUUAUAUCUUUUGAGCUUGAUAGUUUUGCUCAUAGUGCUUCACUUAUAUCUUUUGAGCGUGAUAAUUUUUGGUCUAGUGCUUCACUUAGAUCUUUUAGAGCACGGUGGUGGAUUUGUUUUAAAGAAACUAUUGAUCUCUCAUGCUUCACUUAGAUUAUUUUGAGAGUCGUUAUUAGCAUGGUAAUUUGCUUAAAGUUAAUAUACUUGGUAUUCAAGAUAUGUGAAACUUUCUUUUGAGUGUGUUGAAUACUAAGAUAAGUUUGAUGCUUGAUAAUUGUUUUGAGAUAUGAAGGUGAUAAUAUCAAAGUGAUGCUAGUUAGCUGAUUAUGAAUUUAAAAAAUGCUUGUGUUGAAGUUUGUGAUUCCCGUAGCAUGCACGUAUGGUGAACCGCUUUGUGAUGAAGUUGGAGCACAAUUUUAUUUAUGGAUUCUCUUCCCUAUGAGUGGCGGUCGGGGACGAGCGAUGGUCUUUUCCUACCAAUCUAUCCCCCUAGGAGCAUGCGCGUAGUGCUUUCGUUUUUGAUGACUUCUAAAUUUUUGCAAUAAGUAUAUGAGUUCUUUAUGACUAAUGUUGAGUCCAUGGAUUAUACGCACUCCCAUCCUUCCAGCAUUGCUAGCCUCUCUAAUACCGCGCACUUUUCACCGGUAUCAUACACCCACCAUAUACCUUCCUCAAAACAGCCACCAUACCUACCUAUCAUGGCAUUUCCAUAGCCAUUCUAAGAUAUAUUGCCAUGCAACUUUCCACCGUUCCGUUUAUUAUGACACGCUCCAUCAUUGUCAUAUUGCUAGCAUGAUCAUGUAGUUGACAUUGUAUUUGUGGCAAGGCCACCGUUCAUAAUUCUUUCAUACAUGUCACUCAUGAUUCAUUGCAUAUCCCGGUACACCACCGGAGGCAUUCAUAUAGAGUCAUACUUUGUUCUAAGUAUCGAGUUGUAACUGUUGAGUUCUAAGAAAAAUAAAAAGUGUGAUGAUCAUCAUUAUUAGAGCAUUGUCCCAAGUGAGGAAAGGAUGAUGGAGACUAUGAUUCCCGCAUAAGUCGGGAUGAGACUUCGGACGAAAAAUAAAAAAAAGGGGUGCCAAAAAAAAGAGAAAGGCCCAAACAAAAAAAAUGAGAGAAAAAGAGAGAAGGUACAAUGCUACUAUCCUUUUACCACACUUGUGCUUCAAAGUAACACCAAGAUCUUCAUGAUAGAGAGUCUCCCAUUUUGUCACUUUCAUAUACUAGUGGGAAUUUUUCAUUAUAGAACUUGGCUUGUAUAUUCCAAUGAUGGGCUUCCUCAAAAGUGCCCAAGGUCUUCGUGAGCAAGCAAGUUGGAUGCACACCCCCUUAGUUUCUUUUGUUGAGCUUUCAUAUACUUAUAGCUCUAGUGCAUCCGUUGCAUGGCAAUCCCUACUCACUCACAUUGAUAUCUAUUGAUGGGCAUCUCCAUAGCCCGUUGAUACGCCUAGUUGAUGUGAGGCUAUCUUCUCCUUUUUGUCUUCUCCACAACCACCAUUCUAUUCCACCUAUAGUGCUAUGUCCAUGGCUCAGGCUCAUGUAUUGCGUGAAACUUGAAAGAGUUUUGAGAUUACUAAAGUAUGAAACAAUUGCUUGGCUUGUCAUCGGGGUUGUGCAUGAUUAAAUACUUUGUGUGAUGAAGAUAGAGCAACAGCCAGACUAUAUGAUUUUGUAGGGAUAACUUUCUUUAGCCAUGUUAUUUUGAGAAGACAUGAUUGCUUUGAUUAGUAUGCUUGAAGUAUUAUUACUUUUAUGUCAAUAUGAACUUUUGUCUUGAAUCUUUCGGAUCUGAAUAUUCAUGCCACAAUUAAGAAGAUUUACAUAGAAAUUAUGCCAAAGUAUCACUCCGCUUCAAAAAUUCUCUCUUUACCAUUUACCUACUCGAGGACGAGCAGGAAUUAAGCUUGGGGAUGCCUGAUACGUCUCCAACGUAUCUAUAAUUUUUUGAUUGCUCCAUGCUACUUUAUCUAUUGUUUUGGACUAUAUUGGGCUUUAUUUUCCACUUUUAUAUUAUUUUUGGGACUAACCUAUUAAUUGUAGGCCCAGCCCAGAAUUGCUAUUUUUUUGCCUAUUUCUGUGUUUCGAAGAAACGGAAUAUCAAACAGAGUCCAAACGGAAUAAAACCUUCGGGAACGUGAUUUUCUCACCGAACGUGAUCCAGGAGACUUGGACCCUACUCCAAGAAGUACCAGAGGAGGUCACGAGGGUGGAGGGCGCCCCCCCCCCCCAGGGCGUGACCCCCUACCUCGCGGGCCCUCUGUUGCUCCAACGAUGUACUCCUUCCUCCUAUAUAUACCUACGUACCCCCGACAGAUCAGAUGAGGAGCCAAAAACCUAAUUCCACCGCCGCAACUUUCUGUAUCCACGAGAUCCCAUCUUGGGGCCUGUUCCGAAGCUCCGUCGGAGGGGGCAUCUACCACGGAGGGCUUCUACAUCAACACCAUAGCCCCUCUGAUGAAGUGUGAGUAGUUUACUUCAGACCUUCGGGUCCAUAGCUAGUAGCUAGAUGGCUUCUUCUCUCUUUUUGGAUCUCAAUACAAUGUUCUCCCCCUCUCUCGUGGAGAUCUAUUCGAUGUAAUCUUCUUUUUUGCGGUGUGUUUGUUGAGACUGAUGAAUUGUGGGUUUAUGAUCUAGUAUUAUCUAUGGAAAAUAUUUGAAUCUUCCCUAAAUUCUUUUAUGUAUGAUUGAGUUAUCUUUGCAAGUCUCUUCGAAUUAUCCUUUUUGGUUUGGCCAACUAGAUUGGUAGUUCUUGCAAUGGGAGAAGUGCUUAGCUUUGGGUUCAAUCUUGCGGUGUCCUUACCCAGUGAAAGAAAGGGUUGCAAGGCACGUAUUGUAUUGUUGCCAUCGAGGAUAACAAGAUGGGGUUUUUAUCAUAUUGCAUGAAUUUAUCCCUCUACAUCAUGUCAUCUUGCUUAAGGCGUUACUCUGUUUUUAACUUAAUACUCUAGAUGCAUGCUGGAUAGCGGUCGAUGAGUGGAGUAAUAGUAGUAGAUGCAGAAUCAUUUCGAUCUACUUGUCUCGGACGUGAUGCCUAUAUACAUGAUCAUUGCCUAGAUAUACACAUAACUAUGCUCAAUUCUGUCAAUUGCUCAAUAGUAAUUUGUUCACCCACCAUAGAAUAUCUAUGCUCUUGAGAGAAGCCACUAGUGAAACCUAUGGCCCCCGGGUCUAUUCUCAUCAUAUCAAUCUCUAUCGCUUUAUUUACUUGCUUUGUUUUUACUUUGCCUUUUACUUUUCACUUUGCAUCUAUCUAUCAAAAAUACCAAAAAUAUUAUUUAUCAACUCUAUCAGAUCUCACCCUCGUAAGUGACCAUGAAGGGAUUCACAACCCCUAAUCGCAUUGGUUGCGAGUAGCUAUGGUUUUGUGUAGGUACGAGGGACUUGUGCGUGGUCUCCUACUGGAUUGAUACCUUGGUUCUCAAAAACUGAGGGAAAUACUUACGCUACUUUACUGCAUCAUCCACUCCUCAUCGAGGAAAUCCAACGCAGUGCUCAAGAGGUAGCAGUAGCCGGAGCGGGCGGCGCGUUAUCCGCCAUGAGGGUGAACCGUGGUGUUGACGGAGAGCGGGUCGACGGAACGGAGAGCUCCGGCGCACUUCUGCCUGGCACGCCAAAUGUUGGAUAUCGGGUUCCGGCAAAACCCUUAAGGUUCGAACUCUAGGGUGCGCGCGAAGAUCUUCCUCCUACCGAUCCACGUCCCAACGCCUCGCUGAGAAUUUAAGCUAAACGAUGAACAACACAAGGGACACAAGAUUUAUACUGGUUCGGGCCACCGUUGUGGUGUAAUACCCUACUCCAGUGUGUGGUGUGGUGGAUUGCCUCAGGGGCUGAUGAUGAAUAGUACAAGGGAAGAACAGCCUCGUGAGAGGUGUUCUUGUGGUGGUGAUUUGUGAAGGAUUCGAUCUGCUCUCGAUGGCUCUGGAUCAGAUCCUAAUGAGAUGUCCCUCUACUGUGGUGGCUAGCCCUAUUUAUAGAGGCCCUGGUCCUCUUCCCAAAUAUUGAGCGGGAAGGGCGCCAACAACGGCCAUUUUGAAGGGGAACAUCUAGUACAAGUUAUCCUGACUAAAGUUGGUCUUCGGCUGCCAAAGGCACUAGCGAUGACGCCGUCUUGGGCUCCAUGGUGACCUCUGUCCUGCCACUCUGCUGGUCUUGGUCUCGUUGCACCGAAAUGGUAACCUUUGCUUGAUGCCUCGGUACUCCGCGCCUAUGCUUGCCUUGACCAAAGAGGAAACAAGGACACUGCGCAGGCCGGCGCCCGCCUAGCGGCCGCCUGGUCUUGGUCGUCAUGGCUUGCGUCACGAGCACCUUGCGAGGUACCCCUGCCUUGAUCUCUCUGCCUCCUCGCGAGCCUGCAUGGUGAGGCCGCUCCUGAGGAAGCCUUUUGUCGUCCACCCCAUGAGGAUUGGCCCUUCGCGAGGGUCUUGAGCUCGAGUUGAUGAAGAUGGGCCGUAUUGGGCCACCACGUGAGCCACGCCGCAGGCUGUAGGCAGGCAAGUCUGGGGACCCCCGUUCCCAGAAUGCCGACAGGUGGCUGUUACCAGGACCCACAUCGACGGUGGUGCCGGCCUCAACGUGCUCUCGGUGGAGGCCUUCAGCCUCCUCCAUGUACCGCUGGAAUGACUCCAACCCAGCAAGCCCUUCUCGGGCGUCGGAGGCGGUUCCUCCGCCUCCCUGGGGAAGAUCCACCUCCCUAUGACCUUCGGCACCCACGAAAACUUCCGCACGGAGCUGGUCAACUUCGACAUCGCCCACAUUGGCCUCCUGCACAACACCAUCCUCGGCUACCCCUCCUUGGUCCAGUUCAUGGCAGCGACCCAUCCUGCCUACAACCUCAUGAAGAUGCCCGGGAGCAGCGGCGUCCUCACCAUAGCUGGAGACACCAAGGAUGCUCUGCUGGCGCUCAAGCUCACCUUCAAGACAGCCGCAGCAGCAUAGCCUGCCGGCACUGACACCGCCAAGGCCAAGGGGGCUGCGCCGACCAAGAAGAAACAGUUGUUCAUCCAGGACAAGGCGGAGACCAAGCAGGUACUAGUUGAUGAGGACGGAUCCUCCGGCGCCACCUUCACCAUAGGUGCCAAUCUCGACCGCGACCAGGAGGAGGCACUGGUGAAAUUCCUGCACUCGAACAAGGAAGUGUUCACAUGGGAACCCAAGCAGUUGGCGGGGGUCCGAAGGCAGGUGAUUAAGCAUCACCUGAAUGUAUGCCCCAAUGUACGCCCCGUGAAGCGGAAGGCAAGGCGGCAGUCCACCGAGAAGCAGGCCUUCAUCAUCCAAGAAACCCGCAAGCUAGAGGCAGAAGGUGUUAUUCGCAAGGUUCGCUACCCCGAAUGGCUGGCAAACCCUAUUGUUGUGCCAAAAAAGGGGGCGAAGGAGCGCAUGUGUGUCGACUUCACCAACCUCAACAAGGCAUGCCCUCAAGACCCGUUCCCGCUCCCUCGCAUCGACCAAAUCGUCGACUCCACUGCCGAGUGCGACCUUCUGUGCUUCCUGGAUGCAUUUUCUGGCUAUCACCAGAUCAAGAUGGCAGUAGAAGACGUGGAGAAGACGGCCUUCCUGACCCCAUGCAAGGUGUACCGCUACACAUGCAUGCUGUUCGGGUUGUGCAACACGGGCGCAACCUUCCAGCGGCUGAUGCACAUCGCCUUGGGCCGGCAACUCGGGGAAGAACGCUGAGGCUUAUGUCGACGACAUUGUGGUGAAGUCUCGGGAGGCGAAGACCUUGAUCCAAGACCUAGAAGAGACUUUCGCGAGCCUCCGUGAAGUGGACCUACGGCUUAACACGAAGAAGUGCGUGUUUGGCAUUCCUUUGGGCAAGCUUCUGGGCUUCCUCGUGUCCCACGGAGGGAUCGAGGCCAACCCGGAGAAGGUCAAGGCAAUCAAAGACAUGAGUCCACCGCAAACCCUCAGAGAAAUGCAGAAGCUCGCUGGACGUGUGACGGCACUGGGACGCUUCAUCUCCAAGCUGGGGGAGUGCGCCUUACCUUUCUUCAAGCUGAUGAAGAAGAAGGGCCCGUUCGAAUGGACACAGGAGGUCGACCAAGUGUUUCAAGACGUCAAGAAGUACCUGACCAGCCCUCCGGUGAUGGUGGCACCACGCUCUCUCGAGCCCUUGGUGCUCUACCUCGAUGCCACACCCUACUCCGCCAGUGCAGCUCUGGUGGCAGUUCGGGAAGAGCGCCAGCUCAAGGCUGCGUCACGACCGGCCACGGCCCCAGCCGCGGCAGCACAAGACCAAGAAGGCCUCGCGAAGACCAAGGCCUCGGCAUAUGGAGACCAGUCUGAACAGGAAGGCGCCCCUAUGGCUGAAGAGGCCGCACCAGGCAGCCAGGUGCUGGGGGCUCCGUCGACUCAGGAGGUGCCUAACCCUCCGGAGGGUACGAACCUUGUCAGCACACCCACCCUUGUUUAGCAUCCAGUGUAUUUCGUCAGCACGGUGCUGCGGGAUGCAAGGGCAUGAUACCCCAUGCCUCAGAAGCUCUUGCUUGCACUGCUGGUGGCCUUGCGUAAGCUGCGGCAUUACUUUCAAGGUCACCCCAUCAAGGUCAUCUUUGCCUACCCAUUGGAAAGGGUACUCAGGAGCCCCAACUCUGCUGGAAGGGUCGCCGAAUGGAACAUCGAGUUUCAAGCAUUUCAGUUGGAAUUCAGCACAACCAGGGUCGUCAAGGGAGCCGCACUUGCAGAUUUUGUGGCAGAAUGGACAGAAGCGCCAGGCCUCAAAGCAGGCAAGGAUUGGUCACUUUCCCCAGGAAGUGAGGCACCAGAUGGCUGGGUCAUGUACUUCGAUGGAGCAUUCUCGUGACACAGUGCGGGGGCUGGUGCAGUGCUUAUAUCCCCCACUCAGGACAAGCUCUACUACGUCGUGCAGCUCUGUUUCUAGCAUGGCGAGAAGGUCUUGAACAACAUAGCAGAAUACGAGGGACUCAUAGCAGGCUUGAAGGCCAUAGUAGCACUAGGGUUGACGCGCCUCAUCAUCAAGGGUGACUCACAGCUCCUCGUCAACUUCUCCAACAAAGUGUACAAGCCAAAGGACGAGCACAUGGAGGCUUACCUUGUGGAGGUGCGCAGGAUGGAAAAGAAGUUUUGGGGGCUGGAGUUGCAGCAUUGCCCCGCGGCACCAACCAAGAGGCUGAUGACAUCGCUAGGAGGGCGUCCAGGCGGCUUCCCCAGGAGCCUGGCAUUUCCGAGGAACGACUCUUCAAGCCUUCGGCAGCGCCUUCACUGUCAAGCAUGGCGCAACCUCAGGAGGAACUCCCUCAGCCACCUGCCACGGGAGCUCCGGCCUGUGGCCCGACCUCGGGAGCACGCUUACUCCUGGCGCUGCAGCCUCAGGAGGGAUGCUGGAUUACGGAAUUCAAGGACUACCUGAUGCGAGGGAUGCUACCAGAGAAAGAGGAGGACUCAGAACACGUGGCCCGGCAGGCCACAGCCUACUGCAUCCAAGACGGAGAGCUCUACCGGAAGCGGCCAAACGAUGUUUCCCCGCGUUGCAUCUCCAGGGAACAGGGAAAGGAGUUGCUGGCUGACAUACACGAUGGAGAUUGUGGGCACCACUCGUCAUCACAGACCCUCGUCGGCAAGGCGUUUUACAGCGGGUUCUACUGGCCCACGACACUCAACGACGCAAUUGAGCUGGUGAUGGCUUGCGAAGCCUGCCAAUUCCAUGCCAAGCAGAUCCAUCAGCCAGCUCAGGGCCUACAGACCAUCCCACUCUCAUGGCCGUUCGUGGUCUGGGGGCUGGAUAUCUUGGGCCCGUUUCCUCGAGCGCCUGGGGGCUAUCGCUACCUCUACGUCACCAUCGACAAGUUCACCAAAUGGGCGGAGGUGGAAGCCGUCCACACCAUCCCAGCUGGCUCUGCAGUCUAGUUCAUCAAGGGCCUCAUGAGCCAAUUCGGGGUCCCUAAUCGCAUCAUCACCGACAAUGGUUCGCGGUUCACCAGCAAUCUCUUCAAAACAUAUUGUGCUAACCUUGGAACGCAGAUAUGCUACGCUUUAGUGGCACACCCCCGGAGUAACGGCCAGGCCGAACGUGCCAACGCAGAGGUCCUAAAAGGCCUCAAAACCAGAACCUUCAAGAAGAAGUUGGAGGCCUGUAGCAGGGGCUGAUACGAUGAGCUCCAGACCGUGUUGUGGUCCAUCCGCACUACCGCCACCAAGUCGACUGGCGAGACCCCGUUCUUCCUCGUCUACGGAGCAGAGGUGGUCCUUGCUCACGAGGUCAAGCGUCGCUCCGCACGGGUCCUAUAGUUUGAUGAAGCGCAACAGGACGCCAUGCGGGGGGAUGGACCUCGUGCUGGGGGAGGAGCACCAUCGAGAAGCCGCACUACGAGCAGCAAGAUACAAGCAGGCGCUACUACGGUAUCAUUGCCGCAACAUCUGCCCCAGGACCCUUGAGGUAGGUGACCUCGUGCUCAGGUGGGUCCUCUCCAGGGAAGGGUUGCACAAGCUCUUGCCCAUGUGGGAGGGCCCGUUCAAGGUUGUUCAUGUUUCCAGGCCUGGCACCGCACGCUUGGAGACUCAGGAGGGGGUGCCCAUCCCAAAAGCUUGGAACAUUCAGCACCUUCGGAAGUUCUACCCUUGAAAGAAGGCCCAGUGCCUGUGAAGAAAGGCCAAGUGCCUGUGAAGAAGGCCCAGUGCGUGUGAAGCUCGCCUCCCCAAGAAAGGCCCAGUGCCUGUGAAGAAGGCCCGGUUCUUGUGAAGCUCGCCGCCCGUGACACUCUUCAUGUAAUAAUGAGUUGGGGAUGUACAUGGCCCGGAGUCUCCGGAGUGCUGCCCUUGGGCCUCGGGGGCUCCCGCCCACGCCCAGUGGCAGCACUUAGCUCCACGCUGGUGUGAAGAUGUCGAAGACUAGAUUAGGUGCCGGACGCGGUCUUUUCAUUUGGCUUCUGCAGUUGGCUUGUUCUCCCUUGUUUGAACCUUUAUUGAAGUUGCUUCUAGUGUUGUUUGCCGUCUUCUACCCCUGUUCUCUGUUUUUGGCUUUUGUUUGUCUCUCUCUCUCUUUCUCUCUCUCUCUCUCUCUCUCAACCUCGCGAGGGGGCUGCGUGGGCGCCCUCGUGAGCCCUUUCUCGCCUGGUUUUUGCGAGGCUCCCUCGUUCAAGUUCACAGCGGGAGCACCCCUCCCAGUCCGUGCCCCACGGGCAUCGCGACACCAAGCGCCGAGCCUAAGCCGGCAACCCUCGAGACCAAGGUUCGGAAACUAUUCUCCCAACUGAUCUUUGUAGAUCCUAAGACGCCUGGCGAGGCCUCGAGCGGGUACCUCGCGAGGCGAAAACUACUGCAAACGUCCCAAGCUAAGUUGUUCCUACGCGCAGGCACAUAACCGCAACACCGUAACAUAGCACAGGGAUGAUAAAUAUAGCACGAUAAUUAGGGCUCAUAGUCUGUUGCACGCCCCCAAGGGGCUCCAUACUUCUCUCUCUCUCAAUGCAGGAAAAGGAGAAAAACAAAAUGAAAACGGCGCGCGCCUUGCGACAGCUCACGAGGAGGGAUCCGCAUCGUCCUCCUGGGCUCAAUCAGACUCCGCCUUGCGCUUCACCGGGGCGCUGUGGCGGGACGACCUGCUACCGCCCCCGAAGUGGGCGCGGCGAUGGGGUGGCUGAUCGCGGCCACCGCUGGAGGAGCUGUCAGAGGAGGAGGAGCCGCUGAAGCUCGGCGAGCUGCGGACGCCACCAGGAGCGGGUUCGCCUUCACCCUCGUCGCGACAGUCGCCAAGGCCAAGCACCACGUCACCGUCAUCGUCUUCAGGGCAGCACCCAGCAUGGCGGCCAUCUUCUCCAAACACCCUCACGUACAGGGUCGUGUCUCCAUCGUACUUGAAGUGGAGGGUGCACCGCCGGCCCAGGCCACGCACGCGGGAAAACGUUUGCCAGCCCCGGGCCACGGCCACGUUCCCGACGACGGAGAUCUCCACCGUGACCCAGGAGGCCCUGCUGCAGUAGCCGUCCGCCUGCAGCCAGAGCCCGCCAGGGCGAGCAGCUGGUAAUUCGUCGGUGAAGAAGCGAGGGAGCUGGAGCCAGUUGCCGGUCGGGUUGUCCGACCACACAACAAACUCCGGCAGCACCUCCGCCGAAUGAAAGCGCGGCCGGGGAGGCCGUGCAGCCAUGACACGCCUUCCCCUACCGAGUGGGCUGCCUCGAUAUGGGCGGCCGCCACCGCGUGAAGGGCCACGACCACGAGAAUUUGCGACGGGAGUCGCGGGAUGCUUGCGGGGACAGCCGCGGCCACGCUUGGGCAGAGGAGAGCCAGGCCCUUCCUGGCGAUCCUUCCCCUUUUCCGCGGCCAAGAACCUCUUCACGGGCGCCAUGGGAUGCUACGAGCGACCGGAGCGAGGAAGGAGAAGAAGCAGGCGGGGCAAGGGGAGAUGUGCUAUGGAGGCUUUCGUCCCUCCACAUUUAUAGCCCAAAGGUGGCUAACCGUCGGCCUCCAUGAUCACAGGUAAUGAUGACUCUUUUUGCAUGAUGCAGGGACUCGUCAAAUUGGGCAGUUGCCGAGGCAGCGUGGGGAAGCGGAGACACCCACGUCCAAUCAAUCGCCACACAUCGACCAAGGCUGUAGGCUUUUGGGGCCCGCGGCGCUCCGCACUUGCCCUUUGGCUUCGCCGCUAAGCCAAGUCUGAGCGCGCCUUGGGCCCGGGGGCUACUGUCGGCGUCCUGGGAAUGGGGGUCCCCAAACUUGCCUGCCUGCGGCCUGCAGCGUGGCUCAACCAGUGGCCUAGUACGGCUAGUAUUCAUCAACAAACGCUCAAGACCCUCGCGAGGGGCCAAGCCUCGCGGGGCGGACGGCGCAAGGCCUCCUCAGGGGCGGCCUCACCAGGCAGGCUCACGACGAGGCGGAGAGAUCAAGGCAAGGGGUACCUCGUCAGGUGCUCAUGACGCAAGCCAUGAUGAUCAAGACCAGGUGGGCGCCAGCCUGUGCAGUGUCCUCGUUUCCUCUUUGGUGCAAAGGGGGCAAGCACAGGCAUGGAGUACCGAGGCAUCAGGCAAAGGUUUCCAUAUUGGAGCAACGAGACCAAGACCAGCAGAGCGGCAGGAUGGAGGUCACCAUGGAGCCCAAGACAGCGUCAUCACCAGUGCCUUUGGCAGUCGAAGACCACCUUUAGUCAGGAUAGCUUGUACUAGUUGUCCCCUUUCAAAAUGGCCGUUGUUGGCUCCCUUCCCGCUCAAUAUUUGGGAAGAGGACCAGGAACUCUAUAAAUAGAGAUAGGCACCAUAGUAGAAGGACGAGUUAAGUUCAUCCACAUACGACCACCACAAGAACACUUCUUGUGAGGCUGUUCUUCCUCUGUACUGUUCAUCAUCAGCCCCAGAGGCAAUCCACCACACCACACACAGGAGUAGGGUAUUACACCACAACGGUGGCCCGUACCUGUAUAUAUCUUGUAUCUCAUGUGUUGUUCAUCGUGUUAGCUUAGAUUCACGGCGAGGUUUUGGGACGUGAAUCGGUAGGGAGAAGAUCUUCGUGCGCACCCCAGAGUUCAAACCUUAAGGGUUUUGCCGGAACCCGUUAUCCGACAAACACGACGACGCAUUCCGUUCUGACCCAGCCGGUUGGCUCCCCAUGAACACGAUGACAAUGUCGUUUCUCCGUUCUGACCCAGCCAUGUACACGAGCCCUGGCCGUACGUAUGCGCGAGUAGGCAUUCGAGACCCCGCCCGUAUGUACGUACGUGGCCGUAUUUUCUUUCUUGCAGACGGGCCGCUGUACGUACGUGUACAUGCUACGUGCGCCCCUCUACUACGACACGUGCACGCCUCUACGUCGACCAGUAUGUACGUACACGUUCGCGACCAGAAUGACAACGCUAUGUAUGCUUGGACCAGGUGGGUCCUGACUGUCAGGCACUUCCUUGCAUGCGAAGAUGUAACUGGCAGGUCCCAGCUGUCAGGGGGGCGAAUCAUUUUUUUUGCCCGAACACACUUCCUUGCGAGCGAAGAUGUAGCUGGUGGGUCCCAGCAGUCAAGGGGAAACUUUUUUUUCGUGAAAUACAGUGGCCCGUCUGGUGGGUCCCAGCUAUCAGGUGGAGGAAUCAUUAUUUUCCGUGUAAUGAGGCACUUCCUUGCUGCGGCCGUGGACCCAUCUGUCAGCCUCUCCACGUGUAGUCUAUGUCCGAUGGAAGUCGUUCCUUUACCAUGUUGACCAUGCCUCGCCGAGAGCACCACGGUGGUGGACGACGGCGAGGCCUAGGAAGGGGACGACGUGGAGCCAGGGAAGACGCGGCAGUGGAUGCCCACGCAGAGAGGAGUACGAGGGUUCACUGGUUCGGUUGUGGUGUGAGGCUGUUGUCGCCGCGGAAUCUGGCCAGCGAUGGGAAUAGUAUGGGCGGUGAGGCCUCCGCGGUAGCACAGCCGACCACGGGAGAUAGGAGCAUGCGGCACGACCGGUGUUGCUUUUGGCGGCUGGAGCACGAAGACCAGAGGUUGAAGAAUCACUACGGCCGUUGGAUGGACAUCAUACGGUCACUGGAGCUAGAAUUGUUCAUAUUGACUAAGUUGACAAAGCCCUCUGUCCCCGUCAACUUAGUAGGCCCACAAGUCAGCCUCCCACCAUGGUGAGUCCUAGCUAGUAGGGGGAGUAUUCAUUUUUGUGCGUAAUAAGGAGGCACUUCCGGUGGGUCCGAGCUGAUAGCGGGGGGAACAUUUUUUUGCGAAAUACAGAGGCCCUUCCAGUGGGUCCCAGCUAUCAGGUGGAGGAAUCAUUGUUUUGCAAGCAAUAAGGAGGCAUUUCCAUGUGUGGGCCCCUACUGUCAGCCUCUUCCGAUGGCUGUUGUUUGUUAACCAUGUUGACUCGCCGCGCCGAGAGUACAAACGCGGUGGACGAGGGCGAGGCCCAGGAAGAGAACCACCCGGAGAAGGCAAAGCCACCGCAGCGGAUGCCCACGCUGAGGAGAGUACGAGCACUGACUGGUCGGCUGCGGGGUGAGGCUGACGUCAUCGGAAAAUAACAGGAUGUGUGGGUGGUUAGAGGGAUGGCCUGGCGGCAGCACAGCCAGCAACAGGAGGAGGGAGCAGGCAGUCCCGUCGGCGCUGGUUUGGGCGGCUGGAGCAGGAGAUCAGAGAUUGAAGAAGCACGGCAGCCAUUGGAUGGACAUCCAACAGUCAUUGUUUUGUGUUGACUAAGUUGCCAAAGCCUUCCGUACGCGUCAAAAAAAAUUAGGACAACGUCAUCGUCAACCUAGUAGGCCCAGAAGUCAAACUCCAAAUCCGUGGAAAACAAUAUACAACCCAUUAGCCAUUAUUUUCAAUAAUUUACAGCCCAUUUGAUAAUUCUUAAGGAUAUUUGAAGCCCAUAUUCUUUUUAUUAGCAUUACAGACCAUAUAUUCUGGGCACUUCUAAAAAAUUCAACAACAUUUUGCAUAUUUCGGUGGGGUCCGAACUCUUUUAAUCACGAAAUUUCGAGUCACGUUAAAAAUAAUUUUCAAAAAAUUAUAUCAAAAUAAAAUUCAAACAACAAUUCUCCGCAAAAAAAGAAUGAAAUUUAGAAUCUUAACUAGCAAGAUGCCCGUUCGUUGCAUGGAACAUGAAGAUGCAUUUGUAUGAGUAGUUUAUCUUGUGGGAGAAAAGAUGAUAUUUUAAUUUAAUUGCCAGUUGGCUUUGGUUUUUAUAAGAGUAGAGAGUAGAGAAAUCUGGAAAAAAUGAUAUUUUAAUGCAAUUGCCGGUUGGUUUUGGUUUAAAAUUUAUAACCCAUUUCUUACAACUUAUAGCCCAUUUUCUGGGGAAGCCCAUUUCUUACUACUUACAUCCCUCCUCGUCUUGAAAGAUUUGCAGCCCAGCAGGGUUGAGAAAAGCAAGUAGGCCUCGGUUUUGGUAUUCUCCAAAAAAAGAACUAGGCUAGCCAUUUUCAGAAAGAAAAAAUAUAUCAACUGGGCUCGUCAUGUGCUUAAUAAAAGCGUAAGCGUGGGCUAGACGGGCCACAGCCCCCGCACAGCGCGCAGUUGAGCUCCAUCUCUAAAACUAAAAAACAACUCGGCGAGCUACUCGAUCCCUGGUGUUAUCUGCUUGUUGUGUAAUUUUCUCAUUUAUUGACUACAUUGACAAUGGCAUGGGACCUAGUUGUCAAACAAUUAGGAGGAAUUAUUUUUUUGGCUUGUAAUAACGAGGCACAUGCUUGCGAAAUGCAAUGACCCUGGUGGGUCCCUACUGUCAGCCUCUCCACGUACAGUCAUCUCCUUAUUCCUCUUGGUUAUUGACCAUGUUGACAAUGCCAGAUGGCGGAAGGCACAACGAGCGAACCAAGGCGGAGAACGACGGUGAGGCCUCGAACGGGAACGAAUAGCGGCCAUGGAAGAUGCGGCAGUGUAGUGGUAGGUGGAGGGGAGUACGAGAGCAACAACAUGCAACUCAAGCAUACAAAUGGUACAAAAAGCCCAAGGAUUAAUUGUUCAUCAAAUUUUUAGACAAAACCCAGAUUGAACAUGACAAAAAGCCCAACCACUCUUUUUUGCAGUCACAAACAAAUGGAUCAGUCUGAUCCAUGAAAUCAACAUCCUAUGCAAAAAAAUUACUUCAGGAUGACUACAACUUGUUGUAAAUAGAAGCCGAGCACGUUUAGAAGCCCGUUUGUCCACCUGAAACUUAUUUUUUUGCUGUUCAACAUGCCCGUCCAUGAGAAAUCUCUUGCGGUAAAAAUUAAGCCUCAUGGACAAUAGUAACCUUACAUUCAACAUGAAGAAUGUGAUAAAGCUUCUGUUUGCCUGGUUGGAUACAUAUCGUUCCAUCGUUGUUGACCUCAAACGAAUGUCAUGAGAACUGAGAAAAUCCUGGUGCUUAUUAUGCCACCGAUUGGUUAUAUGUUUUUCUCCAUGUAGUUCUGCCUAAGUAGACAUGAAGAUUGAAAACAGUUAAGGUCUGAAAAAAGAGUAUGUCGAAAGAAUGACAGCUAAAAAGUUAAUUCUAGUACAAUAUAUACGGGCUUUCAAUGUGCAUGAAAUCAUCAUCUCUAUAUAUAAAAUCUCCAGAGAUCGAAAGCAUCGCAGCAAGCCAAUAAUUAUGUCCAGAUCAAAACUAAACAUUCUGAUAUAUAUGAUCUUGACAGAAUCCAGCAGCAUUGAUAGGCUAUCAAUGGACGAACUCUUCAUUGAGCAUAUAACAUAAUAUUAGUACCCAAAGUGUACUCCAAGAUGAUAUUAAACUUAUGCGCACAAACGAAAAAUGCAGCAUAUGAUUACAAAUGUGUAGAUGAUAAUAUAUGGUACCUGAAAAAGUGAGGAGCCAAACACCAACUCCUUGUGAUUAUUAAACGGGUCACGAAUUACACCCAAGGUCUAUAGUUUGGGCGCAGAGACGACAGUUAUUUGUGAAGGUGUAUAACAAUUAUCAAGGAGCAACCUUUGAAGUGAAGGGGCAUCUUCGAUGAUGAGCUGAUGUCCUUUAAAACAAAUUCCAAUGCUUUUAAGGUGAGGCGACUUUAUUUGGAGACAACUGAUACGGAUUUCUAUUCCCAAAACAAUCAGCAAGUGCUCCAGGGUAGGGCAACUGGAGUGGAUGAUGUUGUGCAGUGAGGCCUCCGACAGAUAAACCACCACAAGAGAAAGUUUUUUUAGUAGUGGGAGUCGAAGCAUUUGUACCAGAUCGUCUGGUAGAUGGCAGCGGGCGAAGGUGGCGGUGUGGAGAGAGGUGGAAAACUGCGAGAUGGACAACAGUGGUGUGGGCAUAAUUCUUGGUGUGUUCGUGGUAUGAAACUUUUGUGGUAAUAGUACAACUCAAACUGCUGGAGUUUUCCGAAUUCAGGGGAUGUCAUCCAAGCGUCCACCAUGCCGGGUAUGGACAGAAGGUAGCGUGUCGGGAUGCAGAAGCAUUGAACGGGGCCCUGCUGGUGAGAAGAGAUGAUGGCUCUGAGGAGAUCAAAUUCAGGUAGGGCAGAUAUCUGACGAUAGUCGAGAUUGAGGGGCGCGGUGCACCAUAGAGGGCGCCACCAAGUUGAGAGGACUUGUGUGCGGCAGCAAUCCUUGGUGGGGAGAAGCGAGAUGAUCUCCUCAAGGAUGACGUCUGGGAGAUCGCUGAUGCGGUCCACCGGAGAUUCUACUGGUUCCUCAAAUCCGGGUGAGGGGGGGGGGCUCGCCGCUUCUCCCCGCGCUACCGGGUGCGGGAUCUACAACCGGCAUCGCCGCUGGCGGGAGCCUCAUCUUCUUGGCGCUGGGGCCAUACGAAUCCAUUUUCCUUGUGGGUGUCACGCUGAGCUCACGGGUUUGAGCAGAGUAGCAAGAGACGAGCCUAGUGGCAGUGCGAGUGGGGAAGAAGGAGGGCUGGGGAUUUCUGUAGGAGUGGAAGAAGAGGAGCAAGCGUUUUCUGUACGAGUGAGGAAGAAGGUGAGCGGGAGUUUUCUGGACGACUGAGGAAGAUUGGGGAGCGGGGGGAAUUGGGGGGGGGGCGGAAGCGGGAGAGCGACUUGUUCGUGUUUAUAAGGCCCGCUGCACUAACUACUCACUUUUUCUCAAGAACCACUCUCUUCUUUUGCGUUGUUGCAUUGGAGCUGGCGCAUGGACUUGGCUGACUGGCCAUGUAAGCAGGAUGCAUGUGCCCACCGGCCACUGCAUGCGCCUGGUUUGUUACUAUGCCUAUUUAAUAGGGUGGUUAUGGAGUGAAUUAAGGAGAUUUAUUUUCUCUGUGUGCAUCCACCAAAUUAGAGGAUGCGGUACUAGAUGCAGACACUCACAUUAAACUAAGCUUCAGAAGAUACGGUAUGCAUACUAACAUUCAGAAGAACAAAAGUUCAGCAUGUUUAUGCAUCUCAAUGAUUCACCAUACUAUAACCAAUACAAAGUUGUGAGAAGCUAUGGAAAUAAAGAAAAUUGGUCGAUGCUUCUCUAAGCAAAGGGCCCCCUGUGCAUGCAUUAAUUUCCUGGGCAUGCUUGUUUCUCCUCAAUGUUGUGAGCACUUUGAGCAUGUUGGCAACUCCACAGCUAGCUAGCUGCCUCAUCUUGCAAUUGAUGCUGACACAUUUGCAGCAAACACAUGAGGCAAUAGAUAUGACUCAACAUGAGUCCAUAUUGUGCAGUUCCCCUGAAAUCAUAUUUCAUUGUCCUGAAUCUGAAAAGAUAGGAAAAUAGUACCUAUACUUAAACGGUGUUGCAAAACAGUAGCACAUAUCAAUAGCUCGGCAUGACAAAACACGAUCAUCUGGACGAAGGGGAUACUGACCUGCCUGAGAAAGAUUAUAUAUAGUUUCAUAAGUCCUUGGUUAAUUUCCAACUUUGGUUGCACUGCUUGUUUGAUCCUCCACACAUGACAUGAUCGUUCCGCACUGCAUUUAGCAAGUCAACGUAUGAAUAAGCUAAUUUCAUCUUACGGUGGUCAUUGUACCUAGUUACGAAUGUAGGAAUACCUGGAGCACCAUGAGGUUAGCUGACAGCAGGUAGAUGCAGCCAUAUAAAUUUUGUGCGGUGCUACCAAAAUUGAGGUCUAUAUCCCUCCCCGCUAUGAGAAUUCUUCUUGAAGUUGGUAGAAUGUGAUGGCUUGUUCUUUGCAUCAAACUUGCCUUUCCCGUGAGAUUUGUUCUUCUUGUUUUGGGGCUGGUUGGGCUGGAAUUUCUUCUCGUGUACCAUGUGGGCACUAUAAGCUCCCUCGACGACCCGAGCACGUGUGUCUUUUGCUCUCGCCUUCCCCUCAAAAUCAAGAGUGCUAAUGAGAUCCAAAACAAAAAACUCAUGUCUAUUGUUUUUUAGAGAAGUAGCAAAAUCGUUCCACAAAGGUGGAAGCUUGGCAAUGAUGGUCCCAGCAACAAAAUUGUCCGGCAACACACACUUAAAGUACUCAAGUUCCUUAGAGAGUGACUGUAUCUCAUGAGUCUGCUGAACAACAGAGCACUCAUCAGUCAUCUUGUAGUCACAGAAUUGCUCCAUGACGUACAACUCGUUGCCAGCAGCCGAGGGCCCAAACAUGGCCUCGAGCGCAGCCCACAUGUCUUUGCUGCUGUCAAACGACAUAUAUGAAUCCAUAUUGGAAUCGUCAAGAACACUCAGCAGGGCGGCUUUGAAGAGGGUAUCCAUGUUCUGAAAAGCUUCCUGCUGUGUAGGAUUAAGAUCGGCCUCAGGCUUACCCUUAGUGGCAUCAUAGCAGUUCAUGAUCUGAAACCAAUAUACUGCUCUUGUGCGCCACCUUUUAUAUUGCACCCCCUUAAAACUAGGCGGCUUCAAAAGCGCAGCAAAACCACUCGGAGUAAAUUGCCUAUAAUCAGGUUUUUGGAUUGGAUUGUUGAAUAUAUGAGCAAUUUACUAUGAGAUUUAAUCCGAAUCAGCAGUAAAUAGAUCAUCACAACAAUUGCAAACAUCAAAGUAAUGAUGCGGACUAAACCAGGAGGACAGAAUCACAUACUGUACAGCAGGAGUAGAACCGCUAUGGUUGAUGUUGUUACUCAUGUCGUUGAUGAAGAGGUUACCGAGGUCGGGGAAGAAGGUUGUUGUUGAGGAAGUCGUCGCUGGCAGCAGUCACAGGAGUGUGCUCCCCAAAAACCUAAUCGCCCCUCUCCCAUACAGGAUCACGAAAGGCGGGGUUCAGAGGACUGCUGUCACUUCUCACGGUGCAUGCCGGAAGGAGGGCUGGAGAAGAAUUGUGUGGCGGCGCUAAUAUCUUGAACGGUGCGAAACCAUAUGAAACCAUAUGUCAGGUUGGUCAUGCGAGUAUAAUAGUAGGCCUUUGGCCCGCAAACCCCACGUCCAAGUCAAUAAUAGCCCCACCAAGGCUUGUCUCAAAAAACCGGAGUAAUUAAGGCGUCCGUUAGUCCCUUUAGUAUAAAUACUAUAUCAUUAAUAAUGGGCCCACCUUUUGUCUCACAAAGUAUGUUGGGGCUCCUGCUACAAGCGGCUACAAGUUUACAAUCCGCUUCUCAUCUCUCUCCUCUUCUCUCUCCUUAAACUAAGCACAAAUACUAUAUUUAAAUCCUUAUAGCCUGCUUAUGUCAUCUAAUUGUAGUACUUGCUCUAAAGUUACUCUCCACUGUGUAGUCUGACAAGUCGGGCAUGCAGCAGGCGAUGCCCUCGGUCGGCGCUCCGCUUCAACUACGGAAGCGGCGAGAGGUCGCGUCGCCCUGACUUGCCAUCAAUGUGGAGCGGCGGGCUCAGUUGGCGCUGGGCGAGAAGUGCGCGCGGGAGGGGGGAGGGGUUUUUGUUGGGCCAAGAAGGUGAGAAGCCAACUUGAGAUCGGUCCGGACGGGGAAAUAUCAUGUGCUCCCAUACUUCUCAUAUGACACUAGUCUAUGUUACUACUCCCUCCUUUCCGGUUUAUAGAGAUGUUUAGAGUAACAUAGUAAUAUGUUACAGUAUAAGUUACUCCCAACUAUGACCAGCCUUGGCCUCUCCCAGUGCUCCACCAUGUAUAGAUGCUAAGCCUGCCACGUAGGAUAAAAUAUGAUGUGGCAAGUUAAUUAAGAAGAGAGAGACUAGUUUGGUGACCGCAGGAAGAAACGGUGGAAAGACAGUUUUGAGUCUAUAGCUAAUUAAAUGAAGCAAGCUUAGCAACAAUAAACUAAGCACCUAUGCAUUGAAGACUUGAGUUACUAAGCCAUUUAAUGCACUUAGCACCUCAUCUAAGCACAUCUAAGCACUUACUAGCACCCCCUUGACCAUGGACCUUGACGGUGUACGUCACCUUGUGUCUCAUAAUUUUCCUUGUCAUCAUCUGAGUCCUAGAAGAUCUCACCCACAUCAUCAUUAGGCAUGCAGCCGCCUUGAUAGACAAUGUGCACAGAAGGAGUAGAGGCGACUAGGGAUGCACCACGUCGUGGGCACUCCGUACGUGCUCGUGUGCGUGCAGCGUGCGUGUUUUUCCAUCGGUGCUAGCUCUAAGGCCGAGCAUGUGGUCGUCUUUGUCUCCGACUAGUCAUUGAGCAACGACGGCAAAGAGGGUGCUACAAGAGAUGCGUAGGCACCGUUGUGUGUGAGCUUCGCCAUAGCACGACGAACCGGACGUCGCCGCAGAUGGCGCACGCCUCCAUGCAGUCGAGUGUGUGCGCAUGCAUGUGUUAUUCACAUGCAUUCUGCGGCCGAGUGUGUGUGCAUGCACGUGUUGUGUAUGUGCGGUGUGUGCUCCAUGCUGUGCGCGUAUGUGCAUGAGUUGGAUCAGAUGGAGUUAGUGCGUUGGCUUGUGUACAUGUGUGGCUUCAUGCGUCCUGUACAUGCGUGGCUUGUUGCAUGGUUAUCAAUAUAAACUAUAAAACAUAUUCAACUUAGCAUCUUGAUGUACCGUUUCUAGUGGUUAGCGAAGAUUUCAUGUUCUUUUAUUUGUUUAUAGGUGGGUAGGCGGCAAAAAACAGGGGAAAACGUGCAAGGUUCCUUGCAGACGCUCCACCGCGAGGUUCCUUGCUUCUUCUCGGUCGUCGGGAAUCUAUGUUCUUCAACUCUUUUCUUUUAUGUGAGCUUUGUUCAUCCUUUUCCCAACACACAAGAGAUCUAGCAUCAAGGUGCACGUGUCAUGCAAGAAAAUGGAGAUAAUCAGAUAAGCAGUGCGUAAGUGAGUCGUGCACUUCGAUGGCACCUACGCAAUAUAUUUUCUCCUCGAUGGCACGUGAAUAGUGCACAUACUCAACGACGGAGCACGGGAUGGUAGCAAUGACAUGGUCAGCCCAUUUUGGAGAGAGUGCAUACUACUAAAUAACUUUUAUGUGUCCCGUCAACUUGCAGAACGACGAGAAGCUUGAUUACACCUUCUCCCUUGCCAACGCGUGCGCGGUGGCUCGCAGCACGAGGAGGAACUUUUGCUAAGUGGUGGACGUGCAGCAGUUCAUUUGGUGUCAGAUUGCCAGAAGUACUACUGUAGAACCAUUGACUUCCGGAAGAGGCGAAGAGCCAAGCGCAAGGUCACCUACUGACCUUAGGCUAGGCGUAGUGGGACUAACAUAAGUAGGGGUACCUCCUUUUGUUUAUUCUAGAAAAAACCACACACGAAUAUUAAGGUGCUGGUUAUGUAGAACAAAUUUCCUGGAGUAUGUGCUCAGCCCACCUCUAUCUCUGUUCUUGGCCAGCCAGCGGACGCGCGGAGCCCAUCGUCUGUUUGCUCAUAUGCAGUCCCACAUGUCAGUGAAAACGCAAGAGGACCCACUGAACCUGCACACAUCUUUCACCUCGACGUGCUGGUGAUGAAAAACAAAUCCAAUAAAGAUCUUCGGUGGCCGCUGUUGGAGUUACUCAAGAGUAGUAAGAUCCCAUUUACAGUUUAACCCAAGAUGCACAUCACGUCGCUUCAACUACCACUCUAUUUUCUUGCAUGACACGACCAGGAUGCUGGUUGUUCCACGUGUCGGCAAAAGGAGGAAGACCUGACCAAAUCUUCGGUUGUGCUCUCGGAUUAGACUAGUUGUGCUAACUUAAAAUUUUCAUUGUGUAGAAUGGAUGCAAGUUUUGGUAUUGGGAAGAAGAGUAUAUCGAUAUAUUGAUAGAGCACAAUUUGGUAGAUGUUCUAGCACUUUGAGCUAGCAUAGAGGCUAGAGAUGAGACUAGUGCACUUGUUGAUAGAAUAGAGGCUAGACAUGAGACUAGAUGCAAGGAAGCAACAUCUACUUCUUUACACUCGAAGAAGAAAGAAGCACGCAAGAUCGAGCCUCCAUAGAUCAACAAUGAAUGCAUCGAGAAGGCACUAAUCCAACUUACAGGAUCAAUUAUGGAAGUUGGAUAUCUUCUAAAAUGUAUUCUUGUGGUUCUUGUUUUCUUUGGUCUUGCUUGUCUAGUCAAAAUUAUCGUUGGAGUUCGUGCAAAAUGAAGGUCCGUUUGGGGUCAUGCGUUGGAGUUGGCCUUAUAAGUGGGACCGUAGUUGAGGAAACCGACUAUCGGCAAACCCCCACCUCGCCCACUGCGUGAUGGCUGAGUUAGAGAAACGACGAGGUUGAAAGAUAUUGCUCUAGCAUGGACUCCAAGAAAUAUGGUGUCAGAUGGAAGUCGUGCUGGUGGCGUGUGCCGUACUCCUGGACAUGAAUGCUUGUUCUGGCCCAUGCCACCCCACUACUCCUACUAGUUAUAUAGUACUAGUAGUAUCGAGGAUUCGAGGUGUUGGUUACGUACAGUGAACACAUUAACAUAUGGCCCACCUCACACUAUGGACAAAUUUCCUGGAGUCUGUGCUAGGUUAAAAAGUGUUCUUUUUGAGGGUGGGUGUCGUGGUAUUCUCACGGGGGGUGCAAGACGACAGAUGCUACAAGGGCUUAGUGCGAGGGUAAGACAGCUGCUGAUAGGACCGAGAGCGUGUAUGCGAGUAGCACGCGCUAGUUUACCCAGGUUCGGGGCUCUCCAGAGAGAUAAUACCCCUACUCCUGCAUGUCUGAGUACAUCUGAUGUAUCUGGUACAGAGUGCUCCUGGAGCUGUAUCUAAGGUCAGUGUCGUCGGCAUCUGACCUCGUAUAUGCAAAUGGGCACAAGUGUGUGCUUGGCCGUGGGUGGAUGGAUGAAUGGAUGUAUGUGUGAGCUAGCUAGCUAUCUUGCUAGCUAGUAUGCAUGCGUGAGAGUGAAUGGCCAAGAGGCCAUAGUGGCGCUCGUGGCCGUGAGCCUCUCUUGGAUGGAUGGAUGGAUGCUCAUAUAUAUAGUGUGGCUAGCUUACUAUCUAAGCUAAGUGGUGGCAUGGGCAAGGCAUGGUGGGGUGUCAUGCUUGUCCCCUGGGUCACUUCAUAAAUAGUGCAAGGGGACAAGUGACACUAUACAUGAUGGCUGGGGUGACACAUGAACAGUGCUCGGGUACAGCCGUCUCGUCGGUGUCUUGUCGGUGUCAGGUCGGGCUGCAGUAGGCAGCCGGCUGGUUGGCACAGUUGGAGGCCGGGUGGUCGGUGCAGUCAGCAACCGGCAGCCAGCCGGGCAGACCAGUCAGAUGGGGAGCCGGCAUGAGUGGCCGGGCAGUCGGACUGAGGGGCUUUGCUAGCCCCGAUGUCUUGAAUUAUUGUAUUGCCGUCUUCGGGGUACCCAUCGCCAAUUACCCCGACAGUAGCCCCCGAGCCUGUGAGCAACUUGGCAAAGUUGGGCGGAGGUUUUUUGGUGGGUGUUCAUGGAAGUGAUCAUGCAAAAGACAAAGUUAGUCCACGCAGAUAUAUCAAAUUAUUGCUUUUAGCAUUGCAAGUUUAUGCGGAGGGUGCCGACUUAGUUUCGUCCGAGCCCCCUUGAUCUUUUUCGUGUUCCCUCCGUUCUUUGGCUUGUGCUCUCGCUUGCCGGGCAGCCGCUCUGCGGUCAGUGGCUGAGGGUGGGCCGCGAAGUGGAGUGUACAGUACUCAAAGUCUCGGAGCAGAUUCGACCGAGCAGAUACGUGUAAAGGAAACGACCGGGUCGCCCGAACCAUUUUUCUUCCCGGACAUUUUUCGUGUGGGUGGCCUCCAGCGUUCACUCUUGCCAGCCGGACAGCCGCUCUGCGGUAUAUGACUGAGAGUGGGCCUUUGGUACCGCGCACGCUACUAAGCCAUCUGCGGGAACAAACGUCUCAGGCCAAGCAGCCAUCCUCCGGGCCAACUCUGGCUGGCCCCGGGGCGUACAGUAGUGUAACUGUAAUAAAAUGCAGAGAUGGCUCCCCGAGCAUCGCUCAGGGUUAUCCGUGCUUUCGCGGUGCAAAAAUAUGCGGGUGAGGAGCUCACAUUGAUUUUCGUGUAGUCACGGCAGAGGUCGUCGAAGACAGCUGGCGUGGCUCGGCGCUUGCGGAGCGCGCCGGUGCACCCGCUGGGUAUAGCCUUCGAGCCCCCAGGUGCUCGAAGGGGGGUCCGGCCGGUCAGGCUCGACCGGCUAGGCGUCUUGCAGCGCCCUUUUUCUUCUUUUUCUCUUCCGCCGGCUGCUGGCAGCCGGAGAAAACUCUUCUCUUGUUUGCAAUCUUCCGUGGAGGCGCGCCAGCGCACCCACUGGAUGUAGCCCUCGAGAUUCGGGCCGACUGCUGAGCAGUCGGGCCGGAUCUUUCGGCAACUACUUUGUCUUCUUCUUCGCGGGGGUGCAUCAGCGCACCCGCUGGGUGUAGCCACCGAGAUUCGGGCCAACUACUGAGCUGUCGGGCCGGAUCUCCCGACAACUACUUUAUCUUCUUGUCGAUCCGAUGCGGUUGACAUUAGUAUCUCAAAAAAAACUACUUUAUCUUCUUUCUUCUAGUCUUUGUCCGGCUGUGGGCAGCCGGACGCAUAUUUCUUUUGGUCCGGCUAAGUAGUGGGCCGUCUGGAAACGAGCAGCCGGCUCGCACUCUCUCUCUCUCUCUCUCUUUCUCUUUUUGGCGCAAGCCAGCCCCUUUUUUCUUGGGCAGCCGGGCCUGCCAAGGCGGCACAGUGCGGAGACGCAGAGCAGGUGGCCCCGAGAUGCUGCGAAGCGAGGGGAGCCGGCAGCCAGAGCAGGUGGCCCGGGCUCACGGAGCCUGCGUGGGAUAGCUGCGGGAGGCGGUCAGAGUGGCGCGAGGGUGGCCAGGCGGGGCGACGCGGCCGAACCACGGCGGAGCAGCGUGAAGGGCUGGCGGAGUGGCGAGGCGGCUUGUGGGGGACGCGGUGCCGGGUCGGGAGAGAUGGCGCAGGCAGGCGCGGCAGGAGGUAGCAUACGGAACAGGCGGGAGCCAGCCGGGCGCGCGGGAGGCGGAGUCGGCGAGGGGAGCAGCCGGCGCCGGCCGCGAGCGGAGGGAACCCGGUGCGGGCGUGCCCAGACGGAGCCAGCUGGCGGCCAGCACGAGUCGGAGGACCCGACUUGGGAACCCAGCGCGCGCAGACGGGUCCGCACUGGCGACCAGCCGGGGUCGGAGGACCCGGCUCAGGAACUCGACGAGCUGGCAGCGACGAGGGAUCGCGGCGGACGACCACGGGGAGGCGGACGAGUCGGUCAGGCAGGUGGAGCGAGUCGGAAGGUUGUGCGCACGGAGCAGGCCGCAGGCAGCAGCACAGCAGCAGCAAGCGGAGCAGCGGAUCAGCGCAUGAGGGAGGGAAGGCAGGGUGCCCCUGCACGGAGGCAGGAGGUGGUGCGGGAAACCAGGUGGGGGCCUGGCAUCGAACACGGGAGCUGCAAAGCUGCAGGGAGCCCUGGCGGGGUAGGAGCAGCGUGCGGGGGUGCGCGAGGUGGCCGGACGUGCUCGCAGGCGGGGACGGAGCAACAGCCAGGGCGAGGUGUUGUAUGGUUAUUGUACGGGCCAUGUCCGACUUGCAUCUGGCCGGUGCACAGGCAGUCUAUGGCCAUUGUAUGGGAAAUAUCUGGCUAGUGUACAGGUCGUGUCUGACCUGCAUUUGAGAAGCGUGUGGGCAAUGUAUGGCUAUUGUUGACCAUUGUUUGACUUGCAUCUAGUUUGCUUGUAUAGAUGGUAUAUGGAGGAGCUAACGCACGUUUCGGCCGGAGCAAGGCACAGCACGGAGGGGAGCAGACGCGAGCGGGGCGUGGACAGACACGGACGACCGAAGUGAGGCCCCGUGCGCAGGCGCACGCGAACGGCCGGCCGGCGUCGCAAUGGUGGCGGUGAAGAAGGCGCAACCGACGGCGAGGACGCGCCACCCCUCGCGGCCGCUCCGGGGGCGUGUCGGUGUCGAGCCCCCGAGUGCUACUGGAGAGACGGUGCGACGCCGCGGUGAUGAUGACGAAGAUGGUCCCGCCCGGACUGCGAAACCAGCAACAGCGUGGUAGCAUAGUACCACCCCACGGUGGGCGCCAACUGUCGUGGUAUUCUCACAGGGGUGUAAGACGACAGAUGCCACAAGGGCUUAGUGUGAGGGUAAAACCGUUGUUGAUAGUACCGGGAGCGGGUAUGCGAGUAGCACGCGCUAGUUUGCCCAGGUUCGGGGCUCUCUGGAGAGAUAAUACCCCUACUCCUGCAUGUCUGAGUACAUCUGAUGUAUCUGGUACAGAGUGCUCCUGGAGCUGUAUCUGAGGUCAGUGUCGUCGGCAUCUGACCUCGUAUAUGCAAAUGGGCACAAGUGUGUGUUUGGCCGUGGGUGGAUGGAUGAAUGGAUGUACGUGUGAGCUAGCUAGCUAUCUUGCUAGCUAGUAUGCAUGCGUGAGAGUGAAUGGCCAAGAGGCCAUAGUGGCGCUCGUGGCCGUGAGCCUCUCGUGGAUGGGUGGAUGGAUGCUCAUAUAUAUAGUGUGGCUAGCUUACUAUCUAAGCUAAGUGGUGGCAUGAGCAAGGCAUGGUGGGGUGUCAUGCUUGUCCCCUGGGUCACUUCAUAAAUAGUGCCAGGGGACAAGUGACACUAUACAUGAUGGCUAGGGUGACAGAUGAACAGUGCUUGGGUACAGCCAUCUCGUCGGUGUCUUGUCGGUGUCGGGUCAGGCUGCAGUCAGCAGCCGGCUGGUUGGCGCAGUCGGUAGCUGGCUGGUCGGAGCAGUCAGCAGCUGGCAGCCGGCCGGGCAGAGCAGUCGGGCGGGGAGCCGGCAGGAGCGGCUGGGCAGUCGGACUGAGGGGCUUUGCUAGCCCCGAUGUCUUGAAUUAUUGUCUUGCCGUCUUCGGGGUACCCGUCACCAAUUACCCCGACAGUGGGUGGCUGGUCUCAAGUUUAAAACUUGUUGUAUUACAUAUACAUAGACGUAGAGAUAGUGCAGCAGUUCUGAAAGUUUGAACCCAAACAUCAUAAUGCAAUUUCUACUAGACUCAUCGGAGGACCUAGGAUGAUAGGAUUCACAGCUACAGUAAAAACACCCGCCCGACGCACGAUGCAUGUGAAGCUAGUACAAAUAGUGUACUACUAUUGUUGAUUGGCCUCAUCUGAUAACCUGUUGCAAUGCACAUAAAAUUAUGUAUUCGGAAAAUAUUUUUUUGCCGUGUCGCAGCACUCACUCAGAGAAGCGACUCGAAAUCCAUUCAUAAAUUUAGUAAGUUUAUCAUAGGCAUAUCAUUUUAUUACAUACAACAGGUCAUCAACCCACAUCGACAAUGAUGAUACAUUAUAAAUACUGAAGUUUUCAUCACACAACAAAUAACAAGCAAUGAAAUGAACUUCAACUCAACCAAUCCUCAGUGUUGGAAAUGCUUGCUUUGAACCAUAAGUGAUUCUCUGGGACAGGCCAUCUAUUGUCGAUCUCGAGACCAAUGCAGGACUGAUCAUCCAGGCUGAAGCGGCCUACUAUAUCAGUACUAGGGUAGGGAACCACCGAAAUGUCCGAGGUAUAGAUACAGUUGCUUCUCAUAAAUGGUAGUAAUGUUGUGUCAACAGCAGUUGGAUCGCCUUUCACCAUCAUCGGAUAGUUUUGUCCAAGGAAGAGCGAGUUUUCUCCAAGACUAUCAAUAUUGUACCAAGGAGAAGGUGUUGGCGCUAGCACACUAGUAUCCAUCCCGAAUACCAUGCAACGAGUGUUGGAACAGGUCCGGAGAGUGCGACCAUGGGAGACAACACGUGCUCCCUCGGUAGUAACAAACUCAGUGCGAUGUAUACAGACAAGAAGAGGUGAUCCAUUGGAAUUAGUUGCCAGGCUCCACUGAGUAUAUAAGUUCUGCUCGUCCUCAUGCUCGUGAUCAUCACCAUCGUCAUCUCCCCCUUGGUUAUAAAAAUUUUCAAGUAUAGGUGGUGGAAUGUUCAUAGGACCUUGGAAACACAAGAAGAAGGUUAAUUAGUAAAGGGAAACUUGCUAACCCGCAUGCAUAUGGAUGAAACAAUUAUAAGUAUAGUGGAAGAUAAAUGUACCAAAACUACGAGGAUCCCAUUCAAAAACAGUGACAUGAGUGGUGGAAGAAAACACAAGACCCUCAUAUUGAAUUGCAUCAGAGUACACAUCCGUGUAUGGAAACUGAUUUUUGAGCAAUAUCCAUUGAGUCGAACCACAAAGGACGGCAACAAGCUUAUCGAAGAUAGCAACAACUUCAUAGUUCUUGUAAUUCCAAGAGCGGUUGGGAACUCGACAAAUUGAAAGACAGUCACCAUGAUUGUUUUUGAACGUGUGUGCAAUACUGGUGUGCUCAACCUUUGGGCAGACUGCUGAGAUUUUUCGGAGUGGAACCCGGUGACGAGUGUACACAUUCACAAGUUCACACUCGCGGUAGUACCCAAUAUAAACAACCCAAUCUCCAUUUGCGCCUGCCCAAUCAUUACCCUCAAGCGAUGGCAUCUUAACAUCAUACGUAUCAUUAUCAAGCGGCAUCAAGUUGCACAAGGCGAGGCAUCUGUCGUCCCCGCGCCAGUCAUCAGGGUCACGGCAAAGAAGAUACGGGAGAUCAAACUGCUCCUUGACCCUUGGGUUCCUUGUAAUGAUGUUAUUAGUUGAGUCGAGAAUGGUCUUGAACGAACCUGCCAGGCUAGCCGAGGUGAUGACGUUGCACCGUUCAAUGAGUUCCUCUACCACGUCAUCUUUUAGAUCGGGGCAAGAAUAACGGGGUCGUUUUCGGCAUGUUCCCUCCAUGGAGAAGACGAUCAAAUGAUGGCAAAAGGAAGGGUGAAGGCAAAUGGAGGAGGGAGGAAGAGCGUGCGACAGCAGUUCCAAAUUGAGAGGGAAAGGCAAAGAGUCGGUGGACAGUUGCUAGUUUGCCACAGUACACGAAGAGGCGCCCCGGCCUACAUGUACGUUCGGAAAUACUAGUACUAGUAGAAAAGGACUUGCCGUCGUCUCACUGACAUGUUGGAACGGGACCACAUGUCAACGAAACAUGGUGUGUAAUCUCUCAUGCAAAAUGCGAUCUGGCCGCGUUGGCCCGAGGUGUUACAUUAGUUUUUUUUUAAAGUUUGCCGCAUUAGUUAUCGUCCUUUAUUUUUUCUAACAUACAAUCUGAAUGGAUAGCUCCUGUGGUCAUCACACGUGAGCAGAUAUAUAUAGGUGGGCUAGGUGGGCAGGCGGUUGAGCAGGCGGCAACAAUCUGAGUGCUAAAAGAGUUGAUCCAAGGCUUGGUUUUGUUUGGAUUUUCCAACUAUGACCAUUGGAUAGAGUGAAUCAAUGGCUUACAUUCAAAGUUAUUCUCAUACUAUAGAAUUUUUGAUUCAGUUGUUGUGCUGCUACCGUCCAAUAUUCACGUGUGGUUGUUUCUAGAGUAAAAAAAGGGAGGUACUAGUACUUACUGUGGGAAAGGUGAGAUGAUGGUUGAUUCACUCGAGCAACUUAUUACUGUGGGAAUAUGGGAGUACCAGCGGAUUCAAGGAAUAGAGAAAUGAUGGUUGCUUCGUCCGAGCAACUUACUGUGGCGAAGGUGGGGCUCUGUGAUUUCACUGCUCACUAGUCAUUACUACUGCCGCGCAACGACCGGGGUGAAUCUUUCCCUGCAGUUGUGUUGUGCACUCAAUAAUGCUGCAUGGCAGGUGGAGCCGGAUGAAGGAUGUCCAACAUGUCGGUGAAACGAAGUUGAAUUGUUUCUGGCAUUGCUAUCAAUCCUUCAGGAUUUGUUUAUAUGUACGCAUAAUUUUAAUGAAAUUGUACUCUGAUGUUAUGAAGGUUUCAACUUUGGUUCCCGCGGGAAAAAUAAGGUUUCAACCUAGGAUUCAUGUGUCUUGCCUCAAAAUUAUCUCGUUACAACAUUCCAUCAAAUACAAAUGAAACUACCAUGGUUAAUGCAUCUCAAUGGUUCGCAGAUCAGCGCCAAUAUUCACAUCAGAACUGAAGACAAAGUUGUGAGAAGGUGUACAAAUAAAGAAAAAAAUAUAAUUGAUGGAUGAUGUUCGUAGGCAUGGCUCCAUUUCCUUGGCACAAUGUUCAUUGCUUGGCAGCUAGUUUCACCCUGCUCUGUAGCAAAAAAGAGGUGUAUGGAGGACACCACAAUCCGAUCAUUUUGUGCAGCUCCACUAAAAUCGAGCGGACCAUCCCUGUUUGCAAAGAUAUCCAGUCAGUGUGAUUACAAUAAUAGUGGAACUAGAUGAUGAAACAUAACACACAUCAAUAGAAGCCGAUCACCUCUACGAUCUCUCUUUAGGACUAACUUCUUGUUGGAGAACAUUAGGCAAGGAGUUGGAUGAGGAGGAUAGCAAAACCAAUCUCCCUUUCUGCAGUCCCACAGAAAUGUAAAAACGUUACCCGUGUGACAUUUUGGCCGAACUGCACAAAACACUCUUAAGAAAAAAGUGAUUUGUGCAGUUCACCAAAAGGUCACAAUAGCAACGAGGUGAAAAUGGGUAGCCAUGUUUGCAAAAGGAGGUAGAAAGGAACAAAUUACUGCCCAAUAACACGAGUUGAAGACACAUACGCUGACAAAAAGAAGCAUAUUCCAUGUAAUAAGGGAAAGAUAGCACAUGGUGGUUUAUCAAAAAUGGUUUGAGGACGAGAUUGCAAGAUGGAAAGUACGUCGGUCGAGAUACGAUUUAAGCAAACAACUGAAGAAGAUCCACAUGCAACAACGUGGGAAGAUGGGUAGUGGAGCAAGGCCGGAGGAAGCUGUACCUGAGGGUCGUCGGGGUGUUACUAGGAGGGUGUCAUCGGCCGGGAUCUGCCAUACUGCGGCAGCGAGCAAGUGGGUAAGGACCUACCGCGCCGGAGCUUGGUCAGAGAGAAUGACGGGUACCGCAGAUCGGGAUGUGCUACCUCAACACCGUCGAACGGAGAGACGAUGCACAUCCUCCCUUUCCGCCGGCGGACGGGAUGCAGUCGGAUCACUGACCAAUGCGGAGAGAGAGGCCACUGCCACCUUGUGUGAGAUGGUGUGAUGAGAGACAAACGCAUUAUUCCAUUUUCCCCACGGCAAUCGUUUUAUAUUCUGUAUGUGCCAUUGAGGAAUAUAUAACUUUAUUUAAUACUAACACGUCAGGUCGAACUUUGUUUCGUCUAGGCGUGGUACCCGACCCUCCUUCGAGUAAACAACCGCUACACACGUCAAAUUAUCAUGUGGGCUGCCUUUUCAUACAGAAACGAACUCCACCGUGUACCCGCGCGCGUGUGGCCGGGAACGAGACGUGAGUACAUGCGUCCUGCGUGCACCUCUUCUUUAGGUGCAGGUACGUACGUGGGUGGGUGUGAGAGAGAUGGUUUGUGCGAAACAAAGGCAAUGUGUUGAUGAUAUCUCAAACAGAAAAAUGUAACAUAUGCAAUGUGUGUGAAACGGAGUCAUGGACGUGAGAUAUCGAUAGAAUUCAAAACAGGGAUGAAGUGUGUGGCUGCGCGAUCGAUAAAGAGUGCCAUCGAAUUUAUGUUUGCCCAUCGACUAGUAUAUGUGUGGGGAAGGAGAGAGACCUAGCUAUGUAUUGCGGGAGAUCGAUCGACAUCCAUGGAUAUGUGUAGCAGAGGAAUAAGGUUGGGAGAAAGACAAAGGUAGAGCGUCGGAGGGUUGGUGGUGGAGUGGCGUCUCACAAAUGGUGGGAGAGGCCUACUAGACAAACUGAGGGUACGAGUGCAAUAUCAAUAAGAGAGGGCGGGGGAUGUCUGCCUGUCUAUGCAUGUGCAUGUGAGAGACGGGUUGGGAGGUAUGCAAGGAUGAUGAGGGGAGACGAUAUGGUUGUGGUAAGCAUACGUAACUACAUAGGAAGAUCAACCGUCGUGUGUCCGAGAAAGGGAGAGACAUAACUAGCAAGGUAAGUGUACCGGUGCGUGGGGAAAACGAAUUAUAGUUGACCUGGCUAUAUGUAGGGAGAUCAGUUCGUAUACACGCCUGCAUGUGUUAGAAGCAAAUAAGGUCCGGAGAGAUAGACAGGGGGAGAGGGGUGCGGCUAGGAGGUGGUGCGAGAGGCCUACCAUGUGGAGGGGGAGGAGUGUGCGAGUAUGAGAUCAAUGAAAAGAGGGGCAGGAGUGUGCACCUGCGUGGAACCGUAUUGGACAUAGGGGGCAUGGGCGGUGAGAAGAGAAGAGGGGAAGUAUAUAUGUGUUUGUUGUAGGCACCCUUGGCUAGAGAGGUAUAUCGGCCGGUCUAUGCCGGAAAGAAGGAGCUGGGGGCCUACACACACCGCGGGUGGACGACCUAAAGAGAAAUAACGAACGUGUGUGAUGGAGGGGGCGCUAAGGGUGGGUAAGAGGGGGGCGGGCGUGUGCAUGCACGAUAGAAAGUUAGCGCUAGCUAGCUACAAAUAGAAGAGGAUCGUGAAGGUGUAAAAGACGAACAAAUAUCAUAAUUCAUUAUAAAAAAGUGGAUACGGAUACUUGAAGAAGAUAUCAUCAUGUAGAACAUUGAUUAUAAUUUGGGCUAAUGUGUGGCUUUUGCAGCUCAGGUCUAAAUACUUGUCAUAAUGUAGGGGGCGGGGCACUAUACUUUGUGUGAUAAACACAGUGUACGUACGGAACAUGGUUUAGAUUAUGAAUAUAUAGUUAGUACAUCAAAUGUACUAUUAUUUGGAAUCAACAUCAAGUGUAUUCAAAAAAUAGAAUUCAAGUUCACGUAGUGUACAUAGUUCAUAUCUAUCUCUAUAGUAAUCAUGUGGUGUGUUAUUAAGGUAAUACACGAAUGAUGGUUGAAGUUGGCAACAAUCAUGAUUGUAGAUUCUUAUUGAAAUAGAGAAAUGAAUUCAAAUUCAGCUCGAAUUGCAGCGGUAGUAUAGACAUUUGGAAUGCACUAAAAUGUUGGUAUGAGUAGGUUACAUGCAUUAUACAGCAAGCGAAAAAAUUUAAUUGGACAUAACAUGGAUUCAUACUCCCUCCUUCCAUCUAUAUAGGGCAUAAUGAGUUUUUUAAGACCGCUGACAAGAUUAAUAGUACAUGACAUGCACAAUGUGAAAAUUAUAUCAUUGAAAGAACCUUUCAUAGACUAAUUUAAUGGUGUGCUUUGUGUAAGUUGCAUGCCAUAUAUUAUUGCUCUAAUAUUUGGUCAAAGUUAGCAUCGAAAAACGCAUUAGGCCCUAUAUAGAUGGAAGAAGGGAGUAGCUUUGAAUAGCAUUUGUAUAGUAAAACGGGGCAAGACUCUCUCUUCAUGUGGUGUGAAUAGUUUUAUUUUUUCGUUUUCUUUUUGGUUGAGGGAAGUGCGAAUUGAUUUGGUACGUACAAGUACAAUAUUACUACACGUUAGGCUUGUCCCUAAAAUUCAACCCGCGCCUUGUUAUAUCCCGAAAAUUCAGAUGUUGUUCUCCCAAAACUGGCGCCUUCACAACCCGCGCCUUGCUAUCCCAAAAUUACAGCGCGCGCGAAAACUCCCUCCAGCUGCCGAAUCCCGACAGGCAAAAUCCCCCUUCUAACCCUGAGCCGAAAGGGCCGCUAGUUCAAAUCGGUGGGGGGUACUUUUGUAACACACCCUACAUUUUGGACAAGCGCGUCCCUAAGUCAUNNNNNNNNNNNNNNNNNNNNNNNNNNNNNNNNNNNNNNNNNNNNNNNNNNNNNNNNNNNNNNNNNNNNNNNNNNNNNNNNNNNNNNNNNNNNNNNNNNNNNNNNNNNNNNNNNNNNNNNNNNNNNNNNNNNNNNNNNNNNNNNNNNNNNNNNNNNNNNNNNNNNNNNNNNNNNNNNNNNNNNNNNNNNNNNNNNNNNNNNNNNNNNNNNNNNNNNNNNNNNNNNNNNNNNNNNNNNNNNNNNNNNNNNNNNNNNNNNNNUAACCUCUCCGCUCCAGCCGCGAAACCCCACCCUCCUCCGUCCGCCACCUCACCGCUGCCCAGCCAGAGCCUCUUCCCCGAUGAUGUCGUUCACCGCAACAGCUCGACGUCCCUCGUCCACCUCCCCGGAUGAGGAUCCAUCGUCCAUCUCGUCGUCCUGCCGGUUCAACCGCCCCGUCCUCCACCUCCAAGGAGCUGCUCCAAUGAUCACCUCAUCUAUCGUGGCUGCUCCAUCCCUACAGCGCCACCUUAACCUGCUCCACCGGAACCGCAACAUCCUCACCGACUCCUCGGACGAAGCCGAGGCCUACUCGGCGCCACCAAAGAGGUCGUACACUCAUCGCAUCACACCUUCUCCUUAACUCGACCUUCCGGCGCCGACGGUGCUCCAUCCCGCACCCCCAUGGAGCGGCUACCUUGAAGCCGGCAUCGUGGGCGACAUCUCCAUGGCAGCUCUCCCCCAGUGCGAGCCCCUUCGGCGGUAGCAUCCAUACCAGCCGGAUCUGCUGCUGCUCCGGCUCUCGCUCGCUCGCUCGCGCUGCUGCUGCUGCUCCAGCUCUCACUUGAUCGCUCACUCGCCCAGCUACUGCUGCUCCGGCUCUCGCUCAAUUGCUCGUGUUGCUGCUGCUACUCUACCCCUCGCUCGUGUUGUUGCUUUGCUCUGAUUUAGCUAGACUUCAGUCGACUGAAUCGACUUUUGGGUCAGUCAAUUUUCAGGGGUUGGGGGGCUCGCCGGAGUUAAGAAAGAACCACCCGCAGCGGGGACGGGGGCUCGCCGGAGAGGUAACCCACUAUCUAUCUUAGGGUUCAGGGUGGGGGCGGGGGGGCUAGAGGGCUGGCCGGGGUGGCGGCGGACCAGCGGUGGGGAGUUGUUUCGGGGCGGCGAGGCGGCACUGGGGCCGGCGGUUCGGCUGGUGGUGGUUGGCGGCUCAGGGGGGUACAGGUUGAAUAUGAACUGCGGGCCCUCCCUAAACUACAUGUCAAGUGCCUCCUUGCUACCAUCGCGUUCAGUUUCGACAGUAGCAUUCAGAUUCCAUGGUAAAUUUUAGUUUCGACAGUUAAGUUCAGAGUCAAUAGUUUUUACCUCAUCUGUUGUAGUCAGGUGGUUUUUAGUGAUGUAAAUUUUACAUCUAUUUUACAUCAUCUAUUAGAGAUGAUGUUAGAAUCCCACUUGAUAUUGACGAUGUCUAUCUUGUGCUGCUUCAGCCUUGACGUCUUACGGCUCACUGGAGCUGCUCCAACGAUAGAACGAUCCAUCACAACAGAGUUGUGCCCUGGACGCCGUCUAUAGAUACCUCAGAUCUUCCUCCACACCUCCGACAGCCACCUCUACCUCAACUGCUUUAGCGACCAACCCAAUGAUGCUGAGGUCAACAUGGCUACGGCGAAGAGGUUGUACACUUGUUGCAACACUUAUUACUAUACAUUCAUGUCAAUCCAUUAGGGCUAUUUUUGUUCAACGAAAAAACAUAGCAAUAGGGAAUUUGCCAAUGGCACUCUACUAUUCAAUUAUUCAUGCAUUUUGUUGAAAGGAAUGAAGCAAAACAUCCACCUCGACCUACUUUUCAAAAUCCUAUGCAUGAAAACAAGACCAAGUACAUUAGUGGAAGAAUAACAUUCUAACUGUACACGCUUUCAUAUGGUUUCACUUUGUUUUGGCCAUGUUUCUUUGCAUUCCUCUGCUCUUCCAAUUCCUGUAAACCAAACUCCCAAGUUGACAAAAAUCAUAUGUUUACAAAUGCUCUAUUUACCAUCUGCAUUCUGAUACAUCCAUUUUGCAUCAUGCUUUUAUAUCGAUAUUUAUUGCAGUAUGGGCUGUUAUUACACGUUAUGUCACAAUACUUAUGGCUAUUCUCUCUUAUUUAACAAGGUUUAACAUGAAGAGGGAGAAUGUCGGCAGCUGGGAUUCUGGGCUGGAAAAGGAGCAAAUAUUGGAGACCUAUUCUGCACAGCUCCAAAAGUCCUGAAACUCCACCAAAAUCAUUUUUUGGAAUUAAUGAUAAUUAUUCAGCGGAAGAAAUACCUGAGGGGGGCCACCCACCGUCCAUGAGGGUGGGGGCACGCCCACCCUUACAGGGCGCGCCCCCUGCCUCGUGGCCACCUGGCAGCCCUCCGGUGCCCAUCUUCUGCUAUAUGAAGUAUUUUGCCCUGGAAACAAUCAUAAGCAAGCUUACGGGAUGAAACUCCACCACCACGAGGCAGAACCUUGGCGGAACCAAUCUAGGGCUCCAGCGGAGUUGUUCUGCCGGGGAAACUUCCCUCCGGGAGGGGGAAAUCAUCACCAUCGUCAUCACCAAAGAUCCUCUCAUCGGGAGGGGGUCAAUCUCCAUCAAUAUCUUCACCAGCACCAUCUCCUCUCAAACCCUAGUUCAUCUCUUCUAUCCAAUCUUUGUACCAAAACCUCAGAUUGGUACCUGUGGGUUGCUAGUAGUGUUGAUUACUCCGUGUAGUUGAUGCUAGUUGGUUUAUUUGGUGGAAGAUCAUAUGUUCAGAUCCUUAAUACAUAUUAAUACCCCUCUGAUUAUGAACAUGAAUAUGUUUUGUGAGUAGUUACGUUUGUUCCUGAGGACAUGGGUGAAGUCUUGCUAUUAGUAGUCAUGUGAAUUUGGUAUUCGUUCGAUAUUUUGAUGACAUGUAUGUUGUCUCUCCUUUAGUGGUGUUAUGUGAACGUCAACUACAUGACACUUCACCAUUAUUUGGGCCUAGAGCAAGGCAUUGGGAAGUAAUAAGUAGAUGAUGGGUUGCUAGAGUGACAGAAGCUUAAACCCUAGUUUAUGCGUUGCUUCGUAAGGGGCUGAUUUGGAUCCACUUGGUUCAUGCUAUGGUUAGGUUUACCUUAAUACUUCUUUUGUAGUUGCGGAUGCUUGCAAUAGGGGUUAAUCAUAAGUGGGAUGCUUGUCCAAGAAAGGGCAGUACCCAAGCACCGGUCCACCAAAUAUCAAAUUAUCAAAGUAAUGAACGUGAAUCAUAUGAGCGUGAUGAAAACUAGCUUGACGAUAAUUCCCAUGUGUUUUCGGGAGCGCUUUUCUCUAUAUAAGAAUUUGUCCAGGCUUGUCCUUUGCUACAAAAAGGAUUGGGCCACCUUUCUGCACUUUAUUUACUUUCAUUGCUUGUUACCCGUUACAAAUUAUCUUAUCACAAAACUAUCUGUUACCUACAAUUUCAGUGCUUGCAGAGAAUACCUUACUGAAAAUCGCUUGUCAUUUCCUUCUGCUCCUAUUUGGGUUCGACACUCUUACUUAUCGAAAGGACUACGAUAGAUCCCCUACACUUGUGGGUCAUCAAGACUCUUUUCUGGCGCCGUUGCCGGGGAGUGAAGCGCCUUUGGUGAGUGGAACUUGGUAAGGAAACAUUUAUAUAGUGUGCUGAAAUUUACCGUCACUUGUUACUAUGGAAACUAAUCCUUUAAAGGGCUUGUUCGGGGUAUCUUCACCCCGACCAGUAGAGAAAAGAGUUGCUCCUCAACCUACUGAACCUACUGAAAAUGUUUACUUUGAGAUUCCUUCGGGUAUGGUAGAGAAACUGCUAGCUAAUCCCUUUGCAGGAGAUGGAACAUUGCAUCCCGAUUUACACCUUAUCUAUGUGGAUGAAGAUUGUGGAAUAUUUAAGCUUGCAGGUAUGCCCGAUGAUGUUGUUGAUAAGAAGGUAUUCCCUUUAUCUUUUAAGGGAGACGCAUUGACAUGGUAUGGGCUAUGUGAUGAUAUGGGAUCUUGGGACUAUAAACGAUUGAAAUUGGAAUUUCACCAGAAGUUUUAUCCUAUGCAUCUUGUUCAUCAUGAUCGUAAUUAUAUAUGUAAUUUUUGGCCUCGCAAAGGAGAAAGCACCGCUGAAGCUUGGGGUAGGCUUAAGUCAAUGUUAUACUCAUGCCCCAAUCAUGAGCUCUCAAGAGAAAUGAUUAUUCAAAAAAUUAUGCUCGGUUUUCUCUCAGUGAUCGCAUCAUGCUCGAUACUUCUUGUGUCGGUUCUUAUAUGAUGAAGACUAUUGAAUUCAAGUGGGACUUAUUGGAAAGAAUUAAACGCAAGUCUGAAGAUUGUGAUUCCGACGAUGGUAAGGAGUCAGGUAUGACACCUAAGUUUGAUUGUGUUAAAUCUUUUAUGGAUACUGAUGCUUUUCGUGGAUUUAGCACUAAAUAUGGACUUGACUCUGAGAUAGUAGCUUAUUUCUAUGAAUCAUUUUCUACUCAUGUUGAUAUCCCUAAGGAGAAGUGGUUUAAAUAUAAUCCUCCCACUGAAGUAAAAGUAGUUGCACAUGUUACAGUUGAAGAAAAGACUAUCACUUAUAAUGAUCCUAUUGUUCCUACUACUUAUGUUGAGAACCCACAUUUCCCUGUUAGGAUAAAGGAUCAUGCUAAAGCUUCAACUGUGGUUCGUAAGAGUAAUACUAGAACAUAUACACCUCCUGAGCAAAUUAAAGUUGAACCUAGUAUUGCUAUGGUUAAAGAUCUCUUGGUUGAUAAUAUUGAUGGGCGUGUUAUUUAUUUAUGUGAAUAGGUUGCUAACAUUGCUAGACCCGAUGCUAAGAUACAUAGACCUGUUGUAGGCAUGCCUGUUAUUUCUGUUAAAAUAGGAUAUCAUUGUUAUCAUGGCUUGUGUGAUAUGGGUGCCAGUGCUAGUGCAAUACCUCAUUCUUUAUAUGAAGAAAUUAUGCAUGACACUGCACCUGCUGAGAUAGAAGAUAUUGAUGUUACAACUAAGCUUGCCAAUAGAGAUACUAUUUCACCAAUUGGGAUUGUUAGAGAUGUUGAAGUCUUGUGUGGGGAAGUUAAAUACCCUGCUGAUUUUCUUGUUCUUGGUUCCCCACAAGAUAGCUUUUGUCCCAUUAUUUUUGGCAGACCCUUCUUGAAUAAUGUUAAUGCUAGGAUUGAUUGCGAAAAGGAUGUUGUUACAAUUGGCUUAGGAGAUAUGUCUCAUGAGUUUAAUUUUGCUAAGUUUCGUAGACAACCCCAUGAUAAAGAAUUGCCUAGUAAGGAUGAAAUUAUUGGUCUUGCUUCUAUUGCGGUCCCUCCCACUGAUGUGUUAGAACAAUAUUUGCUAGACCAUGAAAAUGAUAUGUUUAUGAAUGAAAGAAGGGAGAUAGAUGAAGUAUGCUUUAAACAGGUUCCUAUUUUGAACACAACUUACCUGUUGAAAUCCUAGGGGAUCCCCCUCCACCCAAGGGUGAUCCCGUGUUUGAGCUUAAACCUUUACCUAAUACUCUUAAAUAUGCUUAUCUUGAUGAAAAGAAGAUAUAUCCUGUUAUUACUAAUGCUAACCUUUCAGAGCAGGAAGAGGAAAGAUUAUCGAAAACUCUGAAGAAGCACCGUGCUACUAUUGGAUAUACUCUUGAUGAUCUUAAGGGCAUUAGUCCCACUCUAUGCCAACACAAAAUAAAAUUGGAAGAAGACGCCAAACCAGUUAGAGAUCAUCAACGACGUCCAAAUCCUAAGAUGAAAGAAGUGGUAAGAAAGGAAAUACUAAAGCUCCUCGAGGCAGGUAUAAUUUAUCCCGUUGCUGAUAGUCGGUGGGUAAGCCCUGUCCAUUGUGUCCCUAAGAAGGGAGGUAUUACUGUAGUCCCUAAUGAUAAAGAUGAAUUGAUCCCGCAAAGAAUUAUUACAGGUUAUAGGAUGGUAAUUGAUUUCCGCAAAUUAAAUAAAGCUACUAAGAAAGAUCAUUACCAGUUACCUUUUAUUGAUCAAAUACUAGAAAGACAAUCCAAACAUACACAUUUCUGCUUUCUAGAUGGUUAUUCUGGUUUCACUCAAAUACCUGUGUCAGCGGACGAUCAAGCAAAGACUACUUUUACUUGCCCUUUUGGUACUUUUGCUUAUAGAUGUAUGCCUUUUUGGUUUAUGUAAUGACCUGCUACCUUUCAAAGAUGCAUGAUGGCUAUAUUCUUUGACUUUUGUGAAAAGAUUUGUGAGGUAUUCAUGGAUGAUUUCUCCGUUUAUGGGUCCUCCUUUGAUGAUUGCUUGAGCAACCUUGAUCGAGUUUUGCAGAGAUGCGAAGAUACUAGUCUUGUUUUGAAUUGGGAGAAGUGCCACUUUAUGGUUAAUGAAGGCAUUGUCUUGGGGCAUAAAAUUUUUGAAAGAGGUAUUGAAGUUGAUAAAGCUAAAGUUGAUGCAAUUGAAAAGAUGUCGUGUCCCAAGGACAUUAAAGGUAUACGAAGUUUCCUUGGUCAUGUCGGUUUUUAUAGGAGGUUCACUAAGGACUUUUCUAAAAUCUCUAGGCCUCUGACUAAUCUAUUACAAAAAGAUAUUCCUUUUGUCUUUGAUGAUGAUUGUGUAGAAGCAUUUGAAAUACUUAAGAAAGCUUUGAUUUCUGCACCUAUUGUUCAGCCACUUGAUUGGAAUUUACCCUUUGAAAUUAUGUGUGAUGCUAGUGAUUAUGCUGUAGGUGUUGUUCUAGGGCAAAGAGUCGAUAAGAAAUUAAAUGUUAUUCAAUAUGCUAGUAAAACUCUAGACACUGCCCAGAGAAAUUAUGCUACUACUGAAAAGGAAUUCUUAGCAGUUGUAUUUGCUUGUGAUAAGUUCAGACCUUAUAUUGUUGAUUCUAAAGUAACUAUUCACACUGAUCAUGCUGCUAUUAAAUAUCUUAUGGAAAAGAAAAAUGGUAAACCUAGACUUAUUAGAUGGGUUCUCUUGCUACAAGAAUUUUAUUUGCAUAUUAUUGAUGGAAAGGGAGCUGAGAACCCCAUUGCAGACAACUUGUCUAGGUUAGAGAAUGUUCUUGAUGACCCACUACCUAUUGAUGAUAGCUUUCCUAAUGAACAAUUAGCGGUCAUAAAUGCUUCUCGUACUGCUCCAUGGUAUGCUGAUUAUGCUAAUUAAAUUGUUGCUAAAUUUAUACCACCUAGUUUCACAUACCAGCAAAACAAAAAGUUUUUCUAUGAUUUAAGACAUUACUUAUGGGAUGACCCACACCUUUAUAAAGAAGGAGUAGAUGGUGUUAUUAGACGUUGUGUACCUGAGCAUGAACAGGAACAGAUCCUACGCAAGUGUCCCUCCAAGGCAUAUGGAGGACACCACACUGGAGAUACAACUGCACAUAAGGUAUUGCAAUACGGUUUUUAUUGGGCUACUCUCUUCAAAGAUGCCCGUAAGUUUGUCUUGUCUUGUAAUGAAUGUCAAAGAAUUGGUAAUAUUAGAAGACGUCAAGAAAUGCCUAUGAAUUAUUCUCUUGUUAUUGAACCAUUUGAUAUUUGGGGCUUUGAUUAUAUGGGACCGUUUCCUGCCUCUAAUGGAUAUACACAUAUUUUAGUUGUUGUUGAUUACAUUAGUAAGUGGGUAGAAGCUAUUCCAACUAGUAGUGCCGAUCAUAACACCUCUAUUAAGAUGCUUAAAGAAGUUAUUUUUUCGAGGUUUGGAGUCCCUAGGUACUUAGUGACUGAUGGUGGUUCACAUUUUAUUCAUGGUGCUUUUCGUAAAAUGCUUGCUAAGUAUGAUGUUAAUCAUAGAAUUGCAUCUCCUUAUCACCCACAGUCUAGUGGUCAAGUAGAAUUGAGUAAUAGAGAGCUCAAAUUAAUUUUGCAAAAGACUGUUAAUAGAUCUAGAAAGAAUUGGUCCAAGAAACUUGAUGAUGCAUUAUGGUCCUAUAGAACUGCAUAUAAGAAUCCUAUGGGUAUGUCUCCGUAUAAGAUGGUUUAUGGAAAAGCAUGUCACUUACCUCUCGAACAAGAACAUAAGGCAUAUUGGGCCAUUAAAGAGCUCAAUUAUGAUUUCAAACUUGCCGGUGAUAAGAGGUUAUUUGACAUUAGCUCACUUGAUGAAUGGAGAACCCAAGCCUAUGAGAAUGCCAAGUUGUUUAAAGAAGAAGUUAAAACAUGCCACGACAAAAGGAUACAAAAGCGUGAGUUUAAUGUAGGUGAUUAUGUGUUGCUAUUCAACUCUAGUUUAAGAUUUUUUGCAAGAAAACUUCUCUCUAAAUGGGAAGGCCCUUACGUUAUCGAUCAGGUCUAUCGUUCCAGUGCCAUAAAAAUCAACAACUUUGAAGGCACAAAUCCAAAGGUGGUGAACGGUCAAAAAAUCAAACAUUAUAUCUCAGGCAAUCCUAUAAAUGUUGAAACUAAUAUUAUUGAAACCGUGACCCCAGAGGAAUACAUAAGAGAUACUUUCCAGAACGUUUUAGACUCCGAAAAGGAAUAGGUAUGUGGUACGGUAAGAAAACCGACUCCAAAACAAUUCUAAUAGCAAUUUUUCUCCGUUUUGGAAUAUUUAAGAAAAUAGGAAAAUAAGAAGUAGUCUGAGAUGGACACGAGGCUUCCACGAGGGUGGAGGGUGCGCCCUACCCUACUGGGCAUGCCCCCCUGCCUCGUGGGCACCUCGUGUGUUCUCCGAACUCUGUUUUCUUGCACGAUACUUCUUUCGGUCGGUAAAAAUUCAUUAUAUAAUCUCCCGGAGGUUUUGACCACCGUAUCACGCAAAAAAUUUAUGUCUUUGUUUUGAGCUGUUUUUCUAACAGAUCUAGAGCAUCAUGACGGCACCCUCCUUCAACAAUGAAGACAAGGAUGCUUGGCUAUUGAAGAUAGAGCUGAAGAGAGAAGAACCUGAAGAGAUAUACAAGGAUGAAGGGAUCAAGGAGGCCAUGGAGGAUCAAGCUCCAGUGGCCGAAGAAGAAAACAUCCCUCAACCUCUUCCUAACCUCUUUACCCCAACUGAGAUUGAAGCUUUCAAGAUGAUUGAGUUAGCUCGCAUACAAAACAAGUAUCUCACACAGGAAAAUAUUUUGUUGAAGGAUCAUAUCGUCGCACUUAAGGGCAUUAUCCGCAAAUUGGAAGAGCUUCUGUGCUCGAUGUGCGACUAUCCAUCAUCAUCACCACCUUCUUCGUCGGCAAAGGAGACAUAAUCACAUGGGUAUGAUGGGUUGCUAGAGUGACAGAAGCUUAAACCCUAGUUUAUGUGUUGCUUCGUAAGGGGCUGAUUUGGAUCCACUUGUUUCAUGCUAUGGUUAGGUUUACCUUAAUACUUUUUUUGUAGUUGUGGAUGCUUGCAAUAGGGGUUAAUCAUAAGUGGGAUGCUUGUCCAAGAAAGGGCAGUACCCAACCACCGGUCCACCCACAUAUCAAAUUAUCAAAGUAACAAACGCGAAUCAUAUGAGCGUGAUGAAAACUAGCUUGACGAUAAUUCCCAUGUGUCCUCGGGAGCGCUUUUCUCUAUAUAAGAAUUUGUCUAGGCUUGUCCUUUGCUACAAAAAUGAUUGAGCCACCUUGCUGCACUUUAUUUACUUUCAUUGAUUGUUACCGGUUACAAAUUAUCUUAUCACAAAACUAUCUGCUACCUACAAUUUCAGUGCUUGGAGAGAAUACCUUACUGAAAACCGAUUGUCAUUUCCUUCUGCUCCUUGUUGGGUUCGACAGUCUUACUUAUCGAAAGGACUAAAUAGAUCCCCUACACUUGUGGGUCGCCACAUUCCUAUCCUAUUCCGGUGUUUUUCCUAUCCCUGCAUUUUAAGAAUCAUACAAGCCAAAUGAUCCCUUACAGAAUUACUUCAGUUACAGGUAGGUGUCGAAGGGAACUUUGUGUGGUUUGUCCUGCUCCUGCCACGACGUCGUCCACCUCACCUGAGCUGCUCCAUCGACAGAAGCAUCCACCAAACCAGACAUCAUGACUCCUGGCCGUCUUUCGCCGCCUCAGAUCUCCUUCCCUGCCGCCGGCACCCACCGCAACGGCAUCACCAUCAUCGACUCAGUAGAUGAACCUGAGGAGUACACGGGUCCAGAAGAGAGUUCGCACUCUUUUGUUUCUGCUUAUGUUAUGCAUUGCUUAAAAUUACCUACUACUUUAUCGUCCUGUUCACCUCUUGGACUCCAAGUCAGGUCCAAAUUAAUGUUCAAACUUGAGUUCUAAAUUAGUUGUGGGGCACAUAUCGAGGCAGCAAUGAAUAGUAUGUCUGUCUAAUAUCUGGUUCACCUAGGGUAUGCCUAUGUUCUUUAUCUUUGGUGGGAAACAAAUAGUAAAGUAAUCAUCAUCUGUCUUUUUAUUAAAAUUAAAGAAAUCAUCAGCCUGCUAUCAUUAUUUUUGGAUCCAUCCAUUGGUUGUUACCAUCACUCUAAAUUUCAGCAUGCUCUCCUUAUAUAAUCUCACCACAUUUUUUUGUAUGCAUGUCAGAUAUUGUACACAGUCAUGUUGAACAUGUAGAGAAAAACAGAAGAGUUUUGCGUGGCAAUACAAUGUCAUGCAGACAUCGCUCCAUGGUGGGUUCAAUGGCAAACCCUCCCCACCCCUCUCCAGAUUGUAAUCCAGAGGAGGAUAUCUGUUCUGAGGCGGAUUCAGACGCCGCUGACCACUCCUAUUUACCCCCCAAGGUGUUUGCUCUACCUUGGCAUGAUGAUGUUAGUCAUAUCAUGCAUAUGUUGCCUUGAAGUGCCUACUUUUGACAUCAUAUAUGUCAUCUGCUUAGUUUAGACAUGUUCUGCAAUGCCACAUGUUUAGUUUCUAUAUCAUAUAUGGGAAUUAUGCAGCCUCAUGUCUUUUAACCAGCCAUAACAUAUGUGAAAUGUGCAAUGCCAUCCUGUUUAACCGGGCAUCAUAUAUUUGAAUGAUAUCUUGCCCAUCCUUUUCUUCAUUACAUUUCCAUUUGUCGACAAUGUUUGUACAUUAAACUACUCUUCCUGUGAAUCAGCCAUUUGGGUGUUAGAUGGAAAAAUUGUUGGAGAUAUGCCCUAGAGGCAAUCAUGUAUGAUGAUAUUUCCUAUGUGUUUAUGAAUAAAGAUAGUCCUUGGACAUUACCAAUGAUGUGUAUCAGCAAGUACGUGACUUGUUUGUGGGAAUAUGCAUUGUAUGAUGACUGUCCUAAAAGGUCCCUAGUUGAAAGGGCUGUGUGGACGCGCAGCCGACUAGACUAGCAUAUGACACGGUCGAUGGCUUGGUCUCACUAGCCAUGGAGCAUUGGAUACUAACCGGAUAGUAUGGACUUGGAAAGGUCUGGUCGGAUUCGACGUAGUCGGAUCCGAGUCGAGAUAAGGUCCGAGUCGGACAGACCCAACUAUGAUACGCAGCGAUAUGUCAUCUGUGAGGCUCUAGUACAACAUACAUUCUAUGUCCUAAGACCUGAGCUAGCGCAUGUACUCGGGAUGGGGACAGACUUUCUUUGGGCCAACCAAACGCUACUCCGUGACUAGGUAGUUACAAAGGUAGGUUUCGGGUUUGUCCGGUCCCAUGCUGCGAGACAUGGUCGAGUAAGAUGGGAUUUUCCCCUCUGAUUGGGAGAGAUAUACUUUGGGGACCUCGUGUGAUCCGACCAAGAGAAGCAUGGACAUGCGACAAGGAUUAUGAGAUAAUCCGGAUUGUGGUCAGCAUCACUGGAAUGAGAAAGAGGUCGGGCUAGCACAACGAUGACAGUCUCGCCUUGAGCCCGACAACAUAUAUCAUGAGGCAAAGGGAACAUGAGUCUGACACGUUGUACAGGUUUGCCUAACCAGCUUCAUAGUCUGCUUGGUGGUCGGCACGCCUUGCUAGAGGCCGCUACCAACCAUGCAGGUCAGAGGUGAUCCGUACUGUGACCAAGCCGACUUGAACCUAAGGGGUCGCGCGCUUAAGGGAAGGAACCUACGAGGUCAGUUCGUAGGGCACUGGUCGGAUGUGAUCCGAACUGGACUAGGAACGUGACCGAGUAGACUUUGGGCUUUAGGGUCCAUGCGAGGCCCAAGUGUUGAGCCUACGGCGGACGACUAUAUAAAGUGGAGGUGUGGCACACUCAUGUGAUUGAUUGCUUCGGUGCUGCGACUAGGGUUUGCAUGUGUUGUGAAUAGCUACCUCCACUCGCCGCCGACUGUGUGAUCAGACCUAGCAGUCCGCCGCACGGUGUUCCUCCUGCACACACGGAUACCAUUAGAUGCGGUGCACUUGCGCCGCUCCGGCGAACUUGUACGUGGGAUCGGAUGACCGGUUGUUUGAGGGACAUCAGACGAGGAGGAGACAAUCCACACGGACGCGCUGCCUCAACUCUAAUUCCGCUGCAUGGCACUGCGCGUCUAGUGGUAAUGAAUUGUGAUCCAUCUCCCGUAGCAUGUUCCUGUUGUUCUGCGCAUAGGAAAAUUUUAAUUUGUAGUCGACGCACCCUACCAUAGAACCCAACAAAAAUCUGGAGUGAAAACAAGGCCUUCAGAGUAGACAGUGCUACCUGUCGAAGCAGAUCUCUUGUUGGGUCUCGAUAGGUCCUCAGAGAUGGAUUCAGAGACAGAUGACCAGUCAUAUUCCCCCACCGAGGUGUAUGCUCAAACUUGGCAUGGUUAUACUGCUCAUAUCAUGCAUAUGGUGUCUUGCAUUGCAUAGUUUAGACAUCAUAUACACAAUGUUCAACACCAUGUUCUUAGUUCAGACAUCAUAUCGAAUGCCCUCUGUUUAGCAUAUAAAUCACAUAUGUGAAUUAAAUGAUGCGAUCUUGAUUACUUAGAUAACAUGUAGGUGAAUUAUGUCGUGCGAUCAUGUUUAGUUAUUCAUCAUAUCUUUGAAUUAUGUAGAUAGACAUCAUAUAUGUGAAAUUGUGCCAUGUUAUCCAUUUUAGUUAAACAAUAUACAUGUCAACUAUUUCAUGCCCUAUUUUUUCCACACUAUCUAUUGCAUCUGUCUCUCAUACAAUGUCUAUACAUUCAACUAUGUUUCCUGUUUAUUGCCCAUUUGAAUUGGAGCGGGUGAUGCCAGUAUCUAGCAGACUAAAAACACGGUCUUCAAAUAAAACAGUGCUACCUCUUGAUGGAGAUAGCACCCCGGUUGUACAUGCACAAGAACCAGCCCUACCACACAUAACCCAAACUCUCGCAGAUUGUACCCCUACUGCGAUGGACAGAGAACCAGCGUCACCUAAUCUAACCCCAACCCCAGCAGAUAGUAACCCAGUUCAUGUUGACACAGCACCAUCUCCACCAUAGAGCUCCCAAACAAGAGCAGUUAGUAAGGCAGCUCCAGUGCCCAAAGGGCCAGUACUACCACGAUGAACCCCAACUCCACCAGUUAGUACACCUAUUCCUGUGGAGGAAGCACAACCAGCUAGUCGUAGUUUAGCAUCUAUCGCAUUUGAUGUUGUUAAAUCGUAUGUGCGUAUCUUCCCAUCUUGGAAAUAUUAUACUAAAGAUGAAGGAAAAUGCCAGUUGCAGGUGUUUGUCCAGGAGUUAUGUGUAAGUAAUGUUAUUCAUGGCAAUUACUUUGCUUUGUCCCAUACAUCCUACCUCCAUGAUGGUUAUAAUACAACAAUUUUUUUCCCAUUUUUCUCUAUAGAGAAGGACCAAUUUGGAAACUCAGGAUGAGGUAACAUGUGCUAAUACCUCUACUAUCUUCAAGAAUGCUUGGUGGCAGUAUUAGAAUUACCUGAAGAAAACGUACUUCACCGGCAAAGAAACUCAUCAAAUUCCCUUGUGUUCUCCUGAGACACAUUUACUGGACGAUGACUGGGAAUGCCUUGUUCUAUACUGGUCCCGAACCAAGAAUGUGGUAAGGUCUAUGAGCUCAUUUUCUAUUUUUAAGUAUUAUAUUCUUGCGUCUUACUGUACUCUGUUCAUGUAGAACAAGUUCCUAAACCUGAAGAACAAUUGUUCUAAUAUAAGAUUACAUUGCUAUCAUAGUUCAAAAAAGCGCUAGGCGUUAAUUGUGUGUUUUGCCACCGCCUUGCGCUUUACUGACCAAAGCGCAUGCUUAUGUGCAAUUAUGCACAGAUUAAGUGUAGUUAUGCGCAAUGCAUUUUGCCAACGCCUAGAGCCUAGGCACGCCUCUUUUAACUAUGAUUGCUAUCGUGCAUACUGCUUUGCUCUUGUAUCACUGUAUUUACUCAUACAAACUUACUUUUAAAUUGAAGGAUCCAAUAGAAACUCCAAUGGCACAGCAGGUAUGUUCACGCAUGUUUCUUUAACAGGUUUGCUCUUAUCAAUAGCUCUGUUGAUUUCAAUUUCAAUUGUGUAUACAGUUGACUUCUCAUAUCAUGCAUAUUACUACCAUCACAACAGAGCCAAUAGUGUUGUUGUACAUGUAGACCCAUGGUACCCAUCUAAAAUCUUGUUAUGUCAUGUAGUUUCCCAUGCUUUGUAUUCUUUCACUGCUGCUUUGUCUUGAACUGAUAUGAUUUGAACCGUGUCUCUAUUUUGAUUUGGCAAGACAAUGCAGUGACCAUAGGACAUAGAUAUAUGUUUGUUUGAUGCUUCUAUUAUGUACAAGUACUUGGCAAUAGAAGAAUUGGUAGUUUAAUCCUGUCCACCUUACUAAUUAACUGGUUCACCGAAAUGAGUUUCAUAUACUAGUACAUGCUAAACCUAUUAUGUGUCUGCUUGUUUCUUCUUUUAGAAUGCUGACAGAAUAUUGGGGAAGAGUGCCUUAUUAAGCAAUGGUAAAGGAAGUAAUGCAGAUAAGGUUCAGGAUAGUGACACAUCCUUGUUGGUCUCCAACAAAGCUGAUAAAACAGCUAAGGAAGACUAUCUUGAAGACAGUGAGACAACCCUAAAGUCCUGUCUUGGUUUAGUGUUCGAGUUACUGGCCACUACCGCUUGCACAAGCUAUUCAAACUCACUGUCUGAAUCAGUUCAGUUUCUUGAGUCUCAACUACAAGUUGAAAGACAUCGAUCAGCUGUGCUGCGUCAAGAAGCGGAAGGGCUGCGGAAGUCCCUGGAGCAUUCAGAUGCAUACUUUCUGGUGCAACAGCAAGCGUUGGAGGAUUUUAGCGCCAAACAGGACAAAGCUAAUAAGCUUGCUAAGCUUAUUGCCAGCAUGGUGGAUACCCAGGAUAACAUUUCUUGAGCUCUUCUGAAGUUGUUUCAGUUAUGCUCUUGUUUUGCUACUGCGUUUAUUUGCACUAGUGGCCAAUUUUGACGGCUAGUGUAUGUAAUAUGCUGCUUUGCUCCCUAUAUUUGCACUGGUGGCGAACUUUGCUGCCCAGUGGAUGUAAUAUGUGUAACAGUAGUAAUAGGCUAGCGUUAAUUGCUUGCUUAUUUAUUUCCUUAUUGUCUUGUUUAGUUGUUUGCUUGUAGUCACUGUUGUUCUUUUUCUGUGUUUUUCUAGUGGCCACAAUAGCCUAUUUUUGGUAACUAGGCCAAAAUAAUCAUGGCAACACAUGGACUGUUGUAACCAUGGGCCUCCUGUGGGCCGUAUGAUCCAUGGGCCUUCUACGGCGUAGGAUCCAUUGGCCUUCUAUAUGGGCCGUAGGAUCCAUGGGCCUUCUAUGGGCCGUAAGGUCCAUGGGCCUUCUACGGGCUGUAUGAUCCACGGGCCUUCUACCGGCCAUAAGAUCCAUGGGCCUUAUACGGGCCAUAGGAUCCACGGGCCUUCUAUGGGGCGUAUCAUCAUUUUGCCAAUCAUGGGUCAUACUAUUCAUGGACCAUAACGGGCCGUUAAUAGGCCGUAUUUGAUAACUCUAUGAAAACAGCCCAACGGGUUUUUUUACAUGAAAAUGGCCCAACAUAUUAGCGGUCCACAAACGGGCCGACUGUAACGACGGGCUGAAUGGCCCACAAGCAGAAAAUGACGGUAACAGGUCGUAAGUAACCGAAUGCUGCAAAUGAGCCCAAGAAUAAAUGGGCCUGAGAAAGCCGAAAGAUAACUUGGGCUGGAAACAGCCCAGUGGGAUAAUGGGCCGUUAAUGGGUAUAAAGUGAUACACUAUUUAUUACGGGCCAGUUUCACCAUGGGCCGUUAAUGGGCCAAGAGUUAAAAAGGGCCUCAUAUGGGCCGAAAGAAGUCAUGGGCCACACAUGGGACAAAAGUUAAAAUGGGCUGGAAUCAUAUUGGACAGCCCAGAUGAUGCUACUGGGCCUAAUUCGAAGAGGUCGUAACGGGCCCUGGGUUAGCGGGUUGUAAAUGGGCUAUAUGCGAACAGGCCAUUAACAGGCUUUCCGUGGGCCGGCCUGCCACCUUUUGACCAAGUCAAAUUGGCUGGCCUUUUCACAGGAAUGGGCCUUUGUUGGGUCGUGCCACGUGUUGAUGUAUCAUAGGUGCCUUGGGUCCAAUGAGUGGAUGACAUCUAUCCCAACGGUGAGCCGACACGUGUUUCCUCCAGCCAAUGAUGAUUUUACACGUGGAAAAUCCCCAUUGGUCGGGGCUGUCAACGGGUUAUCGGAUCCAAAACCGGACCCAAUAGCUUAACGGCAUUCCGUUACGGUGGAUGCCACGUGUCGGUCACCCUUGACGAAAGCACUUCUGUGACGCGCGAUUUAUCGUCAUGGAAGUGGACACUUCCGUGAUGAUAAUUUUGGUAAUGUCAUGGAACACUUCUACGACAGCACAGGUAUGACUAUCUUGAUUCUGUCAUAAAAUCAUCAUGGAUGUACAUGCAUGAUAGAAAAUGUGACCUACUGUGACAAACACGUAUCAUCACGGAAGUGUAUAUUUUUUGUAGUGUGUGUGCCACUAUGGCGCCUUCUUCAACUAUAAAAGGAGGCUUAAGGCGUACUGGAGAGGGAUUCGGCUCUUUGGGCAAGUCACGCUCGAUAGCUAGUUCAAGAACACUGAUAUACACGCCAAAGCAGGACUAGGGUAUUACACGAUCUCCGCGGCCCGAACCUGGGUAAACGAUCUUUGUGCUGGGUCUUAGACCUGCUCUUCUCACGGCCCCGCGCCCGCCGACCACAGUAGGGAUUCUUGUGAUCCCAUAGGUGUCGUUCCCACCGAUGUCUUUGCCGCGCCAGGUAGGGGGCGCAGUCGUGAGAAUCUGGUCUAGUAGCUGGUCCAGCAGUUCUUCGUCGCCAUGGUUUCCAAGAAAGGAGGCGAUCCAACAGGCAGCAUCAUCCACGGAUACAGCAAACGCUCGCGUGGCGACAGAAAAGCUAAGUCACGCAAACACUUUCCGUGAUUCUUUAUAUAUAUAUAUAUAUAUAUAUAAUCAUAUAUAUAAUCAUAUAUAUAUAUAUGAUUAUCCUCCACGGAGAUCUUUUCCUCUGUAUACAAAGCCUGUACGCAAUAGGUCCCUUCCACUAUUGGCAACGCCUUCGUUCUGUUUCGAUUCCGCUCAACAGUUCGAGCGGCUGGGUCGAGAAACGGCAUGGUAGCCUUCCGCUAUUGGCAACGCUCUUUCUCUAUCUCGAGUCCACUCGACAGCUCGAGCGGCCGCGCUGGGAACGGCAAGGUGGUUCGCCUGGCAGCACACACACCCGGCAGGCCAUUGGGGAUCCGUCCUCGAGGUGCCGCGGCAUGGGUUUACGCGCCGAAGAGCCUACCCAAUCAACGUAGGGUGGACAUACAGAGAAAGAUCAAAUUGGAAGAUAACAUGCAUAGUUUUAAGAGUACUGCAGGGUUAUAUUACAUUAAUUGUUGCUGCGGUUCUAACUAAAGAUAUGAAUUGUCUUGGUCGUGAACCUGUAGCGCAACAAGUGACGGGGUGCCUAGUCCUGGCGCUGGCCUUCGAUCCUCUCGAUCCCGUCGACGCGGCUGAUGACGGGCUUGAUACGCUCCUUGAGCGGCGCGAGGUCCACGUCCUCCCACAAGUUCUCCAGCGCGGCGUCGAAGUCGAGGUCGGGGUACCAGUAUGCCAACUUGGUGAGGACCUUGGUCAAGGCAUCCCGGCAAAGCUACCGGGCCUCAUUGGCCAGAGAGCUCGCUCUGUUAGAGCGAAACUGCUCCAAGGCUCCAAGAACACCCUCGAAGAACAGGGUCAGCCUGGCGUUGGGGCUCAUGUUAGGCUUUGGGGUGUACCUCACGUCCGACAUCCCCAUGUCAGCCAACUUCUCGGUGAUCCUGUUGGUGACGUCGACGAGGCGGCUGAUCCAAAGGUUCUCGCCUUUCACGAAGUCCUUGUGGUUGGAGGCAUCGUUCUUCCGCAGCUGUCUCUCCAUCUCCAGGAUCUUGGUCAGGGUCUCAUCCCGGGCCUUGCCCUCCAAAAGCAUCUUCUCAAGACCCUCCAGCUUCAGCUUCAGGUCUUGGAUGGACUCGUUGGCGCGAGUGAGCAGCUCGGCCUUAUCGAAGACUAUGCCCUGCGCCUGCGUCAAGGCGCAGUUGAUCGAGUCCUUCUCCUUCACCAGCUGCUCGGCCCUGGUCUUCAGGUCGUCCCGCUCCGCCUCUAGCUCCUUCACCUUGUUGCCAUGGGCCAGAGCUUGAGCAUCAAGUGCUUCUUUGUGCUUCCGCUCUAGCUCCUGGGUCCGCUGUGCGACGAGCCCCGCGACCUCGUCGUUCUUGCCGUGGAGUGUGGUGGCAAGCGCUGCCUCACGAGCUACGAGAUCCUCAUCCUGGGAGUUCGGCUCGGCCUGGCGCUGGGACCGGGCAGCCACCGUCUUGGGCGGCCUCUUCCCUCGCUGCCUCCUGGGCCUUCUUGAUGUCGGCUUGCUUUAGGAGGAGCUCCUGAAGCCGCUCGGACAGCUGGCCUUGAGUAGCCUUCAGCUCCUCGUAGGCCUGGCGGAACCAGGUAUGCGCCUCGGCAACACGCUCCCCGAGGUUUGCCUUUGCUUUGCCUGCCGCCGCCUCCCUGGACUUCACCUUGUCCAGACGGGCGCGGUGGAGCACCUGGAGUUCCUAGAUGCUGGCGCCCAUAGCCCGAAGAAGCUGCUCCUCCUGGGUGCCGCCGCCACCGGCGCUCGGCUCCUCGACAACCUUGAGCCCGGCGGCGGCGAGCACCUCGUCGUCGAACACCUCCCCCUCGGUCAGUGCCCUGGUGCCCGCCGCCCCUAGGAGGUGGACGAACAGGUCGUCACCCACCUUCAGGUACCUGCUCGAGCCAGAGGCAGCAUAGGAGGAAGGUUGAUCAUCGACCACCUCCUCCUCCUUGGCAGCGGCCUUGCCGGGCUCCCCGGCAGGCCCCUCACCGGCCCCCUUGACAGUGCCCUCGCCAGCCUCCUUGGCGGUUCCCUUGCCGGCCUCCUUGGCGGCAGCCUCCUCGGUCCCUCCGGCAGGCCCCUUGGCGGUGUCCUCGGCGACGUUCUCGGCGGCCUCCUCAGCGGCGACCUUGUUGGCCUCGGCCACGGCGUCCUGGGCAACCUUCGUGAUGAUGGUGUUGAUGUCCUCCUGGUCCGCUGGGGGGGGAUCUAGAUGCCGAAAGGAAGGGUGAGGCGAGACCAAGAUUAAGGAUCAAAAACAAAAGAUGGAAGAAAAGCAGGAACAGAAAGCAGGAGGCCUAUCUGUGCCGGGCGGAGAAGAAGUGGCCUCCUCCCCGCCAACGCCUGUUGUCGGGGCGGAGCCACCAGCGUCGGGGCCACCAGCGCCCAAGUCCACCUCCUCCUCCUCCGUGCGCAUGGGCUCGAUGCUUGGUGCCCUUGCUGGGGACGCCCCUCGGGGCGGUGUGGUUGAUGGGGACGGCGUGCUGGAGGCGGCCCUCAGUGGCUCCUCCCGCUAUCGUCCUCCUCCUGUAGCCAUGGCAAGGUUAGCGCCAAGAAGCCGUACCCCGACACGCGUUGACAAGGAGCAGAUGGUGAACUCACGCUGGGGGCUAAGCCGGGGGCUGCUGUCCGAGCUGACCUCCACCACCGGCGCAUGCAAAGCACCCGCCGGAGGCUGGUCGCCUGCCGGCGCCAUGGCCCUCUUCACCACCCUCUGGGCCAGCGUCUCCCUAUCACUGCAAAGACAAAAACAAGUCAAGGAAGGCAUCACGAAGAAUGAAGGUGGGGAAGGGCAGACACUUACUCAUCCUCCGCCUCCUCUUCCGCUGCCUUCCGCUUCCUCUUUGGGCUGAGGGACACAAGAUUAAAGACGACCCCCGUGUCGAUGUCUGCGGGAGGGGGAGAGGGGGAUGGGGUCCGGAAACACUUGGACGAAGAAGAAGCAGUCGCUUUCUUCUUUGCCAUCGUGGUCUUCGCCGCCUUCUUCGCCGUCAUGGCCCUCGUCUGGCGCACGGCCUCCCCCUGGGCCCCUUGCCACGGCCAAGUCCUCCUUGGUAGGACUGGCUCACCAGAGCUGGCCCGCUGCAGGACACACCCUCUUCUUGUGGCCGGAGGAUCAUCGGACUCGGCCUCUCCCUCGGUCGCCUCCUCGAUGAGAGGGGCCCCGGUGUUGGCGCCGCUGGCCUUCCCGGCAGCAUUCGCCCACUAGGCAAGCUCCAUCUCCUCCAUGGCCACGCCGUCCUUGUCCUCCAUGCCGCCAGCGCUGCCGGCCUCCAUGGCGAGCUGCGCCUCCGCCACCCUAGCGGCGAUGUAGUUGAUAUCCGCCUGGGUGGUCUCCACGAUGAGCAGUGGCUCCUCACGCUCGAAGUCCUCCGACAAGUUGUCAAACAACUCCUGCACCUCGCGUGCCGGGGCCUGACCCGGGACGGGUCGAGGUCGUGCGCGUUGAAGACCGGCAUCAUCUUGAGGAUGGCGGCCUGACACGUGUUGUUGCUCAGCGGGAACACGCCCGGCGGCAACCCAAAUAGGGCCCCUUGAUGGCCUUGCCGGCCUUGGCGGCCCUGCCGGUCCUCUCCAACCUGCCGUCGGCGAACACGUCGAGCUGGAAGAGCCUCUGGCAGUGAUGGUCGUGCCCCAUCACCCUGAAGUUGUGCUUCAGGCCGGGGCAGAGCCUCAUGAUGUCGGCCGCGUUUCUAAAAUCCCAGGCCGGCCUCCCCUUGUUGUGCAGCGGAGCAAUUCGGCGGCGGAUGAAGUCCGCCCCGAUCAUCUCGAGGGUGAGCCCAGCCGUGGUGAGGUGGUGGAUCCUGGCGAUGGCGAUCGAGAGCUUCGUGUCGUCGGUGUCAACAUCACUCCAGUCAUCUCCACAAAGCGUCGGGCUCCGGUGAACCUGGCAGAACUCCGGCGGAUUCUCUUCCUUGAUCUAGCACCACCGACCCCGCCACUCUUCCCACCUCUCCAUGUGGGUACCCUCCGGAUAUGUGCCCCUCCCUUGGGUCCUCGGGAUCCAGGAGAUGCUCCCGGAGAGGGCCCCCCUGGCUGGAGGCGAGGGGAAAAGUAGUGGCGGAAGAGCGUCAUGCUGGGGAGCACCCCAACAAAGCCCUCGCAAAGGUGGGCGAAGAGCGCCAUGUACGCCAUGGCGUUCGGCGUAAGGUCCAGAAGGCAGAAGCCGAAGGUGUGCAUGAUGUCGUUGAGGAAAUCGGAAAAGGGGGGGUAGAGCCGCAGGAAAAGAAAUCGAUGAAGAAUGGGUACCAAUCUGGGCCGUCCUCGCCACAGUCGGCGGGGACGAUGUGCGUGGCCGGGUGCCCCGUCGUCUCCGCCACCCACAGAGUCCUGAAGACAUCCUUGAGGUGGAACACGUCGACCGACAACGGGGAGAAGUAGGCGAACUGCGCUCGCCGUGCCACCGCUUCGUUCUCCGGUGCCUCCUUCUCCGCGACAUCUUUGGCCGCCCCCUUGCCCUUUCCCUUGCCGGUCUUGGGUGCCAUGGCGACUGGGCGAAGGCAAAGGAUCGAGAGCAAUGGGGGCGCAACAACGACGAGCAGAGGCAAGCUCGAUGAGGGAGAAGAUGGGAACGGCUGUGCCAGGACCUUGGAAAAUGCAGAGGGUAAAUGAGCAGCGCGCCUGCGGUUAUUCCUUUUUAUACGGAAGGUGCGGGCCGCCUCUUUACCAUUUACUGCAACGUGACGCAUGCGUGCAGAAUAUGCCCCAUGCAUGCCUCCCACAUCAUGCACGGCCUUGCACGUCGCGCGUUCAACACGGGUCGUGGGGAAGCACAGCAGGCGGAAAAUUACCGCGGUAAGAACUGGCCCCGCCUGCCCGCCACCAUUCUAGGCCUAGCCCAACAACGCGUCGCGCUAAUGUGUGGUCCAGGCCCGGGGGCUCCUGUCGGUGUACAGCAGUAGGGGUUCUACUUUGUACCCCUUUACCUGUGCACGGGCAGCCAGAGCCACGGCCACAGCCACACUUAGCGGGGCAGGUGUGGGAACCGAAGCCACCAGACGAUCAAAGCAAUGCCAAGACAGAGACACAAAGAGCAAGAGGGUGAGGUGGACUCCCCCGGCAAGACCCUUGCCGGGGCGGCCUCCACGGCCCCGGCAAGGACCUUGCCAGGGCAGCUUUCCCAACCCCAGCAAGCGCGCCACCCUUGAGCCCGAGGUUUCCAAUACCAACAAACACAUUGGAACAAAGGCUCGGAAGGCGCCUCCAUGGUGGCAUGCAGAUCUUUGUGAAGAUCAUUAACACAUAAUAUGAGGUAAGGACUAGAAGACGAGACCUCCGGCAACAUCCUUGCCGGGGACGACCGCAGUGCCAUGGUAAGACCCUUGCCGGGUCCCCCGGCAAGACCCUUGCCGAGGACAUCAGCGAGGCCGCGGCCAGGCCCGCACGCGUCAAUACUCCACCGCCGUUCCCAUGCAGCUGCCAGCCCAGCCAGCCAGGCGGGCACCUGCAUGGCGACGUGCGGUCCCAAGGCUAACUCAGCAAGCACCUGCCUGGUGGCAUGCAGAUCUUCGUGAAGAUGCUACCACCGUGCCACCUCAGCAGCCUUCCAGCCUACAUGGCGCUGCCCACCCCGCUAGCUUGGGCGCAUGUCAAAGUAGGGCGAGGCGGCGAUAAAGCAGGAGGACACCUCAGACGCACAUUUAAUGUGUCUUAUCCCGUAAUGGCAAGCGAUAAACAUAGCUACUGUACCCUUUCCACCUCCUGUGUGCCACUGUGGUGCCUUCUUCAACUAUAAAAAGGAGGCCCGAGGCGUACUGGAGGGGGAUUCGGCUCUUUGGGCAAGUCACGCUCGAUAGCUAGUUCAAGAACACUGAUAUACACAUCAAAGCAGGACUAGGGUAUUACGCGAUCUCCGCGGCCCGGACCUGGGUAAACGAUCUUUGUGCUGGCUCUUAGACCUGCUCUUCUCACGGCCCCGCGCCCGCCGACCACACUAGAGAUUCUUGUGAUCCCAUAGGUGUCGCUCCCACCGACAAUAAUGUUUGCAAUAAUAUUGAAAGUGGGUUUGGAAGAGCGUCAACUCUAGGUAAAAAUAAUCCCACAUAUGUGGAGAGUGUUCAAUCUCGUGAAAUUCUUGAUAAAAGUGGGCUUGGAGAGGUCAUAACUUUAUUUGAUGAUAAUCCCACUAUUUUGGAUGAGUGUUAACUUUGCAUGCAUGUGGAUCAUGAAGAGAAUAUUUUAUGUGAUAUUUAUAUUGUUGUAGAAAUUUUCAUGUCACUAAAUUACCUCUCGCUAUAUUGAGAUUGCUAUUGUUUCUUUCUUCUUCCUUGCAUAUGCUGCAUAUGUCUUGUCUUGACAAUUUGUUUACCUAUAAAAUUCCUAUGCAUAGGAAGUAUGUUAGACUUAAAUGUGUUUGGCACAUGCUACAUGAUUCUCUCUUUGUUUCAAUUAUUAUCUUUCUUGUGAGCAUCAUUGAAAUGGUAUGCCUAGCUAGGGGCGUAAAACGAUAGCGCUCAUUAGGAGGCAACCCAACUUGUAUCUUUUUGCCUUUUGGUUUCCUUUCUGGUUUCAAUAAAAUACACAAUUAUACCUCUAGUUAGAUGUGUUUUGUGGUUUUGUGCCAAGCAAGGCCUUUGGGAUGAUUUGGGUGAAAGUUGAUUUGAUCUUGCUGAAAAAUAGAAACUUACACUCAUGAAAAUAAUUUUCAUAAAUCAUAGAAAGUUUAUUUGAGUUUAUUCUUUUUGCAGAAGAUUGAUAUACAAAUUGCUCAGGUUUUCCUAAUUUCUCAAGAUUUUUGGAGUUACAUAAGUAUUCUAAAUAUCCAGAUUGCUACAGAGUGUUCUGUUUUUAACAGAUUCUGUUUUCUUUGCAUUGUGUGCUUGUUUUGAAGAUUCUAUGGUUUUCUUUGAUGAGUUUUUGCCAUAGAAAAGUUGGAAUACAGUAGAUGUAAUGCAAAAAUAAAAUAUGAAUAGGUUUGCAACAGUACUUAUAGCAGUGGUUUGCUUUCUUAUACUAACGGAUCUCACAAAGAUUUUGUUGAGUUUUGUGUGAUUGAAGUUAUCAACUUUUGGGUGAUCUUACGAUGGAUGAAGGAAUAAGGAUUAGCAAAAGGCUAAUCUUGGGGAUGUUUGAGGCACCCCAAGAUAAUAUUCAAAUAAGUAGCAAGCAACUAAGCUUGGGGAUGCCCCCGAGUGGCAUCCUCGCUUUCUUCUAACAACCAUCGGUAUUUUACUUGAAGCUAUAUUUUAUUCGUCACAUAUUAUGAGUUUCGCUUGGAGCUUCUUGUAUGAUAUGAGUCUUUGCUUGUUUUGCUUUGUGUUUUAAGUGUUGAAUCCUUGCUGAACACACAUUUUUGAGAGAGCCAAAAACUAUGCUAUGCUUGCUCCUAUGCUUCACUUAAAUUUUUAGAGCCAUGCAUUUGCUCUAGUACUUCACUUAUAUCUUUUUGAGCAUGGCGUGCUUUGUUAUUUUUGAAGAAAUGCUAUCAUGCUUCACUUUGAGUUAUUUGGGAGUUAGUAAUUUUUUUAGAAAUUCUCUCUUGCUGCACUUAGAUUAUUUUGAGAGAAAGAAAAAAAUUAUGCUCAUGUUCUUCACUUAAAUUUGUUUGAGCUUAUCAAAAGCAACAUAUGAAAAUAGUCCCAAAGUGAUAGAUAUCCGAGGAGGAUAUAACAAAAACUUUCAUGAAGAUCAUUGGACAAAAUAACUUGAUUCUUAGUAAUGGUUUUGAGAUAUGACGAUAUGAUAUGUGAGUCAUGUUGAUGAGUAAUUGUGCUUUAGUAAGAAUACUGAUGUUAAGGUUUGUGAUUCCCUAUGCAAGCUCGAAAGUCAAUAGUUAUGCAAUGAUAUUUAAAUCCUACUUAUGGUGCAUUACUCGCUGUUACUUAUGCUUAAUGCUUGGGUACGAGAUUUUUUGCUUUUUGGUUGGUCGCUUCUCAAUCUUUUUGCUAGCCUUCAUUUUGCACUAAGUGUGAUCACUACUUGUGCAUCGAAAACCCGUUAAACCAAUUUUGCGAUAUGAGUCCACUAUACCUACCUAUAUGUGGUAUUUCCAAGCCGUUCUAAGCAAAUUUGCAUGUGCCAUCUCUAAUUUUCAAAAUAAAUUUCUCUUUUGUGUGCUCUACCGCUCGUGAGGAGGUGAGAAGUGGCCAAUAUUUUCCAUGCUAGAUGUGUUAUUCUCACGAUGAGUGUUUAUUAACAUGUCAUUGCACAAGAGUACGGCAAAGGUAUUAGGGAUGCCCAGUCCGGAAAUGAAAAAUGAAUUUACUUUAUGUUGUCAAAUAAUAAAUUCCUUGGAAAGUGUUGGUAUAGAGGGCAACCAUGGAUUCGGCUAGCCAUGGAAAGUGAAAGUAAUGGUGGAAAAAGGAAUAAACUUUAUUUUCUGUUUGGGAAACGCCUAUGAUGUAUCUAGCAUGAAAAGUGUUGGGAGCCCUAAGUGGUGGGAAAAGUAUGCCUCUCAAAAAUGUUUUUAUCUCCCAAUUUAAGCUUUGAGCUCUGGCACCUCUACAAAUCCCUACUUCCCUCCGCGAAGGGCCUUUCUUUUACUUAUGCAAUUUUUAUUUUGAAUUUGAGUCUCCACCUUCUCUUAUAAAGCACCAACUAAGGGGCACUAUGAUCGUAUUUCAGCAUUGGGUGUAGCUAAUAUUCGAGUGCGUUUCAUGAAUGGAUUAAUGGUUGAGCAUAAUGGGCUAGGGAUAACUUGCUUUAGUGUUGAUAUUUUGAAAGACAUGGUUUCUUAUUGGUAUGCUUGAGUAUUAAAGUCUUCAUGACAAAACUAGACUAUUGCUUCGAAUCAUAUAAACGUCCUAAUGUCCCCUGUUCAAGAAUUCGUCCGAUUAACCAGUUAACUUGCCGAUUAAUCCCUACUCGUUGGGUCACCGAGUAGCUGAUAAACCGAUAAAUCAUCCGAUUAAUUGAUUAAAUGGCCGAUUAACUUGCCGAUUAGCCUAUUAAUCCCUUACUCGCGAGCCAAUCGAGCAGCUACCAGUUACCGAUUUCCUCAACAAUGCUAAUGUCCAUGCUAUAAAGAAAAGAAAUGUGAUGAACAUGUUAGGCAGCAUUCUACAUCAAAAAUUCUGUUUUUAUCAUUUACCUACUUGAGGACGAGCAGGAGUUAAGCUCGGGGAUGCUGAUACGUCUCCAACAUAUCUAUAAUUUUUGGUUGUUCCAUGCUAUUAUAUUAUCAUUCUUGGAUGUUUUACAAUCAUUAUAUAGUCAUUUUAUAUCAUUUUUUGUUACUAACCUAUUGACGUAGUGCCCAGUGCCAUUUGUUGUUUUCUGCAUGUUUUUUACAUCGCAGGAAAUCAAUACCAAACGGAGUUCAAACGCAUCGAAACUUUUUGAGGAUUUUUUUUGGGCCAGAAGAUAUCCAGUGGGUCAGAAAAGCACCUGGGGGUGUUCCGAGGGGAGAACAAACCACCAGGGCACGCCUGGAGGCCCAGGCGCGCCCAGGUGGGUUGUGCCCACCUCGGGUGCCCCCUGAACCGCCUCUUUGCUCUAUAAAUACCCCAAUAUUCCAAAAACCCUAGGGGGUCAACAAAAACCAAUUCCAGCCGCCGCAGAGUCCAGAAACACCAGAUCCAAUCUAGACACCAUCUCGGAGGGGUGCAUCAUGUCCAUUGGUGCCUCUCCGAUGAUGCGUGAGUAGUUCUUUCUAGACCUACAGGUCCGUAGUUAGUAGCUAGAUGGCUCUCUCUCUCUCUCUCUUGAUUAUCAAUACAGUGGUCUCUUGGAGAUCCAUAUGAUGUAAGUUGUUUUGCGGUGUGUUUGUUGGGAUCCGAUGAACUUUGAGUUUAUGAUGAGAUCCAUGUUUUUAUCCAUGAAAGUUAUUUGAGUCUUCUUUGAUCUCUGAUAUGCGUGAUUGAUUAUAGCCUCGUAUUUCUUCUCCAAUAUUUGGGUUUUGUUUGGCUAACUUGAUCUAUUUAUCUUGCAAUGGGAAGAGGUGCUUUGUGAUGGGUUCGAUCUUACGGUGCUUGAUCCCGGUGACAGAAAGGGAAACGACACGUAUGUAUCGCUGCUAUUAAGGAUAACAAGAUGGGGUCUAUUUCUACAUAAAUAGAUCUUGUCUACGUCAUGUCAUCGUUCUCAUUACUCCGUUUCUCCAUGAACUUAAUACACUAGAUGCAUGCAGGAUAGCGGUCGAUGUGUGGAGUAAUAGUAGUAGAUGCAGGCAGGAGUCGGUCUACUAAUCUUGGACGUGAUGCCUAUAUAAUGAUCAUUGCCUGGAUAUCGUCAUGAUUAUUGGAAGUUCUAUCAAUUGCCCAACAGUAAUUGUUUUCCCACCAUUUGCUAUUUUUCUCGAGAGAAGCCACUAGUGAAACCUACAGCCCCUGGGUCUCUUUUCAUCAUGUUUGCCUUUGCGAUCUAUUUUCCUUUGCAUUUAUUUUCAGAUCUAUUAAACCAAAAAUACUAAAAUACAUUGCUGCAUUUUAUUUGUUCUGGGAUCUAUUUAUCCUAUUUACCACUUUUAUCUCACGUUAUUUGCCUAUCUUGAGGUGCCAUACCCGAAAGGGAUUGACAACCCCUUUAACACGUCGGGUUGCGAGUAUUUGUUAUUUGUGUGCAGGUGCUGUUUACGUUUUGUGAGGAGGUUCUCCUACUGGUUCGCUAACCUUGGUCUCAUCACUGAGGAAAAUACCUACUGUCGCUAUACUGCAUCAUCCCUUCCUCUUUGGGGAAGUGCUGACGUAGUUCUAGCAGACAUCAUUGGGGGGGCUCAUGGGCCAAGGGGAGGGGGCAAACCAUCCCACUAAGGGGUUGUGCGCCCCCUUCACCCAUUCCCACAUUGCCAGAGGGGGUGGGGGCGCCACCCUAGGGUUCCCACCCCUUUGGCUUGGGGGCCAAGUCUCCUAAGGGGGAACCCAUCUAGGGUUUCCCUCUAAUGGCCGCCGGCCCUAGAUGGGAUCUCCUCGGGGUGCCCCCCUCUCCCCCUUCCCCCUAUAUAUAGAGAGGUAGACAUAGGGCAGCCAUACCCAUCUAUGCCACGGCGCUGCUCUCCCUCUCCCUUGUAGCCAUUUUCCUCUCUGUAGUGCUUAGCGAAGCUCUGCUAAGAUUCCACCAACACUACCGCCACCAUGCAACAUGUUGCCGGAGGACUCGAGCUACUACUUCACCAUCGCUCACUAGAUCGAGGAGGUGAAGGCGUCAUCAAGUUGUACGUGUGUUGAACACGGAGGUGUAGUCCAUUCGGCACUUGGAUUGGAGUUCGUGUGAUGGAUCAUGAUUGGAUCACGAAGACGUUCGACUACAUCAACCGCGUUUCUUAACGCUUCCGCUUAGCAAUCUACAAGGGUAUGUAGAUGCAAUCUCUCCUCUCGUAGAUGGUCAUCUCCUAUAUUGAUCUUGGUGAGCGUAGGAAAUUUUUUGUUUCCCAUGCAACGUUCCCCAACAUUUUGUGAUGCCACUUUGGGAGUUGUGAAAGCAUCGGAAUGCCAUUGUGUUUGGUGGGACAUCACCAUCGAUUGAGCUCCUACUAUGUAAAGUGAGGCUUGAACGCAUGGUGCGGUCAUCGGCAUGAGUACUAAAAGGGAACGUAGACCCUUUCUUCGGUAGACAAGAAAGGUGGGUGAGUAGUGAGGAGCAGCGUUGUAUUCAUGUUGGUGGAGUGGAGUUGAUGUAUUUAUAAACUUGGGGGAGACACUAUGCCUUUCUUCUUUAAUAUAUGAUGUGCACACUCGUGCAUAUUUGAGAAAAAAAAUUAUUCAAUUGAGGUAUUCAAUUUUGGAUUUGAUUUAUGAUUUUGACCGGUCAAACGAUUUUUCAGAUCAAUCAGCAACAACCGGCCUAUAAAAACAUAUCAAUCUCGUGCACCCUCCCACCUCCGAAAAAAAGAAGCACUAACAUAUGAUAUUGUAGCACCAAUAUAGUAGUACAUGCGAACACCGACAUAGAAAUUUCCCAUAUAAAUAUAAGUUGGUUAGCGGAUAACACAGAAUCACACCAUGAAAGGCCCACUAACCGCAUUAUAAAUAAAAAUAAACCACACUCUAUCAUCUCCCCACCUGCGAAACUAAAUAUUACAUUAUUCAAAAUAUAAGGGGUAUUAGUUUUACAGAAAGUCAAAUUUCUUUAACUUUGACCAAGUUCAAAGCAAAAAUAUCGACAUCGGCAAUAUUAAACAAAAAAUAUGGAAAUGCAUUUCCUGAUGAAUUUUAAAAUACCGACUUGAUAUUAUGGAUUUUGAUAUAUUUCUCUACAAAUUUUAUCAAACUUAAGAUGUUGGGUUUUCAGAAAAGUAAUACAUCUUAUAUUUUGAAACAAAGUGAUUAUUUUUUUGAAGAAAUCCAAGAACACCAUCGGCGCAGCAAAGCGCGCCCUACCCUUCUAGAAAGGGUUAUUUAGGAAAUGUAUGAUAGCGUAGGAUUUAUUCUACCUUGACUUAUACUCCAAGAUGACCAUGUACUCCUAUAUAUAUGCCAACGAGGCUCAAGCAAUACAAUCAACGAUUCCACCAAUCCCUCUCUAUCCCUUCUAACAUGGUAUCAGCCUAGCCGAUCCAACCCUAGCCGUUGCCCGCCGCUUCAGCACGCGCGCCGCCCACGGGGUUGUUGGCCUCCAUGACCGCCGUUGGGGGCCGCGCCGCCCGUACCUAGGGUUCGUCCACCGACCGUGUUGACUGGCUGCCCUAGAGUCUUUUUCCCGAGCCGUUGCUCCGGGUUUUUCUCUCUCCUGCAGGUUAUCUUGAUCGGUGUUUUCUUUUUGGUUUUUCAAUCUAAGAUCAGUUUGCGGUUUGCGUCGCCUGACGCCACCGUCGACACCCAUGCGCCUCUACUCCAACACCGGCGUGACCGGCCGGCUGCUUCGCCGACAUGACGGCCUCACGCGACAGGCCGCCUCUCACGACCGUCAUCCACGUGUCUGCCCGCUCAUCGCCCUGCACCGGCCAUCGCCACCCUGCUCCGGCCGGGAUCUCUCGAAUGCCCCCGGGUGCCGGUGCUUCUUUGGCAGCCACGGUGUUGGUGCUGCUUUGGCAGCCCGGGUGCCGGUGCUGACACGCUCAUCCGUGGGGUGUCCCACGUCAUCCAAUGUUGCUGGUUUCAUCUCGGACACCGCCAUCACCCCGCCUCCACCGAGCGACAUCUCUGACAUCGCACAUGAUCGACUUGAUCACCCGCUCGCCGCUGCGAUCCACCGCCAACUACGUCGCGCGCCCAACCUGACCCGUCGGUUGCGCGCACCUCCAAAGGUCCCGUGAAGAUCGUCCUUGUAGGGGAACAUUGCAAGGAAAACAAAAAAAAAUAUGCUCACGCAAGAUCUAUCCAUGGAGAUGCAUAGCAACGAGAGGGGAGAGUGUGUCUACGUACCCUUGUACACCGUAAGAGGAAGCGUUUAGUAACACGGUUGAUGUAGUCGGACUUCUUCGCGAUCCAACCGAUCAAGUGCCGAACGUACGGCACCUCCGCGUUCAGCAGGCGUUCAGCUUGGUGAUGUCCUCGCCUUCUUGAUCCUGCAAGAAGGGCGAAGUGGUAGAUAAGUUCCGGCAGCACAAUGGCGUGGUGACGGUGGUGAUGCAACUAUCUCCGUAGGGCUUCACCGAGCACAAAAAUAUGAUUGAUGGCGAACUAGAGGGAGAGGGGCGCCACACAUGGCUAGGGAAUCAUGGUGUGUGUUGCCCCUCUCCCUCCUCUCAUAUAUAUAGGCAGAGGGGGAGGGGAGGCAGCCCCUAGGGCGCCUCAAGUGGCCGGCGGCUGCCCUAGGGCGCCUACCCUGGCCAAAAAAAACCUUCCAUAUUUGUGCAUGGGGGAAGGAAAGGGGGGCUGGCUGCCUUUGGGGAGCCUCCCCCUUCCUUUCCUCCCUCUUUGGUACGUGGGCAAGGGGUGGAGGGGCGCACCAGCCCCCCUGUGGGCUGGUGUGCUUCCCCCCUUUUCGCCUACAAGGCCCACCGCUUGCCGGUGGCCCCCGGAACCCCUUCGGCACUUCGAUAAAAUACCUGGUACUUCCGAAACCUUUCUGGUGACCAAAUACUAUCGUCCUAUAUAUCUAUCUUUUCCUCCGGAUCAUUGCAAAGCUCCUCAUCAUGUCCGUGAUCUCAUCUGGGACUCCGAACAGCAUUCGGUCAUCAACUCACAUAACUCAUACAACAUUAUAUUGUCAAUGAACGUUAAGCGUGCGGACCCUACGGGUUCGAGAACUAUGUAGACAUGACCGAGACACCUCUCCGGUCAAUAACCAAUAGUGGAACCUGGGUGUCGAUAUUUGUUCCUACAUAUUCUACAAAGAUCUUUAUCGGUCAAACCAUUAUGACAACAUACGUAAUUCCCUUUGUGUGUCGGUAUGUUACUUGCCCAAGAUUCGAUCGUCGGUAUCUUCAUACCUAGUUCAAUCUCGUUACUGCCAAGUCUCUUUACUCGUUCUGUAAUACAUCAUCUCAUAACUAACUCCUUAGUCACUUUGCUUGCAAGCUUCUUAUGAUGUGUAUUACCGAGAAGGCCCGGAGACCUCUCCGGUACACGGAGUGACAAAUCCUAAUCUCGAUCCAUGCCAACUCAAAAGACACCUUCGGAGAUACCUGUAGAGCAUCUUUAUGAUCACCCAUUUACAUUGUGACGUCUGAUAGCACACAAGGUAUUCCUCCGGUAUCCGGGAGUCGCAUGAUCUCAUAGUCGAAGGAAUAUGUAUUUGACAUUAAGAAAGCAAUAGCAAUAAACUGAACGAUCAUAUGCUAAGCUAACGGAUGGGUCUUGUCCAUCACAUCAUUCUCCUAAUGAUGUGAUCCCAUUAUCAAAUGACAACUCAUGUCUAUGAUUAGGAAACUUUAACCAUCUUUUGAUCAACGAGCUAGUCUAGUACAGGCUCACUAGGGACAUGAUAUUUGUUUAUGUAUCCACACAUGUAUUUAAGUUUCCCGUCAAUAAAAUUCUAGCAUGCAUAAUAAACCUUUAUAAUGCUUAAGGAAAUGUAAUAAUAACCAUUUAAUUAUUACCUCUAUGGCAUAUUUCCAUCAAUCUCCCACUGGCACUAGAGUCAAUAAUCUAGUUCACAUUGCCAUGUGAUUAACAGCCAUAGUUCACAUCGCCAUGUGACUAACACCCAAAGAGUUCACUAGAGUCAAUAAUCUGGUUCACAUUGCCAUGUGAUUAAUACCCUAAGAGUACUAAGGUGUGAUCAUGUUUUACUUGUGAGAGAAGUUUAGUCAACGGGUCUACCACAUUCAGAUCCGUAUGUAUUUUGCAAAUUUCUAUGUCUACAAUGCUCUGCAUGGUGCUACUCUAGAUAAUUGCUCCCACUUUCAAUAUGUAUCCAGAUUGAGACUCAGAGUCAUCUGAAUCGGUGUCAAAGCUUGCAUCGACGUAACCCUUUGCGGCGAACUCUUUAUCACCUCCAUAACCAAGAAAUAUUUCCUUAGUCCUCUUAGGUAACUAAGGAUAAGUUUGACCGUUGUCCAGUGACCUAUUCCUGGAUCACUAUUGUACCCCCUUGCCAAACUCAUGGCAAGGUACACAGUAGGUCUGGUACACAGCAUGGCAUACUUUAUAGAACCUAUGGAUGAGGCAUAGGGAAUGACUUUCAUUCUCUCUCUAUCUUCUUCUGUGGUCGGGCUUAGAGUCUUACUAAACUUCACAUCUUGCAACACAGGCAAGAACCCUUUCUUAGACUGAUCCAUUUUGAACUUCUUCAAAACUUUGCCAAGGUAUGUGCUUUGUGAAAGUCCUAUUAAGCAUCUCGAUCUAUCCCUAUAGAUCUUGAUGCCGAAUGUGUAAGUAGCUUCACCGAGGUCUUUCAUUGAAAAAUUAUUUAUUCAAGUAUCCUUUUAUGCUAUCCAACAAUUUUAUAUCAUUUCCAAUCAACAAUAUGUCAUCCACAUAUAAUAUCAGAAAUGCUAUAGAGCUCCCACUCACUUUCUUGUAAAUACAGGCUUCACCAUAAGUCUGUAUAAAACCAUAUGCUUUGAUCAGCUCAUCAAAGCAUAUAUUCCAACUCCGAGAUGCUUGCACCAGUCCAUAUAUGGAUCGCUGGAGCUUGCACACUUUGUUAGCACCUUUAGGAUCGACAAAAACUUCUGGUUGCAUCAUAUACAACUCUUCUUUAAGAAACCCGUUAAGGAAUGCAGUUUUGACGUCCAUUUGCCAGAUUUCACAAUCAUAAAAUGCGGCGAUUGCUAACAUGUUUCGGACAGGAUUAAGCAUCGCUAUGGAUGAAAAAGUCUCAUCGUAGUCAACACCUUGAACUUGUCGAAAACCUUUCACGACAAGUCGAGCUUUGUAGACAGUAACAUUACCAUCAGCAUCAGUCUUCUUCUUGAAGAUCCAUUUAUUCUCAAUGGCUUGCCGAUAAUCGGGAAAGUCCACCAAAGUCCAUAAUUUGUUCUCAUACAUGGAUCCUAUCUCAGAUUUCAUGGCCUCAAGCCAUUUAUCGGAAUCUGGGUUCAUCAUAGCUUCUUCAUAGUUCAUAGGUUCGCCAUGGUCUAAUAACAUAACUUCUAGGAUAGGAUUACCAUACCACUCUGGUGCGGAUCGUGCUCUGGUCGACCUACAAGGUUCAGUAGUAACUUCAUCUAAAGUUUCAUGCUCAUUAUCAUUUGCUUCCUCUCUAGUUGGUGUAGGCAUCACGAAUAAUGGUUUUUUGUGAUGUGCUACUUUCCAAUUCAAGAGAAGGUAUGAUUACCUCAUCAAGUUUUACUUUCCUCCCACUUACUUCUUUCAAGAGAAACUCCUUCUCUAGAAAGGACCCAUUCUUUGCAACAAAUAUCUUGCCUUUGGAUCCAUGGUAGAAGGUGUACCCAAUAGUUUCCUUAGGCUAGCCUAUGAAGAUGCACUUCUCCGCCUUGGGUUCUAGCUUAUCAGGCUGAAGCCUUUUGACAUAAGCGUCGCAUCCCCAAACUCUUAAGAAACGACAGCUUAGUUUUCUUGUCAAACCAUAGUUCAUACGAUGUCGUCUCAAUGGACGGUGCCCUAUUUAAUGUGAAUGCGGUUGUCUCUAAUGCAUAACCCCAAAACACUAGUGGUAAAUUGGUAAGAGACAUCAUAGAACGCACCAUAUCUAAUAAAGUAUGGUUACGACAUUUGGACACACCAUUACGAUGUGGUGUUCCAGGUGGCGUGAGUUGUGAAAAAAUUCCACAUUGUUUUUAAAUGAAGGCCAAAAUCGUAACUCAAAUAUUUGCCUCCGUGAUCAGAUCAUAGAAACUUUAUUUUCUUGUUAUGGUGAUUCUCCUCUUCACUCUGAAAUUCUUUAAACUUUUCAAACAUUUCAAAAUUGUGUUUCAUCAAUUAGAUAUACCUAUACCUACUCAAAUCAUCUGUGAAGGUGAGAAAAUAAUGAUAGUCGCCGCGUGCUUCAACACUCAUCGGACCGCAUACAUCAGUAUGUAUUAUUUCGAGUAAGUCAUUAGCUCGCUCCAUUGUUCCGGAGAACGGAGUUUUAGUCAUCUUGCGCAUUAGGCAUGGUUUGCAAGUAUCAAAUGAUUCAUAAUCAAGUGAUCCCAAAAGGCCAUCAACAUGGAGUUUCUUCAUGCGCUUUACACCAAUAUGCCCUAAACGGCACUGCCACGAGUAUGUUGCCCUAUCAUUAUCAAUUUUGUAUCUUUUGGCAUCAAUAUUAUGAACAUGUGUAUCACUAUGAUUGAGAUUAAAUAAACCAUUUACAUUGGGUGUAUGACCAUAGAAGGUUUUAUUCAUGUAAAUAGAACAACAAUUAUUCUAUGACUUAAAUGAAUAACCAUAUUGCAAUAAACAUGAUCGAAUCAUAUUCAUGCUCAAUGCAAACACCAAAUAACAUUUAUUUAGGUUCAACACUAAUCCCGAAGGUAGAGGGAGUGUGCGAUGGUGAUCAUAUCAACCUUGGAAUCAUUUCCAACACACAUCGUCACCUCGCUCUUAACUAGUCUCUAUUUAUUCUGCAACUCCUGUUUCGAGUUACUAAUCUUAGCAACUGAACCAAUAUCAAAUACCUAGGGGCUACUACGAAUACUAGUAAGUUACACAUCAAUAACAUGUAUAUCAAAUAUACCUUUGUUCACUUUGCCAUCCUUCUUAUCUGCCAAGUAUUUGGGGCAGUUCCGCUUCUAGUGACCAUUCCCUUUGCACUAGAAGCACUUAGUUUCAGGCUUAAGUCCAGCUUUGGGCUUCUUCACGGGAGUUUUAACUUGCUUGCCAUUCUUCUUGAAGUCCCCUUUCUUUCCCUUGCCCUUUUUCUUGAAACUAGUGUCUUGUUAACCAUCAACACUUGAUGCUCUUUCUUGAUUUCUACCUUCGCCGAUUUCAGCAUCGCGGAGAGCUUGGGAAUCGUUUUCGUCAUCCCUUGCAUAUUAUAGUUCAUCACAAAGUUCUAGUAGCUUGGUGAUAGUGACUAGAUAACUCUAUCAAUCACUAUCUUAUCUGGAAGAUUAACUCCCACUUGAUUCAAGCGAUUGUAGUACCCCAAACAUACUGAGCACAUGCUCACUGGCUGAGCUAUUCUCCUCCAUCUUGUAGGCAAAUUACUUGUUAGAGGUCUCAUACCUAUCGACAUGGGCAUGAGUCUGAAAUACCAAUUUCAGCUCUUGGAACAUCUCAUAUGCUCCAUGGCGUUCAAAACGGUUUUUGAAGUCCUGGUUCUAAGCCGUAAAGCAUGGCACACUAAACUAUUAAGUAGUUAUCAUAUCAAGCUUGCCAAACGUUCAUAAUGUCUACAUCUGCUCCUGCAAUAGGUCUCUCACCUAGCGGUGCAUCAAGGACAUAAUUCUUUUGUGCGGCAAUGAGGAUAAUCCUCAGAUCACGGACCCAGUCCGCAUUAUUGCUACCAUCAUUUUUAAACUUAGUUUUCUCUAAGGACACAUCAAAAAUUAGGCUAGCUAUAUCACGAGCUAUUGAUCUACAACAUAGAUAUGCAAAAAUUAUUAAGACUAAGUUCAUGAUAAAUUAAGUUCAAUUAAUCAAAUUACUAAUGAACUCCCAGUUAAAUUAACAUCCCUCAAGUUAUCUAAGUGAUAUAUGAUCCAAAUCAACUAACCCAUGUCCAAUCAUCACGUGAGAUGGGGUGGUCAUCAGUGGUGAACAUCUCUAUUUUGAUCAUAUCUACUAUAUGACUCACGUUUGACCUUUCGGUCUCCAAUGUUCCAAUACCAUGUCUGUACAUGCUAGUCUUGUCAAGUUUAAACCAAGUACUCUGCAUGUGCAAAACUGUCUUACACCCGUUGUAUGUGAACGUAGAGUCUAUCACACCCGAUCAUCACAAGGUGCUUCGAAACGACAAACUUUAACAACGGUGCAUACUCAGGGAGAACACUUUUAUCUAGAAAUUUAGUGAAGGGGUCAUCUUAUAAUGCCACCGCCGUUCUAAGCAAAAUAAGAUGCAUAAAGGAUAAACAUCACAUGCAGUCAAAAUAUGUGACAUGAUAUGGCCAUCAUCAUCUUGUCCUUUUGAUUUCCAUAUCCAAAGCAUCAUCGUGAUCUCCAUCGUCACCGGCUCGACAUGUUGAUCUCCAUCGUUGCGUCGGGGUCAUUGAUGUUGGCUUGAACUACGUCGAUAUUUCCCCAAAGAGGAAGGGAUGAUGCAGCACAGCAACGGUAGGUAUUUCCCUUAGUGAUAAAACCAAGGUUAUCGAACCAGUAGGAGAACCAAGCAACACUACGUAAACAGUACCUGCACACAAAGAACAAAUACUUGCAACCUGAUGUGUUAAAGGGGUUGUCAAUCCCUUACGGGUAACGAUGCCAGAAAUUGGCGAGUUGAUGGGAGAAAGUUGUAAUAAAUUGAUAGAUGCAAAUAGAAGCAAAUAAAAUUCAGCAAGGUAUUUUGGGGGUUUUGGAUUAAUAGAUCUGAAAAUAAAAGCAAAUAAAAAUAGAUCUUGAAGGCAAAUAUGAUAAAGAAGAGACCCGGGGCAUAGAUUUCACUAGUGGCUUCUCUCGAGAAAAAUAGCAUACGGUGGGUAAACAAAUUACUGUUGGGCAAUUGAUAGAACUUCAAAUAAUCAUGAUAAUACCAGGCAAUGAUCAUUAUAUAGGCAGCACAUCCAAGAUUAGUAGACCGACUCCUGCCUGCAUCUACUACUAUUACUCCACACAUCGACUACUAUCUAGCAUGCAUCUAGUGUAUUAAGUUCAUGGAGAAAUGGGGUGAUGCAAUAAGAAUGAUGACAUGAUGUAGACAAGAUCUAUUUAUUUAGAAAUAGACCCCAUCUUGUUAUCCUUAAUAGCAACGAUAUAUAUGUGGCAGUUCCCCUUCUGUCACUAAGAUCAAGCAUCGUAAGAUCGAACCCAUCACAAAGCACCUCUUCCCAUGGCAAGAAAAAUUGAUCUAGUCGGCCUAACUAAACCAAAGAUUCAAAGAAGAAAUACGAGGCUACAAGUAAUCAUGCAUAUAAGAGAUCAAAAGACUCAAAUAACUAUCAUGGAUAAAAACAUAGAUCUGAUCAUAAACUCAAAGUUCAUCGGAUCCCAACAAACACACCACAAAAAGAGACACAUCAAAUAGAUCACCAAGACACCAUCGUAUUGAGAAUCAAAAGAGAGAGAGGAAGCCAUCUAGCCACUAACUAUGGACCCGAAGGUCUACAAUGAACUACUCACGCAUCAUCAGAGAGGCACCAAUGAGGAUGGUAAACCCCUCCAUGAUGGUGUCUAGAUGGAUCUGGUGGUUCUAGAACUUGCGGCAGCUCGAAUAGAUUUUUGUCGACUCCCCUGGGGUUUCUAGAAUAUUGGGGUAUUUAUGGAGCAAAGAGGCGGUACGGGAUGUGGCGGAGGUGGGCACAACCCACCUGGGCGCGCCUGGGCCCCCAGGUGUGCCCUGGUGAGUUGUGCUCCCCUCGGAGCUCCCCUCAGGUACUUUCUUGGUCCAAUAGGUGUCUUCUGGUCCGGAAAAAAACCACAAAAAUAUUCGCUGCAUUUGGACUCCAUUUGAUACUAAUUUCCUGCGAUGUAAAAAACAAGCAGAAAACAGCAACUGGCACUUGGCACUAUAUCAAUAGGUUAGUUCCAAAAAAUGAUAUAAAGUUGCUAUAAAAUGAUUGUAAAACAUCCAAGAAUGAUAGUAUAGCAGCAUGGAACAAUAAAAAAUUAUAGAUACUUUGGAGACGUAUCAGCAUCCCAAGCUUAAUUCAUGCUCGUCCUCGAGUAGGUAAAUGAUAAAAAUAGAAUUCAUGUUGUGGAAUGUUGCCUAACAUGUUCAUCACAUAUUCUUUUCUUUGUAGCAUGGACAUUUGGACUUUUAUAUGAUUCAAAGCAAUAGUCUUGUUUCGACAUGCAUACUUUAAUACUCAAGCAUAUCAACAAGCAACCAUGUCUUUCAAAAUAUCAACACUAAAGCAAGUUAUCCCUAGCCCAUUAUGAUCAAUCAUUGAUCCAUUCAUGAAACACACUCGCAUAUUAGCUACACCCAAUGCUCAAGUAUGAUCAUAGUGCCCCUUAGUUGGUGCUUUAUAAGAUAAGAUGGAGACUCAAGUAAAAAUAAAAAUUGCAUAAAGUAAAUAGAAAGGCCCUUCGUAGAGGGAAGUAGGGAUUUGUAGAUGUGCCAAAGCUCAAAGCAAAAAAAUAGAGAUAAAACAUUUUGGGUGGCAUGCUUUUCCUGUCAAUGAAAGCGAUCGAGUAGUUCCAAAUACUUUCCAUGCUAGAUAUAUCAUAGGCGGUUCCCAAACAGAAAAUAAAGUUUAUUCCUUUUUCCACCAUACUUGCACUUUCCAUGGCUAACCGUAUCCACGGGUGCCUUCCAAACGAACACUUUCCAAGGAAUUUAUUAUUUGACAACAUAAAGUAAAUUCAUUUUUCAUUUCGAUACUUGGCAUCCCUAAUACCUUUGUCGUACUCUCAUGCAAUGACAAGUGAAUAAACACUCAUCUUGAGAAUAACACAUCUAGCAUGGAAAUAUAUUAGCCACCCCCUACCGUUUCAUGAGCGGUACGAGCACACAAAAGAGAAAUUUUAUUUUGAAAAUUAGAGAUGGCACAUACAAAUUUGCUUAGAACGGCAACAGAAUAUCGCAUAUAGGCAGGUAUAGUGGACUCAUGUGGCAAAAUUUGGUUUAAAGGAUUUUGGAUGCACUAGUAGUGGUCAUACUUAGUGCAAAUGAAGGCUAGCAAAAGAUUGGGAAGCAUCCAACCAAGAAACGAAAAAUCUCAUAAGAAAGCAUUAACCAUAACUAACACCGAAUAAUGCACCACAAGUAGGAUGUAAUUUCAUUGCAUAACUAUUGACUUUCGUGCUUGCAUAGGGAAUCACAAACUUUAACACCAAUAUUCUUACUAAAGCAUAAUUACUCAUCAACAUGACUCACAUAUCACUAUCAUCAUAUCUCAAAACUAUUACAAAGAAUCAAGUUUCUUUUGUCCAAUGAUCUUCAUGAAAGUUUUUAUUAUAUCCCUCUUGAAUAUCUAUCAUUUUGGGACUAAUUUCAUAUGUGCUUUUGAUAGCUCAAACAAAUCUAAGUGAAGAACAUGAGCAUAAAAAAUUUCUUCUCUCAAAAUAAUUUAAGUGAAGCAAGAGAGAAUUUCUUAAAAAAAUUACUAACUCUCAAAUAAAUCUAAGUGAAGCAUGAGAGCAUUUCUUCAAAAAUAGUAAAGCACACCGUUCUCAAAAAGAUAUAAGUGAAGCACUAGAGCAAUUCCAUAGCUCAUAAAGAUUUAAGUGAUGCAUAAAGAGCAAUUCUAACAAGUCAUAGCAUAAUUUGGCUCCCUCAAAUAAGUGUGUCCAGAAAGGAUAGAUGACUUAAAACACAAAGCAAAACAAGCAAAGACUCAUAUCAUACAAGAUGCUCCAAGCAAAACUCAUAAUAUGUGACGAAUAAAAAUAUAGUUUCAAGUAAAAUACCGAUGGUUGUUAGAAGAAAGACGGGAUGCCACUCGGGGGCAUCCCCAAGCUUAGUUGCUUGAUACUUCUUGAAUAUUAUCUUGGGGUGCCUCAGGCAUCCGCAAGCUUAGCCUUUUGCUAAUCCUUAUUCCUUCAUCCAUCGCAAUCUCACCCAAAACUUGAAAACUUCAAUCACACAAAACUCAACAAAACCUUCGUGAGAUCCGUUAGUAUAAGAAAGCAAAUCACUACUUUAAGUACUAUUGCAAACUCAUUUAUAUUUUGUCAUUGUAUUAUAUCUACUGUAUUUUAAAUUUCCCAUGGCAAAAACUCUUCAAAGGAAACCAUAGAAUCAUCAAAACAAGCACAUAACACAACGAAAACAGAAUCUGUCAAAAAUAGAACAAUCUGUAGUAAUCAGGGAACUUCGUACACUUAUUUAACUCCAAAAAUUCUGAAAAAUUAGGAAAAAGUGGUAAAUAUGUAUAUCAAUCUUGUGUAGAAAAUUCAGAGCAAAAUCACGUUUCUGUGAUUUAUGAAAAUUAUUUUUCUAAGCACAAAAGUUUCUGUAUUUCAACAAGAUCGAAUCAACUACCCAAAUUAUCCCAAAGGCUUUGCUUGGCACAAACACUAAUUUAAACCACAAAAACACAUCUAAACAGAGGCAUAAUUGGGUAUUUUAUUGAAAACAGCAAUAAAACCAAAAAGCAAAAAUAUACAAGUUGGGUUGCCUCCCAACGAGUGCUAUCAUUUUACGCCCCUAGCUAGGCAUAAUGCAAAGAUCUAAGUGUUGUCAUCUUUGUUUCUAGAUCCAUAUGAUGCCCUCAUGAUUGAUUCAUAUGGUGGCUUAAUUCUAGUUCUAGGGAAGUGUUCCAUACCCUUCCUUAGUGGGAAUUGAAAUUUAAUAUUGCCUUCUCUUAUAUCAAUCCGGGCACCAAUAUUACAUAAAAUGGUCUACCAAGAAAAUUUGGACAAGAUGGAUUGCAAUCAAUAUCAAGAACAAUAAAAUAUAUGGGCACAUAAUUCCUAUUUGCAAGAAUAAGAACAUUAAUUCUUCCCAUAGGUUCUUCAAUAGUAGAAUCCUCCAAGUGCAAAUUUAGAGAACACUCUUCAAUAUCGGUAAGACCAAGCACAUCACAUAAAGAUUUUGGAAUUGUAGAAACACUAGCACCCAAGUCACAUAAAGCAAAACACUCAUAAUUUUUUAUCUUGACUUUGAUAGUAGGUUCCCAUUCAUCAUGUAAUUUUCUAGGAUUGAAAUCUCUAAUUCCAACUUUUCUUUUAAAGCUUUCAUCAUAGCAUCAACAUUAUGUUUAGUAAAAGCUUUAUUUUGUUCAUAAGCAUGGGGUGAAUUUAUCAUGCAUUGCAACAAAGAAAUACAACCAAUCAAAGAGGAACUAUCAUAAUUAAAGUCUUUGUAAUCCAAAAGAGUGGCCACAUCACUAGUUAAAGUUUUGACCUCUUCAAACCCACUUUUAUCAAUUUUCUCAACAAGAUUUUCACCCUCCGAAUUAUCAGGACGCCUUCUAGCUAAAGUUGACUCUUCUCUAGUCCCUUUAUCAUCAAUUUUAGUUUUUCUAAACAAAGAAUCAAUAGAAGAUACACCAAUCAUUUUGAGAUCUUCAUCACUUUUAUCUUCUAACAAGAUUGGUUUAGCGGCCAUUUGAUUUACUAGGGUAGCUUGUGCAUCGGAUAUUUUGCCUAGAAAACUUUCAGCAAAAGCAUACUUAGAUUGGACAUUGCAAACUUCUUUGCUAAUAUCAUCAAGCUGUUUAGUUAUAGCUUCGAGCACAACAAAGUGUUCCUUAAGUUCUUCGGUAAGAUAUUUAUUAUGCUCAAAUUGUGUAGUCAUAUAUUCCUUAGUACUUUUCUCAAUUUCAAGCAAAAUAUUGGGGUAAGGAACAUCAUAAUAUUUUCGUUGAGGCAUCAAGACUACGCAAACAAGAUUGCACUCAAAAUAGAUCUGACGAGAAAAAUGGCAAAUGAAAAAGGAGGACGAAUAAAACGACAAAUUUUUGUGAAGUGGGGGAGAGGAAAAUGAGAAGCAAAUGGCAAAUAAUGUAAAUUGCAAGGAGAUGAGAUUUAUGAUUAGGAACCUGGUAGAUGUUGAUGAUGUCUCCCCGGUAACGGUGCCAGAAAUUGGCACGUGGCCGGGAGACUAUCUUGACUUGAUCCUCCCCGGCAACGGUGCCAGAAAUUCCUUUUGAUGUUGGCUUGAACUACGUCAAUAUUUCCCCAAAGAGCAAGGGAUGAUGUAGCACAGCAACGGUAAGUAUUUCCCUCAGUGAUGAAACCAAUGUUAUCGAACCAGUAGGAGAACCAAGCAACACUACGUAAAUGGUACUUGCACCACUACAGAAAAAAAAGACACAUCCGUGACAUUUUGGGCCGAACAAAAAAAAAUCUGUCAUACAUAUGACACUUCUAUGACGAUAAUUGUGACAACACCCGGUAUCAUCAUAGAUGUGGUGGGCUCCUACUUCUAUGACAAAAAAUCAUGAUAGAAAAUGGGCUUUUCGUCCUGGGCGGGCCGGAGACGCAGCUGCAUGACAUUCUUUGGGCCGUCCAUGACGGAAAAAACCGUGGUAGAAGCGAGGGGGAGGAAAAUUUCAGGGAGUUGCCGGUUACGCUGGGAGGUUGGGGGCCAAGAGAUGCGCGUUUCUCUCGUACACGUGCGAGGUGUUGGCUCUAACUGCACCCGAGCGAGGCGUUGGGCUCUAACUGAACCCGAGCGAUUGCACUGCAGGCUACGCGUUACUGAACCUGAGCGAUCGAUCGAUGGCUGUUAACUGAACCCAAUGGAGCAAUUCCUUCGCUACUGCUGCUAACUGAAGCCAAUCGAUUGGAUGAACAGUGAGCGUUGCGGGGGGGUUGGAUGAACAGUGAGUGGUGGCGUUGCCUCUGGAUGAACAGGAUCCCGUGGUGUGGAGGGUUGCAUGAACAGUAGACGGUGGAGGGGUGGCCGUGGAGGGGUGGUUGAACAGGACCCCGUGGUGUGGAGGGCUGGAUGAACAGUAGAAGGUGGAGGGCUGGAUGAACUGUAGACGGUGGAGGGGUGGUUGAACAGUAGCCGGUGGAGUAGCGCGCGGUGGAGGCUGGAGGAGGUUGAUGGUAGCCCGUGGAGGCUGGAGGAGGUCGAUGGUGGAGAUGAACAGUAUCCCGUGGAGUCCCGUUUUGCGGUACGCCACACCCCUCCCGAUGAAGAGGACCCCCGUUUCGACUGUAGCACUCCAACACAAGUCCGUUUCGUCCGUUUUGCGGUACGCCACACCCCUCCCGAUCAAUAGGACCCCCGUUUCGACCGUAGGAGGUCUGUUUCCUCCGUUUUGCGGUACUCCACACCCCUCCCGAUCAACAGGACCCCCGUUUCGACCGUAGGAGGUCCGUUUCCUCCGUUUUGUUGUACGCCACACCCCUCCCGAUCAACAGGACCCCGUUCCGAACGCAGGAGGUCUGUUUCCUCUGUUGUGCGGUACGCCAGGCCUCGUUUCCAUCGCCUAUUUCGUCCAAGCCCUCCCGAUGAUACGACCAUGCAUUCCGUUCCGGCCCAGCCGGUUGGCUCUCCAUGAACACGACGACGACGUUGUUUCUCUGUUCCGACCCAGCCAUGUAUGUAUGCGCGAGUAGGCGUUCGAGACCCUGCCCGUAUGUACGUACGUGGCCGUAUUUUCUUUCUUGCAACCUCGUCGUUGUACGUACGUGUACAUGCUACGUGCGCGCCUCUACUACGACACGUGCAUGCCUCUAAUUGACCAGUAUGUACGUACACGUUCGCGACCAGAAUGACAACGCUAAGUACGCUUCGAGCAGGUGGGUCCCGACUGUUAGGCACUUCCUUGCCUGCGAAGAUGUAGCUGGUGGGUCCCAGCUGUCAGGGGGCAAAUCAUUUUUUUGCCCGGAUGCACUUCCUUGCAUGCGAAGAUGUAGCUGGUGGGUCCCAGCAGUCAGGGGGCGAAUCAUUUUUUUUGCCCGGACGCACUUCCUUGCGUGCGAAGAUGUAGCCGGUGGGUCCCAGCAGUCAGGGGGGCAAAUCGUUUUUUUCAAACGCACUUCCUUGCGUGCGAAGAAGUAGCUGGUGGGUCCCAGCAGACAGGGGGCGUUUUUUUCACGAAGUACGGUGGCCUGUCCGGUGGGUCCCCGUUGUCAGGUAGAGGAAUAAUUAUUUUGCGCGUAAUAAGGAGGCACUUCCUUGCUGCGGUCGUGGACCCAGCUGUCAGCCUCUCCACAUACAGUCCAUGUCCAAUGGAAGCCAUUCCUUGACCAUGUUGACCACGCCGCGCCGAGAGCACCAGGGCGGUGGAUGAUGGCAAGACCUAGGAAGGGGACGAUGCGGAGCCGGGGAAGAUGCAGUAGUGGAUGCCCACGCGUAGAGGAGUAUGAGGGUUCACUCAUUCGGCUGCGGUGUGAGGCUGUCGUCACCGUAGAAUAACAGGGGGUGUGGGUGCGUAGAGGGAUGGCCUGGCCAGCAGUGGGAGUAGUAGGGGGCGGUGAGGCCUCCACGGCAUCACAGCCAGCCACGAGCGGCAGGAGCAGGCGGCACGACUGGCGCUGCUUUGGGCGGCUGGUGCAAGAAGACCAGAGGUUGAAGAAGCACUAUGGCCGUUAGAUGGACAUCGUACGGUCACUGGAGCUAGAAUCGUUCAUAUAUUAACUAAAGUUGACAAAGGCCUCCGUCCCAGUCAACUUAGUAGGCCCACAAGUUAGCCUCCCACCAAGGUUGGUCCCCGCUAGCAGAGGGGUAUUCAUUUUUUGUGCGUAAUAAGGAGGCACUUCCGGUGGGUCCGAGCUGAUAGCGGGGGGGACGUUUUUUUCGCAAAAUACGGUGGCCCGUCCUAUGGGUCCCAGCAGUCAGGGGGAAACAUUUUUUUUCAUGAAAUACUGGUGGCCCGUCCGGUGGGUCCCUGCUGUCAGGUGGAGGAAUAAUUAUUUUCCGCGUAAUAAGGAGGCACUUCCUUGCGGCUGCCGUGGACCCAGCUGUCAGCCUCUCCACGUACAGUACUCUUCUGAUGGAAGUCGGUCAUUGACCACAUUGACCAUGCCGCGCCGAGAGCACCACAGCGAUGGACGACGGCGAGGCCUAGGAAGGGGACUACGCGGAGCCGGGGAAGAUGCGGUAGUGGAAGCCCGCGCAGAGAGGAGUACGAGGGUUCACCGGUUCGGUUGCGGCGUGAGGCUGCCGUUGCCGCAGAAUAACAGGGGGUGUGGGUGAGUAGAGGAUGCCCUGGCCAGUGGUGGGAGUAGUAGGGGGCGCUAAGGCCUGCGCGGCAGCACAUCCGGCCAUGGGAGGCGGGAGGCGGUCCCGUCGGCGCUGCUUUGGCGGCUGGACAAGAAGAUCAGAGAUUGAAGAAACACGACGGCCGUUGGAUUGACAUCCAACGGUUAUGUAUGGUAGAAUUGUUUGUUGACGUAGUAUAUAAUAACUAAAAAAAUCUUGCAUAUGCGUCAACUAAGCAGGCCCACAAGUCAGACCACUCCCUCUUUUUUUUAAUAAUUUAUAUAUAGCUCAUGGCAACUUCUUAUGCAAUUUAUUGCAGUCAUUUUUUUGGUUGGCCAGGGCCAAUUUCACAUAUUUCUGUGGGUUCCAAACUAUUUUUAAUACCAAAAUGUCGAGCCAGAUUUAAAGUACUUUGAAGAUAUAUUUAAAUUAGGUUAAUGCCCAGUGAAAUAGGAAUCUGAAAAUGUGAAAAAAAACAGAAAUUGUAAAGUAAUUGCCAAUUUGUCAUCUGUUUUUAUAUUUACAACCCAUUUCAUAUUACUUUCAAGAUUUGCAGGCGUCUUGAAAGAGUUGCAGCCCAUCAGGGCGUAGAAAAAUAAGUAGGCCUGGAUUGGGUAUUCUUCAGAAAAAAUAAAGUGGGCUCAUUUUCACAAAGAAAAAGUAGCUGGGUUGGUCACAUGGUGAACAUAAAAUAUAAGCAUGGGCUAGACGGGCCACAGCCCAGUUCAAACCCUGCUCUGUCUCAACAAUACCAAACAAAAAAAAUACUGCUCGAGUAUCUACGUCCUAGGUGUCAGCCGAUCUUGUGUUGUUCUCUUGUCUAUUGACUAUAUACGCUCACAAUGUCGUGGGUCCCAUAUGUCAGGAAAACACUAGGAGGAAGCAUUUUAUUUUUCCAUACGCUGAUGUGGUGGGCCCCUACUGUCAUCCUCUCCACGUACUUCUGUCGAUUCCUGUUGUUUGUUGACCAUGUUGACAACGCAAGAGGGCGGCGCCGCGGCGAGCGCACCAAAGCGCGCGGAGGAUGUCGACGUUAACGAUUUAGGAGACGGUGGGGCGGCGAUGCGUGCGCUGAGGCGCAGCCAGCCCUGGGAGGCGGAAGCAGGCGGCCCCGCCGGUGCUGGUUUGGUUUUGGCGGCUGGAGGAAGACAGGACUGAAGAAACACGACAGAUUGUAAAAGCAGCAGGAGUACUUAACAACCUUAACUGAAACCAGCAGGGGCACUUAACAACCAAAGCUGAAAGCAGUACGAGUACUUAUACAGGUUCAACCGUACAAAGCACGCCUCGAACAGUGCUACUUUGCCUACAGUUAACCAAGGGUGAGGCCGCCAAGCCCCAGGACAAGGCCCAGGCGCCACCCCGUGCAUCCACAACCUUCUGAAAGCGGCUUCAUCUCGCAACGUGGUCAAUAAACAGGAUAUUCGCUUUAGAGCCAUGGAAAAGCAUGAACAUAAUCUUCUGUCCUGUUCUCCAAGAUGGACGGGCCUUCAUUAUUUGAGACCACCCACGAAUAAGUAUCUUUUCACCUCCAAGAGGAAUUGAGUAGGUCGACAUAAACAUCAUGUUGUGACCAAGCGCAAGUCUGACCCGACCAUGGUCAGGCAUCUGUAUACGAACAAUAGAACUCGGCAGUUCCUGUUUCAAGAAGAUCACAGUUGUAAAACUAUGUAUAAGCAAUAGUUUAUGAACAACAUAUAUAACAGAAAACAGCUCGUACCAUAAGUUUCUCGACACAGUUGAACCUGUUCAACGAGUGCAGCAGUGGCACACAUAUCCCAUGUGGCCUUCCACCAUUGAAACGCCCCACAAGGACCUCAAGACGAUCAAUAAAGUGUAGGAACUUGUGGAUGUCGAUCCAGUCAGCUUCAGUGCCAUUAGUAACAGCUGAGUUAUUACAGAGUAACAAACGAGCAGACUGCUUAACUCUGAAAAAACCUACAUGUGCCACCAAUUAUAAGAAAAUAUUAGUUAGAAGUAGCAUCUUCAUGAGAGAUUCAUUGCUACUUCUAAAGUUAAAUUGUGAUUAGUUAGACAGAAUAGUUGGAUUAAGAAGUAAUCGAGGCAACAAGCAAGAACCAGAUACAAAACUAACAUGGAUGAACAAUUGGAACAACGCCGGGGGGGGAGAUCGCAGUGAAGAUGAGACCAGGUUUUGCUAUUUCCAUCAACAUUCGUGCGCCAACUUUCAGUCCGUAACACUUGAGAAAGUUUAUCCAAGUUCGGCCAUAAAAAAAGUAGCGAUCUUCUUGGUUCAUGAACCCAACUCGGAAGUAAUAUCCAUGGAUUGUCUUCACUGUGACCAUUAAACUAGUGUAUUCAGUUAUGGCAAGGCCGAGCAUCUUGAGUACAUGUGUUCUGGCAGAGCAAAUAAUACACUGCAAGAAAAAUAAUAUGAGAACACAGCAUGUUAAAACAAACUCACCCUCCCGGAUAGAGAAGAGGAUUCUAGGAACAUAUUGUGCGUGUUUCAAAAUGCUGUGGUAGGAUGAGAAGGAACAAGUGUGGCGUCUCGCCGAGGGCGCAGAAAUCUGUAGGGUACUCGCACUUUGGGCACUGCAACUGAAACACACUAGAUUCAGUAUGAAUAAAAAUGCAUCAACGGCGUCGGCUGCCAUCCUAGGAUUACCUGCGACCAAGGGACUUGGAUUUAUCGGGGAUGGAUGAAGAAUUCGUACCUGGUUCUCCAUGAGAAAACCCUAUGCAAUCGCCGAGUGGGGGUUUUCUCUGAACAAGCAGACGAGGGAGAAGGGGAUUCAGGCCCAGUGAAAUAGUGCCGCUUCGUCCGUCCAGCUUACUGCUAAAGCUGGAAAGGGGGGUUGUGAUUUGAUGGCUCAUUGAGCAUUACUGCGGAGCUAUGACCGGGCUGUGUCUACCGUGAAGUUGUGCACUCUAAUUUGUGCAUAUGGCACGUGGACCCCGUUGCUAGUUGCCCCACAUAUCAGCGAAAGGAAGUAGAAAGACAGAAGUAACUAGUUACACAUAAAUAUAUAUUUUGACAGAGAGAUACUCCCUCUGUAAAGAAAUAUACAAAUCUUUUAUAUCACAUGCUCACCUUGCUGAGAAAUAUACUCCCUCUACAACGCACGGGUAUUAUGGGGUUUCAGCUUUUUUUAUGGGGGUUCAGCUGAGAAUAUAAUACUCAGAUAGGCUCACGGUUCUGGACUUUGGGCCGCGGGCCGACCCUGCAUGUUUGGGGGCCCAUGUGUUCUACCUCAGCGCUUUUCAUAUUGCAAGCAAUCGGUACUGCGCUGGUUUUAGAUGCUGUCGCAAGGCGAAUACACAAAAUUGAAUAAAGCACGACAGCUGUUGGAAUGAAAUCGAACGACAGUUCCUAACCAGCAAUCAGAGUUGCAAUUCUAUCAACGAUAUACCAUGUGAUAAAUAAUACUGUCGUACUACUUAUACACACAGGACACUUGUUUCACCAUGCCAGAUUAUUACAUCAAAAUCCCUUGGAGGAUAGAUCAGUUCGGCAGUUGCGUGCUGCUAAUGAAGAAUUUCAAAGUUGAUUUGGACCAUCUCUCCUUGUUGAGAAAGUUCGAUUUUGACAUCAUCCCCUACAGCAAGAUAUGAUUUAGAUUUGAACCUUGACCAUCCUUUAGCAUCAAUCAUCAUGCGACCAUCCUUUGUACUUACGGUAUAUUGAGCAGGUUCAUUCACACCAAGGUUGGGCAUGGUAAGAGAAACUUGGCCGCGGUCGCCCGGAUUGUUGAACGAUUCCCUCGUUGCUCUAGGAAUUCUCUGUUUGCAAACAAGAAGACAUACCCAAACAGUUAGAUCAACACAGUGAAUCAUGUGAAACAACAUGGAAAGAAAAAAGAAUGAAGCACUUGGGCGGCCAAUGCUUACCAAGAAGGUGGACAUGUCGGUUUUUGUAAGGACUUUGGUAUAUGAAGUGGGAACUGCAGCCCAGUCUGUUGCCAGUGCAACUGCACGGGCCAGACCAAAUGCAAGUGCAAGUGUUGGUGCAGGUGCCGAAGCCGCUGCUGCUGCCGGAGAUGGUGCUCCUUGUAGAGCUGGUGCCAGUGUCGAUGCCCGAUCCUCCGGUAGAUCAGACUGAUCCGCUGACGCGGUCGGUGCCCAAUCCUCAGCUGGAUCAUACUGAGCUGUUGCCGCUGUCAGUGCUAGAGCAACUGCCGGUGCUCGAUCUGUGUGAGACAGCGGCGAUCGUGUCUGGUCUGCUAUGAUCAGCUUUUUAACUUGACUAGGAUCCGUGACCGUGGUCCAGUUUUUUUCUUCAUUUCUUUUAAACACGAGAAGGACUAAUUGUGGUGUUUUUGUUAAACCAAACUGCAGUUCAUCAUAGGGAUUCAGCUUGUACUCAGACAACAGACUGAUCCAAUUUUUUCCAGUAAUAUAAGUGAUGGACAGUGCCUUCGUUACUGACACGACAUAAGAAGUGAAACCUGCAAAAAUAGCCAUCAUAGAGCAAACCAAAUGGUUUAUUCUGUGAUGAAUGUCACAUGGCAAAACCUACAUCGUAAAAUUGCAGGAAAAGAAAGAAAACAUGACAUUAAAUCAAUAAGAUUUAGACAGUAAAUCAAUAAGAUUUACUUGAUGUGACACGAGUGAAUCCUUACCAGGAAAUCACUAUGUUGAAGUACUAAACAAAAGAUUGAUCGUCCAACUACGCGUGGCAUGCAGGGGCCCUGCCUACUCCCACAAGCAGGACAGUCCAAAGGUCGUGACAAAUCGUAUGGACCGAACAUCCAUGGGACUGGAAAUCCUGGUGGGUGCGAUAAACCCUGCAAUGCAUACAGAUAUUGGAGUGUAACCAUAAUUGCUAAACCAUCCUCAAAAAAUAUAUGAUCUGGAUACUUCAAAAUGUACAGACUGAAUUGAGUGGACAGACAUUAACAUAGACCAUUCUCAGGACUGACCACACACCAAAAGCGGCAGUACUAAUAAACAAUACAGGGUUCACAAACACAAAUCAAGUACUGAACAAUAGUACUUACUACAGACAAGCAAAGUUGCACUAAGUAAACUCUGCAGACUAUUUCUUGCCACCGACCUACGGGAUGAACCCCGCAUAACUGACUAGGCCAUGGACUUCGUGUGAGAUGUCUACAUGCACCAUCACCAUCUUGUCAACCUUGAAGAACCUAACAGAGUGGUCUUUCCACUCAUAAACAUGAUGAUGAAGACAUGCCGCAUCAGAUUUGUUGGGAAGCUUUACAAGAACCACACCCUUCAUAAUCGAAGGCACAACCAAGAAAUUGUUGUGGUCAAGUACAGCCUCAAGAACACGCCUGACAACAAUGCUACAGGAAAACACUAGUUCAGGACACAUGGCGACAAGGACACAGCAGCUGGAUAGUUCAGCAGUAGAACUCAUCAUCAGGUCUUCAAGUUCACACGGCAUGACUUUGAGAACUUCAUCUCCACCGCGGACCUGGUUCUAGUUCAAACAGAAACCAUAUUUUAUUACUACCUCCGUUUAGAAAUAUAAGAUGAUUUUCGAUAUUAUACUCCAUAUAUGACUACAUAUACGCACAGAAAUGAGUGAACAAAGACACUAGAACAUGUCUUCAAAGGCAUGAGAGAAGAGGGAUUACAUGCAAUAUCCAUAACACAAGUUACUGAGGCAAAUAUACCCUCUUAAAAGAUAGCAUUGAUGUUCAUAAAGUACUCCCUCCAUCCCAAAAUUCUUGUCUUAGAUUUGUCUAGAUACGGGUGUAUCAAGUUAAAUUUUAGUAUUAGAUACAUCCGUAUCUAGACAAAUCUAAGACAAGAAAUUUGGGACAGAGGGAGUAGUUGAAAGUAAUCUAUAAGAAAUCAGUGUCAACCUCUCGCAUGUUUUGGUCAAAAGAGGAAUUUAGAACCGUCAUUGGGCACACUAAAAUCACAUGCAAGAUCACCCAGAAAGUUGUACUACCAGUACUAGUACUGCGUGUUAGAUGAAAAAACAUGAUCAAGAUCGAGAAAAAGAUCGUCAACAAGAGACAUUACCUGGACUUGCUUAAUGACGGAUCCCGGGGAGGGAGGCUUGGACAGGGUGAUGGCUUUGAGCUUGUCUGCGGUAGUCUCGGCGGGGUGCUUGCGCUUCUUCGUACCAUGAGCCUCGAUGGUUUUGGCCAGAGCCAUAGACAUCACGUCGGCCGGUGCUCCGGCGUCCAUCCAAGAGAGGAAGCUGAGAGAGAAGAGUGAAAGGAGGAACGAGAUGAGGGAGAAGCGAAGCGAGUGGGGGUUUUCUUCAAGAGAGGAAGCUGAGAGAGAAGAGUGAAAUGAUGGUUGCUUCGUCCGUCCAACUUACUGCUGGAAAGGAGGGGUUUUGUGAUUUGAUGGCUCAUUGGGCAUUACUGCGGCGGUUCGAUCGGGGUAGUCUACCGUCACUCUACUACGGAGUAAUUUAGUGCAUGGCUGGUGGACCCAGGUGCUGGUUGUCCCACACGUCAGCGAAAGUGAGUAAUUUAGUGCAUGGCUGGAGGAGGAUCCGCACGGUAGAGCGUGUCCACUGUUUUUCAUUCUGAAGAAAAAAAUGAUUACAGCAAGCGUUUCCACUCUUACGACGGAGGAGUGCGAAACACGGCAGCCACUCGAACAUACACAGUGCUCCUACUACUAGGCAUGUGCAGUGGUUCAUACGUCAGUACUACACAAUCUUGUUGCUAGUGUAGUAAGAUAUGACGAUAACAAAUGAUGUUGUGCGCAUGUCAACUACUCCUAUAUGUAACAUAGUACUGCUUUUUCGACUGUCCGGUCGAGAAUGAACGGUGAGAUCAAUGUUAACAGAACUAGGUCCACAGCGCACGGAGAGUACGGUGCUACAGUACUCCACAAAACAUGAACCAUAUGAAGCACAUCCUAUAGUGUUAGACAGGGUGUAUGAAGGGUGCACGGGAUGGGAGCAAAAGUUCCCUUCUCAACCCACUUUUGGGUGUUUGGCAGAGUGCAUGAACCAUGAAGGGUGCAUGAGUCCACACUAGUAAGUUGACAAAAAUACACGAAGAGGAAACAACUAUAUUAAGAUGAGAAUGCAACCAAACACACCCACACGCUUUGUGCUACAGUGACUGAUCUGCACCGUCUGAGUUUGAUCCAACGGUCAUGUUGCGACGAGACAUGGACAUGCCCAUGCAGAGGGCGCCUAAACACCACCGAAGCCCCUCUACUUCUCGAGGCGCACGAAGUUGGUGAUGCAGGGUGCAACCGCCCGCAGAGCCCGCUCCCAGUCGAUGGGAGCCAGCUCGUCAAAGACGGCGUCCAAUGGCAAGAAUGGAUUCUGGUGACGGAGCCCUGAAAGGAUUCGCUCGGCAAUGGCGACGGCAGCCUGCAACCCCUCCUUGUCCAGCUCAACCCCCACCAUCACGCGGAGACGGCUCAACUCCUCGGAGAUAUAGGUGAAGAAGGACACCAGGUUAGGAAGCCGCGGCUCGUUGAAGUCGACCGGGUGGUCGAACGGGUUUAGCCCGACGGCCGGCAUCGUCGCGCUGGCACAACGGUAGGCAUCACGCAGCCGCAACACGUGCGUGGAAACUUGGUUCACCAAGUGGCUGAGGCGAUCCUGGACUUCGUCACAAUCGGCCCGCUCGCGCUCCAGCCGGCUCCCCUGACGGCCUAUCGUAUCUCCCGCUUUCUGCAGCAACGCCACCGACGCCUCAAGCAUCUUUGUGGUGGACGCCUGCCUCUUUUGAAGCUCCGUGAACUCCCGCACAUAAUGGAGGAUCAUGGCACUCCUCUCCUCCUUGAGCUCAUGGAGCUCCACGUCCUUGGCCCUGAGCUCCGCAUCCUUGGCAUGGAGCUCCUGUGUCAGGUGCCUCACCUCGGACUCCGUGAUCUGCUGCGCCGCCAUGGCACCAAGUAGAAGCAAUGGGGAGAGGAAGCAAAGGGGGCGAAACGGCUGAAAGUCAAUGCAAUCUACGGGAAGGCGAAGAGAGCCAGCCGAGGAGCGGGGAAUCUUUUGGUUUUCACCACGGUAAAACACCAGUCGACGACUUCCCACAUCAGGGAGCAGUGGGUUUUUAUAGGCGGAGUCAUUGUGACUAAUUGCUGCCGCGCCUGCUCCCGUCAAUCAAAAAAUUAAAAAUCCUGCCGCGCCUGCUCCCGUCAAUCAAAAAAUUAAAAAUCCUGUCGCACCCAAACACUAGAGCAACGUUGCGGUGGAUAUUUAAAUUUACCUGCCAGCAAGUAGAUAAAAAAGGGGUGAAAAAACAAAUGUGGCGGCGGCCUAGCUAAUCGGUCAAACUAGCCCAACUAGCUAGCCACCGUGCUUCACUGAUGUACUCGGCGGGAAAGGUGGUCUUUCGUCAUUUGACGACUCAUUUACUUGCUUCGGCGCUACAACCGAGGAGGACCCAGAAAACACGCAGUAGGGCGUCCCACGUCAGGAAGAAUAUAUGCGUGCACCACCCGGGAGGACCCCGAAACCACGCGGUAUGGUGUGCCACGUCUUGGCACGGGGGGAAAAUGUGCGUGUGAAAAUAUACUGUAUCAGAUGUAGUACCUAUGGUUCGACCUCGGGACCCAGCCAGUCGGUCGAAAACACCCCACUAGCCACACAGCUUCAUCAUGCAAACAUGGCACGGUUAGCUCCAUCUCGACCAGCCACAACGUCUCUUGUUCUAGGCGAUUCUUCUAUUUUCCAAGCUUUUUUUUAGUUGUAAUAACACCACGGCAAGCUAGCGCCGCUCUUCGUGUGUGCCCGUGCAAAGGUUAGAUGAUGGAGAGAAGAGAAAUUGAGAUCGCUGACCUGGGACCCACCAGUAAGUGAGACAACGGUCAUGCACGUGUUGACGAGGCACUCCCUCUACUCUACUCAACGCAAGUAAUGUAUAAAAUCAAGUUAUGGGACAAAGCCAACAACCGUUUGUUUUUCCAGGCUAUCGACUUACGCUUUGUAGUCCAGGUUGCCAGUUCGAAUCUCGUCUUUCAGAUUUGUUAGUUUUAGGUCCAAAUUUGAUUAAUGACAAGUGGGACCCCCGUGUGUUGUUCCGAUAUUUCAGUGUAGGAUGGUUUUUUUGAACAAACACUUUGCGCGGUUAGACAAGUAAUGGCACGAGUUACAUGUAUUUUGCAAGUUUACGAACAAGAAUGAUAGCGGCAUAGAAUAUCACAUCCACCCCGCAGAUUAGAUACUAUGGUGAUACGAGUUUUUACACCGUUGGAAGUGAGAUCCAAUGGCUUGGGAGUAGUCUUUGUGAUUACGCGCAAUUUCCAAACUCUUCAAAGGUUUUUUUUUGCAAAUAAAACAUUCAGGCCUCGUGUGUGCCGCUGCAUCUUCGAUCCAACGGCUCCCCGGUGCUCAUAUUAGGUGCUCCCCGUAGCUUAAUUACCCGCUAUGGUGAUAUGAGCAUCUAGGUCGUAUGAUCAGUGAUCAGAUGGCACAUGCAUAGUACUUGUACUUUCUGCGCAUUUCCCAAACUCUAUCAGCCGUAUAUUGCAAAAACAUUCAAACCUCCUACUGUGGGCCGUUAGAUCACAGUGAACUCGUAUCACCAUAGAAUCUACGGUGUGGGAGCACCUCAUACUCUCCCGUGCGACAAAACAUAAGGUGCUAUCGCGGCUUGGAUGCUACGGUGAUACGAGCUUGGAGGUCGUUUGAUCUGAGAUCCAAUGGCAUCUGAGUAGUCUUUGUGCUUGUAAGCAGUGGCCGAACUCUUUUGGGGCUUUUCUGCAAAAAACCAUUCGAACCACCGAGGAGGUGUUGGGUCACAAAUCCAACGCCUCCGAAGAGCUUGUAUCACCAAAGCAUCUAAGGUGUGGUAGCACAUGAUAUUCUUACAUACAGGAGAAUAUGAUGUCCUCCUUCAUCUUAGAUGCUACGAUGAUACGAGCUUCGAGGUCGUUGGAUAUGGGAUCAAAGGGCAUCUAAGUAGUUUUUGUACAAAUUGUGUGCAAUUCUCAAACUCAUCAAGGUUUCCUGCAAAAAAAAUUAAGACACAUCAUGUGAGCUAUUAUAUCUCAGAUCUACAAGCUCCAAGCAACUCGUAUCGGCAUAUAGCAUCUAAGGUAUGGGGGCACAUGAUAUUCUCCCGGGGAGGAGGGGUGGGGCGUGUUCAACCAAUCGGUGGUUGGGAGGGUGGGGACAAAUAUAAUCUAAACAACCCUAAACAUAGCUCCACAAUUUUAUCUAAGGUCGAGGGGUUGACCCCCGACAAUCAUAGCUCCGCCUAAACACAACAUUUGCAUGUACUGUAGUACUAGACUUAAUAUUCAUGUUUCAGUUUCAUGAUCAUUUUAAAUAUUGAACUGAGGACCAUGGAUGUCUUACAUUUUACUCCCUUUCUUCCUAAAUAUUAGUCUUUUUAGAGGCUUCAAAUGGACUGGCACAUAUGGAUGUAUAUAGACAUAUUUUAGAGUCUAGAUUCACUCAUUUUGCUCCGUAUGUAGUCACUUGUUAAACUCUCUAAAAGACUAAUAUUUAGGAAUAGAAGGAGUAUUUUUGAAUUCGUGUCAUACAUGCAUGGGUUGGAAAAAUAGAUGCACUAUACUUAUUGGAUUGUUGUUGUGUUCGUGCGUGUGUGUCUCUCUGUGUGUGUGGGGGGGGUCAUAUGCUUGAUACAUAUAAAGUUUUCUCACCUCCAUAUUGUUCAUCUUUUAUAUUUGAAUUUGCAUUGGAAAACUUACUAGGGAUACCAUGAAAUGUGAAAUCCACGUUGAGAUCACUAUAUCACAAACUCACUCUAAUUCAACAACUCGUCAUAAAUCAAUUACCACGUUGAGAUUAGUAUUUGCAAGGAAAAUACGGGUAUUGUAAUACACAUAGAUUCAUUCGGCAAUUUAAAAGUUCCUUUCAUAUUCUCGAAUGGUAGGACCCAAUGGCGUACCAGCCAGACCUUGGCUUGUGUUGAUCCUAAAAAAACGGGCUCGUGUCCUUCGGUGGCGUGUGUGGUACGCACAUUAGGCAACCCCAACAAGUCGAGCCUCAGCGUUUCAAGUCGAAAUAUCUGGCGGCCAAAAUUCCAGCCCUAGGAAAUUCCCCUCAUGUCCCCGGUCCAUAAUGACUACCGAUGAACAACGGAGGGAUGCUUUAGUAACUAGACAACGUUACCUACCGUGUCGAGCACGGUUCAAUUCCCUCGGUCGCCGCUUGUCAAGGUCACCCAUCAACUGCAUUGCCUAGUAGUACUACUACUACACCAGGAUGAGCAUAGAAUUGAGCCCGUUUGUUUGUGCCUAGUACUUGAGUUAAUAUAUCAGGUAAUGCACUAGUACACAGGUAUUAUCCUUUUACUCCCUCCUUUCCGGUUUAUAGGGCUUAUCUCAAAAUUUUAGUUUUCCCAUUUUAUAAGUCUCAAUUUGGUUGUUCCCCAUCACAUGUUCAGAUUUCAAGGUGCAAUAAAUCAUUACAUGCAAGAAUUAAGAGAAAAUUGACCAAUGCAUGUACUUUAUGCAUGCAUGCAUUGCAAUUAAUGCAUUCAUAAACACAAUUUUUGAGGAAAACAAGCGCAUUAAUUGAGUGGUUUUGCAAACUACAACAAUUGUUCCACCACUCACCAUCUACCUUGGUUGGUGAGAUUUUUGAAUUGAGCCCUAUAAACCGGAAAGGAGGUUUAACUAAGCAAAAUGUUUCACCAAAUCAAUUCUUAAGAAAUACAACAGGACAGAUGUACGGCUUGAAAAUUUAUUGCAUGAUGCAGGUUAUGAUAUUGUUUCGAAUCCUGGAUCUUAAAUUUCAGAAAAUCCAAAAGUGAGCAUAAAUUCUUGAAACUGAGCAUGGUCACGUGAUAUGGCACAAAUAUUACUUCGUAAGUUUUUUUUUCAAUUCGAGACAAGCUGCUUAUGACAAGUUGCACAAAUGAAGAGCCAAGGUAUUUUGGAACAAAGACCUGUCACGUUAAGGCGAACACUUUCACUGUUGAAACUGUGGGCGUUUACGUGCCGCCACGAGUCCUCUCUUCUCAUCGACAGGUGCCGUCCCAGCAAGCGUGUGAGUCGACGGGACGUGUGCGAGCAGACCGCUGCGCCGGCUGUCAGGGAGGCGUGCGAGCACACCGCUGUGCAGACUCACCGGGAGGCGAGCCCUUUGACCAGGCUCCGCCGCCCACCGUUGUCCCAACUGCUCCCACUUUUAAUGUCGCCGGCGCCGCAGUUUAAAAUCAACCCCGCACUACCCGGUAUCGUUACAAUCCUCUCUAUUCCUCUCCGAUUCUCCUGUCAUCUACCUCCAACUAGCCUGACCUAAACGUACGCCAUGCCGCAUCACGAUGGUUUGCCCUUAGUGUUCCAGUUUCAUGAGGAAGACACCCAGCCGGAGUCUCAAGAACAAAAGGUGCUUUGGGACGAGCUUGAACUGGCCUUGCGGAAAGACGUCGCGCCUGUCCCCGCUCCCGUUCCGGCUCCCGUCACCCCAACUGUGCCAGCGCCCAUCCCCAUGGCAUUGAUGGGUUGGGAGCCGCACAUUGUCGCCGAGCUUGAUGCCACGGGGUUCCACGAGGUCCCCGCCGACUUUCACGUGCCCGUGCACCUGCCAGCGCAUGCUCCUGCGCGUGCACUGACGCGCACGACGGUGCCCGUGCACCUGCCAGCGCAUGCGCAUGCGCGUGCACUGACGUGCGCGCCCGUGCCGGUGCCCGUGCACAUGAAUGUCUCCGCCGCGCUGUUGACAGUGCAUGUCCCCGCGCGGGUGCCAGUGCCCCCCUCAGCGGCAUGGAUGGCCGCCGUCGACCGCUUCCUUGCACCAACGCCAGUCGCCUCCUCCCGCCAGUUGACUCGCUCCGAAGUCCAGAACAUUUUGGCCUUCCUUGAAGCUAGGCCAACGUCCAGGAGUACGCCAACAACGGCGCAAGAGGCCGCCGUCGCUGUCGGUCAGUGGCCCGAUGACACAUAGAGCACGGUAGAGGAGCCACUUCCCACCGCGAGACGUUGCCGCCGCCGCCACAUAAUCUAAAUUUGCCAUGAAAAAAGUUCGGAUUGCCAUGCUUAAAAUCCGAACGUUUAUCAUUUCCGUUUAUUUUAUAUCGAUCGUCGUAUAAUUUAAAGUCGAAGUCAGACUGAACGAAAUGUAUGGUUUGAUUGAUUGAAUGUUCUGCCAGAGCCGUAUCAAAUUAAAUAUAAAACGUCAUCAAGCCACAUGUAUUCCUUGUCAUCCAACGACCUAGACUGCUUCAAUGUCGAGCGCUCAACACAUUUAGCGUGCAGUUAAUUUCAUGCCAAAAAUAGUGCUAAUCACAUGACAACAUGCAAAUAAUAUCCUAGUAGUUAAUAUCCGCAUGCACUUAAUAUACUUCCAAAUUAACAUCCAUUGCAUGUACACACUGACUAGUGCUGCUAGUACGUGAAACUGGUGCCGUGACUUGUGAAUGCAUCCAGAUAUGGUCAACGGCAACAUCGCCCGCGAGUUCUUCCUGUUUGCCCGUGCGUCUAAACGCGGAAGGGGAGGAGAGAGAGAGCACACAUGGAACCCACCAGUAAGUGAAGGCGAUUAGUACUAAAAAUAAUAUUACAUGUUAUCCAUUAAUUAGGCUGUGGUAAUAUAAAACAUUAUGUGAACAAAGGGGGUACAACAAACAUUGUUAUUCUACGUAUGUUGCCUAUUGACGUGCGGCUUGAAGGCCCGGUCGCAUGUUCGAUCCUCGUCCUUUAUUUUUUAAUUUGUAUAUGGGUCCAAAUUUGUUUUGUGACAUGUGGGCCCCUCGGUGUGUAGUUUGUAGCACUUUAAUUUGUGGGUCGAAAUUUGUUCCAUUCCAAGUGGACUAUCGGUGUGUAGUUUUGUAGCUUAUUUAUAAUAAUUAAAGAGAACAACAUAGUUUUUUCAAUAAUACCAUGGUGCGACGUUGAAGGGGGGAAAGGACGUGCGAGAGAGCGAUGACCGAGCCAGAGGGAAAUCAACUAGGGGAGUUGCGUGGUUUGCAACGGUGUUUGGAGUAGUUGUGGGCCGAAUGCUACGAAAAUAUAAUUUAAACCGAACGAAAUAAAUGCCUACACAAAUUAAUCCAAGGUUGGAGUGCCCCUCGCAAUGUAAAUAGCUCCGGCUUUGCGAGGGAUGGAGAGGUAGUAGCUUCAACGCGUGGAAGAUACGGUGUGAGAAAGCGAGGUCAAUCGAGAGACAUAUAGAUAGAGAGACAAAGUGAGUGUGAUCCGACAUUUAUUGAACAAAUAUAUAUGCUUCGGAGAGAUAUUGUCCGAUUGAGCUUUUGGUAAGGGUGAGGGCUGUAAGAUAGAGCUUGAAAGAUGAUCCAGUCACAGACGUAUAGAUAUAUUUUGUGCGUGGGAGGAAGCAAGGUCAACCGAUCACAUAGGGGUCGUGCGAUCGAAAGAGUGAGACGGGUUGGAGAGAGUGACCUAGAUAGACGAUGUGUGUGAGAGAGUAUACAAUGUGAAUAGGUCGAAUUGGGCUCAAACAUGGUGAUAUAUCGUUUUUGUCCGAGAAAGAGCGAGGUCAAUCGAUACAUANNNNNNNNNNNNNNNNNNNNNNNNNNNNNNNNNNNNNNNNNNNNNNNNNNNNNNNNNNNNNNNNNNNNNNNNNNNNNNNNNNNNNNNNNNNNNNNNNNNNNNNNNNNNNNNNNNNNNNNNNNNNNNNNNNNNNNNNNNNNNNNNNNNNNNNNNNNNNNNNNNNNNNNNNNNNNNNNNNNNNNNNNNNNNNNNNNNNNNNNNNNNNNNNNNNNNNNNNNNNNNNNNNNNNNNNNNNNNNNNNNNNNNNNNNNNNNNNNNNNNNNNNNNNNNNNNNNNNNNNNNNNNNNNNNNNNNNNNNNNNNNNNNNNNNNNNNNNNNNNNNNNNNNNNNNNNNNNNNNNNNNNNNNNNNNNNNNNNNNNNNNNNNNNNNNNNNNNNNNNNNNNNNNNNNNNNNNNNNNNNNNNNNNNNNNNNNNNNNNNNNNNNNNNNNNNNNNNNNNNNNNNNNNNAGAGAAUAUUAUUCUAUUACCCUUUUUGAACUGACGGUUUCAGGUGGUUGUACUGAUGUUUUCGAAGCGGUUGAACUGAUGCUUUCACUUGUGUUUAAUAGAUUGUCUGCUUUAGUUCAAAAACUUUUUAUAAUUUUUUUGUCGGAACGGGGCGUGUAAUAUAUCUUUGGAAAGCUCUUGACAACCAUAUUUCAAGUAUAUUGAACGUUUUUGCAAAAUCAUUAUGGUUUAAGAGCAGUUUUGAAAAAAAACGUUUUUUUUCAAAACCGAAAACGUGAAUCAUAUUUUAGACUCAAUUUUCAAAUGGUUUGUUGGAAUUGAGCAAAUAAGAUGGCGUCGAAAGCUGGUGAAAAUCCGCAUCUUCCAUAUAUGUAUUAUUUUUUCUAAUUCUAUAUGAUUUUAAAGUAAUUUGAAAAAUGGUGAAAUUCUGGGUGAAAUGUAUUUUCGCGAUUUUUUGCAAACGGUUUGUCGGAUUGACACAAAUGAUACGGCGUUGGAAAGCUAUGGAAAAUGCGCAACUUUUGCGUAUAGAAAAGUUUUUCUAAUUACCUACGGUUUAAAAAUGAAUUCGAAUACGGUCAAAUUUGAUUUUGAACGCGAUUUUUUUUAAAGUUUGUCGAAAUAUGGCAAAUAAUAUACCGUUGGAUAGCUAUCAAAAAUGCAAAACUUAGUCAUGUUGAACGUUUUCUCAAGCUCGCAACCGUUGAAGAGUAAUUUGGAUUACGGUGAGACUCGUCGUGUUGUUUUCUGUCAAAAAAAACAGAGUACUUGUACUGAUCUACAUGUGCGUUUGUACUGAUGCAUUUUUUGGAAAGUAAUUUUGAGAGGUUUUGAAAAAAGAGUACGUGAACUCAUGUGUGUAUUGGUUUGUACUAAGUGUGUUUUCACUAAUUAGACUUUGCGUAUUUUGGAUAAUAUUUUUGCUCGGGAGUUUUCAACGGUUUAUUGUAUCAUCGCCCCUGUACUUACAUGGUUUAUAUCAUCAAACUGAAUGAUAUUUUUUUCUAAAAGAAAAUGUUUUCUUAUUCUUUUUUUGAACUAAACUUUUUUUUACAACAAUGUUUUUGACUUCUCUUAUUUUACGACUUGUACUUUUCUCUUUUGAAUUGCAUGCUUUUUGCUUGAACUUUUACAAGUUGAACUUCUGUCAUUUCUUUUAUUCCGAACAGACCACCAUUUUUUACUUGUACUGAUCAAUAUUUUUAAUUCAACCAUUUUUUCUUUUAUAGAACGGAUGAAUAUAUGUUUGGGGAAAAGAGUACUUGAACGGAUGUAUGUAUGGUUUUGUACUGAGCGUGUUUUCACAUAAUAGACUUACUCUGUAUUUUUGGUAUAAAUUUCCAAUUUUCUUUUGAAGUCAACAUUGUUUUGCGACGAUAUUCUGGACUUCUCUCAUUUUACCACUUGAACUUUUACCAUUUUUUGAAUUUGGAUGGUUUUUUUGUUUCAGCUUUUUUUCAAACUUAUCUGGGACAUCAUGUUGAACUUUUUUUCUGUACUUAUAUGCUAGUAAUAGUAGAACAUUUCCCAUACAUUUUUUGUCAAUUCGUGAACAUCAACCAAAAUAGGUUGGAGAGAGCAGUCGGUACAAAACCAUACAUAUAUCGAAGAAGCAACAUAGUAUAUCCUGCUACAAAGUUGGGCGGAUGCUCUAGGAUUUUUAGAACUGGUGAGGAAAACACAUUUAGAAUCAACUCGGAUUUUUAAAGAAUUAUAAACUGUAAUAAGAAAUUUUAUGUUAUCAUCGUCCUUGAACUUGUAUGGUUUAUAUCGUUGAACUGAAUGAUAUUUUUUCAAAAAUAUGUUUUGUGUGUUUAUUUUUUAACUCUUCUUUUGCAUUGGUGUCUUGUACUUCUCUCGUUUUGCAACUUGAACUUUUAACAUAUGAGUGGGUUUUUUGAAUUUCCUGGAUUUUUGCCUUCAAUCGUUGUUGAAACAUUGGACAUGUCAUUAUUUGCACUUCACACUUCUGCAUUUCUAUUUAUUAGAAAUGGUUUUCUCUUUCUUGUUUUAAAUUCAAGCUGAGAAUUGUUUCUUGUUCGAACUGAUCAUUUAUUUUUUAAUUCAAAUUGAUCAUUGUUUUUAAUUCAGAAUUUUUUAAUUCGAACUGAUCAUUGUUUUUAAUUUGAUCUGAUCAUUGUUUUUAAUGCAAAAACCAAUUUUUUAAUUCAAACUGAUCAUUAUCUUUAAGAUUGCAAAUUAUAAGGUAGACUUCUCUAACCUUUUGGCUAGUGAACUUAUACAAAAAAAGGGCUACUCUUGCUGAUACAACAGAUUCAACAGAACUUAUACAAAAAAGGGCUUCUCUUUCUUGUUUUAUCUUCUAUCUAUCAUAAGAACUGAUACAACAGAUUCGUUUGAAUUGUUGCUCACAAAAAAAAGGGCUACUCUUGCUUUACUUAGUGUUACGAAAAGUACUACAAAGAUGAAUAUAAGAUUUGUGAACUCAAGGCCGUACAUAAGUUGUACUGAUCCACAUGGGAAGAUUUCCACAAUUUGCACCGGCGAUGUAGCAACACAGAAAAAAAUCUGAAGGAGUCGUCACUGUCGUCCUCCUCGCCUGGAAGAUGUGCUGAAAAUGCACGCUAAAGUGACCUGAAGAACCACCAAUUGUUGAACUGAAAUACACAAGAGAAGGAGCAUUUACAUCUAGGGUAACUCUAUGUUACACAACAAUAACUGAGCAUAUAUGUCUAUAACUUGAAGGAUAACGGACCUCAAGAUGCCAUUUCCUCUCAGCCUUAUACAUCUUCCUUCCAACAUUCAUCUAUUUCUGAGUUGCUGCCUUCGACUUUUUUUACGCAUCCUGCCAACCGAAAAUGGACCGAAAUUUCAAAGAUGAACUGAAAAAGAUGAACAUAAUUUGAGUAGAGAUGGAUGAUGGCAAAUGAUGAGCAGCACGUUUGCUUCUCUUCUUGGCCUAAACUGUACAGACACAAAGGAUCUGCCCCGGCAUAGCUAAUUGAGAUCUCUAGCUAAUUAACCCAGCCACGGGCCACAUCCCAUCACACAACACUUUGCAUACACACAUUUAUCUAUUCCUGGAAAUUCUUUUACUGAAGUUAAGAGGAACAAGUUUGAGAUUAUCAGUAGUACACCCACCAUACCAAGUUUCGAACUGAACCUCUUGGCGUUCAAAAGUUCAGAAACUGAACCUCUUUUGUAGUUCUCCACGUGCGCUGGGUUGUCGGGGCGGCAUUGAACCGGCACUCGUGGCGGACGUGAAUGGCCUGGGGUGUCGGAGUUGAACGGCCUAUGCGCUGAAGUGCGGGGCGCAUAGCUGGCAGGAGGCUCGGGCAGCGGCGGGGCGCGGGGUGGUCGGGCGGCGGCGGGACGCGGGCGGUGCGCGGGAUGGGAGGCGGCAGCGGGGCACGGAAUAAAAUAAGUGCACAAGAGAUAUUUUCUUCUUAUGAUAUAUAAAACAAAACUAUCUCUCCAACACACAUCGAACUAUUCGCACAUUUCUCUAUGGAUUGAGGAAAGAAUACAUAGUGAAAUAACAUUUACUACUACUAGUCUUGAGAAAACAAGAGCUCAAAUGCCAAGCAAGGAGUUUUUGUGUUAGGUUUGAACUGAUGGCCUACCUGUAAGUAAACCAAGGAUCACAUAAUACUGCCCUGGAAGAUCAAAUCCAGUAAGUUACCAAGGAUGAGGAUUCGUUUUGGUGCUGUUAUGGUACUGUUACGCAUACAUUUCUUUAUUACAGAACUGGCAAUAGAAUUACGAUUGUCUAUUUGAGAAUCGGAUUCAAAACUGGCAAUCUAUAUAUCUGGAAAGAAAGGCAACACAGCAAGAAUGCUUGAUUAUGUAAUUUUUUUGCAACGGAAGCUACUAUUGGAACUCAUGUACCCUGUACAAGUUCGGUUCUGAAAAUAAAAUUAACAGUACAAGAAAUAAAUAAUGAGAGUGCAGCUCUUGAAAAUGUUGUGCUACUUCAAUGCUAGGGUAGCAAAAAAUAAAACAUUACACAUCAUACUAAUGGUAGUACAAAAUGGUUCUUUUUUGCACAUUUUUGUGGGUUAAGUUCCUAUGGCCAGUAGCUAUCAAGGAUUCAAGUGAACUCUCAGUAAAAGUAAUUUUGUACUCCUCAUGUAGAAAUACCUGGACUUACUGUCACAUGUGUUCUUUGUCAUCCAGAACACAACAACGUUUCUCUAUGCUACUCUCUCUGAUCACUUAAGAAUAACAAAAGGCUUGCAAACUACUCCCUCCGUCCGAAAUUACUUGUCGCAUAAAUGGAUGAAAACGGAUGUAUCUAGAAUUAAAAUACAUCUAGAUACAUUCAUUUCUCUAACAAGUAUUUCCGGACGGAGGGAGUAUGAGCUUGUACUCUCACUAAUAAUCAAUAGGACUCUCAUGUUUCUUGAGCACAGAUCAACGGAAAACACCCAAAAACAAAAUCCCUACUGUUUGCAAAUGUCCCAUAGAAUAUCUUAUCAUGAACGGACUAGUGAACUAACAGAGGAUUUGUUUCCAGCAACCUUCCCGGUGGUUCAGGUUUUUUUAUUUCUUGAGCUCUAAUUUUUUAGCUUGCCCGACAUCUAAACAUGAACUAACAUGAUACUUCUGCUGAUUUUUUUUGUCAAUGAACUUCUACAAUUUAGGUACUAGAACUCACUGAUGCUAUUUACUCUUCGUUUUCAAGGCAUUUUCAGUACAUGCCAAACAUUAGUUUUUUAAACACAUCCAGAGGUUAAACUGAUCAGUACAUGAUGAAGAAUGUCAGUUUUCAGAAGCAAAACUUGCACUAAAUAUGUUCAGAGAACAUGAGGCUCUCAUGUACUCUAGGCUACACACCAAACCUAGCUUUUACCAUGAUGCACCUUCUACUAUGCAAUGUAGACACAGAAACAAAACAAUUUCUUAUAAAGCUUCCUAGCCCAUUCACUUCAACCUUUAGAAUACAAACUUAUUUUCUGGGAGAAUAGAAGAUGAUUUCCAAACUGCAGUACUUACCCCAGCGCUAGAGCUCAUGGGGAAGAGGAGUGGACAAAGGAAAAAACAUUUAUGUAGGGUGUCUGCCAUGUGAAUUGGCCAAGGUAUUUUUUGGGCAAACCUUUCAACCUAGUUGUUCGUACUUCAUAUGAACUUCCCAGCAUUUUUUGUGCAAUGAACUUGCUAUCCCGGACUACUCUCUUCCCCUAUCAUCCUAAUAAAACACUAUUUUUUGGUGCAGUGCUCUAGUACCUGAACUACUCUCUUCCCACUUUGUCAAAACUAUGUUCCCCCUUUGUCAAAAUUAUGUACUUUUCUGGACUCUUGUAUUUGAACUACUCAGAAUAUUUUAGUUGAACUCUUUCUAAAAGCAGUAAAACCAAGCGAUGCCGUGGUAGCUAGGAACGAAAAAGAAAACAAAGAGAGCUAGCAAAAACGCACUGCACCGUUUCGCUUUGCCAUGAGAUGGCCAUGGAGCUAGGCGAUUUUUGAUGGCCCUACAAAGGCACUAUGUAACUGAAUGUGCAAGAAACAGGAGAAAAAAGUUCAGUAGCUACACUGGCUCACCAGCAAAAAAAGACAUAUACUACAGAAUGUGCCAAAAACAAGAGAACCAACAUUUUUGGCACUAAACUAUCACCACUCACUGACGUAAAAUGUGGAAGAAACAGAAGAACCACCGUCAAUAAAAUUGUAUGUGCAGUGGAGUGUUAGUUGGAAAGAUUAAAUUUAGUAUAACAUGCAUUUUAUUAUUUCAAUAUUCUAAUUCAGAAUUAAAAUGUCCCAGGAGAGACAAUUACCAGCUCAUGGCAAGACCUAAAUCUGCUUGAUCAGACAUUAUACAAUUGUGCACUGAAAUUCAGCUACUUAAUUUUGGCUAAGAAUCACAAUGUUGGAUUUGAAUGAAGAUACAAAUCGUAUUAGACAAACCUGAGGAUAUAGCUCAGAGCUUCAUUCUGCUAGGUAUCAUCAGUAUACCCUCCAUGUCAAGUUCUGAACUGAACAUGUUUUGAAGUUGAGACAAACAAAGUCGCAUUGGAGUUGACAGAGGGUGUUGAUGCGCCGGGUUGUCGAGGCCGCGUUGAACGGCCAGUGGUGGCAGAGGUGAACGGUCUGGGGUGGCGGAGGUGAACGGCCUGCACUUUGAGGCGGCGAGGCGCAUUGCCGGGAGGAGUUGGGGCGUCGCCGGCAGGAGGCGUGGGGGGCGACCGCGUCCUUGGGAGGAGGCGCGUCGCGCGUGGCGGCGGUGGAGGUGCUGGGGUGGCUCCGAUGGCGGCUGGUGGAAGCAAGUAUGCCACGAGGGCGGGUGGAAGGCGAGGAGCCUGCGAUGGCGGGUGGAAGAGGGAGGCGACGGCGGCGCGUGGAAGGGGGAGGCUGGCGGUGGCGCGUGGAAGGAGGAGGCCGGUGACGACGCGUGGAAGCCGGAGGCCGGCGGCGGCGCGUGGAAGGAGGAGGCCGGCGACGAUGUCUGGAAGCGGGACACCGGCGGCAAUGGGAGUUGUGGGUGGGUGGAUCGGAUCUGCGAGAUACUGGAGGUCAGGAGGCAGGGUGGGCUUUUUUGCGGGGAUUUUGGUCAUCGGCUAGCUGCAUCACAUCUAUAUAGGGACUGAAGGUAACAGAAUAUUAUUCUGUUAUUAGUAACAGAAUAGCCCUGUCCUCUCUCUCUAUAUAUAUAUAUAGAGAGAGAGAGAGAUUGAGUGAGCGUGGCCCACCAUGAGAUCGAAAGAGUGGCGGCGGCUUGGAUGGACUGACCUAGAUAGACAAUCUGCGUGAGAGAGUAUAGAGUGUGUCGAUCGAGGCCCGAACAGGGAGAUAUAUCAUUUGUGUGUGAAAGAAAACGACCUUAAACGAGACUCAGUUAAAGAGAGUGAGAUUGAGCGAGUGUGGCCCGCCAUGCGUAAGAAAGAGUGAGACAGUCUCGAGGGAGUGACCUAGAUAUACAACGUGUGUGCGUGCGCACGAGAGGUUGGGGGGCUAGAUAGGCAAUGCAUGUAUUUAGCGCGAGAGGGUGAGAGGGAGAGGGGGGAGAGAGAGAGAGAGCUCGGCAUGGGGUGCAAUGGCGGGUAUGUGAGGUAAAUACAUUUGGUAACAGGAGUGGAAACAGGGGUUGUGUAGUUGAGAGACUUAGAGAUCGAAACAUGGAGAGAAAGAAUGAACGUGUGUUGGAAAUCAAUAGCUUGCUAAGGUGGUUAGGAGAGGAAGAUUGACCGAUACAGGAAGUAUGUAGCGUUUGUGCGCCGGGGGGGGCUAAAAACAACAUUUGAAUGUACAUAGUACAAGACUUAAUAUCGAUGUUUCAAUUCAAUGUACAUUGUAAGAUUUGAACCGAGGACCAGGCAUACGGGUAAUUAUUUCGAAUUCGUGCCAUACUAAGUUUCGAAAAGUUGACAUUGACUCAAUUUGUUGUGCUAUUUUGUAGGUCAUAUGUUUGAAUCCAUCCAAAAGUUUUCUCACUACCAUGGUGUUCAUCAUAUACAUAUGAAUUUGUAUUAAAAAAGUAGCAUGGAUACAGUGAAAUGCAAAAUCCACGUUAGAAUUGGAAAUCGCUACGUGACACACACUCUAAUUCAAAUAACUAACAAUGUGACACACACUCUAAUUCAAAUAACUAAUUAUGUGACACACUCUAAUCCACGUUAGAGUGGGUACCGUUUCGAUUUUUUUUAAAUAACUCCUCAUUAUUUAAUUUAUAGUACUCCCUCUAUUCACUUUUAUAAGACCUUGAAGACAUUUCAGACAAUGUGCAAAACAGUUCAUUUUAAGUUGUCUGAAACGACUUACAAAAGUGAACGGAUGGAGUAUCUCGUUUCGUGUGACUAAUUAUUGCAAGGAAAACACGGGCAUGGUAAUACAUACAGAUUCGUUUGCAAAUGAAAGAAGAUUCGUUUCGUUUGCAUUCUCAAAUGUAGGUGCACCAGGCAGACCAGGGUCGUGUCGGGGUGGACGCUGCUUCGCUGCCCUUGGGUGACUGACAUGUGGGCCAGCCACCUGUUGGGCCCACAUGUCAUGGACACAAAGGCAGGUGCCUUAAGGCACCGAAGCAUAGUCAUGUCGGGGUGGUCGCGUGUGUCGGACGGACGCGUAGCACCCAGCCACCCACCCCACCCCCCUCCCCCCAAAAAAAGGACGACGACAAUAUAAGAUCGCGCUUCCACGUUUCGGAUUGAAAUAUCUGGCGGCCCCAAUUCCAGCCCUGCAAAAUCUCUCUUCUCCACCGUCCCUUUCCACGCCCAGAUUGCUCAAAUCCCUAAUUCGCCGCCAUCCCUCGAAUCGCCCCUCGUCUCGUCUCUUUCACCACCGUUCCCCACCUCUGUGCCGGACGACAACGACGAAGACGACGGUCGUGCUUCACCACCGCACUGGAGCUACCUCAUCUACGCCCUCGUCCACCGCACCGAGUGGUCCACCAACAACGGCGGCCGCCACAACCGACGUGCCUCACAGACACCGAGUUCCACCGCAUCAGGUGCGCUUCACCGACGCCGUCUCCCAGCUCACCGGGGCUACUCCACCGAGCACAUCGUCGCACCUCCACCCCCCGAGGCCAUUGGGGCUUCACCAACGGUCUCGUCCACCGCAUCGUAGCGCUCCGCUGCCACUCAAGAUCUGCAUCCGUGCGCGGCCAGCCAACGCCAGCGCAUCACCCUCAACGGCUCUAAAGUGACCCGCACUCUAGCUAGGCGAGCAUGCCCAAACGCCGGCCCGAACUAGGUAUCCACACAUCACUCCCUUGUGCACUGUUCCGACGAUGUUUGGAUAUCCUUUCACUGCUCUCUUAGCUUACACGCCUAUGCAACUCUGACUUUAACUCUUAUUUCUUAUGGAGAUGUCAUCUGAAACAAGCAAAUCCAUUUUUUAGCGAAGCAUGAUGGUGCUACGGGAUCUGGUACACAUCCUGCACACCUGUAUAACCUUGCAAGUAUCUGUCCUCCGGUACAACAUCACGGUCGAUUCCUCUUAUUUGAUCAACCAUUCGCCGUGUCAAAAAUGCAGAGGGGGAUGCAAGGAGCACAAGGCCUGCACAUCCAAGAAAGUGGUAACAUGGACUUGUACAUGGAACAUCCCAAGCGCAAGCAGAGCUGCAGUGAGCCUGUACAACGAGCUAGCGUAAGUCCCUGCAUUUCAUUUAAUUCGUACUGGCAUUCGUGUAUGAUUUGUGUGCAGUGGCUGAUCCACGAAUUCAAGUUACCAGGGGCGAACAUUUAACUUAAAAAAUACGAAGGCACUUGCACUCCGGAAAUCAACAUAACUUGAGAAAUGUGAAGCUACAUGCACUUUGAAAACCAGUUAAUGAUCCAAAGUAGUUCAGAUUAUAAACACUAAAUGAUGGAAGCACCAAAAAACAAAAAAUGCAACAUGGUGUACAAGGACUACAAACAUGGUCUGUACCUGCUUGAAUUAUUCGUUCUCUGGCUGAAAAUAUCAAAGUGUAAUUGCAUGUAUAACCAGUGCGCAAACUGCAUAUCAAUAUAUCUAUCCUGCACAAGUAUGCCAAUAGUUUCAAACAACAGAUUAGAAAAGUAUUUAUGCUAUGUUGUCAUGAUAUGGGGACUUUCUGGUAGAUGGCCUCGACGUUUCCUCAAGCUAUGAAAAUGCACUAUAAUUUGCUUGUCAUCAAUGCCUGCAAAUCUUUGUCUCUCUCAACAUAGUAGAUCAUCAUUAGACACUAAAUCCUUCAAUGAGCUUGCAAAAUGCUUGCAUUAGAUCCCUCAUUAGACACUAUAUGUUCAUCACCAGGAGCAUGUAAAAUGUUUGCAUCAAAUCCUUCAUUAGCAGUCUGUUCAUUAGACACUUCAGGCUCAAGGACAACAUGAGCUUGUAUGUUUGCACCGGAAACUUGAUUAGAUACAUCAGAUUCAGUCAGUUCAGCAUUGAUUGGGAGAGUUAUAAAAUAAGUAGAAAUUGGUUUCAUUUUCUCAUAGAUUCCCUACAUACAAGCAGUUUUACAACACCGUCAGGUUUAACUAUUGGCCAGAAAUUGAAGAGUUGAAUUAGAUAUAAUCAGGGAUGUGAUGUACCUGCCCAUUGCGCAUGCUACUCUUGCAAGCUAUGACUGUCUGUUUGCGCAAGCUCGAUGCCAUGCCCGUGCUGCCGCUGCUGCCUCCCACGCAGGCUACACCCAGGGUUGGAUCUUCAUCUUCUUGUCCUUCCGUUCGCUUGAAGCCCGGCGACCGCCCUCCAACGAGGGCGUGAGGAAGUGUUGUGUCGGUCUGUCCAACGGCGGCUAGGUUAGGAGCGAACCAGACUGGAGGCUGGAGCGAAUGAAUUGGGAUUUUUCCUGCUGUCGAUCGAUAUGGGAGGCGCUCGUAUGGGUCGCGAGCCUGCUAUAGGGCCUGCCUUGCACUUAUGUUAUUGGCCCAUCCAAAUUGAAACAUUUUUCUUCAUUUUUUACAUUGCCUUCUUGUGCGUUGGGACGAACAAAACUAGCGUGGGCCAACCUGGACGACUCAAACUAGGUGCACACUUUUCAGCCACCUGAGGCGGCCGCCCAUACCAGCCCCUAUGGUGGCGUCGCCCUUUUUGCGUGUAUGAUUGGAUGGUGAAAAAUAUUCCAGUGGCACUUUUGAUUUACCCACAGAAUGGUUGAAUUGCUUGUUUCUAUGAAGUGAGUUCGCCAAUAAUGUGAAGGAUGCCAGUCUUUUCAUCCUAUUGUAGAUUGCUUAGAUCUCGAUAUGCCAAAAGUAAUCGCAUGAAAUAUACAGUAAAAGCCAGUGUGAUGUGUUUGGCUACAACUAGUCUGACUACACGUCCUCAUAUAACAUAUCAAGGACGCACCAUCUUACCAGAUUAACCAUUCGACUUACCCAUGCAGUGUGGGAAGAAAGAAGUAUUGGGACUGCGUAUCCAAGCAAUUGAUGCCAUGGACUCCUUUGUACAACCUUGUAAGCGAAAAAGAAGUUGUAGUGUGCCUAUACAAAGAACUAGCGUAAGUUCAGUUACCUGCUUCUCGGAAUUUUAUUUAGCCACUUAUUGCAAAAUUGUUCAAUUACGUUGCUACUGAUUACAUAAUGGCACAGCCUGUUAAUCAUAUUGUAGACUGCGCCUAUCUAUGUGUUUGAUACUUACUGUUAAGAAUUACAUGUUUGCCUUAACUUAAAUAUCUACUUGUUUGUUUAACUGCUUUGCUGCUGCAACAGCGGGUUACAAUGAUGUUAAUAACUACUAUACUUUUUAGCAUCCAAUUGAAACUCUUUAAUUCCUUGUUUGUUUAACUGGUUUGCUGUUAUAACUCCCAGUUGAGAUGUUUUGCUAACUUCAACUUUUCUGAAUCCAAUUGGAAUUUUAUGGGCAAAACAGGUUAGCCCAAGAUCAAAGAGCAAGGUCCCCAUGGACGUUGCAUCAUCCCACAGUAGUGGCACCGGCCCAAUCGUGCAUUAUGAAUUGCCAACUGCUGAUUCUCUAGAGGCUAAACUAGUGGUAGAAAGAGAUUCUGCUUCUGCACUUAGAGAUGAAGUUGACAUGUUGAGGAAGCAAACAGCACAAUCACAAGCAAUACUCAAGACAACCAUUAAAUAUUUGGUGGAUUUCAAAACGAAGCAAGCUCAGACUAACCAGAUUGUUAAGGUCCUGAAGGAAAAAAGGAAAUUAAAUUUCUACUUGGUAAAUCAUAGGUGAAAUGUUCUUUCCAUAGUUGAAUAACCUUUGUGUUGUCUGUUCAUGUAAUCAAUCAAACCAUUUGUUUUAGAGAUCAUGUAAUAGUUGUUUUUUUGUUUUUUGGUUUGUAAUUUUAUUUGAGCACAAGUCUGUAUUAAUUGAUAAGACUCGGAGACAUUUCAUUUGGAUUGUUGUGCCAGACCUACAAAUAUGCCAAUCGGGCUAAAUGUGCAUUCAGCAAUAGUAGUAGUAUAGAUGGACCAUAAGUGGCACGCAUCGGAAAGGGCCAAGAUGCUGGCUAAAAAAGGAUGAUGUUGUAGCCAAAAAAAAGUACAACGGCCUGGCUUAUGUAUGUUAGUUGAUAUUAUUGAUCCAUAUACUCUAUAAGUGUUUAUAUGUCUGUUAGUUCUGUACAUUCUUGGUUGAUUGACUCGGUAUUUGAAUCUUGAUACAUCGCUUGUGUACAUAUCUAAAUGGGAGUACACAUUAUGCUGCGUGUGACAUUUGAGUUGGACAUGAAGUGUUCCAAAUAUUCGAAUUCACCUUAAACUGGAUUCUAGUUUUUGAAUUUGAGUAUUGGCAUUUGUAAACCAUAUUCAUAUAUGACAGUGGAAUACAUCUUUGUCGUCCUUUUGAAGAUAUAUAAAAACACAUAGAAUGAUUUAUAAAGAUUCAUAUAGGAAUACAAAGUGGAUUCGAAUUUAGUUGCCAGGGUAAACGUGGAUGCUUAUUGUCCCAAAAUUCGAAAGAAGUAGCAAAAUGUCCACUCCCACGUCGGCUGCCCGAAGCCAAGUGUUUGGGAGAUGGAAAUUACUGUCUACCCAUUACACGGACAAUCCAUCGGCCCAAUUUCCACUGCUCUAAAUAGGGGUAGGUUAGUAACUUCAAUUAGACGUGACACGACCGCCUCUGAGCCCAUUCCGACACGGUGGGCGUCAAACAUGGGCGGCAAAACACAUUUGAUUCAAGCUCAUCUGAAAGACCUCUGUUUCUCCCUCCAUUCCCCAUUCAUACACGGUGGGCGGCAAAACAAACUCAACUCAGCCGAAAUUGAUGUAGGCAAAUAUUUUCAAUAGGGGCAGGUUUGUAACUUCACUCUGACGUGACACAACUGCCCUACCUGUCAGCCCCGUUCAUACACCGUGGGUGCCAACCACCCUCUCCUCGCCCGAAAUCGCUCUGGGCAAAUAUUGGUGAGAUGUGAGAUUACCAUCCUAUCCCCAACCGACGAGACGUCCAAAAUUUAAACGGGGGCUAAGUUCGUAACUUCCCAUAUUUCAGACAAGUGCGUCCCGAAAACAUGGUUCCCCGUACCUCUCCCUCCAUUUUCCCAUUCAUACACUGUUCGUGCUAGAACACCCCAUCCCCACAGCAGCCUCCGUCCGCCACCCCAUCCAUCGCCGCCGUCCUCCACCACAUCCAUCGCCACCGUCCUCCACCAUGUCGGAGCGCCUACCAAGACCGCGUCGUCCACUGCUAGAGAUGGACGUUUCUCAUCCACGGCGACGGACCAAUAGCCUUGCAUCGUGUCCUCUCGCUUCAUCGGCACCGUCGUCCUCUUUGUCAGGGCCGCUCACACGACCUUCUCUUCCACCACAACGGGACUUAUCCCCCGAUGCACCCGUCUACCAUCGCAGAUCUGCUUCAACGCCACCGACAGCCAUCGCACCCCCGAUGCCUACACGGCACCGCAAGAGAGGUGGUACUUCAUAUCUCCUCAACUUUUUGAUCUCAACCAGAAAAUAGAUCUUCACUUGGUUACUCUACUUUCUUUUCAGCUCUUAGAAUUUAGUUCUUAGUUGGAGCAAACAAUGGGUGCUAAAUAUCAUUUCUCCGGUUUGCAGCUUCAAAUCUGCCAUGGCACAGCCAUAAUACGGUUUAAUUGAUCAUGCUUAGGGUUUAAUUGAUCAUGUUGGUUCCGUGGUGGUUUCUUUAAUAGAAAUCGGAGUGGAAACCCUCUUUUGCUAAAAAAAAUAUGCUUAGAGUUUCCCCCUUUUAUGAUCACUAUACGAUCAGAAUACGUGCUUCAUGUCAUAAUAACACUGCUUCACCCAUCAAGCUAAACAAGCUUAGAUGUUCAAAUAUGAAUCUAAUAUUAUUAAAAACAAGUUGUUUAAUUGGUCAGGUAAAUGUUCCUAAAUUAGUUUCAAAAAUGCAUGUUCGUUGCUCGGGUGUGUAUCUCUACAGGGUGCCCACAGUGGGCCGGCCCACCCUGGGAUUUUGGGUCGUCCCAGGCCCCGAUUCCCCUCUGUUCUGCUGCGCGCUUCCGAUCUCUACUCGCCCCCAGCCACCUGCCUCGCCGGCAACUUGCCGUCCUCGGACGGCAUGACUCUAGGAGGAGACGCCGGACUAACAAGAGGCCAGGAGCCGCUCGCCCAACAGCGUCACCGCUGCCCGGGCGCGCCGCCGUGCCUACCUUCCCAGUCCGUUCAGGGCUCAAGCGUGCAGCACCCACCAAGCCAACCCGAUUUAUCCUGAGAUACGUCCUCAACACUCAACAACCACUCCUCAUCACCCAUUUUCUAAUUGAUUCCUUACUCAUUAGGCAGGACUGUCAUUAGGGUUUGUUGUGUGCUCAGUGCUACCUACACUUAAUGGUUCAGAUGUAUUACGGUAAUCUUUACUACCUCUAAAGUUCAGAGGGUUUUCAAAAUUCCGGCCCUCGGAACAGAAACUAGUCAUUUUGGAUUGUUGGUCGUAGUGACAUUGACCCAGAUUACUACUGCAAGCCAGGUUUGUUGACAAUUUUACUUGUCUUUCUUACUCAUUCGAUAUAAUAUCAAAUUAUUCACGUCGAUUAGUUGCAAACAAUAAGUGCUAGACAAACUUCUUCAUUCAGAUUUUGGACGGUCUCUUACUGCAGUUACAAUUCUGCAUACUUGUCCUAAUAAGCUCACAAGUAAAUGAUUGAUUCACUACAUCUAUGCUUGCCUUGUCAUAUUUGCUGUCAAUAUUCUUUUAGGGUGGACCACCCUGCUUCUAAAUAAUGGAACCGUAGACAUGAGUGAAUAGUAUUUCUCUAUGUGAUCUCUUCCAUCAUGUGUGGGUAAUGAACACUGCAUUGUAUAGAAAUAAAGUGUCAUUUCCAGCUUUUACAUAGGUUUCAAUCUUUUACAUGGAAUACAAUCUGCCUACUUGCUUUGUGUCGCACUACCAACACUCCACCCUUGAAGCUAAACAUUACGCCACUCAUAAUUGCUUAGUUUAUUUGUUCAAAUACGAAUUUCAUAUGAUUCUAAUGUUCCUACUUCAGUUUUGAAAUGUGUGCCUGCCUGUUAUAGAGACAUAAGGGGUUUGUAUUUAUGUGUGUGGUCUGGUUAGCACGGUUGGGGAGGUGAACUUUGCAUAUGCAGGGGUUUAUAGGGAGACACUCUCCGAGUUGAAUCUGCAAUGCAUUCCAUAGAUAAUCUGACUACUUUUUAUGUUUUCAUGAAUCUCAGAUUCUGAACAGCAUCAUAAUGAUUAUGAGCUCGCGCGCAUGAAAAGAAUAAAGCAGAACAAUGCCAUGGCUAUCAAACUUGGCAUUAAGGGACUGAAAUCAAGUCUGGAUGCAAUGCAAUGCAAAUGCUCUCCACCUACAGAUUCAUGCUCAGAAUAUGAUCCUAACAGUGAUUCUGAGCUAGAGGGAGACCUAAGUCAAUGUAGCUCCCUAGUGGAGGAUUCAGAGGAAGAUGCCCUAUCUUAUUCACACAUCAAGGUACUUGCUCUAACUUUCCAAGGUUACAUUGCUCGCACAUAUCUUGCAACUGAUGAUUUGCAUUGCUUCUACUUUGUUGAACUGCCAUUAGCUUAGUUUACACAUCGUAUAUGUGAAUACGCCCUGCCUAUCCAUUUUCAGUACAUAUCCAUCUGUCAUCAUAGCAUAUUUAUCCAUUCAAAUGUUGUUCUUGUGUAUCAGCCGUUCAAAAGGAAGAGGGUGGUUGCUGAUCGUGGAGGAGCACAAGCAAAGUAUUUGGAAAAGGUAGUGGCACCUGAUAAAUCAAAUAGCCCAUUAGGUGUAGUUGCAAUAUCACCUGACCCACAAAAUACCCCAACUCUAGCAGACUCUAGCCCUACUACACUAGUCAUUUCUGAUGCCCCAACUCAGCAGACCCCAACUGCAGCAAAUAGUAUGAUUAUGCCAGUUGACAUAGCACCAGCUGUACGACGCAAAACCCCCAUUUCAGCAAAGAGUACACCAAAUCCAGUUGCCAAAUCCCUUUUUGAACCAGAGAGAGCCCCAAUUGCAGCAAAUAGGACCCCUGUUCCAUUUCUUCCCAGUUUAGAAGACGAAGCUUAUGUUGUUGUUAGGAACUUUGUGCGCAUCUUUCCUUCAUGGAAAGAUUAUACCGCAGACACAGAACAAUUUCCAGUCUUCCUCCACAACUUACGCGUAAGUAAUGUACUAAUGUUAUUCAUGGUCAUUACUGCAUAUGUUUCUGCUGACAGAAGACACAAGAUUUCAUUCUUUUAAAUAGGUGAGGAGCAAACUGGAUUGUGAUAACGAGCAAGAGUUGGUUGCGCUUUUCAAGCACUCGUUGAUGAAGUAUCGUUCCUACCUGAGGCAAGCGCCCUUCGAUGGCAAGCCUCUAAACGAAAUUUCUGUAAAGUCUCCGGUGCUACAUUUAUCCGACGGUGACUGGAAUAAUCUUGUUACACAUUGGUCUCGGCUACAGCGUAAGGUACUAUCUAUGAUAUCACAUCACAAUUUGAACUACAUUUCUGCAUUUGCCUUAAUGUCUCACUUGUACGAAAACUGUUAGCAGAAGAACAUUCGUUCUCAAGGGACCACAGGAUCUCGCAACUAUACUGCACACUGCAUUGCUCUUGUGAGUUCCUCUUGCCCUGUAUGACCAUACUUACUUUCAUAGUUGUUUGAUUAUGUAGCAUCACUGCACAUGUUAGCCUCGUAAUCGUCCAUUUGGUGGACAUUAUAAGAUCCGUAUGGACUCUUACACAAAAUUAGAAUCAACCCAAUGCUUUUGAAGAGGUUUAGCUCUGCAGUCCUCUUGUAAGGACUAAACGUGGUCUAUCACUAUACUUACAUUAACAGCUACUCCCUCCAUCCCAUAAUAUAAGAAUGUUUUGUAUAGUACACUAGUGUUCAAAACACUCUUGUAUUAUGGGAAGAGGGAUUGGUUCAUUUUGUAGCAUUCUGCAUCUUAUCUCCCCCGCCCACCAUUUACUAAAAAAGAUCAGAUCUAUAUUUAAUCUUACCAACAAGUAGAAUACAGACAAUGCCAGUGCGGAACUGUAUCCCAUUGCUCUUGUCAGUACAUUUUGUCAUGUAACGCUUGUACUUCCAUGGAUUAGUAGUUGAUUAUGUAGCAUCAAUCUGCAUCUUAUCUUCAUUAUCCUCUAUCACUUCGAGUAUUAUCAUAUCUAUAAUUACUCUCUACAAAAUGUAGAGUACAGGCAAUGCUUAUGAAGAAGAUUUUGUGCUGAAAUUCUUGAGUUAUCCUUCCCUUGACAUGGAGAAGGGCAUUAUAAAGCCAGUGUUAACUGUUAAUGUAAGUCAGUCCUUCUAAAGCCUUUAUCCUCAACUGCUGUUUAAUUUGCUCAUAGUCCCUAUUGUUUACUGUUUAGUUUGUUGUUUCUACCAAAAUGCAUGUUAGUAAGAACUGUAAGUUCUAAGUUUUACUUGUAAAACCAAAUUUCUUAUUCAUACCAUGCACAUUACUCAAUACUCCCUAUAUGUAUGCUUGGUUUUGUGGAUCUAUAAUCCAGUGUGUGGUGAAGCAGCCCAUGUUUGCACCUUGUCAUCUCCUGUUUUAUCUUACUGAUGUGGCUGAUGAUAUGAACAACAUGCCAUGCACAUUAUCCAAAAUAGAUACAAUGAUUUUCUUUGCCCUUCAUCUAUGCUUGUUAUGUUGACAUGGUAAUCCAGUAGUGUGGUGAAGCUCCCCGCAUUAUGAACAAUGCCAAAUUAUGCUAUUGAUAUUUUGAACUUACUCUUUAUUUUCUAAUUUGAAAUUGGAUAGAAUUGACAGAACAGUUAUCAUCUUUGUUUAUACAUGUGCAAAACAUGUCAUCUCUCUGCUUUGUUUCAGGGUGAUAUGCCUGAUGGCAUGCACAAGUCUGCUGAAGGCUGUGAGAUAAACCCAACAUAUAUUGCAGCAAAGAAGGCAAAACAUCUUGAAGAUAGCGAGACAACCCCAAAGUCUUGUCUUGAUGCAGUGUUCAAGUUACUUGAGACUAACAGUCAGACAAGCUCACAGAAUUCGUUGUCUGAAUCAGUUCGACUUCUUCAGUCCCAAGUUCUAGCAGAAAGGAAUUUUGCAACUCAACUUCGACUUGAAGUCCUAUCUCUAAGAAAGAUUGCGGAGAACACCAAUGAGAACCUCAUCGCUAAACAGCUACACCUGGAAGCUAUGACCGACAUGCUAGGUCGGUCUCACAGCCUUGCUCAUCAGCUUGCGCAGCUGUUCCCCCGCAAGGCUAACCUUUCUUGAACUGUCUUGGAAGUGGUCUCGGUUCAGUAUUAUUUUGUUACGCUGCAAUGGUGCCCAGUUUUUCUAAUCUUCUUCUUCCUUGCGCUUUAUGAUCACUGGUGGCGAACUUCGAUGCCCAGUGGAUGUAAUAUACCUUAAAUCCUUUAUUGUAUAGUGUAGGUUUAUUCUUAGUUACUAUGUCGUAAUUUCUUUAUUAUAUAGAAUAGGUUUGUUCUUAAUUCCUACUAGUUACUGCCAUCAUUCGCUAUCUGAAAAAAAAAUCAGAUGUAGUCGACCGGGCCGAAACAUUCGACUCUAACGGGCCACAAUUGGGCCGGCCUGCGUCUUUCUUGGGCCCGAAUGAUUGAGGCCUUCACACAUUGCGCCAGGCCCAAACUUACACCGGCCUAUAUUUUAGUUGGGCCUUUUGUCGACCCACUGCUUAGUUUGACCCAGGUAGCGUUGGGCCAUUAACAGGCCGAAUAUUGUACUGGCCUAUUAUGACCGAGAUGAAACCACGGGCCUUUAGCAGGCCAAAAUGCAUGUUGGGCCUCAAUUUUCACUAGUCGUCGACGGGCCUUCAGUAGGCCGAAAUGUAGACCGGGCCGUUAUGGGCCCAGUUAGCUCAUGGGCCGUUACUAGGCCGAAACAUAUCUCGGGCCUUAGUUGGCCCACUAAUAUCAUGGGCCUUUAAGAGGCCGAAAGCUUAGUAUAGGCAUCAACGGGACGAAUUACGCGACAGGCCUUUAACAGGCCCAAAGUCACGUUGGGCUUAACUGUUGCCACCAUUAGCACGGGCCGUUAGUGGGCCCGAUGUCCCGUCGGACCAUAUAUGGCCCAUGGGCAGCACGGGCCAUUCUCAGGCCGAAAGUCACACCAGGCUAAAAUGGGCCCAUGUCUACAUCAGGCCUCUAACAGGCCGAAAGUCACUGGGCUGUAGUUGGGCCUGAAUAUUCGGCGAACAAUUAACGGGCCAGAUCUGGCUUUGGGCGCAAAUGGGCCCAAAUAUUGGGCAAACAAUUAACGGGCCAGAUCUGGCUUCAAGCCGUAAAUGGGCCCAAAUAUUGGGCGGACAAUUAACGGGCCAGAUCUGGUUUCGAGCCGUAAAUGGGCCUUUAUUAAGCAGGCCGUUAUUGGGCUGGCCCACUAGUACCUGAUUAAGUUUUGCGGGCCUUUGACUGGGCCGGCCUUUUUAACCUAUAUGGGCCUCUGUUGGUCCCAGUCACGUGUUGACGUACCAUAGGCAUGUCUCCUCCAAUGGACGGGCGACAUCUGGCCCACUGACGAGCUGACAGGUGUUCCCUUCGGCCAAUCAGAAUUUUACACGUGGAAAUUUCCCAUUGGUCGGGGCUGUUAACGGGUUAUCAGAUCCAAAAUCCGACCCGAUAGCUUAACGGUGUUCUAUUACGGUGGAUGCCACGUGUUGGUCACCCUUGACGAAAGCACUUCUAUGACGCGCGAUUUAUCGUCAUGGAAGUGGACACUUCUGUGAUGAUAAUUUUGGUAAUGUCAUGGAACACUUCUACGACAGCACAUGUAUGACUAUCUUGAUUCUGUCAUAAAUUUGUCAUGGAUGUACAUGCAUGACAAAAAACACGACCUACUGUGACAAACACGUAUCAUCACGGAAGUGUAUUUUUUUUGUAGUGCACACAAAGAACAAAUACUUGCAACCCGACGUGUUAAAGGGGUUGUCAAUCCCUUUCGGAUAACGGUGCCAAAAGUUGGCGAGUUGACGGGAGAAAGUUGUAAUAAAUUGAUAGAUGCAAAUAAAAGCAAAUAAAAUUCAGCGAGGUAUUUUUGGGUUUUUGGAUUAAUAGAUCUAAAAAUAAAAGCGAAUAAAAACAUAUCUCGAAGGCAAAUAUGAUCAAGAAACCCGAGGGUCGUAGAUUUCACUAGUGGCUUCUCUCGAGAAAAAUAGCAUACAGUGGGUAAACAAAUUACUGUUGGGCAAUUGAUAGAACUUCAAAUAAUCAUGACGAUAUCUAGGCAAUGAUCAUUAUAUAGGCAUCACGUCCAAGAUUAGUAGACCGACUCCUGCUUGCAUCUACUACUAUUACUCCACACAUCGACCGCUAUCCAGCAUGCAUCUAGUGUAUUAAGUUCAUGGAGAAACGGAGGAAUGCAAUAAGAACGAUGACAUGAUGUAGACAAGAUCUAUUUAUGUAUAAAUAUACCCCAUCUUAUUAUCCUUAAUAGCAACGAUACAUACGUGUCGGUUCCCCUUCUGUCACUGGGAUCAAGCACCGUAAGAUCAAACCCAUCACAAAACACCUCUUCCCAUGGCAAGAAAAAUCGAUCUAGUCGGCCUAACUAAACCAAAGAUUCGAAGAAGAAAUACGAGGCUAUAAGUAAUCAUGCAUAUAAGAGAUCAAAAGACUCAAAUAACUUUCAUGGAUAAAAACAUAGAUCUGAUCAUAAACUCAAAGUUCAUCAGAUCCCAACAAACACACCACAAAAAGAGUUACACCAAAUAGAUCUCCAAGAGGCCAUUGUAUUAAGAAUCAAAAGAGAGAGAGGAAGCCAUCUAGCUACUAACUACGGGCCCGAAGGUCUACAAUGAACUGCUCACAGAUCAUCAGAGAGGCACCAAUGAGGAUGAUGAACCCCUCUGUGAUGGUGUCUAGAUUGGAUCUGGUGGUUCUAGAACUUGCGGCGGCUAGAAUUGAUUUUCGUUGACUCCCUUAGGGUUUCUGGAAUAUUGGGGUAUUUAUAGAGCAAAGAGGCGGUGCGGGAGGCGGCCGAGAUGGGCACAACCCACCUCGGCGCGCCUGAGCCCCCAGGCACGCCCUGGUGGGUUGUGCUCCCCUUGGAGCUCCACUCAGGUACUUUCUUGGCCCAACCGGUGUCUUCUGGUCCAGAAAAAAUACAAAAAAAGUUUCGCUGCAUUUGGACUCCGUUUGAUAUUGAUUUCCUGCAAUGUAAAAAAUAAGCAAAAAACAGCAACUGGCACUUGGCACUAUGUCAAUAGGUUAGUCCCAAAAAAUGAUAUAAAGUUGCUACAAAAUGAUGGUAGAACAUCUAAGAAUGAUAGGAGAACAUCAUGGAACAAUCAAAAAUUAUAGAUACAUUGGAGACGUAUCAGUCGUCUCGCCAACUAUUGCUUCUAGAACUAUUGCUAACGCAUAAGCAUAAAGUAAAGCAAUUACAUGGCGCUUGCAUUUCAUACAAUAAAGAGACAACCCUAAGGCUCCUGCUAGUUGUCGAUAUUACAAAACAUGAUCAUUUCAUACAUCAACAUAUAUCAUAUCAUAUCUUGACCAUAUCACAUCACAACAUGCCCUGCAAAAACAAGUUAGACGUCCUCUACUUUGUUGUUGCAAGUUUUACAUGGCUGCUACGGGAUUGUAGCAAGAACCGUUCUUACCUACGCAAAAACCACAAUGGUGAUUCAUCAAGUUUGUUGUUUUAACCUUCUUCAAGGACCGGACGUAGUCAAAUUUGAUUCAACUAAAGUAGGAGAAACAGACACCCGCCAGCCACCUGUAUGCAAAAUAAGUUGCAUGUCUGUCGGUGGAACCGGUCUCAUGUGCAUGGACAUGUAAGGUUGGUUCGGGCCGCUUCAUCCCACAAUACCACUGAAUCAAAAUAAGACAUUGGUGGUAAGAAGUAUGGCUUUCACCACCCACAAUUGUUUUGUGUUCUACUCGUGCAUAUCAUCUAUGCAUAGACCUAGCUCAGGAUGCCACUAUAGGGGAACGUUGCAUGGAAAACAAAAAAAAUUAUACGCUCAUGCAAGAUCUAUCCAUGUAGAUGCAUAACAACGAGAGGAGAUAGAGUGUCUACGUACCCUCGUAGACCGUAAGUGGAAGCAUUUAGUAAUGCGGUUGAUGUAGUCGAACUUCUUCGUGAUCCAACCGAUCAAGUACCGAAUGUACGACACCUCCGCGUUCAGCACACGUUCAGCUCGGUGAUGUCCUUGCCUUCUUGAUCUAGCCAGAUGGGUGAAGUAGUAGAUGAGUUCCAGCAGCACGAUAGCAUGGUGAUGGUGGUGAUGCAACUAUCUCCGUAGGGCUUUGCCGAGCACUACAAAAAUAUGACCGAGGACGAACUAGAUGGAGAGGGGCGCUGCACACCGCUAGGGAAUCAUGGUGUGCUUGCCCCUCUCCCUCCUCUCAUAUAUAUAGGUGGAGGGGCAAGGGAGGCAGCCCCUAGGGUGCACCAAGUGGCCGGCGGCUGUCCUAGGGUGCCUACCCUAGCCGACCCCCCCCCCUUCCAUAUUUGUGCAUGGGGGGAGGAAAAGGGGGGAUGGCUGCCUUUGGGGCGCCACCCCCUUCCUUCCCUCCUUUGGUGCACGGGCAAGGGGUGGAGGGGCACACCAGCCCCCUUGUGGGCUGGUGUGCUUCCCCCCUUUUGGCCCAUAAGGCCCAUCACUUGCAUGUGGCCUCCUGGAACCCCUUACGGCACUCUGAUAAUAUACUCGGUACUUCCAAAACCUUUCCGUUGACCAAAUACUAUCGUCCUAUAUAUCAAUCUUCACCUCCGGACCAUUUCGGAGCUCCUUUUCAUGUCUGUGAUCUCAUGCAAGACUCCGAACAACAUUCGUUCAUCAACUCACAUAACUCAUACAAUACUAUAUCGUCAACGAACGUUAAGCGUGUAGACCCUACGGGUUCGAGAACUAUGUAGACAUGACCGAGACACCUCUCCGGUCAAUAACCAAUAGCAGAACCUGGAUGCCCAUAUUGGUUCCUACAUAUUCUAUGAAGAUCUUUAUCGGUCGAACAGUUAUGACAACAUACGUAAUUCCCUUUGUCGUCGGUAUGUUACUUCCCGAGAUUCGAUUGUCGGUAUCUUCAUACCUAGUUUAAUCUCGUUACCAGCAAGUCUCUUUACUCGUUCUGUAAUACAUCAUCUCGUAACUAACUCCUUAGUCAGUUUUCUGCGAGCCUCUUGUGAUUUGUAUUACCGAGAGGGCCCAGAGAUACCUCUCUGAUACAUGGAGUGACAAAUUUGAAUCUCGAUCCAUGCCAACUCAACAGACACCUUUAGAGAUACCUAUAGAGCACCUUUAUGAUCACCUAUUUAUGUUGUGAUGUUUGAUAGCACACAAGGUAUUCCUCCGGUAUCCGGGAGUUGCAUGAUCUCAUAGUCGAAGGAAUAUGUAUUUGACAUUAAGAAAGCAAUAACAAUAAACUGAACGAUCAUGUGCUAAGCUAACGGAUGGGUCUUGUCCAUCACAUCAUUCUCCUAAUGAUGUGAUCCUCUUAUCAAAUGACAACUCAUGUCUAUGGUUAGGAAAGCUUAACCAUCUUUUGAUCAACGAGGUAGUCUAGUAGAGGCUCACUUGGGACACAGUAUUUGUUUAUGUAUCCACACAUGUAUUUAAGUUUCCGGUCAAUACAAUUCUAGCAUGAAUAAUAAACCUUUAUCAUGAUUAAGGAAAUAUAAUAAUAACAAUUUUAUUAUUGCCUCUAGGGCAUAUUUCCAUGAGUCCCCGAUUUCAGGGCGCCCCUUCACCGAUCGAGUGAUACGUCUCCAACGUAUCUAUAAUUGUUGAUUGUUCCAUGCUGUUAUAUUACCCCUUUUGGAUGUUUAUGGGCUUUAUUUUACACAUCUAUAUCAUUUUCAGGACUAACCUACUAACUGGAGGCCCAGCCCGUAUUGCUGUUUUUUUUCCUAUUUUAGUAUUUCAAAGAAAAGGAAUAUCAAACGGAGUUCAAACGGUAUGAAACCUUCGGGAGCGUGAUUUUUGGAACGAACGUGAUCUGGAGAACUUGGAGUGCAAGUCAAGCAACAAACGAGGCGGCCAGGAGAUAGGAGGGCGCGCCCACCCCUCCUGGGUGCACCCCCUGUCUCCUGGGCCCCUCGAGCGGCCACCGACGUACUUCUUCCUCCUAUAUAUACCUACGUACCCCGAAAACAUCCAGGGAGCAACCGAAACACAAUUUCCAUCGCCGUAACCUUCUGUAUCCGCGAGAUCCCAUCUUGGAGCCUUCGCCGGCGCUCCGUCGGAGGGGAAUCGACCAUAGAGGGCUUCUACAUCAACACCAUAGCCCCUCCGAUGAGUUGUGAGUAGUUUACCACAUACCUUUGGGUCCAUAGUUAUUAGCUAGAUGGCUUAUUCUCUCUUUUUGGAUCUCAAUACAAUUUUCUCCCCCUCUCUUAUGGAGAUCUAUUCGGUGUAAACUCUUUUUGCGGUGUGUUUGUAGAGAUCCGAUGAAUUGUGGGUUUAUGAUCAAGUUUAUCUAUGAGAAAUAUUUGAAUCUCCUCUGAAUUCUUUUAUGUAUGAUUGAGUUAUCUUUGCAAGUCUCUUCGAAUUAUUAGUUUGGUUUGGCCUACUAGAUUGAUCUUUCUUGCCAUGGAAGAAGUGCUUAGCUUUGGGUUCAAUCUUGCGGUGUCCUUACCCAGUGACAGAAAGGGUUGCAAGACAUGUAUUAUAUUGUUGCCAUCAAGGAUAAAAAUAUGGGGUUUAUAUCAUAUUGCAUGAUUUUAUCCCUCUACAUCAUGUCAUCUUUCUUAAUGCAUUACUCUGUUCUUAUGAACUUAAUACUCUAGAUGCAUGCUGGAUAGCGGUCGAUGUGUGGAGUAAUAGUAGUACAUGCAAGCAUGAGUCGGUCUACUUGUCACGGACGUGAUGCCUAUAUACAUGAUCAUGCCUAGAUAAUCUCAUAAUUAUUCGCUUUUCUAUCAAUUGCUCGACAGUAAUUUGUUCACCCACCGUAAUACUUAUGCUAUCUUGAGAGAAGCCUCUAGUGAAACCUAUGGCCCCCAGGUCUAUCUUUUAUCAUAUAAGCUUUCAAUCUACUUUUAUUUGCAUCUUUACUUUUUUCAUCUAUAUUAUAAAAUACCAAAAAUAUAUUUAUCUUAUCAUACUAUCUCUAUCAUAUAUCACUUCCGCAAGUGAGCGUGAAGGGAUUGACAACCCCUUUAUUGCGUUGGUUGCGAGUUCUUUGUUUGUUUGUGUAGGUGCGUGGGACUUUUGAGGAGCCUCCUACUGGAUUGAUACCUUGGUUCUCAAAAACUGAGGGAAAUACUUACGCUACUAUUGCUGCACCACCCUUUCCUCUUCAAGGAAAACCAACACAGGCUCAAGACGUAGCAAGAAGGAUUUCUGGCACCGUUGCCGGGGAGGUCUUCACUCAAGUCAAGACAUACCAAAUACUCAUCACAAACUCAUCUCCCUCGCAUUUACAUUAUUUGCCAUUUGCCUCCCGUUUUCCUAUCCCCCACUUCACCCUUGCCGUUUUAUUUGCCCUCUCUUUCCCAAUCUCUCUCUCUCUCUCUUUCGCUUGCCUUUUUCUGUCUGCUCGUGUGCUAUAUCGUUUACCUUGUCAUUAUGGCUAGUUCCUUAUCCGCUCAUAUGUCUCCCGAGUUUGAAGUUCUUCACUUCAAGCAAAGUCAAGGAGAAAACUUAAAAGAUGCUUGGUAUAUGAUGAUGGAAUAUUAUCGCAAGUGCACCCUAGAGGUGAACUUUAGAAUUCUUCUUCGCAAUUUUUAUGUUGGGCUAAAUAUGACGCAUAGACAACUCUUGGAUUGCAUUGCCAAGGGAAAUUUUAUUGAAAUUGAUCCUAGUAUUGCUCACAAAAUUAUAGAUGGAAUAGUGGGAACACUACCUCAAAAGGGAGGAUCGCAUCCUACCCAAGAAGAAACACAAGUGUUUGGAAAGAUUCGCGAAGUAACAAUUUUUUUACAAAAGUCUCUUGAGCCUCUUAAAAGUGUUAGCGGAAAUCUUCACCGCAUGAAUAUGUUGAUUACUCUUUGCAAUAAGCGGUUGGAUUCUUUAGAUAAAAAAAAUUCCGAGUACGAAGGGAAACGUAAAGAACCUCCUGGAUUCGAGCAUGACUCUGCUAAAAAACUGAAAAUUAAAGAUGACACUACUUAGAUCUAUCUUCGCUUUUAUGCCUAGCUAGGGGCGUUAAACGAAAGCGCUAGUUGGGAGGCAACCCAAUUUUCUUUGUGUUUUUUGUUUUUGUUCCUGUUUUGUAAUAAAUUUUGCAUCUACAUUCUGUUUAGAUGUGUUUUCAUGUUUUAAUUAGUGUUUGUGCCAAGUAGAACCUAUAGGAUAACCUAUGAUGAUAGUUGAUUCGAUUCUGCUGAAAAACAGAAACUUUGCGAUCACGAGAAAAAAUUCUAUAAAUCACAGAAACGUGAUUUUGCAUUGAUUCUUUUUUAUGCUGAUCGAUAAACAAUUUGUCCAGUACUUCCUAUUUUGGUAGGAUUUUUAGAGUUCCAGAAGUUUGCGUUAGUUACAGAUUGCUACAGACUGUUCUAUUUUUAACAGAUUCUGUUUUUCGUGUAUUGUUUGCUUUUUUUGAUGCAUCUAUGGCUAGUAUUAAGUGGUAUGAACCAUAGGGAACUUGGAAUACAGUAGGUUUAACACCAAAAUAAAUAAAGAAUGAUUUCAUUAUAGUACCUGAUGUGGUGGUUUUUUUUCACUAAUAGAGCUUAUAAGAUUUCCUGUUGAGUUUUGUGUUGUGAAGUUUUCAAGUUUUGGGUAAAGCUUUGAUGGACUAUCGAAUAAAGGGUGGCAAGAGCCUAAGAUUGGGGAUGCGCAAGGCACUGCAAGAUAUUCAAGAAUAGCCAAAAGACUAAGCUUGGGGAUGCCCCGGGAAGGCAUCCCCUCUUUUGUCUUCGUUCAUUGGUAACUUUACUUGGAGCUAUAUUUUUAUUUGCCACAUGAUAUGUGUUUUGCUUGGAGCGUCGUGUAUUAUAUUAGUAUUUGCUUUUUAGUUUACCACAAUCAUCCUUGUUGUACACACCUUUUGGGAGAGGCCUACUUGAUUUGAAUUUAUUAGAAUAUGCUAUGUGCUUCACUUAUAUCUUUUGAGCUUGUUGGUUUUUGCUCUAGUGCUUCACUUAUAUCUUUUGAGCUUGUUAGUUUUUGCUCUAGUGCUUCACUUAUAUCUUUUUGAGCAUGGCGGUGACUUGAUUUUAUAGAAAUUGUGAGUCUCUCAUGCUUCACUUAUAUUAUUUUGAGAGUCUUUUAGAACAGCAUGGUAUUUGCUAUGGUCAUAAAUUGGUCCUAGAAUGGUAGGCAUCCAAGUUGGGUCUAAUAAAAACUAUCAUAGGAAGUGAAUUGGAUGCUAUGAUCAAUUUGAUACUUGAUAAUUGUUUUGAACUAUGGAGGUAGUGAUAUUAAAGUAAUGCUAGUUGGGUGAUUAUGAAUUUAAAGAAUUCUUGUGUUGAAGUUAGCAAGUCCCGUAGCAUGCACGUAUGGUUAAAGUUGUGUAACAAAUUUGAAACAUGGAGUGUACCUGGCUUGUGCAUCCUUAUGAGUGGCGGUCGGGGACGAGCGAUGGUCUUUUCCUACCAAUCUAUCCCUCUAGGAGCAUGCGCGUAGCGCUUGAUUCUUAAUGACUUCUAAAUUUUUGCAAUAAGUAUAUGAGUUCUUUUGACUAAUGUUGAGUCCAUGGAUUAUACGCACUUUUACCUUUCCACCAUUGCUAGCCUCUUCGGUACCGUGCAUUGCCCUUUCUCACCUUGAGAGUUGGUCCAAACUUCACCGGUGCAUCCAAACCCCGUGAUACGAUACGUUCUAUCACACAUAAACCUCCUUAUAUCUUCCUCAAAACAGCCACCAUACCUACCUAUUAUGGCAUUUCCAUAGCCAUUCCGAGAUAUAUUGCCAUGCAACUUUCCACCAUUUCGUUCAUCAUUAUCAUGACAUACUUUACUUUUGUCAUAUUGCCAUUGCAUGAUCAUGUAGUUGACAUCGUAUUUGUGGCAAAGCCACCAUGCGUAAUUUUUCAUACAUGUCACUCUUGAUUCAUUGUACCAUCCCGGUACACCGCCGAAGGCAUUCAUAUAGAGUCAUAUCUUGUUCUAGUUUCGAGUUGUAAUUCAUAUGUUGUAAUCAAUGAAAGUGUGAUGAUCAUCAUUAUUAGAGCAUUUCCCAAAAAGAAAAAAGAAAAAAAAGGCCAAAAAAAAGUCCAAAGAAAAAAAAGAACAAAAAAGGAAAAGAAAUAAAAGGAAAAAGAAAAUAAGAAAAAUAAGAAAAAUAAGAAAAAUAAAGAAAAUAAAUAAAAAGGGGCAAUGUUACUAUCUCUUUUUCCACACUUGUGCUUCAAAGUAGCACCAUGUUCAUCAUGUAGUGAGUCUCAUAUCUUGUGCUUCAAAGUAGCACCAUGUUUUUCAUAUAGUGAGUCUCAUAUGUUUUCACUAUCAUAUACUAGUGGGAAUUUUUCAUUAUAGAACUUGGCUUGUAUAUUCCUACGAUGGGUUUCCUCAAAUGCCCUAGGUCUUCGUGAGCAAGCAAGUUGGAUGCACACCCACUAGUUUUCUUUUGUUGAGCAUUCACUUAUAGCUCUAGUGCAUCCUUUGCAUGGCAAUCCCUACUCCUCAUGUUGACAUCAAUUGAUGGGCAUCUCCAUAGCCCGUUGAUUAUCCUCGUCAAUGUGAGAAUUCCUCCUUUUUUGUCUUCUCCAUACAAUCCCCAUCAUUAUAUUCUAUUCCACCCAUAGUGCUAUAUCCAUGGCUCACGCUCAUGUAUUGCGUGAAGGUUGAAAAAGCUUGAGAUUAUUUAAGUACGAAACAAUUGCUUGGCUUGUCAUCGGGAGUGUAGAAUUUGGGAACAUCUUUGUGUGACGAAAAUGAAGCAUAGCCUAACUAUAUGAUUUUGUAGGGAUGAACUUUCUUUAGCCAUGUUAUUUUGAGAAGACAUGAUUGCUUGAUUAGUAUGCCUGAAGUGUUACUAUUUCUUUUAUACAUAUGAACUUUAAUUUUGAAUCAUUCCGAUCUGAACAUUCAUGCCACAAUAAAGAAAAUUACAUUGAGAAUUAUGCUAGGUAGCAUUCCACAUCAAAAAUUCUGUUUUUAUCAUUUACCUACACGAGGACGAGCAGGAAUUAAGCUUGGGGAUGCUUGAUACAUCUCCAACGUAUCUACAAUUUUUGAUUGAUCCAUGCUGUUAUAUUACCCCUUUUGGAUGUUUAUGGGCUUUAUUUUACACAUUUAUAUCAUUUUUGGGACUAACCUACUAACCGGAUGCCCAACCCGUAUUGUUGUUUUUUUGCCUAUUUCAGUAUUUUGAAGAAAAGGAAUAUCAAACGGAGUCCAAACGGUAUGAAACCUUCGGGAGCGUGAUUUUUGGAACGAACGUGAUCCGGAGAACUUGGAGUGCAAGUCAAGCAACAAACGAGGCAGCCAUGAGAUAGGAGGGCGCGCUCACCCCUCCUGGGCGCGCCCCCUGUCUCCUGGGCCCCUCGAGCGGCCACCGACGUACUUCUUCCUCCUAUAUAUACCUACGUACCCCGAAAACAUCCAGGGAGCAACCGAAACACAAUUUCCACCGCCGUAACCUUCUGUAUCCGCGAGAUCCCAUCUUGGAGCCUUCGCCGGCGCUCCGCCGGAGGGGAAUCGACCGUGGAGGGCUUCUACAUCAACACCAUAGACCCUCCGAUGAGUUGUGAGUAGUUUACCACAGACCUUCAGGUCCAUAGUUAUUAGCUAGAUGGCUUCUUCUCUCUUUUUGGAUCUCAAUACAAUGUUCUCCCCCUCUCUUGUGGAGAUCUAUUCGAUGUAAACUCUUUUUGCGGUGUGUUUGUCGAGAUCCGAUGAAUUGUGGGUUUAUGAUCAAGUUUAUCUAUGAGAAAUAUUUGAAUCUCCUCUGAAUUCUUUUAUGUAUGAUUGAGUUAUCUUUGCAAGUCUCUUCGAAUUAUCGGUUUGGUUUGGCCUACUAGAUUGAUCUUUCUUGCCAUGGGAGAAGUGCUUAGCUUUGGGUUCAAUCUUGCAGUGUCCUUACCCAGUGACAGAAAGGGUUGCAAGGCACGUAUUGUAUUGUUGCCAUCGAGGAUAAAAAGAUGGGGUUUAUAUCAUAUUGCAUGAGUUUAUCCCUCUACAUCAUGUCAUCUUUCUUAAUGCGUUACUCUGUUCUUAUGAACUUAAUACUCUAGAUGCAUGUUGGAAGCGAUCAAUGUGUGGAGUAAUAGUAGUAGAUGCAGGCAAGAGUCGGUCUACUUGUCACGGACGUGAUGCCUAUAUACAUGAUCAUGCCUAGAUAAUCUCAUAAUUAUUCGCUUUUGUAUCAAUUGCUCGAUAGUAAUUUGUUCACCCACCGUAAUACUUAUGCUAUCUUGAGAGAAGCCUCUAGUGAAACCUAUGGCCACUGGGUCUAUCUUUUAUCAUAUAAGCUUUCAAACUACUUUUAUUUGCAUCUUUACUUUUUGCAUCUAUAUUAUAAAAUACGAAAAAUAUAUUUAUCUUAUCAUACUAUCUCUAUCUUCGAGCAAUGGGCUGCCGCUGUGUCACGCAGCGCCGCCGCCCUGUGGUUCUCCCCGCAACUGCAUCGACUCGUGCAUCGCCGUUGCAACGCCCCUUCAGGCCGUAGUGUCGCGAUACACAGUCCCCGCCAUGGCCCCGAGGCCGUCCCUGCGGUUGCACCGACCCGCGCUCCGCUUCUGCGCCGCCCCUUUGGGCCGUAGCACCGCGGCCCGUGGUCCCCGCUGCCGCCACAAGGUCUUCCCGGCGUUGCCCUGACCCGCUUGUUGCUGCUGCGUCCCCCCUUUGGGUCGUGGUGCCAUGGCCGCGGUCCAUUGUUGUCCCCGCGUGACGACUUCCCGUGGUAUGUGUCGCGCCGCCUCUCUUAGCGCGGGAACGCCAUCGUAUGCGCCGGUCUUCGUCACGAUAUCAAGUUCCUCGCCUACUUCGAGCAUCGCCGUCAUGCUCCUAACCGCCACCGACAUCAGGCCGCAACUCUUCUUCGGUCGUCGCCGCCGCUAGCCCCGUAACCGCCGCCCAUCCAUCUCCUUCAUCUUCGUCCAGUACCAGCCCGUCGCUAGUGUCGUCGUCAUCUACCCCCACCACUUCGUCUACUCCGACCACCUUGGUGACAUCGGCACCACCCUGAUGGACACCGCAAUCGUCAUCGAGUUCUUCUCUGCUGGCCCUCCGACUUCUCCGACAUGGCGUACAGCUCGGGCAGGUCCCUUGUCUACGCAUGCUCGGUGCUGGCAACACCGAUGUGUGCUGCCACUUCUUGACCUUGCGUUGGGUUUUCCCUUGAAGAGGAAAGGGGGAUGCAGCAAAGUAGAGAUAAGUAUUUCCCUUAGUUAAGAACCAAGGUAUCAAUCCAGUAGGAGAUACAAGCAAGUCUCCAAUUUAUGCACCUGCACAAACAAUCAAACACUUGCACCCAACGCGAUAAAGGGGUUGUCAAUCCCUUCGCGGUCACUUGCAAAGGUGAGAUCUGGUAGAGAUAGAUAUAAAGACUUCUAAAACUUAAAACAAAAUAAAAGUAAAUAAAACUCAGCGAUGUAUUUUUGGUUUUUUUGGUUUAUCGAUCUAAAAAUAUAUCCGGGGGCCAUAGGUUUCACUAGAGGCUUCUCUCUUGAAAGAAAUAAUACGGUGGGUGAACAAACUAUUGUCGAGCAAUUGAUAGAAAAGCACAAAGUUCUGACGAUAUCCAAGGCAAUGAUUAUGAAUAUAGGCAUCAUGUCUAUGUCAAGUAGACUAAAUCAUGCCUGCAUAUACUACUAUUACUCCACACAUCGACCGACUCCUGCCUGCAUCUAGAGUAUUAAGUUCAAGAAAACAUAGUAAUGCUUUAAGUAAGAUGACAUGAUGUACAGGGAUAAACUCAAGCAAUAAGAUGAAACCCCCAUCUAUUUACCCUUGAUGGCAACAAUACAAUACGUGCCUCACUAGCCCUACUGUCAUUGGGUGAGGACACCACAAGAUUGAACCCAAAACUAAGCACCUAUCCCAUUGCAAGAAAUACCAAUCUAGUUGGCCAAACCAAACCGAUAAUUCGAAGAGAAAUACAAAGAUAUCAAAUCAUGCAUAUAAGAAUUCAGAGAAGAUUCAAAUAAUAUUCAUAGAUAAUCUGAUCAUAAAUCCACAAUUCAUCGAAUCUCGACAAACACACUGCAAAAAAUAUAUUACAUCGGAUAGAACUCCAAGAAAAUCGAGGAGAACAUUGUAUUGAAGAUCAAAGAGAGAGAAGAAGCCAUCUAGCUACUAGCUAUGGACCCGUAGGUCUGUGGUAAACUACUCACGUUUCAUCGAAAGGGCAAUAGGGUUGAUGUAGAAGCCCUCCGUGAUCGAAUCCCCCUUCAGCAGAGUACCAGAAAAGGCCUCCAGAUGGGAUCUCACAAGGCUAGAGACCUGCGACGGUGGAAAAGUAUUUUGGUGGAUGCUUUUGAUAGUUUGGGUAUAUUUCUGAAUUUAUAGGUCAUGAAUUAGGGUUGGAGGAGCUCAGAGGGGCCCACAAGCCCUCAGGACGCCCCCUCCCCUGGGGCGCGCCCCUGAGGCUUGUGGCCGCCUCGGGACUCCUCUGACUUCAUCUCCAAGUCAUACGUGUGUCUUCUGGUCCAAGAAAAACCAUCGUAAAGUUUUAUUCCAUGUGGACUCUGUUUGAUAUUCCUUUUCUAUAGAACUCAAAAACAAGGAGAAAAACAGAAAUUGGCACUUGGAUCUAGGUUAAUUGGUUAGUCCCAAAAAUAAUAUAAAAUAGCAUAUUAAUGCAUAUAAACAUCCAAAAUAGUUAAUAUAAUAGCAUGGAAUAAUAAAAAACUAUAGAUACAUUGGAGACGUAUCAAGCAUCCCCAAGCUUAAUUCAUGCUCGUCCUCGAGUAGGUAAAUAAUAAAAACAAAAUUUUUGAUGUGGAAUGCUACCCAACAUAUUUAGCAAUGUAAUCUCUUUUAUUUAGCAUGAAUAUUCAGAUCCGUAUGAUUCAAAACAAAAGUUCAUUGACACAAAAACAAUAAUAAUUCAAGCAUACUAAAAAGAAAAAUCAUUAAGCUUCAAAAAUAACAUGGCUAGAGAAAGUUAUCCCUACAAAAUCAUAUAGUCUUGUUAUGCUCCCUCUUCUCAACACAAAGUAUAAAUCAUGCCCACCCCGAUGUCAACCAAGCAAUUGUUUCAUACUUUUUAACGCGCUUCAGCUUUUUCAACUCUUCACGCAAUACAUGAGCGUGAGCCAUGGAUAUAGCACUAUGGGUGGAAUAGAAAGUGGUAGUAGACAAAAUAGGAGAAAGUCUCGCAUCAACUAGGCAAAUCAAUGGACUAUGGAGAUGUCCAUCAAUUGAUCUCAAUGUGAGUGAGUAGGGAUUGCCAUGUAACGGAUGCACUAGAGCUAUAAGUGUAUGAAAUCUCAAAAUGAAACUAGUGGGUGUGCAUCAACUUGCUUGCUCAUGAAGACCUAGGGCAUUUAAGGAAGCCCAUCGUUGGAAUAUACAAGUCAAGUUCUAUAACAAAAAAUUCCCACUAGUAGUAUAUGAAAGCGAAAAAUAGGAGACUCUCUAUCAUGAAGAACAUGGUGCUACUUUGAAGCACAAGUUUGGAAAAGGAUAGUAGCAUUGUCCCUUCUCUCUUCUUCUCUCACUUUUUUUGUUUUGGGCUCUUUGGCCUCUUUUUUCUCUUUUUUUAUGUUGGGCUCUUUGGUCUCUUUUAUUUGGGCUCUUUGGCCUCUUUUAUUUAUAACCUCACAUGGGGCAAUGUUCUAAUAGUGAUGAUCAUCACACUUUUAUUUACUUACAACUCAAGAAUUACAACUCGAUACUAGAACAAAGAUAUGACUAUAUGAAUGUCUUCGGCGGUGUACCAAGAUGUGCAAUGAUCAACAGUGACAUAUAUAAAAAAUAUGAAUGGCGGCCAAGCCACAAAUACUAUGCCAACUACAUGAUCAUGUAAAGCAAUAUGACAAUGAUGGUAUGUGUCAUAAUAAACAGAGCGGUGGAAGUUGCAUGGCAAUAUAUCUCGGAAUGGCUAUGAAAAUGCCAUAAUAGGUAGGUAUGGUGGCUGUUUUGAGGAAGGGUAUAAGGUGGGUUUAAUGCACCGGCGAAAUUUGUGCGGUACUAGAGUGGCUAGCAAAGGUGGAAGGGUGAGAGUGCGUAUAAUCCAUGGACUCAACAUUAGUCACAGAGAACUCACAUACUUAUUGCAAAAAAAUCAAUUAGCCCUCGAAGCAAAGUACUACUAUGCAUGCUACUAGGGGAGAGGUUGGUAGGAGUUAACCAUUGUGCACUCCUGACUUUCACAUAAAGGAAGACAAUCAAGAAUAAAUUGCGCUCCAACUUCAUCACAUAACUAGAAGACCAUACGUGCAUGCUACGGGAAUCACAAACCUUAACGCAAUUAUUUAUUUGACUACAUGAUUUACUACUAGCAUGAAUCUAAUAUCACCAUCCUCAUAUCUCAAAACAAAUGCAAGGAAUCAAACUUUUCAUAUAUUCAAUGCUCUUUAUGAAAGUUUUUAUUAUAUCUCCUUUUGGAUGCCUAUCAUAUUAGGACUAAAUUCAGAACCUAAGCAAAUUACGAUGCUAUUUAAGAGACUCCCAAAAUAAUAUAAGUGAAUCAUGAGAGUUCAGCAAUUUCAAUAAAAUAAAGCCACCGUCGUGCUCUAAGAAGAUAUAGGUGAAGCACUAGAGCAAAAACUGUCCAACUCAAAAGAUAUAAGUGAAGCACAUAGAGUAUUCUAAUAAAUUCACAAUCCAUGUGUGUCCCUCUCAAAAGGUGUAUACAACAAGGAUUAUUGUGGCAAACUAAAAAGCAAAGACUCAUAUCAUACAAGAUGUUCCAAUCUAAACACAUAUCAUGUGGUGAAUAAAAAUAUAGCCUCAAGUGAAUUUACCGAUGGAUUGAAGACGAAAGAGGGGAUGUCAUCCGGGCAUCCCCAAGCUUAGAUGCUUGGUUGUCCUUGAAUAUUACCUUGGGGUGCCUUGGGAAUCCCCAAGCUUAGGCUCUUGCCACUCCUUAUUCCAUAGUCCAUCAAAUGUUUACCCAGAACUUGAAAACUUCCCAACACAAAACUCAAUAGAAAACUCAUGAGAUCCGUUAGUAUAAGAAAAUAAAUCACCACUUUUUGGUACUGUUUUCAACUAAUUCUUUAUUUAUAUUAGUGUAAUAUAUACUGUAUUCCAACUUAUCCAUGGUUCAUACCCCCGAUACUACCCAUAGAUUCAUCAAAAUAAGCAAACAACACAAUGAAAACAGAAUCUGUCUAAAACAGAGCAGUCUGUAGUAAUAAGAAAACUUCAUAUACUUAUGUAACUCCAAAAAUUCUUAAAAAUUAGGACAACCUGGGUAAUUUUUAUAUAAAUCUUUUGUAAAAAAUUUAGAUCAAAAGCACGCUUCUGUGAUGUUUGAAAAUUGUUUUACUGGGCGCAAAAGUUUCUGUUUUUCAGCAAGAUCAAAUCAACUAUCACUGUAAGCCAUCCCAAAGGUCUUACUUGGCUCAAACAAUAAUUAACACAUGAAAACACAUCUAACCAGAGGCUAGAUGAUAUAUUUAUUCAAAAAUAGGAACAAAAAAGCAAGAACAGAAAUAAAAUUGGGUUGCCUCCCAACAAGCGCUAUUGUUUGAUGCCCCUAGCUAGGCAUAAAGAAUAGAUCUAGGUAUUGUCAUCUUUGGCCUUUACCCUUUUAGUGGGGUUAUGCUCAAAUCCGGGAGGUUCUUUGUGCUCCCCCUUAUCUUCAGUAAUAUUUAUAUCUAGAUCAUCCAACCUCUUGAUGCAAAGAGUGAUCAACAUGUUCAUGCGGUGGAUGUUUCCACUAACAUUUUUGAAAGGUUCAAAAGUUUUUUGUAAAUCAACCAUACUUUUUUGUACUUCACACAACUUUUCCAAAACUUGUGUUCCUUCUUAGGUAUGAUUGAAUCCCUUUUAUGGGGGCGGUAUACCUACCACACACUCUAUUAUCUCAUAAGCAAUGUUGGCAUCAGUCUCAAUAAAAUUUCCUUUAGCAGCGAAAUCCAAAAGUUUCCUAUGGGGCAUGGUUAAUCCAACAUAAAAAUUAUGAAGUAAAAUCUUAGUACCCCCCUUUAUAGUACAGAUGCGAUAAUACUCUAUCAUUCUAUACCAAGCAUCCUUUAAAUUUUCUCCUUGUUUCUGUUUGAAGUGAAGAACUUCAAAGUCUGGAGAAAAAGGAGGGGUAGCAGCGCUAGUCAUAGCGAGAAAAUAAAGGAAACAACAAGGCAAACGAUCUAGAACACAAGCAAACAAAAAGCAAAUGAAAAUACGAACUAAAGAAGGGCAAAUAAAAAGGCAAAUCUUUUUGUAUUUUUCUAAAAAUCAUUUUAGAAGUGGGGGAGAGGAAAACGAGAGGCAAAUGGAAAAUAAUGUAAUGCAAGAGAUGAGAGUUUUUGAUAGGUACUUGGCAGGCUUGAUGUAGAUCUCCCUGGCAAUGGCGCCAGAAAUUCUUCCUGCUACUUCUCGAGCUUGCGUUAUUUUUCCCUUGAAGAGGAAAGGGUGAUGCAGCAAAGUAGAGAUAAGUAUUUCCCUUAAUUAAGAACCAGGGUAUCAAUCAGUAGGAGAUACAAGCAAGUUGAUAUGUCUCCAACGUAUCUAUAAUUUUUGAUUGUUCCAUGCUAUUAUAUUACCCGUUUUGGAUGUUUAUGGGCUUUACUUUACACAUUUGUAUCAUUUUUUGGACUAACCUACUAACCAGAGGCCUAGCCCGUAUUGCUGUUUUUUUUGCCUAUUUCAGUGUUUCGAAGAAAAGGAAUAUCAAAAGGAGUCCAAACGGAAUGAAACCUUCGGGAGCAUGAUUUUUGGAACGAACAUGAUCCAGAGGACUUGGAGUGGAAGUCAAGAAAUAAACGAGGCGGCCACGAGGGUGGAGGGCGCCCCCCCCCCCCCCUACUGGGCACGCCCCCCUAUCUCGUGGGCCCCUCGGGCGUCCACCGACCUACUUCUUCCUCCUAUAUAUACCCAUGUACCCCUAAAACAUCAGAAGCGACCACGAAAAACUAUAUCCACCAUCGUAACCUUCUGUAUCCGCGAGAUCCCAUCUUGGAGCCUUCACCAGCGCUCCGCCGGAGGGGGAAUCGACCAUGGAGGGCUUCUACAUCAACACCAUAGCCUCUCCGAUGAGUUGUGAGUAGUUUACUACAGACCUUCGGGUCCAUAGUUAUUAGCUAGAUGGCUUCUUUUCUCUCUUUGAAUCUCAAUACCAUGUUCUCCUCGAUCUUCUUGGAGAUCUAUUCGAUGUAACUCUUUUUGCGGUGUGUUUGUCGAGAUCCAAUGAAUUGUGGGUUUAUGAUCAAGUUUAUCUAUGGGAAAUGUUUGAAUCUUCUCUGAAUUAUUUUAUGUGUGAUUAAGUUAUCUUUGCAAGUCUCUUUGAAUUAUCAGUUUGGCUUGGCCUACUAGAUUGAUCUUUCUUGCAAUGGGAAAAGUGCUUAGCUUUGGGUUCAAUAUUGUGGUGUCCUUUCCCAGUGACAGCAGGGGCAGCAAGGCACGUAUUGUAAUGUUGCCAUCGAGGAUAAAAGAUGGGGUUUAUAUCAUAUUGCAUGAGUUUAUCCCUCUACAUCAUGUCAUCUUUCUUAAUGCGUUACUCUGUUCUUUAUGAACUUAAUACUCUAGAUGCAUGCUGGAUAGCGGUUGAUGUGUGGAGUAAUAGUAGUAGAUGCAGGCAGGAGUCGGUCUACUUGUCACGGACGUGAUGCCUAUAUACAUGAUCAUGCCUAGAUAAUCUCAUAAUUAUUCGCUUUUCUAUCAAUUGCUCGACAGUAAUUUGUUCACCCAUCGUAACACUUAUGCUAUCUUGAGAGAAGCCACUAGUGAAACCUAUGGCCCCCGGGUCUAUCUCUUAUCAUAUAAGCUUUCAGUCUACUUUUAUUUGCAUCUUUACUUUUCCAAUCUAUAUUAUAAAAUACCAAAAAUAAAUUUACCUUAUCAUAUUAUCUCUAUCAGAUCUCACUUUCGCAAGUGGUCGUGAAGGGAUUGACAACCCCUUUAUUGCAUUGGUUGCGAGUUCUUGUUUGUUUGUGUAGGUGCGUGGGACUUUUGAGGAGCCUCCUACUGGAUUGAUACCAUGGUUCUCAAAAACUGACGGAAAUACUUACACUACUAUUGUUGCAUCACCCUUUCCUCUUCAAGGAAAACCAACGCAAGCUCAAGAAGUAGCAAGAAGGAUUUCUGGCGCCGUUGCCAGGGAGGUCUUAGCUCAAGUCAAGACAUACCAAGUACCCAUCACAAACUCAUCUCCCUCGCAUUUACAUUAUUUGCCAUUUGCCUCUCAUUUUCCUCUCCCCCACUUCACCCUUGCUGUUUUAUUCGCCCUCUCUUUCCCAACCUCCUCUCUCUUUCGCUUGUCUUUUUGUGUGCAUGUUUGCCCUUAUGGCUUUGCCUAAGAACACCGACCUUCAUCUUAGAAGGUUGGAAGAGAUUGAAUCAAACGUUAGAAGUUUUAUGACUUUACAAUUUGAGCAUAAUAAUUUCUUCAGAAAAGAGCUUAAAGAACAAAAAAGUUUUAUGGGGUUUAUGAACAAAGAGCUUGAUGAUAUGUCUAAAGAAUUUUAUGGUUUUAACUCUCAAAUUACUCGGCUUCAAAAUUCUAUAGCCCAAAUUUCUGAUAAGCAAGCUACCUUAGUCAAUAAGAUGGCUGCCAAACCAGAAAAGUUAGAUGAAAAUAAUGAUGAAGAUCUUAAAUUUAUUGAUGUGUCCCCUAUUAGAUCUUUAUUUUGCAAUAUGAAUCUUAAUAAUAAUGGGACUGGAGAUAAGCCAACUUUAGUUAAAAGGCGUCCCAACGAUUCGGAGUUUUUAGAUCUUGAUGCUAAAUUUGGUAAAAGUGGGAUUGGAGAGGUCAAGACUUUAAAUAGCAUUGAACCCACUAUCUUGGGUUUUAAGGAAUUUAAUUAUGAUAAUUGUUCUUUAGAAGAUUGUAUUUCCUUGUUGCAAUCUAUUGUGAAUUCUCCUCAUGCUUAUAGUCAAAAUAAAGCUUUUACCAAACAUAUUGUUGAUGCCUUUAUGCAAUCUUAUGAUGAAAAACUUAAUUUGGAAGUUUCUAUACCUAGAAAAAUUUAUGAUGAGUGGGAACCUACUAUAAAGAUUAAAAUUAAAGAUCAUGAGUGUUAUGCCUUGUGUGAUUUGGGUGCUAGUGUUUCCACGAUUCCGAAAACUUUAUGUGAUAUUCUAGGUUUCCAUGAUCUUGAUGAUUGCUCUUUAAAUUUGCACAUUGCGGAUUCCACCAUUAAAAAGCCAAUGGGAAGGAUCAAUUAUGUUCUCAUUGUUGCAAAUAGGAAUUUGGUGCCCGUAGAUUUUAUCGUUCUUGAUAUAGGUUGCAAUCUUUCUUGUCCUAUUAUUCUUAGUAGGCCUUUCCUUAGAACAAUUCGUGCGAUUAUUAAUAUUAAGGAAGGGAAUAUUAGAUUCCAAUUCCCAUUAAGGAAAGGCAUGGAGCACUUUCCAAGAAACAAAGUCAAAUUAUCUUAUGAAUCUAUCAUGCAAGCUACUUAUGAAUUGAGUGCCAAAGAUGGCACUACUUAGAUCUAUCCUCGCUUUUAUGCCUAGCUAGGGGCGUUAAACGAUAGCGCUAGUUGGGAGGCAACCCAAUUUUAUUUUUGUAUUUUUUUACUUCUGUUUAGUAGUAAAUUUUGCUUCUACCUUCUAUUUAUAUGUGUUUUUAUGUUUGAAUUAGUGUUUGUGCCAAGUAGAACCUAUAGGAUAACCUAUGGUGAUAGUUAAUUUGAUUCUGCUGAAAAACAGAAACUUUGCGCACACGAAAAUAAUUUUAGUAAUUCACAGAAACGAGCUUUUGUGUUGAUUCUAUUUGUUGUAGAUCAAUAGACAAAUUUCCCAGGACUUCCUAUUUUCGUAGAAUUUUUAGAGUUAUAAGUAUCCAAGAGUUACAGAUUGCUACAGACUGUUCUGUUUUUGAGAAAUUCUGCAUUUCGUGUGUUGUUUGCUUAUUUUGGUGCAUCUAUGGCUAGUAUGUAAGGGUAUGAACCAUAGAGAACUUGGAAUACAGUAGGUUUAACACCGAUAUAAAUAAAUAAUGAGUUCAUUAUAGUACCUUAUGUGGUGGUUUUGCUUUCUUGCACUAACGGAGCUUAUGAGAUUUCCUAUUGAGUUUUGUGUUGUGAAGUUUUCAAGUUUUGGGUAAAGAUUUGAUGGACUAUGGAAUAAGGAGUGGCAAGAGCCUAAGCUUUGGGAUGCCCAUGGCACCCCAAGAUAUUCAAUAAUAGCCAAAAGCCUAAGCUUGGGGAUGCCCCAGAAGGCAUCCCCUCUUUCGUCUUCCUUUAUCGGUAACUUUACUUGGAGCUAUAUUUUUAUUCGCCACAUGAUAUGUGUUUUGCUUGGAGCGUCUUGUAUGAUAUUAGUCUUUGCUUUUUAGUUUACCACAAUCAUCCUUCAUGUACACACCUUUUGGGAGAAACCCAUUUUAUUGGAAUUUAUUAGAAUACUCUAUGUGCUUCACUUAUAUCUUUUGAGCUAGAUAGUUUUUGCUCUAGUGCUUCACUUAUAUCUUUUAGAGCACGGUGGUGGCUUAAUUUUGAAGAAAUUGUUAGUCUCUCAUGCUUCAAUUAUAUUAUUUUGAGAGUCUCUUAGAACAGCAUGGUAUUUUCUAUGGUUAUAAAAUUGGUCCUAGAAUGGUGGGCAUCCAAGUUGUGUAUAAUAAAAAUUAUCAUAGGAAGUGAAUUGGAUGCUAUGAUCAAUUUGAUACUUGAUAAUUGUUUUGAGAUAUGGAGGUAGUGAUAUUAGAUUCAUGCUAGUUGGGUGAUUAUGAAUUUAAAGAAUUCUUGUGUUGAAGUUAGCAAGUCCCGUAGCAUGCACGUAUGGUGAAAGUUGUGUAACAAAUUUGAAACAUGAGGUGUUCUCAGAUUGUGCAUCCUUAUGAGUGGCGGUCGGGGACGAGCGAUGGUAUUUUCCUACCAAUCUAUCCCCCUGGGAGCAUUCACGUAGUUCUUGCUUUUUGAUGACUUGUAGAUUUUUGCAAUAAGUAUAUGAGUUCUUUAUGACUAAUGUUGAGUCCAAGGAUUAUACGCACUCUCACCCUUCCAUCAUUGCUAGCCUCUUCGGUACCGUGCAUUGCCUUUUCUCACCUUGAGAGUUGGUGCAAACUUAGCCGGUGCAUCCAAACCCCGUGAUACGAUAUGCUAUAUCACACAUAAACCUCCUUAUAUCUUCCUCAAAACAGCCACCAUACCUACCUAUUAUGGCAUUUCCAUAGCCAUUCCGAGAUAUAUUGCCAUGCAACUUUCCACCGUUCCGUUCAUCAUCAUGACACGCAUCAUCAUUGUCAUAUUGCCUUGCAUGAUCAUGUAGUUGACACCGUAUUUGUGGCAAAGCCACCAUGCAUAAUUUUUUAUACAUGUCACUCUUGAUUCAUUGCCCAUCCCGGUACACCGCCGGAGGCAUUCAUAUAGAGUCAUAUCUUGUUCUAGUUUUGGGUUGUAAUUCAUGAGUUGUAAAUAAAUAGAAGUGUGAUGAUCAUCAUUAUUAGAGCAUUAUCCCCAAAUAAAAAAAGGAAAGGCCAAAAAAAGGCCAAAUAAAAAAAGGCCCAAAAAAAUAAAAAAAUAAAGAAGGGGCAAUAUUACUAUCCUUUUCCACACUUGUGCUUCAAAGUAGCACCAUGUUCUUCAUAUAGAGAGUCUCAUAUGUUAUCACUUUCAUAUACUAGUGGGCAUUUUUCAUUAUAGAACUUGGCUUGUAUAUUCCUACGAUGGGCUUCCUCAAAAUGCCCUAGGUCUUCGUGAGCAAGCAAGUUGGAUGCACACCCACUAGUUUCUUUUGUUGACCUUUUAUACAUUUAUAGCUCUAGUGCAUCCGUUGCAUGGCAAUCCCUACUCCUCAUGUUGACAUCAAUUGAUGGGCAUCUCCAUAGCCCGUUGAUUAUCCUCGUCAAUGUGAGACUUUCUCCUUUUUUGUCUUCUCCACACAGUCCCCAUCAUCAUAUUCUAUUCCACCCAUAGUGUUAUAUCCAUGGCUCACUCUCAUGUAUUGCGUGAAAGUUGAAAAAGUUUGAGAUUAUUUAAGUACAAAAUAAUUACUUGGCUUGUCAUCGGGGGUGUACAAGAUGGGAGCAUUUUUGUGUGACAAAAAUGAAGCAUGACCUAACUAUAUGAUUUUGUAGGGAUGAACUUUCUUUAGCCAUGUUAUUUUGAGAAGACAUGAUUGCUUUGAUUAGUAUGCUUGAAGUAUUACUAUUUCUUAUGUCAAUAUUAACUUUUAUUUUGAAUCAUUUGGGUCUGAACAUUCAUGCCACAAUGAAGAAAAUUACAUUGAGAAUUAUGCUAGGUAGCAUUCCACAUCAAAAAUUCUGUUUUUAUCAUUUAUCUACUCGAGGACGAGUAGGAAUUAAGCUUGGGGGUGCUUGAUACGUCUCCAACUUAUCUAUAAUUUUUUUAUUGGUCCAUGCUAUUAUAUUACCCGUUUUGGAUGUUUAUGGGCUUUACUUUACACAUUUAUAUCAUUUUUGGUACUAACCUACUAACCGGAGGCCCAGCCCAUAUUUCUGUUUUUUUGCCUAUUUUAGUGUUUCAAAGAAAAGGAAUAUCAAACGCAGUCCAAACGGAAUGAAACCUUCGGGAGCGUGAUUUUUGGAACGAACGUGAUCCAGAGGACUUGGAGUGGAAGCCAAGAAAUAAAUGAGGCGGCCAUGAGGGAGGAGGGCGCCCCACUACUGGGCGCGCCCCCUGUCUCAUGGGCCCUUCGGGCGUCCACCAACCUACUUGUUCCUCCUAUAUAUACCCAUGUACCUCGAAAACAUCAGAAGCGACCAUGAAAAACUAUUUCCACCACCGUAACCUUCUGUAUCCGCGAGAUCCCGUCUUGGAGCCUUCGUCGGUGCUCCGCCGGAGGGGGAAUCGACCAUGGAGGGCUUCUACAUCAACACCCUAGCCUCUCUGAUGAGUUGUGAGUAGUUUACCACAGACCUUUGGGUCCAGAGUUAUUAGCUAGAUGGCUUAUUUUCUCUCUUUGAAUCUCAAUACCAUGUUCUCCUCGAUCUUCUUGGAGAUCUAUUUGAUGUAACUCUUUUUGCGGUGUGUUUGUCGAGAUCUGAUGAAUUGUGGGUUUAUGAUCAAGUUUAUCUAUGUGAAAUAUUUGAAUCUCCUCUGAAUUCUUUUAUGUGUGAUUAAGUUAUCUUUGCAAGUCUCUUCGAAUUAUCAGUUUUGUUUGGCCUACUAGAUUGAUCUUUCUUGCAAUGGGAGAAGUGCUUAGCUUUGGGUUCAAUCUUGCAGUGUCCUUUCCCAGUGACAGCAGGGGCAGCAAGGCACGUAUUGUAUUGUUGCCAUCGAGGAUAAAAAGAUGGGGUUUAUAUCAUAUUGCAUGAGUUUAUCCCUCUACAUCAUGUCAUCUUUCUUAAUGCAUUACUCUGUUCUUUAUGAACUUAAUACUCUAGAUGCAUGCUGGAUAGCGGUCGAUGUGUGGAGUAAUAGUAGUAGAUGCAGGCAGGAGUCGGUCUUCUUGUCACGGACGUGAUGCCUAUAUACAUGAUCAUGCCUAGAUAAUCUCAUAAUUAUUCGCUUUUCUAUCAAUUGCUCGACAGUAAUUUGUUCACCCACCGUAAUACUUAUGCUAUCUUGAGAGAAGCCACUAGUGAAACCUCUGGCCCCCGGGUCUAUCUCUUAUCAUAUAAGCUUUCAAUCUACUUUUAUUUGCAUCUUUACUUUUCCAAUCUAUAUUGUAAAAUACCAAAAAUAUAUUUACCUUAUUAUAUUAUCUCUACCAGAUCUCACUUUCGCAAGUGGCCGUGAAGGGAUUGACAAGCCCUUUAUUGCGUUGGUUGCAAGUUCUUGUUUGUUUGUGGAGGUGCGUGGGACUUUUGAGGAGCCUCCUACUCGAUUGAUACCUUGGUUCUCAAAAACUAAGGGAAAUACUUACGCUACUAUUGCUGCAUCACCCUUUUCUCUUCAAGGAAAACCAACGCAAGCUCAAGAAGUAGCACAAGUCUCCAAUCUAUGCACCUGCACAAACAAUCAAACACUUGCACCCAACGCGAUAAAGGGGUUGUCAAUCCCUUCAAGGUCACUUGCAAAGGUGAGAUCUUAUAGAGAUAGAUAUAAAAGAUUUCUAAAACAUAAAACAAAAUAAAAGUAAAUAAAACUCACUGAGGUAUUUUUGUCUUUUUAGUUUAUAGAUCUGAAAAUAUAUGAUUGAAAACAGACCCGGGGGCCAUAGACUUCUCGCUUGAAAGAAAUUAAUAUGGUGGGUGAACAAAUUACAGUCGAGCAAUUGAUAGCAAAGCGCAAAGUUAUGAAGAUAUCCAAGGCAAUGAUUGUGAAUAUAGUCAUCACGUCCGUGUCAAGUAGACUGACUCCUACCUGCAUCUACUACUAUUACUCCACACAUCGACCGACUCCUGCCUGCAUCUAGAGUAUUAAGUUCAAGAGAACAGAGUAAUGCUUUAAGUAAGAUGACAUGACGUAGAGGGAUAAAGUCAAGCAAUAUGAUGAAAACCCCAUCCUUUUACCCUUGAUGGCAACAAUACAAUAUGUGCCUCGCUACCCCUACUGUCAUUGGGUGAGGACACUGCAAGAUUGAACCCAAAACUAAGCACCUCUCCCAUUGCAAGAAAUACCAAUCUAGUUGGCCAAACCAAGCUGGUAAUUCGAAGAGAAAUACAAAGAUAUAAAAUCAUGCAUAUAAGAAUUCAGAGAAGAUUCAAAUAAUAUUCAUAGAUAAUAUGAUCAUAAAUCCACAAUUCAUCGGAUAUCGACAAACACAUCGCAAAAAAAAUACAUCAGAUAGAACUCCAAGAACAUCGAGGAGAACAUUGUAUUGAAGAUCAAAGAGAGAGAAGAAGGCAUCUAGCUACUAGAUAUGGACCCAUAGGUCUGUGGUAAACUACUCACGCUUCAUCGGAAGGGCAAUAGGGUUUGUGUAGAAGCCCUCCGUGAUCGAAUCCCCCUCCGGCAGAGUACCGGAAAAGGCCUCCAGAUGGGAUCUCAUGAGGCUAGAGACCUACGGCGGUGGAAAAGUAUUUUGGUGGACGCUUCUGGUCGUUCGGGAAUAUUUCUGAAUUCAUAGGCCAAGAAUUUGGGUUGGAGGAGCUCCAAGGGGCCCACAAGCCCUCAGGGCGCGCCCCUGAGGCUUGUGGCCGCCUCGGGCCUCCUCGGAAUUCAUCUCCAAGUCCUACAUGUGUCUUCUGGUCCAAGAGAAAUCAUCGUAAAGUUUUAUUCCGUUUGGACUCCGUUUAAUAUUGCUUUUCUGUAAAACUAAAAAACAAGGAAGAAAUAUAAACUGGCACUAGGCUCUAGGUUAAUAGGUUAGUCCUAAAAAUAAUAUAAAAUAGCAUAUUAAUGCAUAUAAAACAUCCAAAACAGAUAAUAUAAUAGCAUGGAACAAUAAAAAUUGUAGAUACGUUGGAGACGUAUCAUAUGCUUUCGUCCAUGAUGUGUCCCCGGGCCAGGCAAGCCUGGCACGACGCUUCGUCGACUUCGUCUUCAUCCAUCUUCGCAUGUCCGGUGCUAGCAACACCGAUGCGUGUCUUCAUCCAUGAUGUGUCCCUGAUCUUGGCAAACCCGCCGAGACGUGCCGUCAACAACGUCUUCUUCCUGGUGCACCACUACUUGGACACCACUGCGCCCAUGACUAUCUCGGCACCUCCUUGUGCCCGCGGCUCCACGGUGACUUCCUCGACACCGGCCAUCCCAACUCGACAUCGACCACGGCGUUCUUCGCACGGCUACCUCGACCACGGCUACAUCACCCUAUGCUCUCGGCUACUUCGACAACGGCACAAACGGCUACCGCCUUUGCUUGAGCAACCUCGUCGGUUUCCACUCCAGCCACGUCUUCCGUGAUGCAUCGACCGUUACGACUUGGGGGUGUCUCCGUCGGCUUACCUUUGAAUUCUUCUCUAGUCUCGUUGUCUGCAUCGCUACUAUUGUGACUGCGGGGGAAUGUUGAGUAUAAAGGUUAUUUAGGAAACAUAUGAUAGCGUAGAAUUUCUUCUACCUUGACUUGUACUCCAAGAUGACCAUGUACUCCUAUAUAUAUGCCACGAGGCUCAAGCAAUACAAUCAAUGAUUCCACCAAUCCCUCUAUAUCCCUUCAAACACCGGAUGUUGGCGCCUUGGCAGGGUACAGGUCGUCGCGGGAGCCCCUAAUUGGCGCUUUAGGCGCCAGUUCACCCAUUGGCGCUCAUGUGCACUGGGCUGGCCCAUUAAACAUGAAGGCCUGCUCAAACGCUUGAUCAUAGUCAGAUCGCUCUUCUUGAUUUCUUUCCUACUCGGUCGUUCCUUCAUCUGUUGACCAGUGGUCAGUGAGACCAUUGACUAAUAAAAAAAAGUAAACAAUUUUGAGAAUUUUAAAAAAGUUCAAGAAUUUGAAAAAUAAGUGAAUGAGUUUGGGAAAUUUCAUGAAAAAAGGUUCACCAAUUUGAAAAAAGUUCAUCGAUUUUUGAAGAAAAAAUCACCAAAUUUGGAAAAAGUUCAUCAAAAUUUAAAAAGUUAAUUGAAUUUGGAAAAUUUUAAUCGAAAUUAAAAAAAUCUGAAAUUUGGAAAAAAGUUCAUCUAAUUUUUAAAAAAGUUCAUUGAUUUUUUUAAAUAUAUAGUUCACGAAUUGAAGAAAAAAUGCAUUUAAGAAAACAAAAAAAGUAAAAGAAUGAUAACAAGAAAGAAAAGAAAAAAGAGAACAAGCUGAACUGAAGAAUGAAAUAAAAGGAAGAAACGAACUAACUAUGCACAAGCGGGUGACAUAACCCGGUGGUACGCUUCCAUCGAAUGAUGAGGUCUCGUGUUUGAUCCCGUUACCCGCCUAGUCUCUUGCGGGUUAAAAUCAGUAGAAGAAAAAAAUACAUAUGGGUUGGCCCACUUCGCAAGAUCUGUUAGCGCCCAUUUGCUAAAUGCACUAUAUCAGGCACCUCAAGCACCAAAUAGGGUCUGUCGAUCGUGGCCCAUGAGGGGAAGGCCGCGACGCUUUUGGGCUUCUAUGUGAGCUGCUAGGCCGACCUAGCCAGCCGGAGUGGCAUUUUUAUUUGGCCUCCCUCUACCUACAGGGCGCUUGGGUAGAUGGGUCGUCUCAGGUGAAAAAAUUCAAGCAGGCAAGGAUUAAUGCCGUCGUGAACAAGCUCCACAAGACAAGGCCCAUCCUUCUACCAAGUGGCAUGGGUGGCGGUUGAGGGCGAUAUCCAGUGUCUCUUAGACGAGGUGCAUGCAGACACAAUGCAAUUCGAUGGGAUCAACCAUGAUCGGAUCCUCCUCCUCCCCAAAGACGAUGGCAUCCCCACUCCUAGCGCCUUCCAUUCUGUCUCCCUUCAAAGUAGGAAUGCAAAGAUUUUUGUAGGGGACUAACGACGAGGCUUUAGAAGCAAAACCCAUAUUGUUGAUGAAGAUCAAUCUUGGUUCAUUGGGCGCAACAUCUCUGAAAAUCCGUCUACAUAGAGAAGAUGGUAAAAUCCUAUCACCAACGCACUACCCCCACCCAUGUGCUCAAGCUCGACUUCGCCGAGGCUUUUGACUCCAUCGCCUGGUCGAGCCUCCGGAGGAUCAUGGAAGUGCAUGGUUUCUUACCCCUGGUGCGACUGGAUGGACCUUAUCUUCCACUCUUACCACUUGGUGAUCCUCCUUAAUCGUGUGCUAGGGAAGUGGUUUCGCGUCAAACACGGGCUCCGACAGUAGGACCCUCAAUCCCCUACCUCUUCCUCCUUGUUGCGGACGGUCUUCAAUAGAUGAUCUGAUAGGAUACCUUGCUGCAGCACCCCAUCAUUGAUAAUGCUCUGCCUGUGAUGCUAUAGUACACAGAAGAUAUGUUGAUCAUCCUUUAGGCAUGUCUUAAUGGCACACUCUAGAUGCGCCAUAUCCUGGACCAGUUCGCGACAGCCACCGGCCUCAUGAUCAACUUCCAAAAGUGCACACUCAUGCCCAUGCAUGUCGGCAUAGUCAUGCUUGAGGGGGUUGAGGGGCGUUCGAUUGCGUGGUCGAGGGUCCCCCUGCCGUACCUCAGAUUACCACUCCCCUGGGACACUAGUGCAUAUGACCGCUAUUCCCAUGGUUUUUGCCCAGUCGUUGGAAGUUUGCAGAAUGUGUCCGGCUGCGCGGUCGAGAGUUUGUUUUGCCUUUUUUGUACAUUAAUUGACUUUCUAGGCAUUUAAUAUGCAUAAUUCAAAACUGAACUACGGACACAUGCAACAGUGGAUCAAAAUGGUUUGGAAAAUAAUCAGACAUCUAGGCAUCAUGACUCAACCGCAAACAUUGAGAAUCUUGGUUUUUAAAUUCCAAAAUAAUAAUAAUGAAAUCUCAUCUAAAAUUCAUAAAACUUGACAUGGUGUCAUGAUAUGGCAUACAUACGCCAUGGUAAUUCUCCAUUUUGAAACAAGUUAUGAAAUAAGCUUCUUAUAAAUCAGAGCUCCGAAAGCACACAUUUGCUCCCGUGGUGGUUUUGGUAAUUCAUGACAACAUACAUGUUGUUGGACUAACAUUUUCACCUAGUAUAUUUUAGGUAAACUUCAAGGUUGGCAUGGCAAGGAUAUGUGGACGCGGACCCUUCAAAAUGCUAAGGAAACAUAUUGGCAAAAUCUCCAGGGCUCUUCAUUUUUGGUUAAGUGAUCCAAGAUAAAAGAUCGUGGAUGUCGCCUAGAGGGGGUGAAUAGGCGGUUUAAAGUAAUUAUGGUUUAGGCUUGAAACAAUGCGGGAUAAAACUAGCGGUUAAUUUGUCAAGCACAAAACCUAAAUCGACUAGGCGCACUUAUGUGCACCAACAACUUAUGCUAAGCAAGAUAAACAACAAAGUGAUAGCAAGAUAUAUAUCAUGAAACUCUAUGGCUAUCACAAAGUAAAGUGCACAAGUAAAGGGCUCGGGUAAGAGAUAACCGAGACACGCGAAGACGGUGAUGUAUCCCGAAGUUCAGAGUGAACGGAUGCUAAUCUCCGUUUGGACCGGUGUGAAGGCACAAUGCUCCCCAAGAAGCCACUAGGGCCACCGUAAUCUCCUCAUGCCAUCGCACAAUGCAAGAUGUCGUGAUUCCACUAAGAAACCCUUAAGGGCGGUCACUGAACCCGUACAAAUGGCAACCUUUGGGGGCGGUCACCGAACACAUACACUUUGGCAACCCUUGGGGGCGGUCACCGAACCCGUACACUUUGGCAACCCUUGGGACGGUCACCGGUACCCGUCAAAUUGCUCGGGCGAUCUCCACAACCUAAUUGCAGACCCCGACGCUUGCCCGGAGCUUUACACCACAAUGAUUGAGAUCUGACAACACCAACCGUCUAGGGCACCAAGGCACCCAAGAGGAACAAGCUCUAGGGUGCCCAAACACCCAAGAGUAACAAGCUUCUCAACUUCACUUCCAUGUAUCACCUUGGAGAACUCAAACCGAUGCACCAAAUGUAAUGGAAAGGGCACACGAAGUGCCCAAGUCCUUCUCUCCCAAAUCCCACAAAAGCAACUAAUGUAGGGAACAAAAUUAGGGGAAGAACAAAGAAGAGAACAUGAAGAACUCCAAGAUAUAGAUCAAAGGGGUUCCCCUCACAUAGAGGAGAAAGUGAUUGGUGGAAACGUAGAUCUAGAUCUCCUCUCUCUUUUCCCUUGAGAACUAGCAAGAAUCAUUGGAGGGAUUGAGAGAUAGCAAGCUCGAAGAAGGUCAACAAUGGGGGAAGAACACCAUCUAAAGAGAUAAGGUUCAAUGUGGAAGAAGACCCCCUUUUAUAGGGCCUCCCGAAUCCAACCAUUAUGUGCUCAACCUGCACACAAGCGUUACUACCACUCAUAGGAGCGGUACUACUACCCGGGCGGUAGUGCACAUAGUGUAGUGCAAUGGUGCAAGACCACGAGCCGGUAGUGUCGCCGGAGUGGUACUACCGCUUGGGUCGCAGCACAAGGCACUAAAGAGGCAAAGCAAAACAGGGGGCGAGGCAUAGCCGCAUCAGCGGCACUACCGCUGGAGCCAGCGGUACUACCGCCUAUAGGCGGUAGUGCUGCCCACCACAGUCGUUGUACUACCACUGAGACAUGCAGUGAUAAGAAAGGAAAGCGGAAGUGGAGCAGUACUGCAGAUGCGACACUACCUCUUGAAAGAGGUACUACCGCUCGUGCUACUAUCCCACUGCUGCGAAAGCCGACACAAAAAAUUGCAUCCCCGAAAAUAGCGGUACUGCCCACAACAUUGCUGCCCAUAAGCGGUACUACCGCUUGGGGUGCUACAAUGAAGCCCAGGAAAACAGAUGGAACCAAUAAAAUCUGAACUGCCAUAACUUCUACAUAAGAGCUCUGAGUUGAGCAAACUCAAGCUUGUUGGAUAGAUGGCUUGAGAAGAGGCAGGGGGAUUAUGCCUAAGAUAUAAAGGAGUGAAACCUCUAUCGGUGAAGAACUGGCAAAAACUCCAACAUCUAAAACAUCAUAGAAGAUGCAUAAGUGAACUCCGUUUUCGAUGAACUCGAGCUUGUCAUGAAGAUGACCAAAAGCUCUAAGGCUCACAAAGAGAAACACCAAACAAGAACCAAGAAAGAUUAUGCAAGGAUGCAAUGGUUUGAGCUCUCUACAAACGAUAAGAGCAAGCUACUAACUUGAGAGCCCCCCUUAAUAGUACAAUAAUCGAUCCUAUAACCCGGUCUCCCAACUACCACCAUGCGACCGUAAAAUAGAAAACCUAUUAAUGGCAAACCUUUGCCUUGCACAUAGUCCACUUGAGCUAGAUGAUCACGAUCUUGACUCCCUCAAGUUGGGCCACCUUUCUUGAUUGCGUUGGCUCGGUUAAGACUAGUAGAUUGCUCCCCAUACUCCACUAUGGGUGAGCCACUCUUUGGAACAUUUUCACAAGUCCAUUGUCACCAAAUGGACGACAAGCUUCAAGCAUGAUCUCUUCGUGAUGCUCCACUUGAACUUGCACACCGCAGUCUUGAUGACGAUCACCACUUGAUGUCAUCCUUCAUGGGUUGUAUGAGAUCUUCCUCUUGAUGCAAGCCCAUGGAAACAUACCUAACCCCACAUAGAACUCUCAGGUACACCAUGAGUUAGUACACAAAGCAUAAUGGACAAUUCUUACCAUACCAUGGGAUCAUUUGAUACCUCUCGGCACAUCUGAUACGCUUUGUGUGCUGAUCAACUUGAUUCACUCUUUGACUUAGUCUCGAUCAACCUUGUAUCAUGACUUCUACAUGCCCAAUCUUUGGGUAAUUCCUUGAAUAACACCUUGGUCAUCUCACAAACUCCUUGAAACCAACACAUGGACUUCAAGAAAACCUAUGAACAAACCCUUCAAAUAUAACUCAAGGCAACCAUUAGUCCAUAGAGAUUAUCAUCAAUUACCAAAACCAAACAUGGGGGCACCGCAUGUUCUUUCACAAGACCACAUUGAGUCCAUAGGAAAGCCAAUACUAUUAAAAGGGGAUGAGGUUUUGAUCAUGAUUUAGUUGCUCAAGUGCUUUGAAGAUAUUGCUCCAAAAACCCUCAACCACUUUCCCACAUUCAAAUAUGUCCAAACCCUAAAUGUCAAACUCGGACCCACCGAUACAUAUACACCCGGACCCACCAAGUUUAACUUAGUCUGGGCCACAACCAAACCAUAUAAACUCGGUUCCACCAAGAUGACAUUAGUAUAAGAGUUUUGGUCUGAUUUGCCUUGGUUUAAUCACCAUUGGAGGAAGAUGGAUGUGUCUACUUUGGGGAGUCUUAGAUGUAGAGUGCCUAUUCUUGAAGGAGAGUACUAUAAUUCAUGGAGAGAUAAAAUGCUUGAUAUCUUUCAUGAAUUUAACUUGAGCAAACAUAUUCUUAGUCCUUAUGUGCCUCCUAUUGAUCCCUUGCACCCCACUGAUGAAGAGGAAAUUGACAUGAUUCGUAAUCUUAGAACCGUCAAUCUUUCAUUCGUGGAUUACCUAAAAUUGUGCUUGUUCGUAUACAAAUCUUUGAGUGCGCCUAUACUUUGUGGAAGGACUUAGAUAUGUGCUAUCCCAAUUACUCAUUAAAGAACCUUCAUGAGAUCCUUGAUAAAACUAUUGCUUUUCAUAAGAUGAAGCCUAGUGAUCCUAAAUUUGUAUUAUUGUCUCUUUGAGAUUCGUGAUCUCAUGUGUGCUAAAGGCGAUGUUAGAACCAUUAGUAACAUCAUAAUAGAAGCCACUAGAAUUCACACUCUUGAGCAUUGUCUUGAUCAUGGAACUAAUGAAUCUAUUGCCCUAUGUGAUGAUCAUACACCAAUUGAUGAUGACAACGUUGAACAUGGGUAUUGUGAUGAGGAUGAAGAGUUUGAUAUCAAAUAUGAGAAGACUAUGAGAAAUCUUACCUCAUGGCAAAUUUUCGAGAUUACAUGGCCGUCGGAAAGGAAUGGAUUCUUGAUAGUGUAUACACUGAUCACAUGAACGGAGAUAGAGACAUGUUUUGUGAGCUUGCUAAAAAUGGUAGUCAGUUUAAGCAAAAACAAUAGUUGAUUCCGACCAUAAUUAACAAUGGUUCCAGCAAAAAAAAUCACAUCAGCAAACUCCAAAAAUUCCAUUGUAGCAAACGAACUGCCCGAUUCUAGCAAAACAUUGUCCUGGUUCCAGCAAAAAUUAUUGCCAGUCCCAGCAAAACACGUUGUUGUCGCCGGUCACAGCGAAAACUCUCACGUGUCCUCGCAACAAAAAUCUUCCUAGCUCCAGCAAAAAAAUGCCAGUUCCGGCAAAAUUGAUCUCGACGCCGUCCGAUUCCAACACCGGCCAAAGUGGUUGCGGCUUUCCUAAACCUGGUUCCAGCAAAAAAAAAGUGGUCGCAGCACCAGAGCCGGGUUGCCGCCGACAAUUGCUGGUUGCAGCAAGCAUGGCCUCUGGUUCCAGCAUCUUUGAACUCGGUUCCAGCAAAAAGAAAAACAAUUGCAGCAUCGGAGCCCUCUCAUCUCCACAAUCGCCGGUGUUGGUUGCGAUCAACCAUGGCCGCCGGUUCUAGCAUCGCUGGACUCCGCAUGGCACAAAAGAUGGAGAGGAGCACGGAAGGGGGAGCAACACCACAAGGACAGGGAGGUUGGGGGGGGGCAACACCGCACAUGCAGGAAGGGGAGGGGGUGGGUGUCAUCGGUGGUGGCUGCCAUGGCGGAUAAAAGAGGAGAGCUUGGUGGGGAAAGAAACAAAGGAAGCAGAGAUAGAUCGAUGCGUGGACGAAUAAGAAAAUGUAAACGCUUGAAUGGAUAAGGAAAGAGAAAGCACCUAACAUCGUGACGUGGAGAUAGCACCGAGCGUUACACAGCACGCGACCGGCCUAAGCUUCGGCCGGCGCGCCGGUCCAAAACGUUUUUCAAAAUAUAUCCAAUCCAAUAUUAUAAAGGAGGAAACGCAGAACCCGGCGACCAGCCACCCAACACCCGAAAAAAAAAACCUAAAUUUUUUGAGCUGGCGCCUCAAUUUCAGGCCCGCCCCGCCACUCCAGCAGCCGGGGCCUCCCGCCAGAUUAUCGAUCCGCGGCAUCUCUCUCGCGGGUCGCGAUCUCAACCGUGCGCUCCAUCUGCAUCGAACGGCAGGAACACGCCUCCUCCCACCUCUCGCCCCCGUUAAAAUCCCCACCCCCCCUUAGGGCAUGUACAAUGGUUCUAUCUUAAGAAUGCCACGUAGGAUAAAUGAUGAGGUGUAGGAGAGAGAAAUCGUAAGAUAAGGCUUGUCUUCUCUUAUUUAAGAGAAGACAAGAGAUGAUAUCUUAGCACAAUUUGUCUCAUCAUGUUUUUAGGAACAACUAAUUAUUGAAGAUAAGGCUAAGAAAUGACCCAUUGUAGACAUGCUUUUUUAUCAUCUCUAAUUUACAUGCAAGACUUAAGAUAAGACUAUCUUAUCAACCAUUGUACAUGACCUUACGGCAAAUCACCACAGCAAUCACCACCGCUCCUCAACCUCCAUCCGCUCGCAGCUCGAACCAAGGCGAGUUCGUCAGCGACCAUGUCCGGGCGCGGCAAGGGAGGCAAGGGUCUCGGCAAGGGCGGCGCCAAGCGCCACAGGAAGGUGCUGCGCGACAACAUCCAGGGCAUCACCAAGCCGGCGAUCCGGCGCCUCGCCAGGCGGGGCGGCGUGAAGCGCAUCUCCGGCCUCAUCUACGAGGAGACCCGCGGCGUGCUCAAGAUCUUCCUCGAGAACGUCAUCCGCGACGCCGUCACCUACACCGAGCACGCCCGCCGCAAGACCGUCACCGCCAUGGACGUCGUUUACGCCCUCAAGCGCCAGGGACGCACCCUCUACGGCUUCGGCGGCUAGGCUCGUCCUCGCCCCCGUGCAAAUUCCGAUGUGCUUAUCCGCCUGUGCGCAGGAGUCUUGCUGUCGAGAAAACUUAGCUGAAAUGAAAUCCCCAUGUUUAUCUCCGCUGUUUCUUUCGUAGGAUUAGCUGUAUUGUCAAACAAAGCUGUUCGCAUCUGAUCUGAUGCUUGAGUCCAAUCUUGUGUCUACGCAAAUAUUGUGGUUCUGUUGUGAUUUUUACCGCCAGGCUGUUGCAAUUGUGGUGUGUCGUCGGUUGUUCCUUCUGUCGUGCAAGAUUUGGUUGCUUGUACUGAAGUACAGAACGAAAUUUCCAGAGUUCAGUCUGCAUUUCAGACAGAGAAUGCUCCGAUUAAAGGUGGAUUUAUGGGCCUAGAGUGGAAUACUAAUAAACAGAUUCGCCAUUCUUGCGCUGGA
rnacentral:lncRNA from 1 species